rnacentral:lncRNA from 1 species
UCCUAUUCACCCAGAAAUCAGAAUCGAAAUCGAAAUGAGAAUUCUGCAUACCAAAUAUAGGAUAAAAAGAGCGAACCAAACAUGCGUUAAGUUCAUGUCUCAAUUAUAUUCUUACAUUAAAAAUUAGCAAAAUACUAAGAGGGUAUUUGGCCUAUCUUCUGAAAAGUGAUUUGGGUCUAAAAGUGAUUUUUGGCUAAAUAGAGCGUUUUGCAACCUCGUUUUCAAAAUUUGAUUCUGAUUUUUCGAUAAUUUUUUCUGAUUUUUUAGAGCAAAAAUUAGUAACAAAUUAAAACUUGCUUCUUGAAAUAUGAUUUUAAUUUUGAACUCAAACUUCAAAUUUUUAUUGUGAUUUUAGAUUCAAAUUAUAAAUAAAUUCAAAUUUUUAUUUUAAAUUUAAAUUUAUAUUUGAAUUUUUAAAUUUCAAAUUUUAACUUUUAAAUUUCAAAUUUCAAAAUUUAAAUUUUUAAAUUUAGAUAUUAAAUUUCAAAUUUAUAUUUAAAAUCUUAAAUUUUAAUUUUAAAAUUGUAAAUUUCAAAAUUUAUAUUUAAGAUAAAAUUUUAAAUUUUAAAUUUAGAAAUUUUAAUAUUAAAAUUAGAAAUUUUAAACUUAAAUAAUAAAUUUUGAUUUUCAAGUUAAUUUUCAAUUUUAAAAUCUAAAUUUUAAAUUUUUAGUUUUAAUUUUAAUUUUAAUUUUAAUUUAAUUUUAUUUUAUUUUUAUUUUAAAUUUUUAAAUUGUUAGUUUUAAACUUUUAAUAUUCAAAUUUUAAAUUUUAAAUUUACAAAAUUAAAAUUUUAAAUUUAAUUUUCAAAUUUAGAUUUUAUAUUUGAAAUUAAAAUUUAGAUUUAAAUUUUAAUUUUAAUUUUAAAUUUUAAUAUUUAAAUUUUAAAUUUAAAUUUUAAAUUUUAAAUUUUAAAUUUUAAAUUUUAAUAAUUUUUAAAUUUUUAAAUUUUUUAAAUUUUAGAUUUUUAAUUUUCAAAUUUAUAUUUAAAUUAAACUAUCAAAAUUUAAAUUUUUGUGCAAAUUUUUGAAAAUAAAAUUUAAUAAAAAAAGUAAUUAUAUACCAACAUCAAAAAAAAAAUUUGCCAAUAGUUUUAUAAAAUCACUUAAAAAAGAUCGAUUUUAAUCGAAACUUAGCCAAAUGCUCUACAAUUUUUAACCAAAAUCAAUUCUCCAAACUAAAAUUAAUUCUUCAGAAAUUAUUUUUUUAGAAUCUAGACCAAAUGGACCCGAAUUACAACCCAAAGAAUAAAACCCCUCAAGAGGUUGUAGGGUUGACCAACCCUUUUUUAGAUUUUAAUUAAAAAACAAAAAAUAAAUUAAGUAAUCAGAAAGUAGGAAAAAAACUGAUUAUUGAAUGAGAGGGUUGCAAGUUUACACCCCAAAAUUAAAUCUAGGCCUGACAUUGCUCUAAAUAUAUCAAUUACCUCUCUACAUUUUGCCAUUAUUUCAAAUAGGUCUAUCUAUUUGAGAUGAUUGUUAAAUUUAGAUAUAAAACUUCUUAAAUUUGUAAGUUUAUCAGUAUGGACCAAUUCAAACCUAGUGAAAUAUUGAUAAAAUAUUAUUUUGAUUAUUUGAAACAAGAUUGAUAACUCUGAUCUAAAAUUUAAGUCUUUUAAUAUUUUGUCAUUUUUACUUUUGACCUUUCAUUUUGAGACUAUUCUUUUUAUAGUCAAACAAUAUCGAAAAAAAAAAAACUUCAGUUCCUAGAUACUUCUAAUAACGUAGAUCAAUUUAACGGAGCCGAUCAUCAAAUUGAAAAUUUUGUCAUUGAAAAUAGCUUCAUAGCACAGAGACACACCUAUGCUAACAAAAUCAUAGCAGGAAGGGGACCAAAAAAAGACGGCUGUUCUAACAUUCACGGCAAAGCUAAGAUAUUGUCGGAAGAGAAUUAAAAAGUAGUGUGCAAAUGAGUACUAUAGUAUUAGAGGUGAAAAGAAUAAACUUAUGGUGGAAAUCCAUGAGAUCAACAAGGAAGAAAAGUAGAGUGACCUAACGUAGGAACCCUUUACCAAAAAAGAGGACGAAGUUUUAUGGAGAACCAGGGCGAAGCAACAUUGGUUAUGGGAGUGCGAUGGUAAUACCAAAUUUUUUCACGCUAUAGCUAAUAGUCGAAGGAGAGUUAAUAGGAUCGAUACGAUAGAAGAGGGAGAUGUUGUGUAUCGAUCUGAAGAGGGCAAAAAAAGCUACUUUUCUUUAGAAAUUCAACGAAAUAUUCACGCGGGACGAGUCGGUACCAUCAUCCUUUGGGGAGUGGAGCAGUCUAUUCAGAUCGAAUGGUGUAAACCCUACCAACUUAACGGACGCCACAAGACCUUUCUGUCUAGAUGAAAUAAAACAAGCGGCAUUCCAAUUAGGGAGCAAUAAGGCACCGGGCCCAGAUGGUUUUCCGCUAAGUUUCUACCAAAAGUUCUAGGACACUCUAAAGGGGGGUAUAUUGAAUAUAUUUCAGGAGAUGUCUGUGGGAAGGCUGUCCACCAGUCCCAUUGAUUACUCCUUCAUCUGUUUAAUCCCGAAUAAGGAAUGAGCUAAAAAGGCAGACGACUUUCAGCCCAUAAGCCUUCUGAAUGGGAUACAGAAGAUUAUAUCUAAGGUUUUAACCAAUCGACUGGAGGGUAUUAUGAGCAAUCUGAUAUCCCCAUCCCAAUCGACAUUCCUAAAAGGGAGGAACAUCACUGAUACUUAUGUAGCAGUCCGCAAGCUGAUUAGUUGGGGAAGCUUGUAGGCUGUAGAGGGAGUUAGGGUAAAUGAGGAUUUUGAAAAGGUGUACGAUAGAAUUUACUGGCCUUUCCUUUCUCAUAUUUUAGAAUGGUAGGACUUUGACAAAAAGUGGUGCGGUUGGAUCAAACUCUGUAUGUGCUACGCCGAGCUUGCAGUUUUAAAGAAUGGUGAGGCAACCAAUUAGACUAAAACGAAGAUGGGGAUACGACAGGGGUAUCCACUUUCCCCUUUUCUCUUUCUAUUGGUAGCGGAGUGUCUUACUCGGAUGACGAAUAAGGUAAUUUCGAACAAUCUCAUAAAAGGCCUUGGCCCAUCUGAUGCAGUCAGAAUUAUCCUAAUUCAGUUUGCGGAUGAUAUUUUCUUCUCCUUUGAGGCCAAAAGAAGGUACAUAAGAAACCUGAAAUUCUUAUGGCAACUAUUCAAAUGGGCGCCUGAAAUGAAAAUCAACAGGAAGAAGUCGGAGCUUUAAUAUACUGGACAGGAUGAAGGGAAAGCGGUAAAGUUGGCAUACCUUCUUGGGUGUAGAGUUAGCAGCCUACCUACCCGGUAUCUAGUGUUUCUUCUAUCUACUAAACCUCUCUCUAAGAAGGAUUGGAGAGGAAUCAUCUGUAAAAUACAAAGCAAAAUUGAUAGAUGGCAAGAGAAACUAUUGUCAAGAGAUGGUAGACUCAUUCUAAUGAAUGUUGUUCUCACUGAUCUACCAAUUUACUUUCUCUCGGUGUUUAAGGCACUCAAAUGGGCAAUCAAAAGUAUUAAGGCGCUUCAGAGAGAUUUCGUCUAGAAUGGAGGACAUAACUCACCUGGUAAGGGAUAUCUAAUUGCUUGGAAAAGCGUUUAUAGGAGCAACAAAGAAGGGGGACUUGGCAUCCUAGAUACAAGCAUGAUGAACCAAGCGCUCCAAGUUAAAUGGUGGUGGAAACUCCACAACUCACCUUAGUUGCAUUGGAACAAGAUAAUUCAUGCCCUAUAUUAUCAUAGAAGAAAACUACCGAAGGAGGGAAGAUCAUUUAAACCUUCAUCUUUUUUGUGGUGAGAAAUUCUAAGCCAAAAAGAAAUCUUCAAAUAGAGAGCUUUUUAUAAGUUGGGCAACAGUCGCAAUAUUGACUUCUAGUCAGAUCGCUUGUGGGGGGAAACCACACUGCAAUCGUCUUUCUCAGAGGUGUUUCAAUUAUCGAUUUGCAAAAAUCUCAAAAUCUGUGAGUGCCUUAGGAAUAAUGGAUGGUGGUGGUGCAAGAUUCUGGGUAGUGUCAACAAUAAUGACCAUGGAUUAAAUUCUAAUUUUUCAGCAUUUAAGGUAAGGAUCUCCAAUCUCAGAAUUAAUCAGGGCCCAAACAGUGUGCAUUGGGGAUGGAAUCCUCACGAGCGCUUUAUGAUGCGGUCAACCUAUUCUGUGUUGUGUGACAGGGGCACGAGGGACGCCCGUGCUAGCAAAAUCUGAAGACUUCAUAUACCGCUAAAACUGAAAGUGUUUUGCUGACUCGUCCUUAGGAAAAGGACCCUUACUGUAGAUAAUCUCCUGAAGAGAUGAUGGAUUGGCAACAUAAUCUGUGUGUUGUGUAGGACGGAAGAGAAAACUAUUGACCACUUAUUUACUUGGUGUGUGUUCUAUAGAUUUCUUAUGGUGAUGGCCUUGGAGAAUAUCCAGACAAGAUAUUUGGGCGAUGAAGUGACUUGCUUCUGAGAUAGAUGGAUAAGUGGAAAGGGCUCAUUACCCACCCCCAACUUCCGAACCAAUGGGUUUAAUAGCCUGCUGGUGAACCACUUGGAAGGUCCACAACAAUGCAAUCUUCAGAAUGACCAAAUUAACCGGACUCUUUCCUAGGAAUCUACAAGAUAAAACAGCUGACGAAUCAAUAGGAGCAACUUAUUCCAAUAGAUAAGCAGCGUUGUACUGUUAGUUUUUUUUUUCGCCCUUUUCGAGGACUGUGUUGCCUCACUCAUAUUGCUUAAUUCACUAUUCUAAUGAAUGAAACAGGUAAUGUGCUACUUUUUCUCAAAAUAAAAAAUAAAAAAAAUAAAAUCAUAGCAGCUCACUCCACAAUUUGGAUAGUGCUAGCAAAAUAAAAAAAAAUCUCUUCUAUCCAAAUUAUUAUAUAUUUUUAAGUUACAAAUUAAAUACAUGCUAGAUGUGAAAGAACAAUAUAACAUGCUAGCUUAUUUUUGUAAAAUUUUAUAACCGUGUAUACUAGCUUUAAAAAUUUUUGAAUCUACUUGAGAUGAUGGCAAAGCACAGAAUGUUAAUUGAUGUAAUUUUUAAUGCAUAGAUAAUUAACAACUGGCUAAAGUGCAAGGUGCUUUUUGCUAUUUAGGCUUUGUUUUAUAUAUAAUUUUUUGCUAAUUUACACGUGACCACAAUUUAAAAUUUUCAAAUUUAUCCUGCAAUUACCAUUAAUACUCUUUUAAACUGCAAUUUUUAUUAGAGAAUUCAAGAAGUUUGGGAAUAUUUGAAGAAAUUUUUAUAAAUUCAUUAGAGCAUUUUGGUCGACCAGAGAUACUAUAGAUAUUUUUAAAAUUUUGGAGACUAUAAUUAAGAUAGGGAUCAUAUAAUAUAUCUUUGAAAACUUCUGAAAUAUCUUACAUAUUUCUAUAUUUUUGUUUCAAGAAUAUCCCCCGUAUAUUUUUCUGUUAUUCAAAAAUAUUCCUGCUAUUAGUACCCGUUAAACAAUCUCGGAUUAAAUUAGGAUUAUUUUCUACCAGAGUUAAAAAGAAGUUAAAAUACCUCUUUUGCUCCUAACUUAAGAGCAAAUAAGAAAAGCCGGUGAUAGUAGAAGGAUAUCUUCGAGCGACAAAAAAAUAAAAUACUUCUUUUACGCCUAAUUUAAAAGUAAAUAAGAAAAUUGGUGAUGUUAGAAAUGGUAUAUUUGAAAGAGUAAAAUAGUAAUUUUACAGAGAUAACGGUUAUUUUUACUGUUCACUAACAGCAUUUAACUUUAAAAAUAUAUUUAAAAUAACCUGAAAUAUUAAAAAAAUAUUUUUAAUGUUAGAAUAUGAAUAAAUAAGAAAAUUGAAAAUAUUUAAGGAAUAUAUAAGUAAUUGCGCCGUCAACAAGAUAUUAAUUAUGUUUUAAAUUCCUAAAAAUAACCUAAACAUCCAGUAGGCGGUGGGUUAGGGCGGGCGGAAGAACUGCGCCAGUACAGUCGGCCACGAGCACGGCUGGCCAUGGCGGAGGAGAAGCCGGCGGAAAGGCGAUUGCAAGCCAUCUCGCGCCAUCUCCUCCUCCCUUCACAACUUCACACUCAAGAACUGUAUCUGGUACAUAUAAUAUUAUGGUUUUAUGAAUCUACUAUGUUCUUGAUCCAUCAAUCCAAACUUACAAACUCCCAAACCUGAAAUAUAUGAAAUAAAAAAAAAAUUUUCAGGAACCCAAAUCCGUGAUAAGUCCAUCUCCUGUGAUCAUAGGUGGGAUGGUUUUGGACAUCCAUGCCAAGCCCUAUGCCUAUCCAAAUCCUGGAACCACUACCCCUGGGAAGGUACCUUUCUUUUAAUUCUUUCUUUUAUUACCAUAAUAAUAAUAAUAAUAAUAAUAAUAAUAAUAAUAAUAAUAAUAAUAACUUGUGCCUGGAUUGUAUUUGGGUGUUAGAAAGAAGAAAAGAAAAAAAAAGAAUUAGCUUGUUCUUAAUUCUUUGGUUAUUUAAAGGAAGUUGUCAUCUGUCACCUGGUUGGAAUUGCAUUGCAAUCUAAUCAUUUAUGCAACAAGAGAGAAGUCCAUCUUCUAAUGUGUCCAAUUAUAUAAAAUUGGAUAAAUUGCACGUUUGGUCCUCAAACUGUUAGACUGGUGGUACUUUAGUUCUCAAACUUUAAUUUAUUGUAAUUUCUGACUUGAACUUUCAGAAUUGUUGCAAUCAAAUCUCACAAUUCAAUUUAGUUGACUAAAUAUUGGCGCAUCGCUGAUUUACAAGUGAUCUGACAUUUUAAUUAUUAGCGCAUCAUCAAUUACAACACUGCUACAUCACUCGAUACAUCAAUACUUAAUCAACUAAAUUCAGUUGUAGGACUUGAUUGCAAAAUUUUAAAAGCUCGGGUCAAAAAUUACAACAAACUAAAGUUUGAGGACCAAAGUGUCACCCAUCUUAUAGUUUGAGGACCAAACGUGCAAUUUACCUUGUAGAAUUUUUGUUGGACAAAUGUUUAAAAAUAUUGAAGAAAAAAAAAGGCAACAAUGCCAAAUGAGGUCUAAUUUUGCUUGUGAAGGGUUAUAAAGAUGUCAUAAUAAGUCUCUGUCUCUCUAAGUAAUGUUAGGUUAGUAGCAAGGAUUUAAGUGUCCAUCGGCACGAGCCGUAUCUAUCGUGCCGUAUCGUGCCAACAAGAUAUUCGCACGAUAUAGCCCUGUGCCAAUAGCACAACUCAAAACCCUCUAUUCGUUAAAUUACUAAGUAAUUUUCUCAAUGAAGUUCAAAAGAUUUGAUAAAGAUACAUAAUAAUUAAAUAGUUAGAAUAUUUUGUUGCUAAAGAAAAUAAAUAUUUCAUGCUAUUAAUUAUGUGUUGGCACACAUGAAUUUUUGUGACCAAUACGCAUCAAUACGGUCCGGCACACACUAUGUCGUAUCAUGCUGGCAAGCUUCCGGCACGACACCGUGCCAUGACAUUUAAAUCCUUGGUUAGUAGUAGGUUUUAAGAACCUAUUAUUGUUUUAGAGCCUUCUCAUUUGAGUUGUGCUCUAGCCAACAACAUAUUUUUGGGAAAAGGCUUGAGUAAUUGGAGGAGGAGAAGAUGUCCAUAUUGUAAUGUUGCAUUCACUCAAAAUACAAACUACUAAUCAAGCAGUUAUUAGGCCUUUGAGCAACCAUUUGAUUGUUUUAGAUCUUUCGAGGAGGUAAUGCGUUGUGCAUAUUCGGUCUGCUCCAGAUUGGAGACUUGUUACAUAAACUAUUGUGUGGACUGUCUUGCUGCUAGAUGUGCCCUUACCUUAUGUUCAUGUUCAUUUCCAUGGCAUGUCAGACACGUAUGCUGCAUCAACUCUUCAUGGUCACAUGUCCGUCAUGUGUCCAAUUAGAACAAUUUGGGGAAUUUCAGACUUGCUCGCCUGCAUAGGGCAGAUCAACUAAGGACAUGGACAAGCCCUCCACAACUAAUAUCGACUCAGCUACACGAAUUUUGAUGUUUUGGGCUUCUUUUUUUUUUUUUUUUCUCUUUCAUCCAAGACUUUCUACUGGCUUCAAUUGUCUCUACUAAUCCUAGCUAGAUGAUCAGCAGGAUUACAGAGGUUUUAACCUCAAUAAAUUUCUAGAAAUCAACUGCCUCUUCCGUGAUAAACACAUUGAUGGAGGACCUAUUGGUGGCUUGCAUCAUAGGUCCUUCUUGAUCUAUUUGCCAUUGCUUUGUUUUCAUUAUAGACUGAAUAAGAUCUUUUUAACAAAAUGGUGGGCAGUCUCAAGAAGCUGGCGUAAACUUUUAAUCAAUUUCUAUCAUGUGAAGGUUCGUUAUUUUAAUGGAGGAGUGGCAAGGAAUGUUGCUGAGUGCAUGUCGAAGCUUGGAAGUAAACCUUUCAUGAUUAGUGUUGUUGGAGACGACGUAGCAGGUGAUUGAUUUUAUAAGAGUACUUCAUCUGCUGACUUUUCAUAACUCGUGUGAACAUUUCGUAUGAUUUUCUUUGCAAAUGAAGGAGAUUUACUGAUGAGGUACUGGAAAACUGCUAGGCUUCCUACAGAAGGUAAUUAUAUUUGUUACUUAGUUGUAACUCUUGUGAAUUGCAUCUAAUAUUCCAGUAUAUUCAUGAUCUAUGUAGCUCAAAACUAUAGGUUGUAGAUGCAAUAUGCAAAUAACUCCUUUAAUAUCUUUUCUCUUAGUAAAAGCUCUUUGAUCUGAACUUUUGUUCAUUUGACAUUUCUUAGAUCUGUAAUCUCUCUCCUAGAUUACAAUAACUAUAUGCUAAUCCCUUUGGCUCUAUUUAGCUGUAUUCUUGACAUAGAUGUAAUUGUAUGUUUGUCGGCACUUGAAGCUUUAGCUCUAUGUGGUGAUUUGUUUUUGUGGUUUCUCAUAACAAAAUACUGGGGCUGACUAUCAAGCUAUGUAAAACAACACUCUAUUUUGCAUUUAGAGAUGUCAACGGGGCCAAUUUGGGGUGGUUUUUCAUAAACCCGAACUUGAACCUAACUACCAAAUCCGAAACCCGAACCCAAACCCAAAACCAUCAGGUUUUGAAAACCCAUAACCAAAACCAAACCCGACUAAAAAAUCGAAACCCGAAACCGAACUCGAAAACCCGAACCUUAAAGCAAUCAUUUCUCUUUACCAAAUUUCAAAACAUAUCAUACUCAAAUCUAACAAAUUUUUAUAUAUUAUAUGAUAUAAAACUAAUUCGGGUUCAGUUCGAUACAGAUAAAAACCAUAGCGGAACCCUAAUCCAUUGGGUUUUCAUUUUAUAUACACAACCGAUACCCGUUAGAAUAGGUUAAACUCGCCUCUUUCAGGUUCAGUUUCGGAUGGAAUCUCAUGUAUCUGUGCCCGUUAACAUCCUAUUUGUUUCUUCUUUUUUUUUGAGAAAAGGUAGCAUGCUACCGCUUCAUUCAUUUAGGGAGUGAACUCAGCUACAGAAUGAGACAACUAGGUCUCCUAAACGGCCAUAAAAAUAAAAUAAAAUAACUAGUUAAUAUAGAACUGGUCCCAAUGCUCUCUGAGAGAUCGGAUCUUGGCUAACAAGAAACACGGUGAAUGUUUCGCUUCUUUGAAAAUACGGCAGUUUCUUUCGAGCUAGACAACCCACCACGUGGUGAUAACCGUCACCACCUCCCUCCUUCCUAGCGCACCGCCUUUAAGCCUGCUAUCUUCCCAUAGCUGACUGAUAGACGAACAGUAAGGUAAAUACUGUUUGUUUGGGAGCAAACCCUAUUUGUUUCGUGGGUUUGGACAUUGAGAGAUAGUUUACGAUUCGAAAUGUCUGUCAACAAGUCAAACUUAGACCAACUCUGAUGCUAACCUUCCCAUGUGUGUUCUUUUUACAUAUUUGUGUUUUUCCGACUAUUUUCCCUGCCUUUAAUACUUCAACUAAAUUCGACUAUUAACUUAGUAUUGAUGCAUUAAAUAUAGGAAUUCAGCAGUUGCCUGGUAUCAUAACACCUGCUGCAUCACUUAUAUUUGAUUGCAAUGGCGAGUUGGCUGCUGCUGUUGUAAGUGUUGAGGCAGUUGUAAGUUGCUAUCCUUUUUCUUUGGUACUCUGUUACCUCUUCAUUAUUGCAGAAUCAUAACAUAUCUUAACCUUCAGAAUUGUAUACUCAAUCUCGUUAAGUCUUUAAUGUGGAAACUAAUUCCUUUGGCACAGGAAACUUUUCUGACUCCUGAUUGGAUAAAACAAUUUCAACCUAAUAUAUUUGCCGCACCAGUGGUGAUGGUUGAUGCAAAUCUACCUCCUCAUUCACUUGAAGUUGCUUGUCAAAGUAUGCUGUGCUGCAUUACAUUUCCAACCUUUAUAUAUCUUACAAACAAAGAUGUUUCUUCUGGUUUUUUUUUUUUAACUGAAAAAGAAAAAAUAUAAAUUCCGAUUCAGGAGCAUACAUGCUAAGAUCUUGAUUUUCUCUUUAAUUGUGGAUUUUUAGAAGCUAUACAGAUUCUCAUUAGAGUUUUUUUACUUACUUUAGUAGCUGCGAGGUGUGCUAUCCCCUUAUGGUUUGAGCCCGUCUCUGUGGCCAAGUCGACAAGAAUUGCAUCUAUUGUAAAUCAUGUAAGUGCCACAAAUGAAUUAAAUAUAACGAGCAUUGGUUGUAACUUUUUCUGAAAGAUAUGAUAUUGUCUUUAAUUGUCUCUUAUAUAUAUUCUUUCCUUUGAUUAGACAGGUAACUUUUGCUUCCCCAAAUGAAAUCGAGCUCAUUGCCAUGGCAAAUGCUCUGUCACCGAAGAAGGGAUUUAAUUUUGUUCCCGCCGAAGCCACGAAAGGCAUAGGCCAACCUGUCGACUAUUUAUUCGAACAGCUAAAACCAUCAAUUCAGUUUCUGCUCCAGAAGGGUAUCAAAAUGCUCAUCGUCACGCUCGGCUCAAACGGUGUAUUCUUUUGCUGUGGAGAACUAAGCUUUACGAAGAGCAAUUUAAAUCUCAGUACAAGUAGUUUCAAUGGAAUAUACGAACUUAUGAAAGAAACUUGCCUACCAAAGCAAUGUGUUAGCUAUGUUGAGUCUGCGCAAAGAUCUAUCAAGUCUUUUGCUUUCCAUUUUCCGGCGCUUCCAGCGUCAGUAGUGAGCCUUACAGGGGCAGGUGACUGUUUAGUUGGCGGAAUCCUUGCCUCCAUUUGUAGUGGCCUGAAUGUGAUGCAAAGUGUGGCAGUUGGAAUAGCAGUCGCUAAAGCUGCAGUAGAGGCUGAAACCAAUGUUCCAGCAGAAUUUUCCUUAUCAAAUGUCGCAGGUACAAAAAUAAAAGCUCCUUUGACUAGAAAAUUGGAUCAGCCCUUUUGCUCAUAAGCUUUUUGUCUGUCGUGUGUCCUGUUUUCAUCCAUGUUAUAUUUUUUUUUUUCUGUCCACUUUGGUCAUUUUUUUCAGCAUCAGAAGACAUUGUCGCUCUUUUUUUUGCAGAUGAGGCAAAGAAAAUAAUCUCAGCUGUGAAACCACUUCUUCUCGAAUGAAGAAAUCAUGACAGUUAUGCUAGUAAGUCGCUUACACAUAAUUAUCCGUCUACGCUUCAUAUCAUGUGGAUUUUAAAUUGUUUACCCCCUUUUUCCGCUAUUGACUUCUUUGCGAUCAUCAGUGUGCAUCAUUUCUGUCGAUACAAGAUGGAGCGAAUAAUUUUAGGACUCCCGGUAGGUAUCUCUGUGGAUUGUGGAAGGGCUGAAUGGAGAUAUUCGUGACAUUAUUGCCGACGAUGUAAAUCUUGGUGCUGGAUCCGGUUCACUGCCAGUACUAUGUUUUCCAAUGUGUCCAUGUGGAUUCUGGCAAAGUACUUUUUAGAUUAGAGUGUACCUUUAUCUUUUUUCACCAUAACUUAAAACGAAAUUGCUGAAAUAGUAGUUAUGGCUAAUGCUUGCUAGAGAGUUUUAUUCCAACUGUUUGUGCUUUGUAUUGUUUUAGUCUACUCUAAUUCGACUUUGAACAAAUUAAAGCUGAUCUUUGUCCUACAAACCUUUGUGACUUGGUGAAGAUUCAUAUCUCAUGUUACAACAAAGUUAUGAAAACUUUUAUUUAGCAAACACCCCGACAAAUCAACAAGUAUGAGAAAAAGGCACUGAAGAAACAUUUCAAAAUGACAGAUUGAUCUAUUGCUUCAUUGCAGAAACUGCAGAUUAUUGCCAUAACUGCACCGGUUUCUCUCUUUUACUCGCCUAGUUCGAAAGCCGACACGUGGAAGCUAUCGGAGAGCCCGGUGCCGGUCUUAAAAGUGAUUUUGCCGAUGACAGGGUCUUCGAUGUACACUUCGACGACGGUGAGCCACAGCAGAAGCUCCCUCGUCUUCACCCCGGUGAUCUUCUUCAGCCUGCCCUUCUCGACGAAGGCCGUCACCUCGGGGCCGUACGACACGACCUGCUUUAUCUUCUUGAAUGUGUGGUCCUUUUUCUUCUUCUGCAAGAACCACACGAAACCGGCCGCCCGGUUGUAGCCGAACUCCUCGACGUCUUCCAAAGGGAAGAGCCCCUUCGGAAGGUCGAGCUCUUCAAGCAUUUGGACGGAGCUUGUUUUGAACGAGGCAUCACCGUGGGAGAUCUCGGCGCCCUCUCGGUAGGCUUCGAUGGUUUGGGAUGCCAUUUUUUCUGUGUUUCUCAGACAACUCUGGAGCAGUGAGAAUGGAGGUCUUGUGAUAUGAGAAACUGUAAUCCAAGGGACUAUUUAUAGGUGAUUUAGGAAUUUCAUAUUAGUCAAGAGUAUGAAGCAAAGGAUUUUUCUUUUUUUGACUAAAAUGAUUUUAAUGGUGGAUUUUGCUAAGGCUAUGUCAAACGUUGCUGCUCUUCGUUGACCAGAAAAUGUAUGUUGGCAUUAAAUUAGUGUUGAACUUGUCAUGUGAAGAGUGCAUUCUAAGUAUGAAAGAUUUGGCGCAACAAAGUUUGACUAGAAUCUGUCGUACAAUUAAUGGAGGAUAUAGUUGACUAAAUGAUGGUAUUAGUUGGGGAGUGCCAAUCCAAUUUAUUUGGACUCGAAAUCAAAUCUCCCUUCUUGGCUAACGCCUGAGGUCAGCCGUUUAUUACUUGAGGCAGAAUUCCACUCUGACUUCUUCGUGUCUAUAUGAGUCCUGUUUGGUUCGGAAAUUAGUAAAAACUAGUUAUUCCGGGAAUAGGUACAAACAUGAAUUUUUGUAAGAAUAAGAGUAUUUUUUUCUUUGGAUGAAAAUAUGAGUAUAAGCUGAAACUAAAAAAACUGCAUUCGGAUGGCUAUUGGGAAUAAGAGAAAUAAUUGAUAGUUAUAAAUAAAAAAUAAUGAUAAUACCCAUCGUAUUAUAUUUGAAUUUAAAUUUUUAAUUUUUAAUUUUUAAUUUUUAAUUUUUAAUUUUUAAUUUUUAAUUUUAACUUUUAAAAUUUAAAAUUUGAAAUUAAAAUUUAAAAUUUUAAUUUUCAAAAUUUUAAUUUUAAAUUUAAGACCAAAUUUAAAUUUGAAAGAUAUAAUAUAUCAAAUUUAAAAUUUAAAAAUUAAAAAUAUCAAAUUUAAAAUUUAAACUUUAAAAUUUAUAAUUUUAAAUUAUAAAUUUUAAUUUUGAGAUAAUAAAUUUUAAAUUUUAAAAAUUUAAAUUAUAAUUUAAAAUAAAUCUCUCUCUCUCCUCUCUCUCUCUCUCUACCGGGGGUGGGAACAACUUGUUCCCACCCAUUGAUUUCUUUUUUGGUUGGGGGGAUAACCCCUUAUCCCAUUAUCCCUCCUCUUAUACCCAAUCUAAACGCUCACUAGGAAAAUUAAUAAAUUGUUUUAUUAAUAGUUUAUAUAUUUAAGAAAAAAAAUUUCACCAUAUGUAAUUUAAUUUAUAUUGUCCAAAAAAAUUUGUGUGCAUUCAUCAAAACGUCAAAUAUUUAUCAUUAUCAUCUCAUAUUAUAUAUGCAUUAAAAAAAUUAAAUAAUUAAAUAAUUUUUAAUAAGAUAUGUCAUGGAUUUGUAUCAAACUCGUGUCCGACGCAUGCGUCCGUGGUGCGUCCGCUUCGAACACGAGUUCGAUACAAACACAUACGUGUCCAACAUUGGCAUGUAAGAUUUAUAGAAGUGUCCAUAAUACAUAGACUGUCGUACUUUUAGAAGUAUAAAAGCCUUCGUGUUUAAAAGAUAUUUCGAUGACGAAACUUCUAAAUUGACGAUUAGAUUCGUGAAUCUAAUAUAGAGUAUUUAAAAUAUCUAAAAAUAAUUUUAUAAGUUUUUAAAAGUAAUUCUAUGAAAAGAAUAUCGAAAUUUCAUAAAAUUUAUUUUUAGAAUAUUUUAAACACUUUAAAUCAAGUUUAAUGGAACUAAUAGUCGAAAGUUUGACCUCGAAAAUCGAAAAAAAACUUAAAAGCACAAAAUAUCCUCUGAUCUCAAAAAUAACGUCAAACCACGAAAAAUUCUCUACGUUUAAAAGCACCCUAACAGAUUUACCAAUACAAUAUAAGUUUUUGAGAGCAUUUCUGAAAUAUCAAUCUACAAGAAACUUCGGGAAAAAUUUUUAAAAAAGAAAAGAAAAAAAAGAAAAAAAAAAAAAAGCCAUUGCUAGCAAGGUUUAUCCCUUUUUUUUUUUUUUUUUUUUUUUUUUUUUUUUUUUGCGCCCUUUCUCUCUAUUUAUACAUCUAUUUAUAUUCUUACUAUAUUAGAAGGGUUGGGGACCUGGGAUGACACGUGUACCCCAACCCUCCCUACUCUCUCUCCUAUACAUAUAUAUACAUAUAUAUGUAUAUAUAGGUUUUAAAAAUUUAUAGUAUAAAAAUUUUAAAUUUUCGAUAUCAAAAUUUGAAAUUUUGAUACUUUCAAAUUUCAAAGUUUUAAUUUCCAAAUUUUAAUUCCAAAUUUUUAAUUAUAAUUUUUAAAUUUUAAUUUAUAAUAUUUAUUUCUAAAUUUUGAACUUCAAAAUUUAAAUUUAAAAUCCUUAAACUCUAUAAAAUUAAUUAAUUAAUUUGAUUAAUAAUUAAUUGUAUAUAAUAUAAAUAAUUAAUAUUUUUAAUAAUACAAGUAAUAAAUCGAAUAAUAAAAUCCAAUAUGAUCAAUAUAUAAAAAAUACAUAAUUAAAUUUGAUGAGUAAGAUUUUAGAAAUAUAGUACAUGUGCGUGUCUAUAUAUAUAUAUAUAUAUUAUAUAUUAUAUAUAAUAUAUAUAUAUAUAUAUAUAUAUAUAUAUAUAUAUAUAAUAUAUAUAUAUAUAUUAUAUAUAAUGAUUUUAUUAAACAAAUUCUUCUAUUAUUUUAUUUCCCUUCUAUUAAUUAAUUUCUUAACUUAUUAUUUAUCUCAAAUCUUUUUUAAAUAAAUCUUUAUAAAAUAAGUUGCUGUUUUAAUAAUUAUUAUUUAAAUAAAAUUAAAUAUUAAAUUAUUUUUAUAUAAUUUUAUUUAAUUAAUAAUUUAACUUAUAAAAUUAUAUAAAAAUAUAAAAAAACUAAAAUUUAUUAUAAAAAUAUUUUUAUAUCCGCAGCAUCGUGCGGGUAUUUCACUAGUAAAAUAAUAAAAGGUUGGAUUCAUUUAUCAAUUCUUUUUUAUGGUUGUGUGAUCACAUUACUACCCAAACCAAUUUUCCUUUAGUAAAGAGAAAGAUGUCAUCAGUUGUUUAAUUUGGCCUGCCUACUGACCAAAAAGAUCAGUUUUUUCUGCAGUUAAAAAGAUAAAAAUGAAUAAAACUUAUCUGAACUACAGACAAUUUUAAUUCGACCAUCUAAUCAUUUAAAAAGCUUAAUUUUAAUAUUCAACCUUUUAAUUUGUUCAGUUUUAAUUUGGUGGGCAAUCAAGUGGAGUGAAGUUAAAUUUAGCAAUUAAUUUUUCUUUAUUAACUAGUUAAUUCCAUUCUAUUCUAAUAAGAUAAAAGGAUACAAAACUUAUCUAAACUAUAAACAAUUUUAAAUCAAUACCUAGUCUUUUAAAAUUUUAAUUUUGCUAUCCGAUCUCUCAAUUUGUUUGAUUUAAAUUGGUCAACAGCAAAUCGACUUUGAACUUUAAGCUAAUUACUCCAAUGAAAUUAUAGUUGCGAAAAUUAUAUGAAAUAUACGAACUAAACAUAUAAAGAUAAACAUAAUUUCAAAAUUUAAAAUCAAAGUGUUAUAUAUCCCGAACUCAUAUCUGUAUUUUUACCUAAACCAAAUGAAGUCGAACACCUACAUAUAAAUUUAUAUAUAUCUAUAAAAUUAUAUGAAAUAGUCAUUGUUGGGCCAAUAACGCGCUGCCACGUGGUAUGCUGGUGCACCAUUCAACUCCAAUCUUUAAGAGCAAUGAUUAAAAAAAAAUUUAGUGUACACCGAAAGCAUCGACAAUAAUACUAAGUAACCACCGGGUGUAAUUGAAAAAAGUUACAGUAACUGCAAGUGGUUACGAGCGAUUCUGAUCGGCUUAAGGUGGCCCGAAAAAAUAGGAGUAGUGGCCAAUUAUGGAUGGGGCAAUAACAGAUUAAUAAGGGCGACCUAUAAAUAAGCAAAUAACGCCGAGAAGAGGGAUCUUUUUUACGAGAAUAGAAGACCACCUUUACUUCCUCUGCAUUUUCCUUAUAUUUUCUAGUAGUCUACUUGUUGCAUUUACUAGUAGUCUAUUUAUAAUCCUUUACUUUCCCACAUCUACUAUUUUUCCUAGGAGUAAUUGUAGUUUAGAUCAACCGAGUCUAUAUGCCCUCAGGUACACUCAUCCCUUGUACUAGUUUCUCAUGUUAAUUCCAAUAUAUAAAGGCAUUCGGCUCUUCAGCCGACCCAAAGCAUAGUGCAUUCCGUACAUUCGGCUCAUAUAGCCGAAUCGAAUCUAUAGUAAAAGGUUCUGAACUCGGCUGAUCCGAUCCCUUAUCAGCCGAAUCCCUUGAUCCAAUCGAAGGCGCAAACUUCAAGGGUCACAUUUCGACAUAAUCAAUUCACAUUCUCUGUACGGCUUUUUCUCUCAGCCGUUCUUUUCUUUUCUGCGGCCACGAUCUCGGUAUUUUCUUUUGUGUUACAUGUGGCAUUUAUUAGGUCAUAUUAAUUGCCGUCGUCUCUUGAUCAUUAUAGCCGUCCUCGGAAAUCGAUUCGACGUGACGGCUUUUCUUCUUUCGUCUUCACCAAGUUUCUUUUCUUUGCUUUUUCUCGUCUUCUCCGCUCUGAGUCUUAGUCUUCUCUACUUCUUCAUCUUCUUCACUACCUUUCCUUUUUUGAUCUUUAUUUUUUUUUUCAUAUUAACAAUGGCAUCGCUUCCAUCUCUUCCUUCUUCUCUGUUAUUAGAUUACACCAUACUUAGGCAGUUUAUUCCAUCGGACUCUUCUUGGUUCAUCUUAAAUUCCUCUUUUACUGACGAACUAAACCCUGAUGAUUUCCCAUACUCGAGUGUUGGCCUUCCGCUAAUGGCUAAAUCCAUUCAUCUUCAUUCUUGGUAUCCAUCAGCUUCAAUAGAGAGAAGUCUCUGAACCUGGCCAAACGUUUUAGAUGCAAACCUUAUUUGGUUAGACCGGGUAGAGGCUACCUAUGUUGAUUUUUGGCGGAAAGUUAGUAUUUAUGAGGCAAUACAAUUAUCUCGGAAGCCUCAUAUAGCCGAUAACCUCCUCUUGGCUGCGGCUCUCUGUUUUUGGUUCCUUGUUUCUAAUAUUUUUCUUUUCAAAGGAGGACCCCUCACUCCUCUUCUUGAUGUCGCCGCCAUCAUUGGUUUACGCCCUCAUGGAGUUACUCUUUCAGUGACUUACAAUCCUGAUGGCGCAUCUGAUUUUGAAGCCCAUCUCGAUCUCAACGAUCUUGCUUAUACCAAAUUUCUCCGCAAGUUUGCAGAUGAGUCUCCUACUAUGAUCACUAGGAAGGAGCAUACAACAUUCCUCAUGUAUUGGUUAUGCCACAAUCUUUUUUGUACUCGUUGGCAGAAAAUCAAUCGGGAUUUUGUCCCGAUCGCCGUCGGUUUAACUAACGGCGAAAGAUUAGCUUUAGAAAUAUAUUUCCUUACUUUUAUUUACAAGAAAAUUUUUGAUUCCAUUAGACCGCUACUGUAAGGACUGAGAUUUUUGACUGUGCAACUAAACUCUCUGUUGACGAUGUUUAUGUGUGUAAUUUAAUUACAUAAGCACUCGUCAAGUUUCAGGAGAAAAUGAGCUUAAACGGAGAAGUUACGCGAUUAUUAGUUUUCACUUAAGUGAAUAGUAACUCCGGUUUUCCGAAGAGGCCACGGAGUAGAGUUGGCUUCUGGUGCGUAUCGGACUCCGUUCAUAGCAGUCCAAUAGCUCAUUUCGAAGGAUUCAGCUAUUCUGGAACUACUGGCGCUGACGGAUUUUGAGUUUGAUGCACGGAUUUUGAGAAAAUCUAAAAAUACGCGUUUUAUAUGUAAUUGUGCGUCAUUUUGGCCUUAUGGAGAGAGAUUGGAUUUCGUCGCGAAUCCGUGACCGUUCGAGGUGAACCAAAAUGGUAGCUUUGUUGUCUCCGAAGUGCUGAUCGCACUGGUACAAUCCGUUCGCAAAUCUGACGGACGGAUCUACGGAGAUCGCACGUUGAUCGAGGAGAGGUCGGUGAUGGCAAAACGGUAAUUUCGCAAAAGUUGCGACAUUUUAUGUACCGAAUCGCGUGAGAUCGGACGUGGAGGUUUGUACGCGCAAGUUGCAUGCCCUGGCAGGGGCUGAACCUUAAAUAUUUUGUGUUGGAGGGGUUUUCUGCAAAAGUCCACUUGUAUAUAUUUUGGUAGUUAGGGUUUUUGGGCACGAAACCCUAGAUCGAGUCACCUUCCUCCCCCAGCAAACCCUAGAUGACUUCAACCCAUCCCUGCCCUCGUCGUGCUCGCACCCCUGCCGCCGGCGAGCAACCCCGGCCACCGGAAAAGCUCCACCUCCCUUUCCUCCAUCAUCUCCAUCACCACCUUCUCCACCCACCGCGGCCUCUUGACUUCGGGAAGCCACCCCUGGUUUGAGCCUAUGGUUGGCCGAGGCUUCCCCUCCGGUGCCGUCACCGGCCGUCCCCGCCGCCUGCGCACGCCGCCGGAGCCGUCCGAGCAAGCCACGGCCAACUCGGGUCAACCCAGACCGAGCGGACUUGAGCUCAGGGCCCGCUAGGUAAAGCAGCCCUAGAUCGGCCGCGCCGCUUUCCCUCAACCCCCGGCGACCCUCCGCCGCCGUCGCCGCCGUCCCCGCGCGCCGUCGGCCACCGCCGGAUCUCUCUGCGGCCAUCUGGAGCGCGUGCGGGCCAAACUUGGACCCGCACUGCCUCCGUGCGCCGCCGCCGCCCUAGGCCGUGCGCGCCGCCUUCCCCUUGACCUCCGGCGCCGUCGCCGCCGUUCCCCGCCGUCCAUAUUGGCUGUGGUGCCGCCUGGACUCGCCGCAGCCGCCCAGACUCGGAGCGGGCCGAGCUUGGGAGAUCUCUGCCUCCGCGCGCCUCCGCCGCUCCCUGCCGGCAGUGCCGCCCUCUGGAAGCCUCCGGUGACCUCCGGCGUGCGUCCCCCGCCGUCCCCGCACGCCGCCGGCCGCCGCUGGGUACUCCCGCAGCCGCCCAGACCUGUGCGGGUCGACCUUGGAGCCGCGCCGCCCCCGAGCGCCGCAGUCGCCCACCGAGGGGUACCUCGCCUUCCCCUCGGUCUCCGGCACUGAACCGUCGUCGUCCCGAGCUCCCCCGGCCGCCGCCUCGCCGCCGGCAACCUUGAACCCGAGAGGGACUGGGCGGGCUUGAUCUCCGCCGCCGCGCCACCGGCUGCCGCCCGCCGCCGGCCAGCACCCUCCCCGGACCUCUCGGACCGACUGCUCCCGUCCCCGACCGGAGCGCCCGCCGUCCGAUCGCCGGCGGCCAAUCCUUGCUCCCACAUCUCCGGUAUGCUUUUAGUUUGCUUUCCCGCACUGUGUUUGCACUUUUCGGUCACCUUUCCGGUGAUCCGACGACUCCCCGACACCCCAGGAGGUGAGCACGGUGAUCGUGGGUUCGUGCUGAAUAUGAUGCUCACCUCUGUGAGGGUUAGGGAUGCCCCGGUUAGUGGGUUUAGGUAGAUUUUCAUGCUGUGCGCGCUUGUUCGCUGAUCGUCGUGCCGCUCGUGCGCGCGCUGUUGGGGCCGGCAGUGCUCCGAAGGGUGAGCACGGCCUCAGGCAUGCUGAAAUCUAGCAGCAGGUGUGAUGUCACCCUUCGUUGAUCCCUGGUUUGCUUGUACGACUCGUCGGAGCCAUGAAAUCACAUAAAAUGAUGUGAUUUCAUGUGUCGUUAGGGACUUGUUUGCAGUUCACUUUGUUGUAGCUGUUGUUGGCGGCAGGUCAGGGCUGGGGACAACCUCUGGACUGAUUGUCCAAGGCCCCAGACCCUUGCGAAGAUCGGAAAAUGCAUUUCCGGUGCGUUUUUCGGCGAAAUCCGCCUACGGAACGCGGGUUCGGUUCGGAAUUAUUCCGACGAUGCUUCGUGAGCUUUUGUGUAGUCGCUGAGCCUUAUUGGCUGGUCACUCGCGUCAUUUCAAGAGUUCAGAAAUGACGGAUGAGCGACGGUGGGUUCCGGUGUCGAAAUAGACACUUCCGGAAAUCCGGAUCCCAACAAUUAUCCACCAAUAGUUGUUUGGUUGUGUAUCCUUGUGUUUGCUGCCAUGUCACACUAAAAUAAGUGUUUAGUGGCAGCAGGUGACUCGUAGCUCGAGUCGGUAUGUUCCGGGACAGUUCGUGGCUCCCGGCGGAGUCCCCGUGCGAUUAUGGGACUUCCGGCGUAUUACGGCGAUCGGUUUGGAAAACCGAUCUCCAUGGGUUUGCUUGUAGGUUGUGGAUCUAGUGAUUAUUAGCUGUGGGUUAGACACUAACCCGGUGGACCUUCCUUAGGUCCGGUUGACGUCCUUUUGCAGUCAGGAGACAGGCGCAGCAUUUGUACAGGUGGGUACUUCGAUCCGACGUCGGUACAGUGGUGCACGCUCGGUGAUGGUUUCCUACCUCUGUUCUCUCGUUAUUAUCUGGCAUUUAUAUAUAUAUCUUGAUAUAUAGUGUUGAGCUUGCAUCCCCGUUGUUUUUAUUAUACUCUACUCAUAUGUUUCUAUGCUUAGUAUCAUGUGUAGAAGUAGAGUAGUUUAUCCAUUGUGAUCCCGGUGACCUGAUUGGUCGGUUCUCGUACUUUGUUCGGUGACCUGAUUGGUCGGUUCUCGUACUUCGUUUCGGUGACCUGGUUGGUCGGUUGUUGCAUUAUGUAUUGGGUUGGUCUGUUUCUUGACUUCUGUCGUUCGAUGACCUUUGAGGUCGGUGUACCCUGAGGGGUAGGAUUGUCGGCUGGUGCUGACGGUAGUUCUGGACUAUAUCGAAUACACUCCUGUGACCUAUCGGUCGGUUCUUGCGUUCGUACUUUUAGUUGACAUCGAGCAGUAUCUACAUACUAUCUUUAUUUACUCUGCCUGGUUGUUCUAUGUGUAGUAUCCUGUAUAGGGGUAGAGUAGAUGGCAUUCGUAUAUACUAUACUUGUGACCUGGUUGGUCGGUUCUCCUAUUUGCAUCGGUGACCUGUUUGGUCGUUCGUUACUUUCCGUACAUUGACCUAUCUCGGUCGGUUCACGUUGUUACUUGAUGACCUACACGGUCGGUAUGCCCAGAGGGGCAGUGAUUGUCGGCUGAUUGCCGACGGUUGGCUAUUGAUCAUAUCCGCAUUGAUCGCCACAGCUCGAGUGCAUUUCACGUACACCAGCGGGUUGAUCCCCCGCAGGAGGGUGUUCUUUUCCGGAAAAGUGGUCGUACAUCCGACCCGUGAGCCCAGCGGUGUUCUCUUUGUGCUAGGGUUACAUGCCAGGUGUGAGCAGAUAGUGGCUUUUGCCUGAGGUCCUUAGACCGACACGGCGGUUUAGAUUGGGUACUUUUGGACUUCUCGUCCGGUUGACGCAUAUAGCUAUAGUAGCGGUUGUUGCAUAUAUACUUCUAGUUCUUUCUUUACAGUUGUCUUGCUACUAUAGUUUUGAUAUCCUUGUAUGCUUGCAGUUGUACAUUACAGUAGCGGUAGUUGUGUUUUCAUAUAUAUAUAUCUCGUUCGUUCAUUAUCGUUGCUACUGUAUUUUACUUACCCAUACUGUUGGUUAUCUCUUCCUGAUCCGGUGAGUACUCCUCGCCUUCUUCGGCUUGCGGUACCCACUGGGAGGGGAGACAUGUUUACAUGUUCUCACCUCCCCCACCAUUUUUCAGGUAUCGCGGGCGAUGAGUAGUGGGACGAGACGUGAGGUACGUGUGUAGCGGUCGAUAGAGCUUCCGACCCAGGUUAUUUCGAUUUAGUUAUUAUCCUUGAUACUUCUGUUGAUAUAUAGUUUAGUUGGUUUAUGUGGUUCAGUAAUUAAUUACUUUUGAAAAUGCGGAUUUCUGGAUUUUGUAAAAUAAAAGAUUUUCUACCCCUCGUGGUAGCGUUUUUAAAAGAGUAAAGGUUUCUGUGUAGGAAACAGCUUUCAAAAGAUUUUUGUGGAUUUCUGUUUAAACCUUGAAUGUAAAACUGUGAUGUGAAUGGUGAAUGCAUGAAUGUAUAGUUAUCUUUAUAUUCAUCUGGUUGUGGUUGUAUCCUGGUUGUACUGUGUAUUUGAUCGACGCCGUGCAAAUACAGGGGAGACUCUGUCCGUGUGAACAGUGGAUUCCCUGUAUUUGUGGCGGAUCUGGCAUACUCUGGGGUCAGAUUUUCAAAAAAAAAUUUUCAGACGCUUUUCCGCUUUAUUUUAAACUGAAAAGGGACCCCGGGGCGUGACAGCUACCUUCUGGAGAGGGUUUAACAAUCAGCUCUGGUGGUGGUGUUUUUUGAUUUUUUGUAAAUAUUUUUGCAAAUUUAUUUUCCUAAUUUGUACCGAGAUCCUUUGAAUCUGGACUCGGCUCCUCACUUUGACACUUACGGGUUAGCUCUCGGCUGUUCCCAACCGUUAACGUCAGGUCACCAUUUUGAUUUUGCCUUUUACUUCACAAUUUUCUAUGAAUUAGGUCCUCAUUUUCUCAUUUCAUGGUCUCCGUUUGCCGAGCGUGUCACUGGCCCACCUUGGCUUCUUGCUUGGUAUGAGGUCAUUCAAGGCGAACUGGCUUCUUUUCGUGCUAGUGAAUAUUCAUACGUUUGGUUUUCUUUCUUGGCUACAAGGGAUCUGCAUAUUGGAUUGAAAUCAUGCUCGAAACUGCUGCCUCGCACCGAAGUUUAUUUUUUCCAAUACGAAGCGCGUCAAUUUAGAUUUGUGCAAGCAAUUCCUGGCCCAGUCAAAUUCUUCAAAGCUAAUACUGCUAUCAACCGGCCCCCUACUAAAAGUACAGCCGAAACUGAUUGGAUUUCAAUUAUGAAAAAUCGUCUUCGGCGGUUCUUCAAGUUGGUGAGCUUUAGGUCAAAUCACACAGGAGUGAUGGGCUUUCGCUUUGCCGUUACUUGGGACUACUUUGCCGAUCGUGUCUUCGGUUUAGUCACACAACAAGCGAUUCGCAAGACCAUCCAUCCACUUAGUACGUCCCUUGCUUACUAUUACAAUUACUCUUUUUUUAGAACGAUUUUUACUUAUUUUAUCCUCCAUCCAUAGCAGUACCCUUUCCGAACAGAGAUUUUUCGCUUGAUGCUACUGCUCAAUCUGAACCAGGAGACGGAUCGGAAGAGACUUCCAAUCAUAACUCUGAUGACCCACCUUCUUCUUCUGCGGUAAGUUUACUCUUGUUGUUUGGCUUUUUUUUUUUCUUACAUGAUCUUAUUGCUUACUUUUGUAUAUCUAAUGUAUGUACAGCCAAUUCCAACCUCUUCAUCGGUCCCAGCUUCAGAAAAAUGACCGAUAGAGCCUAAACAAUCUACCCCUCCGCCGCCUCCGAAGCGGCGUAAGUCGGUUGCCAAGAAGUCAUCCUCUAAGAGAGCCGAAAAUACACCUUCGGCUGAUGUUUCAGAAAAGAUAUCUGUUCCCGAUCAACCGAUCUCAAUUAUCAGGAGCCAAAUUCCCUAAGUAACGGCAUAGUAAAAGCCCAUCACUUCUGUGUGAAUUGGCCUAAAACUCACCAACUUAAAGAACCGCCAAAGACGAUUCCCCAUAGCUGAAAUUCGAUCAGUUUCGGUUGUACUUUUAGUAGGGGGCCAGUUGACGGCAGUAUUGGCUGUGAAGAACUUGGCUGGGGCAGGAAUUGCUUGCACAAAUCCAAAUUGAUGCGCUGCGUAUUGGGGAGAAUAAAUCUCGGUGCUAGGCAGCAGUUUCAAGCGUGAUUUCAAUCCAAUAUGCAGAUCCCUUGUAGCCAAGAAAAAAAUCAAACGUCCGAAUAUUCACUGGCACGAGAAGAAGCCAGUUCGCCUUGAAUGGCCUCAUACCGAGCAAAAAAUCAAGGUGGGUCAGUGACACGCUCGGCAAACGGAGACCAUGAAAUGAGAAAAUGAGAAUGCGAUUCAUAAAAAAUUGUGAAGUAAAAGGCAAAAUCAAACGAUGACCUGACAUUAACGGCUGAGGACAACCGAGAGCUAACCCGUAAGUGUCAAAUUGAGGAGUCGAGUCUAGAUUUAAAGGAUCUCGGCACAAAUUAGAAAAAUAAAUUUGCAAAAAUUAGAAAACACCACCACCAGAGCCGAUUAUUAAACCCUCUCUAGGACGUAGUGGUCUAAUAGAAUCAAAAAUUUUUCUAUAAACAAAAGUAAGGAAAUAGGUUCCUAAAGCUAAUCUUUCACCGUUAGUUAAAUCUACGGCGAUCGGGACAAAAUCCCGAUUGAUUUUCUGCGAACGAGUGCAAAAAAGAUUGUAGCAUACCCAAUACAGAAGGAAUAUUGUAUGCUCUUUCCGAGCGACCGCAGCAAGAGACUGACCUGCAAACUUGUAGAGAAAUUUGGUAUAAGCCAGAUCGUUCAAGUCGAGAUGGGCUUCAAAAUCAGAUGCGCUAUCAGGAUUGUAAGCCACUAAAAGAGUAACUCUAUGAGGGCGUAAACCAAUGAUGACAGCGACAUCAAGAAGAGUAGGAGUAAGAGGUCCUUCUUUGAAAAGAAAAGUGUUAAAAACAGGGGACCAAAAACAGAGAACUGCAGCCAAGAAAAGGUUAUCCGCUAUAGGAGGCUCCGAGAUAUAUUGCCUUAUAAAUACUAACUUUUCACCAAAAAUCAGUAUAAGUAGGCUCUACCCGGUCUAACCAAGCAAGGUAUGCAUCUGAAACGCUUGGCUAGGUUCGAAGACUUCUCCCUGUUGAAGCUGAUGGAUACCAGGAAUGAAGAUGAAUGGAUUUGGCUAUCAGCGGAAAGCAAUCACUCGAGUAUGAAAAAUCAUCGGGGUUCAGUUCGUCAGUAAAAGAGGAAAACCUAAGAUGAACCGAGAAGGGUCCGAUAGAACAAACUGCCUAAAUAUGAUAUAAUCUAAUGACGGAGAAGAAGAAAGAGGCGGAAGCGGUGCCAUUGUUAAUACGAACAAAAAUAAAAAUCGAAAAGGGGAAGGGAGUGAAGAAGACGAAGAAGUAGAGAAGACUAAGACUCAGAGCGGAGAGAAGAAAAGCAGAGAAGACGAGGAAAAGCAAAGAAAAGAAACUUGGUGACGAAGAAAAAAAAAAAGCCGUCGCGUCAAAUCGAUUUCUGAGGACGGCCAUAAUUGUGAAAAAACAGCGGCAAUUAAUAUGAACUAAUUAAUGUCGCAUGCAAGACAAAAGAAAAUACCGAGAUCGUGGCCAUAGAAAAGAAAAGAACGGAUAAGAGGAAAAAUCGUACAGAAAAUACGAAUUGACUAUGUCGAAAUGCGCGCCUCUGAUUAUUGCAGCUACCGAAUCAAAUAUUCGGAAGCUACCGAGGGGGCAAUUGUUGGACGAAUGACACGCGGCCACGUAAUAUGCCGGUGCACCAUUCAACCCCAAUCUUUAAGAGUAAAAAUUAAAAAAGAUUUUGGUGUACACCGGGAGCAUCGACAAUAAUACUAAUUAAGUAACCGUCAGGUGUAAUAUGACCGAUUUCUUCUGUAUUACUUUUUUUUAUAUUAAAAAUUCAAAAGACAUUGCAAAUCAUGUAAAUUAUUAUAGACUCAUUUUGCAGGGCUUAGUUAAUAAUUUUUUAUUUACUUGGUUAGUAAUAGCUUCUAAUCUAAGGCCAGGCUACUAUACUAUUAUGAGUAUUGGAACCCUCGUACUCAUAAUUUGUUUACGAGGGUGGAGCUUCCGAAUCGACGAUCCACUCCGUAAAAUAAGAUUUAGAAUAUUUAAAACUUCUAGAAAAUAAAUUUCGUAAAUUUUCAAAAUCAUAAUAAAGUCCAUCAAGUGGGCAUAAAAUGAACGGUCAAAAUCGAACGACGUCCUAAAAAAGGAUGAUCGGAUCCUUCAAUUCAAGAUCGGAAUUAUUGAUCUUUAUAUAUGUAGUGAAUAGAAUUUUCUAUCAAAAAUUCAACAAAUUUUAAUUCUUUUACACCGUUAAACUAGCAAGUAUUCCAUACCGGCCGUUAAAAAUUGUCAAAUUUGUGACCUCUUGAUCGUAAGGUAAAUGAUGUCGAAAAAUUAUAAAAUUUGAUUUCUAGAAAUUUUAAAUACUGUAAAUAACGUUUAACGGUGUGGAUCGUCAAUUCGGAAGCUCUAUCAUCGAAAAUAACUUAUGAGUACGAGGGCGAUCGUACUCAUAAUAGUAUAAUAGCUGGACCCCUAAUCUAAUCCAUAUUUAAACAAACAUAAAGUUGUACAUUUUAUACCCAUUACAUCUAAUAGCAAUCAUUGAUCAUAAAUGUGAGUACUUAUGAAAUCAAUUAUAGUUAUUGUCACGUUCUAUUUCUCUUCUUUUCUUUAUUUUUUUGUUUUAAUCAUCCUCUUACGCCGGCAUUAGCCGUUCAAUAUUAUUUGGUGGGCAAUCAAGUGGAGUGAAGUUAAUUUAGCAAUUAAUUUUUCUUUAUUAACUAGUUAAUUCCAUUCUAUUUUAAUAAGAUAAAAGGAUACAAAACUUAUCUAAAUUAUAAACUAUUUUAAAUCAAUACCUAGUCUUUUAAAAUUUUAAUUUUGCUAUCCGAUCUCUCAAUUUGUUUGAUUUAAGUUGGUCAACAGCAAAUUAACUUUGAAAUUUAAGCUGAUUACUUUAAUAAAUUUAUAGUUGUGAAAAUUAUAUAAAAUAUACGAACUAAACAUAUAAAGAUAAACAUUCAAAUUUUAAAAUCAAAGUGUUAUAUAUUCCAGACUCAUAUCUGUACUUACACCUAAACCAAAUGAAGUCGAACACCUAUAUAUAUAUAUAUAUAUAUAUAUAUAUAUCUAUAAAAUUAUAUGAAAUAGUCAUUGUUGGGCCAAUAACGCGCGGCCACGUGGUAUGCUGAUGCACCAUUCAACCCCAAUCUUUACGAGCAAAGAUUAAAAAAGAUUUUGGUGUACACCGGGAGUAUCGACAAUAAUACUAAGUAACCGUCAGGUGUAAUUGAAAGAAGUUACAGCAACUGCAAAUGGUUACGAGCGGUUAUGAUCGGCUUAAGGUGGCCCGAAAAAAUAAGAAUAGUGGCCGAUCAUGAAUGGGACAAUAACGGAUUAAUAGGGGCGACCUAUAAAUAAACAAAUAACGUCCAAAAGAGGAGUCUUUUUCUUGAGAAUAGAAGAUCACCUUUACUUCCUCUGCAUUUUCCUUACAUUUUCUAAGAGUGGUCUACUUAUAAUUUUUACUUUCCCGCAUCUACUAUUUUUCCUAGGAGUAGUUGCAGUUUAGAUCAACCGAAUCUAUAUGCCCUCAGGCACACUCAUCCCUUGUACUAGUUUCUCAGGUUAAUUUCAAUAUAUAAAGGCAUUCAGCUCUUCAAUCAACCCAAAAUACAGUGCAUUCCGUAUAUUCGGCUCAUCUAGCCGAACCGAAUUUAUAGUAAAAGAUUCUAAACUCGGCUGAUCUGAUCCCUCAUCAGCCGAAUCAUUUGAUCCAAUCGAAGGGCACAAACUUUGAGGGUCACUAAUCAUAGCCGUUCCGUUUCCCUACACUCUUUCAAAAGGAGAUCUUUGACCGGGUCAAAGACUAGAAAAUUCAGCUUUUAACAAUUUUUGGCACGCCCGAUGAGACAGUUUAGGUAAGUUUAAGAAAAAAAAUAGUGUAACAAAGAAAGAAAUAGUGCAACAAGAGUUGAAACAGUGCAAUAAGAGGAGAAACAGUAUAAAUAUCUCUUAAAGGUAUGAAUUUUACAUCUCAAUAGGUGCAAGAAGAAAAAAAUAGUGUAAAUAUCUCUCAAAUAGUGCACUGUUUCAACUCUUGUUGUAAUUUUUAUUUUAAAGCUGCAGUUUACAUCUUAAGUAGUGCAACUUAUAUCCAUAAUAAUGCAACGCUCUUUUAAAACAAUGCAAUUUUAUUUUAACGGUGCAAUUUCAUCUUAAUCUUUUUUUAUAAUUUUUUAUCUUUAUUUUUUUCUUACUUAUUCUAUAAUUUUUUUUCUCACCCCUCUCUACCUACGGACAUGGUGCAGGCGACGACGCGGCUAAGGACCCCCCAGCUCCGAGGCUGCAGCUCCACAGCAACCUUUACGAUAUCGGCGUCGGCGAAGAUGCGUCAUCAUCAGAGACGGCAGAGGAGAAAGAAAAUGGAGAGGACGAGAAGGGCGGCGUCGGCGAAGAUGCGUCGUAGUCGGAGACGGUGGAGGAGUCGGAGAGGAAAAAAAAAAAAAGACUCGCGGCGCGACCUCGGCGGGGUCGAAGGCGAGGAAGGUUGGGGGCCUAGUUAGUUAAUUAGCGAUUAAUAUGCGAAUUAUAUGCGAAUUUUUGAAGAUACGAAUUAAACGCCUCUUUCCGUAUUUAUUCGAAAAGUUUGAAAAAAAACGUGAUUUCUUCGACAAAAAUAAUUGUUCGCGAAUUAUUCGCGAUUCACGAAUGAUUCGACUAAAAAAACGGCGCUCGCGGUCACGGAUUCGCAACCGAGGGUCGCGGAUUUGCGGCCGAGGGUCGCGUCGUCAUCGCUCUCGUCGCCGAACUCGUCCGGGUCGUCCUCCUCCUCCGCUGCCGUAGCCGGCACCGGGAGCAAGAGUCGCCGCGGCGGCGGAUGCCUUCUCGCGCUGUCCGCGGAAAAAUGUGGAAGAGAAACAGUAAAAAAAAUCGGGGCUUUUGAGCAGACUUUUGUGCGCGGUCCACGAGGCCACUUUGUGGCCUCGUGGACCGCAUGAGAGGGAGGUCCACGGUGGACCUUCCCUCUUAUUACUCCUCUUAUUAGUCAAUAUAUAUAUAUUAUAUAUAUUAUAUAUAUAUAUAUAUAUAUAUACUAUAUAUAUAUAUAUAUAUAUAUAUAUUCAUUUAUUGUAUAUAAUAUAUAUAUAUAAUUUUUAUAUAUUAUUAAUAUAUAUUUAUUAUAAUUUUGAAUAUAUUUAAUCUAUAUAUAUAAAUUAUAAGGCCAAUUUGCAUAAAAAAUCCACUUAUUUUGGGCUUUUGCAAAACCGGGCCACCUUUUUCGUUUUUGCAGAUUCGGUCCGCUUUUUUCGUCGCCUGACCAAAAUGCCCCUCCUAUACAAUAGCCUCCCGCACGUAUUUCUUGACAUACGUAUACUACCCUACUAUCUUGCCGUACGGUCUGGCGCGCAUUAAAUAACCCGCUUAUUUCUCGGAACCCGGACCACAUCCGCCCCCGCUAUUCGCCGGCCCCGCUGUUUCCUGUUCGGCUUAAAACUUUACGAAAUUUUCGAACGCUAUUGACAAAUAGCGCGCGCCCCGCAACAGGGAUAAUAGUGUAACGCGAAGAGCUACGAAAUGAGAAAUGGUGCAAACGACCUCUAUAACAGUGCAUCCUACCCUCGUUCCAGUGCAACCAAACCAUAAUCAAUCAAAAUUUUACUUUCUCCAUUUCUUAAUAUAAUCUGAACUUAAAAGUGCAAAUGAACGGCGUCCCCUCCAAAUGCAGGCGAGGAAGUUCUGCGGCGGGGCUGGAUGGUCGGCGAUGUGCGACAAAAGAGUCGGCAGGCGAGGAAGAUCUGCGGCGGGGCUGGACGCUCAACGGCGGGGUUCGGAGUCCGAGAGGCGCGACAUAACGGCUAAACGAUUGUGUAAAGUUUUCCUAUAAAAGAUCACGCGUCCUUUUAACUGUUAAAUAAGUUCACAGUUAAGCGCGAAUAAUAGUGCAAGGCAGUGUUAAUUACAGAAUAAUAUUUUUCAAAAGAGUGCAAAGAAGCUUGUAAGAGUGCAAUACGGGAAAAUAACAGUGUAAUGGAUUUUAUCUACGAGUACAACGAAACAUGUAAGAGUGCAAUACGGUUAUAAUACCAGUGCAAUUUUUCGGAACAGACUCGUACUAAGCUUUUAAGAGUGCAAUACGGUAGUAUUCCUCAGCGUAUUCCUCAACCGAUGUAUACCAUGCCGUACUGUCUGGCGCUCAUUAAAUGCGCCGCGUCCGCUGUACGCAACCCAACCUCCCUCGAUCAUUACUCGGAACUCGGACCACAUCCGCCCCCGCUAUUCGCCGGCCCCGCUGUUUCCUGUUCGCAAGCUAUUGACAAAUAGUGCGCGCCCCGAUAAUAGUGUAACGCGAAGAGCUACGAAAGGAGAAAUGGUGCAACAGACGUCUAUAACAGUGCAUCCGUAGCUUCGUUCCAGUGCAACCAAACAAUGACAGUCAAAAUUGACUUAUUUUAUUUCAUAAUGUAAUCUUAAGCUAAUAGUGCAAAUGAAAGGACAUGGGGGCCGUCGAUAAUAUACGGGAGGAGUGGGAGGAGGCUCUACGACCUAUUUUAAAGUGAUGUUACAGUAAUACGGCUCUUGAGGUGAGCAUUAGCCACUUUCUGUUCACGACAAAAACUAAUAUUUCGCGAGCAUUAAUAGUCGGUUACCUAAAUGGUUACGCAACGUAGGGUAAAGGAGUACCUCGACUCGAUUCCUCAAAUGCCUGUUCGUUUUCUAUAAAAGCACUCUCCAGGGACUUGGGCAACUGGCGACGAGGAAACGGCGAUAAUGGAGGAUCACGAGACGAGAGGAGAGACCCGCAGGAGACGUCGACGAAGAAGAGGCUCGGUCGUAAGUGUAUCAUCCAGUAAGGAGGCGUGAUUCGCACUAUCUGAAGUGCUGUGCUUUAUUUGCGACGAGGUACCACCCUAUACCAGGUUCUUAAAUUCUUCCAGAUCUUUAUUCUUNCGACAUAACGGCUAAACGAUUGUGUAAAGUUUUCCUAUAAAAGAUCACGCGUCCUUUUAACUGUUAAAUAAGUUCACAGUUAAGCGCGAAUAAUAGUUCAAGGCAGUGUUAAUUACAGAACAAUAUUUUUCAAAAGAGUGCAAAGAAGCUUGUAAGAGUGCAAUACGGGGAAAUAACAGUGUAAUGGAUUUUAUCUACGAGUGCAACGAAACAUGUAAGAGUGCAAUACGGUAGUAAUACCAGUGCAAUUUUUUGGAACGGACUCGUACUAAGCUUUUAAGAGUGCAAUACGGUAGUAUUCCUCAGCGUAUUCCUCAACGGAUGUAUACCAUGCCGUACUGUCUGGUGCUCAUUAAAUGCGCCGCGUCCGCUGUACGCAACCCAACCUCCCUCGAUCAUUACUCGGAACUUGAACCACAUCUGCCCCCGCUAUUCGCCGGCCCUGCUGUUUCCUUUUCGAAAGCUAUUGACAAAUAGUGCGCGCCCCGAUAAUAGUGCAACGCGAAGAGCUACGAAAGGAAAAAUGGUGCAACAGACGUCAAUAACAGUGCAACCGCAUUUGUAACAGUCCAAAGUUUACUUAUUUUAUUUUUAAUUUAAUCUUAAGGUAAUAGUGCAAAUGAAAGGACAUGGUUACGUCGAAUAUAGCGGUGUGAAGUAGGAGGAGGCUCCACCACCUCUUUAUUGCCGCCGCCGCCGCGGCGCUAUACCUCCGCGCGCCAGGGUUAAUAGUGCAAGGCGAAGGCUCUGCGGCAGGAGAAACGGUGGAACAAACCUUCUAACAUGCAACCGUAGCGUCGUUCCAGUGCAAGGAGACUGCUAGGAUGAGGAGGAGGGUCGAUCGAAAGGUUACGAUCCAGCAACGAGGCGAUCAGAAAGAACGAUCCAGCAACGAGGCGUUAGGGUUGAUUCGCACUAUCUGGAAUGUUUCAUUUGUUUUGGGCAAUUUGGAGCUCCGCUCUACCAUGAAAAAGACAGUACAGACAGAAAAAUAUAGAACUAAUUUCAUAAGGGUGUAACUAUGUCACAAUAAUAGUGCAACGUAGGGUAAAAAAGUAGAACUAAUUUCAUAAGGGUGCAACUAUGUCACAAUAAUAGUGCAAUGGAUUCAUGGAAUAGCAAACACACGGUCUGGCGAAUAGCGUGGAUAUACGCUCCCAGCGCAGCGCACAUUUAAUGCUUCUAAAAGUACGUAGCGUAACGUCUACAUUAUAGCGUCUCUUCUAUGAGGAUAGGAGACACCGGUGGUUAUAUCGAAGCUGCCUCGGAAAAAGUAUAAGCGACUAUUUCGAAUGUUACUCGUAAAGGCGUUGCACUGUUAUGACGAAUGUUACUCUAAUAUUGCGCCAGUAUUGCACUUUUUUUGCAUUUUGUUACUUGGCGUUGCACUAUUAUUACAGCCUAUUGUUGCACUAUUUUUAUACGAUUGAAUGAUUUAUUGAUAUUUUAAAGUGAUGUUACAGUAAUACGGCUCUUCAGGUGAGCAUUAGCCACUUUCUGUUCACGACGAAAACUAAUAUUUCGCGAGCAUUAAUAGUCGGUUACCUAAAUGGUUACGCAACGUAGGGUAAAGGAGUACCUCGACUCUAUUCCUCAAAUGCCUGUUCGUUUUCUAUAAAAGCACUCUCCAGGCACUUGGGCAACCGGCGACGAGGAAACAGCGAUGAUGGAGGUACACGAGACGAGAGGAGAGACCCGCAGGAGACGUCGACGAAGAAGAGGCUCGGUCGUAAGUGUAUCAUCCAGUAAGGAGGCGUUAAGAUUGAUUCGCACUAUCUGAAGUACUGUGCUUUAUUUGCGACGAGGUACCACCCUAUACCAGGUUCUUAAAUUCUUCCAGAUCUUUAUUCUUAUCGAUAGAUUCUAAAUUUAUCCUGACUAUACUGUCUCUUUACGAACAAUGUAGUGCCAAAACGUCAAUGCGAAAGUGCCUAGUGCAAAUAAAGCUCCGACAUACCCCUCCGAGCGAGCCCUCUCCUCUUUGCCAUUUCAUCUUCCGAUAGAGGAACCUCAGAGUAUGUUAUGUGCUCGUGGAUUUGCGGCAAGCUUUGAUGAUGAUUCAGUACUUUUGUAAAAUGAAGGCCUAAUUUUGUUCAUUAAUAAUGUUGAUGCGAAAGUUACAGUUGAUGUUGUGAACAUCGUAUUGUAUGCAAAACGUGUAUUAUAUGUUGCGUUUUCGUCAAAGACAAUGUAUAAUUUGCUUGUAUAUUAAUAAAGAGAUCCCUUUCUUUACAUUGUUACGCCUUAUAGUAAAUAUAUCUGUAUAAUUCAUUAUAUUCAUGCACCGCUUUUAGCUGUAUUACACUAUUAGCGCAGAUUUUACACUAUUAUUUCCGACGAUGUUGCACUUUUACAUUCAUAUUAUAAACAAAUUCAGAGAAAGUCUUACACUGUUUUUUGGCCACUUGCAGUACUUAGGAAACAAUGUUACAAAUAAUUUUAAAAAAGUUCUUGCACCAAGGAAUUUUCUUGUAGUCGUUAGACAGUUGUUGCACUAUUUAGGCAAUUUAUUACACUAAUUGGUGAAAGACCACACGAUUAAUUUUACAACGUUAAACGCGAUUAAUAGUGCGACGCGCUGUAAAAGAGCUCAAAUAGGCCCGUAAUGGUGUAAUAUUAUCGUAGUAAUCGAUCAAUGGUUUGAAAGUAAUGGUGCAACGAGUCAACAAUUUUUAGGACUGGCUUAUGAUGGUCCAUAUAUUUUAUAAUACACCUUCAAUAGUAUGUUGAGAAUGGUGCAAUAAGAAGUUUAAUCAGGGAUUAUAUCCGGGAUGAAUUCUCCCGAAGAAAGUUCGAUGUGUCGCCAGUGUCUCUUCCCCUCUCUUACCGGCCAGUGCCUCUUCACUACUUACUCGAGUAUAACGAUCACGUCAAUGUACUAUUCUGUCGCUACAUUUAAUGCCACUAUCUUUCACAUUCUCGCUGUUGGCUGAUUGUUGUGCUAAUGUGUCAGGUUUUGUAUGGACUCUUACGCUGUUUCGUGAGAAGGUUGGCCCAUAUUAGCAUCCCACUAACUUUCAAACUCCUGUUGCUCCCCAUUACCCUAUUCUAAUCUUUUAAGGCCUCUAAACCGCCUUACGUCGGUCAUUGCCCUAACAGCCGCAUUUCUAUUUAUAACCACCACCGUCCACUUCGAAUCCCAUCGGCGAAUACACGACCUUUCUAAAUCUACAUUCCUUGCAAUGGCGUCGAAGUCGUCGCAAUCUACUGAUUCAUCGUCUGCCGACGGCCGUAAGGUGCCUUCGCGGCCGGUUGCCGGCGGCCCCGCCGGUAGAUUCAUUGUGAAUUCUCGAUGUUUCGUCGGAGCGUACAAGAAGACUUACGCGUCGAUUGUGAAGCUGCAUCAUCUUCCCGUCAUCCAGAGUACGAUAUUUAGUAAUAUCUUACACUUCCCCGACAUCACCUCAGAUAGGCUAUUGCUGGAGUUCAUCCUCCGUCAUUGGAAUGAGGGUGUAGAAUUCGAAAUAGGCCCUCAAGUCAUACGCUUCACGGCCAAUAAGGUGGCAGUUCUUCUUGGAUUACCCCUGUCGGUCCAAGCUCUAGACCUAAGCCUCAAUUGGGGGUCGGAUAUUCAAAAUCGUUUCCUUGAGAGGAAGAAGGUCGACCGCAAGAACCUGGAGGUGGUUUUGAAAGAGAUGUCACCCAAGAAGGACGAAGAGGACAUUACCGACUUCGUGAAAUUACUUAUUCUCUACUUUUUUUGUUGUAUUCUUUUCACCAAUACCAACAAUCUGUCCCAAAGGACUGGUGGGUCUUGUCGAUGAUCUCCCCGCUCUGGCACGCUACAAUUGGCCGGAAGCAGUACACCGGCUUAUAAUCGACAGCCUAUGCUCCGCCGCCGUUAAAUUGCAAGCUAAUUCGAAGCGGGAAGGAUACGUUUUUGGAUGCACUCCGCUUCUCCCAGUAAGUCUCUAUUGUUCAAGUAAUCGUGCAAAUCCAAUUUCUAAAAUAGUGCAAAUUAAGCUAUUAUAUACUUAAUCAUGUAACUGUGUGAACUCUAGUGUAAUAUCUUUCUGAUAUUAGUGUAAUAAUAUCUUUGCUAUCAGGUGUGGAUAUAUGAGCACACUGGGUACAGAUGCCCUCUGCUUUCCCGCCGCGCAAUAUUGCCUCGUAUCCAGAGAUGGGAUACGAUUAGAUGGACUCGUCGUUCGCGGGGAUCGUCGAGAGUGAAGGAGGAUUUUAACUUCACUACGUGCCGCCGCAGGCUCGAACUCUCCCCGGAGGAACUACGGCUGGUGGGUGUCGAGGCUCAAGUUUCGAGGCGCCACCGCCGCCCCAGGAAUGAGGAACCUCCGGGCGGUUAUAAAGAGGUGAUGGCGGCAAUUAGCCGUCUGGAGGCCGUGGUGUUCAGUCUUGCCACUUCCGUUGCCGGCAUACUCAGCAAUCUGGCACUCCUACCAGCACCAAAAUCGACCCCGGUACCUACUAGAAUUAUCAAAAGCAAGAAGAGGAGGCACGAUGGGGUGCAAGUACCAACACCCCCACCGUCAAAAUCAUCUACGUGAUCGACACAGGGAGUUAAAAAAAGAAGGAUAGGAUCCGUAUUGGCGAUGCCCGCACCGAUCUCGGCCAUUAAGGAGAAUCCCGAAAUCGGAAAAGAACGGUCGAGAGCUUCUUCGAAAUCUAGAAAGGAUGGGGCACGCCAAAAACUAUCGAGUCCGCCAAAGGCUCCCAAGGAGUGUCUUAAAAAUCGCACGCCGGUGAGGGCCAAACAAUUUCGAAGCCCAUACGAUCUCCGACCUCGCUUGGAACGAAAAAAGAAAGCUGACGAAACAAUCGCCGAUGACACAAUCGCCGACGUAUGUGACGCCCUUAUUAUUUUACAUUCUCAACAAACGAUUGAUUCGUAAAUUUCAUCUCAAUAAUAAUGUAACGGUAUCAGACUUCGAUUAAUAAACUCUUGUUUUGGUUCUGUAUUUGUGUAAAUUUCUUUGUAAUAGUGCAUCAUAUACUUGUGUAGUGUAACAUAUAAUCGCUUUUUUUGUAUGCAGGCUUCGCAGCCGAGACGGAGUGAAAAAUAUGACCAUCCAAAAGCUGGUCUUUUCGCAGGAGACUCCUUUAUAAAAAGCGAUGAAGUAAGUAAUAGUGUAAACGGAGUAAGUAAUAGUGUAAACGGGAAUUAAAUAGUAUAAUAUCUAAAUAAUUAGUGUAAUUGACGCCAAUUUUAAAUUUUUUUAAAUUUAGCUGCAUAACAUCGUCAUCCAAAUAUGUGAAGACGUGCCCCCGUUAUCUUCACUACCAGAGGUGCCGGCGGCGGGGGCUCCGGUGGCGGCGACGGUAACACACGUUCCGCCGAAAGAGGAGCCGGCGGCAACCGAGGCGGCGGAACCGGACACAGCGGGGGUAACUUUCGUGGCGACGGUGGAUGAAAAUGAAGCGGCGGGAGCGGCAGAUGAGGAGGAAAAUAUGGCGGUAGAGGCGAAAGUGGAGGCUGUGGCGAAGGAAAAGGUGGAGACUGCUGCAGCGCCGGCGGAGGACGAGGAAAAGGAGGAGGCGAAGACGACGGAGGAGGCUGCGAAGGAGGUGGCCGCGAAGGAAAAGGUGUGGGCGGCGGCAGCUGCGGCGGAGGAGGUGGACAAGGAGAUUGCGGUUGCGACUACGGCAGCGGAGGAAAAGGACUUCGAAUUAGUGUCGGGGGUUGCUUCGGAGUUAUCGUCGAUACACAGUAAGACGACUCGGGCAUCUAAACGUGUAAGUUGAUAUUACAUCGAUACUCUUGAAAUAAUGCAAAAUAUUGCUAUUCCUGUAAUAUAACCUUGAUUGUUGCACUACUUUAAAUUUUUUGUACAGGACAUUAAAAAAAUGGACAAGCCUCGCCCGAAGAGACGCUUGGUGCGUCUCUCGACGACGACAAAGGCACCUACACAAAUUGCGAAGUCUUCCAUGCAAGAACCCAGCAUUAUAGAGGUGCGUGAAUAUUGCAACAUUACAUUUCAUUAAUGCGAUACAGCUUAUAAUAGUGUAAGAAUGUCCUGCAAUGGUGUAAUUACGAUCUGAUUCUUUCAUUUUUUGCUAAAUAGCAUCCAAUAAUCAUCGACAUCCCCCCCUCCUCGGAUGAAACAUCAAAAUUUAUAAAGGGCAAAAUACUCAAAUUGAAUGUCGCAAAAUCAUCACCGACACUGGAUUUAAAGUAUUACGGCAAGGGUGAGUUGCCGAAGGAGGAUCAGGAGCGAAUUGAAAAAUUCCUGACAAACACCACCCCCUCCGCAUUAGUACUGCCUUCGAAAGAUAUUGACAUCGGGAGGAAGGACUUGGUUGAUCUAACAAGUCAUAUGGCCUUCGUCAGCUCCGAUGUUAUUGACGGCUACCAGCAUUUACUCCAGGAGGCGGAAGGCCACAGGUGCAUAUACUCCACGACAUUACUUUAUCAUACCCUAGGGACUGCAAUGAGCCCCAAGAUAUUUUUGGACGACAUCACCGAGGAGAGGAUCAGUGAGGCGAAGUACUGGUUCAUCCCGCUCUUCGACUUCCAACACUGGCAUUUGCUGACUGUUGAUCUCCAAGACGGGAAGUACCUCCACUUAUCGUCCAUUAAAAAUCCUAAAUACAACGUGAGGUUUGAAAAAGCAGUAAGUGUUUCCUAAUACUUUAAAAUUGUACCAGCAUUAUCCCAUUAUAUUUCUAAUUAGUGCAAUGAUUUCUAUGCAGUGUAAGUUCAUAGGAAAUUAUUUGCAACAAAAAUUUUUCAAUUUGUUUGGGGACCGCGGUACCCGUCCCGUCGACUGGGAGAAGAUCAAUAUGGAAGACAUCGCGAUUCAAGAUCAGUCCAAUGACUGCGUAAUCUUCCUUUUAGCAUACGAGGAAUACUUACAGAAGGGGUGGAACUUGGACUUCUCCCAGAAUGAUAUGACCAUGAGACACGACGAGAUAGCAGCAGAAUUCUUGCGUCUUUUUUACUCGUAAUAAUUCGAGGCUGAUUCAAGUUACAGUUCUUUCAUUUGUACUGUCAUUUUUUUCAUACUAAGAUGAAUUGGUGUACAUAAUGUAAUUCUCAUUACCUUUGUUAUAAAGAAAUUAAUAGAAUUUUACUUGUAAUAUUCCUCGUUACACUAUUUUCAAGAAUGUUGAACUAUUAUCCCUCCUUGCUUCAAGGUGUUUGCACUGGAGCGAGUCUAGUGAUGCACGCUUAGAAGGGCUGUUACAUCAUUUAACCUGGCUUUGCUUUUUCUUGUUGCACUAUUAUCUCAGUCAUGUUUUAGGUUCUCAUAUUUAAAAUUAUUAAAGUCGAACAGCAAACAGCUGGGGUAGCGAAUAGCGGAACGGAUGUUGUCCGAGUACCGAAAAAGAGCCAUGUUGCGUGAAGCGCAUGGGCCGCAUUUAAUGCCCCGAAGGGUUUGUCUAGGGUGUUUACAAUCUGUGUAACAGUGCAAUGUAAUGUAUAUAAUGGUGCAUUUUAUUUUACAAGUGGUGUAAAAAAAUUCAUCUUGUAUUAUAACAGUGUAAUGUAAUAGAGAUAAUAGUGCAAUUCUUGUUGAAAAUGGUGAUUAGUUUACAGCUGUUACACUAUUUUAUUUCCAUUCCCAAACAGCGAAACUUGCUCACCUUCCCGAGGCGAAAUUUCCUUACAAUCCUGUAAUUAUAUGAGGCCCAUGUGCUAUACGCAACAGCGCCGUUUUAUGACAGAGUAUGAAAUGUAAGCCAUUAAAAAGCCAUUAAUGCAGCAAGCGCGGGAAAGGCGGGUUUAGAGCGUAGAUAUUCUAUUCGCCAAAGCCAGUGUUUGCUGUUAGAUUUUUUAUUUUUUUAUUUAUAUUAUUUGGAAGUGCAGCCGCAUUUGUCUCAAGGACUGAAGGGAAUAAAAUCUAAAAUCUAUUGAUUCCGCUGUGUCAAGUACUAUNNNNNNNNNNNNNNNNNNNNNNNNNNNNNNNNNNNNNNNNNNNNNNNNNNNNNNNNNNNNNNNNNNNNNNNNNNNNNNNNNNNNNNNNNNNNNNNNNNNNNNNNNNNNNNNNNNNNNNNNNNNNNNNNNNNNNNNNNNNNNNNNNNNNNNNNNNNNNNNNNNNNNNNNNNNNNNNNNNNNNNNNNNNNNNNNNNNNNNNNNNNNNNNNNNNNNNNNNNNNNNNNNNNNNNNNNNNNNNNNNNNNNNNNNNNNNNNNNNNNNNNNNNNNNNNNNNNNNNNNNNNNNNNNNNNNNNNNNNNNNNNNNNNNNNNNNNNNNNNNNNNNNNNNNNNNNNNNNNNNNNNNNNNNNNNNNNNNNNNNNNNNNNNNNNNNNNNNNNNNNNNNNNNNNNNNNNNNNNNNNNNNNNNNNNNNNNNNNNNNNNNNNNNNNNNNNNNNNNNNNNNNNNNNNNNNNNNNNNNNNNNNNNNNNNNNNNNNNNNNNNNNNNNNNNNNNNNNNNNNNNNNNNNNNNNNNNNNNNNNNNNNNNNNNNNNNNNNNNNNNNNNNNNNNNNNNNNNNNNNNNNNNNNNNNNNNNNNNNNNNNNNNNNNNNNNNNNNNNNNNNNNNNNNNNNNNNNNNNNNNNNNNNNNNNNNNNNNNNNNNNNNNNNNNNNNNNNNNNNNNNNNNNNNNNNNNNNNNNNNNNNNNNNNNNNNNNNNNNNNNNNNNNNNNNNNNNNNNNNNNNNNNNNNNNNNNNNNNNNNNNNNNNNNNNNNNNNNNNNNNNNNNNNNNNNNNNNNNNNNNNNNNNNNNNNNNNNNNNNNNNNNNNNNNNNNNNNNNNNNNNNNNNNNNNNNNNNNNNNNNNNNNNNNNNNNNNNNNNNNNNNNNNNNNNNNNNNNNNNNNNNNNNNNNNNNNNNNNNNNNNNNNNNNNNNNNNNNNNNNNNNNNNNNNNNNNNNNNNNNNNNNNNNNNNNNNNNNNNNNNNNNNNNNNNNNNNNNNNNNNNNNNNNNNNNNNNNNNNNNNNNNNNNNNNNNNNNNNNNNNNNNNNNNNNNNNNNNNNNNNNNNNNNNNNNNNNNNNNNNNNNNNNNNNNNNNNNNNNNNNNNNNNNNNNNNNNNNNNNNNNNNNNNNNNNNNNNNNNNNNNNNNNNNNNNNNNNNNNNNNNNNNNNNNNNNNNNNNNNNNNNNNNNNNNNNNNNNNNNNNNNNNNNNNNNNNNNNNNNNNNNNNNNNNNNNNNNNNNNNNNNNNNNNNNNNNNNNNNNNNNNNNNNNNNNNNNNNNNNNNNNNNNNNNNNNNNNNNNNNNNNNNNNNNNNNNNNNNNNNNNNNNNNNNNNNNNNNNNNNNNNNNNNNNNNNNNNNNNNNNNNNNNNNNNNNNNNNNNNNNNNNNNNNNNNNNNNNNNNNNNNNNNNNNNNNNNNNNNNNNNNNNNNNNNNNNNNNNNNNNNNNNNNNNNNNNNNNNNNNNNNNNNNNNNNNNNNNNNNNNNNNNNNNNNNNNNNNNNNNNNNNNNNNNNNNNNNNNNNNNNNNNNNNNNNNNNNNNNNNNNNNNNNNNNNNNNNNNNNNNNNNNNNNNNNNNNNNNNNNNNNNNNNNNNNNNNNNNNNNNNNNNNNNNNNNNNNNNNNNNNNNNNNNNNNNNNNNNNNNNNNNNNNNNNNNNNNNNNNNNNNNNNNNNNNNNNNNNNNNNNNNNNNNNNNNNNNNNNNNNNNNNNNNNNNNNNNNNNNNNNNNNNNNNNNNNNNNNNNNNNNNNNNNNNNNNNNNNNNNNNNNNNNNNNNNNNNNNNNNNNNNNNNNNNNNNNNNNNNNNNNNNNNNNNNNNNNNNNNNNNNNNNNNNNNNNNNNNNNNNNNNNNNNNNNNNNNNNNNNNNNNNNNNNNNNNNNNNNNNNNNNNNNNNNNNNNNNNNNNNNNNNNNNNNNNNNNNNNNNNNNNNNNNNNNNNNNNNNNNNNNNNNNNNNNNNNNNNNNNNNNNNNNNNNNNNNNNNNNNNNNNNNNNNNNNNNNNNNNNNNNNNNNNNNNNNNNNNNNNNNNNNNNNNNNNNNNNNNNNNNNNNNNNNNNNNNNNNNNNNNNNNNNNNNNNNNNNNNNNNNNNNNNNNNNNNNNNNNNNNNNNNNNNNNNNNNNNNNNNNNNNNNNNNNNNNNNNNNNNNNNNNNNNNNNNNNNNNNNNNNNNNNNNNNNNNNNNNNNNNNNNNNNNNNNNNNNNNNNNNNNNNNNNNNNNNNNNNNNNNNNNNNNNNNNNNNNNNNNNNNNNNNNNNNNNNNNNNNNNNNNNNNNNNNNNNNNNNNNNNNNNNNNNNNNNNNNNNNNNNNNNNNNNNNNNNNNNNNNNNNNNNNNNNNNNNNNNNNNNNNNNNNNNNNNNNNNNNNNNNNNNNNNNNNNNNNNNNNNNNNNNNNNNNNNNNNNNNNNNNNNNNNNNNNNNNNNNNNNNNNNNNNNNNNNNNNNNNNNNNNNNNNNNNNNNNNNNNNNNNNNNNNNNNNNNNNNNNNNNNNNNNNNNNNNNNNNNNNNNNNNNNNNNNNNNNNNNNNNNNNNNNNGCGUAAGAUCGAUUCUAGACUGCUGGGGGUUGUACUUGCACCCCAUCGUGCUCCUUUCUUACUUUUGAUUAAUUGCCAAUGGUGCCGGGGGAUUUUUGUGCUUGGUAGAGUGCCGGAUUGGCUGAGUUAUGGCCGGCAACGGAAGUGGGCAAGACUGAACUACACGGCUACAGACGCUAUUGCCGCCAUCACCAUCUUUAUAACUGCCGAGGUUCCUCAUCUCCUGGGGCGGCGGUGGUGCCCGAACUUGAGCUCGCACACAGCCGUAUGUUCUCCAGGGAGAGUUCGAGCCUGCGAGGCACGUGCGAGUUAAAACCUCCUUCACUUCGACAUCGCCCCGAAAUGACUGAGCUCCAUUAAUUCGUAUCGCCAUCUCUGAGACACGAUGGCAUAUUGCACGACUGAAGAAGGCAUGAGAGGCAUUCUGUACCAGUGGCCUCAUAUAUCCCACCUGAUAGCAAAGAUAUAUAUUACACUAUAUUCAGAAAAAGAUAUUACACUAGAGUUACACACAGUUACAUGAUUUAAGUAUACAAUAGAUAUUCUAUAAUUUGCACUAUUUUAGAAAUUGGAUUUGCACGAUUACUUGAACAAUAGAGACUUACUGGGAGAAGCGGGGUGCAUCCAAGAACAUAUUCUACCCGCUUCGAAUUAGCUUACAAUUUAACGGCGGCGGAACAUAGGCUGUCGAUUAUAAAUCGGUGUACUGCUUCCGGCCAAUUGUAGCGUGCCAGAGCGGGAAGAUCAUCGACAAGACCCACCAGUCCUUUGGGACAUAGAUUAUUGGUAUUGGUGAAAAGAAUACAACAAAAAAAGUAGAGAAUAAGUAAUUUCACAAAAUCGGUAAUGUCAUUUUCGUCCUUCUUGGGUGACAUCACCUUCAAAACCACCUCCAGGUUCUUGCGGUCGACCUUCUUCCCCUCAAGGAAACGAUUUUGAAUAUCCGACCCCCAAUUGAGGCUUAGGUCUAGAGCUUGGCCGACAGGGGUAAUCUAAGAAAAACUGCCACCUCCUUGGCCGUGAAGCGUAUGACUUGAGGGCCUAUUUCGAAUUCUACACCCUCCUUCCAAUGACGGAGGAUGAACUCCAGCAAUGGCCUAUCUGAGAUGAUGUCGGGGAAGUAUAAGAUAUUACCAAAUAUCGUACUCUUGAUGACGGGAAGAUGAUGCGGCUUCACUACCGACGCGUAAGUCUUCCUGUACGCUUCGACGAAACACCGAGAAUUCACAAUGAAUCUACCGACGGGGCCGCCGGCAACCGGCCGCGAAGGCGCCUUACGGCCGUCGGCAGACGAUGAAUCAGUAGAUUGCGACGACUUCGACGCCAUUGCAAGCAAUGUAGAUUUAGAAAGGUCGUGUAUUCGCCGAUGGGAUUCGAAGUGGACGAUGGUGGUUACAAAUAGAAAUGUUGCUGUUAGGGCAAUGACCGACGUAAGGCGAUUUAGACGCCUUAAAAGAUUAGAAUAGGGUAAUGGGGAGCAACAGGAGUUUGAAAAUUAGUGGGAUGCUAGUAUGGGCCAACCUUCUCACGAAACAGCGUAAGAGUCCAUACAAAACCUGACACAUUAGCACAACAAUCAGCCAACAGCGAGAAUGUGAAAGAUAGUGGCAUUAAAUGUAGCGACAGAAUAGUACAUUGACGUGAUCGUUAUACUCGAGUACGUAGUGAAGAGACACUGGCCGGUAAGAGAGGGGAAGAGACACCGGCGACACAUCGAACUUUCUUCGGGAGAAUUCAUCCCAGAUAUAAUCCCUGAUUAAACUUCUUAUUGCACCAUUCUCAAUAUACUGUUGAAGGUGUAUUAUAAAAAAUAUGGACCAUCAUAAGCCAGUCCUAAAAAUUAUUGACUCGUUGCACCAUUACUUUCAAACCAUUGAUCGAUUACUACGAUAAUAUUACACCAUUACGGGCCUAUUUGAGCUCUUUUACAGCGCGUCGCACUAUUAAUCGCGUUUAACGUUGUAAAAUUAAUCGUGUGGUCUUUCACCAAUUAGUGUAAUAAAUUGCCUAAAUGGUGCAACAACUGUCUAACGAGUACAAGAAAAUUCUUUGGUGCAAGAACUUUUUUAAAAUUAUUUGUAACAUUGUUUCCUAAGUACUGCAAGUGGUCAAAAAAUAGUAUAAGUUUUUCUCUGAAUUUGUUUAUAAUAUGAAUGUAAAAGUGCAACAUCGUCGAAAAUAAUAGUGUAAAAUCUACGCUAAUAGUGUAAUACAGCUAAAAGCGGUGCAUGAAUAUAAUGAAUUAUACAGAUAUAUUUACUAUAAGGCGUAACAAUGUAAAGAAAGAGAUCCCUUUAUUAAUAUACAAGCAAAUUAUACAUUGUCACUACAACAAAAACGGUCUAUAGCGACACUUUUAAAUAUAGGUACAUGUCAAAAAAGUGCUGCUAGCUAAAAUUACCGACACUUUUAAAAAGUGUUGCUAUUGUGGGGUCGCUAGAUAUAUAGUGACAGUUAAAGAGUGUCGCGAUAACCUAAAAGAAUGCUGCUAAUUUACCAACACUUAUUUAAGCAUUUAGCAACCGCCGAAACUCUAUCUCGUUGGCUGCGGUGGCGAAGGAGAACAACAGGAAAGGCUCUUCGUCUAGAAUUUCAGUGGAUUGAGUGAAGAGAGAAGAAAAGAUAGUAAUUGAUUUUUUUUUUUUUUCUUUUCUGUUUGUAAUCGGGCCAAAUGGACUAGGUGUUGUGGGUUGAGUAGAGUAAUCUUUUAUUUUUAGUUGGAUUGAGCUUUAUAUAUAGGCAUUAGUAGAUAUUUUUUUAAGUUUUAGGAUAAAUAGGACACUUACUCAAAAGUGUCCCAAACAUGUGUCGCUAUAACCUAAUUCUGUUGUAGUGUGUCUUUGACGAAAACGCAACAUAUAAUACACGUUUUGCAUACAAUACGAUGUUCACAACAUCAACUGUAACUUUCGCAUCAACAUUAUUAAUGAACAAAAUUAGGCCUUCAUUUUACAAAAGUACCAAAUCAUCAUCAAAGCUUGCCGCCAAAUCCACGAGCACAUAACAUACUCUGAGGUUCUUCUAUCGGAAGAUGAAAUGACAGAGAGGAGAGGGCUCGCUCGGAGGGGUAUGUCGGAGCUUUAUUUGCACUAGGGACUUUGGCAUUGACGUUUUGGCACUACAUUGUUCGUAAAAAGACAGUAUAGCCAGAAAAAAUUUAGAAUCUAUCGAUAAGAAUAAAGAUCUGGAAGAAUUUAAGAACCUGGUAUAGGGUGGUACCUCGUCGCAAAUAAAGCACAGUACUUCAGAUAGUGUGAAUCAAUCUUAACGCCUCCUUACUGGAUGAUACACUUACGACCGAGCCUCUUCUUCGUCGACGUCUCCUGCGGGUCUCUCCUCUCGUCUCGUGAUCCUCCAUCAUCGCCGUUUCCUCGUCGUCGGUUGCCCAAGUCCCUGGAGAGUGCUUUUAUAGAAAACGAACAGACAUUUGAGGAAUCGAGUUGAGGUACUCCUUUACCCUACGUUGCGUAACCAUUUAGGUAACCGACUAUUAAUGCUCGCGAAAUAUUAGUUUUCGUCGUGAACAGAAAGUAGCUAAUGCUUACCUCAAGAGCCGUAUUACUGUAACAUCACUUUAAAAUAGGUCGUGGAGCCUCCUCCCACUCCUCCCGUAUAUUAUCGACGGCCCCCAUAUCCUUUCAUUUGGCCUAUUAGCUUAAGAUUACAUUAUGAAAUAAAAUAAGUCAAUUUUGAACUGGAACGAAGCUACGGAUGCACUGUUAUAGACGUCUGUUGCACCAUUUCUCCUUUCGUAACUCUUUACGUUGCACUAUUAUCGGGGCGCGCACUAUUUGUCAAUAGCUUUCGAAAAGGAAACAGCGGGGCCGACGAAUAGCGGGGGCGGAUGUGGUUCGAGUUCCGAGUAAUGAUCGAGGGAGGUUGGAUUGCGUACAGCGGACACGGCGCAUUUAAUGAGCGCCAGACAGUACGGCAUGGUAUACAUCGGUUGAGGAAUACGCUGAGGAAUACUACCGUAUUGCACUCUUAAAAGCUUAGUACGAGUCUAUUCCAAAAAAUUACACUGGUAUUACAACCGUAUUGCACUCUUACAUAUUUCGUUGCACUCGUAGAUAAAAUACAUUAUACUGUUAUUUUUUCGUAUUGCACUCUUACAAGCUUCUUUGCACUCUUUUAAAAAAUAUUAUUCUGUAAUUAACACUGUCUUGCACUAUUAUUCGCACUUAACUAUGAACUUAUUUAACAGUUAAAAGGACGCGUGAUCUUUUAUAGAAAAAUUUUACACAAUCGUUUAGCUGUUAUGUCGCGCCUCUCGGACUCCGAACCCCACCGUUGAGCGUCCAGUCGCGCCGCAGAUCUUCCUGGCUUGCCGACUCUUAUGUCGCACAUCACCGACCGUUCAGCCCCGCCGCAAAGCUUCCUCGCCUGCAUUUGUAGGGGACGUCGUUCAUUUGCACUUUUAAGUUCAGAUUAUAUUAAGAAAUGGAGAAAGUAAAAUUUUAACUGAUUAUGAUUUGGUUGCACUGGAACGAUGGUAGGAUGCACUGUUAUAGAGGUCGUUUGCACCAGUUCAGAUUAUAAAUUGAGGUAUAAGCGGGGAUUAGAUCAAUUUUGCGUUUCGAUGAAAAUUGGGUUAUUCUUGAAAAUAAGAAAAAUAGCGUUUGGUUAGGUAAGAUGGAAUAAAAAUUGAAGUGGGUAGUUAUAAAUAAAAAAUAAUAAUAUUAUUCUUUUUUUAUAUUAGAAUUAGAAUUUUUAUAUUUUAUAUUUAUAUUUUAAAAUUUAAAAUAUAAACUUUUAAAUUUUAAAAAUCAAAAUUAAAUUUUAAAUUUAAAAUCUCAAAUUUAUAAUUUUAAAAAAUUAAUUUAUCAUGAAUAUUAUUAGAUAAUCAUAAAUGUUAAUUAAUACAUUAAUUACCAGAUUAAUUAAUCAUUAAUCAAUUAACCAUGAGUACUGUUAAUUAAUAAAUUAUCUAACUAUAAAUAAUUUAAUAAGUUAACAAAUUAGGCUAAUAUAUUAAUAUAUUAGUAAAUUAAUAAUUAAUUAAUUAUUUGAUUAGUUAUGUUGGUAAAAAUAUUAAUUUAUUUAUCAAUAAAGAUAUUAGUUAUUGCAUAAACACACUAAUAAAUAAUUAUUAAUUUAGCUAAUAUUUUAUUAUUAAAUUAGUUAAUUUUUAAUUUAGCUAAUUAGUUAAUAAAAUAAUAUAUAUAAUAUAUUAAUUAAUAAUAUUUUAUUAUUAAACUAGUAGAGGAAUAAAAAAAAAAUUUUGUUAUUCCACCAAAAAGGUGGAAUAACAAAUUUUCCUCUUAACGAAUUAUUCUAAAAUAACCCGUUAAGAAGGAAAUUAAAUAAACUCACUCCCUCUUAUAGUGUUUGGAUGAAUUAGAGGGAUAAAAUGGUCUAUUCCCACUUUAUCCCUCAACCAAAUAAUGCCUAAAAUAAAAUAUUUGAUUAGUUUGUGACGCCACGCCACCAAUGCACCCGGUACAUUCUAGAAUUUUUCCUAAAAUUUAUACUCGUUUUGAAGUGCACCGGUAAUAAUAAUUUUAGACAAAAAGACGGUAAAAUGUUUGUACACCUGUUUCAUAGAAUUGUACAUGUAGAUUUUUCGUUUCAUUAUAUCUGUGGUAAUUAUCUUUCUACAAACACGUAACUAGGCUACACACUAGUAUAUAUAACACAAAGGAAAAUUCAUCACUCACGAUCUCACGCGCAAAUAGUAAAUAAUUCGAUAAUUGAUAUCUAAAAUUCAAGUUCAAAUUUUAAUUAUAUGAUACACAUCACAAAAAAAAAUUUUAAUUAAAUUUUGAUUUUUAGAACUACAAUAAAAAUAUUUAUUAUUUGACUAAAUUACAAAAAAUUUUUCUGUAAUUAUCCGUUUUUUUAUUAUGGCAUUUAAAAACCUACACUUUACUCCCUUAUAAAAUAAAAAAUAUUCACAUGAAAUUACGAUGUGUAAAAUGACCAUUUUGCCCCUGGCCGUUUUCGUCUUUUUUCUCAUCUUUCUCAGCUGCCCCUUCGAUCGGCUGCGAUUUCCAUCUCAAUCGGCCGCGAUUUCUCUUCAUUUCAUUCUCCACCUGCUCCCCUUCUCCUCCUGCACCCUCGCCGCCUCUCGAUUUCGACGAUAGUAGGAAAAAAAUCGAUGUGGGUGUUGAUGGAAAGAUAGGCAAUGACAACGAGGACAAAGACGAGACGGCGGAGGAGGACGAAGGAAAUGUGGGCGAGGGCGAGGCAAUGGAGGACGGCGAGGCGGCGGCGAGGCGGAAGGAGACGAAGCAACAAGAAAGAGAACGAAGGAGUAUUUUCGGCAUAAAAAAAUAUUUUAUAACGGAAUCCUAACGAUAGAGAGUAAAAUGCACAUUUUUAAUUUUACAAUAAGAUAAAGUAUAGAUUUUUAAAUGUCAGAGAAAAAAAAUAAAAAAACAGAUUAUUAUAAAAAAAAAUUUUAUAAUUUAACCUUAUUAUUUUAUCAAUUUGUUGAAAUAUUAUCUUCUUUUGUCCAGCUCAUACUAUCAAUUCAACAAUUUAAAAAUUCAAUUUCUAAUAGAGAUUGAGAAAAAUUAAAAAGACGGAUAUUUACACGGAGGUUUUGUGUAAUUUAGCUUCUUUUGUUUCAUUAGUGUGCGUUUUUUCACCUGAGCCGGGCUGGCGAGGGAAAGACGGCGUCCCAGAUGUCGCCGAAGGCUGUGGUGAUGGCGCGGUGGUGGCGGCGGUCGUUGAGCGAGAGCAAGCAGCGGAGCAGCUGCUCCAGCCCGGCGGCGUCGUAGAUCUCCUUCUCCACCACCAUCUCCGCCAUCGACCGCCGGAAGUCCCCCCGUGGGUCCUCCGACCUCUUCACCACCGCGAAGCUCUCCCCCACCCUCCCCUCAACCGCCACCGCCGCACUCCGCCGCCGGAGAAAUUUCUCCGGCGACGACACCGGCGUCUCCGUCUCGUCGUCGUCGUCCUCCUCCUCCUCCCCCUCCUCCUCCUCCUCGCCGCUCGAGAGCCGCGCGCUCCCCGCGCCGCGGCGCCUCCACCGCGGCCGUCCGCCGUCGGAGUCGAUUUUCCGGCGGGGGGAGGAGUCGCCGUCGCCGGGGGUGACGACGUGCCACUUCUCCUCCCGGCGCCAGAGGUACGCCGGCGCGCCGCCCGCGAGGGGGACCUCGUCGCCGUCGCCGUCGGAGCACAUCUGCCGGCGCCUCCGCCGCGAUCUCCGGCGAUCUGGGGAUAACGGCGUGGGUAACGGCGACGUCGCCGUCGGUGGAGCGGCAGCUGUGGAAGGAGGGGAAAGCGCGGGUUAUCCUGAAACGGAACCGCUUGGCCAUGGGAAACAACACUGCAGUAAUAAGAUCACUGCAGAGGAGGAGGGAGAUUAAAAGUUAAAACAAAAAAAAGAAAACAGAAGAAAAAGGGCGUUGCGAUUAGAAAAGAUGGUGGGCCAUUUUAUACACUCUGCUAGAUUACUUUGGUAGGAAUGUUUGUUACACCGUUGGCUUCAGCUGUGAGGGGUGGUGGGAUGGUGCGUCCUAAAAUAGGAGCCGGCUUGGAAAAAUUUGAUAUUAUCAUUUUUAUAAUUAGAGAAACAGUAAAUGCAUAUCUACUCUUCAAAAAUUAUGAGCCGUUUGACAUUUUAAUUCAUAAAUUUUAUUUUUUUAUAAAUUUUAGUUCUAUAAUCUAUAAUUUAUAAUCCAAUUUAGUUGACUAAAUAUUAAAAUAUUACUAAUGUAAAAGUGAUAUAGCAUUUAUAUUACAUUUUACCACCUUCACAUUAGUGAUAUAUGAAAGUUUGAGCCAUAAUUUAUAAAAAAAAAUUAAAAUUUGGGAACUAAAGUGUCAUCCUCUGAUAGUUUGAGGAGCAAACAUGUAAUUUAUCCUUAGAAAAAUUAUAGCUAAGCGUUUUAGAGGGGAGCAAGCUCAUGCUAAGCUCAGCAAUAUAUCGGGUGAAUUGCACCGAAGUAGUCCGCGGAGUUCUCAUCCACUUUUGCUUUUGUUCUCAAAAUUCUCACUUUAGUUGUUGUCCUAAUUUACAUUAGCAAUGCAGCUAGAAUUUUUUUUACUUUGUAUAGGUCGCAUCUGUAAAACCAUACAUUAUGCAUGGAGCAAUUGUUCUGUAUAUCAAUUCCACGGUUCGUUCUUUAAAUUUUUCUUGCUGCAAAUUUAAAUGGUUGAAUUGAGACUAUGAGAUGAAUAAAGAGCCAAUCAUAUAUAGAAGUACGGCUAGAACUUUUAAACGUAAACGAGAUCAUUUAAUUUGCAUCAUUUUCAACGUCUGAAUUAACGAUUAAUACUGUUAAACACUAUCGUAACUAUCUAAACUUUUUAUGCCUCUAAUUUUAUAAUUUUUAAAAAUAAAUUUUCAAAUAAGCAGAUGGUCUCAAAUAAUCUUAUAAUACUCCUUUGAAAUAGUUAAUUUUGAAAUCAUAUGAAUGCUACGCAAAUAACGCAAUUUAAAACCUAAAGCGUUUAUAUAGUCUAGAUCAAUUUUGGCGGUGGUAAUAGUCAAUCGGACCGUCCUAUCACCAACAAUGACACGAAAGUAUAUAACUUCAUUUAAUUUUUGAAAUAUUCCAGCUUCAUUCAUUCUUUCUUUUUCUUUGCAAGAUUUAUUGGCAAAAAUUUUGAAAGUUUUUUAUUUUUGAGAGAUAGGUAGCAUGUUAGCCGUUUCGUUUAUUUUAUUUUAAAAAUAAACAUAACUGAAAAUAUAAAUCAACUAGGAUUCGAACUUGAGACCUAGGGUAUCACCCACAAAGUCCUUUAAAAUUUUGAGAAUUGUUAAAUACAAAUAAUUACAUUCAAAAUUUCAAGAAUCAAAUUAAAAACUUGAGUAGCAUAGUACAACCAAUACUCUGAAGAUUUGAGUAGCUUCCAGAUGAUUCGUUGCAGUGGAAUCCCAGAAUUCCGCUUCCCACGUGUAAAUAGAGUUGGGCGGGAGUAGAUUUCCAAAUUCCAAGAAAAAAUUGCUUGAACCUUGUGUACUAUUAUACUCUAUGAACCAAAAGGGCAUUUAGUUAGAUGAAAUUGUAAAUGCAUUAUAAUUAAUCUAUAUAGUCAAAAAUAUAUCAGUUAUACUAUACUCUUAUGAAUAUAAUUUUUUUUGUACUCAUAAGUUUUUGACCGCUAGAUCUACUCCUUUUAUCAUUUCCACCCGUUAGAUCAUACUAUUAAACCAACCACCAUUCAACCCUAACAGACCACUAUUGACCUAAUCGGAGACCACUAUCAUCUUAAUCACGCAUCUCUUCAUCCAAUGGUCGAAAAUUUAUGAGUACAAAGAGGGCUAUAUUCAUAAGAGUAUAGUAGCCUUAGCCCAGUUAUAUAUAUAUAUAUAUAUAUAUAUAUAGGGUCCGGCUACUAUCCUAUUAAUAGGAUUGGGACCCUUAUCCUAUUAAGUCGAUUUGAAUGAUCGGAACUUUAAAUUGAAAAUCGGCACCGUUGAAGUUGAUCUACACAAUUAAAAUUGUUUAGAAACCAAAUUUUGUAAUAUUUAAAAAUCAUUAUCAAGUUCAUCUUAAGAGUUAAAAAAUGAACGGUCAUAAAUGAAUAACCUUCUUAAAAUAGAGGUUAGACUUUCUCAGUUUGUAAUCAGAGUUAUCAAAUAUUAUCUAAAUAGUAUAAAGAAUUUUCUAUCAAAAAUUUAAGCAAUUUGGAUUGCUCUAUACCGUUAAACAAGCAAACGGCUCAUAUAGGCUGUCAAAAAUUGUCGAUUUUACGACACUUUGAUCACCAUGUAAACUAUUAUCAAAAUUUAUGAAAUUUAGUUUCCAGAUAUUUCAAAUAUUCUAGAUCAACUUCAACGGCUCCGAUCAUCGAUUUGGAAUCUCGAUCAUCAAAAACAACUUGAUAGGACAAGUGCUCCUAUCCUAUUAAUAGGAUAGUAGCAUUAGCCUAUAUAUAUAUAUAUAUAUAUAUAUAUAUACUAAAAAGUGUUAUAACUAUAAAUAAGUUAUUUGUGACAUAUGGUUCAGAACAAUAUUUUUAAAUUUUAUCACUUUUUAUAUAUAUAAUAGUGAGAUUAUUAUUAAUGUAGAAGAAACAAAAUUUUUUUUUUUAAAUAAAAAUUAUUUUUUAUUUAAAGUUACUCUUUCAAAAUAAUACAAUUGGUAUUAUGACUAGUUUGGACAUAAUUUUUAAUUCUGUUGUUGAUCUUCCUGGUAUAAUUUCAACUAUAGAAAUUAAAUUUAAAUAUAUAAAAAAAACACAAUAUUUAGAUCUAUAUUCAAUUACAAGUUUGCAUCUACAUAUAAUUAAAUAGUUCCUACGAUUUCAUUAUCUAUGCAAUAAAAAUAAGUUUUAUUAUAAGGGUGCGUUUGGUUCGCGCUAUUUUUUAAAGAUUCCUAGUAAUCCAAUAGGAAUAAAAAUAUAUGACGGUGUUUGGCUAAACGCACUAAGUAAUCUAGUUGGUAAUAUUAGAUUCACUUGGGAAUAAGAUUCACACCAAAGUACUAAUCUCAUUCCCUUGAGAGAUGGUGGGUAUCCUCAUAUUAAUGGAUUGGAGUAAUUAUAAUAUGUCUAAUCUCUUUCUUUCUUCCUACCCGCCGGCAAUUGAUAUUAUUUUUCGUUACACUCUAAGGUAUCGUUUGGUUCGGGGAUAAGCAAAAAGUUGGUAUUCCAGGGAUAGGUAUAAAUUGAGGUAUAAGCGGGGAUUAGAUCAAUUUUGCGUUUGGAUGAAAAUUGGGUUAUUCCUGGGAAUAAGAAAAAUAACGUUUGGUUAGGUAAGAUAAAAUAAGAUUUAAAGUGGGUAGUUAUAAAUAAAAAUUAAUAAUAUUAUCACUUUUUUAUUUAUAUUAGAAUUUAAAUAUUUAUAUUUUAUAUUUAUAUUUUAAAAUUUAAAUUUUAACUUUUAAAUUUCAAAUUUUGAAAUUAAAAUUUAAAAUUUAAAAUCUCAAAUUUUAAAUUCAAAAUUUAAAUUUUAAAUUUCUAACUUUAAAUUUAAGAUCAAAUUUAAAUUUGAAAAAAAAUAAAAUUCAAAUUUAAAAUUUCAAAAAUUUAAAAUUUUAAAAUUUAAAUUUAAAAUUUAAAAUGUGGAAUUUAAAAUUAUAAACUUUAAUUUUGAGAUUACAAAUUUUAAAUUUUAAAUAUAAUUUAUUAUAAUAUUUUAAAUUUUAAAUUUAUUUAAAUUUUAAAUUUUAAUUUAUUUUAAUAUUUAAAUAUAAUUUAUUAUAAAAUUUAUUAUAAUAUUUAAAUAUAAAUAAUAUGUAUUAAUAUAGCACAAUUAAUAAUUUUAUUAUAAAAAUAAUGUAUUAUAAUAUAUAAUAUAUUAUAUUUAUAUAAUUUAGUUUUAAUUUAUUUUAUAAUUUUAAUUAAGUUUGAAAUUAAGCAUGAAAAUAGCACUAUUCCACCAAAAUGGUGGAAUAGUAAAAAGCUUGCUAUUCCGGGAUAACCGAGAAUAGCAAGCUUUGACCGGAAUAAAAUAUUUCGGUAAAAAAUGAUCCCGUUUGGCGGAAUAAUGGGGAUAACUUUUGUUAUCCCCGCUUAUCCUCCUAACCAAACGGGGCCUAACCUUAUAUCUCUCUCUAAACUUAUUUUUCUAUCUAAAUUCAACUUUUUUUCUCUCUCUCUUUCUAAAAUUUCAACUCUCUCACUCCCUUUAAUUUCGACUAUAUUUUUCUUCCUAUUUUUUUAAUUAUGCUCUCUCUCUCUCUAACUUAUACUCUCUCUCCCUUUUUUCUAAAAAUAUGUUGAAACUUUUUGUAACAUUAUCUAAAAUUAAUUAAAUAAAUAAAUUAAUUAAUUGUAUAUUUUUUGUAACAUUAAAUAACAUGGCUAAUUAAUAUUACCGUGCGAACCAAACAUAGGAAUUUCACAUUCUUAGUAAUAGAAUGAAUAGGAAUAAGAUUCUCGGAUAUCUUUUAUUCCUAGUAAUCUUUCAUAAUGCGAACCAAACGCACCCUAAUAGGGAUCCAACUGGAAUGUUUCUCGAAGUAAACCGAAGAGUUUACUUUUACAUUGUUUCCAGUGAUGGAAUUUGACUUAACGAGUCACACCGUUAAGCUUAAUUUAGGUCAUUUGAACUUUUUAAAUUUCAAAUUUUAUUAUUUUGUUAUAUAAUUUGUCUAGUAUUCUAGUGGUCUUAAAUUUAAAAAUUUUUAAUGGCUAAUAUAAAAAAAUUUUGAUACUACUUAAUUACUAGGCAAAAAAUAUUCCAAAAUCACAAAAAAUAAAAAUAAAAAUAAAAAAUUUAAAUAGCAUAAAUUAUGUUUAAAGGUAUAGAUCGUGGAUUUAAAUUCUCUACAGGUAGAAAAAAUAUGAAAAUAAAAUUCUCUGUUUACUAUCAAAAGUACUCGCAUCAUUUUUCUAACAUAUAAAAUUUUCAACAGCUUAUAGUCUAUAGAUCCUACGUGUAAAAUAAUUAUAUAUUUUAAAAUAAUCUAUAAUUCAAAUAAUAAGUAUUUUCAAAAAUAAAGAAUAGUAAUAAUACACCCUAAAAGAUGGCGUAGAUCUUAAAACCCCACAUUCGAAAGUUUACAAAUUCUAAUAAAUUUGCUAUAUUAAUAAUUUAAUAAAAUAUUAAAAAUUAUUGACAUUCGAAUGAAAGAAACGCAAGAUUUAUGCUUCUUUUAAAAUGUAUAUAUAAUAUUGUUCUUCAAAGACAUAUAAUUUUUUAAAAUUAAUUACAUACAGCUCUUUGCAAAUAUAUCGAAUAGCAGAUAUAUUCUUAGAAAGUUCAAAUUUUUAUAUUUAUUUUUUUAAAAGUUCUAACGUUUUCAAAUAUACCUCUAUUAUUAAGAUCUGUUAGAAAAAUAUAAUUAACUAUAAAUAAAAUACUUAAUCCUGGUCAGUAAUUAAAUGAGGUAAAUUGACCUUUUUACCCUUCUUAUAUUAUGUGUUAUUGCAAGAAAGAAGAAGAUGAUCGUUGGUAAUUUUUGAAAGGAUAUUUUCACAUAAUUUCAAUUGUUGGAGCUUUUGGAGGGACUUAUUUGUGAUAACAAAAAUAUUAUUUCAUUUAUCUUAUAUUAAAAAAUAAGCAGUACUCUAACAGCAGAGGGCUAAAUAUUUAUAUAACUGAACUUUUGUAAAAAUAAAUAUGAAAAGUUGAACUUUGUAAGAAUAUAUUUGUUAUUCGAUAUUUGUAUAGAAAACUAUAUGAAUUAACCUUUUUUUUGUAUGUGAACUUUUUAAAUAGGGUUAAUUUCAUACAUAUCCCUGCAAAUAUAGUAAAUUACAAAUAUAUUUCUAUAAAUUUCAACUUUUAUAUAUUGUUUCUAGAAAAAUUUUAAUAUUUUCAAAUUUGUCCCCGGCGUUAAAAUCUAUUAGAAAACUUUAAUUAACCAAAGAUUAAAUGCCUAACUUUGGUUAAUUUAUGAGAUAACUGGACUUUUUUUCUCUUAUGUUAUACUGUUGUGGUUUUUGGAGGCACAUAUUUGUGAUUGCAAAAUUGACAUUUAACUAAAAAUAUAAAUAAUUUUAUAACGGUAACAAACCAGAGGAACAUAUUUGAAAAUAUUAUAAUUUUUAUAGAAACAACAUAUAAAAAUUGAACUUUGUAAAGAUAUAUUUAUAAUUUACUAUAGAUUUACAGAGGCAUGAAUGCAUCUAACCUUUUUAAAUAUGUGAUGUGCAGGUACACCAGGUGCAGGCAAUUAUUUCUCGUCGUUCCCCUUCCCCCCAGUGGCCGUAACUGUGCGCGGGAGUUACGAGGCUCCGAAACCGUACCAUCUUUGACGAGUUCCCACGCAACACCCACAUACAAAAGCUCCGCAGAGCCCAAAUAUUCAAACCGAGGAAUCCAUCACCUAUUCGUACCAAAACUGCAUUCACGAAACUCGUCCAAUAGACAAUCGCCACGUGGUUUGAAAGAUAGGACGCCUUGUUUUUUGCGCACGUGGCGUGAUAGUUGUGGGCUGAUGGACUGUACUGAAUUGCAGCGAUGCGUGCGGAAUGGGGGACAUUCGGUUUAAAGGUGGAGAGUGAAAAUUUUUUCGAGACACCCUCAACUGUAGCAAAUUUGAAAUGAGCCCCUGAAGUUUAAUUUUUUUAAUUUAAAAUUUUUAAAUUUUUAAAGAAAUCAGCAUUCUAUCUCAUUAGGAAAUUCGAAUUGGACCGAGUUAUGAUCGAAAUUCUUUAUCUAUUCACAUUAGUUUAAUUAUUGUCCCUUUUUUAACUGUUCGAAUUUUUCGAUUCAACAAUAUAUGUUGAGAUAUUUAUUUGAAUGUCAAAAUGAAGUUGGUUAUAAUUUUUUUUUUUUUUUUUUUUUGUGAUUGAAAGUAUAGUAUUUUAUUUUUGCUCAUUAAAAAAUCUUGACAUAUAUAAUUUAACAAAAUAAUACAUUUCCUACAUGAGAUAGUUGAAUUCAUCUCCGAAUAAAAAAAGUUAAAAUUUCAUACAUAAUUUAUUGUUGACAUUUGAUCAAAUUUUUCAUCAUCUAAAUACCACUACCUUCGUAAGCAAUAAGGAGAAAUACGCUAAAGAAGCUAUGUGUGUAUCCUAACAUAUUUCUAAGGAGAAAAAAAACCAAGCCGCUUAUUUUUAAUCAUACAAAAAAAAUUGGCCUUUUUAUAAAAAAAAUUACUAAUUUUAUAUUUUUGCAUAUUCCAACCAAUUAUUUUAAAAAUAAAUCAAAAUAUUCCUAUGUCUUAAAUACCUAAUAUAUCAUUUCUUUGCUCUUUCCGGAUCUAUGUCUCCACCGUUGGUAGUAUUCACGAGCGCUCAUCUUAUUUUUGCCAUCUCCACACCAAUUAUAUUGUCGCGUUCACCUCAUGGUGCUCCUUACAAGAAAAAGGAAGAUGGUGAAACUUGAUCCGCUAGUCGUCGUGGCCACUCAUAGCCUCACUUGAGAUGGAGAAAAUGCAGCAAACAAGGAGGGUGAUGCUGAUCAAGAAUACUUCCAAAGCUUGUUAAUGAAGCUAAGUGUAGCCGACAUUGGGAAGAUGGUGGCGAUAGUGUGAGAGGAGAAUCUAAGGUACAACAUAAUGUUACACUAUUUGAAUAUAUAUUACACUAUUUAGUAAAAAAAAUUACACAAUUUUAUAUUUUAUUUUAUGUAUUAAAUAAUAUAACUUUGUUACUAAAUAAUUCUUCAUGUGUUCAGAGUUCAGAUAGUGCAACAUUGCGUCGUUUCUCAUAUUUUUCUUCUCUUGUUGCCGCCGCUAGUUUGUCAUCGUCGAUCACGCUCAUAAAGCCCUCGAGAAUCUAUUUCAGAAGCAUUCUUAACCAAUGAUCAUCGCCUUUUACCUCUGCCGCCUUCGUCUCCAUCUCCAAAACGUCAGUCUCGUCUCUACCGCCGCAAUCUGGCUGGCGAUUGCCAAAAACGGCAACAGCCACGAGCUAAGUUCGUCAUCGUUCUCUCACUCGAGGGUGAGGUAACAGAAAAGUGCAGUGAUGAUGCAGAGACAAUGGGAGAAAAAAAGAGCUAAAAGAUAAAAAAAAAAUAUGUGUAUUUUGAUUGGUUUGAAAAAAAUCGAUCAAAUAUAUAAAAAUAAAAAGAAUAGUUUAUUUUUAUAAAAUCGCAAAACUACUGAUUUUUUUCUUUUUUUUUUUAGCACAAGGGCUAGAAAAAUUUUCAUGGGGUUGUCGAUAUUCAGGAGAAGAAUAAAAGGGGAAAAAAAAGUGACUAAGUCAAUUUAAAAAUAACGCAUAGUUGAAGGGUAUACUUACAUAUUUACCUACGUUUUGGCCGUUUGGGGAAGUUAUAAUAAUAAUAAUAAUAAUAAUAAUAAAACAUUAAAAAAAAAAAAAAAAAACACUACGCCUGAGGGGGACUUUGAGUUUGAAGUAGGCACGGUGACAACGCGGAUACAGCGAGUAGGGGGCCACGCCACAGCGCCACGUGGCGAUAAUCCAACGGAUACACGACAACACGGUCUCGCUCUCUACAUCCCCCUCUCUCUCCAUCACAUCCGAACUGGAGCCCACGGUGCACCGCACCCUCGUCGUGUUCCUCGUUGUCCGCGGUCCGUCCGAUCUCGAUCGGAGGGCGGGGGUGUCUCCUCGUAGUCAAACCUGUUGCCUCGCUUGGGAGGGCCCCGCACUGGGACGUCCGAUCGCGUCUUGAGUGGACGGCUACGAUUGAGACGGGGCGUGGAUAACACUUCGUACCUGGAACCCGCACGCGAAAGUUUAUGCGGACGCGCUCGGCGGUUUUUGAUCGAGUAAAUGGGCGGUUGGGAUUUUACGGACCGCUAUAAAUAGGCAUGUGAGAAAUAAAAUUUAUUGUAUAGCACUUUCUCUUUCACCAUAUUAUUUAUAAUUAAUUUAUUAUAUUUUUUUAAAAUAAUAAUAAUAAUAUUUUUUAUAAAAUUAUGAUGAAUGAAUAAAUUUUAGAAAAUUAAUUUAAUUAAUUAGAAACUUAUAUUAAUAACGUCACUACGGUAUUCUUAAAAAUUUCGCGACUUUGAGGAGGAUUUUUUAAAGAUUUUUCUUAUGCGGUUGUCCGUACGAAGCAGGGCAUGGGUUUGCGGUCUCUUUGACUUGGUGGUUGGUACAAUAGUGUUUAUUAGUGAUGCAAACGGAACGGAUCCGUGGCCGACGGGUUUUCUCACCUUUCGUGUUAUAUUUUUUUGUUGGAAUAUUUUUUAUUUUAUUUUUGAUUUUUACUUACUGUUCAAUUCGAAACUUUUAAGCAUCCGUUUAGUUCGGGGUUAAGAGGUUAUUCCACCUCUUAACCCCGAAGUUAUUUUCAAAUAUCUAAUUUGGGAGGUGGGGUUAGCUAAUCCUAUUCCAAAUGGACUAUCCCGAUAACCCCACCCUACCCUACCACUCCAAUCAAAUAAAAUACUAUUUUACCCACUAUUCUUCUUAUUCCACCUACUCCAACUAAAUACUAUUUUACCUAUAUCUGAAAUAAACCAAAUUCUCAACCAAACACAAAAUUACUCUAACCCCACCUUAAUCCUGAACUUAACUCUAUCCUUGGAAUCAUAAGUUUUUACUUAACCCCGAACUAAAUGGUGGCUUACUUAUUGUCUCAUUCGAGACGGAUCAGGACGAGAGUAAAUUUUUGGCGAAUUUUUGACGGAUCUUAGCGAAAUUGAAGAAAGAAAAGAGUCUUCCGCCUCCCAUUCCAUUUACUUAACGAAUCGGAGCGAAUUUGGGGCGGGUUAUAAUUUUCUAUAUUUGUUGUUCUCACUUACCACCUAUUUGGAACAAGUCGGGGCAGCAGCUCUACCAAUCCAAAUCCAUUUGCAUCCCUACUGUUCAAUCGCUACAGUCAAAUCUCUCGGCAUGUGGAUUUUAGGGCCUAUCCGUUUAAAAUUAAAAACAGUUUUUAGUUAAAUAAUAAAUUAGAUGCAAAUUAUUUCUUUCAUUGUUGUUUAUUUGGUAGAGAAUUAAUAAUUUUUCCCGUAAUUUUUUUUUCCAUUUUUGUGUUUGUGUUAUGAAAACAUUUUACACCACCACAUAAAAUAUAAAAUAACUAAAUUUUUUAAUUUGUUUUCAUAUUAACAUUGUCACAACUCAAAACAAAGUCAACUAGGAUAUUUUUUAAAAAGGAGAGGUUACAUGUGAAUUUAGUUUAUGGCGAAUUAAAUACCGAAAGUGAAUAUUUACAACGAAAAAUCACUUUCCCUUUUUAUAUGUUUAGUGAAACAAAUAUGCUGGCGUAAGUAUGAAACGGUUAUUUAAAACUAAUAAGUUAGUUAGCUAAUUAACAAUAAAAAUAAGAGUAAUUACAACUUCCAAAUAAAAUAUUUUUCUAAUUAAUAAACUUCAAAGUACUGAUAAAAUAAUAAGUUAAUUAGUUAGCUAAUUAACUAUAAAAAGUUAAUAUGUUAGUUACUAAAUAAAUAAUCUAGUUAGGUAGAUAAUUAGUUAACAGAUUAAUUAAAUUCGUCAAAAUAUUAUAAUUUAAUAAAUAUUAAUAUUAAUUAAUGGAUAAGCGCAUAAAAUAAUUAAUUAUUUAAUUAUUUAGUUAAUUAUGAACAAAAAAAAUUAAUGGCUUAAGCAGUUAGGUAAAAAUUUAUCAUUUUCCAGACGGGUGCUGUGAAGGCAAAGUAGGACAAAAAUUGUGCGGGAAGGGUUUUCCAAAUUAUCCAUUUGAGGGCAAGAUUUUUUUUGCGGCCUAGUCUGUGGAUCUCACGUCGCGUGGCAAUUUGGUAAGAUAGUUGAAAUUUACUUUUCUUCAACUAUUAGCGGAUUCAAAAUAUUUUUAGACCCAAAAAUAAUAAAAAUUAUAACAAAAAUAAAAAUUAAGUAUUAACUAAAUACUGUUUAGUGGAUUCGAAUUCGAGCUAACCAUAGAGUAGACCUGGCUGGAUUCGAAUUCGAGCACUCAUUUCCGGAGCCCGGCCCGUACUGUUUAGUGGGCUUCGGGCUGGACCGACGUGAGAUUCUAGAACCCAGGCCUAAAGUCCAAAAUAUGUCAGGCAUUUCUUACACCCAUGUUUUAAAGUAAAUCCUACAUUAAGUAUAAAUUUAUAUAAUAAAAAAUUUAAUUAAAGAGUAUAAUGCUAUAACAAUAGUAUAAUAUGCAUUUAUUUAUGUAGAUAUUUGUAUGUUUGUGUAAUCGUGUGUGCGGCCCCCUCUCGCACACAUAAAUAGAUAUAUUCAUGCGCAGAAUAAUAAUAACUAAAAAAAGGUGGAAUUGGGCUCAAAUGGUAUAUUAUUCAUGAGGGAUUCUAACCAUUUAUAUCAUACAAGUAUAAGACAUGCAUAGUAAGUAUCAAUCAAUCAACCCAAAAAGAAAAAAGAAUAAAUAAUAAAUAUGGUACAUAAUUAAGGAGAAUAUGGAAAGUAAAUGAGAGCACAUAUGGUAGUAACCACAGGUUCAGAGGUAGUCGGCAUCACAAAAUGCCCAAAUAAUAGGAGCUGAUGAAUUGUGAAGAAGUAGACCAUGAUAUAAUGUGUUUCGAAUAUAUUGCAGAAUUCGUAGGACCGCAACAUAAUGAGUUGUUUGGGAAACUAACAUAAACUGACUAACAAUUUGAAUAGCAUAACUGAUAUUGGGCAUAAUAAUUGUAAGAUAAUUGAGACUACCAACCAAUUGUCGAUAGAGAGUUGGAUCGGAAAGAAAUGUGCCACCAGUAGGCUGAAGUUUGACAUGAAGUUGGAGUGGAGUGUCGGUUGUUUGCUGUCAGUUAAUCCAGCACGAAAAAGUAGUUCAGAAGCAUAUUUUACUUUGGAAAGAAAUAGACCUUUAGUUUGAUAAUCUAUUUCAAUUAUAAGAAAAUAGUGAACUUGUCCAAGAUCUUUUAUUUCAAAAUGUUUAUUGAGCUGGUGUUUGAUAUCAAAAAUUCCCUUCAUACCAUCACCUGUAAUAACCAUAUCAUCAACAUAUAAAAAAAGACCGACUUUCUCUAACGCAAGUGGCAAAGGGUUUGGUGGUUGGUACCCGAGGUCCCAAGUUCGAAUCCUAGUUGAUUCAAAUUUCAAGCUAAAUUUAUUUCUAAAUGAAAUAAAUGAAGCCGGUAACAUGCUACCUAUCUCUAAAAAAAAAAAACAUAUAAAAAAAGAACAAACAUAGCAGAGUCAUGAUUGCUUUGAGAUUAAAAGCCCUGCUGGAGGAUGGUACAAUGAAACUUCUCAAACCAUGCUCUUGGAGCUUGUUUAAAACCAUACAAAUUAAGCUUUGCGAUGCUUACACAUAUAUUGUGGAGGAUGAGAUAAGCCCAGAGGAGUCAUAUAUAUAUACUUCAUCAGAAAGAUCACCAUUUAAAAAUGCAUUCUUGACAUCUAUCUAGUAAAGUUUCUAACUCUGAAUAGAUACCACAGCCAACAGACUAAGCACAGUAGUCAUUCGUGCGACAGGAGCAAAUGUUUCCUCGUAAUCGAUUCCAUAUUCUUGGGAAAAGCCUUUAGCAAUGAGUCGUGCCUUAUCUCAUUCUAUAGAACCAUCUAAUUUGGUUUUAAUUUUAUAGAUCCAUUUAUACCCAAUAGCAAAUUUUUCCAGUGACAAUUUAACAAGCUCCCAAGUAUUGGUCUUUUGAAGAGCAGUGAGUUCCUCAUUCAUGGCUUGUUGCCAUUUAAGAUCAGAGAAGGUUUCAUAGUACGAUUUGGGUUUAUAGUGGGAGAAAAUAGAGGAUAGGUAACAAUAAUAGUCAUUGAGAUAACUUGGUGGUUGUCUUUUGCGAGUUGGAUGAGAUCUUUCUGGUUGCAUAUUGUCUAGAUUGCUAGAUGGGCAAGAAGGGUUGAGACAAAGAUCAUGUUGACCAUUGGCGGUUGUUUGUAAGGGAAUAUCAGAUGAGGAACUCUGUUGAAAUAGGUCUAACAGUGGAGAAUUGGAUGAAAACUUUGAUGCUGAAAGUGUGAAGAAAUUUAUUCCCCAAAUGUGAGAUGACUAGAGAUACACAAUUUUUUAGCAAUAGGGUCAUAACACCUAUAGCCUUAAUUUUGUUGAAGUCCAUUACCAAGAAAGACACAUAUAGCAGUUUUCUUGGUUAGUUUGUUGCACUCUCUUUUAGGUAGAAGAACAAAACAUGUAGAACCAAAAAUACGAAGAUGUGAGUAAUCUGGACUAACAUUAUGAAAACGUUGAAAAAGGGUUUCAUCAUUUAUGAUAGGUGAAGGAAACGAUUGAUAAUAUAAACAGUAGUAAGUAUAGCUUCACUCCAAAUUUCUUAGGAACAGAAGCCGAAAGAAGUAGAGUGUGUGCAGUUUCAAUAAUGUGACAGUGUUUUCUUUUAGAAACUCCAUUUAGUUGAGGUGUCUCAACACAAGAUAAAUGAGAAAGAGUACCUUGAUAUAUAGGGUAUUAUUUGAAAGCAUGUGAUAUAUAUACUCCGCCAGAAUCAGAUCAAAAAUUUUUUAUAGCUUUUGAAAACUGGUUUUUUAUCAUAGUUGAAAAUUCUAUGUAAAUAUUUAAAAAGUCAGCUCAAUUAUGCACCAAAUAUAUCCAUGCAUAGUGGGUGUAAUCAUCUACAAAUAUAGCAUAAUAAUGUGCAGCUCCCAUUGAGGGCAUAGGAGCUGGUCCCUAAAUAUCAAAGUGAACGAAAUCAAAUGGAGCAAAAGUUACAGAUUCACUAAAGGAGCAUUUAGUUAGAUGUAAUUAUAAAUGCAAUGUAGUUAUAGAUGCAUGUAGUUGAAAAUAUAACAGUUACAACUAUAUACAUUCUGUUUGGUUGGAUGUAGUAGAAAGUGCUGCAAAUAUAAAUAAUUUAUUUGAUUGCACGCAGUUGAGAAAUAAUUUUUAAAAUUUUAUCAUUUUAUAUAAUAUGAUAGUGAGAUUGCAUCCAAUGCAAAAAAGAAAAUUUUUUUUGUUUAAAAAAUAAUUAAGUAGGUAAGUAUACUUUUUAUUUAAAGUUACUCUCUCCAAUUACUGUAGUUGGAGCUACGGUCAACUUGGGUGUAGUUCGAAUUGUUGCAAUUGAGCCUCCUCCUGCAAUUCCUACUACAGCAGUUAGAAUUAAAUACAUCAAACCAAACACUGAAUUUGCAUUUGCAUGCAGUUACAACUACAGUGCAGUUGCAACUACAUGCAACAAAACGGCCCCUAACAGUAAAAGCAAGUGCAUGUUGUUUGGCAAGUUUGCAAUCAGCACAACAAAAGUCUUUAUUGAAAGAUACAUAUCCUAAUAAUCCUUUAUUAACCAAAAACUUAAGGCAAGAAAAGGAAACAUGUAAGUCUUUGAUGCCAAAAUUUAGAUGUAGAAGAAAAAGGAAAGAGAAGAGGAAGUAGUAGAAGAGACAGCACAAUAAGUACCCUGGGGAGAGAGAUGAAGAUUAUCAACGACAGCCAACCAGCCAACUCUAUGCCCUGUCGCAACUUGCUUCCCCGUCUUGCAAUCUUGUACAAUUACAACCAGAUAAAUUAAAUAUUUUAGUAAAACCAAGUUCACAAAGUUGUCUAACUAAAAUUAAAUUCAUAGAAAGUUUAGGUACAAGAAGUGUAUUUGGUAAAGAUAGGUUUUCAGAUUGAAGAAGGCCAAUGUGAGUGGCAAUGACGAUAGAGCCAUCGGCUAUUCAAAUUAUAGGAGAUGAUACUGUAGUUGUAUGUUUAGUAAUGCAUGAAGGAUCAUAUGUAAUGUGGUUGGAGGCACCGGAAUUGAAAAACCAAGAAGUAGGAUAAAUACUUGAUGGAGUAGAAGAAGCUGACAAAGAUGAAUUUGUACCAAUAUAUACUAAGAGCUUGUUUAAUCAUUGCCUAUACAUCAUCUGCAGCGAGUAUAGUGGAUAUAGAAGAACAUGCAGAGUUGCAAGAUUGUGGCAACCAAUGAUCAGACAUUGUCGCAGCCUUUUGCUGAUAUAUGUACUUCUUCUUGUUCUACAUAUUGCGAGAAGUUGGUGCUGUACAAAAUUUAACAGUAUGUCCAAACUGCUUGCAGUAGUUGCAUUGCACUUGUGGCAAGUCACGCGGUGGACGUAAGUUUGGUGUAGCGAGGUUGGAUCGCACGUCACGAUGCGCAUCAGAAAAUGGCUUAUAACGAGGGGAGGCAGAAGUAGCAAGACCAGAGGAAUUGUAUGAAAAAUAAAAAUUAACAGUACCUUUGCUUGUUUCUUCAGCAAUUAACUUUGAAGGAGCCACAUCAACAGUAGGAAGCGGUGUGCGAUAAGGAAUAGAGGUACGUACGUACAGAUUCGUAAUCAUCUUGUAAAAGCCAGGAGAAAUUAGACAAGUCGAGUUUCUUCAAGUAUCAGCUGAUACUGAUAGUAAAGAUCAGUAUCAGCUGUCAACUUUGGCUCAGUUAAUGCUAAUUGGUCCCAAAUGAAGGACAUCUGAGAGUGAAAAUCUGAUACGGAUUGGCCCUUCUGUUGCUUCAUUAUACGAAUAUCCAUUUCAAGUUUGUAUUUGCAUGCAAAAUUGGUUUGAUUAUAUAGGGUCGAUAAAAAAUCCCAAACCUCUUUUGCAUUAUCAAAGUUUUUGAAUUGCAUACUAAUAGUAGGACUAACAGCAUUAGCAAUCCAUGUUAAUAUUUUAUUGUUAUUAGUUUCCUACUUUUCAAUAGCAUCAGAGAUGCAUUCAUCACAUUUGUAUUCUCCGUAAAGUACUUCCAAAGAACUUUUCCUUUCAGAAAACUUCUCAUAAGAAAAGCCCAGUGUGUAUAUAUAGUUGGUGCCCUCAAGUUUAACAAUAAUAGGUUGUGCUGACUCCAAAUUCAUUAUGUGGAGAUAAAAAAAGAGAGAGGUUACCAAAAAUAGUUGGGAGUUUUGGUUAUAAGAGAGAGGUGCAUUCAUUGCCUUAAUAUAAGAUUAUUUGCCUUAAUACAGAACGCAAACAAACUGUUUUGUGCCUAAAUAAUUUUAUUUUUAUCAACACUUAUAAUAAGAAACUAUACCACACUUUCAUUGAGAGGCUACGACGCAUGCAUUGUAUGCUCUGAGGUUACUUCAUAGGCAUUAUGGAUCAUGAACUUUAUUUCAGAAUUUAAAAUUAUUGACCUUUAUCUCUAAACCUUUUAAGGACAUGUUUAUUUUAAGUUAGAAAACGGAAUAGAAACUUGAAAGAACCAGAACAGGAGACAGAGUGAUAAAAUGCCUCUAUUUGUUUGGCUUGAAACAGUAAUUGGAAUGAGAAUAAUUCAUUUUCAUUAUAACUGUUUGGAUAAGUAAACAGUAAUGAUUUGAACAACAUAGAUUCACAAUGUCAACAAUAUAAAAUUUGAUUUUAAAUUUGUGUUGAAAUUUGAAUUCAAUAAUUCAAAUUCAUAUUCAAUUCCAAAUUUAAAAGUAAAAUUAAAUGUAGAAAACAAACUUAAAUUAAAUUUAACUUUUGACUAAAAAAAUUAAAUUUUAAUUAGAAUACAAAUUUACUAUCUAAAUUUGUUUUCAAAAUUUGAAUGCAAAUUUAGACUCAUAAUUUAAACUUAAAAUUUAAAUCAAAUUUGAAGAAAAUUCAAAUAACAUAAUUUAAAUAUAAUUCAAAUUCAAAUUCAAAUCAAAAUUCAAAAUUGGAACUACAAAUUAAAAAAUCAAACUUAUAUUAGAAUUCAAAUUUAAACUUAAGAAUUAGAACUCAAAUUUAAAUUUAUGUUUAUAAUUUUAAUUUUGAAUUUAUAAUAUAAUAUGAAUUUAGUUUAAAUUAAUCAGUAUUUGAAUGUAACAAAUUGGUAGUGAAAAAAAAGAAGAAGAAGAAAAAGAAGAAGAAAUGGGUUUUUUUUUUUUUUUUCCAAUCCCUUUUGGAAUCAAUGUAGACUCCAACCUUCAUGGUGGGAGGCAUUUUGAGAGAAUUGGAUUCUCCUCAAAUGAAAAUUGAAAUGUGAAUCUCUUGAAUCAAACAUCGACAAUAGGAGUUACAUUUUUUUAUUCUCAUUCUAACCGUAAGAUCUUUUAAAUCAAACACGCCCUAAAGGUUUAAGGCGAUAAUUUUUAUUGUUCUUCUCUCUGACAAUAAUACAAUUACGAAUAUUAAUUAAUAAGUAUUUUGAAAUAAAGCUGUGCCCGACUCUAGAAAGAAUUGAGAAUUGUAAGAUGUCACUUAAACACCUCAAUAUAAACUUAUAAUUUCAUACCUCAUAAUUUAGGCUUUACCAUCUCACUUUUUUUUUUUUUUUUUUGAGAGAGAGAUAGGUAGCAUGCUACCCGCUUUGUUUAUUUCAUUUAGAAAUAAACUUAGCUGGAAAUGUGAAUCAACUAUAAUUCGAACUUGGGUCUCGGAUACCAACCAUCAAGCCCUUUGCCACUUGCUCUAGGAACGGUCAGUAAUUAAGGCUUUACCAUUUGAUCUGUCAUUUAAACAACUUUGAGAUUUAUGCUAUUUCACUAUAACAGAAGUAGGUUAUAGGGACACAUGUUUGGGACACUUUUAAGUAAGUAUCUCAUUUAUACUAAAACUUAAAAAAACAUUUACUAAUGCCUAAAUAUAAAGCCCAAUCCAACCAAAAAUAAAAGAUUACUCUACUCAACCCACCACACCCAGUCUAUUUGGCCUAAUUACAAAUAGAAAAGAAAAAAAAAGAAAAAUCAAUUACCAUCUUUUCUUCUCUUUUUACUCAAUCUACUGAAAUUCUAGACGAAGAGUCUUUCCUGUCGUCCUCCUCUGCCACUGCAGCCAACGAAAUAGAGUUUCGACGGUUGCUAAAUGCUUAAAUAAGUGUUUGUAAAUUAGCAGCACUCUUUUAUGUUAUAGCGACACCUUUUAAUUGUCACUAUAUACCUAGCGACCCCACAUAUAGCAACACUUUUUAAAAGUGUCGGUAAUUUUAGCUAGCAGCACUUUUUUGACAUGUACCUAUAUUUAAAAGUGUCGCUAUAGAUCGUUUUUGUUGUAGUGAAUUGUAUAAGAAAUGACGAAUAAACUAGUCUCUUGGAGACUAUCCCUAACAAUUUUUUAAUCUAUUUUUAUCUUAAAAAAAUAUUCUAGAUAGAAAUAAUAUUCAAUCAAAAACUUUAUAUUCCACUGAAAUAUAAUAAUUUUUUUAAAAGUAUUAUACUUUGAUAAAAUUCUUUUUUAUAUUAUAUGGUAAAAAAAUUAAAUUUAAAUACAUUUCCUAGGCUUAGGUCCACACCUCUCUUUUUAGGGUUAAUUUUUUUUAUGCCCUUCCAAAAAUUUAUAAUUUCAUUAAAUUGAAUAGAGAGGUAUUAGUGAUAAAUUUGUAUGUUUAAAAGGGUAUAAAUGAUAGUUUGAAUUUUGGAGGAUAAUGAUGACAAUUUGAAGUUUUGGAGGGGUAAGUUGAAAAUUUCCCUUCUUUUUAAAGUUGUAGCGUAGAAAAACGGUGCUCUGGUCAAACGAAACUUUCCCAUCGACACAAUUUCAUUGUUUUCGACACGUCAUCCCCAACGUCACCACUCACUCUCUCUCUCUGAUCCUGUGUUCACCCUCCCCCUACGGAGCACCCUCGUACGCCGAUCAUCACCGUCCAUGUUUUAAUGAACGGCCACGAUUAGCAUCUCAUGGAAAACAACAUUUCUUGCACAAAAUACCUAUUAUCUUCGAUGAUUAUUAUUAUUAUUAUUAUACGCUAACCCCCACGUACGAUUAUUAUUUUGACUAUUGCAUAAAUUCUACUAUGGAGAUGUCAACAUUUGAGUCUACAUUAUUCGUGAGUUUACAAUUUAAUAUACUAAUUCCUUUCAAAGAAUAAUUUGUUAUGUUCUUAACGCUACUUAGAACUCCAUUUGAGACCGAAGAGCACCUCACGUACACUGCAAAUACUUUUUUAUUCAAUCUUAUUAAAUUUUUAUAUUAUAAAAUAUAUUUUAGAUGAUACUUUUUAGAUGAUGUUUUAUUCUAACAUCUUCAAUAUUUGUCAUGUGCUGACAUCAUGAAUAUGUGUUACCAACGAACAUAUUUUUGUGAAGUACGGAUAAAAAUUUUCCGAACACAAUAUUAAAACAUCGGUAUAUUUAUCCAAAUAUAGUUACUUAAUGAUUAGCUCUUUACUUGAUGCUUUUACAAGCAUCGGGACUAUUGCUACCAACAUAUUAAAGUGCCGUUAGUUAUUUUUUAAAGUAUCGUUAAAUAAAUAUUUUGUUGUAGUACAUGAAUUGAACAAAAAAAUUUAGAUUGAAACAUAUUUUAAAUUACCGACCGUCUUUGGAGCAAGUGACAAAUGGCUUGGUAGUUGGUACCCGAGGUCCCAAGUUCGAAUCCUAGUUGAUUCACAUUUCCAACUAAGUUUAUUUCUAAAUGAAAUAAACGAAACAGAUAGUGUGUUACCUAUCUUUCAAAAUAAUAUACAUAUAUUUUAAAAUUUGAACACGCUGUUUUGACGAGAAAUAUUUCGGAAGUUAUUUAACAUAGCGACAUUGUACAAGGUCACCAAAAUAUAUAUAUAUAUAUAUAUAUAUAUAUAUAUAUAUAUAUAUAUAUAUAUAUAUAUAUAUAUAUAUAUAUAUAUAUAUAUAUUGGAGACACCUGUUGGGCCAAUAAGGCGCGGACACAUGGUACCUCGGUAUAGCACAACAGUUACAUUUAAGAGUGGUAAUUUUUGUUGUGCACCGGGCGCAUCAAAAAAAGAGUACUGGCAUGAAUUAAGAGAGGUUACAGUAACCGUGAGCAGUUACAGGCGAUUUUGAUCGGCUGAAAGUGGCCCGAGAAAAUAGGAAUAGUGGCUGAUCAUGGAAGGCAAUAACUGAUCAACUGGGGUGAUCUAUAAAUAGGCCAAUAAUGACCUAAAAAAAGGUCUUUUCACUGUGAACAGAAGACCACCCUUAUUUUCUAUGUAAUUUCUUCGCAUUUUUUAGGAGUAGUUCUACUUGUAAUCUUUCAUUUUUCAGUAUUUACCAUUUUUUCUCUAGGAGUAGAAGUAGACUAGAUCAACCGCGUCUGUAUGCCCAUAGGCACACUCGAUCCCUGUAUUCUUUUCACCAAUUAGUUUCAAUAUAUUUAAAUGUUUUCGGCUAUUCAAGCCGACCAAUCACUGUAUUUUCUUCCAUUCGACUCUUCGGCCGACCUUAGUUUCUGUGCCGUCCGUACAUUCGGCUCAUCCAGCCGAAUCAAUUCUACAGUAGAGAUUUUGAACUCGGCUGAUUCGAUCUCUUGUCAGUCGAAUCGCUUGAUCCAGUCGAAAGACGCAAACUUCGAGGUCACAAUUCGAAGCCGUUUUGCUUCCUUGCAUUAUUUCCGAGGAGAAUUUUUGACCAGAUAAAAAAUAAGGACUUUUGGCUACCAACAAUACCAAAAGGGCCCCACAGGGCUUGAGGAAAGAUUAAAUAGGAAAAAAAAAAAGGUGAGCUUCGGUAAAAUAGUAAAAUGAUGGUCAUCGGGAUUGUAUUUGUGGAUAUGUGAGGGCCCACUUUUAUAAUACCAACUCCGCAAGAAAUCUCGCGUAAAUUUGUCGAAAAAAAAAACUCGCAUAUGGGCUGCUCCAAUUCGCGCGCUCGCGCACCACUCUACGUUUCCAAUUUCUCCUGCACCGUCGGAUCUCGAUCCAACGGCUUGCGAAUUGUUGGUUCCUCGCCAAGUCGCACUCAUGGACCCCACCGCACGACGUAUGCGAUUGCGAAUGCUCGCACUCUCCAUAACAAUUGUUAUAGAAAAAAAAAGAAAAUGGUAAACAUGUGUGGAGACCCCUCAACUAUCGUUCGUUUGAAAUUAGCCCUUUAACUUUUCCAUUUUUUUGGAUUGAGAUUUUCUUUACUUUUAUUUUUUUAAAAGAAAAUUUUGGUUACUUUUAGUUGAAAAUUUUGUUAAAAUUUAUAGUUCUAUUAGUCAUUGAUUACUAAUUAUUUUAGUUUUAUUUACUAAAAAUAGUUGUAAUGAUUAAAUUUAUUAAAUUAAAAAAGUUUAUAAGUAUGGAGAUCUCGAUAAAAGAUUUAAAGUUGGGAGGGUCGUUUUCAAAAUGAUCAACAGUGGAGAGAUUUUUGAUACAUUUUUUUCUAAUAGUAUCAGAACAAUGGCUAUGGACCUAUGGUACACUCCACAAAAAAAAAAAAAAAAAAAAAAAAAAAAAAAAAAAAAAAAUAUAUAUAAUAUAUAUAUAUAAUAUAUAUAUAUAAUAUAUAUAUAUAUAUAUAUAUAUAUAUAUCUUUUAUUAAAUCUAUUUUAAAUUAUAAAUCUAGUAUUUACUGGAACUCCUCUUGUGUCCCCCCUACGACCAGCCAUCUCUCUCGUAAUAUUUUCCACUCUGUUUGUUUUUUUAAAAAAAAAUAUUUUUUUUAAAAGAGAAUAAUAAUAAUAAAAAUAGGACAGAAGAAAUAAAUAACCAAAUAAUCAAUCUGCUUUCUUUGAAACUUCUCCCCCAAUAUUGCUCCCAAUUCUCGGCUCCUAUAUAAUCCCCAAUCCUUCUCACUGCCCCCAAACACGAUCCCUUCUUCUCGCUUCCGUCUGUCUCCUUCUUCGACAUGGCCGCCUGCGUCGAGAACUGUCGGACCAAGUCGACCUUCCUCUGCUGGACGACCGCCGCCGCCGCCGCCGCCGCCGGCGACUCCUCCUGCAAAUUCUCCGUCUGCUCUCCGCGAAGGAGCUGUACAACUCCCAUCGAUCAAUACAGCGACGGUGCUGCUGCCGGCGACGACGACGAAGUGUGGGCUGAGCUGCGGGACGAAGCGCGGUCGGACGUGGAGGACGAGCCGAUCUUGCGGCAGUACUACUCCGACCUCAUCCUCUCCCACCGCUGCCUGGAGUCGGCGCUGGCCGCGCACCUGGCGGGCAAGCUGUGCGUGCCGGGCGUGGUGGCCAGCGGCACGCUGUACGACCUGCUGUUCUCCGCGCUCGCCGGCCGACCUGCGGGCGGCGCGCGACCGCGACCCGGCGUGCGCGAAGAUGGUGCACUGCUUCCUGUACUACAAGGGGUUCCUGGCGCUGCAGGCGCACCGGGCGGCGCACCGGCUGUGGGGGGAGGGGCGGAGGGCGGCGGCGCUGCUGCUGCAGGGGCGCGCGUCGGAGGCGUUCGCGGUGGACAUCCACCCCGGGGCGGCGGUCGGGGAAGGGGUGCUGCUCGACCACGCCACCGGGGUGGUGAUCGGGGAGACGGCGGUGGUGGGGAGCGACGUGUCGAUACUGCAUGGGGUCACGCUCGGGGGCACCGGGAAAGAGAGCGGCGACCGGCACCCGAAGAUCGGGGACGGGGUGCUGAUCGGCGCGGGUACGCACAUCCUGGGCAAUAUAAGGAUCGGGGACGGGGCGAAGAUCGGGGCCGGGUCGGUGGUGCUGAAGGAGGUGCCGGCGCGGACGACGGCGGUGGGGAACCCGGCCAGGCUGGUCGGAGGGAAGGAGAGCCCGGUCCUGUCGGAGGGGUUGGCGGGCUUGACCAUGGACCAAACCUCAUGGUCUCGUGAUUUGUUGUAAACUGAUCAAUUAAAAAUGUAUCUGUUCUAUCAGUUAUACAUCUAUACGUUCCUUCCCAAUGCGGAGUGUGGGCAAGUAGGCCUAAGAGGUUUGGGAGUUCAGUGAGUCAUUGAGCUCCUCUGUUCCACUUUCACAAUAAAACGUGUAAUAUUGGUGUACCAAGAACCAGAUUAAUAGAAUUUAAGCAUUCAGUAGUUAACCAGAAUUGAUAGUAUUAAAUGAGGGAUUCAAAGCACUUAUUCAAUGUUUAGAAGUCAAAGAAAGAAACUUUUUUAAAAAAGAACUUUUCUUUUUAUCUCUUUUUCCUCAUCCUUGCACUUAACUGCUGGUGUACAGUGUUGCGACUUUGGUCACAAUCUUAACCUCAAUCUAUGAGUUUACUAAAAGUAGAUCAUGUCAAAUUUAAUUGAUCAAGACGGUUAGGGUUGGGCUGAAAAUGAAUUGGAUUAUUUAGAUCCUUCACUAGAAGUCACAUUAACACUGAACCAUAAAGUAAUGCACUAACUGUCAGCUCUAAUGAUCCAACCAAUCCAAAAUUAGAUUUAUUGGACUGAGAUUUUUCAACCUUAAUAUAGUAUAUAUACUAGUAUAUAUGCAAGUACUCAGUUGAAUAAUGCAGCCCUACCUGUUGACUUCAGUAUCCACUUCUAGACUACAAGCUCAAGCAUGUAGCCAGCAGGCUUGACUAUAUUUAACAAUCCUUAGCUUAAUCCAGUGGUUGUUAUUGUUGGCUUAAAUGGGUCAGCAUCCUGCUUUGUGCCGGAAGGUCAUGUGGGCCGAGUCAUGUUCGAAAUGACGUGAGGCUGGGUUGGGCCGAGUCAUGUUCGAAGUGGCGUGAGGCCGGAUGGGCCGAGUCACAAUCAAGACUCGUGGAUUCUGUAUCUGUACGCUUUAAGUAAAUUGAUUGCGUAUUUCUAACAGCUCGAGCUUUUGGGAUUAAUGAUUAGCGCCAACGAUUCGACAAGUGGUAUCAGAGCCAGUGGUCACGGGUUCGAUUCCCACAUGCUGCAAAUGUGUGCAGGUGCUGGAGAGGGGAUUGUUGGCGUAAAUUGCCUUGUGGCGAGAGGCCAUGUAGGCCGAGUCAUGUUCGAAGUGGUGUGAGGCCGGGUGGGUCGAGUCAUAAUCGAGAUCCGCGGGUGCUGUAUAAAGCAAAUUCUCCAUAGCUCUAUUUACAAAAUUGAGAAAUGAUUUGGUACUUUAUUUUUAAAAAAAUAAAAAAGAUUUUAAACGUUGAUUAAUAGAGGGUAAAGAUGUAAUUUUAAUAUUUAGCAGGUAAAAGGGUUCCUUCAUUCGAGAUUAGUUUGGUAAUUAAACUAUGCAACAUUUAAAAAAACUUUUAAUUGAUAUCCUAAAUUUACGCAUUAAUUUGCAAUAGUUUGGAUUAUAGAUUGAUUACCUAGUAUCGUUUGGUUCGGGGAUAAGCAAAAAGUGGCUAUUCCAGGAAUAGGUAUAAAUUGAGAUAUAAGCGGGGAUUAGAUCAAUUUUGCGUUUGGAUGAAAAUUGGGUUAUUUCUGGGAAUAAAAAAAAUAGCGUUUGGUUAGGUAAGAUUGAAUAAGAAGGAUAGUAGAUUUUAUAAAUAAAAAGUAAUGAUAUUAUCCUUUUAUUAUAUUUGAAUUUGAAUUUUUAAAAUUUUAAAUUUAUAUUUUUAAAUUUAAAAUUUUAACUUUAAAAUUUUAAAAUUUGAAAUUUAAAAUCUCAAAUUUUAAAUUCAAAAUUUUAAAUUUUAAAUUUCAAACUUUAAAUUUAAGAUCAAAUUUAAAUUUUAAAAAAUAAAUAAUCAAAUUUUAAAUUUAAAAAAUUUAAAAUAUCAAAUUUUAAAUUUCAAAAAUUUAAAAUAUCAAAAUUUAAAUUUAAAAUUUAAAAUUAUAAACUUUAAUUUUGAGAUUAUAAAUUAUAAAUUUUAAAAAUUUAAAUUUUUAAUUUUUAAAAUUUAAAUUUUUAAUUUUAAAAUUUUAAAGAAUAAGAGUGGGAACAAUUAUAAAAUAAUUUAUUAUAAUAAUAUAUAAAUUUUUUGAAAAUUCUACUUAAAACUUAAAUUUAAUAAAAAGAAUUUAUUAUAAUAUUUAAAUAUAUUUAUUAUAAUUUAUUAGAAUAUUUAAAUAAUAAAUAAUAUGUAUUAAUAUAGUACAAUUAAUAAUUUUAAUAAUAAAAAUAAUGUAUUUAAUAUAUACAUAUUAAAUUUAUAUAAUUUAGUUUUAGUUCAAUUUAAAUUUUAAUUAAGUUUGAAAUUAAGUAUUGGAAUAGCACUAUUCCACCAAAAUGGUAGAAUAGUAAAUUCAUUGCUAUUCCAGGAUAACUGAGAAUAGCAAAGUUUGACCGGGAUAAAAUAUCCCCGCCAAAUUUCAUCCCGUUUGGCAGAAUAGCGGGGAUAACUUUCGUUAUCCCCGCUUAUCCCCCGAACCAAACGGGUUAGUGUUUCUAUAGGCAUUAAUUUAAAUUAUAGGAAUUUUAGAAAUAAUUCUAUUUCUAAAUACGUUGAAUUUAAAUAUUAAAUAUUUAAAAAUUAAAAUAUUAAAAUUUAAGUUAGAGGAAUUUUGUAUUACUAUUGAAAAUUUUUUUAAUAUUGUUAAAUAUUUUAAUUCAACAUAUUUAAUAUAUUUAAGAAACUUUUAAAUUCCUAUAGUUUAGACAUUAAUUUUGUAUCACUUACUUAAAAAAAUUGAAUAUAGGUAAAAAAAUUGUAAAUUAAAUGUGUUUAAUAUGUUAAAAAAAAAUUCGAAUUGUUCUACUCUAGACAUUAAUUUUGUAUCACUAUUUAAAAAAAUUUGUAAUAUUGGUAAAUAUUUAAAUUUAACAUAUUUAAUAUGUUUAACAAAAUUAUGAAUUCAUCUUAGACAUUAAUUUUACAUUACUAAUUUUAAAAUUGAAUGUGGGCAAAUAUUAAAUUCAACAUAUUUAAUAUGUUGAAUUUAGUGCCAUGUGGUUUCUUUUUUAUUUUUUUAUUAUCAAUUCUAUUAAUUUUUUUCGUGAAAUUAGUAACAAAGUUAAAACUAAAGGGUACUAAAGUGAAUAUUCGAUAAACUUAGGUGGACUAAUCUGAAGUUCUUUGUAUAUAAUUUAAUAAAAUAUUAACGAAAAAACUGACCAAAAGAUAAAAAUAAAAUCAUAGGACACUAACUUGAUAAACUUUAAACCACAGGGUACUAAAGUAAGAAAAUAUAAAAUCAUAGGGUAGUAUUUGAAGUUUACCUUUGUUAUUUUUGGCAUAUGCCUCUAUUUGAGGAGAUAGUCGAGUCCACCUACUAUACUAUCAAUAACACUAAGCGUCUGGUGCUAUCGAGUUUUUUGCCGUUAGAUUAUCUCUUUGACUAUUUUUAUCCGUUAGAUCAUACUAUUCAACCAACCAACCACCCACUCAAAUCUAGAGAACUACUAUCAUCCUAACUGCACAUUCCCUAAUUCAAGAGCCGAAAACCUACCAGCAUCAAUGACUUAGUACUAUUAAUAAUAUUCUAGUCUAGUUCGAGAAAGUCUACUAUACAUAUUUAUAUUUCAUUAUCAACAAUCGGUCAAUCACAUUAUUUUUUUUAGAAAAAAAGUAUAAUAAAAAUAUUUUUUUAAUAAUCAUAAUGUAACAGCUGAAUUCAAAAAAAAAUAUUUAAUUUGUUGGAGAUGCUAACUCAGCAAUAUAACUAGCCAGUGUUUGGAUUGGGGAUAAGGGGAGGGAUAACCUCUUAUCCCCCUUUAUACCCAAAUGCAAAUUUUUUACCCGAAAAUAGUAGUUCUCGGUUAUCUAAAAUAAUCUGGUAUAACUAUCUACAUCAACACCUCUAUUUUCUAUACAUAACUAUUUAUUAUUUUUCUUAUUCCAUAUUAUCUAUCCAAAGUCCAAACGUCAUUUUUUUUAUUUUCGGGAACAACCAAUUUUCAUCCAAACGCUAUUUUUUUUAUCCUCAUACUUGUACUUAUUUCUGUAAUAACUAGUUCUUUCUUAUACCUAAACCAGACGCUUGUACGCUACCCUAGUGUAUGCUAAAUUUUUUUUCCAUUUAAAGGUGAAGGCCCACCGAAGCCAUGAGGAUCCAACACAUAACCCACAUUAAAUGGAAUUAAGAGUUGGAUCCGGAUUUGUCGUAAGCAUCCGGAUCCGAGAUCGCCAUUUAUCCAAACGGACCAAACCCUAGUGUUUCGCCUUGGGACACAUCACACGUUGGCUCCUCCUGUUGGUUCGAACCUUUUGUAAUUUUCCUUCUUUGUAUUUUCCUUUUCACUCCCUCCUCUCGAGCACGCUUCAUACGCUUUGCUCGCGCGUAUACUCGUUCUCGUUCUUAGAUUCUCGAAGAAGAGGUAAUGCAUUUUCCCCAAAUCCUUCUUUUUGAUCCUUCUAACCGUUAAAAAAAAGAAAUACUUUGUCGCAAGAUUAUUCGAUUAGUCCCAAAGAUGGGGUUUUUGCUUUAUUAUUAUUAUUUUUUGCAUAUGCACGCUUAUUGUUUGAUGAAAUGCCUCUGAAGAUUCGUUUGUGUUCAUCUACUUGUUUUAGCUCUGCAUAUAAUGGUGGGGCUCUCGGAGGGGGAGAAGCAUUUCAUUCGCGGCGGGAUCGCGCAAGACCUUCGAUCGGACGGCCGUAAGAGGCUUCAGUUCCGGUCUAUCUCCGUCGAGACCGGAGUCAUCCCGCAGGUUGCAUCUUAUAUUCCAUCAAAAAAUUUGCUUAUUGGGUUAAAGUAUGAGAAUUUAUUUCAUUCUCUAUGUAUUCUUUGUGCUUGAAUUUCUGGGGCUUCAUGAUAGGCAAAUGGUUCGGCUCGUGUUAGGUUGGGUGCGACGGACGUCAUAGCUAGCAUUAAGGUACGAAUAUUUUGCUCUAAUAUUUGUUUAAGGCAUGUAUGUAUUCAGCAAGUAUUUAAGCGCCCAUCGACACUGAUUGUGUCUAUUGGUCAUAAUAUGCCGACAAAAUAUCGGUACGAUACCAUGGCACGGUUCAAAAUCAUUCUUUUUUUUUUUUUUUGAAAUUAGCAAGUAGUUACAUCAAUAAAAUGCAAAAAGAUAUGAUAAAGAUAUAUAAUAAUCAAUUAGAAUAUAUUGAUGCAAAAAAAAAAAAAAUUCAUAUCAUUGCGUGUCAGCAUAUAGGUAUUUUUGUGAAUGACACAUAUUAGCAUGGCAUGUCAUGCACCAUGCUAUGCUGUGCCACGACACUUAAAUCCUUGGUAUUUAGCUGAUAGAGAGUGCAUCAUUUUUGCUUUGGUGGUAUUGGAUUAGUGUUGCAUCUUGGCGACAAUUUGAAUAGUGGUUUUAUGAUUAGUCAAGUGCGGUUGCUGACUAUAUGUUCGUAAAAUUUGCAUACCUGUAAUGUCGACGUGGACGAGUAGGUUACACUGUAAACGGCAUAAGGAGAAUCAACUUUAUUUGUGAUGACUGUUGACAGUGUUGAUUAAGUUGAACAUAGGAAACAGUCUUAGAUGGUUUGAUUGCAUAAAAGAGAGCUUUGUAAUGGACUAAUAAGGAGGAAUAAUCAAAUUAACAGUUGAUGUUGCUACUAGGAGGGGAAGAUCAAAUAAGGUUUGGCCUGUUUGAAUAUAUAUAAGUCGUGAGAAAAGAUGCAACAGCUUUUAGACUUUUGGACAUAACCCUGAAAAUCAAGCUGAUUACUUGAACAUAGUCCGUGCAGGGAAAUCCACAUAUCAGGACUUGCAAAGCAAAAAACCUUAAUGCAAUGUAGGUUACAUAUUUGUGUCCUUUUUAUGUUAAUCUUUAAAAAUCAUUCACUGUAUCGUGCUAACUUUGUGUUUUACAGGCUGAACUUGGGAAGCCAAGCAUUCUCCGACCUGACAAAGGAAAAGUGUCUAUAUUUGUUGAUUGCAGCCCUACAGCAGCUCCUAUGUUUGAGGUUGGCCGACUGGGCUGCACAGUGUGUUCUUUUGCUUUAAGUGUAGAUUGAAAUUUCAUGUAUGUUUGGUCAUGUGCUUCUUGCUUCUCUUGUUUGCCUCCUUUUUGCAUAUUUUAUAAGAAGGAAUGUAACAUUUUCUUGUAUAAGUUCGGUGGUUGCCUUUUAGUGUUAGUUGUUAAAUAUAAUAUUUGUUCCUGGUGUUACUCGGUUACACUAUCUUCCUUAUUAGUUCAAACUUUGUGCAUCUUCUUAGGGCCGAGGUGGUGAAGAGUUAUCAAAUGACCUCUCUGUUGCACUUCAGAGAUGCUUACUUGGUGGUACGAGCGGGGCAGGUAUUAAACUUCAGAACAUCGCUGAGGAAGUUUAUUAUAAAAAAUAUAGAAUAAGAAUGGAUGUACGAUUAUUAUUUGGUUCCUUUAAUGUCAUAUUAAUGAUAGCGCUGCCAUGCAUUAAAGGCCAAAUUAUUGAGGUUUGCAUCCCUGAUUGGUGCCUAAUGAAAAGCAUUCCAAAUGUAUUGUUUCCUCCGGCAAAAAAAUUUUAUCUUCUCUCUGGCAAUUAAUAUGCUUGUGAAAUUAUGAUUAUUGAAAUAUGAGGGCCUCUUUUACAUGCCACUGAUUUAUAUUUGAAUAAUGAAUAUAUUACCUGCUUUGCUGUUUCUAGAGUAUAAAUAUAUAUCGUCAGCGCAUGACAGAGUUACUGCUUUUAUUGCUUAUUCUUGCAAUGAUUUUGGUGUUACUGCUUUCAUCACUUAUUCUUGCAAUGAUUUUCAAUGGAAUUCUAACUUGCAUCCACGGUAACAUGCCUUCGAUGCUGUCAUAUCAUUUUAAUGUUACCAUUUUGCAUCACUUGCUCUACGAAGUGCAUGGUAUGGAAGAAAUGAAAUGCUUACUCAUUGCUCUCAUGUUCUAAGACAACAUUUAUCUAACUUGUGGUUUGUUAUUUGACUUAAUUGAUUCAUUAUGGUUUUGGUUGGAUCUGAAUUCCAGGGGCUGGAAUUGAUCUCUCCUCUCUGAUUAUCGUUGACGGUAAAGUUUGCUGGGAUCUUUAUAUUGAUGGACUUGUCAUCAGUUCAGAUGGUAAUUUACUGGAUGCGUUAGCUGCUGCUAUUAAGGUAAUAAUUUUUGGAUUGGAUUGUCGUUACUUAAUUCAGUUUCCACUGCAGCAUUCUGGAGUACUACCUUAAGUAAAAGAAGAAUCUAUUAAAUAAUUGAUCUGAGUUUUUAUGACCAAUUGUCCAGUUGAAACUAGGUCCUGAAUGAGAGUAUGGAGCUUGCCACUACCACAUCCUAUAAGUCUAUAUUAGGUUUUACACCUUCCUUUUAUUGAACUGUUUGGUGUUUUUCCUCUAUAGCCUAUUACCAUUGGCGUUAAUGUUAUUUUGUUUUUUAUUUUUUAUUUUUCAUUUGUUGCUUCGUAUUGAAAUUACGAGUUUGACAGUAAGCUCUAUGUUUUAUACUUUAGCUCUAUGUUUUAUACUUGUGGGAUAAGCCUAUUGUCGGGACUUGGAACAUUUUUCUGGCCAAAACUUAUUUUAGUAUUUUUAUUGUUUGUCCAGAUUACAUGGCUUUUUGUGCUUGAGACCCAAUUGCUAUACGAGCUUUAAUCCCUUGCAAUUCAUUUAGAGAAUCCCAAUAUGAAGGGAAAUCAGACCACAAGGAGAUCUUAAAACAUAAAAGGAGUAGAAAGAGGUUUUAAAAGAAGAGUUAAUGUCUUUUCUCACCAUGUUUAUUAUUUUUGUAUUGGGCUUUUGGGAAAUUGUAGAGUGUAGUUGUUAUUCAUUUGCCUCCAUAUAUAGUUAGAAUCUAGCUAGACAUUUCUUACUUGAAAAUUUGAAACUUGUGGAUUAAAAAGAAUUGACUGAGAGUAAUUAAAAUCAUUCUCAUGCUUUGGGAAGUAUUUUGCACCAUGCAAUAUCAACACAUGAUAAGAACUGAUGCAAUUUAGUUCUGUCAGAUCUGUUAAUAAAGCAAUUCUCUUUCUUUGCUAGGUUGCCUUAAGCAAUACUGGAAUACCAAAAGUUAGUGUUCUUGGUGCCUCAUCCGAUGAGCAACCAGAUGUUGAUGUCAGUGAUGAAGAGUUUCUACAGUUUGACACUUCUGGAGUUCCAGUUAUAGUAACUUUAACCAAAGUAAGUUGCUUUCAUUGAUCGCAAGUACUAUAAACUGUAGUUAUCGAACAUCUAUUAGACAUUGACCUGCUCAGUAAUCGAGUCACUGGGUCAUUGGUCAGAGCAGUGUGUCAACUGGUUGGACUGCUGGUUUAAUAACAUAUGAUAUAAGAUAUAAAAUAACCAGUCCAAAUUACAAGAAAAAUUAAAUUGUCUAAUGUAUUGUGUUCAAUAAAACUUUCGUGUGAUUGGGUGAGGGAGGAUGGCGAAUUGCUUGUUGCUCUAUGCAUUCGCAGCAUUUGUUUGGCAGUAAAAAGAAAAAAAAGGAAAAAGAAAAUUUGCUAGUUACUUUUUUUGGCAUCCUUUUCAUUUUAAGAUGUUGUCCUGUGUCUAGCUGCUGUAUGUUGCAAGCUAAGUAACAAUGAUACAAAACGAGAGGUGCACCCAAUCACACAAAAUUUGUGUUUAAUUAAAAAAAAAAGAAAAAGGAAAAUAAGCAACCAAACUAGGCCUUAUAGAAUAUAGCAAAUAAUCAUCAAAAAUAAAAAUAAUAUAAACCUAACUCUUAUCAUAUAUAAUGUGUGGGUUCAUUCAAAUAUUAUAGAACUACUUUGUAAGAACCUUCGAAAUUUGUAGUGAUUUCACUUUUAAGCACAUCUGAGGCUCUAGUACAAUGGUUGACUUCUUUAUCCUUCUCUUAUAUGUUGUGAAAUUGAAUCCCAUCAAUGGCAUAACAUGCAAUAUAUGUUUAUUUUCUCUCUGAAACUGUAAACACUUUCUAUAGGUUGUCAAAUUGAACCUUUAUAGAUACAUAUAGAUGAACUCUUUAUGACCUUCAUAAAAUAAACUGUCGGAUACUCUUCUUCAUGUGAUUCAAGGUGACAUUUUUCGUUUCUUGGCACCACCAAAUUAUUCACUUGAAGUAAGUGGCAUAUUUCUUCUUUUUACUAGGUUGGCAGGCACUAUAUAGUAGAUGCUACAUCAGAAGAGGAAUCUCAAAUGAGCUCUGCUAUUUCGGUCUCGGUGAAUAGGCGGGGGCAAAUAUGCGGGCUAACCAAACGUGGAGGCGCAGGAUUGGACCCAAGCGUCGUUCUUGACAUGAUAUCUGUAGCGAACAGCGUAAGCCAACAACUAAUAACCGUAUUAGAUUCAGAGAUCGCAGCCGCUGAAGCAUCCGAGGAAUGAGUGAGAUUUUAUCUGCUUUUACUAACAAGGAUGCGAAUACUUGUUGUAGACAUUAUUGUGAGAUCUAGUGAAUUGGAAGUGGUAAUGCAUUAAUGCUCUCCCAGAGAACAAUCCAAUGCCAAGUAUUUAGUUCUAUGGGAGAUGUGAUUAGCUUAGUGGGUCACUUGAUAAAUACUUUGCUUGCUUGCAAAUUGCAAUGGAUAACUUAACCUCAGAAGCAUCAUAAAUUCUUUUCUGAAGCUUUGUAUUGUUCUCAUUGCAUAUUCAAAGGAUUUUUGUUUUAACUACUAGAUCAGAUAGGUGAGAUCCAAAAGUCUUAAACCUUUCCCUCAAUAAACUCUUCUGAUCAAUGUGAUUAUUUCUUCGAUAAAGACAUAAAUGUGGGGCUGUGGAGUGUUUGGUUAAUUUUUGGCUCAGUAAAAAUGGGUAGAGUGCACCAAAACCCUGUAUAAUUUAGGUAAUUUUUUUGGUUAAAAAAUAAGUUCAAAAUAUUUUCUAAUCGUUCAAGAUAAAAUAAAGAUACAAAUAAAUAUAAGAAUUUAUAUCGAUGAGUAAGUAGAUACAAAAAAACAGAACGAAAAACCUAAUUUUCAUUUUUUUGGUCUUAGCGUAAGAUUAUAAAAAAUAUAAAAUUAAUUUAAAAUAGGGCUAAUUGCGUAUGUGUUCCUACAAAAAUGAUAAAAUUGCACAUAUUUCUCAGUGGCAGCGUAGUUGGCAAAUGUAUUUCUCUGUAUUAGUUGAUGGGUUAAAAUUGAUUUUUUUUCUGCAUAAUAAUCAUUCUGCUCUUAAAUAAACAUUUUUUAAUUAUAUUUAAAAUGGUCUAUUAAUUUUAAUAGUAGAUUUUAAUUUUUAUACUAUUCUACGUGAACUCUAAAUUAUAAAUUAUAGUCAACCUAUAAAAAUAUAUUCUAUGUAUUCUUUAAAAUAAGCAUACACAGGAAUAAAUCUGUGCAAAAUUAUUCUUAAAAAAAAUUAAUAGCUUUUCAAAAUAUUGUUUUCGAUCGCUCUCUUUCUCAUGCUUUAUUCAUCUUUCCGGUUUUCCUCUUUUCUCCGUACAAAAAAAAAAAAAAAAAAAAAAAAAAAGCGAACUCCCUGAUACCCAUCAAACGAUGAAACCUGCCUCGCUUCGCCGCUUCUCCUCCUCCGCCUCCUCCCCGACCCCGUCCUCUCCCUCCUCUUCUUCCGCUUCGCCUCCCUCCGAAACCCUAGCUCCCAAUCCCUCCUCACCCGCUCCAUCCUCCUCCACGCCCUCACCAAAUCCCGCCGCUUCCGCUCCGCCGAAUCCAUCCUGCGCACCUCCCUCCUCCCCGAUCGCCAGGUCUCCUCCUCGGCGCUCUUCGACGCCCUCCUCUUCUCCUACCGCCUCUGCGACUCCUCCCCCGCCGUGUUCGACGCCCUCUUCGCCGCCUACGCCCACGCCAACAAGUUCCGCGACGCCACCGACACCCUCCGCCGGAUGCGGGACUACGGCUUCCUCCCAAAGGUGCGAUCUUGCAACGCGUUCCUGAGCUCGCUUCUCCGCUUCGGCCGCGCUGACAUCGCCCUCUCCUUCUACCGGGAGAUGCGCCGGAGCCGGAUCUCCCCCAAUGUGUUUACUCUCAAUAUGGUCAUGUGCGCGUUCUGCGGGGCGGGGAAGUUGGAGAAGGCUUUGGAGGUGUUCGGAAAAAUGGAAUCUUUAGGGUUUAGUCCCACUGUCGCUUCUUUCAACACGUUGAUCUCCGCUCACUGUAAGAAUGGUCUCAUGAGUGGUGCUGUGAAGCUCAAGAAUUCGAUGGGCAGUAAGGGUUUAGAGCCGAAUGCGAUAACUUAUAAUACUCUGAUUAAUGGGUUCUGCAAGGAAGGAAAGAUGCACGAAGCCAAUAGGAUUUUUGCUGAGAUGAAAUCUGCGGGAUUGAGUCCAAACACGGUUACUUACAAUACUUUGAUCAGUGGUUAUAGUUCUAUUAACAGCAGUGAGAUGGCCUCGAGACUUUUUGCGGAGAUGGUGAAUAAUGGGGUGGAAGUUGAUAUCACAACAUAUAAUGCACUCAUUUUGGGGCUUUGCAAUGAAGGGAAGACGAAGAAGGCCGCUUACUUGGUGAAAGAGCUCGAUAAAGCUAAUCUUGGGCCCAAUGCGUCGACAUUUGCUGCUCUUAUUCGUGGGCAAUGCAAGAGGGAGAAUUCCGAGCGGGCACUUCAGAUUUACACAGCCAUGAAAAAGAGCGGGUUUCAUCUCAGUCGAGAUUUGUAUAUGUUGUUAAUAUCUACCUUUUGUAAGAAUAAGGAUUUUGAGGGAGCAGUGGAGGUACUGAAGGAGUUGUUGGAGAGAUGGAUGAGUCCAGAUGAAGCUUUAUUGAAAGAGCUUCUUGAGGGGCUUUCCGAAUCUGGGAAGAUCCACUUGGCGGAUAGAUUGAGGUCAGAAGUUGGGAAUGCGAGGCUCAUUCCAGAAGAUUACUUUACCAGUGUUCCUAAAAGCAAAGAAAUGGAGAUUACAUGCUAACAGAUAGAGGGAGAAGGUAUGAGGAAUGGAGAAAAUAAGUUUGCAUCCAUGGAUUACAAGGCCUGCGGGGGCUGACAAGAUUAUAAAUGUAUAAAGGUCAAUGCUUGAAGGUAUUGAUGAACAAGGCAGUUUAAUUUUUUUAUCUAGCGAACCGAGUUAAAAGAAGGCAUCAUUUCAUUCUGACUGCUGAAACUUCAUACAAUUGGCUCUAGCAGUACAAACUCCAAACUAUGAUAUUCUGAUUGCUUCAUAUCUUAUUGCUAAACAUACUAUGAGCUUUUAUAGUAAUAAAAGUUACUAGAGAGGAAAGCACAUAUACCUGCAUUUCAUUGGUUUUUCUGAUUUAAAUUGGUGGCCGGUUCUCUGUCAUAGCUGGUCUGGUUACUGUUCCCUUCUCUUUGAUAUGAAGUGGUUUACUGAUUUAUAAGUUAUAUGUUAUAGUCUGACUGCAAAACCUGUUAAAAAUAAUUUCCGUUACAUCUGACUGUUUGAACAGCUUCGAGGUUUGUUAUAUAAGUGUUAUUGAAGGGGACUUCCAAAGUUUUGGAUGGCUUCUUACAUAAUAAACUCAUUUAUUUGCCCUUAACAAUGUAGAGCAGCUAGGUUUGUUUCCUGCUGCCACAUGUACAUGCUACUGAUAGAAGUGUUUCAGAGGCUUCCUAAUUGCUAUAGCCUUUUUGCAUGCUCAAACUACUUUAGAAGACCUAAAAAGUUGCAUAUGGUUGUAUAUUAAGUCAGCAAACUUUGAAAUCUUUCCUUCGGCGAUUCCUAAGCUUGUGUUAGUGCAUUAAUGUUAAUUAUAUAGAUGACAAAACUGUGACAGUGGAUUCUCAAUGGAAGAAUUACUACCUAUGAGAUGGUUGCAUAGGGUAUGGAGUAGCUUAUCAAAAAUCAUUUCUGGCAGGUGGGUAUUCUAGAAUGAUGAAUUUUUAUUACAAUCUACACACUUUAAGAGUUAGCCUAGGAGGCAGGUAAGGUGAAACGGAAGAGGUCAAAGCGAUUGGCGGAGAUGACAGGUAUGUCUAUGAAAUCAGGCUCUUCUGUUUCUCUUACUGAUUCAAGGCCAUCUUUUUGCAUCUUGAUAUUGGUAUUAUUCCUUUUAUCUCAUUAUGCCUAUUUAUAGCUUGAUACUUCUGUAUUAACCAAUAGAUUGAAUGAAAUUUAUGUAAGUUGAUUUCCACCUAUUUUUGAGCAUUUUCAAAAAAUUGUUCUAAAAUGAUCUGGAUAAUCGGUAUUAUGACUUAUGAGCAAAAUAGUUAAUGAAGAUUUUUACAUCAUCCCUCAAGAUAUCUCUAAAUCUCUAAUUAGAUGGUUUUACUUUCGAACAAUUUAUUUUGUUAGUUUUGAGCAACGGAGAUGAAUAUUAUGCUACUUCAUUAAUUGUUUUGGAUUUUUUUUUUUUUGGGGGUGUGCUUUGUGCUUUCUGACAUAGAAUGGUGCUGCCGUUGAAGUACCGUGCAUAGAAAAUAGUAGAGUACUCUUGCUACGGGAAGCAUAAAUGCCUAAGGCAGAUUAUUUCGUGUUAAACAAUAAAGGAGAAUGUGAUGAAUGGUUGAAUCUUUGACAUGAUAGGUGGAAAAGUGACAUGAUAUGGGCAUCUUAAUAUUUGAACCAUUGUGUGUAGGUUGUUGCUCUUUAAGGCAAAUUAGGAAAUAUAACCUGUUGAACAAAGGUAAGUCAUUGACCAAGAUCAUGCAGUUAAUUAGAUAAACUUGCGCACCCACUUGUAAUUUGAGCUGCACAGGCCCAGAAUUCAAGGUGACCUCUCAUCUAAUCGCUUCCAAGACACUCUUUUGCUACCCUAUUUAUUUCAUUUCAAUGGAAUCUCGUGGCAGUACUUUUUAUUAUUCAAUUAUGUGGAGAAACUAAAUUCAUCUCGACUUGUUAUUUAGACAAUGUCUGGUACUAGAUGUUGAUCUUGCCUGAACUUUUAUAAUAAUUCUUUGGCGACCUAAUAUUUUUUACAAAUCACCUUUCUUAUCCAAACUUACGGGAAAGAGUUGUUCCUUGCUGCAGAGUUGAACAGAACUAGAAACCGUACGCCCUAAAGCAGUGGAAAGAGAAAAGUAACUCAUGCUGGGGAAGAAAUAACCAACAUUCUCAGAUUUCUUGUGCUCCUGACUGAAAAAAUGGAACUCUUUCUGGUAUAACUCAAUUAUCACCAAGUACAGCUAGAUGCAGCUGGAAAUAAUAUUACUUCAUGAAGAUUGUGGACACUAUCCAAAGCCUAUACAUAUGGAUCAUAAGGUGUGGCAACCAGGCACAGUUGAUGUUUCCUCCUCAAUGCCGCUCCAAAGGUCUCAUCCAUGCUUAUUAGUUCUUCAGGUCUAAUCCCAUCGCGAGCUUCCAAUUGAAAUGGUAAGUAUCUGAGCAAGCCCAAUUUCCACAUUUGCUAAUCCAAAUUCUUCUCCUGCCAUCGAAUGGCAGGUACUUCAUGCUUACCCCCCCAUAAUCCGCCAAACUCUGAUCGAACCUUGAAGACAUUGUUUGGUUGUGGAAGGAGGGGAAUAAGGGUCUUAUUCCUCUCCUUGUUUCCAAACACCAAAAAAAAAAAAAAAGAAAAAAAAAAAUCUACUUUCCCUCUUAAUGGGUUAUUCUAGCAUUGUUGUUCCACUCUUUUGGUGGAACAACAAUUCCUCCACUUACACCUCUACUAAUUUAAUAAUAAAAUAUAUUAAAUAAUGUACUAUAUGCUAAUUAAUUUACUAAUUAACUAGAUAAAUAAUCAACCACUUGAUUUAUUACUCUAAUAAAUAUUUAAUUAAGUAUAUGAGUAAUUAAUUUAUUAUUUAUAAUUAAUUAGAUAAUUAAAAAUAUAAUUAUUUCUUAUUGUGUUUAUGCAAUAACUAAUAUUUAUAUUGAUUAACUAAUUAAUAUUUUACUAAUCUAAUUAUUUUCUUAACUAAUUAUCUAACUAUUAAAUAAUUAACUAAUAGAUUUAUUAAUUUAUUAAAUUACUUGUGGUUAAUUAAUUUAUUAAUUAACAUUUUUGGUUUUCUGGUAGUAUUCAUGAUAACCUAAUUAAUAAAAUUAAACUAUUUUUUAAUUAAUAUUUUUACGUUAAUUAAUUAGCUAAAUUACUUAUUAUUUUAAAACUAUAAUUACUCUUAUCCUCACUGUUUCAAUCAAACUAUCUAAAUCUUUUUCUCAGGGGCAAUCUAAUUUUCAUCCAAACGCAAAAUUGAUCUCAUUCCUGCUUAUUCCAAGAGUUGUACCUAUAUCAGGAAUAAUCAAAAACAGCUUAUUUUCGAAUCAAAGGAUACUUAAAAGUUUCCUUCACCACCAUUUUCAGGUAGCUCAUCUUUGCUAUUUCGUUAUCUCCUGUCUCUGUUCGCCUUUCCAUUACACCUCUUAUCUCGGUUUGGACCUUCGCCAUUACCUUCGGAUGCUUGAUCAGCUAGGUCAUUGCCGACUCCAUCGUGCUCGAGGCGCUGUCAGUCCCAGCAGCAAACAUGUCCUGAAGAGUUAACAGAGGAGAUGCGAGGAGAUGGAGUAAAAAGAGAUGAUGGUAUUGCUAUGGUUUUGAGGUAAAUUACGCCGGAAUGCCUGAUCUAUAGGAUAAAUUUAAUUUAGUUUCUAAAAUAAAUUUAUCUUAAAUAAGGCUUGUUAUCAGCUUCCACAUAGGAGAAUGUAACAUUAUACCCAUUUGAAAUCAGGUUUCCUGUCAUUUUAAUGACUGUUUAAUUAGUGUCUUUUGCCACCUCUCAUAAUGGAAUUGGAUAGGAAUUGAAGUUUUAAGAGACCAAAUUGAUCGUUCGUAGACUUUGCCUUGAUUUAAAUUUUUAUUAUUUUGAAAAGAUUGUGUUUUUACAAAGGAGCGUAGCGAGACGCAUGGCAUCCAAUCUAGAUUCCUAAUAUCUGACUUUGGUCGGAGUGACGUGCGUCUCACUAAGACAUUCUGAAUUAUGUCAUCAGAUCUGCUCUGCACGGUGCCGUCCGAAGGCUGUGAGACCUGGGUGUCUCGGUGAGGGUGGUGGCGAGGGCUGUGAACGAGCCGCAUUCAAGCAUGCCGGUGUCAACUCAUGUUCGAACGCCCAUGUUCGACACGUUUAAUGAACGAGCCGAAUAAGAGGUGGCUCGUUAAGAUAUUGAAAAUUGGAAAAUUAGAAUUUCAAUCUAAUAACUAAAGUUCAUAAAACACAGGUUUAUUUUUAUUUGGAUUGGCCUAAAAUUCUAGUAAUAAAAUUUUUUAAUAUAUAUAUAUAUAUUAUAUUUGUUGAAAAUUUAAACGAGUAUGAAAGUGUGAAAAUAGAUAGCGGUGUAAAUUCUCACCUCCUUCGUAUUUAAUGCAGUUGAAGGAAUCUAGUUGCGUCAACGGCAGCUUCAAAUUUCAAUGGUCUUCAAACUUAAAAUACUGUAAUCCAACUCUGAAGUGGGGAGAGCAAAUGGGCUAAAGGCCUACGGGCCGAAUGGUGUAGACGAAUGCUGAAAUGUCAAUCAAGGCCGUGUGAAGUUCUGCAAAUGAUGUAGACGAAUGCACGAAUAUGUUGUUCGACAUUUCUCUUUUGAUUUACUCGUCGGCUUGGUAAGUAUUUUGAUUGCACGGUGAAGUCGGAGACUGGAGACACCAAAUCAUUGCAUUGUAACGGUAGUGAGUUUGUGUAUGUUGCGAAUGAACGACUUUGUUCCCGUAGAGGCAGCGUGAAAUGGCAACAAUUCGUCUUUACCAAUCUUGAAACAGAAAAUCUUUAUGCCACAAAAGAUUUUAUAUAUAUAUAUAUAUAUAUAUAUAUAUAUAUAUAUAUAUAUAUAUAUAUAUAUAUAUAUAUUAUCGUUUGUUUCCAGAGCAAGUGGCAAAGAAUUUUGUGGUCGAUAUCCGAAGUUCUAAGUUCGAAUUCUAAUUGAUNCGAAAGGAUUCAAAAUCAAUAAUUUUUAAUGGUUGAUAUCUGCCGUUUUCAAGUUUAACGGUGUAGAAGUAUUCAAAUCAGAUAAAAUUUUGAUACAAAAUUUUUUAUACUAUCUACCACAAGAUCAAUAUUUCUGAUCGAAAAUUUUAGUGCUAUAUCAUCACUUUUUAUAUGAUUUUCAUUUUCAGCCGUUAAAAAUUAUUAAUUUGAUUUUGAAUCCUUUCGAUUGCUAGGUAAAUGAUAUCGAAAAAUUGCAAAAAUUAUUUUCUAGAAACUUCAAAUACGCUAAAUCAAGUCUAACGGAGCCAAUCGUCGAUUUGGAAAUUCCAUCAUAAAAAAUAACUCGGGAGCACGGAGGGCUCCGUGCUCCUGAGAGCACAGCAGCCCAGCUCUCUCUGUCUCUCUCUCUGUCUCUCUCUCUCUCUCUCUCUCUCUCUCUCUCUCUCUCUCUCUCUCUAUAUAUAUAUAGUCCGGCUGGGAUCCUAGUUUGUUAAUUCGCGAAUUAUUCGCGAAUUAUUGAAAAUUCGAAUUAAGCGGUCCGUUUACGAAUUUUUUCCAAAAAAGUGAAUUAUUCGCGAAUUUUUGGGCCAGCCGAAUUAUUCGCGAAUUAUUCAUGAAUUAUUCCCGAAUUAUUUUCAAAUUAUUGAAAAUAUGAAUAAAAAACUUAUAAUUUUUAUUUUUAAAUAUAAAUUAUCUUAUAUUUUAUAUCUUAUAUUUUACACUUUAUACCGAAUCCUUUUUUUAAGCCGAAUUUUUCAACGAAUUUAAAAAUUAUAAAACGAAUUUUAUGCGUAUUAUAUUCGUACCGAAUUUUUGUCGAAUCCGAAUUAACUAACUAUGGCUGGGAUACUAUCGAUAGUACCAAACAUUUGGUGCUAUCAAGUUUUCUGCCAUUAGAUUUACCUUUUUUAUCAUUUUCAUCCGUUCGAUUAUACUAUUCAACCAACCACCUAUUCAACCCUAAGGGGUCCACAUUAUCCUAACCACACAUCUUUUAAUUCAAGGGUAGAAAACUUAAUAGCACUAAGUCAUUAGUGCUAUUAAUAGUAUUCCAGCCUAGUUAUAUAUAUAUGUAGAGUAGGUCUUGUGUGCUAUUAGGAGCACGGAAGCCUCCGUGCUCCUAAGCCGUUUUCGAUUAUAGAAUUUUCGAAUCGGCGAUCGGCUCUGUUAGAUUUGAUCUAGCAUAUUUGAAGUAACUAGAAAAUAAAUUUUGCGAUUUUUCGAUAUCAUUUACCUAACGAUCGAAAGGGUUCAAAAUUAACGGCUGAAAAUAAAAAUCUCAUAAAAAGUGGUGAUAUAGCACUAAAAUUUUCGAUCAAAAAUAUUGAUCUUGCUGUAAAUAGUAUAAAGAAUUUUCUAUCAAAAUUUUAUCUGAUUUGAAUACUUCUACACCGUUAAACUUGGAAACUGUAUAUAUCAACCAUUAAAAAUUAUUAAUUUUGAACCCUUUUGAUCACUAGGUAAAUGAUAUCGAAAAAUUACAAAAUUUAUUUUCUAAAUACUUCAAAUAUGCUAGAUCAAGUCUAGUAGAGCCGAUCGUCGAAUCAGAAACUCUAUAAUUGGAAACGACUUAGGAGCACGGAGGCCUUUGUGCUCCUAAUAGCAUACAAGACCUACUAUAUAUAUAUAUAUAUAUAUAUAUAUAUAUAUAUAUAUAUAUAGUGAGGCUAAUAUGCUUUUGGAAGCACGGAGCCUUUCGUGCUUACAGGUCGUUUUCGAUGUUGCGACUUUCGAAUCGUGGAUCGGCUCCGUUAAACUUGAUCUAGAGUAUUUGAAGUAUCUAGAAAAUAAAUUUUACGAUUUUUCGAUAUUAUUUGCCUAGUGAAUGAAGGGGUUCAAAAUCAACGACUGAAAAUAAAAAUCUUACAAAACAUGAUAAUAUGAACAUUAAAAUUUUAGAUCAAAGAUAUUGAUCUUGUUUUAUAUAGUAUAAAAAAUUUUCUAUCAAAAUUUCAUGUGAUUUGGAUAUUUCCACACCGUUAAACUUGCAAAUAGCUCACUACGGCCAUUAAAGAUUUUGAGCCCAUUCGAUCACUAGACAAAUGAUAUCGAAAAAUCAUAAAAUUUAUUUUCUAGGUACUUUAAAUACUCUAGAUCAAGUUUAACGGAGCCGAUCGACGAUUUGAAAGUCGCAACAUCGAAAACGACCUGGAAGCACGGAAAGCUCCGUGCUUCCAGAAGCAUAGUAGCCUCACACUAUAUAUAUAUAUAUAUAUAUAUAGAGAGAGAGAGAGAGAGAGAGAGAGAGAGAGAGAGAGAGAGAGAGAGAGAGUCUGGAGAUAAUUCUAUAUAUUAUAAAUAUAUAAUAUAUAUAUAUAUAUAUAUAUUAUUGAUGUUUCAAUAAAUUGUAAUAUAUCUAUUCUAUUUCAUUUUUAUUUAAGUUUAUUCUUGAACUAUCAUUUCCAUUAGGCAGAUUUGAAUUUAGAAGUAUUGAUUUAAAAAGUCGGACUUGAUAUUUCUGACAUAUAAGAAAUUGUCCAUUUUUUAUUUUUUUUUAAGGUACCGUUUGGUUCGGGUAUAAGCAAGAACUAACUAUUACUAGGAUGGACAAGUAUAGGAUAAGAAAAAUAGUGUAUUGAUGAAAAUUGAAAUUGUUCUCGAGGAUAGAAAAAUAUUAGAAAGUUUUAUAUAGAAAAUGGAGGGUGUUGGUGGAAUAAACCGAGAACUACUAUUCUCGGAUAAAAAUAUUAGGUUUGGAUAUAAAGGGGGAUAAGAGCCUAUUCCCUAUUCCUUACUUUCCAAACCAAACGGUCUAAGGGAUGCGCCCGUAGGGCCAAAUGCACACGUGUUGAUAAUAUCACUGGAUGCGUUACGUUAACGAAUAGGAUAUAUCUUCCCUUCCUGCUUUUCAUAUUAAUAUUUUUAUACUUCGGAAGGUUGCGGGAUAGGGUUCUACAGACAAGGCCUCAAAAGGAAAAAAGAAGUUUGGACAGUAACGUAAAUUUUGCAUCUUCAAUACCUUAAAUAUAAGGUGAGAAUUUCUAUCGAAGAAAGUUUUCGACGAAUAUUUAUUCAAUCUGUAAAAAUUUGUGUUAAAAAUAGGUAACACGUGACCACUUCAUUCAAUAAGAAAAUAAAUUUAGUAUAUUUGUAUUGAGAAGUCAUGACCUCGGAAUGAGAAACAAGUAGAUAGAAAAAAAAAAGAAAAGAAAAAAAAAGCCAAUGUUGAACUGAAAACAGACGACCCUAGUAGAGAAUUUGCCCCCUACACGCUACCCUCGCCUCCAAUCUAGUAAGAAUUGCCCCCGCCCGAGAUUCACUACAUUCAAAUAUGGGAGUUGUCAGUCGUUUGAGAAAUUCAUGGUAAAUUUGCACAACAAUAUCUGCCAGAGUAAUACUAUUCAUACGCUCUAUAGGGGGGUUGUAAAGCUACAUCCAUAUUUUUUCUAUGAUCCAUAUUCACCUACUUGAAGUCCUAAUACUUUUUUUUAAAACAAAUAAUUUCAUAGUAUCCAUCUUCUAAUCUUGAUUACAUGGAUAUCCUCCAAACUAUCAAUCUUUAUUCUAUUUAUGAAAAUUUAUCAUAAGUACCAAACAAAUUAUUUUAUUUAAAAACUAAAUAAAAAUUCUCAUUUUUCCAUAAUAUGUUUCGAUCCUUUUUAUUAACUUAAUUGAAAAAAAUUAUAAAUACAAUUGAAGUGUACUAAUUAAAAUUAAAUUAAUUGAACAUACCAAAAAUUAUACAAAUAGUAAAUAAAACAUAGUAUAUAUUAAUGCGAACAAAGAAGAAAAUUGAUUCCACAAAAAAUAUAAUAUAAUUUUAGUUUCAGAUAAUUUAUUUGUUAUGAUUAAUUAAUAUGGAUACCCAUAUGAUAUCGAUAAAAAAAAAUUUUCGAGUACAACAAAAAUGCAGUUCAAUAAACUGAGCCGACAAAUAAAGAUGAAGUUAUUUUUAAUAAAAAUAAAUUUAUGUAGCCCUGCACUUACAACUGCACAUAUUUAUCUAUAAGUAGCUAUAAUAGCGAAUUAAUUAGUUCCAAACAAAUGCAUAAUUAAUGUGCAGAAGGGGAUUUGUUAAUAUCAUGCAUUAAUGACAAGGACAUAAAUAUAUUGAUAAUUUGAAAUAUAUUCAUAAUAUUGUUAUAUGUUUUUGAAUGCCACGUUUGAAUUUGCUCCUUUUUUUUAACCCUAAAGUCCCGCGAUUGUAUUAUUCUGAAUCGAGUACUAUGUAAGAUGCAACGCUCUAUAAGGCACAUUUUUUGUAAAAAAAUUAAUGAAAAGUUUGCAAUAUUAGAAAUUUUUUAUUAACAGAUUGUCAAAAACCUCACACCCAGUUUAAUUGUUGGAUCAAUCUAAAUCAAUCUACCGGCCGUCCUAAACGAGUGGGCAUAGGAUUGAUGGUUGCCUAUCGAGAUUCCAAGUGUUCGAAUCCUAAUUGUUGAUUGACAUUUUCAACUUAAGUUUAUUUAUAAUAAAUAACACGAAACGGUAACGUCACUAUCUAUCUUUCUCAAAAAAAAAUAAAAAUAAAACUCUAAAUCAAUUAAAAUUAUAAUUUAAUUAAAUUAUAAACUCUACUUAAAGUGAAUGUAUGGUUAGGAUUCAAGUUUCCUAUGGGAGUUUCUCUUUUUUUGAUACACAGGUUAAAACCCAUUUUAUUUAUGGGGAUAUUGUUAGGCGACUAACUACUCUUUUUCCUGCUCCUCCCUCCCAACUCCAAAACUGCAGAUUGCCACCAAACUACGAACCAGCUCAAAGACAGAAGAUUAAUCAUCAAUGGUCUCCCCUCCUCGAUUCAUCUGUGUGGACCCCUUCCCCCUCCCACCUAAUAUAACACCACCAUUCUUCAGUUAUAUAAACCCCUCACCACGCAUCUCUACCUCACUACACAUAGUCCUCUCGAUCUUCAUACAUUUCUCCAGCUGUACCGCUCGCUGGUCUGUUGGGUCCUCGGCUCGAACAACGCCUCUCGGCCCACGUUCAACGCAAGAGUCGUUCGGAGGAAGCAUGGAGGGCCGUUCGAUUCACAAGCCGAGCGACUUCUUCGUUCGUCCGCUCUUCCUGGCUACGCGGCGGGUCUAGCGCCGACAUCGAGCGACGACGAUACUGGCUAGAAGCCGAGGGAGGUCCGAACAGGCGUGCCCACGCCGCUUACGAUCCCGACCCGGAGUCCACCUUCAGCUUCAUAUUAGAGAGGUUCACAGGUAACCACAAUCAAAGUUCCGCUAGAAUACUAUUGUAUUGGAUUAGAUGUUUAUAUAACACAUGCGACUGCAUGCAGAGCCUGGAAAGGAAACAGUAGAGGCAGGGAUCCGCGGGGUGGUAACAGGUCCGUGCCUGGCGACGAACCCAAUUGACAGUUGCUGGAGGUGCCGGAAGACUGGACAGUCCAACCGCAAGCAGCUGGCCUUAUGCGCCAAAGGGUUCGCUACCGGCACCACCGCUGGCAAGAAACGGCGUUCUAUGUGGUCAGACCCCUCCGACGAUGAUACUUGUCGACCCCGGCCCGGGACCGGCUCCGCUAUGGGCGCUUGAAUCCAGCCGGAGCCCUGUGAUCAUCGUUUUGGCCCGGAACGCAUGACGAUCCGACUCGCAGAGAGCUCAUGAUCAACCGGACAAACAUCGACGGGCGGUGCUGCUGGGACAUCCAUGAACGGACCCAGCUGACCAUACCAGAACAGCACAAGCAUCAUCACCACAACAUUCGGAUUAAGAACAUAGGCGGCAUCCGGUGCAGCUGAUCCGCACUCCUGAGCAUACGGGGUGAGGGGCAGAACCACGGCCGAUGGCAUCUCCUCGCUCGGCGUCACCAACAUCUGGAGAUCGACAUGUUGUCGAUUCAAAUGCAGGGGGACGGGCUCAUCUGACGUCAUCAACGGCCUCCACUGAUAACCAUCUCAACAGCACUUCGCGUACCACAACGACUGUACGUGUUUGCGUUGCUAGCUUCUUGUUUACAAGAAUAACAAUUUCUCCUUUAUAAUUAUAUAUAUAAUUGUAGAGUUGCCUAAAGUUUGUUCUUAUUUACUCAGGUGUUGUUGUGGAGCGCCGACAAUGACAAAUGAAAAGGACGCCAUAAUGCAGGUGACGUUGCUUCAACCCUUUGGGAAGGCAGGAAGAAUGCCAUCUCUCUCUGGNNNNNNNNNNNNNNNNNNNNNNNNNNNNNNNNNNNNNNNNNNNNNNNNNNNNNNNNNNNNNNNNNNNNNNNNNNNNNNNNNNNNNNNNNNNNNNNNNNNNNNNNNNNNNNNNNNNNNNNNNNNNNNNNNNNNNNNNNNNNNNNNNNNNNNNNNNNNNNNNNNNNNNNNNNNNNNNNNNNNNNNNNNNNNNNNNNNNNNNNNNNNNNNNNNNNNNNNNNNNNNNNNNNNNNNNNNNNNNNNNNNNNNNNNNNNNNNNNNNNNNNNNNNNNNNNNNNNNNNNNNNNNNNNNNNNNNNNNNNNNNNNNNNNNNNNNNNNNNNNNNNNNNNNNNNNNNNNNNNNNNNNNNNNNNNNNNNNNNNNNNNNNNNNNNNNNNNNNNNNNNNNNNNNNNNNNNNNNNNNNNNNNNNNNNNNNNNNNNNNNNNNNNNNNNNNNNNNNNNNNNNNNNNNNNNNNNNNNNNNNNNNNNNNNNNNNNNNNNNNNNNNNNNNNNNNNNNNNNNNNNNNNNNNNNNNNNNNNNNNNNNNNNNNNNNNNNNNNNNNNNNNNNNNNNNNNNNNNNNNNNNNNNNNNNNNNNNNNNNNNNNNNNNNNNNNNNNNNNNNNNNNNNNNNNNNNNNNNNNNNNNNNNNNNNNNNNNNNNNNNNNNNNNNNNNNNNNNNNNNNNNNNNNNNNNNNNNNNNNNNNNNNNNNNNNNNNNNNNNNNNNNNNNNNNNNNNNNNNNNNNNNNNNNNNNNNNNNNNNNNNNNNNNNNNNNNNNNNNNNNNNNNNNNNNNNNNNNNNNNNNNNNNNNNNNNNNNNNNNNNNNNNNNNNNNNNNNNNNNNNNNNNNNNNNNNNNNNNNNNNNNNNNNNNNNNNNNNNNNNNNNNNNNNNNNNNNNNNNNNNNNNNNNNNNNNNNNNNNNNNNNNNNNNNNNNNNNNNNNNNNNNNNNNNNNNNNNNNNNNNNNNNNNNNNNNNNNNNNNNNNNNNNNNNNNNNNNNNNNNNNNNNNNNNNNNNNNNNNNNNNNNNNNNNNNNNNNNNNNNNNNNNNNNNNNNNNNNNNNNNNNNNNNNNNNNNNNNNNNNNNNNNNNNNNNNNNNNNNNNNNNNNNNNNNNNNNNNNNNNNNNNNNNNNNNNNNNNNNNNNNNNNNNNNNNNNNNNNNNNNNNNNNNNNNNNNNNNNNNNNNNNNNNNNNNNNNNNNNNNNNNNNNNNNNNNNNNNNNNNNNNNNNNNNNNNNNNNNNNNNNNNNNNNNNNNNNNNNNNNNNNAUAGAAUUAUGCUACUAUACUAUCAAUAGUAUCAAGCCCUUGGUACUAUUGAGUUUUUGACCGUUGGAUGAAAGAAUGUGCGGUUAGGAUGAUAGUGGUCCCCUAGGGUUGAGUAGGUGGUUGGUUUAAUAGUAUAAUCUAACGGGUGAAAAUGAUUAAAGGGUAGAUCUAACGGUAGAAAACUCAAUAGUACCAAAGACUUGGUACUAUCAAUAGUAUAGUAGCCGGACUCUCUCUCUCUCUCUCUCUCUCUCUCUCUCUCUCUCUCUAUAUAUAUAUAUAUAUAUAUAUAUAUAUAUAUAUAGUAGGUCUUGUGUGCUAUUAGGAGCAUGGAGGCCUCCGUGCUCUUAAGACGUUUUCGAUGAUGGAGCUUCCAAAUCGACGAUCGGCUCCGUUAGACUUGAUCUAACAUAUUUGAAGUAUCUAGAAAAUAAAUUUUGUGACUUUUCAUUAUCAUUUACCUAACGAUCGAAAGGGUUCAAAAUCAACGGUUGAAAAUAAAAAUCUCAUGAAAAUUGGUGAUAUAGCAUUAAAAUUUUCGAUCAAACAUAUUGAUCUUGUUGUAAAUAUUAUAAAAAAUUUUCUAUCAAAAUUUCACCUGAUUUGAAUAUUUCUACACCGUUAAACUUGCAAACGGUAUAUAUUAACUAUUAAAAAUGAUUGAUUUUGAAUCCUUUCGAUUGCUAGAAAAAUGAUACCGAAAAUUACAAAAAUUAUUUUCUAAAUAGUUCAAAUACGCUAGAUCAAGUCUAACGGAGCUGAUCGUCGAUUCGGAAGCUCCAUUAUCGAAAAUGGCUUAGGAGCACGGAGGCCUCUGUGCUCCUAAUAGCACACAAGACCUACUAUAUAUAUAUAUAUAUAUAUAUAUAUAUAUAUAUAUAGAGAGAGAGAGAGAGAGAGAGAGAGAGAGAGAGAGAGAGUCCGGCUACUAUACUAUUGAUAGUACCAAGUCUUUGGUACUAUUGAGUUUUCUACCGUUAGAUCUACCCUUUAAUCAUUUUCACCCGUUAGAUUAUACUAUUAAACCAACCACCUACUCAACCCUAGGGGACCACUAUCAUCCUAACCGCACAUUCUUUCAUCCAACGGUCAAAAACUCAAUAGUACCAAGGGCUUGAUACUAUUGAUAGUAUAGUAAGCAAUUCUAUAUAAUAUAUUAUAUAUAUAUAUAUUAUAUAUAUAUAUAUAUUAUAUAUAUAUAUAAUAUAUAUAUAUAGUCCAGCUAUUAUACUAUCAAUAAUAUGGAGGCUUCUGAGAGCUACCAAGUUAUUUUUGAUGAUGAAUCUUCCAAAUCGACAAUCAACUCCGUCAGAACUUAAUCUACAUUAUUGAAAGUAUUAGAAAACUAAAAUUCAUAAUUCUUAACAUUAUUAUAUCUAAUCAAUGAGUAGUCUAAAAAUGAAAGGGCAAAAAUAAAAUAUCAUAAAAAAUUGACAAAAGAUUCGAAUUUAAGAUUAGAGAUAUUGAUCUUACUCUAAUAGUGAAGAAAAUUUUUUAUUAAAAUUUCAUUAGAUUUGAAUUGUUUGACAUGUUAAAUUCACAAAUGCAUUACAUUGAUCAUUAAAAUUAUCAAUUUUGAGACUUUUGAUUACUAGUCAAAUAAUGUCAAAAAAAUAAUUUUGAUUUCUAACUAUUUUCAAUAUAUAUAUAUAUAGGAGAGAGAAAGAGAAGAGAGAGAGAGAGAGAGUUGGGCUAAGAAUAUUAUUAAUAGUAUUUGCCCCUUUUUGCUAUCAAGUUUUUAGCCUUUGGAUAAGUUUUUUUGUCAUUUCUAAUCAUUGGAGUAAAUAUUAUAACCAGUGGGACCAUUCAACUCUAAGGCUCUGUUUGGUUGGCGUAUAAGAAGGAUAACAGAAGUUAUCCCUGCUAUUCCGCCAAACAAAAUAAUUUUGGCGGGAUAUUUUAUUCCGGUCAAACCUUACUAUUCCGAUUAUUCCUGAAUAGCAUGGGAUUUGCUAUUCCAGCCAUUUUGAUGGAAUAGUGCUAUUCCAAUGUUUAAUUUCAACUUAAUUAAAAUUAUGAAUUGAAUUAAAACUAAAUUAUAUAAAUAUAAUAUGUUUAUAUAUUACAAUACAUUUUUUUGUUAUAAAAAUUAUUAAUGUACUAUUUAAUAAUAUUAUUUAUAUUUAAAUAUUAUAAUAAAUUAUAUUUAAAUAUUAUAAUAAAUUAUUUUUAUUAAAUUAAGUUUAAGUAGAAAUUUAAAAAAAAUAUAAAUUUAUAUAAUAAAAAAUUAUAAUUUAUUAAAAAUAUUUAUUUUAUAAAUUUAUAAUUUUAUUAUAAUAAAUUAUUUUAUUAAUUGUUCCCACCCUAUUCUUAUUUAAAAAAUUUAAAAUAUAAAUAUUUAAAAUUUAAAAUUUAAAUUUUAAAAUUUAAAAUUUGUAAUCUCAAAAUUAAAGUUCAUAAUUCUAAAUUCCAAAUUUUAAAUUUUAAAUUUAAAUUUUGAUAUUUUAAAAUUUUAAAAUUUUAUAUUUUAUAUUUUUCAAAUUUAAAUUUGAUCUUAAAUUUAAAGUUUGAAAUUUAAAAUUUUAAAUUUUAUAUUUAAAAUUUGAGAUUUUAAAUUUUAAAAUUUUAAUUUUAAUUUAAAAUUUUGAAAUUUAAAAGUUAAAAUUUUAAAUUAAAAAUAUAAAUUUAAAAUUUAAAAAUUUAAAUUCAAAUAUAAUGAGAGGGUAAUAUCAUUAUUUUUUAUUUAUAACUACCCACUAUCCUUCUUAUUCCAUCUUAUCUAACCAAACGCUAUUUUUCAUAUUCUCAGGAAUAACUCAAUUUUCAUCCAAACGAAAAAUUGAUCUAAUCCCCGCUUAUACCUCAAUUUAUAUAUAUCCCUAGAAUAACCACUUUUUGCUUAUCCCCGAACCAAACGAUACCUAAGGGACUAAUAUCAUCCUAACCCUACAAUUUCUUAUCAAAGGGUUAAAAAGUUGAUAGCAAAAGGAGCCAAAUACUAUCAAUAAUAUUCUAGCCCAUCUCUCUCUCUCUCUCUCUCUAUAUAAAUAUAUAUAUAUAUAGAGAGAUAGAGAAAUAAAGAGUUAGGCUCCUAUACUAUCGGUAGCACAGUGGCCUAUGUGCUACCAGAUUGUUUUCGAUGAUGCGGUUUUCGAAUAGAUGAUCGAUUCCGUUAAACAUGAUCUACGCUAUUGAAAAUAUUUAGAAAUCAAAUUUCAUAAUUUUUUGACAUUAUUUGACUAGUAAUCAAAAAGUCCCAAAAUUGACAAUUUUGAAAGUCUUAAAAGGUGGAUGUGAUGCGUUUGUGAAUUUAACGGUGUAAAAUAAACCAAAUAUAAUAAAAUUUUUAUAGAAAAUUCUCUUUACUAUUUAGAAUAAGAUAAGUACCUUUGAUUUUAAAUUUAAGUUUUUUUAUCAACUUUUUUAUGAGAUUUUUAUUUUUAGUCGUUCACUUUUAAACUACUUGUUUAACAGGUACAUGAUCUCGAAAAAUUAUAAAAUUUAGUUUUCAAAUACUUUUCAAUAGUGUAGAUAAGUUUAACUAGGCCGAUUGUCGAUUUGGAAGCUGAAUCAUUGAAAACAACUUGGUAGCACGGAGGCCGAUAGUAUAGCAGUCUGACUCUCUCUCUCUCUUUUUCUCUCUCUAUAUAUAUAUACACACGAAUUUAUUUUAGAAUUUUUAAAAAUUAUCAUCAAGUGCAUCGAAGAUUUAAAAAUUGAACAAUAAAAAAUGAAAAACCUUCUGAAAAUAAAGAUAGAUUUUCUUACUUUGAGAUCGGAGCUAUGAAACGUUAUCUAAAUAGUUAAAAAGUUUUCUAUCAAAAAAUUCACGAGGUUCAAAAUAUUUUAUUGAUUUUGCAAUUUUUUGAUCACUAUAAAAAUAAUUUUUUUAAAAAAUAAAAUUUAGUUUCUAAAUAUUUUAAAUACUUUAAAUCAAUUUUAACGAUUUCGAUUAUCGAUUCAGAAUCUCUAUUAUAAAAAACGACUUAAUAGAAUGAAGAUUUCGACCCUUCUAAAAAGUUAGCAGUCGAAUUCUAUAUAAAUAUAUAUGUUUGUAUAGUCAGAUCAUUAUAUGCGUUGCAAUCUUUUUUAGAAAAUUUGAACAUUAUAAUAACCAAAUUUUAUAAUUUUUAAAAAAUUAUUUUUCAGAUCAACAAGUCACCAAAAAAGAAAAAAGAAAAAAAGACUAUACAGAGAUAGAAACUUUAAAAUAAAUAGGAUAUAGAAUCCAAAUAAUGGGGGUCCGAGUGACCAGCUAUACAUGGGUUUUACUUUGUCUCAUGUAUUUGCUUGAUACGGCGUUUAAUACCCUACAAGAGAACUUUCCUCGUGAAUAUAUAAAGAGCCCCAGCAUAAAUAAAGCCAAAGAGACCACAACACACCAACCCAAACAAACCCUCACCCACCUCUUCUCUCUCCUCAUCCCCCCACAACCAACGAUUUAAAAAUCGGGUCGGAUCAGCCGGUCUGACUGUUCUGACCAUAAUUCAGUCUAUAAAACAAUUUGAUUUAAAAUUUUGAACCGAAUAAGUCAAAAAAUCGCUUUGCAUUAAUCAAAUCGAUAGUUCAACCAUCGAACUAGCGAACAUGUUCUAUUUUAAUCAAACUAGCAAAUUUUAUUUUUAUCAUACCAUAUUAAAAUCCAACUGCUUAAAAUCAAUUUAGCUGAUUCUACUUUCUGUUAGCACAGACUAAUUUUAUAAGAAGUAAAACUUGAAAAUACAUAUCUACUUAAUUUGAUUUAAACAUCAGUAUUUAUAACUAAGUAUGAUACUAAAAUAAUUAUAUAUAUAAUUAAAUUAAAUAUAAUAAUUAAAUAUUUAUGACGUCGUGUUGACAUUAUUGGUUCAACCAGUGGCUAGUCUCAUUAAUAUUUUUAGUUCGCUAUUUGACCCGAUUUUUAAAAUAUUACUCACGAGUCACAAAAUAGGUAAAAGUGUACGAAGAACCCUUGGACUAUAGGGCGUUCUAAAAACGGCUCCCUAAACUCUGGCGGGCCUUCUUUUUUUUUUUUUAAAAAAAAGGGUUAAAUGCAAAUGUUUAUUUGAACUUUUGUCCAUUUGAAGGUAGCCAUUUAAACUUAAAAACUGUUAUAUUUGACAUUAAACUUUUACAAUUUAAAACCUAAUAAUCUAGAUUUAUAUUUCAUCAGUUUAAAAGUGAGUAGAACUACUUCAAUGAUCAAAGAAACGGCUAAGAAUAUGUGCAGUGAUGCAGACGACUUUUUUUUAUGUGAAAAAAUAUUUUUAUGGGUAAGAUGGACCAUGUAUAUUAUAUUAAUUUAAAGCAACUAACAUUAGUCAAAUAAUUAAAAAAUAUUUUUAUGGGUAAGAUGGACCAUGUAUAUUAUAUUUAAUUUUUAACUAUUAAUAAAGAGUAAGUUUUUUUUUAUUAUUAUUAUAGAACAAAAUCCUGACAUCAAAAAUAACAUGCGUCCUUUAUUAUUUUUUAAUUAUUUGACUAAUGUUAGUUGCUUUAAAUUAAUAUAAUAUAAAUUUUGAUUGUUAAUUAUAAACUUUGAAAAGUUAACUUUUUUUUUUCUAAGUCCUAGGUAGUUUUCUGCAAAUAGACAAAAGUUUAGAUCGCUUGAGUGCAUUGAACACUUAAUAUACAUUAGAGAUUUUUUUUUGUAUUCAUCAAUAAAUAUCAAAUUUAAUAGCUUUAAUAUCUGUGCAGCAAAUAAAUUUAAUAGCUAAUUCAGAAUAAGCUAUAGUUGAAGGGUUUUGCAUACAUUUUAACCCACAAUAUGUAUAUAUAUAUAUAUAUAAAUAUAUAUAUAUAUAUAUAGAGAGAGAGAGAGAGAGACACAAACAAAAUGAUCCCAAAUGAGGACAUGCAAAAUCGCCUCGGACUCGGAUCCAAGCAGCACCAGUACAAGCGCACACCGCCUAAUUUAUAACUGCUGCUGCUGCGGCUGCUGUAGCUAUAAAUCCACCCAAUGGCUCCCUUCUAAGAGAGUAGUUGGGGGACCUCACUUUUAGCGAUGCAAACGCGGCGGAUUCAGGCGCGGAACGAGUUUCUCGUCUUCUGCUAGCUUUAGGGCGGAUUAAAUUUUACCCUUAUUUAUCAUUUCAUUCGAAAUAGAUCGGAAUAUAUAAGAGCGAAUUUUUUAUCUAAUUAAAAUGGAUAAGAAUCGAAGCAGAUCUCUUAACCCCGUUUUGUUUUCUCGACGGAUAGGAACGAAAAGCAACUAUUGGUUGAACCUUGUCCACCCUGUUUGUCGCGGACCACUAAAGUAAUUUAACAUUAAUAUAUCUCAUUUUUACUGAACUGAUCCACUAUGUUUGUGAUGAAUUGCCAAAGAACCUUCAGGGUGCGUUUGGUUUGCGCUAUCUUUUAAAGAUUCCUAGUAAUUCAAUGGGAAUAAAAAAAUAUGACGGUGUUUGGCUAAACGCACUAAGUAAUUUAGUUGGUAAUAUUGGAUUCACUUGGAAAUAAGAUUCACUCCAAAGUACUAAUCUCAUUUCCUUGAGGGAGGGUGGGUAUUCUCAUAUUAAUGGAUUGGGGUAAUCAUAAUAUGUCUAAUCUCUAUCUUUCUUCCUACCUGUCGGCUAAUUGAUGUUAUUUUUCUUUACAUUUUAACCUUAUAUCUCUCUCUAAACUUAUUUUUCUCUCUAAAAUUCAACUUUUUUUUUUCUCUCUAAACUAAGCUUUCUCUCUCUCUCUUUCUAAAAUUUCAACUCUCUCACUCCCUCUAAUUUCGACUGUAUUUUUUUUUUCUAUUUUUUUAAUUAUGCUCUCUCUCUCUAACUUAUACUCUCUCUUCUUUUUUCUAAAAAGAUGUUGAAACUUUUGGUAACAUCAUCUAAAAUUAAAUAAAUAAAUAAAUAAAUAAGUAGUAUAUUUUUUGCAAUAUUAAAUAACAUGGCUAAUUAAUAUUACCGUGCGAACCAAACACAGAAAUUCCACAUUCUUAGUAAUAAAAUGAAAAGGAAUGAGAUUCUCGAAUAUCUUUUUUUCCUAGUAAUCUUUCAUAAUGGGAACCAAACGCACCCUCAAAAUAAUCUGCCAUUUAUCUUAUUUCUCCCGUUAGUCACCAUCGAUUUUACAGAAUAAGACAUAUAUUUAAAAGCCACCCCACAAUUAUAUACCUCUUGGAAUAAGACUCAUCAACUUAUCGUGGAAUCCCCUAGUCAAUAUUUAUGUUCUUUAGUUUAUGCUAUUUCUCUCGAUUAAAUCGAUAAUUUUGCUUAAUUUAAUCAUAUCUGAAUAUUUCUUCAUUAGGGUGAUGGAAUUUCAUGUUGUUAUAAAGUUAACGAUUGAUAGCUAAUAAACUGGUUAAUUUUGCUUUAAUGCAUCUUUAGUUCAAUUUUAGUUAUAAUAACAAUUAAUAAAGGACUCUGCACAUCGAUCAAAAGAACCGUAGUACAGCAGUUUAUUCCAAAACGGCCUGUAGUUGAUAGUAUCGAUCUCUGAAAAGAGAUUAUAUUUUACUGGAUGAUAGAGAUUGAAAUAUGAGAUACAAAAAUAUAAAAUAACCUUAAGUUGGCUCACAAUUGACAUCGUGGACCAAAUCCAAGAAUCUCUCUCUCUCUCUCUCUUCUUGUGUUGUGUAGCAGUGUAGCAUCCCUUAUUUGCAAGGAAUAGUACGUCCCUUCAUAGCUAUCUAUAUAUAAAUAUAUAGUGUAGAGCUGCUAUGCUAUCGAAAGUAUAGAGAAUUCGAUACUUCCGAUUUUUUGACUUUUAGAUUAAGAAUUAUACGUUGAAAUGAUUGCGGUUUCUCCUAAGGUUGAGUAGUUUUGCUAGGGUUGAGUGGUCUCCACAGGGUAAUAGUAUUAAUUGAAAAGUUAGAAAUAAUUAAAGGUGCUAAUCUAAGAGUUAAAAAGUCAGAAACAUCAAAUUCUCUAUAUAUUCGAUAGCAUAUUAGCUCUACUUUAUAUAUAUACACACACUUUAUUUGGUGCUCAUAUCUAUGCCCCACACAUACACUUUAUUUGGUGGUCAUAUCUAUGCUUGCUCUCCUCUCCCCAUCCUCGUGUUUGUUUCUCUCUCAUUGUCUUCUUGUGAUGCUAUGUAUGCGUGUAUCAUUUCUCAGCAAAGAAAUGCUGAGGGGACUAAACGAAAGCUUCAUGUCAAGUACUACUGUUUUAACACCCUUGACUUUCUUUUGUCCUUGUGUCAUGGCUAAAUUCUACUCUUGGUCCUCAAACUAAGAACGCAUCAUAUUUUUGUCCUUAAAAUUUAGCUCAAAUUUUCUUGAUUAUUGUAAUUAAGUUUUAUAGUGCAAUUUAGUUGACCAAACAAUGAGAUAUAAUUGAUGCGAUAGCGAUCAUAUAAUAAAAUUAGGGUUGAUGAUAUAGAAAUGACCAGUAUGCAACGUUAAGCGAAUAUUCAAUUACGAAAAGGGCCGAAAUAUAUACAACAGAAACUUUAGAGGGCAGAGACGAUUGAGCUCUACUACCGGUAUACAUAAAAAAGGAUAAAUUAUCUUUUUUGGUUCUUAAAGUAUAGGGCACAUGACACUUUAGUAUUCAAAUUUUAAUUUUUUGUAAUUUUUGGCUCGAACUUAAUUUAGAAUUGUUGCAAUCAAAUUUACAAUCUAAUUUAAUUAGCUAAAUUUUAUUGUAUCAUUGAUAUAAUGUGACAUCUUAAUUAUUGGUACAUCAUAAAUCACAAUACUACUAUAUUACCUUUAUAUUAGCGAUAUAUCAGUAUUUAGUCAAUAGAUUGGUUUAUAGAACUUGAGUGCAAUAAUUCUGAAAGUUGAUCAAGUAAAAAAUGGCAACAAAUUAAAUUUUGAAGACCAAAGUGUCAGCAGCCUCAUAGUUUGAGACCAAAUGUGCAAUUUAUCGAUAAGAUUUUUUCUAAUCAAACUUUUAAUAAAACAAUUUAUUAAUUAAUAUUAGUGCCAAAAAAUAUUUAACUUUAUUUUCUUAUUUACACUAGCUUAACUUCCAAUUAUUAUACUUGUAUUUUUUCUAUUUAAACAAUUUAAGAAUUUUACUAAAUUCAGCAGUAAUUCAGUCAGUGAUCUAAAUUUUUAUUUUUAUUUUUUUUAUUUUUUUUAUUUUUUGAGAGAAAGAUAGGUAGUACGCUACCUGCUUCGUUUAUUUUAUUUAGAAAUAAACUUAGCUGGAAAUGUGAAUCAACUAGGAUUCGAACUUAGAAUCUCGGGUACCAACCACCAAGCCCUUUGCCACUUACGUAACGGUUGGUUAAAUUUUUAGUUUUUAAUAAAUAAAAUUAUAACAAUCAAUAACUAUUAGCUAACAAAGCUAUUAAAUUUAAUAUAUUAUUUUAUUUAGUUAAAUAAAAUUGCUCAUCUAAAAUAAUUAGAAGUUGAGAAUGUAUUAAAUACCAAAGACUUUUUUACAAGAUAGGUCCAUAUACUUUUAAGACUAGCAAAAAUUUUAUUGGCUAGCUAAGAGUUUUUAAGUAAAAUUUGAGAAGUUGAGGGGGGCCACGGCUACUGUAGAGGUCUGUCGGUCCUUGACUGCCAUAUUACCAACACAACAUCGUUCAACUAAAUAAUUUGCAUGGUGAAGCUCGAUUACAAUAAUUCAGAAAAUUUGAAUAAAAAUUAUAAUAAAUUAAUAUUCGAAGAUCAAAGCAAUCACCCGCUUUUUAGUUCGAGGACCAAAGUUGUAACUUUGCCUUGUUUCAUGGUAGAGAAAUGCUAAACUUACAACUUUGGGGAUUUGUAGUCUUUACAACCUUCCAUCCAAUGCACCAAAAGAGUUCACCUAACCCUUUUGAUUUUAGUUAAAAAAAAAAAAAAAAAUUGAUGGGACUUACCCUUACACCCUAAAAUAGUUGAAGAGGUAGCGACACUCUUCAUUGUUAUAGGUAAAGUUGUACUACUUGUCCUUUUAACUGUUUUGUCAUAUUUAAUUUUGGUCCUUAAAUUUUUAAUUUCGAUAUUUGAGACCAUAAACACUUUUGAAAUUGUUUCACCAAGUCUCUUCACCGUAGAAACAAAGUUAUUGCAGGUGCCUACAUCAUCUAGAGGUUCUGAUCUUGUUUUAAAGAAUCCUAUCUCUUUUUCUUUAAAAAAUUAUUUAAUUUCGAUCGCUCAUUUUAUAGUCACCAGAUAAAUUAAAAAUUAGUCUUUAAAAAAACUAAUUUUUUUAAAAAAUUUACCUAACGUACGUCCUGGAUUAUUUUAAUGACAUCAACUCCAUCCAUCAUAUACUUACAACACUACUAUUUUUAAGCAAAUUUUUUUAAAAAAGUCGCAGCUCAUGGGUGAGAUAGAAGAUCAAAGAUUGACAGUGUAUGUUGCAUAAAUGUAGAGAGAUGCACUAAGUGUGGACAGUGAUUUAAUUAAUUUUCAAAUAAUAGAUAUGGGUAAGGAUUAAAGUAAAGUACUUUUAGAUUAUGUUCGGAUGCAUGAAUAUCAUACAUCUUCAAUAUAUCUUUUUGAUUUUUUAAGAAGUUUAUUUCGUAGAUGAGCGAGCACGAUCACAUAUUUGGAAUCAUAUAUCAUAUUGGAUUUUCAACUCUUUUUUUUUUUUUUUGUAAGUACGAUAUUAAAUCAUCCCUAUAAGUGACAUACAUAUGCUAUUAUACUUGUCGGAUCGUUGGUGCUAACUAUUAAUCCUAAAAGCUCGAGCUGCUAGAAAUACGAAACUAAUUCAUUUAAAGCGUACAGACAUAACGCCCACGAAUCUCGAUUGUGACUCGAUCCAAUUAGUCUCACGCCACUUCAAAUAUGACUCGGUCCAACCCAACCUCACGCCGUUUUGAACGUAACUCGGUCCAACCUGGCCUCUCGCUAUAAGACAGGAUGCUGGCCCCUAUAAGUCAACAACAUUUAUCAUAAAUAUAAAGAUAUUUUAAGAAACAAAAACUUAAACCCUUUGGUUUCAAUUAUAUGUGUAAGCCUUUGUACGUACUCAAGUUGCUAUUGAAUAAUUUAUUUCGAUACCUAAACAACGCAUUAAGAAUUUAUUAGAGUUUGAAAUCUUAGACUUGAAAUUUUGUGGUCCAACAUUAAACUUAGCCAAAGGAUUUANCAUAAUUCAUGGGGACCGUGAGUUGCAUGCCCACGAUUUUAGUGUUUUUUUUUUUUUUUUUUUUUUUUUUGGGGGAGAAAGGUAGUAUGUCAUCUUUUCAUUUAUUUUUUUUAGAAAGAAAUAAAUUUAGCUAAAUAAGUGAAGCAGUUAUAGACUUCGAAUUUGGAACUUCGAAUACGGACUAUUAAAUAUUUUGCCACCUGCACUAGAGAAGUCGGUAUUAUAUAUCCUUGUUAAAAAGGAAGUUGGUGAUGGUUGAAAGAGUGCAUGGGUUGAUAGGGGGUUGAUAGAAGCCCAAGGUUGGUAACUUGGUCUUGUUGGCCACUCAUUGGGUGUAUUAAGAAAAGGACACUCAUAUGUUUCUUUAAUUUAGUGUUAAUUUGCUGUUGACUUUGGUAUCUUGAGAUUAAGUAUUUGGGCUGUGAAUCCAAGGGUAGGAAGAUGUCACGUGGGGUUUUGGAGUUCUCCCUUCACUCACCUUGUGGGGAAAGGAAUCUCUCUUCUUAUGAUAUCACCAACACCAAGUUUAAAUACAUUUUUCCUAGGGAUAGGAGCAUUAAUUUAAGGGGUUGAUUUUGUUUAAAGCAAAAGCUUUUCUAGGAUCCAUCCAUAGCAAAAGUGAAAUGACUUUUUGGUAAAGUCUUGGAUUGACUCCUUAGUUAAAAGAAAUGAAAUGUAUACCCAACCACGCACGAGUCAUAUAUAAUUUAAGGCUUUCGAUCUCUGCAAUAGAUAUUUUACAUGAAAUUUAUACGGAAGUAAUGUUAUUAAACCGUAUAAAUCAAGAUACUAAAUAUUCAAGUAAGCGCACUUUCUUAACUUUGAAUUAAGUUAUAAUAAUGUCCAAAAUAUUUAAGUAAAGAUUAUUUAUUCUAUAUAGAAUACCUGUUAUAUAUAUAUAAGGAAGAUUUUCUGAAGUAAAAAACUUUAGAGCCUGAUAAUACUGCUUAAUCAAUUGCUUCUCCUUUUCUUUCUCCCUCUCUUUCUUCUUCCAUGUAUAUUUUCUACAUCAUCUUCAAAUUUUUGGCAACUCUGGUAGAAUAAUAAAAACACAAGAACUUAUAAUUAAUUUGAGUCCGCAAUAUUAAAUUCUAUUCCCAUUUCCCAGUUGUGUUGUUGUUUCCUCUUGUAGUUUUGCACUGACGAGCGCUGCUAGGAAAGACGGAUGAUCUGCAUGCGGCGGGUACAUGCAGCAGAUAACUGGGAAUCAUGAAUAGUGAGUGCAUGCGCGUGGGAGGAGAAAAAGGAUCCAAAGGGACAAGUAAUCCCUGAGAGAGACAAAGUAGAAUGAAUUCCCAUAUCACUUCCCAGUGGGUCAAACGCCACUCGCUUGGAGCCAACCAUAAUUCAUGGGGACCGUGAGUUGCAUGCCCACGAUUUUAGUGUUUUUUUUUUUUUGGAUAAUUUCGUACGGGUCCCUGACAAAUAUAUUUCUACAAAGUUCAGCUUUAUAUUUUCAAAUAUAUCAUUGCCGUUAGAAUCUGUUAGAAAAUUUUAAUUAACCAUAUAUUUGAAGGGAUAUAUUUGUGAUGACAAAAUUGAUUAUAUAAGCAGUUCUCUAACAGUAAUAAACCGGAGAGAUAUUUUUAAAAAUAACAGGACUUUUGUAGGAACAAUAUAUAAAAGUUGAACUUUAUAGAAAUAUAUUUAUCAUUUACUAUAUUUGCAGAGAUUUGUAUGAAAUUAGCCUUUUUUUUUAUUUACAUUGUAGUGCGUGGGUCCCACAAUUAAUAUGACGUUUGAAUUAAUUUCUUACCGUCCAAUGCUUAGAAUUUUUUUUUAUUCAUAAAAUGAUCUUGCUAGCUGUUCAAGGCGAGAUCGAUUUGGGUCUUUGGAUGGUAAUUGGUUGAUCUAACAACCUCGAUUGAUUUGCCUCAGGUGGAGGAGGAAAUUAUCUUAUGAGCAUGUUUUCUUUGAAAUAACUGAGACUUGAAAUGAGAAUCGAAAUAAGUUAUUUCCAGUCUUAGUGUUUGGUUUGAGAGAUUGACAUUUUGAUUUUCAUUCCAGAAGAAUUCGAAUUCCUCAAAAGUGACUCCCAUGCACCUUAUGGGGGGAGCCAACUUUGAUUCCAGCAUGAUUGAGAAUCUUUUUUUUCACUAAUAAUCAUUUGAAUUUAAAUAUAAAUCAUAUAAAAGUACAAUAUAUUAUAUCAUAAUUUCAAAUUUGAAUUUGAAAUAUAUAUGUAAAAUAUAAAUUUUAAUUUUUUGAAUUUAAUUUAAAUAGUUCUAAAUUUAAUUUUUUUUCACUUUGACCUUGAAUUAUGAUUGCAAAGUUAAAUACUAAAUUUAAAUAUUAAUAAAACAUUAAUUUUUUUUUGAAUUUCAAUUUGGACAUGAUUUUGACUUCGAUUUUGAUUCCUAUUCCGAUUUCGAUUUCUCUUUUGAAUCAAAUGUGUCCGCUGAGUAGAAAAUUUUGCUGAGACAACUUCAGCCCGGCCCCAAAUAUGAAUUUUGCAGGACGGAGUAGAUCGCGUGUCAAAGAACCGUCGUUGUUGUACAAAAUGUUUGGAUUUGAAUCCGGAAUCUGGCAGUCGAUCGGCAGGGCUGGGUUUGCAGAAUAAAAGUGUGCGCGCCUGCGGACAUUCUCAUGCACAAAAAGAGAAAGCCAACAUUAAUUCGAAGGUCUAGUAAGUGCAAAAGAGCCCCCCCUCAAUUGAAUAUUCAUUAAUUCUUUUAAAGAAGAGUACGUAGUAAAAUACCAGUUUCCUGAUUAAAUAAUUAAUGCUUUUUGCUUCUUAAUUUGUAGUUGCAUCAUAGUUUCGUAGAAUUCCUAGCAAUCUCAUUUUGGUAUUCUGAAUUGUGCGCAGUUGACUCUGCGGUCGACGGUCGAGGAACCGAUGUCUAGACAUGCUACGGGGACUUGAUGAUCAACAGGAUCGAGCCUGUGUGACAUUUCAAUAGUCCAACAUCGGAUAAAAAUAAAAUUGUCAUUGGAUAUAUAAGAAAAUUUCAUCCUACUAAUAAUAAUUGAAUAUAAGUAUUUUGAACUGAUAGUUUAGACUCAACGAAUUAUUAUUGUUAGUUGUUUGGAUCGUUAUAUUUGGUAUCAGAGCCGAUUCACUAAUCAGAGUCACAAGUCUCACAUCAUACCUUUAUCUUUGGAUUCACCCAUUUUAUUAUAAUUAUUAAAAAAUAUCUUUAUUGCGAUUUGUUUUCAAAUAUAUAUAUAUAUAUAUAUAUAUAUGGUUGAUUGGGAAUAGAUAAUGUGGUGUAAGUGUUACAGUAUAGACUUUCUCCAACUGAGGGGCAACCAGUAGUAGGUUUCAUCUCCGGCUUCUGCCGAGUCCAUGUGCAUCGGCAAAACUGCGAGAAGAAAUUCUCUCUUAAAAUUAGGCUAUUUAAAUUAAGAUAGACUCAUAGACUACCUCUAGUUAAUUAUUGUACUUUUAUGUCGGACGCACAUGCAUCAUGAAUGAGUGAGUAAUAAAUCUCAUCUGUACAUUCUCAAUGAUUAUCUAGCUUGAAAGUCCUUAGAAGCUACUAUAUCGAAAAUUGUAGUGACGUUGUAGUGUACAAUAUAUGAAUUUAUUAUACGUGCAUGCAUCCGGUUCGCAGCAUGUGAUCUUUAUAGGCGAGUACAUUUCAUCGAGUAGGGUUGUCGAUCCAGUUGAGGCUUCGAUCAUGAUUGAGUUUGGAUGAGUUGCAUCUCAUGCUGGUUGGGCACAAUCAUUUGGGGCAGUGUGUAUGGUAUUAUGGGUUUUGAUUAAGACGGUGUUUGGUUUUCUGUAAAAUCGGCAUGAAAAAAAAAUUUCAGUAGAAAAGCAAAACUUCGACGUUUAUUUGGCCUUAAAAGAAAAUUUUCAAAAAAGUUUUUUUUACAUAUUCUGACGAAAAUAUGUGUUUUCGUUUUCCGCUCGAAACGAGCGGAAAACGAAAACGAGGGGAGAAAUCGCGGCGUUGGGCGCGGAGAGGGCCAGCAGGCGCACGCUAUAUAUAUAUAUAUAUAUAUAUAUAUAUAUAACUAUAACCUGUAUGAAUCCCAAUGUUCGUUGCCCAACGGGCAAAUUCUACUUCACUCUCACCAUCAUGUAACUCUUCUCUUCUUCUCUUCAACUCAAAUUUUAAUAUAUAUUUAACGGUUCACUAAUCAAACUUUAAUUAGUUAUUUAAUGGUUCUACUAUCAUUUACAAUUGUAUCAUUUUAUCUUACAAUUAUUCAUUAUGAUCAUUUCUCUUCCUCCCACUAUAUAUUUUAAUUAAUCGCAACGGCCUAACCACCUAAACUUCCAUUUACUAUAUUUAAAUGUUUCAUUACACAUCCUAAACUCUCUCUCCAAUUAUUCAUUAUCACAUUUUUCUUACCUCCACCGGACCUCUCCGAUGAUUGUGAAGUGACGACCGAUGAUCCCUCCCGACCACGGCAAAGAGAAAGUGGCGCGCAUUCGUGAGAGAAAAGGAGGAAGGAAAAGAGGCGAUGUGUUAUACCUCCGCCAACAAGUGAAAACCUUUGGUGAAUGUAGCAAAGUGAGAUAUAUAAGAAAUAUUUAAAAUUUUUAUUAUUAAUUACUGUUAUGGUUUUUAUCCGCUGCAAAGCGCGGUUCUUUCACUAUAUAUUAAUAUAAGAGUGAGGCUACUAAUGCUUCUGAAGCACUAGCCUUCCGUGCUUCUAGCUCAUUUUCGAUGUUGCGACUUUCGAAUCGUGCGAUCGCUCCGUUAAACUUGAUCUAGAGUAUUUGGAGUACCUUAGAAAAUAUUUUUUAUUUUUCGAUAUCAUUUGCCUAGUGAUCGAAUGGCUCAAAAUCAACAAAUUUCAAUGACCGUAGUGAGCCGUUUCAAGUUUAACGGUAUAGAAAAUAUCCAAAUCACGUGAAAUUUUGAUAGAAAAAUUUUUUAUACUAUAUAAAACAAGAUCAAUAUCUUUGAUUUAAAAUUUUAAUGUCAUAUUAUUACAUUUUGUAAGAUUUUUAUUUUCAGCCGUUGAUUUUGGUCCCCUUCGUUCACCUAGCAAUGAUUAUCGUAAAAUCAUAAAAUUAUUUUCUCUAGGUACCUCAAUACUUCUAAUCAAAUUUAACGGAGCCGACCGACGAUUCAAAGUCAACAACAAUCGAAAACGAGCUGGAAGCACGGAAGGCUCCGUGCUUCCGAUAGCAUAGUAGCAUCACUCAUAUAUAUAAUAUAUAUAUAUAUAUAAUAUAUAAUAGUAGGGCUACUAUACUCUUAUGAGUAGUGACCCUUAUACUCAUAAGUUGUUUUUCGAUGAUAGACUUCCCGAAUCGAACGAUCAACUCCGUUAAAUAUGAUCUAGAGUAUUUGAAACUCUAGAAACAUAAAUUUCGUAAUUUUUCGAAAUCAUAAUAAAGUCCAUCAAGCGGGCAUAAAAUGAACGGUCAAAAUCGAACGACGUCCUAAAAAUGGAUGAUCGGAUCCCUCAAUUUAAGAUCGGAGUUAUUGAUCUUUAUCUAGGUAGUGUAUAGAAUUUUCUAUCAAAAAUUCAACCUAUUCCGAUUCUUUUCCACCGUUAAACUAGCAAGUAUCCCAUACCGGCCGUUAAAAAUUGUCAAUUUUGUGAGCUUUUGAUCAUAAGGUAAAUGAUGUCGAAAAAUUAUGAAAUUUAAUUUCUAGAAGUUUUAAAUGCUCUAGAUCAUAUUUAACGGAGUGGAUCGUCGAUUCGGAAGCUCCAUCAUCGAAAACAACUUAUGAGUAGUAAGGGUUCACUACUCAUAAGAGUAUAGUAGCCCUACUCUAUAUAUAUAUAUAUAUAUAUAUAUAUAUAUAUAUAUAUAUAUAUAUAUAUAUAUAUAUAUAUACUACUUAUAAAAUCUUGAGUUUUAAAUUCUUUUCUCUUUUCAAAAAUGUCUCUCUCUUUUUACUAAUACUUUCAUGUCCAGUAAUUUUCAACCAAUCAUUUCAAAUAAUUCACUAAAUAAUAAUUUAUGCUCAAAUAAAGAUAUUAAUUUUUUGCCAUUAGAUCUUAUCUAACGAUUGAAACUAAAGGUAUCUGUCGCUUUUUGUGAUAAUAAUACCAUCGCGUUUAUAUUGUAUCUUUUAUCUACGCGUUUCUUAAAUAUUUUUCUUCUCACGCGUAAGACCCGUACCCACCAAUCCUCAAUCCUUUCUUAACGCGUUUCUUAAAUAUUUUUCUUCUCACGCGUAAGACCCGUACCCACCAAUCCUCUACCCACCAAUCCUCAAUCCUUUCUUAACGUAAUAUCCGUGAAUUUCUUAAAUAUCUCAUCAAUCCAACUAUCAUACACGUUCAAUAUUUCUCCCAUACAAUACCCGCCUGCCAUCUGCGCAUAAUAUAGAGAAUGUUAAUACCCUCGCAUAUAAAAUUUUCCUUCCCUACCUAAUUUUAUCUUAUCGUAAUACUUAUCCAUACAUAACUUAUAUCUUAAAGUAUAUCUUUUUUAAUCUUUUUUUAAUACUUUCUUAUCUCCAUUUAUACGUUUCUUAAAUAUAAAGCAUAUCUUUUAGUAAUAUUUUAUUCGUUCCUCAUAAUCAUUCCCGGUCGUCUUCGCCACAGUUGAAAAGAUAUUUUGGCUCCACCUAAUUCAUUUUAGUGUGUCAUAAUAUAAUUUUCCAACUCAUUCGUCUUUUGUAUACUUUAUUUUACUUUUUAAAAUUUUUAAAUGCUAAUAAGUUUGCAUCCUCAUGACUUUUUAUCUUUCAUAUAUAUUAAUUGCGCAAGUCAUCGUCCUUCCGACACAUCGUUGUCGCCCUCACCAGCAGUGAUACGUCAUCGUCGUCAACUUCGUCGAUCAUCGUUGAUCAUCGUCGCCUUCGCUAGCACAUAUCUCAUCGUCACCUUUGUCAGCACUUCAUCAUCAUCCUACUCAAUAGAACAAUCAUUUUUCUAACAAUUAAAAGAUAUAUUUUCCCUACUUAAUUUUAUCUCAUCGUAAUACUUAUCCAUACAUAAAAUAUAUCUUUUUUUUUAAUUUUUUUUGAUACUUUUUCAUAUUAUACGUUUUAUCAAAUAUAUUUUUUUUGUUUUUUAAAAUAUAUUAUUUUAGUAAUAUUUUAUUCGUUCAUCAUCAUCGUCCUCGGUCGUCUUCGCCACAGUUGAAAAGGUAUUUUGGCUCCACCUAAUUCAUUUUAGAGUGUCAUAAUAUAAUUUUCCAUCUAAUUCGUCUUUCGUAUAUUUUGUUUUAAUUUUUUAAGAUUUUUAAAUGCUAAUAAGUUUGCAUCUUCAUGACCUUUUAUCUCUCAUAUUAAUUGCGUAAGUCAUCGUCCUUCCGACACAUCGUUGUCGUCCUCACUGGCGGCAACCCAUCAUCGUCAUCAUUUUUGCCGAUCAUCAAUGCCUUCGCUAGCACAUCAUCAUCACCAUCUUUGCCAGCACUUUGUCGUCAUCCUACUCACCGGAACAAUCAUUUUUCUAAUAAUUGGAAAGGUUUUUUGAUCCUAUCCGAUAUUUUCAAUCUAUAACUAAUUUUUUAUUUUAGUUCCUAACUUAGAUUUACUAUGUCACGCCCCGGAUUAUACUUUCCCCGGGCACGCCGACAAAUCCGCCGUAUACAAAGGAAUUUUCCCUGUAUACGUAGCGAUAGCUGUACCUGUAAAUCAAACACUACUACGAACAGUAGUAGAGAGCUGCUAGAAAAAAAAACAGAAACUAAACCAGCUGAGUUUCAUAUACAUAGUCCAAAUCCAAAAUACAAAGCUACUCGCACUGGCGAGUUAGGUCUACUAUGUACAUGAACUCGAAACAAAACAUCUACCUGCAGUAGGGCACCUCUAGCUCAGCACGUCGGGUAGGGCUCUAACUCGCGACGCCCUUGCCUCGAUCCUGGUCCGCAGACGGUGCAGCAGCCGGAACCUGUGGCUCUGCAAAAACAUAGGUAACAACUGGGCGUGAGAACUACUGUAAAAACAAGUAGUCCUCAGUGGGUACCGCCCAAAACAACAUCGGUNNNNNNNNNNNNNNNNNNNNNNNNNNNNNNNNNNNNNNNNNNNNNNNNNNNNNNNNNNNNNNNNNNNNNNNNNNNNNNNNNNNNNNNNNNNNNNNNNNNNNNNNNNNNNNNNNNNNNNNNNNNNNNNNNNNNNNNNNNNNNNNNNNNNNNNNNNNNNNNNNNNNNNNNNNNNNNNNNNNNNNNNNNNNNNNNNNNNNNNNNNNNNNNNNNNNNNNNNNNNNNNNNNNNNNNNNNNNNNNNNNNNNNNNNNNNNNNNNNNNNNNNNNNNNNNNNNNNNNNNNNNNNNNNNNNNNNNNNNNNNNNNNNNNNNNNNNNNNNNNNNNNNNNNNNNNNNNNNNNNNNNNNNNNNNNNNNNNNNNNNNNNNNNNNNNNNNNNNNNNNNNNNNNNNNNNNNNNNNNNNNNNNNNNNNNNNNNNNNNNNNNNNNNNNNNNNNNNNNNNNNNNNNNNNNNNNNNNNNNNNNNNNNNNNNNNNNNNNNNNNNNNNNNNNNNNNNNNNNNNNNNNNNNNNNNNNNNNNNNNNNNNNNNNNNNNNNNNNNNNNNNNNNNNNNNNNNNNNNNNNNNNNNNNNNNNNNNNNNNNNNNNNNNNNNNNNNNNNNNNNNNNNNNNNNNNNNNNNNNNNNNNNNNNNNNNNNNNNNNNNNNNNNNNNNNNNNNNNNNNNNNNNNNNNNNNNNNNNNNNNNGCUGCGCCCGUAAACGGCACCGGCGGAACUCACCUACCACCCUGCCACGCGUCGAAGCAAGCGAUAUUUACGAGGUGAAAUUUCCGGACCCACUUCUGGGCGCCCGGAACAUGGGAUCCGAAUUGGCUUCCAGUUUCAGUUAAAUUAAACACUCGUUUCUGGGCGACCCUAAACAUUUUCUGGGCGCCCGAAUCUGGCAAAACUCCAGUUUUGCUUAUUUGAGUGCGCCGAGUCCAAUUCUGCAUCCAAUUCGUGCAGAAUUGACUCCGACUCAGUCCGACACUCUCCAGAGAUGUCGACCAGUCUAAAAUACUGAAGCCAAUCCUAUCCAAAGCUCAGGAACACUACAUACUAAGUGCACGUGAAAUACACAUUGCAUAAAAUAUUAAAAAUAUAAUGUAUAUUGUUCAAAAUUUUUGAAAAACUAAAUGCAUAACUUUUAAUUUUUUUAAAAAAUAUAAUUUUUUCAAACUUCUAAUAGACGUAGAUUAUGUUUUACGAAAACUUAAAAACCAAAUAAUAUUAAAAAUUCUUUUACAAAUAAAAAAAUUCUUUAAACGUACUGAUAUUAGGAAAAAACUCAAAACAAUAUAAUAAUUUAAAAUCAUAAUAAAUGGAAUAGCUCAAUAUGCCAUACAUCAUAUAUGAUUAUAUAUAUAUAUAUAUAUAUAUAUAUAUAUGCAUUACACAAUUUAUUUAUUCAAAAAUAAUAAAAUAUUUUUUUAAAAUUUAAAAAGAUAAAAUAUUAACAAUAUUUAAAUUUUAAAUAGGUCAUAAAAAUUUAAUAUGAUCAAAAUAUAUUACUAUAUACGAAGAAGAAGAUUUUAAAAAAGUGCAUAGAUUCAAAAAAAAAAAUUUAUAUUAUUUAAAGUGCACAUAUUGAGAAAAUGAUGUAUACUCGGUUUGUACAAUAAAAUUAAAAAUCAAAAUAACAAAAGAAUUCUGUAGAUUUGAAAAGUUUUGCAUCUUAAAAUUCGAAUAAUAUAAUAAUCAUACGAAUUCGAAAAGAUUUACAUUCUAUUAUCUAUACUAUUUAUAAGAGAGUGAGUUCUUACAUUUUUUUUGCCAAAAUGUCAUUCACAUAUAAGUUAAUCCCACUCCAUUUUAAUUAAUAUAAUCCAUUUUUUUUGAAAUAAGUUACUUACAGUUGUAGAAUUUGAGUUUUUUCUAUAAAAUUAUAGUUAAUCAACACCAUCAAAUCUAAUCCAACGGUUAAAAUAUAAAGUCUUUGUCGUUAUUUCUACCAAAAAAUCUCUCUAUUUUUUAAUUAUUUUAAUUUUUUUGGAAAUUCAUUCGUUUCGCUCGCUAUUACAUAGCGUGCAUGUUUUUAAAAAUAAAUAACUCUCUUCACGUUUUCUCUCUCACGAAAUGGAGGCCGACGUCCAGGUCAAGACGGCCUGUCGCCUACGCCACCAGCGGCAGGCCCUUUGUGCUUGUGCUCGCCCUAAGGGGCUCUCGCUGCCUCCCACUCAGUCCCCAUCACAACUCUAUCUCUUUCUUUCAAUCCCUCAUCCCAUCAGAAAGAGAUGGAGUGCUUGUGCUCGCCCUAAGGGGCUCUCGCUGCCUCCCACUCAGUCCCCAUCACAACUCUAUCUCUUCCUUUCAAUCCCUCAUCCUAUCAGAAAGAGAUGGAGAGACCCCCUAGAGUAUAGGCAAUUUUGAAAUACACUUCUCAACUUUUUAUUUAUUUUUUUAAUUCAAUAUCUUAUCUGCUUAUAUUAUUUUACUGAUUAAUUGUCUCAAUGAAAAAAAAAAUUAGGAGACUAAAUCGCAAAUGAUCUAAAGAUGAGGGGCUGUUAUACAUUUUUAUCUAAAAAAUGCACUACAACACAUUUUUCAUAAAAGAUUCUACCAUAUAAUUCAAGACAGAAAAACUCUCUUCUACUGUAGAUGAUUUCCAAGCCGACUACUCAACUAUUAUAUAUCACAUCUUUCAUAAAAAAAUGAACCAUAUGAUUCAAAAUCGAGAAACCCCUAUAAUUAUAGGUGACUUUGAAAUAAAACCCCCUCACUAUAGCUUACUUUGAAAUAGAGCCCUCAACAAUUAUGUAUUUAUUUUUAAUUGAUAUCUUUCUAACUUUUAUAUUUUAUUAAUUAAUUAAUUAAUUCUGUUUUAUUUGAUAUAGCGCAGUUAAUUAAUCUAUUUUCUAAAAUUUAGUAUUUACUAUUUAGAAUUUAAAAAAUUUGGUUAAAAUUUUAGUUUAUUUGGCUAAAUUAGUAAUUAUGUGUAUAUUAAUAAAAAAUAAAUUGCCUAAAGAUGAGAAAGAGUUUGUACAUUUUUAUAUAAAUAAAUUAUAUAAUUUUUUACCAAUUAAUUAGAUCUCUAACGUGUAACAUUUGCAUGGAAACUAAAUAAUAUAUAGAAAAAGAAUAUUCCAAGGAGAUUUUAUUAAUUAAUAAUGUUUUGGAUACUGUUUGAUUUUAAAUUUUGCCUGAAUUAUUUUUAGUAUGUAAAUUGUUGAAUACUUUAUCGGUCAUUUAAUAGCAAAAAAAAUUAGGGGACUGAUUUAUAAGUGGCCUAAAGAUUGAGGGUCUUCAACCAUCUUUUCAUCGUAAAAAAUGAUAAAUGAUAUAAUUUAUAUUUAUUAAAGGGGUCUCAAAUAUAAAAGCUUUUGAAUACAAAAUAAAACAGUAUGAAUGACAAUGGCCUAAAUUAUUUUUGUAUAAAAGGUUUGCAUGACUUAAAUAAUUUUUGGCAUGAUUUAUAUAAUUAAAGGGAUUUCAUGUAUAAAUAUUAUUUUUGGCCCCAAAAAAGUGGAUCUUUUAUAAAUAGUAUAAAAAAAAAAAAAAAAUUUGGCUACAUGUAGAGAUCUAAAAUUUAAUUUAUGUAUAUGAUCAAUUGGAUAAUAAUUUUUUUACUAUCUUAUGCAGAUAUAAUAAUUAAAUUAUAAAUAUUUACAGAUAAUUUAUUUAAAAAUUAUAUAUUACAUAUCAAUCAUGUUCGAUUUUAAUUAUUUUGAAAUUUUUUUUUUAUUUUUUUUAAAUAUAUGACGUGCAUUGCACGUGCACUUCUAUAGUUAAAUUAUAUUAUUAAUUAUAUAUAUAAUAUAUAUUAUAUAGGUAUGAGGCUACUUACUAUCGUGAAGCUGCGGAGCGUCUCACGUGUAGCAGGUCCGAGUGAGCGGGGGGGAGCUUUUCGGGGGGCGAUGUUUGCGAGCCUCUGGAGGAUCGUAGCGGAUGGGGGCGCGUCGGUUAACACUUGCAAUCUCGUGAGUAUUUGAAGUACUAGAAAAUAAAAUUUUAUGAUUUUACGAAUUCAUUUGACCUAGGUAGAACGAUAAGGGCGGACUUCAAAUCAGGACUUCGGUCUGAAAAUUAAAAAAUUUAAAGAAUUAUAGGGAGAGGGGUAUGAUCAUUAAGAGGUUUGUAAUUCAAAGCUUAUUAGAAUCUUCGUUUUAUAUUGAGUAUAGAACUUUUCUAUCAAAUAUUUCAGUGAUUUAAUAUUUUUCACGGUUAAGCUAGUAAACGGGUCACUCCGGCCAUUGAAUUUGUUGAUUUUGAGGGCCGGUAGUGUCGUGAGUCACUAGGCAUAAUAUAUGCAAAAAAAUAUAAAAUUUAUUUCUUAGGUUACUCCAGGAGAUAACUUGCUGAGAGCGUAAGUUUAGAGCGAGCGCGGGAUAGUCACGUGUCGAAAGUCGCGAACAGUCGGAAAAGAAGGUGAGAACACGGGAAGUGCCGCUUCGGAAGUGAUAGUGGCCUCACUCACGGGUAUUAUGAGAGGGGCUGACGGUAUGAGUAGGUCGGGAGACGCGGAGGCUUCCGGCGGCGGUGCUUUCAUGCAAAUUUGUUGGUCGAAAUGGUAUAGUGAAGUAUAAUAAUUAUAUAUUUACAAGCACCAAGUACUUUGUACUUUUACAAGCACCAUAGACAGACUAUAUAUAUAUAUAGUUGAGUUGGAAUGCUAUUGGUAGAAAACUAGCUCCGUUGCCAUCAAUUUGUUUUCGAUAAUGAAGCUCUUAAAUUGACGAUCGGCACUGUUGAAUAUGAUCUUACCACUUGAAGUAUCUAGAAACCAAAUUUCAAAUCAUUUUGAUAUCAUUGACCUAAUGAUCAAAGGGCUUUAAAAUUUGUAAUUUUAAUGGUAGAUAUGAGGCGUUUUCUCGUUUAACAGUGUAAAGCUGUCCAAAUCAAUUGAAUUUUGAUGAGAAAAUUCUUUAAACUAUUUAGAAUAAAAUUUAUACUCUCGAUCUUGAUUACAAAAUCCAUAUCAUCAUUUUUUUAAGGAUAUUCAUUUUCAGUCAUUCAUUCUUACGCCCACUUGAUAGACAAGAGAAUAAUAUCGGAAAAGUAUAAAAUUUGAUUUCUAGAUAUUUGAAGUGGUAUAGAUCAUAUUCAACGGUACCGAUCGUCGAUUUGGAGGCUUUAUCAUCGAAAACAAAUGGGUGGCAACGGAGCUUGUUUGCUACCGGUAGUAUUCUAGCUCAACUCUCUAUAUAUAUACCCUUAUUAUCAUUCUUUCCGAAAAAAUUUUCUAGUUAACUUUGUCAGAUAUCUAAAAUAAUAGUAUUGUUGGAUAUAAAUAUAAAAUAUACUUACGGUAACUCAAAAUCUUCCUGCUCUGAGCGCGAUAACCGUAUUCCCAUAAAGUAUAAAUCUAAAUUUAGAUUUAAAUUUUAUAAAAAUAUAAUACUUAGAAAAGUGUAAAAAUUUGCUAUCACCUCGCAUACAUCAGAAUAAUGCAACAGGAUGUGUAAUAAUAUAUGCGACGAGUGAAAAAUAAUAGUACAACAUGACUAGUUGUUUCCAGAGUACUUACUAUCUCAAACUCUACUCAUCUAUCGCGCAGUCCGCUUUCGACCCACUAUCCAAUCCUAUUUGCAAAAUAUACUGAACACGCAUACCAAGUGAUCAGGAUAAUAUCCUAGAAAGUUUUUAAUAUUUUAAUUAAUCGAUGAUGUAAGUGUUCAGUAGUAAUACAAAAAUUUAUUUUACCAAUAUACUGAUGAAUAUCAAUUGAAUCUAUGGAAUAAAUUAAACCAAAUCACGUCACGUGCGGAUGAUACUAAUAAGUCUACAAGCACCUUACAUAUUUCUGGAGAAUUAAUCUAAAUACUCUUGUUGAUUUUAAAAUGUUUCUUCACAUAUCCCCUUUUUUCUUUUCCUAGGGUUUACGAAAAGGAUUACAUUUUAGAAGGAUGUUUUAAUAAUUUUAAGAUAAAUUUAAAAAUUUUGAAUGGUAGUAAAAGGCAAAUAAGAAAAAGGCUUAAAAAAAAGUCUACGUACAUCUCUGAUAACGAAAACAACAUGUAACCAUAACGUAUGGGAACCUCCAGUACGUCGAUACUGACCAACUAACAUAUACGUCUCCGAUCCAACAACUCUCACCUCUUCAAUGCCACAUGUCGUCCAGAAUUGCUCGUCAUAAUGUAACCGACCAAGCUAGAGACGCGUUAUUUAUUCUCCUUGAUACUACUUGGGUUGUACCUCUCAUCCCGUAUGUAUCUAGCUAUCUUGAAAUACACCGAUCAUCUCAACUGAUCUGAAAUAAAGAGUGGCCUUCAGCAUAGUAUCCUUACACAAUGUACAGCAAUCUAAUGGCACUUUGCCCUUACCCAACUAUCCUGAAAUGCAAACGUUAAAUCAUCUAACCCUACCACACUUAGCAACGUUAGAUCCGGUCCCGGCCGGCCUACUAAACUCGACACACAUCAUUUUACUGUAUCUAAUUCUAAAUUUUUGCUCCACAACUCAUGACCAUAAACACUGUAACUAGUAAGCACUAUUUUCUCUCAGCUCACAUGGUCACACAUAACUAUAUAGCUCACUAUCUCAAGUACUGUCGAGGUGUGUUUGGUUCGAAGCCGAAAUUAGUAUCGAAAUUGGAAUGAGAAUAAAUUAAAAACGGAAUCGAAAUAAUUCAUUAGCUCAUUAUGUUUGGUUCGCCACCUGAAUCGAAAUCAGAGUGAACCAUUCACAUUGUCGGCGUUUGGUUCAAUAUCAGAAACGUAAUCAAAUUAAUAUUCUAAUUUUAUCUUUAUAAUAUAUUAGUUUCAAUUCAAACUGAAAAUUAAAUAUUAAAAAUUACAUCAAAUUUUAAAAUGAUGUCAAAAUUUUAAAUAUAUUUUUAAAAAAAAUUAAAAUUUGAAAUUGAACGAAAAAUUAAAAAUAAAACUUAAAUUUCAAUUUAUUCAAAUUCAAAAAUUAAAUUUAAAUCCAAUUUCAUUUGAAUCAUAAUUUAAUUUAAAUUUUAAAUAAAAUUUGAAACAAACCUUUAGAUUUAAAUUAAUUUAAAUUUAUAAAUUAGAUUCGAAAUGCUUGAUUGAAUUUUAAUUUUUAAUUUAAGUUUAAAUUAAAAUUAAAAUUUAUAAAUAUAGAUUUUAAACUUAAAUUUAUAUUUUAAUUAAAAAAUAGUUUAAAAAAGUUAAAUUUAAUCGGAAAAAUAAAUUCCGCUCGAAUUCAAUUUCAAUCCACCUCCUAAGCCAGAUUGGAGAAAGAGGUAAUGAGAAAUUCUAUUACUUUCCGAAAUAAGAUCGGAAUGAAAAUUCUGGCAUACCAAUACGGACAAAAUAGAUUAUCGUUCCGAUUCUGAUUUCAAAUGAAAAAAUGGCGAACUAAACAAGUCUUGAUCAACUACAUUACAAAUUUUCAAGCCUCUAUCCGGCACAUACACUUUAGGGUGUGUUUGGUUCCACACAAAUUUGGAAAAAAAAUUUUCGGUGAAAAAGUUUUAGUUGUUAGCGUUUGGUUUAUAGGAAAAGAAAAACAAUUUUCCAUAAUGAUUGUUUGGUUAAAGGAAAAGAAAAUAGAUAAAAACUAUUUCAUUUAUUUUUAUUGUUAAUAUAUAAUUAAUAUACUAUAUAUAUUAUUAUUAUAUUUUAUUAUAUAAUUAAAUAUAUUUAAAAUGAUAUGAAACUAUAUUAUCAUAUAUAGAGUUAUAUAUUAGAAAAUAUUAAUAAAUAAUUUAUAAAUUUAUAAAUAAAUAUAUAUAAUAAUAUCUUAUAAAUAUAAUACUAUACUAUAAUAAAUAAAUAAUAUUGUAUAAUCAAAAAUUAUAUAUAUAUAUACUAUUAUCUAUAUAAAUAUAUGAUAUAUAUAUAUAUAAUUAUUCAUAUAUUUAUACAUACAUACAUAUAUAAUAUAUUCAUACAACAUAUAUAUAUAUACUAUACAUACAUAUUAUAUACAUACAUACAUAUAUAUAUAUAGGAUACAUGAGCAUAUAUAUAUAUACUAUCAUACAUAUCAUAAAUACAUACAUACAUAGUAUAUAUAUAUACAUACAUACAUAUAUAUAUAUACAUACAUAGCAUAUAUAAUAUAUACAUACAUACAUAUAUAAUGCAUACAUACAUAUAUAUAUAAUAUACAUAACAUACAUAUAUAGUAUUACAUACAUACAUAAUAUAUAAUACAUCAUACAUCAUCAUAUAUAUACAAAAAAAAUAUAUAUAAAUAUAUAUGGCAUACCAUACAUACAUACAUAAUAUAUGCAUACAUACAUAUAAUAUAUAUAUAUACUAUACAUAUAUAUAUAUUAAUACCAUACAUACAUAGCAUAUAAUACAUACAAUAUAAGUAUAUAUGCAUUACAUACAUACAUACAUAUAUAUAUGGCCAUACAUACAUAUCAUACAUAUAUAUAGCAUACAUGACAUACAUACAUAAUAUAAUAUGCAUACAUACAUACAUACAUAUAUAAUAUGCAUACCAUACAUACAGACAUACAUACAUAUAGUACAUACAUACGAGAUCAUACAUAUAUAUAUGUAAUAUAUAUAUAGUAUAUAUAGAGAGAGAGAAGAGAGAGAGAGAGAGAGAGAGAGUGGAGCUAGAAUACUUUUACAAGUAUCACCCGCCCCGCAUGGUGCUUUAUGUUUUUAGCCCUUGAAUGGUAGUAGAUGCAGGUUGAACAUGAUGGUGGUAGGUGUGGUAAGUAGGUUGGUAGGUGGAAUAGUAUUUGAUCUAGAUGGAUUGAUAGUAAUCAAGAAGUAAAUCCAAUGGCUAAAAACUAAUACACUAGGGGGGGUGAUAUUUGUAACCAGUAUCAUACCGCUAACUCUUAUAUAUAUAUAUAUUAUAUUAUAUAUAUAAUAAUAAUAUAUAUUAUAUAUAUAUAGUAUAUAGUUGAGGCUAAGAAUAGACUCCGAUAUAAAGGAGGUUUACUAUCGAGUUGUUUAUGCGAUGAUAAAGAGCUUCCAAAUGACGAUCCGGCCUCCGUUAAAUAUGAUCUAAACAUUAAACACCUAGAAAUUCAAUUUACCGCACUUUCGAUAUAUUAUUUAUCAUCUAAUGAAAAAAAAUGAAAUGGUGAAUAAUACUUUAAAAAAUGAUGAUAGGAGUCCUUGUAAUCAGAUCAAGAGUUACAGAUUUUUAAAAUAGUUUAUAGAGAUUUUUUAACAAAAAAUUGAAUUGAUAUGGAUUAUUUUACAUAUAUACACACAUACAUAUAUAUAUAUUGAUAAUACCAUACAUACAUACAUAUAUAUAUAUACAUACAUACAUACAUACAUAUAUAUAUAUAUAUAUAUAUAUACAUACAUACAUACAUACAGUACAUAUAAUAUUUAUAUAAUAUAUAUAAGAUAUCAUACAUAUCAUACAUAACAUACAUAUUAAUAUAUAUAAUACUAUAAAUAAUAUUAAUAUAUAUUAUAAUACAUACGAUACCUACAUAUUUAUAUAUUAUAAUAUAUAAUACAUACAUACAUACAUACUACAUACAAGAACAUAAGAUACCUAUACUAUCGUAGCAGAGCGCUCCGUGCUACCAAGUGUUUUCGAUGAUGCGGCUUCCAAAAUCGCUCGAUCGCUCCGUUAGACUUGAUCUAACACUAUUGAAAUAAUUAGAAACUAAAUUUCAUAAUUUUUCGAGAUCAUUUACCUAUCAAAAAAGUAGUCUAAGAUUAACGGGCUGAAAAUAAAAUCUCAUGAAAAAUGAUGAUAAAAGAUUUAAAUUCAAGAUCAGAUAUACUGAUCUUACUCUAAAUACGGUCGAUAAAUAAUUUUCUAUAAAAUUUUCAUCGCAUUUGGAUUGUUUUAGCACCGUUAACUCUACAAACACACGCACCACGAUCGGCCUUAAAAGUUGUCAAUUUUGAGAUCUUUUGAUCACUAGUCAAUAUGUCGAAAAAAAUCUGAAAUUUAGUUUCAAAUACUUUCAUAGUGUAGAUCAAGUCUAACGGAGGCACGAUCGCUCGAUUGAAGCCGCAUCCAAUCGGAAAGCGAACUGUAGCACGGAGCGCUCCGUGGCUACGAUACGCAAGUAGGUCCGGACUCCAUAUCAUCCCAUAUUAUAUAUAUAUAUUAUAUAUAAUAUAUUAUAAUACAUACAUACGAUACAUACUACAUAACAUAUAUUAUCAUAUAUAUAUAUAAUAGGUAGGCUACUAUGCUAUCGGAAGGCACGGCGCGCUUCCCGUCUUCGUUAUAUAUAUAUAUAUAUAAUUUGUCAUCCUAUAAAUUAAACUGCUAAUUUGGACAUAUAUAAAGUAUACAUUAGUGCAUCAAUUUAUGUAUACAGUAUAAAGUAUACAUUAUUGCAUUAUUGCAUAUAAAGUAUACUUUAUAUUACACACAUAUAAAGUAUACAUUAUUGCAUCAACUUAUGUGCAUGUGAUGAAAUAUGUCAAAUCACCACCUCUUCCAAGUUUUUUUAAAAAAUUUUUUUUUUUAUCCCUCUCAUCUGCUUCGUAAGUAGAAAAGUAAAAAGCAAAUUAUUUGCUUCAGCAGUGACGUAUUUAAUUUGUGGCUUCAACAAUUGACAACGGAUAGGUUGAUAAUCAAGGAGUUAGCCGUUGGAACGCGUUUUCGAGUCCCUAACCAAACAAGAAGUCGCCCCCAAAAAAAAAAAUAAAAAAAUAAAAAAAUAAAAAAAAAAAGAAAAUGAAAGCGUCAAAACCAACGCCAAUGCAUAGGUCAAGGAGAAGUUAGCACAGUGCUAAUUAAUUCUUUGGCUAAUUAAUUCUUUGGGUUCAAUGUGUUUAAGACUAAUUUUGAUUUGUUUACUCUCGUUUAAUUGGACUAGUAGAUAAUGUAGCAUUAGAGUCUAGUUCUCUAUAAAAGCCUCUUUUUCAAGAGGGUGGUCCCAAGUUCUAUUUCUACUCUAUUAUUUUAUUAUGAGGAGUGUUUCCAUACUCUCUACUUUUUUUUUUUUUAACUAUAAUGAGAUUAUGCAGGUCAUUUGAAGAGUAGUAUCGAAUAUUAGGCACCCAAAGAGAAAUAUUUUAAUCUUUUGAUAUCGGGAUAAUUAAGUGAUUUUGCCCCACUUUAAUUAAAUUUAUUUACAGCUUACAUUUCAAAUAGUCCUGCAUAAUCUCAUUAUUUUAAAAGAUCAAUUUUAGCUAUUAAAAUUUGAAUGACUGUAUAAUUUUAUUCUUAGAAUAAAUUUGAAUUAUAGUCUAUAUUUCUAUUAAACCAAAUAUUUUUAUGUUCCUAUUAUGUUCGAAGUAAUUUGGCUAAUGUGUUGAAUAGACAAAGAAAAAUCAUGAAACUAUCUCAAGCUGUAAAGGAAAUUUAGUUUAUAUUUUAUCCAUAAUUUUUUAAACCAAAUAGAGAGCCCAAACCACUGGUAUGAAAAAAAAAAUACACAUUUAAAAUAUUUACAUAGUAAAUAUGUUUUCAAAUUUUGUUUAAUACUAAUGUAAAAUUAUUGCCGAAAUUAGUGAAAGGAUAUCAAUCCAAAGUUUUCUUAGAUUUUACGAUGUUUAAUUGCCCAAAUACUCUCAGCAUGAAGAAGUUAGUUGUAAACCUGCUACAAGUUAUAAUAAUAAUUUUGUCCUUUAUGAUCAACGAUUAGGAUCUUUUAUUAUGAUUUAUAAAAUUAAUUACCAAAUCAACUCAAAUGGCAUGGUUUAUUAAUUCAAAAUUUUCCACAUUAUUAUUAUCAUUAUUAUUAUUUUUGUUUUGAAAAGUCAUAUAUAUAUAUAUAUAUAUAUAUAUAUAUAUAUAUAUAUAUAUAUAUAUAUACAGGCUGCUAGGCUCUUAGGAGCACGAGGCCUCCUGCUCCUGAGUAGUUUUGAUGAUGAAAUUUUCGAAUCGACGAUCGUCCGUUAGACUUUAUCUAGCGCAAUUGAAGUUUUUAGAAAAUAAUUUUUGUGAUUUUUUUAUAUUCAUUUAUCUAGUGAUCGAAAGGAUUCAAAAUCCAUAAUUUUUAAAUGAUUGAUAUUACUGUUUUUCAAGUUUAACGGUUAGAAGGUAUUCAAUCAGAUGAAAUUUGAUACAUAAUUUCUUUAUACGAUCUACAACAAGGAUCAAUAUUUUGAUCGAAUUUUUAGUGCUAUAUCACCACUUUUUAUAGGAUUUUUUAUUUUCAGCCGUUAAAAAAUUAUUGAUUUUGAAUCCUUUCGAUUGCUAGGUAAUGAUAUCGAAAAAUCGCAAAAAUUAUUUUUAGUAACUUAAAAUACACUAGAUCAAGUUUAACAGAGUUGAUCGUCGAUUCGAAAGCUCCAUCGUCGAAAACGGCUCAGGAGAACACAGAGCCUGCUCUUAUAUUGUUGCUUAUAAAAGGUGAUACCGAUGAUGAUAAUAUGUAGCAAAAUGUAAGAAAAAGACACGGGUGAUAAUACAAAUAAUAAGAUCAAGCAAUCGAGUCACACAUUUCUUUCAUUACGGUUGUUUAAAGUUUUAUUUUCUGCAUUUAAAUGCGUGCGACACAGAGAGAGGCCCCAAGAAAUAAAAACACCAAUUUUACGCAUCUCAGUCUAUCUCGUUGGCCCAUUCUUUCGUGGCCCAUCUCUUCGUCCGGCCGUGUACCCUCCCCUCCCCUCUCUCUCUCUCUCUCUCUCUCUCUCUAUCGUCUCUCUCUCUCUCAACUAAAACCCUUUUUAUGGCCUUAACACCCUCAUUGUUAUUAUUAUUAUUUUCUAGGAGAAAAUGUAAGGAAAUCCCUAACUUAUAGGCCUUUUCGGAAUACCCUCCUCAACUUCGCUUUUUUUGGUUUUUUUUUUAAUAACAUUAUAUUAAGUUUGAAUUUUUUUUUUUUUUUGACGUUGAUUGUGUUUAAUUGGCUUUCUAAUUAAAAAGUUUACAAGUUUAUUAAUAAUAUAAUUAUUAUUUAGUAAAUAUAACAUAAAUAAUUAUCUGCUUGAUAACUAAUCAAAUUAUCAAUAUUUGCAUCGAGAGACUUUUUUUCUAAAUAACUUAUAGUUAAAGAAAAAGUCUACACUGUAACCACCAGAUUGCGUUAAAUAUACUCCAAAUUAAUUCCAUUCUAUUGUGCCAUAUAAGAUGAUAAAAAUUCUGAUUGACACAACAAAAUUAUUUUAUUCUUACACUUAUUGGAAGAUAUUUUAUUAUUAUUAUUACUUAAAAAAUAUUUAUACAUUAAAUAUAUAGAGUGUAAGAUGUACACUAUAAAUUGAAUGUAUAUGUAGCAUUGCUCUUGUUUUAAGUCAUAAGUCAAAGAAAUCUCCUUCCUUAAAUACCACCCGAUAACUCGUAUAAUAGAGAACACUCCCUCCCUCCUCCCCCUUCACUCUCCUCUCCCUCCCCAAGAAGUUCUCCCUCAGUAAAAACCAAAAAAAAGAAAAAAGAAAAAAAGAACAACAACAAUAUCACAAGCCACGCAAAUGGGAGCACCUACAACGUACCCGGAUAAGGAGGAGGAGGAGGAGAGGAAGAAGGUGGGUGGGGCGGGUGCAGGAGGAGGAGGAGGAGGAGGAGGGGGGUUGAGGGUGACGGACGACGUGGACCUGCUGGGGGAGAUACUGGGGCGGCUGGACGGGCGCUCCCUGGCGGCGGCCGCCUGCGUCUGCCGCGCGUGGCACGCGGCGGCCCGCAGCGACCGUGUCUGGGAGUCGCUCUGCCUCCGCCACCACGCGAUAUCCGCCUCCCCCUCCCCAGCAGCGGCCGCCCGCUCCGCCGUCGUCGCGGCGCUGGGCGGGUACCGCGCGCUCUACCGCCUCUGCGUCGGCCCCGCCCUCCACCGCCUGGCCGCCGGCCCCGACCUCUCCCCGCUCGCCCUCUCCCUCUCCCUCUCCCUCUUCUCCAUCGACCGCUACGAGCGCCUCGCCGGCGGCCCCCACCGCCCCGCCUCGCUGCUCUUCCUCUGCAACCCCAACCUCAACUCCCCCCUCGACGUCUCCUGAUCCCCCCGCCCCCGUUCAUCCAUUAUUUACAUUUAUAUUUACAUUUAUAUUUAUAUUUAUUUCAUUUUGCAGCACUGCAAAGAAUUAUAUAUAUAUAUAGAGAGAGAGAUCAUCGUCGUUAUCAACUCGUAAGAGGAAAGAUGUACGGGAAUAACUCGUUACUUAGUUUCUCUUUUUUCCCUUUCCUUCGUCAUGUAAAUUAUUAUUACUACUACUUUAUUACUUGCUUGCGAGGAGAAGUUUUAGGCGCUCUACAUUAGUUUCAUCUGCGUUGAACAAAGAUUAUAUGAACAUCGUCUUUCCAAACUACUAGUAUGGGACGAUGCGGAUGGGCGCCACGUGGUGAGAAUGCACCCAUCCCAGCCCUCUCUUUCUCUUUAUCUGCUUUUUCUCUUGGAAAAUCAAGGCACGUGUUUUUUUUUUCUUUUGUUUUCUGUCCCCAUCCAUGCGAUGGACAUGCACUUGCCACACAGCGUUCAUGUUCCCAAAUUAGUUGGGAGACGAUGCUUAUAUAAUUUUUCAAUGAAGAUAGAUAAGGCAAUUAAUGCUGUUGGUACACCUCAAAAGGUUUAUAAAUUUUACACUUUUUUUCAUCUAAUGAUUUAUGUAUGUUAUUUUUUAUUAAUUUUUGUUAAUACUAAAUAAUUUUAAAAAAUUUAAAAAGUAUGCACCAUAUCUCUUCUUUUUGUUGGGGACCCCUCUCGCCCUAAAAUCGGCCGCAUUUGCAUCCCUACUUGUCCGCAGUUUUAAUCAUCCAAAUUUGGCUCUUUUUUUUUUUAUUUUUAGCGAAACAACUUCAGAAAUUUGAUUCACUUUAUUAUGUGCCCUUACUGUCACUUGUGUUUUCUGAUAGUAUUGUUGGAGGAAAAAAAAAAAAGAAAAGAAAAAAAAAAAAGGAAGCUUGAGCUGUGUACUUUCAAAUGAUGCCUUGUUGGAAAAUUUUUGAUUUGUUAUCAUGUGUGAAUUUUAUAGAUAUCUUAAAAGUAUUAAGUACAUAUUUUAUAUCAUAGAUUCGAAUGCAGCUUCGACCCGUUAUGAUUUAAAUUGGGAGCAUAAUUUUUGCAUAAGAGCGAUGCUAUCUGUACAUAUUUAGACCAGAUGUAUAUCUUAUAUCUCACUAUUCAAGAGCUCUCCAACAAAAAAUUGUAGGGAAGCUUCCCACUCUUUUUUUUUUUCAUAUUUUUUAAUAGUACAAGCACAAACACAAGCGAUAGUAACAAUAACUAGAGUCAAUCAAAUUUCUUAAAAUUAUUUUGCUAAAAAAAAGAGCCUAAUUUGGAAGAUCCCAAACUACGUACACUUCAUAGAUUCAAAUGCGGCCCAUCCGGGGUGACGAGGGUCCCCAACUCCUGGCGGAUUUUCUUGGCGGGUCGGAGCUCCCCACUCAAGUUUUGUUUGUAAUGUCGGGAACAAAGUCUGUACCGUUGCUACCACCUAUAUAGAAAAUUACAAUGCACAAAAAUAGGGAAACAAUACUUUGCCUAAGUAUUUCAUUUAACAUCAAUGGAAAAACAUACUAAAGAUCUGGGACUGGUUGAGGAAUUAUCUAGCAUAACUAGAAUCUAUACCACCGUACAUAAAUGUAGCGAAAAUAGAAUCUCUCGUAAAUCAAAAUAGACGAUAACGAUCAUAGAAAACAAGUAUGAGAAUAAUAAAGCAAUAUGUUGGAAAUAAUAGACAGCGAAAACUUACAAACCGGAUAGCCAAUAUAUCCGGGAACCCAAAUCGAAUCGGAUUGCUUGUUUUACAAGCCUUUUUGGAUCGUUCUUAUCUCGAUGCUUCUGGAUCUCCCACGUCUCUCGCCUUCUCCCACGCGUACGCCUUACGCCACGGAUCGUUUGCGGAUUUGAUGCGACGGAUGCCAAUCGAAGAGGGCUACUAGAGUCCUCUUCUAUGUCCACACUUCAAAACCCCAGAAACGUAGGUGGAUGACUAAUAAAGUAUAUUUCACUUUACAUUCCGGAAACAUCCUUAUAAGCCUUAACUUGAAAUAUUAUUGGUCAAUAAAUUUUUCUUAUAGAAACUCAUAAUACCCGAUUUUUUUCUUAAUUCUCUCCCUCUUUCUCUCCAUAUCCGGAGCUUUCCCUCCCUUCCCUGCUGUUGCCCUUUUUUGUUACAUGGUGCACUGUACACCAAAAUCAAUAAUUUUAUUAUAGAAUCUUAAAUUUAAAUUUAUUGAUAUAUAUAUAUAUAUAUGCUAUUUGAAUAACACACUAUCGAAAAGUAUGAAUUUAAAAUAAAACUAAUAAAACUUAAUGUAUCUUUUUAGAUGUACAUCCCCAUAUGUAAUAGCAUUUCUUUUUCUUUUUCUGAUAAAAAUUGUAGGUCAUUAGACCGGGGACUAGGGAUGAGAACGGAUAUGGAUUAAAUAGUGCUCAAAUCCAUACCCAGUAAAAAUAGGCUUAGUCAAAUAUUAAACAAACACGGACAUGACUAGAAUAUUUAAGAAAUAUAUAGAGCUAAAAGCAAAAUAAUAAUAAUAAUAAUAAUAUAUGAAAGCUUCUUAAGUUUUAUAAAAAAAAGAUAGAAAAAUAUUAAAAAAAUUAUGGAUUCUAAAAAAAUAAUAUUAAAAAUAAAUUUAAAAGAGGAUGUAAUAUAAUUGAAAAUAUAUAAAAACUAGUUCUGAAUUCGGAUAAUUUAAAUUCAAAUCCGAAGAACCAUAGUAAACCGGAAACCUGAAUUUGAAAAAUAUUCUAGUUUGAGGUUCAAAUCCGAAUCUUUAUUUGAAUCGUAAUCGGUUACUAAAUUCCAACCCAUAUUCAAAAAAUUGCCGAUUCGGAGGCUGAUUGGAUAUUUUAUCCAAUCCGUUUUCGACGAAACCCCUUUUUAAGUAUUUGCUCCACCAGAAUUGAUUCCCGGGACAUGAGAUGUAGCCUCCAAAGAUCCAUCUAGCCAACUAGUCUAGAGUUAGCUGAUUCACCUUUCCCAUGAAUGAGAUGUACAUUUUGAUAAGAAAAUUCAUUUUUAAAUAGUUCUUAAAACAAAUUAGAAAUUAAUCAAAACUAAUGUAACCUAAGAUUUAAUAGAUCUUAAAUUUUUAGAUUUAAUGAAUUUCAUUAAUAUAUGUCGCACUCUAAAGCCCCGUCCAAGGCGAAACUCCCCCAACCCGAAAAACAGAAAACUUCUUUCUAUCAAGGGAAAGAAACAAACUACAAAUACAUGCUAGCACUUUUUCCGAACGUCAGUUUUUACAUAUAAUUGUUCUACCUCACAAUUUGUGAAUGAUUACCAGAGACAUUUUCCCUUGCCAUGUCGCAAACCAAAAUAUAAUUAGCUCGAUACCGAGGGUUACGCAGCGUCACAGCCACAAACGGGGAAUGUUAGGUUUCAAUUUCUCACAUCUCGAUUGACAAAUUUUCAGACAAGCUGUCUCGCCCAGAAACAAGCAACAAAAAUAUGGACAAGAAGAGCUACAAGCAAAAUGUGUACUUAUAGUAUAUCUAGGUCUAGCUGCUAGUGAGAGCACAAACCAUCUUUGCCAUCUGCUUCGCCAUUAAGCCAUCCCGCCGCUUGUGGCCAUCCGAAUAAUCUGGAAUAUAGCUGCCACCACCGAAGCAUAAAACCAAUAUCAGCAUCAAGCAAACCACCGUAACACAAUUAUUAGGUUCUUGUAAAAUAUAUUUGACUAAAGAAUUUCGUCGUCGGCAGAUUAGAUUAGUCGAUUGCGGCGCACAAAAUGAGAGCAUCAUGCUUGCACUGUAGGUCCCGUUUCGCAUCUGCGAUUGGAUUGAAUCGGAUAAGAUGGAGAGUAAUGUUGGGAGUGAGGGAAGGUUUAGCAGCACGGAGGGUUGGAGCGGAGGUGGUGGGAUGCAAUGGAAUAUUGCCACAUCCAAUAACGUUUAAUCCCAGUCUCUAUGGUGAUAUUUACUAAUCCCAUUCCGGCAAGACCUCACCUUCUCCGAUUUGCUAUAUUCCCCCUCUUUCCCCAAUAUCGUUUCAUCGUCUGGCCUAUUCAAUCCAACUCAGGGUGUCAAACAGGACCUAAAAGUUUAAGAAAGAAACUGACACAAACUAGAGUCCUAACUAGCAAGUCAUUAGGUGGAUCAAAUCAUGACUUAACCAAGCAACUAAGCGAAAGCUUAAGAAAACAAUUAAUAAAAAAUUAGAAAGAAUCAAUUGGAAUCUAACAGCGGUUUAUGUGGAAAAGUGAAUGGUUGAGUAUGAGUAACAGACAAUCAUCAUAAUUUGCUGACUGUUGUUCUACACAUUCAUCAUCCUGUAGGAAAAAGUGGUUGAGAGAAACAAAAGCUUAAAAACACAUGUAGAAGACUUAGAAUCAAUUGGAAUCCAACAGCGGUUUAUGUAGAAAAGUGAAUGGUUUAGUCUAAAUAACAGACAAUCAUCAUAAUUUGCUGACUGUUGUUCUACACAUUCAUAAUCCUGUAGGAAUAAGUGGUGAGAAGAAUAAGGUUAGAAGUAUUGUGUAAUUACUAAUUUUUGUCAAACCCAGUAACAAAAAAAAAAUUAAGAACUACUGUUUAGAGUCCGGUUGCUAUAUUAUCGGUAGCCUGGAAGCCUCCGUGCUACCAAGUUAUUUUCAAUGAUGCGGGUUCCAAAUCGACGAUCCGCUCCGUCAAACUUGAUCUACACUAUUGAAAUUAUUUGAAAACUAAAUUUUAUAAUUCUUUGACAUUAUUUACCUGUCAAACAAGUAGUCUAAAAUUGAACGGUUGAAAAUAAUAUCUCAUAAAAAAUGAUGAUAAAAGACUUGAAUUUAAGAUUAGAGAUACUGAUCUUUCUCUAAAUAGUGAAAAAAAUUUCUAUAAAAAUUUUAUCAGAUUUAGAUUGUUUUACACCGUUACAUCACAUCGAUCAUUAAAAUUGUUAAUUUUGAGACCUUUUGAUUACUAGCUAAAUAAUGUCGAAAAAUUAUGAAAUUAGUUUCCAAAUACUUUCAAUAGUGUAGAUCAAGUUUAACGGAGCCGAUCAUUGAUUUGAAAACGGAUCAUUGAAAUCAACUUGGUAGCAUGAAGGCCUUCGUACUACCGAUAGUAUAUUAGCGUAGCUCCUACUGUUUAAAUAGAAAAAUCAAGUUCUCUAAAUAGGAAGAUGUUUAUCAUUGUGUAAUUGCUAUCAACUUCGACACACACUCCCAAAGAGUUACAACUACUAUUUUCAUAUUAAACCAAGAUGUACAAAUUUGGUAGAAUUACUAUGUUGGUUUCUAUUAUUACUUGGAUCAGAGUGGAGACAAAUGCCGGUACGAACAACUAAAGUGAUUCAAGAACUGCACCAAGAGAGAGAGAGAGAGAGAGAGGAAAAAGGAAGAUCCUAACAGAUUCUUUAUUUGUAAAGAUUCAACAUAAACUGGGGGAGAAUUAACAAUUCAUGGCAGCUGGAGAUGAUCUAAUGAUAUCUUCAUGAUUUUCUAAAAGGAGCUAAAUUUCUCUAGCCAGAAAGACCAUAAAAGAAGAAAUUUUCAGUUCCGUUCAACAUCAGGAAGAUUGCUUUCUAGUGAGUGCCUGCUAUUCGAGUAUCAAUUACAACGGCUUUCCAUCACCUAGCCUCUUCGAAAGAAAGAUGCAAUUAUGCAAUACAGAAAAUGGGCAAAAUAUUUUGAUCACACAAGAUCAUAUACUAACAUAUAUUGGAAAUAAAUCUAGCAAAUUAUAUCUGGGCCUUUACGGUAGAUUAAGUUAUGUUAAUUUGGACUUCUAUCAACAAGUAACAAGUAAUGUCAUGCUUUAUAUAGGGCCCGACCAUAUAAAGCAUAGUUGAUACUCAAAUUAACAAGAAUAAAAGUGUGCAUCCUGCUAAUUCCCGCCUAUUGAUUUGCACUGCUAGGUAGGCGCAUCAAAGCAUCAAAAUUUCUAUAGUUGACUGCAGUAGAAGAAGGAUAGGAUUCAAGAUGACCGCAUUCCAUUGACCUUCAUAUAAAGAGCUAAUCACAUUACUGCUUUAAGAACAAAAGCCAUUGAUCUUCAAAUACCAACCUAAUUACUAGAUACUACCCCGUCCAUGACAAUGACAAAUGUAAAAGCGAGAAUAAAAUUUAGAAAAUGGCACUUAAAAACAUAGACACAAAGUAAAGCAGAGGAGAUUAGAAUAACGUACAUGAUCCAACGACCACAAAAAUGAAAAAGCCGAUAACGAUAGGUCCAACAGGAUAAUCAUUCCCUUUCUUCACUGUCACCUCAGGAACAGAUCCUCUCUUUGUAAUAUUCUUCUGAAACUUCGCUACUUUCCUAUCAGCAAGACGCCUGGAAGUAGUCUGUCCGAAAAAGGUUCCAUAUCAAACUUAAUCAGCUAUAAUCAAAAACCAAACGAGAUAACAGUUGAUCUGCUAAUUUCAAGCUAUUCUAAUCCACAAACUUCAGCAUGCCGAAAUUAUCUUUAUUUCUACAAAAAGAAAAUUUUGAACCAACAAUCCUCAAAUUCCUAAGAGGUUCUCCAAUAACACCCACGGCAUUGAGAAAAUUGAAACAUAAGAAAUAGGGAUUAGCUCCCUUGUGGUUUAGCGCAUUUUCAAUCUGCUACCCUAUGGUUUGAAAAGUUUCAUUUUGCAACCUUGUUGUUCUAUGACUUUUGUCUUUUUUUCACCAUAAAGACUUGCUGUCCAGUAGUGUAUUAAAGUACUAAAAUUUAUAAACCACAACGUAGUAAAGUGAUACAUUUUAUAAAUCACAGGGUGGUAAUGUGAAAAACAUAGACUAGUAAAUUGGUAUAGUUUGUCACCUUAUGGUUUGUAAAAUGUAUCACUUUAUUAUGAUAUGGUUUACAAAUUUUAGUACUUUAAGACCUCACUUGACGGAAGGUAAUUACAGUGCUACAAAGAGAAAACCAUAUAUAAGGUAACAAAGUGAAACUGUUUAAACAACAUGUCAAAGUGAAAAUGCACAAAACCAUAGGGCGACAAAUUGAAGUUUUCCCUAACAAAUAAUACUCUCGACUCAAUUUGUUUCAGGAACAGCAGAGAAAUAACUCAACCUAUCACCUUAUUCUACCAAACCAAUAUGAUACAAAAGGGGAUUGUUGUUCUAAUCUAACUAGUUUAUUCUAGAAAAAAAAAAAAAAGGGGGAACAACAAUCCCAACCUCCCCUAUGAAUAGGGUUGUACCCCUUCUUUCUCCCUGCUUCCCCAUAAUCAUUACAUAUUCCUCAUUGUUAAACCUACCCCUGCCAUAUAUCACCUAUUCACCAAUAUUAACUAUAUGGUGUUGAAAUCUCAGCUCAUUUCGAGAACAUGAAAAAUACACCGAUCAAAAAUCAGCUUUUACAACUACACAAACAAUUGAAAACAGCGAGCGUUGUGAUAAGAUGUACAUCAAUCGACUCCAUGUUUUUCGAGAGAAAAUCCUUCUAUACUACAACAAUUCGUAAAUUUCUUGCCAAAUAUUUGCAUUAACAUAUGUAAUCUAAGACCCCGAGUUGAGCUAUGAUACUAUUGAUAUAGUAUUUGCUAUCUACUUUUAGCCCUCGGAUCCAUAAUAAUACCCCCACCAAAUCGUAAAUCCUAUGCAUCCAAAGGACAAAAAAUAGAUAGCAAACACUAUUCCUCAACUAUCCCUCUAUUGUCAAUAACAUGAUAGUUUUACACAUUUAUAGCAAAAGAGGCAUCUCCAACUCUUUAAGAUCAAGACUCUUUUUGUCGAAAUUCCACCUCAACAAGAACAGAUCUGAUCCAUCAGGAUAAAAUUAUAGAUCAGAGUACCACAAAUUUCACAUAUACCCUAAAUAACUCAAAAUUCAAGGAAAAAAAAGAGAAAAAAAAGGGGAAAUUGAAAUUUCCCUUUUUUAUUUUGUUAAUAAGAUCAGGAAUCGAGAACCAUGUCGAUGAAAUUAGCAUUUACGAGCGAAAAUUCUAGGGUUUCGCUUACCAUUGGGACGAUGGAGAGGGAGCGGAGUCGAGGAGGUAUAGGGAAAAGCUGCGAAAGGAGGGGGUACGCGAGAGAGAGAGAGAGAGAGAGAGAGAGAGAGAGGCGUUUUCGAUCGAAGACGCACCCACAACCGUAGCAGUGCUCUUAUUUAUUUGGAUUAAUUACAUAACUGGUCCUAACUUGUUUUGAUUUUUCAAUUGAGUCCCGAAUUAUUUAUAUUUUGUAAUCGGAGCCUCCAACUCCUAUAAAUUUUUGAAUAAACUUCAAAUACAGUUUCACGAUUUUUUACUUUAAUGUCUUUUAGUUUAAAACGUAUCAUUUUAGUACAUAUAGUUUUUUUUUUUUUUUUGGCACCCCCGUUAACUCUUUAUUAAAUCAUAUAUAAAAAAUUUCAGAUACUCUACCUAUAGUUUAUUAAAUAUUCAGUUUACUACUAUGUAAUUUACCAAAUUUUUUCUUUAGUAUGUGAUUUUAAUUUUAUCACUGAUUUAAUCAAAAAAUUAAUGAAGGGAUAACACAAAGAAAAAAAUAAAACCAUAAGCUACUAAAAUAAGUAAGUGCGAAACUAAAAGGAUGAUAUGCAAAGUUUUUUUUUAAAUUUGUUCUAUCAUAUCUCUAUUGUUUAUACUUAUGUUAUAAUUGAGGAAUGUUGACACCUGAGUUUCGACACCGCACCGUGUUGGCAUAGUAAAAUUAUAGGGAUAAUUGCCUAUAUACCUCUUAUGCGUAUGGAAAUAUCCGAUCUAUCCCCCCCUUUUUUUUUUCUUUCUAAAAUGCCCCUCAUAUGUUCCACCGUUAUUCCAAAAUACUUCUGCAGUUAGUCCCUGUUAAACUAACUCGGGUUAAACAUGGAUUAAAUGUAUAUCAGAGUUAAAACAUAAUUAAAAUACCUAUUUUGCCCCUACCUUAUUAAACUAUUCCCUUAAUUUAUCCUCUCUUUCUCUCCGGCCAAAUUUAUCGCUCCCAUCGUCGUCCUCCUCCGCCUUGGCCGGCGCCGGGUGGACGAAUCCCCCUUCUUCGACGGCGUCUUCGACCUCGCCUUCACCCCUAGCUCGCCGGCGCGCUCUUCCCCAUGAGGUUUACCGUCGAGAUGGAGCGCACGUGGAGCCAGGGCGGGCCAUCGUGCUCGCUCUCGAGUGGUGGCCUUCGUCCUUGUCCUCGUACGGCAGCGCGGAGCAAUAGGUGUGCGCGCAGUCCACGAGGACCAGUUUGGCUAGUGGACCGGAUGAGAGGGAGGUCCACGGUGGACCUCCCUCCUCAUUAUAUAUAUAUAUAUAUAUAUAUAUAUAUAUAAUAUACUUAUAUAUAUACCACAUCGUCGCCCCCCAGGUGCUCGAUCUAAAGUCUAAACCACCCCUAUUAGCUGUACAUAUCAUCCUGUCACUAAUGACAAUUAUUAAGUAAUUAGCGCUUAAUUAUUUAAUAACUAUGUUCCUGUAAAUCAACUGUCGUGUUUUCUGAUGAUAAUAAUAAUAAUAAUAACUAAUAGAUUUAUUCAUAUAGUAUUUUAUUUUUAUAUAGAAAUAUUAUUAUAUAAUAUUUUAUUUAUAAAUUUGUAAUUAUUUAUUAAUAUUUUUAAAUAUAUAACUCUUAUAUAUUAUUAAUAUAUGUUUAUUAUAAUUUUAAAUAUAUUUAAUCUAUAUAUAAAAAUUAUAAUAAUAAUAAUAUAUAUAGUAUAUUUGUUAUUAUAUAUUUAUUAUAUAGCCGAAUUUUUUAUUCCGAAUUUUUAAUUGGUGAACGUAUAAUACCCGUAUACCCGAAUAAUUGCCGAAUCCCAUUUUCAGCCAUAUUUUUCAACGAAUUUAAAAAUUAAAAAACGAAUUUUAUCCGAAUUAUAUCUGUACCAAAUUUUUGCCGAAUCCGAAUUAACUAACUAUGCCUCCAGCCACCAAGGUUGGUUCAGCUGCGAUCGAUCGCAUUCGUUCAUCUGCUCGCUUCCGACGUGCUUAAUUAAUUAAUUAUUUGAAUGACAAAUAAAAAAAGUAUUUGCUAUAUGAAGAGUAUAUAAGAAAAAUUAGUUACGGUACAAGGGUAUUUUAGAAUGGGCAAAAUGGUAAUUUUUAAGAGAUAACGGCAACUCACUAACAGAACUUAACUCCAAAGGUAUAUUAGAAAGACUUGAAACAUAAGAAGGAUAUUUUCAAUAUUAGCGUUCUAAGAGGGAUAAGUAAGAAAAUCGGAAAUAUUUCAGGGGUAUAUAAGCAAUUGCCCCAUUAUUAGUCUUUAACCUCUUUUCAAUUUUUUAAUUAGAUAAAAAUUUUAACCAAGUCUCUAUUAGUUUAACAGUCAAUUAAUCUAUUACUAUAUGCUAAGAAAUAAUUAAAAUUAUCAAAUUUCAAAGUCAUCAAUGGAUUUUUGGUUAAAUUUUUAUUUUUUAUUAUAAUUAUUUUAAAUCUGAAAAUCAAAAGGUUUAUUAAAGUUGACUAGGUCAUUUCAAAUGCGUAUAUGUUAAUGGGUCAUUUCAAAUGGCAUAUAGCUGAAUGGGUCUCUAUACAUUUUUGCCGUAUCAUCUUUCUAAUAAUGGAGCACGUGCAUAUCAGAUGGGAUUUCUUUUUUUCUUUUUUUUUCUAAUUGCACCAAUUCAUUAGUACAUCAGCGCCUACAUGUCAAUAUAUAUCCAUCAAUUAUACAGGAAAAAAAAAACAUAAUAGAGAUAUAACCACACAAAUUUAAAGAGGUUGGCAAAUAAGAAUUCAAUCGAAAUGAAAACCGUUAGUAAGACAAUGGAAAAAAAAAAAAAAAAUUAUAGAGGUUGAGAACUUAAUUAACAAAAAGAAAGUUGAACACUUAAUUGAAAAAGGGGAAAAAAUUGCAGACCAGUGUUAUUCUAAUUUUUUUUAAGCUAAAUAUUUCAUUAAAUUAGCUAUUAUUGGUUGAUUAGUUUGGGUUAAUUUACUAUAAAAUGAUUAAAACUUUUAAAGUUGAUAAAAUUAUUGAAUGUUCUGGUAAAAUCUCUAAUUCUUUUGAUUAAGAUCGCCUAAUUUGGAAGAAGCAAAAGCUUAGGUGUGUCAAUCCAAAAAAAAAUAUUUGAGUGGUAUAUUUUAUAAUGGCCUGUGUCUGGAGGGGACCUAUACAUUUUUACCUUUUCCCUCGACAUUCUCUUAAUUUAAAAAUUAAAUUAUUCUAAUUAUUUUAGUUAAAAAUAUUAUUAAACUUAAUAACUUAGAUAUCUUGCCUAACUCAACUCUGAGAGCACAAAUUCUCGCAGAAACCGGCAAUCCAGCUCGAUCUCUGGUGAAUAUAGUAGAAUGUAUAUCAUCAGCCGAUCAUAAGGUCGAUUAUUAAGGUGUAACUACAUUUGAAACACAUCACCAGCUAUUCCUAGCACAAGUGGCAAAAAACAUAAUGAUUGGUAUUCGAGAUUCCAAGUUUGAAUCCUAGUUGAUUUAUAUUUUUAACUAAAUUUAUUUUUUAAAAAAAUAAACGAAGCGGAAAGUUUGCUACAUUUCUCUUAAAAAAAAAAUAAACAAAGCGAAAAGUGUGCUGGUGGCCAAACCCUUCAUUGUGAUGACCAAUGAUCACAUGUCCUGCUGAUCAGGUUUUUCCUUGGGUUGUUCAACCACCUAACUGCCCUGUAACAGAAGGUCGAAUUGGACUAAGUCACAUUUGAAAUAGCAAGAGGUCAGAUUGGGCCGAAUCAUAUUCGAAGUGGCAGGAGGUUGGUUGGCCCGAGUUAUAAUCGAGAACCAUGGAGACUGCGUUUGUACGCUUUAAAUAAAUUGGUUGCAUUUUUCUUAGUUGUUUUUGGAAUCAAUGAUAAGUGCCAAUGAUCAAACACUAGUGGUGCUACGUCGGUGGAGAAUUAUUAUUCGGUGGGUUAUGUUUACAAUAAAAAUUAUAUUUAUAAAUUUAUAAAAAAAUUUACAAUAAAAUUUAAAAUUCACUUAUUUAUGGUUAAAAAAUAAAUAAUUCUCUAAUGGUAACAAACUAGGAAUAAAUAUGAAUAUAUCUGUAUAUUCUAUAAUAUAGAUGUAAAACUUAUACCCUAACCGAGUUGAGCUAUAAUACUAUCGGUAGUAAACAAGCCGUUUUACUACCGAUUUGUUUUUGAUAUAGAGCUUCCAAAUUGACGAUCGGCUCCGUUAAAUAUGAUCUAAACCAUUUAAACUACCUAAAAAUCAAAUUUCACGCACUUUCGAUAUUGUUCUUUUAUCCAUCAAGUGAACAGAAAAAUGAAUGGCUAAAAAUGAAUACUUUUUAAAAAAUGAUGAUAGGAAUCUUGUAAUCAAGAUCAAGAGUAUAGAUCUUGUCUUAAAUAGUUUAAAGAAUUUUCUCACAAAAAUUCAAUUGAUUUGGAUAUCUUUACGCCGUUAAACGAGAAAACGCCUCUUAUCGACCAUUAAAAUUACAAAUUUUGAAACCCUUUGAUCAUUAGGCAAAUGAUGUCGAAAAGAUUUAAAAUUUGAUUUCUAAACACUUCAAGUAGUAUAGAUCAUGUUCAACGGAGCCGAUCGUCAAUUUGGAAGUUCUAUCAUCGAAAACAAAUAGGUAGUAACACGGCUCGUUUACUACCGAUAGUAUUCUAUCUAGCUCAACUCACCCUAACAUGUUUGUGCUUACUUAGUUGUUAGAUAUGUUAAGCAAUUUUGGCAUUUCAGUUUUUCUUAAACUAAGAUUUUCAAUAAGAAAAUGUUUUAUCAUUAUUAUUUGAGAAAAUCAUAUUAUUUUACUUAGCUAAAUAUUUAGUUGACUAUGGUGCUUUCAAUUGUUUAAUAUUUAGAUUAACAUUUUAACUAUUUUUAAUUCUUAGAUUAAUAUUUUCUCAAACAUUAGAUUAAUUUUAUUUCCCUAUGAGAUCACAAAAAUUAAGGAGAACACUAAAUCAUAAGGAGACCACUAUCAACCCAACCUUAUAAUUCUUGAUCUAAGAGUCAAAAAAUCAAAAACACAAACUCUUUUAUACUUUCGAAAGUAUAGCUGUUCUACAUAUAAAACUAAUAUUUGGUAUGAGUUUUAAAAGAAAUAUUAUCUAAGCACUAUUACAUACUAAAUUAUUAAAGAAUAAAAUAUAUUAAGAACUCAUUAGCAUCUAUCUAUACUACUUAUAAAAGCGUGAGUUUUGAAAUUUUUUUCUUUCCAAAAAUGUCUCUAUCUUUUUUACUAAUAUUGUCAUGUCCAGUGAAUUUCAACCACUCAUUUUAAAUAAAUCUUUAAAUAAUAAUUUAUUCUUAAAUAUAGAUCUUAAGUUUUCGCCAUUAGAUCUCAUCCAACGAAUAAAAAUAAAAGUAUCUGUCAUUUUUGUUGACAAAAAUACCCUCUAUAUCCGUUAUCUCCUAUCUACGCCCCGUUUCUCAUAUUUUUUUUUCCUACCAACCAUACGUAAAACUAAAUUUAUCUCUUAUCUAACGUAAUACCCGUCAAUCAUGCAAUACCUUCGCUAAUCACGUAAUACGUAAAAUUAAAUUUAUUUGCUGCCAACAUAUAGUAUUCAAAAUUAAAAUUUAAAUUUGUAAUGCCCGCAUAAAUUUAAUACCCGCGAAUUUGAUAAUUUGAAUUUUAAUUUAUGAUAGUAGGUUUUUCCUUAAAUAAAAUAGUAGAUUUAAUUUUGACGAGUAUUAAAAUUUGGCGCGCCAUAAAAGCGUUAAAUAUUGUUAAAAAUAUUUUAAUACCCCAAAUCAAAACUAAAUCGUUAAUUAAAUAUAAUUUUAAAUAUUUUUAACAAAAUAUUCAAUAUUUAAAUAAUGCGUCGUAAAAGCAUAGAAUAUUUUUUAAAAAAAUUAAUACCCGCCCAAUCAAAACAAAAUCGUUAAUUAAAUAUAAUUUUAAAUAUUUUUACCAAAAUAUUCAACACCAAAAUAUUCUCCGUGUUCUCAAAUAUAAAAUAUAUUUUAUCUAUUUUAAAUAAAUCUUCAAAUAAUAAUUUAUUCUCAAAUAUAGAUCUUAAGUUUUCGCCAUUGGAUCUCAUCCAACGAAUAAAAAUAAAAGUAUCUGUUAUUUUUGUUGACAAAAAUAUCCUUUUUUUCAAAUAUUUUUUUCUACCCAACAAUCAUGUAAUACGUAAAACUAAAUUUAUCUCUUAUCUAACGUCCUACCCGCCAAUCACGUAAUAUCUCCGCUAAUCACGUAAUAUGUAAAAUUAAAUUUAUUACAUAUCCAAACAUUUUCUCAAAUAUUUUUUUUCUCAAACGUAAUACCUACCAAUCUAAGUACCAAAAUUAAAUUUUAAAUUUGUAAUGCCCGCCAAAAUUUAAUACCCGCGAAUUUGAUAAUUUGAAUUUUAAUUUAAAAUAUUUCUCUUUUUAUCAUUUCACAUGAAUAAAAUUAUUAAGAACUAAUUAUUUGGAUGGAUUGAAGUAUGAAUUGAAUUAGAUUGAUUUUCUAGGACAAGAUAAUGCUAACACACAUUGGCAUGAAAAAAUUAUUAAUAACUAAUUAUUUGGAUGGAUUGAAGCAUGAAUCGAAUUAGAUUCAUACUCUAGAACAAGAUAGUGCUAUAACACACAUUGGCAUUUGGAGAGACACUAUUGUAAACAAUUCAGUUGUUGUAUAAAAAUAGUGCACUUUAAUAUCGAUAAUUAGGAUAAAUGUACUUUUUAAUAUUUUAUUUUUUUGUGGUAUUUUAAAUUUAUUUAUCAGGAUCAAUUUAGCAAAAUUUUAUAAGUAAAAUUGUGCUUAAUCCACCUAUUCCAAAAACUCAAGAAAUAAAAUUAAGCUAAAUUUUUUACUUAUAUGAAUUCUUAUUAAAUUUACAUUUUUUUUAAUUUUAUCUAUUCUGAUGAUUUACUAAUAUUUAUUUUAUUAUUUUUCUUACUUACAAUGCAAUUUGUACGGAAGGGGAACUAAUGGUGACAUUUUCAAUUAGUUUAGUGACGAAUUUUGUAUUUUUUUUUAAUGAUACCAUGAUAGAUUUUGUGUUCUUUCUUUUAUGAUAUUGUAAUUCUAUUUUUUAUUUCUAUCAUUUUAUUUUAGUAAUGAUUAAAUAUUAUUUAUCGAAUCUAUAAUAUUUAUUUAUAAAUUUUUUUUUUUAGUAUUUGUGUGACGUGCGUUGCACGUGCACUUAACUAGUACUAAUAAAAGCGUGAGUUUUGAAUUUUUUCCUCUUUCCAAAAGUAUCUCUAUCUGUUUUACUAAUAUUUUCAUGUCCAGUCAUUUUCAACCAAUCAUUUCAAAUAAUUAUUUAAAUAAUAAUUUAUUUCAAAUAUAUAUCUUAAGUUUAUGCCAUUAGAUCUUAUCCAACGAGUAAAAAUAAAAGUAUAUUUCACUUUUGUUGACAAAAAUAUUCUUAAUAUCCGUUAUCUCAUAUCUAUGUAUUUCUCAAAUAUUUUCUUUCUAUCCGUACAUAGAAUUAAAUUUAUCUCCUAUCUAACGUAAUAUCCGCCAAUCCGCCAAUCACGUAAUACGUAAAACUAAAUUUACUUCAUAUCUACGUGUUUUCUCAAAUAUUUUCUUUCUCAACCACAAAUUAUGUAAUACUCAAAAUUAAAUAAAUUUUAAAUUUUGAAUUACGCAUAAAUUAAAUCUACUAUUUAUGCUAUCUACCUGUUUUCUUAAAUAUUUCAUUUUAUAAUACCCGCCAAUCACAUAGCACUCAAAAUUAAAUUUUAAAUUUUAUUUUAAAGUUUGAAUUAAGCAUGAAUUAAAUCUACCAUCUACGCAUUUCCUCAAAUAUUUUCUUUCUAAUAUACCCACCAAUCCUUUCUCAUGCACGCCAAAAUUUAAUACCCGUCAAUCUGAUAAUUAAAUUUAAUACCCGUCAAUCUGAUAAUUUAAAUUUUAAUUCAUAAUAAUAGAUUUUCUAAGUAGAUUUAAUUUUGGGAUAUUAAAUUUUGGCGUGCCAUUUAAGCGUAGAAUAUUACUAAAAAAAUUUAAUACCCGUCCAAUCAAAUCUAAAUAGUUAAUUAAAUAUAAUUUUAAAUUUUUUUAGCAAAAUAUUCAAUAUUUAAGUAAAAUCCGUCAAAAUAUUUUACACGUUUCUCAAAUAUAGAGCAUAUCUUAAUAUUCUCGCAUAUAAUAUCUAUAAUACUCAAUCUUUAUCUUAUUAUAAUACUUAUCACACAUACAAUACAUCUUUUUUCGGUAUUUUCUCAUUCUCACCUAUAAGUAUAUUUUUUAGUAAUAUCCUUUUUCACUUUCACCUAUAUUUUUUCAAAUAUUAUCAAAUAUUUUUUUUAAUAAUAUCCUUUCUCAUUCAUUGCCGACACAUCGUCAUCAUCCUCCUCAUCGUCAUCGCCAACGGUGGCAUAUUGUUGCCUUCGCUACCUUUGCCACAGUUAAAGAGGUAUUUUCAUCCAAUCUGAAAUUUUUUUAAUGUUCUUUUAUACUAUUUUUAGCAUAUAUAUAUUUUUUUUAUUUACUCAUUUUCAUCUAUACAUUUCUCAAAUAUCUAUACAUUUCUCUCAAAUAUAAAGUAUAUAUUUUUUUGUAAUAUCCUUUUUCAUUUUUAUCUAUAUUUUUUUUAAAAUAUUCUCAAAUUUUUUUUUAGCAAUAUCCUUCUCAUUUGUCCCUGUCGCUGGCACCGACAUAUCGUCAUCGUCCUCCUUAUUAUCACUGUAAUCACCGGCGCCGGCACAUUGUCGCCUUGGCCACCUUCACCACAGUUAGAAAGGUAUUUUGAUCCCACUAGAAAUUUUCUCUUUUAUUUUUUUAAUGUGCCUUUAUAUUGUUUUACUUCUUUAAGUUUUUUUUCAUGAUUUUUUAUCUAUCAUAUUGGGAUUGGGGCUAAACUUAAGCAGGAAAAAAAAAUUGCUAUUUGAAAUUUGGAUUGCUUAGAUUAAAUAUGGGCAAGCCUGCUUAAUUUUGGCCUUUAGCAUAUUUAAAUUUCUACUUACAAUUGUGAUAAACUCUUCGGCCUAAACUAAAGAACCUACAAAAAACUAAUUGAUUUGGGCUUCAACUUAUUUAGAUUGUAAUUUGAACUUAAAAUUGUUUAGAUCUGAAAUAAAUUUAUUAGGACAAAAUAAAAUACUCCAGAAUGAAAGAUUUAAAUUGAUUUGGGUUUGGACUUGCCUAGGUGUACUAAAUUUAUCUAUACUACUUAUAAAAGAGUGAGUUUUAAAAUUUUUUUCUUUUCCAAAGUGCUAUCCCCUAUUAAUAUAAUUCCAAUCAUAUACUAACGAUAUCAUUCAUUCAACUUUUAUGAUAUAAAUCACAGCCGUACAAUUUUUAUUUUAUUUUCAAAUUAUCAUAAAAUAUAUUAAUUCUUAGUCAUUGGAUAUAAUUCUUAUAUUCAAUGGCCGACGAAUUAAAUAUCCGUCAUUUUUUUUAUCUAAAUUGUCCUCAGACAAUGCGUAUUAAAUUUAAAUUUACAAAUUUUGGAUAUCAAAUUUGAAUAAACAAUUAAAUUAUUUAAUUACGGUGAAUCAAAAUUAAAUUUCAAAUUUCAAAGUAAAUGUGAAUUAAAUUUUGACGCUUUUAGUUUAAACAAUAUACUUAAAAUUUAAAUUUAUUAGAAUUCAAAAAAUAUAUAAAAAUAAUAUAGGAUAUUGCAGAUAUUUUCUAAAAUAAUAUAACAUAUAAAUUUAUAAAUAUAAAUUUUAUUGUAAAUUUUUUUUGUAAAUUUUAAAAUUUUAAAAUUCAUACCACCAAUAACUAUUAAAAUUUAAAAUAUAAAUAUAAAUUUAAUUUAAUUGAAUGUGACGUGUAUCGCAAGUACUAUAACUAGUAACAUAAAAUGCAUCACUUUAUUUUCACUUCUUUUUAAUAUUUAUCUUAAAAAUAAUUUAUUUUUGAAAAUCGUUUUAUAUAACGUGAAUUAAAUCAUAUGUUUUAACACAAAAAAAAUAUUAAUACAAGAAUUUUUUUUUGAGUUUCAAAAGAACACAUAUUUAAACAGGUUAAAAAACUCUAUAUUUUUAAAGACAGCAUGUUGUAUAUUUAUAAUACUUACUUGCAAAUAUUACACUACUUAUGAAUAGAAAGUCGGUGACGAACUACUUUUGAUAAAAAAAAAAAAAACUCAACAACCCUUUUGGUCUUAAAACUCUCUAAGAUUCCAAUUUUUCAAACGAAAAUCUGGAUUCUAAACUCUGUUACAUCUGCCCAAAUAAAGAGAAGAGUAUUAGAGGUCGUAGUAGGAGAAGAGUAAUUAGGAGAGUCAAUAAGAGAAGAGGAAAAGAGGAGAGCUUAGCUUUUUUCUUGUUGAAGCUUCAGAACCAGGGGCGGUCGGCCGUGGUGAUCGAGAAAGGGCGAGGAGCUUCGUUGAUGGGCGGAACAAAGAAGGAGCGACAGCAGGAAGCGGAAGCUCGAAGCAGAGUUAGGCUUUGGGUCGGAGCCUCAGAUUUCCGGAGCGGAGGAAAAGGCGAACCCAAGAACCGCCGGGCUGUGGAUAGUUAGGAGACGGGCGAACCGACGCCCGCUUGCCCGCAUACAGGUGGAUUGGGCGGCCCGGCUCGCGGAUCGGGGCGAGAAGGCGGACCCAAGACUCGUCGGACUAUCGAUAGUACGGAGAAAGGCGAACCGGCGGCCGCUUACCCGACUACCAGGCAUUCUUGGACCGGACCAGCCCGCUCUGGCCCACAUUUCCAUCGAAUUCGGUCCACGAGGAAUCAGAAGCCCUUCUUGUAUUUCAAUUCUCAGUUUAGUACUAUUCAAUUUAACAAAUUGCAUUGUAGUCCAUUGUACAAGGGAAUAAAUAGACAGAUUGUAACUGAACUCGGAGAUUAUUAUGGAAAUUGAUAUUUUCUUCUACUCUCAUCUUCUUCCUUCACCUCUUCUCUGACUCAAUACCUCUUCUAUUCUUCCCUUAUCUCUCUCUUUUUUUUCAAUCCCAUCCUUUCAUUUUUAUUCUUUGAUCCCACUGCGUAUGUUUGGAUGCGGCAGUCAUUGUGAUGCUUAUUUGAUAAGACCAUCGUCCUCAACAUCGUCCUCGUCUUAGCAAAAUAUCACCAUAGACGGGUUGCGUAGAGUCAGGUACGUUACAAUUGGUAUCAAAGCAGUUUGAUCCCAGGACACUGUGUGGUGAAAUCGCUUCCUAACUCCAAUCGUAGCAUUAUCGAGUUUAAUCGCGAGUAAAUUUCUGCGCUGCCAAAUCUGAUUCGAGAUUGGGUUUGGAUAAAAGAAAUCACCACAGAAAUAACCCUAAAUCGAAUCACGAUUAGAGGACACCCCCUUAAUCCUCAGAUCCAUAGUAUCCCAUUGGGCAAUAACUUAACCAAUAGGAUCAGCCCUCCGGAAACCAUCAUAAGGCAACCAAUCAUUCAAACCAAGAUUCAUUUCUUGCGAAAAAUACUUUUCUGAGCAUCAAGAUUGGGGGCAAUCGAGCAUUAAGUUUAAAUUUAAUCCAAAUGAGUAUUUAGAAGAAAUAGAAAUGGCCGAAGGAACUAGAUUGAGAUAUCUCAGUGAUCACCUCCGUUCCUUAGAAGAAAGGUUCCAGAAAUUGGGGGCCGAGCAUCAAACAGAGAUGGAAGUACUCAACCAUUAGAUCGCUGAAGUAAAAGGGACUGGGCAGCGACUAUAUGAAGUGUUGUUACAUUUUAUUAUUAAAUGUUAAUUUUUUUUUUUAUAACAUUUGCAUUGAAGAUGACAUAACCUAUGCAUGCAUUCAUAGUGCAUUCCUAUAACCUAUGCACGUAUUUUCAUUCCUAUAACUCCAAGCUAUUUAAUUCUUGUAAGUUUCACAUUUAAUUAGAAAGUUAAUAUCAUAUAACUUCUAACCCUAUGAGCCUAUAUAUAGAGUGCAUUUCGUUUUUUGAAAUAAUGAAAAAAAAAAUAAUAAGUUAUUUCUAUUCCUGUGAGAAAGAGAAGGUCAAAGAAAGGUGUUCUUUUGAUGGAGCUUUCGGCUCAUCUACUUGUGCAGAGUUGGUGAAGCCGCACGACGAGAGUCGAGCCGUUGUAUCCUGGAGGGGACAAGUCAGUGCUCUGCUACAUCGGUUCAAAGGCUUUGCCAAUCGCAGAGGGCUUGAAUCUCCUUAAAGAGAGCGAGAUAUCCGUGCCUCGGCUUGAUCGACUCGUUGAUACUUUUUUAAAUUAUUUUGUAGCUAACCUCUAUUUUUUGAAUAUUUACACCAACAAUUUUAAGGAGAUUCAAAGAUGGAGGCUACACGCGUAAAGUUCAACGAUACAGCCGGAGAUCUCAACAAGCCCUUCCGCUUCAACGGAAGCCACUUCAAGAGGUGGAAAGGAAAAGUGUUAUUCUACCUCAAUUUACUUAAAGUUGCAUAUGUUCUCACGGAGAAGAAUCCAAAGAAAAUGAAUACCGAUGAUAUAAAUGAAGACGAACUUCUCGAACACUAUGAGAAAACUGAAAAAUACGAGAAUGAUGAGUAUAACUGUCGGUAUUAUCUUCUUAACUGCCUUUCGGAUCAAUUUUAUGAUUAUUAUGAAAACACUUACUCCUCUGCAAAGAAGAUUUGGAAGGCAUUGCAACUUAAAUAUGAUAUAGAGCAAGCUGGUGCAAAGAAAUAUGCUGCUAGCCGCUUCUUUCGCUACCAGAUGGUCGAAGGAAAGUCCGUGGUUGAGCAAGUUCAAGACUUUCAGAUGAUCGCUCAUGAAGUUCAAUCUGAAGGAGUCAAGUUUGGAGAUAACUUGAUCGUACUAGGGAUCAUCGACAAGCUACCACCAUCAUGGAGGGAAUUCCGAAAAACCCUUCGACAUAAGCAAAAGGAAAUGUCUCUCGAGACAUUAAUUGCACGCAGUCGCGUGGAAGAGGGGGCAAAAGGCCAAGAUACACUUGAAGCAAAGAGAAUGAUGCUAGCGCCACUAAGGUAAACUUAGUAUCUUUUAAUACUUUACCUAAUAACAAUCGUUCUAGAAAAACAUACUUGAAGCCUAAGAAGAAAAUUAGAAAGAACAGUGAUAGACCUCAAUUUAAGAAAAAUGACCAAGGACCUCCUUCUUAUGUGAAAAAUAUAGUUUGCUAUGUCUGUGACAAAAGUGGGCAUAUUGCUCGAACUUGCAAAUACCGGAAACAUAAAGCUUUACCUCAAGCUAAUGUUACCGAGGAGCCACUUGUGGCGAUGAUAACAGACAUAUGCUUAGUGGAGAAUGCUGAAAGAUGGUGGGCAGACUCUGGUGCCAAUAGGCAUGUCUGACAUGAUGAGACUUGGUUUAAAAUAUAUACUCCCUAUGAACAACUAAGAAGUAUUAUGCUUGGUGAUUCGCAUACUUCUGAAGUUUUAGGAAGUGGUGAGGUCGAGUUAAAAUUUUCUUCUGAAAGGGUGCUUAUUUUGAAAGAUGUGCUGUAUACACCCUCGAUUAGAAAGAACUUGAUGUCAAGUUUUCUUUUUCAUAAAGCUGGCUUCAAACAGACCAUCGAGUCUGAUCAGUAUAUGAUUUCAAAGAAUGAAAAAUUUGUAGGUAAAGGUUAUGCAUGCGACGGAAUGUUUAAAUUAAACAUUGAGAAUAAAGCAUUAUCUACUUCUGCUUACAUGCUUUCUUCUGUGAAUUUUUGGCAUGCUCAUUUGUGUCAUAUCAACAGCAGAUAUGUUAGCUUGAUGAGUAGUUUAUGAUUAAUUCCCAGAUUGAAUAGUGAUUUUGACAAAUGUGAAACAUAUAGUAAGUCAAAAAUCACUAAACGACCUCAUAAAAAUAUUGAAAGAAGUACCGAAUUACUUAAGCUAAUUCACAGUGAUAUUUGUGAAUUUGAAGGUAAUCUAACUCGUGGAGGAAAUAGAUAUUUUAUCACUUUUAUUGAUGACUUUUCAAAAUAUACUUAUGUUUAUUUAUUAAAAAAUAAAAGAGAUACUUUUGAAAAUUUUAAAGAUUUCCUCCAUGAAGUAGAAAACCAAUUCGGUAAAAAGAUAAAGAGAAUUAGAAAUGAUCGAGGUCGUGAGUAUGAAUCUACAGGAUUCAACUCUUUUGUGCAGUCUUUAGGAAUUAUCCAUGAGACUACUGCUCUAUAUUCACCUGCCUUUAAUGGAGUGGCUGAGAGAAAAAAUAGAACACUUAUUGAGCUAACAAAUGCUAUGAUGGUUGACACUGGUGUACCCUUAAAUCUUUGGGGUGAAGCUAUUUUAACUAUAUGUUAUGUCUUGAAUCGCGUGCCACAUAAGAAGUCUAAGGUGACACCCUUUGAAUUGUGAAAAGGUUAUAAACCAAAUUUGGGAUAUCUUAAAGUGUGGGGUUGUCUAGCAUAUGUGAGGCUAUCAGACCCUAAAAACCCAAAUUGGGUGUUAGAGUUGCCACUUGUGUUUUUCUUGGAUAUGCUUUGAACAGUACGGUCUAUAGAUUUUUAGACAUUGAAAAUAAUGUGAUUUUUGAAUGAAGAGAUGCUAUUUUUCAUGAAGAAAAUUUUUCUUAUAAAUCGAAAAAUAGUGGGGGUGAAGAUUUUAAAAGUGUUUCAAAUAAUCCGAGUUCUUCAAACUAUUUCUUACAAAAUCAAGAAGAAAAUAUUUUUGAACCAAGAAGAAAUAAACGAAACAGAAUAGAAAAGGAUUUUGGCCCUGAUUAUGUUGUUAUGAAUAUUGAAUAAAAUUCACUUUCUUUACAAGAAGCUUUAUGUUCAAAUGAUUCAAUUUUUUGAAAAGAGACUGUAUCUGAUGAGAUGGAAUCCCUAAUUUCUAAUAAAACAUGAAAAUUAGUGGAUUUACCUCCAGGCUGUACAACAAUUGGUUGUAAAUGGGUCCUCAGAAAGAAAUUAAAACCGAAGGAGAGUGUAGACAAGUAUAAAGCAAGACUUGUCGCAAAAGGUUAUAAACAAAAAGAAAAUCUAGACUUCUUUGAUACCUUCUCUCCGGUGACGAGAGUGAUAUCCAUCAGAGCUCUGAUUGCUAUUGCUGCAAUUCAUGACUUACAAAUUCAUCAGAUUGAUGUAAAAACUGCCUUUCUAAAUGGUAACCUAGAUGAGAAAAUUUAUAUGGACCAACCUGACGGGUUCAUUGAGCCUGGACAAGAAAAUAAAGUGUGCAAGCUAAAUAAAUCCUUUUAUGGCUUAAGGCAGGCACCUAGACAGUAACAUGAAAAAUUUGAUUCUUGCAUGAUUGAGAAUGGCUUUAAAUUAAACAAGUAUGAUAAGUGCAUCUAUUACAAAAUUUUUGAAAAGUUGCAUGUAAUUGUUAGCCUUUAUAGAGAUGAUUUGCUAAUUUUUGGGUCUAACUUAAAUGUUAUAAAUGAGACAAAAAUUAUGCUAAAUUAUUAUUUUGAAAUGAAAGAUCUUGGUGAGGCUAACUAUAUUUUGGGUAUGAAAAUUACCAAAACACCGGAUGAGAUCUUUCUUGAUCAGUCGCAUUAUGUUGAGAAAAUUUUAAGAAAGUAUAACUUUCUUAAUUGCAAGCAUGUGACUACACCUUUUGAUUCGAGUGUUCACUUAUUUCCUAUUAAAAGUGAAAAUGAAAAUACGCGCAUAGGUUAUAGGAAUGCACUAUGAAUGCAUGUAUAGAUUAUGUCAUCUUCAAUGCAAAUGUUAUAAAAAAAAAAUUAACACUUAAUAAUAAAAUGUAACAACAUUCCUCCAUUCAUUUUAUUAUUUCGCCUAUGUGAGCAUGGAAGUGGGGCCGCAUCCUAUGAGAACGGGCUUAUUCUCAAAUAUGCUCAUGAAAACCACGAUCAGCACAGAGCCGUAACGUGCUAGCUAUUAAAGCUCAUGUCAACACCUGGAUUGUUAUAUAUGAGCCAAUAACUUUCUAUUUCCCCUAAGCAGCCAAAGUUCAAGUCUGAGACCACUUUGGCUCUGGAGUAGAGAUUACUGUUUCACUAAGUGAAUGUUCAAUGCAGAGCACAUCUUUAUUAUGUAUAACGAUCCCUUUUUGUCCAUCAAAUUCUCACAUAUUCUUAAUAAUAAAAUGAGUGGGGGAAUAUUGUUACAUUUUAUUAUUAAAUGUUAAUUUUUUUUUAUAACAUUUGCAUUGAAGAUGACAUAACCUAUAUAUGCAUUCAUAGUGCAUUCCUAUAACCUAUGCACGUAUUUUUAUUCCUAUAACUCCAAGCUAUUUAAUUCUUGUAAGUUUCACAUUUAAUUAGAAAGUUAAUAUCAUAUAACUUCUAAUCCUAUGAGCCUAUAUAUAGAGUGCAUUUCGUUUUUUGAAAUAAUGAAAAAAAAAAAAGUUAUUUCUAUUCCUGUGAGAAAGAGAAGGUCAAAGAAAGAUGUUCUUUUGGUGGAGCUUUGGGCUCAUCUACUUGUGCAGAGUUGGUGAAGCCGCACGACGAGGGUCGAGCCGUUUUAUCCUGGAGGGGACAAGUCAGUGCGCUGCUGCAUCGGUUCAAAGGCUUUGCCAACCGCAGAGGGCUUGAAUCUCCUUAAAGAGAGCGAGAUAUCCGUGCCUCGGCUUGAUCGACUCGUUGAUACAUUUUUAAAUUAUUUUGUAGCUAACCUCUAUUUUUUGAAUAUUUACACCAACAUGAAGCAUUACAGGUCGAAGCUGCCAAACGGCAUGAGGAGCUGCUUAAGUUGUUAGCAGCUCAGCCACCUCCACUCAAGAGCCAAGACGUGGCAAGCCCUCUUGAGGGCAAAAUUCCACCAUGCGGUAAUCUUGGGAACAGUAGAAUGCCAAUAACAAUCAGAGCAGAUAAAGGCAAAGGGAUUUUACCAACUCCAAUGAGACAACCAGAAGAAGAUAAGAAUCACAAUUCACCAUGUAUCUAUCAACAAGCAUAACCAUCAACAAUUACCUUACCUGAGACUGGAUUUUCCUUUUUUUGAUGGUGAAGACCCUCGAAGUUGGAUUGAAAAUUGCGAGCAAUACUUUGAGUUAUAUCAAAUACCCCAGCACCAAUGGUUAAGUGUGGCAACCAUGCAUUUGAUUGGUAAGGCAAGGACAUGGAAACAGGGAUAUUUCAUUAACAAACAACUCGUUUCGUGGGAUGAGUUCACCGAGGCCGUAUGUCGAAGAUUUUCAUAAAUGGGAGAGAGAUACGUAAUCUGGGAAUUCAGUAAUUUAAGGCACAUGGGUACAUGUGAAAAGUACCAAGAAAGGUUUGAAGAAUUGAGAUUCCUACUACUUUAUUACAAUCCCCAUCUAAUUGAAGAGUACUUUGGCCUGAAGGAGGAAUUAAUUCCAUUCCUAAACAUCGCGCAUCCGUGUUCAUUGGAGGAAACAUACGAGCAAGCUCAACUACAUGAAAAGGCCCUUGCUGCCCUUAACCGAAGGAACAGAUACAAUCCUAAGGCAUUAGGAGCACCAUACGAAUCGAAUUCUUUAUAUAAGAACGCUGUCAGCAAGCCCACUGAAAAUACCAAGCCUCAAUAUUCCACCUUACAAAAGAAUCGUACAAACCAAACCCCGAUUAACAAGCAACUAAUGGAUCAAAGGAGAGCUGCUGGAUUGUGUUUUCGAUGUGGAGAAAAGUACCACCCGGGGCAUGUUUGUGCCAACAAAACCCUAAAUACCAUGCAGUCUAUGGAAGAAGUCAUGGAAGUUUACGAUGAAGACUGUUUACACGAGGAACAGAAUAAAGGAGUAACUUCAAUGGGGGAACAACAAGAAACAAAAGUAAUUCCUGAUGAAGGAGAACUACAAGAAAUUGGAGUUUCCAUACAUGCCUUGAGCGGAGAAAAGCCCCAAGAUACUAUCAAAAUACGAGGUGAAGCAAAAAACAAAACAAUUACUAUUCUGAUAGAUACGGGAAGCACGCAUAGCUUCAUUGACUUACAAGUGGCUAAGGAGGUAAGAGCAAAAAUGCUGACAGCAUUGCCGUUGGUAGUGACAGUUGCUAAUGGGCAUAAGGUGUUAAGUAAACUUCAAUGCCCGGGGUUUUCUUGGACCAUGCAAGGACCACGCAUUCUCAACAUAUUUAAGAGUGAUCAGGUUGGAGGGUUCAAGCAUCGUGUUGGGUAUUGAUUGGCUCAAAUCCUACGGAAAGGUAACCUUUGAUUUCUUAUCAAAUUCAGUCACCAUUACCAAAGAGGGACAGAUACUAGAGUUGAAAGGGAUUGAAGAAGGAGCUAAGCUAAAACUCAUUACCGCAACCCAAUGGAGUCAAGAGAUGGAAACAGGAGAGUGUUACAUUUUAAGUCAUCAAAUGCUACCCGAAAAACCCAAGCCAGAAGCAAACAUUCACCUUUGCAUCCAGCAAGUGUUAGACUAGUGUCCAGAUAUCUUUGAGGAGCCGACAGGGUUACCACAGCCUCUCAGCCAGGAUCACAAAAUUUUGUUACAAUCUAACACCACGCCAAUUAAUGUAAGGCCAUAUAGAUACUCACAUGAACAAAAGGAAGAGAUUGAGAGGCAGAUAAGAGAGCUAUUGAACAACUCGAUAAUACAGCGUAGCAACAGUCCAGUCGCCUCACCGGCUCUGUUGGUAAAAAAGAAAGACGGGAGUUGGAGGAUGUGCAUUGACUAUCGGCAACUUAAUAAAAGUACUAUCAAGGACAAGUUUUUCAUACCCAUCAUCGAUGACCUAUUAGACGAAUUGGGAGGCUCGAAAUACUUCUCCAAGAUAGACCUGCGAUCUGGUUAUCAUCAAAUCAGGGUGGACCCAUCUGAUAUCCCAAAUAUAGCAUUCUGAACUCACCAAGGACAUUAUGAGUUUAAGGUUAUGCCAUUUGGCCUCACCAACGCACCCGCCAUCUUCCAAGCUAUUAUGAACUGCACGUUCGAACCUUACUUACGAAAAUUUAUUUUGGUAUUUUUUUAUGACAUUUUGAUCUAUAGUAAAAGUUUGGAGGAUCAUGUGAAGCACUUACAAAUUACAUUAGAAGAGUUGCGAAGAAAUCAAUUAUAUGCUAAAAGGAGUAAGUGUUACUUCGGGCAAGACAAGGUGGAAUAUUUGGGCCAUAUUAUUUCCGCAGAAGGAGUCGCCAAACACCCAGACAAGAUUGAAGCUAUGAUCAAGUGGCCAACACCCAAAUCUGUUAAGGAGCUUCGAGGAUUUUUAGGACUAAUGGGUUACUAUCGGAAAUUCAUUAAAAGGUAUGGACAACUUAGUAAACCAUUGACCAAACUAUUGAAAAAGGACCAUUUCUGGUGGAACGACGACACCCAGCUAGCAUUUGAAGAGUUGAAGGCAGCCAUGACUAAAGCUCCGGUGUUAGCUAUGCCCAACUUUGAUCUAUCUUUUACCAUAGAGGUUGAUGCAUGUGACACGGGAAUCGGAGCUGUAAUGUCUCAAAACAGAAAACCAAUCGCUUAUUUGAGCAAGGCGAUCGGGGGUAAACAUCUUGGGUUGUCUACAUAUGAAAAGGAGUUUCUAACUAUACUCAUGGCAGUGCAAAAAUGGAAAUAUUAUUUAAGCAUAAGGACCUUCAUAAUCAAUACGAAUCAUGAAAGUUUAAAACAUCUUUUGGAAUAACGAAUAUCAACUCCAAUGCAACAAAAGGGAAUGAUGAAGUUAAUGGGCCUUAACUAUACAAUCCAGUAUAAAAAGGGGAAGGAAAAUGCUAUAGCCGGUGCAUUAUCGAGGAUCGUUAACGAAGAAGGCAUUACGCUGGCUAUAACAGCAGCUAUACCAACUUGGGUUCGAGAGGUGGCGGAGAACUAUAAAAGGGAUCCACAUUGCGAGAAAAUGAUAGGUGAGUUAGCUUUGCAUCAAAACACCCAAGGGGACUACUCAUAUGGCAAUGAGCUGCUACGAUAUAAGGGCAAAUUGUACAUUGGGGAAACAGGACCAUUAAGGAAAAGAAUUCUUGACCAAAUGCAUAAUUCCGCUUUGGGAGGCCAUUCAAGGAUACAGAACACCUACCAAAGAGUCAAAAGCAUUUUUAUUGGCCGGGGUUAAGGAGAGUAGUUGAGGAGUGGGUAAAGGGGUGUACCGUAUGUGCUCAGAACAAGGUGGAUGGAACACCCUACGCAGGUAACUGCUAAAAUAAAGGACUAUUUAUAGACACAUUUGGGUGCAUAGAAAUUGGAUGAAAGAUAUUGGCAUGUAAAAUUUGUUUGUACUAUUUUUUGUGGCAAUAUUUGUAGGCCAUAGGCUUUUAUAAAAAAAUAAGAAGAUGAUUGAACAUGCCUUGUGGAUGAACUUCUUUUCUAUUAUCAUAAUAACUUAAAUGCAUUCUCAGUGAAUAAUGAAUGACAACCUUAAAAAUAUAAAUAAAUAAAUAAAAGACAAAAGUUACAGCCAAGAUUUUGUUUUUAAAUUGAUUGUUAAAAGAAGGUUUGCAUGUUAUAAGGAUAUUAAAUAUUAAAUAGUCUCGGAGAAAUAAUAUUGUAAGGAUAAAGAGAGACAUCAUCCAUUAACUAUAUAUCCACCAAUGAUCAGAAAGCACAUAGCCGAGAAAUUUCUAAUAGCGAGUUUAUAUUUAACAUUUAUGUUUUUUGAAAAAAAAAAUCAAAAUUAUCCUUGAUUUAGAGCUAGAAUUCUUAAAUAUGUCAUAUUUCUGGUUUCUCUUUUUUUUUUGAUUUUUUUUUCUUUUAUAUUGCUCGGUGACCCUUUUACACUGGAAACUCCUUUACAAACUAUCUACAUAAUAUUAACCCGAUGUAAGGGCACAAACCCGAGCACCAAUUUCGAGUUUCCACAACAAAAAUUUUAGGAUUCUGCAGUUUCCUUUUGGAACAUUGCAUUGCUGCCAACGCAGCUUAACACUAACUUUGGAAGGAAAAAAUUGCACAAUACUCUAGAACUUUAUAUUAAAUGAUAUUUAUAUUUUAUUAAUUAGUAAAAACGUAUAGAACUUGUUUAAACUAUGGACCAUAUUUCAAUUUACUAUCAGAUCAUUCAAAAAUUAAAUUUUACCAUCCAGUCUUUCAGUUUGUUUAAUUUGAGUCAGUCAACGCCACUUUAAAUCAACGAUACUUCGAAUUUAAAAUUUAAGCUAAUUUUUUACUUUAAUAAAUUUAUAGUUGUGAGAAUUACAUAAAAUAUACUAAUUAAACCAGUAAAAAUAAACGACUCAUCCAAAUUUUGAAGUCAAAGUAUAACAUUCCAAUAACCCUAUAGUGGAUGAAAAAAGAGUUUUGAUUAAAAAUGUAAGAAACCACGCACCCUAAUUAUACUAAUAAUAAUAAUUGAGAUUAAGUAUUUUUAGUCGGUGGUUUAGACUGAUGAGUUAUAAUUGCUAACGCGAAGUCAAGCAAAUUGAAAGGUUGAGCAGCCAACUCAAAAUGGUUCAUAAUUCAUGUAAAUUGUGUAUUCUUUUUUUAAUUUUCUAGAUCAAAGAAAAAUAAUUUAUUCACCAAUUGUUUUCAUGCUCAUUUUCAUACUUCUAGAAACGGGAAUUAAUUGGAUCUUAGAAAUAAAUUGUAACUUUAACCUACUACAAAAUUCUAAUUUUCAUGAUUUUUCAAAAUAUGCAUUCCAUCGUCUUGCUAAUUUAUCAUAGCCUUAAAUAAUGAGAUCAUUUAUUCUUUCUUAUACUCUUUUGCGCAUUUUUUUACAUUUCUCUCAACAACGAAAUAAGCCAACCAAAUUUUGGGCGUGUUUGGUUCGCUUCUUUUUCAUCCUGGAAUCGGAAUCGGAAUGGGUGAAUCCGUUUGUGGGUGUUUGAUACGCGGGAGUCCCAUUCCAAUUCCGAUUUCCGAAUGGAAUGGGAAUCCCCCAAUCAUCUCUUUUUUCAAUCCGGCCUAGGAGGCCGGAUUGAAAGUUGAAUCCGGACGGAAUGGAUAUUUAUUCGGAUUAAAUUUAUUUUUUCAAAUUUUUUAAUUAAAAUAUGAGUUAAAAUUUAAAAAUUAAAUAUAUAAUUUUAAAUUUUAAUUUAAACUUAAAUUAAAAAUUAAAAUUUAAUCAAGUAUUUCGAAUCUAACUUAUGAAUUUGAAUUUAAAUUAAAUUUUAAUUUAUAUAAAGUUUUAUUCAAAUUUUAUUUCAAACUUAAAUUAAAUUUAUGGAUUCAAAUUAAAAUUUAAAUUGUAAUUUUAAGUUUGAAUUUGAAUAAAUCAAAAUUUAGUUUCAUAUUUUGAAUUAUCCACUCAACUUCAAAGUUUAAUUUUUUUUAAAAAAACAUAGAUUUAAAAUUUUGACAUUAUUUCAAAAUUUUGAUGUAAUUUUUUAAUAUUUAAUAUUUAAUUUGAAUUUAAAUUAAUAUAUUAUAAAGAUAAUGUUAAUAUACUAAUUUGAUUACGUUUUUUAUAUCACCUGAACCAAACACCGACAAUAGAAAUGAUUUAUUCCGAUUUCGAUUCAGGUGAUGAACCAAACAGAAUUAGGUAAUGAGUCAUUCCGAUUCCGAUUCCAGUUUAUUUUGAUUCCGAUUCCGACUCCAACUUCGAACCAAGCACGCCCUUUGAGUGAACAAAACAAGAUGCUACGCAAGUUGUUCCAAGAGUCAAAUGAUGCUACAGAUUAGGACUUUUUUUCAAAAUAAUCCUAUAAAUUUUUUUAAUUAGGUAAAUAACUCUAUGAAAUUUUUUUUGACAAACUAAUCCUUCUUUUGCCAUGUAGGAGCCACGUUAGAAUUUUUUCUUAAAAACGGUGAAUAAUUCACAGCCUUCAUAAAGACGAUGAACGAUUCAGUGCGUUUCUUAUUUUUUCAGAAACUUCUUGCGCUUAUUUACUAUUUCUUUCUAUAUCCCAUAUAUAAUUCUAACCACCACAUAAAAAUUUUAACAAAUCACAUACAAUCUUAACAACCUGAAAAUCAUAAUAAUCUAUCCGUACAAUCCAUAUAUAACAACCUGAAAAUUCUAAUAAUCUAUUCAUAUAAUUCUAACUAUCAAAUAAAAAUUUUAAUAAUCCACUUAUAAUCCUAGCAAUUUCACUUUUUUUAUAUUUUCCAUAUAAUCCACGUACAAUCUUAAUAAAUGCGGUGAACAAUUCACCGUCGGUAAAUAACAUGAAAGAAUGCGGUGAACAAUUCACCACUUUUGAAAGACAUGAAACAGAAUAAUUCACCGCGUUUUGAAAAAAAAUUCUACAUGGCGAAAAAAGGAUUAGUUUGCCAAAUAUAAAUUUGACUGGACUAUUUUACAAAUUACAAAGUUUUAGAGGAUUAUUUUGGAAAAAAGUCCACAGAUUUAUAAGAUGAUACGUAGUAUUUAAACUUGUGUAUAUGCUCAUGCAAUUAAACGUUAUAGUUGUAAUUUUGUUUUAAAUGGCUGAAACAUUCUGUAACUGUUAUACCACAUCCAGAAGAUACUAAUUCUGCACCCAUAAAAGAAGAAGUAAAUAGUUUUUUUAAAAAAGACUUAACUAGGACAGAUUUGAGGAGCCAAAGUGUAUUACUCAGAUCAAGUUCAAUCAGAUUCCCCNUGCUACCUUUCUCUCUCGAAAAAAAAAAGAAAAAAAAAAAAGAAAAAAAAAAAAAAAAAAAAAACUGAUUCUAAAACUGCCCACCAAUACAAAAAUCCAGUACACUCUUAUUAAGCUCCCCACAAGAAUAAAUUUUGAUGUAAUGGAAAAGGAACCAACAUAACAGAUGCUCUGAACAUCCAAAAUGAGAAUGGUUGCAGAAGAAUUACACCAUAAAUCCUAUCCAAAAUGAGAAUGGUUGCAAAAGAAUUACACCACAAAAUCCUAUCCUGGUUUAUCAUCUAUUCAACACCCAGAUCGAUAUGUGCAUUACAGUUAAUUGCUGUAUCCUCACAAUAUUGCUAUUUGUUGCCGAAUACCAAUGUACAGCAGUACACGGCAAUACAUGUAAAUAAACUCAGAAUACACAUAUUUAUAUGUAAAAUGCUCGUAAAAGAGAGCUCUAAGAAUCCAUUACCGAUUCAGAGGACGAAAAGGAAUAAUACAUAAAUGCUUAUUCUUUUGGAAACAAAAUUACAUACAUUAGGGAAUACAAUAUGGGUAAUAGUACAAAGCAGUAGGGGAAAAACGAAUACAUAUACAAACACCGUAAGAAUAAUGAAGAAUACUGUAAUAAUAUAAAGAUAAGAUGAGAAGUUAAAAAAUUAAAACGUAUUUUUCCUGCUUCUGAUAGAAUACAGUUUGACCAUCCAUACAUCCAACAAAUUUCUGUGGUACGAGGGGGGGAAAAGAAAUACUAUAGUUCACAUACAUAUAUACAGCAUUCAAUAAAUUAUAUUGCAUACCCUACUCUAAGCAUCACCAAUAUACAAGUCAAAACAUAUGAACAAAAGACAAUUGCUUAACUCAUUACAAAAUCAUACAUACAACAUGGUGGGGUGGAAUCUACUUAGUUAUCUCGUGAGGAUGCUCUUUGAGAGGGACUACGGGUUUCUCGGGAACGUUCCGUAAAAAGUUCGCUGACCAUCUUAUCCUGGAAAUUGAAGUCAUCCUCUUAAUGUAGUGUUUCAAAUCCUGAAGUAUAUAGCAAAAUUGAUGAUUAUAACAUCCGCUCAAACUCUAUACUAUGAAGAGCAUCAGCAGAUGAUGAAUGGUGCAACCAAUACAUCAAUGGGCAUUGUUUGGCAAGAGUGCCAGCUAUUUUAUUUGUUUACCAACAAAAAGAAAUAUAGAGAUGUCCAUCUGCCAGGGCACUCCACUGAAUUGAAGAAGCAUUGAAAACGAAAAAGAAAAAAAAUAAAAGAAGAGAAAGCGUAAUUAAACAAGACCUAACAGUUUUAUUUUUCGUAUCUUUGAGCUUUUCAGUUUCUACGUUUGUGCUUUGUUAAUUUCAGCGGUUUCAUUUUCAUAUAAGAUGGAACAUCCUUUCUACAAAUUCACCUGAAAUGUAGUUCAAAUCAAACUGGUUUUUUAUCAAAUCGUCCAAGUUUCUUGCAAUCACAAACCAAUCACCUCUAAGAAUUUCAAUAUUCGAAGGUGCAGUUGUUCUCACAGUAACAGUUGGCUGAUGAUGGUAUCUUUCUCCACUUAACAAUAUAAAGGCAUAAACUAAUUCAGACUUAAUAUGUCUUGACAUAACUUACAACACCAGUAUAUAUAAUAUAUACACAUAUAGGGCAAUAUUGCUCUCAGAGAGUGGUAUAGGGUUUCGGGAUUGUUGUUUUCUGUUUGAGGUUUAGGUAUAGGGUUUUAGGUUUCAACAAUUGAACCAAGAAAAACAAGUAUGAAGAGAAAAGGACUCACCGGAUAAUCGGGCAGCCAUUGAAAAACCAAGUUCAGAUGGUCCGCCACUAUACAGCUCAGCCAUCCAAAGAACUGUUUUGCCAUGCUUUCUGCUUACGAAUUAGUCACCCUGCAUGAUUGAGGAGAUAACCAGAGAAAUCAGGCAGCAAUGACAACUUCCUAGAACGUUGGAUCUACCGCAUCGGACUCAAAGAACCGAGCCACAGCAGAGUAGAGCUGCUCUUCUUCAAACGGCUUAGACACAUAGCCAUCCAUACCACAUCGCAAACAUUCAUCAUGUGUUGCCUGAAUUACAUCUGCUGUCAUAGCUAAUAUAGGUGUGUGCCAAUGGGUCACAUCCCCGUUAUCCAUAGAUACUUCUCUCUCAAUCAGUUCAUUUAUUUUUUUCUCACAAGAACGGAUUUGUCUCGUGGCCUCGAAGCUGCAAAUGAUGGUAGGAAAGACUAAGUAGAAUAUAAUAUGAAGUGAUUCUAGUAACAUAAAUAAUGAGCAUUGAGAAAAAGAAUGAAAAAAAUUUUGACAGAGAGUGGUGUACUCUACAAGUAAUUGGGCAAAUCUCUCAUUAUAGCUGUGUAGAAGUCAGGUCCAUCUUUUUCACAUAAUAGAAUGAAAACUGAAGUGACUCUCUUGAUAAUCACUAAAGAGUUACUAUAAUUGGUGAAAACAAUAAAAGAUAAAGGUUAAGAAAUUCAGAUACUUGAGAAUACAUCCUACUUGAACAGAAAUGAAGAAGUUCACUCUUCCAAUCCAUUAAAUGAAGAUAGAGGUUAAGAAAUUCAGAUACUUGAUAAUGCGUUCUAACUUUAAACAAAAAUAAAGAAGUCGACUCUUCCAAUCCACUAAAUGUUAUAAGUUGUGUAGAGAAUUUUUAAAGAAACCAAAGAUGCCAAAUAAACGUGAAAAAAACAAAUUGUCACAACAACAAUUAUUAACCUCUCAUCAUUCAUGCAAUGUAUGGGGACUUACUAACUAUAAGGUCAAUCAUGUGAAGCGCACUAUCUCUUCAAGUAAAACUAAUCUCCAUAACAGGAGCAAAAGGAAAAAAAAGAGUACCCAUCCAUCUCAGGCAUCUGAACAUCCAUAAAGCAAGCAUCAAACUUGUGACGAGGCUGUAGCAUCACAAUUGCCUCCUUUCCACUAGCUACACAGGUAACAAUAGCUCCAUAUUUCUUCAAAGCAGCAGCUGCAACUCUACGAUUAACUGCAUUAUCAUCUACUACUAAAAUCUGUUUCUCUUUCAAAAGGCUUUGAAGUGCCAGCGGCUGUCCUCUAACCUGCUGCCUUUUUAUCCCUACACCAAGCGCUUUUCGAAGGCAAACAGCCAUCAUACUAAGGCGAAGGGGCUUCCGUAUACAGUCAAUAUAUCCUGCUGACUUUAACUCAUCAAUCUCAGUUAGACUUAAAGAAGUAGCCAAUAGGAAGAGCUUUGGGGUGCUUUGUCUUGGCUUAAUUGUACUGCCAUUUCGUCGAAGGUCAGUAAGAUGACUGGGAAAUGCCAGACCGGAUCCUUCACCCCAAGCUUCCUUAUCAACAAGCACCAUGUCCAAUUUGCUCGUCCCGCUGAGAAAGUAGAAUACCAAAGUAAAUAAAGGCUAACAAAUAUUGUUAAGAACUCUUAUAUAUGUUGAUGAAUGUGGCUUAUAUCUAGUGCACCCUGCCGGGUUCUAAGAGUCAGCCUCAGUAGAAUUUAGGGCUCUUUUAUUAUAAAAUCAUGAUUAAUUGGAUAUUUUAGUAUACAUUAUUUUUGAAUAUCAUAAUCAAUGCUAAACGAAACAUACAUAAUCAAUGCUAAAUGAAACAUACCAUUACGUUCUCACAGCAACAUACUUAAAUGAAUCAACAUUUACAAAAAAAUACUCUCAAAGAAAAUUGGGGCGGUGAAUCAACAUUUACAGAAAAUAAAGCAGCAGUUAAAAAAAAAAAGCUAUGGCAUGCUUAAAAUAUAUCCUAAACUAGCAUCCAACUUUCAAACAGCUAACCAAGGAAAAAGAAAAAGACAAUUACCUUAAACUGGAUGCCUCGAAAAUGGCCGAAAGUGCAGCUUUUGGGUCAGUGGCAAUAUCUGCUUGUAUCCCUAAUCUCUGCAGAUGAUACUUCGAGAUCUCAGCACGUACUCUUCUCCCAUCAACAACCAGUGCUCUCAUUCCCCAGAAAUCUGAGAGAGUAGCAUCGAAAUGGUACCUCUUCAUAUCUCCUGAAUUCUUCUUUCCUUCUGUGAAAACAGCAGUGAAAAAGAAAGUACUUCCAACCCCAGGUUUACUAACAAAACCUAUUUCUCCACCCAUUAGGUCAACUAAGCAUUUGCUAAUGCUCAAUCCAAUACCAGUUCCACCAUAUGUACGGGAAGUAGAACUAUCAGCUUGCAUAAAAGGUGUGAAAAUACGGCUUUGAGCAUCUUCAGGUAUUCCAACACCAGUAUCUUCGACUGUUACUAAUAGGUUUACUGAAUCACUUGGUUCAGUUGUAGACUUGAACAUUCGGAAGUUUUCCAAGUUUCUCCGUCUAUCUACUACUUGAAACCCACUUAAUGUGUUAUAUGAUUUAUCUCUGCAAUUAGUACGUACUUCAGCAUUUUCAUGUGAUAUUGGGCUGGUAAUGUUAUUAGAGAUCUUCACUUCUCCAACCAGAUGCACCGAGACAAAGAUAUGUCCUUCUUCUGUGAACUGCAGAUGUAACCAAAUCAGCUACAGGGUUAUAAUCUAGGGGAGCCAAAAAUGAUUGGUAAGCAGUAAGAAAUAAAAGUUUCAAUUUCUAUUAUGCAAAUGUAUCACAAACUUUCAGAAAGAAUGUGCAAACUCAAGUGGAGAGGCAGACAUCAUACGGUAAUCAAGAAAACAUCAUUACAUGCAAAAGAUAUAAAGCUAAAAUUGAUAUACAUUAUGUAAAAAAUUGACAUAAUCUAAGCUUUGGAAUUGUAAAGGUUUGUUUAUUUUAAAUUUUUAAUACGAUCAAGACCAUGCAACAUAUUGUAUACCUGCAGAAAUCAUUAGACUGACACUUUUGACAAAUAAGCUCAAUAAAAUAGGGAGAUGCUUGAUAAAACUAAACAUGCAACAAACCUUCACAGAAUUUCCAAUGAGAUUUGUAAGGAUCUGCCUGAACCGCCCUGGGUCCCCAAUAAGAACUUCUGGAACUUGAUCAGAUACAUACACGGCCAACUACUCUCACCACAAAAAAAAAAAAAAGAAAAAAGAAUGAAAUACCACAAAUACAAUGACUAUUAGGGCCAACAACAGCUAAAUAGAACUAAAUAUGUUAUGAUUUAGGGCUUUACCUCUAUACCUUUGACCUGUGACUUGUCUGAAAAUAGAGAAAGCACAUUAUCCAGAACAUCACGGACGUCAAAAGGAACAGCCUCUAGCUCAAGCCUUCCUGAUUCUAUCUUAGCCUGAUCAAGGACCUCGUUUAUUAGAGUUAUUAGAGCCUUUCCACUUUGUUGAGCAGUCACUGCAAAAUCUUGCUGAGUUGCGUCGAGCUCCGUGUCGAGCAGCAUCUGCAACAUGCCUGAAUAGCAAGACCAUCAGUACCUUCUUCUUGUCAAUAUUCUCUAGCAAAAAUGUGGAAAAUCAACCUUAAAUAACAGGAAAAAAAAAUGCAUACUCAUUACAAGGAUUUUAAAAAUUCACAUACCUAAGACGCCGUUCAUUGGAGUUCUAAUUUCAUGGGAAACUGUUGCCAGAAACUACAUUGGACAAUAAAAUCUAAUUAGUUACAAAAACAACUGAGUUAGACAAUAAAAUGGAAAUAUAAUAGUUAGAAAAAUAGAGGAUAGAUGGCAACAACAGAAUUGUCAUACGUGUAGUUCAAGCAAGGAUUUAGGUGCCAUGACACGGGGUCGUGCCAACCAUUUGCAAAUACAGUGCAUGCCAUGUCCUGCAGAUGUCAUUGCCAAAAUACCAUGUGUGCUGAAACACUUUGGCAAGAAAUAUAUAUUUCUUUUCGCAUCAGUAUAUUUUAAUUGCUCUUAAUAUAUUUGUUUUAUUAAUCUAUUGUACUCUAUUAAACUAAUUACUCGAUAAUUUCGAAAAAAGAAGGUUUUCAGUCUUGCCAUCAGUAUGUGUGUUGUAUUAUGCUGAAACCUUGUUAGCACAGAGCGGCACAAUGGGCGCUUAAAUCCUUGAGUUCAAAGUUCCAGUAUUGUAGGGAAACAAAACAUAUAGACAUGACAUACUGGAAAAGAGGGAUAUAACUUGAUUCUAUGAGUAUUACAUAUAAAAUAUUUUAAUUUUGGUGGGGCGGGGUUUGGGGGGAACCUGUGACUUUGCUACAUCAGCAGCUUCAGCUCGCACUUUUAGUUCUCGCAUUUCACGGUAAUCAUCUUCCACCUUCUCGAUGCGAUUUAGAGCUGCAUAAAAUAUAUGCCCAACAAGCAAAACAAUCACAGCAACUCCAAUCGAUGUUGUAAUUGCUGUCCAUGGCAACGGAGGCUCAUUUUUAAAUCUGAAAUAAAAAAAAAACAACAGAAAAACAACAUCAAAGUAGGGAAAUAAAGCUCCCCAAGACAGCAAUUUUGGAGGUUAAUAUAGGCUGCAUGUGAGAUCAGCUACCUGCAAUGCAUUUCAUGUUUACGCAAUGGAUCCCCAAAAUCCACAUGGCUAAUAUGGAACCCACUUGACUUAGAGACAUCAGGGCCAUACAUUUUAAUAGGGGAAGACGAAUUAGUGGUGUCAUAUAAGUUAACAACAAUUGUUUGCUUGCUAGCAAGCUGCUGCAGAAGUUUAUCCACCAAAGAUGGGACAUCAAAUGAUGCACCAAGAUAUCUGCAGUAUAAAUAAAUCAGGAAAGAAAGGAAAAAACCUAAGGGUCUCUUUUGAAAACAAAAAGAAAAAUAUGCAUGUUGUAGCGUAGUCACAGAAAGUUACCCUACUGUAGCUUCAAUGCGUUCUUGGGGAAUAGCAUUUGGAGGAAGGUCAGAGUUGUAUACUGCAAAAGUCAGCACUACUCCAAGGUGAUUGGAUUUCAAAAGCUUAAAGGGAGAGGUAAGGACCCCCUUUCCGGUUGACCUAGCUCGUAAAAUGUUAUCAUGGUCUUCCUAAGUACAAAGUCAGAAAAGUUGUUAGAUUCUAAAUGCAAAAUUAAAAGAGGCAUAUAAUAUGCAUCGAACCAUUAAAUUACUAGGGAAUCCUCAAUUCUUGCCACUUCAUAUUUUCAUGUCGCACCAAGUGCAGAAAUAUUUAGAUUCCAGGUCAUCACUUUUUGGAAAUUUAAAGAAUCCUGUGAACCGAACAAACCCCUAAAGAAUGUCUUAUUUCUAUAGAAGGUGUGGAUAACAACCCAAUCCUAAUGAUAUUUAAUACAAAGAAGCAUACGGUGAAAGGUUCAAAAAUAGUACAUGCAUGCUAUUUAAAUCUCACCAUCAAAUUGCAGAAAUACAGUUUUCUGGGAUAAUACAACAGGCAUAUAAUCAUAUAAGAAAUAAGAAUGGCUUGAUAUAUGAACUCACCUUGCCAGACAUCAUAUCUAUGGACACGAUGUGAGAUACAGUUUCUUGGGAGAAUAUAACUGGUGCAUAUUCAUCUUGGAUGGGUGAGGGGUUGAGCUUUUCGGGAUUAUAAUCAUCUUGAACAGGGGAAUGAUCCUCGGUCUCCAUUUUCUUUAUUUUCCAUCCGUGCUGCUGCUCAAACAGCUCUCGCUGCGAGUGCAAUACCUUUAAUGCAUAGGCAACACCACUUGUUAACGGCCUUUCAAAUGCUGUCCUUGCCGUGUAUUCCGCAAAGGUUUUCUGCCAGAACAGUUAUAAUAAGAUCAUGCUAUCUGGCUAGUAAGUAAGACCUACUCCUUACUCAGGUCAAAUUUUUCUUGAACUCAAAUUUUUGAUAUUUUAUAAAAUGAUCGAUAAAUUUUAAAUGACAAAUCAGAAUUUGUUAGAUCCCAAGUGUCUAAGAGCUUUAUUUAAGAUAUGAAAAUAUUUGCCAUAACUUAACAAACUUACGAGGAAAUAGUAUGCUGAUAUAAUAAUAUUUCAACCACUAUCAGAAUUUUUAUGAUUAUAUUUAUCUGAUUUCACCCUGCUAUUUUCUGGUUUGGGUAACUUAUGUCUAACAGAAUAAAAGAGUAAUAAAUAUACAGAAAAGAGAUAGAUCUUCCAGACAUGAGUUAAUUGGAGCAAACAUUAUCUCAUAAAUCCCAUAUCACGAUAAACUGAGGGCACCAAAUACAUAGCCAAACUUAAGAAACCAAGGCAUGUGAGGGCUAUCUUCAAUCGACAAGCUAUAUUGAUAUAUCAACAAGACAAAAAAUGCAUAGAUAGAGUACUUUACCUGAUCGAUGGCAGAAGGAUUCUUCCCAUGGUGAAAAGUUGAGAUCAGGAUGGCCAUAGCAUGCACAUGGUUCAUGCUCACAUUAAACUGAUCCUGAAGCAUCCGAGCUCUCUCGUCGCACAUGUUCGCAAGAGUUUCCGUUCUCCUCUCAAUAAUAUUCGCAUUCAUGCUCACAAAUAUCCAUACUGACACCAAGACCCCAAGAAAAACACCCAUAUAAAGGAUUUUUUUCAUCCACUUUCCACCACUCUUCGAGUUCUGCAAUUGCAGAUGCUUCUGCUGAUGAUUUUGUUUAUAUGAGGACUUCGAUAACUCGCCAAGUCCAAAAAGCACAAGUAGCCCCAGUAGAAUCCACCAUAGUAUUUUUGACAGAAGCUUCUGAUGCUCUUUCGCUGUGUUUAUUAACUUCUUAGCCUGCAAGAUAUUUACAUAAUCCUACAUAAAAAUGAUGAAUGGUACUUUAUAGCCAGGAAACCAGAAUUCAUCAUCCCAACAUCUUUUCUGUUUCUGCUAUAAUUCCACAGAAAUGUGAAUGAGCCACUGCUCUAUUUAUGCAGAUAGAAAACACUAAGUCUAACAUUUGUUUGAUAAUGAGACUAGCAUAUCAUGAUUCUAAACAUAUUUCUGACACCAUAUAUAACAGUAAUCAUCACAAUUAAGUCAAUAAAAGUUGUACGUCCUUCACAUUUGUAACACUAACAUGAAUACACAAACAACCCACUUGCUCCGUGAUUAGAAUGAUCACCAGUAGCGCCUUCUCUGAGAAUAGAAUAUGCAUCAAUUACAAUUAAGCGAUAUGCUUAGGGGUGGUUAAAUGAUAAUGAAGGAAGAAUCAAUCACAGCAAGUCUCAACUGGGAAUCUAUUUGACCAUUUGAUGAAUUAAUUCAUCUACUAUAAUAUCAUCCACUUUCGGUUCCUGCAAAUAAAACGAAACCUCCAAGGUGUCUCUAGCUGUUGAAAAAAAAUCCAAGUAAAGGAGAAUGAUGAAGCCAUGAAGGUGAUUGCACUAAGGAGUCCUCCCAAGAGCCUUAUCAAAGUUGAUUCACUUUGAUCUGAAAAGGCUUCAGUGUUGAUGAGCAUAGUCAGUUCUGCUACCGAGAGGAAUUGGUUGAAGUCAACAUCUAGUCUAACUUAUGUUAAAAGGAGGACCCUUUUGGCAUCAGGAAUUGGAUUAGAUAGAAUAAGAUAAGAUGGCAAUAUCAGGGGAGAUGGGGGUUUAGCAACUUGGAGAAGUUGAGGAUGACAACAAGAUUUUUUUUUUUAUACCAAUCACAACCUCUCGGGGAUUUGAUAAUCCCACCCUGGUAGGAUUAUUUGACUUGACCAAAUUCCUCUCUUUAGUCCUUAUGACCUACAGCUCCAAAAUUGCUGAAUUGCCCAACACCACUCUCUCUUCUUGUUCUAUCCAACCCAAUCCUAGGUGCCCGACGACCCCUAGGGUUUUGCAAAUGCACAUCGUAGUGCUCACAGGAGUUCCACAAUCUCGUUAGCGAACAAGAUCUUGAAGUUAAGGUGAUGGACCAGAUGAGGCAUCCACUGCCCCACCUAAGAAAGUUUUAUGCAAAUUAUUUGUAAGAGAUGAAAUGCAUAGAGAGUUAAAGUGCAGCAGAAAUCAAGACAAAUAGUAGUUAAAAAACCAUGAAAAAGAAUAAUAAGUGAACUCAGACAGUAAUUUUAGUAAUGAUUGUGGCAUUGGCCUCAAAAGCUUCCCAUCUAAGACACAGUAAUCAUGUUAAGUCACCAAAUGCUGAAGCAUAACAGCAUACUGAUGAAAAUAUCCUUUUGACAAUUUGAACAUGUUCGGAAGGAGAAAAAUGCACUGACCUUUAGUAGUGUUAUAUCAUUUUGUACAGGAGAAGAAACAAAAUUUUGCUGAGAGGUAUCUAUCAUGUAUUCAUUCUUUGGUAGUGAAGGCACAGGAUUAACCAAAAUGUGCUCGUUUUGAACAGCGCAAUGACCUACACGAACUAUUUCAUCCCUCACACAAUCUUGUUGACCUCGUCGCCGCUUUCCCUCAAAGCAAAUUGCUUCUCGAAUACAAGAGAGGCUACCACCUUCUGCUCUGUAGGUGUCAUGUGAAGCCCGAGACUUCUCCAUGCAUUGAGCAAAUGUUCUCUGCAUUUUAGAAGGAAAUACUGGAGUUUGAACCAGCUAAAAGGAAACUAAAUCUGUUUAGAAAUAUGUAAAUUCUACAAAAACCAUCAUGCCUAAUUACAUCUUAUAUUUAAAAGGAGAAAUUGUAAGCUAGUAAAUAUUACAUCUCUCAAGCCAAUUUAUAAUGCAAAAUUGGGAGGCCAUUAUCAAUGAAGAAUGUCAAUGAAGUUCAAAAACGUGAUGCCCCAGAGAGAAAUAUCAGACAUUUUCAACAGAUAUAUUCCAGUUAAGAAUGUGCAAAAUAAGUUCCAAUCAAUCCAUAUGAUUGACUAAUGACCAAAUAUAGCAUGAAAAAUAAGCUGGACGGAUUUAAACACUUAAAAAUUUAGAAAGCAAGGCAUCGAACCUAGCUACAGGACUACCUAAAUCUCCAUAUCAUUGUAUGAAAAUGGACAGAUCAUUACUGACAUCACCUACAAGAUCCUCCUAGGCCACUGGAUUGUUGAUGGACUGCAAAUUGAGGGAAGGGAAGAGCAUUGAGAGCCACUGAAAGGUUAGGAGUUAAAAAGAAAUCACUAGUUUAAGGCUUCAAAAUUUGAGCGGUUGGAAGAGGCGAUCAACUGGUUAGGUACGAUCAAGUUUUGUUUCUCCGUGAUGCAUGAACUUGGCUCACAUAGUUAUGUAAGUUUCAUGAAAGUUGAACAAGGACAGGACUCCACAAAGUAUGGUGACAUCUGGCCCAAUAGGGCAAAGACAAGUUUAAAAUUCCAUUGUAACAAGGAUAGACUUACGUUUAUCGUUACUUUUUUCCAACUUUUGAUGUAUUCAUCAAACUUCAAAGUUCAUACCUAAUUCUAAACAUAAAAAUGAAAGAAAAAUUUUAUUCCAAAUCUGAUUUGACUCGACCACUAAUUAAAAUAUACCUAGCCUUCUAUUACUUGUAUCACUUAUGUGCCCAUGAUGAUAUCUAUUUUCAAGUAUCAUGAUCUCCUACAGUCUUGUCGACACAUCAGGUGGUACAGUGAGUCAAUACAUAAACUUACUUCAUUUCUCUAAGUACCACCCUGUACAUGGACCAACCAGACCAGGGGAUCAUAUAAACUAUGAACCUCACCAUCAUUUUACACCACAUUGUAAUUGUGUAUGAAGAAUUCUUCAGUUAGUUUAAAGCUAUUCCAAUUAAGACUACUGUAGAGAACUAGCUCUUACAAGUCUAGAAAGACUCUAUACUAGCAAAGCUAGAAGAAAACAUCUACUGAUAAUCCAAAAUGCAUUUCAACGUUGAAAAUGACGGGAAAAAACACGGCAUGAAAAGGGUGCAUACCCAGUUAUUCCAUUCAUUCCAUCAUGUUUUUUCAACCAACUAACAUGUUUUGUAGAAAAGGGUUAAAAAAAUGGUCCUAAUUCAACGAUUUGACGGUUAGCCAAGAGUCUUCUGACUUGAUGCAUAGCGUAUCAUGUUAUUAGUAAUUUGGUCUUAAGUUGUCCACAUUUCACACACUUAUUAGUAUCUAUUUUAUAACAAGCUUAAUAACAAAUUUUAAGUUUUAAGUUUUUUUUAUUACAUUACUCAACUUCUAAGUUUAAGCAUUUGAACAAAUUCUUGUGACCCCCAGAAUAUAACUAGCGGACUCACUUGUCGAACCGAUGACUCAGAAAAACCAUCUUUUCGCCAAUUCAAUUUUCGGUUCAGUUCUUGAUACUACAAAUUUAUGCGUGUCAAGAAAGAAAAAGAAAAACUCUCCAGCUCCACUGAGAACCCUCGAACCCCGACAAUCUAAGACAAUUACCUCAUCAAAACCUGACAUAGACCCACAUGAUCUUCCACAUAACCAAAAAAGGAUGAUAGCUCAAAUCAUAUUAGUUGAAAAAGGAGAAAAUUACCAUGUACAUAAACAAACUAUGUCAUACAAAAUCAAGAAGGACAAAUAUGGUACUUUUGUAACUAGCUAACAAUAGAACACACCAGAAGAAUCUCAAUACCUCCGAGGAUGAUAACAGCAAGACCAAGGCCUGGAGCUGGUUCUUGCUCAGGUUGGACUGCUCUACCAGCACCUGAGCUCUCUCUUCCCACAAAUCCCUCCCCCUACAUCCAUAACUCCCCAAACCCCAGAAAACCCCUAUUGACCCAACAAAACCACUCAAAACACACAAAACCAGGAACCUAGCCUUCAACCUCCUGCAGCCCUCACAUUCACCACCAUUAGAGGAUCCCAAGCCCCUAUUUUGACCACCCAUUCCAGAUGAAAACAAGAUGAUGGCCAAAGAACCACAAGAGUGGCUCAGCAGCUGCAGGAAGAGAUCUUGAGAGAAGAAACCCAGCUAGCCUUUCCCCCCCAGUCUGGAUUCAAAACUGUGCCCACCAACCCUUCAAAAGAUAACCAAAAACCCCUUCCAUUCCCCCCCUCUUUUCACUGCCACCAGCCCAAGAACCAAUCAACACCACACCUUUUGGAGAAGCCACUUGAGGAGAAAGCAGAGAGUGCAGCAGGCAUCUCAUCAGAAAGAAGGGGGGGAGGGCUGCAGCAGACCCUCCUCCUCCUCCACCUCCACCUCCUCCUCCUCCCUAUUCUUCAACCUUUUGUGUGAGCCCUUUCUUUGCUGACCCUUUUGAUCUCUUUCCUCUUCCUUAUCUUCAUUGCCCCCUAUAGAAGGUUAGGUUUAUGCAAUUUUUUUUUUAAAAAAAAAAAACCCUCCCAACCAUCACAGAUAACUCCAAUCUUGGAGAGAGAGAGAGAGAGAGAGAGAGAGAAAAAGAAGAAAAACAAAAUAAACAAAUGAAAAAGGAACCCAAGAGAGACCCAGCUGGUCUUUUGCUCAAUCUGGGCUGGAAUCCCUGAUCAAUGAGGAAAGCAAAAAAGAAAACUCUCUAUAUAUGUAAGUAUAAUAAUAAUGUAGGCAUUAUAAUAAUACUAUAUGCAAGGCCAAAUAAAGCGCAACUAAUCUCUCUCUUAUCUCUUUUUAUCUCCUCUUGUUCUCAUCUCUUAUUGGGUGUUUAGCCACAUCAUUAUCUCAUCAUCUGGUAGGGACAUGUUUUGAGGGACACCACUGAUAAAAGAAAGAAAGCUUAAAAUGAAUAAAUAAAAGCAAGGGAGGUCUUGACAAGAACAACACAAUUUCCAGCCCUCUCUUCUUUCCUUCUUUCUUUCUUUCUUUCUAAAAGAGAGAAGUGAGAACAGGAUAAAUAGACUGCUGCAAAGAAGAGAAACUAGAUAUAAAUAAAGGGGAUAGAAAUUAAGAUGCCACAUUUUUUUUUUUUUUUACAAAUUUUUUUUUGCCAAUAACAACUUUUUUUUUUUUGUUGGGUUUUAUAUACACAGGUGGUUUUUUGCUUUGCGGGGAUGAAAGCGACACCACAACUUGUGCCACACUGAGAGAGAUGUGGGUUGUUUAAUAAUUGAAAUUAUAGUGUUUAGGCUUAAUGUGAGCAGAGGGGUUAGUAGAGAGAGAGAGAGAGAGAGAGAGAGAGAGAGGAGACAACAGGUUUUUUUUUUAUAUUUAGCUCCCUCAAAAAAAAAAUUUAUUAAUAAUUUUUAUAAAUUUAUAUUUUUAUAUAUAUGGUUUUUUUUUUACCAUGCGAGUAUCUUAUUGAUAUUUUUAAUUUGAACGCGAUAACUGAAUCACUAUAUUUAUAUCCAUAUUCUAAACCCUCCUUUUUAACCUAGAGGUGAUAAAAAAUGUAAAAAUAAAUAUGAUAAUUCAAUCACCGUAUUUAAUUAAAUUUAAAAAUAUCAUCUAAAUGCUAGUGUGGUAAAAAAAAAUUAUUUAUAAGAUCAUUUGUGAAAAAAAAAAAAAAAAAUUAAGAAAGAUAAAUACAAAAUAAAAGCCCACGGACAACACAGUCCUCUCUCUGUCUCUCUCUAUGGUUUACUAUACGGAGGACAGCAGGAGAGCAGCAGCAGAUGCAAUAAAGAUAAAAAUGUGUGGAGAAGCCCCUCACCUACGUGCAGUUUGAAAUGGGCCCUCCAACUCUUUUCUUUAAUUUUUUUUGUUUGGUUUUUUCUAAGAAAUGCCUUUGGUUACUGAUAAUUUUGUCUUUGUAUUACGUGGACACUUUUAUUUUUUUUUGUAUAUGUGGACCAACCAACGGCCACCACUGCAGAAACCCCAAAAAUAUUGGAAGACGGCAUGUGGGGACAUGUGUACCCAAACACCCCAACUAGGGGUGUAAACGAGCCGCACACGGUGUGAGCUCGGUCGGCUCGUGUUCGACACAAGUUGGCUCGUUAAAGUAUCGAGCCGAAAAAUUCAGCUCGUGUUCGGCCCGUUUAUUAACGAGCCGAACACGAGCCGUCAAUGAGCUGGUCAACAAACAAUAAAAUAAAAAAAUAUUAAAUAAUAUAAAAAAUAAAUUUAUAAAAUCUUACCCAUUAGACUUUGAUCUAAUAGUUGAAACUUUAUAUAUAAAUGAGUUUUUUUAUAAUUAAGCUCGCAUUUAUAUUUUUAUUUUGCUAAAAUUAAAAUAAUAAAUAUAUAAUUAUAUAUAAGUAUUUAUAUAUAUAAAAAUAUAAUUAAAUAAUUAUAUAAAUAUAAAAUAUAUGUAUUCGAGUAUUAUCGAGCCGAACACGAGCAAGCUGGCCCUAGCUCUGUGUUGGCUCGUGUUAUUAAACGAACUGAAAAAUCAGGCUCGUGUUCGGCGUUUAUAAACGAGCAUCGAUCUCGAGCUCAUUUCGAGCCGAACACGAACUGGCUCACAAACAGCAAGCUGGAUUGCCACCCCUACCCCCAACACAGCCGGCUUGUGUUCUUUUGUUUAUUAAUAACCUAACUGAACACUAGCUGACUGGUUGAAAUAUGGACCGUUUAGUUGCAUGUAGUUGUAACUGUACUAUAAUUAUAAUUGUAUAUAAAUACAAAUUCGGUGUUUAAUUUGAUGUAUUUAACUCCAACUGCUACAGAACUGCAGGCGGAGGCAGAACUGCAGCAGUUCGUACUACGCCCAAAUUGGCCGCAGUUUCAACUACAGCAGUUGAAGAGAGUGACUUUAAAUAAAAGAUAUGCUUACCUCUUCAAUUAUUUUUUAAAUAAAUUUUUUUUUAUAUUAGAGGUAAUCUUACCAUCAUAUAUAUAAAAUAAUAAAAUUUUAAAAAUUAUUUUUUAACUGUAUACAACCAAACAAAUUAUUUAUACUUGCAGCGCUUUCUACUAUAUCCAACCAAAAAGGAUGCAUGUAGUUGUAACUGCUGCAUUUUCAACUGCAUGCAUCUCUAACUAUACUGUAUUUAUAAUUAUAUCUAGCCAAACGGUCCGUAAGAUGAAAAAAUUCAUCUACCAACUUGUUUAUUAACGAGCCAAACACGAAUCAACUCCUAAACAAUAAUUUGGAUUUUCAGCUCUACUAUUGGAUAAAAAAUUGAGAAAAAAACUAAAAAAUUAGAAUCUUAAUAUAAUAAUUAAAAUUCAUAAAAUAUAGAUCUCUCUGUAUUUGUAUUGGCCCAAAAUUCAAAUAGUGCUCGGCUCGUUUAUAAAACUAGUGAUCGAUUUCGAGCUCAUAUUCGAGCUAUAUCAAGCUGAACACAAGUGAGCUGAUCUCAGCUAGCUCAUGUUCAACUCGGUAAGAUUUCGAACUAAAAGAUUUAGCUCGUGUUCAGCUCAUUUAUUUAAACGAGUGAUCGAUCGCGACCUCAUUUGCGCCAAAUAUAAGCUAGCUCGCGAACAACGAGCUCGUCUACCAGCCCUAGAAACAUGAAAUUGACUCUAGAAACAUGAAAUUGAGCAUUUCUUUCUAACUAGGAAUGUUGAGUAUGGAUAUUCGAAAUUUUAUUUGAACUUAAGUCCGAACAGGGCAUGUUUAUCCAACACUAAAUGAAUAUGCUUUUCAAUACGGAUAUGCAAAUGAAAAUCCGACAAAUUUGAAUUUGGGUAGGGAUUUUAUGUGCACCCUAUCUUGACCUAAACCCGAAUUGAUUUCACUCUAUAUUAUAUAUGCGAAUGUUUGGUGUUGUUAUAUUUUAAAAUUUUAAAUUUUAAUAUAGUUUGCUUUCUAAAAUAUGGUAAAGAGAAAUAAUUAUUUGGAAUUCGGGAUUCUAGGUUUGAUUUUCAGGUUUGAAUUAUUUAAAAUCCAUCCCGAAUCCCAUACAUUGACGCAUCUAUUUUUAACAUGUAAAUUACACCACUGGUCUCUAAAUUUUUCAGCCAAGUUUCCUUUUGGUUCUUAGACUUUGAGCUUCAACAUUUAAGGAUCUGAACUAUUGAAAAUAUUUUCUUUAGCCCUUAUCCUUAUUUAUUAUAUAAAAAACUUGUUGCUUGCUCCUCUGCAUCUCUAUAUUAAAAUAUUUAUUGUUUAAUAUAUUGAUACCCCGACUAAUUGGUUAAAAGCUAAGAAGGGGCUAAGACAAGGGGACCCUCUCUCCCUUUACCUCUUUUUACUUGUUGCAAACAGCCUGGCCAGGAUAACGGAGGCUGCGAGAGGAAAUAACCUUUUACGCGGCAUUGGACCAUCCGACGACUGCCAGACAGUACUCAUUCAAUACGCCGACGACACAAUAUUUUUCUGCGAGGCAAGGAAACGCUGUAUGCGGAACCUGCAAUUCGUUUGGAAAAUCUUUGCCUGGGCCUUUGGCCUUAAAAUCAACUUGGAUAAAUCAGAAUUCUACUACAUCGGGUCCAACUCGCGCAAAGCUGAGAGACUAGCAAACAUCACUGGCUGCAAAGGCGGAAAGCUACCCUUCCGCUAUCUAGGGAUGCCACUACACAACAAGCAACUUCGCAAGGAGGACUGGGCCUGGGUAAUUAAUCGCAUAGAGGCAAGAAUAGAAGGAUGGAAAGCCAAAUUACUCUCCCUUGGGGGACGGCUUACGCUCGUCAACUCGGUCCUCUCUAACACACCACUAUUCUUCUUUUCAAUCUUCAAAGCGCCACAGUGGGUACUACAUCGAAUUGAAGCCGUAAGACGAGCAUCCUUCUAGAAAGGGUUCUCCAAAAUCGCCAGGGGCGCCUGUCUUAUCAACUGAAAAGCCAUCUGCAAAAGCAAGAGAGAGGACGGAUUAGGCAUCAAGGAUAUGGAAUCCAUGAACACGGCCUUCUUGACUAAAUAGUGGUGGCGCUUUUUCAACGAGCCAAACUUGCACUGGUGCAAACUGAUUAGAUCUCUCUACUACGCCAGACGAAGGCCCCUACAUGAGAGUAGAGUUUACUCCCCUUACUCGCAGUGGUGGAAAGGAGUGGUACAAUGCCGCGGAAUUUUUAUGUGCGGCGUAACCUACGACCUAGGUGAUGGCCAGAAUAUCAGGAUGUGGUCCGAUAUCUGGAUCGGAGAAACCCCCCUUCGGAUCCUCUUCCCGGAUAUCUAUACGGCUAUCAUGAACAAGGAGGCCAGAAUAUCUCAGUGCUGAAACGCAAACGGAUGGAGAUGGCGAUUCAUCUGUCGUGGGUUCCCGACAAGCAAUUCUACUGAUCGACGCACACGACUAACGAUGCUUAAAGACUUGCUUCUACACCGCUCCCCUUGUGACGGACCAGACUCGUGUAAAUGGAGGUGGACAGCCAAUCAAAUAUUUUCCGUCAAAUCUCUCUACCAGUUUCUUACUUAUGCGGGACAGCGAACCCCGCUGAGCAAACAUAUUUGGUGUUUAAAAACUCCGCUUAAAAUCAGAGUCUUCAUUUGGCUAUUACUUCGGAAGAGACUUCUCACUGCUAACCGACUGCUCCAAAGAGGCAUACCUGUUGACCAACAAUGCGUUUUCUGCGCUGUAGGAACGGAGAGCUGCGAUCACCUCUUCUGUAACUGUGUAUACGUCUGAUACCUAUUUCUCAACGUGGAUGGACUGGAUAUACCAAGCGACGCCCCUGGUGAUGUUCAUACCCUUUGGACCGAAUUAGCUGCCUGCCCAGUCAAAUCGUCGUGAAUGCGAGGACUAACCCUUCUGGCUGCGAUCUAGUUGGUGGUAUGGAGGGAUAGAAACAACUCCGUUUUUCAGACUACUUCGCCUGAUGUGACCCGAUCACUGGAACGAGUUAACCUUCUUACGACCAAUUGGACCGUGCUGACCUGAAACCACACUAGAUUCACUCUUCUCCCUUCUCAUCUUUCUUUCUCCUUCUUCGCUCCUUUUGGCCUUUGCCUGUUAUUUUUGCAUUUUUCGAAGGCCCAAGCUGCUUCCAUCUCUAUACGCUCAGUUCAUUUUACUUAAUGAAUGAAGCAAGUAGUUUGCUACCUAUUUCUCAAAAAUAUAUAUAUAUUUAUUGUUCCUUAAUCAUUCAUCUCAAAUUUAGUCCAAUCAGUAGUUAUUAACUAAUUAAUAAUUAACAAAAUCCUAAGUUUCUACCAUGCUGGAAUGGCAUUUAGAUUAGUUAAACUUAACAAAAUCACAACUGAACGUAAUAAAUACCUAAUUAUUGGAUAAACACAAUAUAAAUUAAAAGAAUCAAAAGCUGAGAGGAGUCAAUGAAUCAAAAAUGGUUGAAGCAUCUAUUUCAAAAUAACCAUGAAUUUGAGGGGUUCCCUGUAUAUUUUAACUUGCAGAGUCACUAGAGCUACUCUGUUACACCUCACAUGCAGCUCAUGUGUGUAGCCACCUGCAUAAAUACAGGGCCCUAUUCUGAUCUGAUAAAGCCUUAAAAUGUGGCAGCUCUUUAUAUAUAUAUAUAUAUAUGUAGAGAGAGAGAGAAAGUUCGAUUACAGCGAUCGUGUGAGUAAGAUCGCUUUUAUACUCAUAAGUUAUUUUUGAUAAUAGAACUGCUGAAUCGACGAUUCAUACCCUUAAAAAUUAUUUAAGACAUUUAAAAUUUUUAAAAAUUAAAUUUUAUAAUUUUUUGACAUUAUUUAUUUUAUCAAAAUUGAUAGUUUUUAAUGACCGAUAUGAGAUACUUACCAGUUUAACGAUGUAAAAUAAUCAGACUCGAUUGAAUUUUUGAUAGAAAACUCUAUUCACGAUCUAGAUAAAGAUCAAUAACUCCGAUCUUAAAUUGAAGAAUCCGAUCAUCCAUUUUUAGAACGUCAUUCGAUUUUGACCAUUCAUUUUAUACCCGCUUAAUGGAUUUUAUUAUGAUUAUGAAAAGUUACGAAAUUUAUUUUUUAGAAGUUUCAAAUACUCUAAAUCAUAUUUAACAGAGUGGGUCGUCGAUUCAAAAGCUCUACCAUCAAAAAUAAUUUAUGAGUAUGAAAAACUCUAUAUUCAUAAGAGUACAGUGCCCAACUCUCUCUCUCUCUCUCUCUCUCUCUCUCUCUCUAUAUACUAUAUAUAAAAGCACGUAUUUCAAAUUUUGGUCUGUCGACAGACCCAUUUUCUGGCGGGAAAAAAAAUUAAUUCCCCUAUUCAUUACAUAAAAUAAAUAACAGAAUUAAACAAAACUUUUAACUCCUCUUUGUUUCUACAACAAAAAAAAAAUUUAUGCUUAUUCAAAUUUUUUGCCUACCGGAGAAUAUCNAUCUCAGUGCUGAAAUGCAAACGGAUGGAGAUGGCGAUUCAUCUGUCGUGGGUUCCCGACAAGCAAUUCUACUGAUCGACGCACACGACUAACGAUGCUUAAAGACUUGCUUCUACACCGCUCCCCUUGUGACGGACCAGACUCGUGUAAAUGGAGGUGGACAGCCAAUCAAAUAUUUUCCGUCAAAUCUCUCUACCAGUUUCUUACUUAUGCGGGACAGCGAACCCCGCUGAGCAGGCAUAUUUGGUGUUUAAAAACUCCGCUUAAAAUCAGAGUCUUCAUUUGGCUAUUACUUCGGAAGAGACUUCUCACUGCUAACCGACUGCUCCAAAGAGGCAUACCUGUUGACCAACAAUGCGUCUUCUGCGCUGUAGGAACGGAGAGCUGCGAUCACCUCUUCUGUAACUGUGUAUACGUCUGAUACCUAUUUCUCAACGUGGAUGGACUGGAUAUACCUAGCGACGCCCCUGGUGAUGUUCAUACCCUUUGGACCGAAUUAGCUGCCUGCCCAGUCGAAUCGUCGUGAAUGCGAGGACUAACCCUUCUGGCUGUGAUCUAGUGGGUGGUAUGGAGGGAUAGAAACAACUCCGUUUUUCAGACUACUUCGCUUGAUGUGACCCGAUCACUGGAACGAGUUAACCUUCUUACGACCAAUUGGACCGUGCUGACCUGAAACCACACUAGAUUCACUCUUCUCCCUUCUCAUCUUUCUUUCUCCUUCUUCGCUCCUUUUGGCCUUUGCGUUAUUUUUGCAUUUUUCGGAGGCCCAAGCUGCUUCCAUCUUUAUACGCUCAGUUCAGUUUACUUAAUGAAUGAAACAGGUAGUUUGCUACCUAUUUCUCAAAAAAAUAUAUAUAUUUAUUGUUCCUUAUAUAUUAAUCAUUCAUCUCAAAUUUAGUCCAAUCAGUAGUUAUUAACUAAUUAAUAAUUAACAAAAUCCUAAGUUUCUACCAUGCUGGAAUGGCAUUUAGAUUAGUUAAACUUAACAAAAUCACAACUGAAUGUAAUAAAUACCUAAUUAUUGGAUAAACACAAUAUAAAUUAAAAGAAUCAAAAGCUGAUAGGAGUCAAUGAAUCAAAAAUGGUUGAAGCAUCUAUUUCAAAAUAACCAUGAAUUUGAGGGGUUCCCUGUAUAUUUUAACUUGCAGAGUCACUAGAGCUACUCUGUUACACCUCACAUGCAGCUCAUGUAUGUAGCCACCUGCAUAAAUACAGAGCCCAUUCUAAUCUGAUAAAGCCUUAAAAUGUGGCAGCUCUUUAUAUAUAGAGAGAGAGAGAGAGAAAGUUCGAUUACAGCGAUCUUGUGAGUAAGAUCGCUUUUAUACUCAUAAGUCAUUUUUGAUAAUAGAACUUCUGAAUCAACAAUUCAUAUCCUUAAACAUUAUUUAAGACAUUUAAAAUUUCUAAAAAUUAAAUUUUAUAAUUUUUUGACAUCAUUUAUUUUAUCAAAAUUGAUAGUUUUUAAUGAUCGAUAUGAGAUACUUACCAGUUUAACGAUAUAAAAUAAUUAGACUCGAUUGAAUUUUUGAUAGAAAAUUCUAUUCACGAUCUAGAUAAAGAUCAAUAACUCCGAUCUUAAAUUGAAGAAUCCGAUCAUCCAUUUCUAGAACGUCAUUCGAUUUUGACCAUUCAUUUUAUACUCGCUUAAUGGACUUUAUUAUGAUUUUGAAAAGUUACGAAAUUUAAUUUUUAAAAGUUUUAAAUACUCUAAAUCAUAUUUAACAGAGUGGGUCGUCGAUUCAGAAGCUCUACCAUCGAAAAUAACUUAUGAGUAUGAAAAACUCUAUACUUAUAAGAGUACAGUGCCCAACUCUCUCUCUCUCUCUCUCUCUCUCUCUCUCUCUCUCUCUCUCUAUCUAUACUAUAUAUAAAAGCACGUAUUUCAAAUUUCGGUAUGUCGACAGACCCAUUUUUUUGGCGGGAAAAAAAAUUAAUUUCCCUAUUCAUUACCUAAAAUAAAUAACAGAAUUAAACAAAACUUUUAAUUCGUCUUUGUUUCUACAACAGAAAAAAAUUUAUGUUUAUCCAAAUUUUUUGCCUACCGGAGAAUAUCUCCUUAUCUCUAUCUAUAAUAUAUAUAUAUAUAUAUAUAUAUAUAUAUAUAUAUAUAUAUAUAUAUAUAUAUAUAUAUAUAUAUAUAUAUAUAUAAAGAGAUACUACUCAUUUUAACUCAGAGUCUAAUUAANAUAUUUAAUGUAUAUCUAUAUCUACACUAUAUAUAAAUUUAUCAGAAAAAUAUUUAAUGUAUAUCUAUAUUUAAUGUAUAUCUAUAUCUACACUAUAUAUAAAUUUUAUAAAAUAAAAAAAAACUAUAUAAUUAUUGUUGACAAAAUAUGGUAGGUAUUUUCUAAUAGUAUAUAAUAAAUAAAUUUACUUUUUUAAAAAUUAUAAAUUUUUUAAUAAAUAUGAUGUACAAUUUCAUAUUAAUUUAAAAUAAUUAUUAAAUAAUUAAUUGUUACAUGUAUUUGUACGUACAUUCAACUAGUAUAUAUAUAUAUCUAUCUUCAUUAACUGUGGAAAACACCAAUUUUUGUGCUCUUAAAUAAAGCUAGUUGACUCUGAGAUGGACUAAAAGAGAGGCUAAGCUUAGCUAACAAAUUUAUUGUGGAUCCAAAAAAAGAUUUAGGUAUGGGAUAUUUUUGACAUUAGAAGUGGAUCUCAUCUUAGCAUAAAAAAAUUAUUAUACAUGGGGUUAUUCCAAAUCGAUCAAAUGAGCAUGUGCCCAUUGUUGAUUCAUUUACAUGCAUGAUCAGCCCCAUGCAUGGAGUUUGUACACUGCAUCUUGUCAUUUAUCCGUCUGGCUAGUACGUUUCACAUAUACUUCAUGUACCCACCAUUCAAUAACGAUCAAACUCGCUCAUCUUAAUUUUUAGAUUAUAAAUAAAAAUAUCACUUAUUGAAUGAUGCUUAGGUGAAGCAGAUGACAAAAUAUUCAGGUUCGUAGGAUCCCAUGCACGGACUACACAGAUCAGUACGAAGCAAAUUUUUUUUCACAGAAUUUGCCUCCAUUGAGGUACCAUAUUAGGCGCGCAUCCCAUUUCAUAUGGUACUAUCAAUUCAAUAAUUCAACAUGAAAUUAAAUAAAAAAGGUGUCCUAGAUUUAUUAGGAAGUGCUUUCAGCAUACUUGGGGAAAGCGAAAAGUUGAAUUUAACCCGCUCGAAAGCAAUUGAUUUUUAUGCGAAAUCGACUGAAGAAUAAUUGUUUGGAUAAACAUCGACGAGAAGUAAAACUUCUUAACAUGAGGACCUAAGUUUCAAAGAGCAAUUGUCACUACAACAAAAACGGUCUAUAGCGAUACUUUUAAAUGUCGGUAUAAGUCAAAAAAAGUGCUGCUGGCUAAAUUACCGACACUUUUGAAAAGUGUUACUAUAUGUGGGGUCGCUAGAUAUAUAGUGACAGUUAAAAAGUGUCGCUAUAACUUAAAAAGAGUGCUGCUAAUUUACUAACACUUAUUUAAGCAUUUAGCAACCACCGAAACUCUAUCUCGUUGGCUGCGGUGGUAGAGAAGGACGAGAGGGAAGGGCUCUUCGUCUAAAAUUUUAGUGGAUUGAGUGAGGGGGAGAAGGGGAGAUGAUAAUCGAUUUUUCUAAUUUUUUUCUUUUUUAUUUGUAAUCGGACCGAAUGGGCUGGGUGGGAUGGGUUGAGUAGAGUAACCUUUAAUUUUUUGUUGGAUUAGGCUUUAUAUUUAUGUGUUAGUAGAUUUUUUAAAAAAUUUAGGUAUAAAUAUGACACUUACACAAAAGUGUUCCAAACAUGUGUCCCUAUAACCUAAUUCUGUUGUAGUGUGUUGAAGGCUUAGUUUACGAUGUGCUGAACCUUCGAAAUCGUGGGUUUUUCUGUCCGAAGGUGCUUUGGAGCAACCUGGCAAGCUGGCAAGCGCAAGAGCAAUUGAAGUAUAAGAUAAAAUGCAGACACAUACAUGCUAAUGUGGUGCACCAUGUGCAUUCAAUAAUUUCUCAAAACUUAGCAUCUAAAUAAGUCUUUGGUUUGUAGCUUUAAUUAAAUAAUAUAUGAUAACACUUGAGUAGGUGACCAACAUUAGGUUUAUUAGACACAUUGAUUAAUGCAAUCAAUUUGCGGCUUUGCUAAAAUUAACAGAAGCCAACCUAAUGAGAGUCAAGUCAAAACCCAACAAGAUUACACGUUUGUGGAAUUUAUUAAGCAUAUUAUGGUUGAACACCAAACCUUUAAUUAAAACUAUAUCACGUUGAACACAAUGGAGGAGGUGGAACCACCACUCAAUAGCAUGUAAUUAAUUAAUUAAUUAAACUACCAAAACAAAACCCCAUUUUGCUUUUUUUCUUUUUCUUUCCCCUUUUUUUUUUUUCUCUUCUCUUUAGAUUUGCCCUGAAUUCGAAGUUUUGGACCCUCCCUUCGAAAUCCUUUGGAGCAAAAUCAAACAUAAAAUUUUUGAACGUCUACAAUGGUAGCGAAGGGCUUGAGCAGAUACCAUUAUUCAGUAUUCCUGUAGAUUAGUUAUGAAAAUCAUUUGGUCUACUUUGGGAACUAGAAUUUUUGGAGAGAGGCUUUUUUUUUUUUUAAAUGCACUUUAAUUAGAUGAUAAAAAAAGAUUUAAUCCAUAUUUGCUUCCACUUCCAAUUCUCUUUAUAGUGUUUGUAUCCAAGGGAGUAACAUUUUCUUCUUUUGUUUUUUGGCUUUUUAUUGUAACAUUUUUUUUAAAAAAAAAAUCUUGAUCAUUUAAAAACAAACCAUAUACUUUUAAAUAUGGAACUUACAUGCAUAUUAAUCCAUUUCAAUCUAAUAAUCCAACAUUUAAAACUUUUGAUCACAUGGCUUAUUGUAAUAGAAACAUAGCUAAGUGAAUCACCUGAUAUACUCUAACUAAUCCCAAAAAAUAGCAUAACAAUAUUCUAAAGUUAAAAAGUUGCUAAAUAUCUCAAAUUAAAUGAAUUAAAAGACUAGAUAACAAAAUCAACUGCAACUUCAAACUAAAAUAGGUUGUAGUUCAAGCAAACUCAAUACAUGUUUAAUUAGUACCAUAAUAAAAUAGUUUAACUUAAUAAAAAAAGUCUACAAAUUAUAGUAAUCAUGUAUUGGUUCACCAAAUGGAGACUCAACAACAAUUGAUUAAAUGCUCUACUUUUUGUCAAGCUAUUGUCAAAAGUGAUGUUUUAUAAACUAUCAGGAUGACACAAAGACAACUAAAGUGUGAUGUAGAUAGAAAAGGAAAUAUUUAUUAAAACUAAGAAGGCAACAAAUAAGGAAGUGUGGACAAAUAGCUAGUAAUGGGUUUUUAUAGUAGUUCCAAUAUUCAUGACCUUUAAGAAUAUUAUACAAUGCAAAGAUAUUUAUUUGGCUAUUUUUUAUAAAAUAAAUUGUCAAUUUAGUUGGUAGUUUUUUUAAUAAAAUAGAUUAUCAAGCUGGUUUAUCCCUCCUAAUCACAAUUCACCCCUCUUUCUUGUUCUCUACUCUUUUGUGUCUACUUGUUUUAUUGCUUUUUUGCUUUUUUAAUUUUAUUUUUUUCAAAGCAUUGCUAUGAAUAUUCUUAUGUAAUUCAUGGGUAAAUUAUAAUUAAUGGUUCUAGGUUGAACAAGGCUAUAAUUUUUUUCCUUUUUCUUUUACACAUCACAAUUGAGGAGACACUUUAAGUGCUUGUCAACUCAAAUAAUCCCUUAAACUAAGUCCACUUUGACAACUAAUGCUUGUUAAUUUUUAUCUUGUUAGCUAAGCAUGCAUCAACAUAAGCAAUGAUGACAACAUAUAUUGUAGGUUUAUCUUAAUAAAGAUUUUUUUUAAUUUUUUUUUGGCCUACAUUUUACAAAGAAGAGAUUUAUUCCCACAAGAGAAAAGGAGUCCCAUAAUUUUUUGGAGUCCAAGAAUGAGGAUAACUAUGGUGGCUAGGGUCAGGAUAAGUACAACUAAGAAUGUUAAUAUCAUAGAAUAUCUCAAGCUAACGUGCCUAUCCAAUUGAUUUCCUUGAACAUGACUAGUAAUUGCAUAAUAAGGAAUGAAAGAAAAAUUGAAUUGUCAAAAAGCUUAGGCCUUUGUUUAAUUUGUGGCUUUUUUUUAUUCUUUUUAGGGUCCAUUUGGUUCAAAGAUAACAAGCAUUGGAAUAAAAUUCUUUUUAUUUUUGGAAUAGCUUCCUUUUCUGGAAUAAUCAUGAACAAAAAUAAAAUUGUGUUUAGUUUGUAAUGCUGAUGUUCUCAGAAAUAAUUUAAAUUAUAUUUGAUUAAUUUUAUAGAAUAUUAGAGGAUACUGGAUAAAAGUAAUGGUUGAAUUUGAUAUAAAAUAUGAUUUAAUAAAAAUAAUUUAUUAUAAUAUUUAAAUAUAGUUUAGUAUUGUAACAAGAGAUUUGAGAAAUUUUCUGUAUAUUAUUCAUCUAAAUCCAUUCUAAUAUUUAAAUAUAGUUUAGUAUUGUAACAAGAGAUUUGAGAAAUUUUCUGUAUAUUAUUCAUCUAAAUCCAUUCUCUUAUAUAGAGAGAGGAAAAGCUUUACAUGGAAGUACAGGAUUAUAUCCUGUUAUACAAAGAAAUAAAUAAUACUAUCCUAAUAAGAAAGUAACAUACAUAGUAAUAUAUAUAACAUAAAUGGUAACAUAUAUUAUAUAUAUAUGGUAUGUAAUAUAUAUGGUAACAAGUAUAAUAUUUAAGUAUAAAUAAUAUGUAUUAAUAUAGUACAAUUAAUAAUUUUAUAAUAAAAAUAUUUAUUACAAUAUAUAAUAUGUCAUGUCUAUAUAAUUUACUUUAAUUCAAUUUAUAAUAUUAAUAAAGCUUGGAAUUAAAUCUUAGAAUAACACCAUUACUCCAAAAGGGUAGAAUAGUGAAUUUUUUUAUUAAUAGUCUUAAAAAAUACUAUAAUUAUAAAAGUAGACCUUAAAAAAAAUAUUUAUAAAAUUAGGUUUAUAUGGUAAAUGAUUUACCGCUUUUUAAAUGCGGUAAAUCAUUAACCAGUUUCUUCAAAGGAUUAAAAUUAUUUUUUGUGUUUAAUACUAUACAUCUUUUAAAGUUUGGAUAUAGGAAAUAUAUAAAUUAGGUUAAAAGCGGUGAGUCGUUCACUACUUUUGAUAAAAGCGGUGAAUGGAUUCACUACCUAUUUUUACAAAUAAAAAAUUUAAAAUGCCUAUUUUUAUAUUUAAAAUAUUUUGCAGGCUUAGUAGCCCAAAAUCUUCCUAGAAUAGUUCUUAGGAAACAUGCAAUUAUUAGAUUUUUUUGGCAAUAAGAACGAAAAAAAAUGAUAUUAAUUUUUUUAUUUUGAGAGAAAGAUACUAUGCUAUCCGCUUUUUUAUUUUAAAAAAAAAAACUUAUUUGAAAAUAUGAAACAGCUAAGCUUCGAACUUAUGAACCUCGGAUACCAACCAUCGAGCCCUCUGUUAUGGUAUUAAUUUUUUCUUUCGCUUUUUUAGGUUUUUGAGAGAGAUAUAGUUUAGCAUUUUGCCGGAUUGCAUUGCAAGCUCCCCAAAUAGCCAAUGAUGACAAUAAUAAUAAAUUUUUUUUAAUAAAAUUAUAAAAAAAAACAAUAUAAAAAAAGUCAUAAUAAUGCCGAGUUUAUGAGUUGUUAAUGUACGUUGAUAUAUUUACAAUAUAAAAUGCUUUGGGUGGUUUGAAAUUAAGGACCGUUACCGCGAUGCAAAGCAUUUUACUUAUCAAAAAUAAUAUCCACGUUCAAGAACAUAGAAGUCAAAACAAUUAUUCCACGGCAUAAUCCAUAAAUAAACCUCCAAAGCCCCAAACAUGGGGAAUGCAUAUGCUUUUUCUUUAAAGCAUCCAAAAUUAAAUAUUCAUGUAUGAUAAAAAAAAAGUAGUUCAUUGAUUACGGUAUUGUAAUGAAUAAAGAAUUAAAUACUAGGCGUAUUGCUCGUGCAAUGCGUGGAGGCAAUUUAGUUUUAAUUGUAAAAAAAUAAUAAGUUUCGAACUUUGGGGUAAAAACAUACUUAACUUAUCUGAACUAUGGACUAUUUUGUAUUUGUUAUUCAACCUUUCAAAUUUUAAUUUUAUCUGAACUAUUGACUAUGGGUAUAAAAAAUAAAAACCCGACGAAUAUGGAUACAGGUAUGGACUUUGUAUUUACCCGACCCGAACCCGAAUAAAUUAUAUAACAUUUUGAUAUCUAAAGAUUGUUUUAGAUAUUUAAAGAAUGUAUUGUUAUCUUUAACUAUUUGAAUUUGUAUUUUUCUUAUUCAAAUAUUGAUAUUGUAUGGCAUGAAAGUUUUAAUAUUGUAUUUGAUUGUGUUUUCAAAAUUUUAUUUUGAAAAUUUUGAUUUUACUAUAAUAUAUUUUGAAAUAUGAUAAAGAGAAAUCAUUAUUUUGGGUACGGGUUUGGAUUCGGAUUUCAGGUUUUUGGUUGGGUUCGGAUAUGGGUAUGGAUUUUUGAAACCCGACGGGUUCGAGUUCGGCUUCGGAUUCGGGUUUUAAUUUGGUUUUUAGGUUCGGGUUCGGAUUUUUGAAAAUCCGACCCAAACACGACCCAUUGACAUUCCUAGUGUCACCAUUGGUAUUAGAGCCAAUUAUCAGCCGAAAGUGUGAGAUGAAUCUUGACUGAGCCAAAUUAUAUAGUGGGGAGAGCGAGACUCUAAUACUGAUGACUGUUGUUAAUGAAGUGCGGCUCACCACAAUGUCGGAUAAGCUAGCGAGAUGAAUCUAAUAUCGCCUGGUAUUUAUAAAUCUGAGUCUGACGAGAAUAUCAGAACUUAAAGGAAGAAGAAUGUGAGAUUCCAAGUAGAUAUAAUAAGACUAAAACUCUUAAUCUGGUUAUAGCAUUUUGGCGGCACCUAAAUCCAAAAGGUUAAAAAAGUUAAGCGUGCUAAGAUAGAAGUAGUCUUAAGAUGGAUGACCCCAAAGUAACCCAUAGUAUUUUGAUUGUAAAAUUUAAGCUACUUACUAAGUUUAAUAAAUUUAUAAUUGCAAGAAUUGCAAGAAGUAUACUAACUAAACCUGUAAAGAUAAACAACAUAUUCAAAUUUUUGACAUCAAAGCGUCGUUAACUAAUUCAAAUCAAACAAAAUGAAAGGUUAGCAAGAAUUUUUAAAUUUUGAAAGGUUGGAUAGCCAAUUCAAAAUAGUCUAUAGUUCAGGUAAAGUAUGUACAUUUUUACCUAAUUCCAUUAUGUGAGUUAUUGCAAGAAAGAAAGCUUAACCUAAAUAACUUCAUUAUGUUGAUUAAUCUUGAACAUUGAUUGAUAGAGGAGGUUAGAAAUAUGAUUGACAUAAAUUGAUUAGAAAGAGUUUCCUUGAACUCUUGUUGUCUGAGUAAUUUCUGAAAAUAGGUCUAUUUUAUAUGAAAAAUAGAUAUGUAAUAACAAAAUUAAGUCUUUAUUUAAAAUUUUGAAUAGCUAACCAAAUUCCAUAAAAAGAAAUUCCAGAUUUUUCAAUCACAAAAAUUGCAAACCACAAUAGCAACAAAUUGAGAGCAUAGAAACAACUUACAGGAGUCAAAAUAAAAGCAAAGUUCUAUUAAUAUUAGCUUGUUAGUAUUAUUUCUCACAUCAUUUCAUCCACUAACUUAAUGCCUAAGCUUAUGAUUUUAAUUGUGUUAACAGAAACAAACUUGCCGAAGAAAAAUUUAUUGCCAAAUUGAAAGACAUUACAAUGAGAGAUCGAGAGCCUCAAGCAUUUCGCCCAGAGUUCUCCGUUGGGAGUUGACCUUCUAAAAGACGCUAUGCCGGUCACUUUAGAUAGACCAAACUUUGAACCGUCAAGAAUGAUUGUGGGACAUCAGAUCGUCCUAUAUAUAAGAUAUAACUGUGCUAAAAUAACUCCGUUAUAAUAUAUUGGGCGGUGGCUAGAUCCAAGAAGUUAAGAAGGUUUAGUACGCUAUAAUUGUAGUAGUUCUAGGAUGAUGACCUUCCGAAAAGUGGGCCGGUCGGCUAAGAUUAGCGAAACGAGUCUCAUAUUGCCAGGUGGUUGUGAUUUUCUAAAUCUGGCUAUAGCAUGUUGGAUGGUGGUUAAGCACAAAAAAUUAAGAAAGUUAAGCAUGAUAGGACUAAAAUAGUCCUUGGAUUGAUAACACCUGGAAGUGGAACGUCACAAUGAUUCAAUUUAGUAAAAUUAUUAUGUCCUGAAGGACUGGAAUCUUGACUAAGAAUCUGGAAUACUACCAAACUCUUUGAACAAUCUGCUGAAGGAAAAAACUAAACAAAAAACUAAACCUCCUGAAAUUCUCGAUAUAUUCUCUAAAUGAAACUACCAAAAACUAAUAAAAUGCUGAACCUACUGAAUUUGUUCGUUACUAUCCUAUUUUUUCUCUAAAUCUCUCGAGCUCUUAAAUUUGUGAAUGAUUAGAAAAAGAAAAGUCGUAUCUUUCUCCGCCAAGAUAUUUAGUCUCUUUUAACCCAACUCCGAACCCACCGAAUUUUAGCCAAAUUCUAAAAUUUCCGAUCAUACUUAUUUCCUUUCCUGAUGAUGAACGGCCAAGAUUAUUUCAACUCGACGCCCAAAAUGCUUAUCUUCUAUGCCUCAAUACCAACCAAGAUUAACCUUACUUCCUCAAAAUCCGACGGCAGAACGACAGAAUUAUGAUGUCAACAAAUUGUAAUUAGGUGAAUUGCAAAGGUCAUGUAUUGUGAAAGCUAAUUAAUUAUGAGCCCUAAUCAGUAUAGGUGAGAUCCAAAAGGAGAAAAAGUACAAAAUCAAUCUGAUUUAAAAGCGGUACACUUUAUAUGAUGUUAAUGUAUUAACAUAAAUGACAUGAAAAAAAAAGUAUUAUAUUAUGACACAUUUAAGUUGUUACAUUAAUUUACCAAUAUAUUAACAAUCUGAAAGGAAUUUUUUAUGGGAACUAAAGCAUCUUUCUUUUUUUUUUAAAAGGGAAAGUGGGUGAGGUUGACCCAUUUGAUUGCACCUUUUCGGCUAAUUUAUGAUUUUUGAGAGUGCCAACCAAAAAACUAGGGAUUCACAAGAGAAAUUCGAAAAGAAAUAUCACUUUUGGCUCAUUUAGGCUCCUGAUAAUAUGGUUUUUCAAAAAAAGAAAAAAGAAAAAAUUGUAAACUCCUUAUUUAAAAUAUUAAAAGUAAGAAAAAAAAAGACUGUUUUAUUGCCAAUUAAAUUUUACAGAAAUACACAGAUUGCAAACUAUUCAUUAUCUGUGGGUUUCCCCGAUCUCCACAACGCAGGUUCACCCAUUAAUUCGAUCUAUUGCAUUAGAGUUUUCUAUUUGGUAUUGGAUGAAUUAAAUCUAAGUUCGGAGCUCAAAUAAACACUAACAAAUAAAAUUGUAAAGGCUCAUUCUAAAUCGUGUGUUGUUGUUGUAAUUGAUAUGUUUCAAAUUCUAUGUUAAGAUUGUUUAAUAACUUUCUAAUAGAAAGCUCAGAUCAAGAUUUCUCUUUUUAUUUUCAUUUGCUAGUUAGCCCUUCACCCAAGGCAAAAUUGAGAAAUCCGAAUUCUUGUGUAAGUGAUAGAAAUAUUAUUAGGAUCUUAUCUUAUUCGAAUUCUUACAAAACUUUCUCAUGUGAUAAUGUUAUAACAUGAUCCUUUUAAUAGCUAAAUCAAAAAUUGCUACACUAAUCAAAAUGAUCUGGCAUGAUCAGCACGUGUCAUCCGCAUCAACACAUAAAAUAGGGUGUGUAUCAAGAUAUAUCAGUGUGUCACAUUUUGAUAGCACCUUACUACGCUUUAUGUCAGUAGCACGGGAAUACACAAACUGAAUAAAUUAAUUGAUAAUAACCAAAUAUUACAACAAUAAAACAUUGAAUUUUUCGUUCAUUUUAUAAGUUUUUAUUUUUUGGAUGUGGUUGAACUAAAUGCAACGACAUAGACAUGGAGCCUUAGUAAAUUGUUAGUUUAGUGUCACACUUUGAUUACUUACUAAUUUAAUACUAAUCGCUAUCUACUAUUUAGACAAUUUGAAAAGAAUUAUUUAUUAUCUUAGGCUCAAAACCCCAAUCGCACUAGCAAAAGAAUCCGCAGUUUACAGCACAUGAGGGGCACUAUUAACACACGACCAUGAUACAGAGAUUGACAAUGAAGAGUGCAAAAGCACCGCUAAAUGUGCCUAAAAAAGUCUUCCAAAAUAUUAUCAAUAAACUAGUAUUAUAAAUGUGAGAGGCGAAAAUUUGGUUCACCCUCUCAAAUUUCAAAUAUGAUACUUAACAAGAGAGAUUAAGUCUAAGAAGCUGAAUCGAUUAGUUAUUAUUAUUUAUAUGUAUAAUACUGAUACCUUAAUAAGUGCUUGGUGCUUUUACAAGCACCGCAGCUAGACUCUAUAUAUAUAUAUAUAUGAGCAGGACUACUGUGCUAUUAGGAGCACAGCAACCUUUAUGCUCCUAACUUUCUAACCACCCAUCAAAUUUGAUGGGUGGUUAGAAUGAGAGGAAAAAGAGAUAUUGGAGAGACAUAUAUAUAUAUAUAUAUAUAUAUAAUGUAGAGCUACGUAUGCUAUCAGAAGUAUAGAGAAUUUGAUGGUUCCAAUUUUUUGACCUUUGGAUCAAAAAUUAUAUGGUUGGGAUGAUUGCUGUCCCCCUAGGAUUGAGUAGUACCUCUAGAAUUGAAUGGUCCCCACAGGAUAAUAAUAUUAAUCCAAAAGUUAGAAAUAAUUAAAAAAACUGAUCUAAAGACCAAAAAAUUGAAAGCACCAGAUCUUCUAUGCUUCCGAUAGUAUAAUAGCUUUACUCUUUCUCUCUCUCUCUUUCUAUAUAUAUAUAUAUAAUAUAGAGCAUUUCUCUUUUACAGAGUGCCAAGAAAUAUGGAAAUACAAAAAGUCAUUACAUAGAAAGGUGGAUAAUACAAAAGUGAUCCUACAUCUAAAAAAUGAUAUCCAGCUAAGCUUUGGAGUGGGAAUUAAUUAAUCGAAAUAAUACCAUUUUAGAGAUUAUCUAUAGGAUAUAUAGUCACCUAUCAUAAUGAUCAUCUUAUAGGGGAAAAGGGUAACCCUACAUAUAUAUAUAUAUAUAUACAUAUAUACAUGGAAAGGUUAACCUACAGUGUGACAUGCAAGGAAAAAGUUUUAUGUUAAAGCAAUUUGACCUAUACUAACACCACAUUGAUACUAUACUCCUAUGCAUAAAGCUUAAGCCAUAUGCUUCAACAAUUACAGUAACUGCAAAUUGGAUUUAACUAUGUAAGGAAUGAUGAUUCCUAGAAGAAGACUUGUAGGUAUUUAGCCCUAUGAUUUGAAGGAUGUUAUUAUUUAUAUAUUUAUGCAUAGUCUAAAUCCAGUGAAUUUGACUUAGUGAUAAUGAUCAGGUUAAAUGAACCUUUAUAUUAAAAAUAAAUAUGCGUAUGUAGUGGUAUGCUUCGUGAAAAUCAUACAAAAAGUUUAAAACUUUAGAUACGGACUUGAAUGAGGUAAUUAAUUGGUUUAAUGUAGUUGUGAACUUAUAUGUAAUUAGCUAUGCUGGCCCAAUGGUCCUAAAUUGUAAUUAAAUUCUAAUAAUACAAAUAAUUAUAAUCUUGGAAUUAAUAAUUAUGUUGAGUUUGUAUUUAAUGAACUCUCAAUUGAAAGAACUCAUGAGUGCAAAAGAGAAGUAACUCCCAUUUUAUAAAAGCUAGUUAUGCUUCUAAGGUCAAGGUGGACACUGUAUUUUGUUCGAAUGGUGUUUGAGAGAUUCAUUAAUUUAUGGGAAUAUUAAUCUUUCAUCUCAAAAUUAAUUUUAGGAUAAAUUUCAAAUACCACCAUGUAAUUUUGCACUUUCUCACUUUAGUACCAUAUGAUUUAAAGUGUAUUAAUUUAGUACUAUAUGAUUUUAUUUUUAUCUUUUCGUCAGUCUCUUCAUUAACUUUUCGUUAAAUCAUAUAUAAAAAACUUCCGAUACCCCACCCCACUUAUAAUUUAUCAAAUAUUUAUUUAGUACUUUUUAAUUUUAACUUUGUCACUGACUUAACGAAAACAAUUAGUGAAGAAAAUAAUCAAAAGAGAAAAAUAAAACAGGAUACGAAAUUGAUACAUUUUCACAAAAUACUAAAAUAAAAAAAUGCGAAACACAUGGAUUAUAUUUAAAAUUUUUUCCUUAAAUCUUAUGCUUACCAUCAGAUUGAACGAGAGUGCAACGUUGCUGCAUCUCUACGUGAAAUUUAUUAUUAUUAUUUUUUUCAAUCAUCCCCUUUGUUACUUCUUUUUUUUUUUUCCUUUUUUUUACAAAUUAAGUCGUUUUCAAAAUCAAAACCACUCUUACUUUUGUUACAACUUACAACUUAAGUUCAUAUGUUAUCGUUGCAAUUUACAACCACAUUUUAUGAAAUGAAAAUAAAUACAAUAAACCAAAGUUAAGAGAUCUACCCGCCGAAUAAGACAAACUCACAAAAGCCCAAAGAUGAAACAUAUUAAAUAGUCCUCUUCUCUUCUGAGUUCUGAUUAGGGGAGCAUUUUGUUCCAAACUCGACCAAAAGCCGGACCCCGAUCCAGUACUACUACACAGAUUACACAUCCUGUGUUUGGAUCAAAACACGACAGAAACACAAUCCAAAUUCGAUACUACAGAUCAAAAUCAGCUCCACAAUCAAAUUUUAGUAAUACUGACACGGAAGAUACUCGCAGAAAACCAGACUAGGAACUUCCAAGGACUGAUAUUCACAAAACCCCACAAGUCGUGGGGUAUCACAGGUCUCUUUCUUGUAGUCCUAACCCAUCAGGUAACACAGCAUGCGACGAAAAUGAUGUAAAGAGAGAAAAAAACCAAGUAUCUCAAUAUUCAGCAUUCGGCCAACAACCACCAACUACAAUCCAAACACCGCAAUUCCCCAUUUCUAUCAUCUAUCUUUGACUCCGUAGAUAAUAGGUUUUCUUUCAUGAGUCUUAAGUGUCCUAAUGAUAACAUUUAAAUACACAAAUCUAAGGAUCAAAAUUCAUUUUCAGUGCCGACUUUAUAAUUUCAACUGUCAUUUCAUUUAUCUAUCUAAAGAAACUACCUUACCCAGUGGGUGAAACUCCAUUAAAAAGAAAAAUUCUGUUGAACCUCCUAACGCAAAUGAAACAGUUAAGAGAAAGAAAAAGAGACUCAUUUCUGGCGACCGGCUUCCACAGGCUCGACCACUUCAGCUUCAAAUGCAUUCGCGUAUUGGGGUUCAACAGGUUGGCUUGGUUGCGGUUGGUAUACCUCAGCAGCUGCAGGAGCCCAUUUCCCGGAAAACGCAGUUCCCAUCAUCUCAUAUAUCUUACCACUGAGCUCCUUUGGAUUAUCAGGCUGCGUAGCAGUACAAGGACAUAAUUAGCUUAAACUGAAACAAUAUAUAAAAUAUGCGAAAGGUUGCAAACAAGGAUUUAAGUGCUGUGACACGGGGUCGUGCCGGAAACUUACCGGCACGGUACGGCACGGUGCGUGCCGAGCCGUGCCAGUCAAAAAAAUCUUGCGUGCCGACACAUAAUAGCAUAAAAAAUCUUGCGUGCCGACACAUAAUAGCAUGAAAUAUUUAUUUUCUUUAACAACAAAAUAUUCUAACUAUUUAUUAUGUCUUUUUAUUACAUCUUUUGAACUUUAUUGUGGAAAUUACUUACUAAUUUAAAAAAUAGAGGGUUUUGAGUUAUGCCAUCGGCACGGAGUCUAUAUCGUGCCGGUAUCUUGUUGGUACGGUACUGCACGGUGGAUACGGCCCGUGCCGACGGGCACUUAAAACCUUGGUUACAAAGUUGCACAAUUUCCCCAAUAUUAAACAACAUGCUUCCCAAUGCACGGACUCAUAAAUAUGAAAGUAGGUGUAUUUAAUUAUUUAUUGGCAGGUAAAUCCCAGUAAUCUAAAAAUACAGCAACACAUAGAGUAAGGGACCUAACCAAGCAUAAAAAUGGUUUAUGAAGUAAUAAAUACACCCACUGAUAUUACAAAAAAAAAAAAAGGGUUGAGAGAUGAACAUGAACUCACAGUGAAUCCACUGGAAAUCAAAGCAGUUUCGAAUAGAAGAUCUACAGCUCUUAAGGCCUCAGGAUCAUCAGGACAGGUCUUGGAUGCAACCUGCAACACCCAUAGAACAAUGUAAGUUUGAUUUAUUCUUCUGAUUUUAUCUGAUUGCAAGUAAUGGAAGCUUCAGUCAGCCACCUACAAACUAUCGACACGAAAGCUCCUCACUCUGGAAGUUUUACUGAUAUCUUUCCCAUGCAUUUCUUAUAUUCUAAUGCUUGGUAAAAUGUUUUGUAAGUUAAAGAAAUUAGUUAACAAGCAGUUUAGUGCAAGAGGCUCCAGCAACUUGGAAGUUCUUCUCAUCAAAAACAGAGAUAACUAUGACAUGAACUCAAUAACUAAUCUAAACUUCAACUAGGCUUACAAAAUAAUUUCAUCAGCAAAUAAGAAAAAGCUUACACUUAAGUUCUUGAUAAUUGGAUGUUCUGGAUUAAUUUCGAAGACUCUUCUCGACUUCAUGAACUCCAAACUAGAAGGAUCUCCCAUAGUUUGGGCCCUCAUCAGCCUGAAGAAAAGUGGCACAAGGAAAUGAAAUCAUAAAAUAGCAUACUUAAUACCCAGUAGACCAUGUGCACAUUUUGUCUUUUAUUCUUCCUCUCAAGUUAUAUGGGACUGAGUGCACCAGCAGAUGGAUUCUCCAUUCUUGUGAGUGUUGGAUAGCUUGCAUGUCAUACUUUAACAAGAAAAGGACUGAAAGAAGUUACAAACAACUUUUGUUUUUCCUGGCAAACAAAUACUGGAGAUACGGACUUCAAAAAUCCACCAUCCUCAGGUGCCUUCUAUCGCAUAGAAUUUGAGCAAGAAAACUAAUAAAACAAAAGGUGUAAGCACGGUCAAAUGAGGCCUUAGCUUGGUAUGACAGACCAACCUCUCCAUAUUGGCGGACCAGCCAAACUUGCCAGUAACAAGAACACAUGGCGAGGUGCUAAGUCGGUUUGAAAUAUCAACACGAGCAACUUUCUCUCCCAGUCUCUUCUUGAUCCACUCGCAUGUCUGACUGAAUUCCUGCUUGACUUCCUUCUCCUUUUCCUCAUUUUUAUCACCUAAAAUCCAUUGAAACACAUCAUAAAUAAGAAAAGUAUGACAAUCACACCUAUCAUGUUUGUCCUAAGAUUACUGAACUAAGGAUCACAAUGGAAUUGAAACAUUUAGGAGGUGUUUGGAUUGGGUACAAGAGGGGGGAUAAGAGGGUUAUCCCCCCCUCUUGUACCCAAACACCUUUGGAGGGGGUGGGAACAACUUGUUCCCACCAAGGGGCCCCCCGGGAGAGAGAGAGAGAGAGAGAGAGAGAUUUUUGUUUUAAAUUAAAAUUUAUAAUUUAUAAUCUCAAAAUUAAAAUUUAUAAUUUAAAAUUAUAAAAUUUAAAGUUUAAAUUUUAAAUUUGAUAUUUUUAAUUUUUAAGUUUUAUAUUUGAUAUUUUUAAUUUUUAAAUUUUAUAUUCGAUGUUUUAUAUCUUUCAAAUUUAAAUUUGGUCUUAAAUUUAAAAUUUGAUAUUUAAAAUUAAAAUUUUUAAAAUUAAAAUUUUAAAAUUUAAUUUCAAAUUUUAAAUUUUAAAAGUUAUAAUUUUAUAUUUAAAAUUUAAAAAUUUAAAUUCAAAAAUUAAAAACUUAAAUUCAAGUAUAAUGAGAGGGGUAAUAUCAUUAUUUUCUAUUUAUAACCAUCAACUAUUUCUCUUAUUCCCAAUAACCAUCCAAACACAAUUUUUCUAGUUCCAGCUUAUUCUCACAUUUUCAUCCAAACAAAAAAAUACCCUUAUCUUACAAAAACCCAUACUUGUACCUAUGCCCGGUAUAACUUGUUCUUGCUUAUACCCAAACCAAACGAAGCGAAGCAAUUUAUCUUGAAUUUGAUAAGCAGGUAUUAUUUAUUUUACCAAUAAAACUAGAAUUGGUUUAACAGAUUCUACCGACAAGCAUCUAAAGGCGCUUGAAAUAUAUGUAGCACUAGGCAGAGAAUUUUUACAAGCAUCUAAAAACACUUGGAAGUAGCUAAUAGAGAAUUCAUAACUAACCCAGGUCCAAAUCUUCCUUGCUAAUAUCAACAAAGUUCUUUUCCUUGUAGGACUUCAGAUUUUGUAUAGCUACCUCAUCCAUGGGAUCAACUAAAAAUAGCACCUGCAGUGAAUAGAAAGCUAGUUUCUUUUUUCCCCAGAAAAAUUAUAGGUGGAAAUGACUGACUAUAUCAUUGCAAAAUAUACCUCAAAAUCCUUCUCGACAAGCCUCUCCAGAAAUGGAGCAUUCUGUGCGCUAGUCAAGCUAUCUGCAGCAAUAUAAUAGAUAUCCUUUUGCUCGGGCUUCAUAUUCUCGACAUAUUCAUCCAAGCUAAUUAACUGUUCUUCGCUUUGAGAAGAGAAGAACCGAAGAAGAGGUGCAAUUCGCUUGUGGUUUGCCUGGUCUUCCAUGCAACCCAGUUUAAGAAAUUUGCCAUAAUUCUCCCAGAACUUGUCAUAAUCCUGAUGGAAAUCAAAAGUAAAAACAAUUAGAAAUAUGAUAGAAAAAUCACAAAGCUUGAGGGAAUCGAGAAUUAGAACCAGCAACAGAAUAUUGUAGUUGAGAAAGGAGCAGCUUACAUCUUUGUUCUCACUCAGAGAAAUGCCUAAAAUCAUAUCAAAGGCCUUUCGGACCAAUCGUUUCCUCAUUAUGCGCACCUAUGUUGCAAUAUUCAUUAGUAACUUAAAUAAGAUUAAUUCAUCAAUUGUAUCUUGUCCUGCACUGAAAAAUCCAAGGUGUUCUUACAAUUCGGCUUUCUUGAAGGAUCUCCCGAGAGACAUUCAAAGGAAGGUCAUUCGAAUCAACAACACCUUUCACAAAGCUCAAGUAUCUUGGGAACUAAACCAAAAUAAAGCACAAAUCAUCAAAAUUACAAGGAAUUUAUUUACCAAAAAGGAAGCAAAAAAAGAUUGUCAGGAGGCGAUGAAAUCCUAACAUACCAGCUCCCCAUCGAAAUCAUCGGAAAUGAAAACACGUUUCACAUAAAGCCUUAUGUUCUUAGUCUUCCUGUCAAUCAUGUCAUCCUUUUUCACAGCAGGCACGUAGAGAAUUGAUCUAAAUUCCACCUCACCCUGCAUUAAGCAAUGACAGCAUGCUAGAAUAAAUAAAAAAACAGUAUUAAGAUAUGCAUUGUUUAGACUUUAUGCAAAUAGACAGGAAAUGGCAAAGCAUUGAAAUAUUAUCUGAGAAUUAAAUCAGACCAUAUAUAGCCAUAUAAAUCAAAUGAUGAGACAUAAGGAGAAAAACAUGCUAUAAAUUUAGUUUUGGAGGUCCUGAUUUUGUCGGCCUAUAAAGAUAUAGGAAUUAGUUACCACAGAAAACCAAAUCCAGAAAACAAUGCCUGGGAUUCCCUCAUCGUCACAACAAAGAAUUCAAACAACAUGCGAGAGCAUACUUUAUUGCAUGCUAGGCAAUUCUUUGUACAUCAAAAAGCUAUUGGCACACUUUGGGCUCAAUAACUUGUCGAACUACAAAGAGACUUGAAAAAUAUAAAGAGAUCAUAAGCCCUUCACUUCAUACAAUAUAUUUCUAGAGCAGCAUACACAUAGGCAACAUUCAAGACAAGCAACUUCUUUUAAGAUGAUAUACACACCUCUGUAGUGAAGUGAGAUGAAGCCAAAGGAUCCAAAUACUCAUUAAAAGUCUUUUUGAAAAAGUCAUUGUACUCUUCUGUUGUCACGUCUUUAGGGUUUCGAAGCUGCAAAGAAGAAUCAAUGAAAAAACAUAAUUUCAUUGGAUUCAAAAGGAAAAAAAAAAAUCCACAUUAUAAAACAGAACGGUAGGACCAAAAUUUGCACAGAAGAACAAAAAAAAAAAAUUACCCAAAUAGGUUGUGUUUCAUUUGUGAGUUCCCAGUCCCAGUACCUCUCUAUAACCUUUUUAGUUUUCUUUUUCUUCUGCAUCACGAUUAGGUAUAAGCACAAAAAUUAAUUUCUUAUAAGGAAUUGCUAAUUUCCCAUGUAUCAUAAUCAUCAGAAGAAGUCAAAAAAUAGUAUGCCAAACGACAUAACAGUUACCUCAGCUUUAGAGUCAUCACCCCCCUCCUUAGCUUCAGCUGGAUCCUCAUCAACCUCAACCUAGUUAAGUGCAGGAAAAAGGAGAAAAAAGAGACAACCGAAAUUCAGCUUAUUAUAGGACAAAGAGUUAAGCUACUUCCAAAGGUCUGUAAGAUUUCAUCAUGAGUUGCAAAGGACGGAAUAAAAUCUUAGGCGAAGAUAGUCAAGAAAUUUUAUUAACUAAUUCUUACUUCUUUCGUGUAGCCUUUCUCUUGCCACGUGUAGAUUGGGAAAGAAACAAACUGCGAGUAAUUCUUCACAAGUUUUUGAAUCUUCUCAGGAUGAGCAAACUCCUUGUCAUCACGCUAAAAGGAAAGAGCAUGCGGAGAAGUUCAAGAAUAAGAGUUGAGAUGAUAGUAAUGAGUUAGCAUACAUAAACGAAUUCACAAGAAACCUUGAGGUACAAUGUAAGACGUGUUCCUCUUGGAAGAAGUUUAUCUGGGUCAGUCUCUUCUCUGAUGGUAAAAGAACUGGCACCAGCCUCACCCUCCCAAACAUACUGCUUAUCCGAUUUUGGGCUCUUUGUUGAAACAACCACCUGUUUCAACCAAAUGGAGCAGUUAGAAAAAGAAAUAAAUCACAAUUUGUAACUGGACAACACACAUAAGCAGAAAUAAAGAGAGAAAGGAUUAUAGCCUAUUUGCCUCACUACUCAAACAGCUUCUCUGCUCCAAGAAGUACCAACCAAGCAUCCCCAAACGAAAAAGGGAGCUUCAAUUGUGGCAAGAAGCUAAAAUAAGCUUCUUGCUGUCAAAAUAGAAGUGCCAAGAUGAAGCUUCUCAUUCAGCUUAAGCUCUAGUGGAAAUUUGGUUGAAAAUGAGGUUACUACUACUGCUUCUACAAACAGAAUUACUAAAAUAGCACUUCUACCAUAACUCGAGAGAAAGGUCAAACAUUUCAAUCAUUCAAUGACAGAAUAUGGUUUAAGCAUACCUUGUCAGAAACAAGAAAUGAUGAAUAAAAACCGACACCGAACUGGCCAAUUAAAUUGCUGUCGGAGCCAGCUUCCUGACUCUCCUGUAACAAAAGAUGCAGCCUUUGUUAAUAACAUCAAAAAAACAAAAAUUGAUACUAAAAGACAGAAUUAAAAGAGUCUUUCCCGAUUUGUGAGACCUUCAAUGCCUUUAGAAACUUUGCUGUUCCACUAUGUGCAAUAGUUCCUAGUGAGUCAACAAGUUCUUCUUUGGUCAUACCAAUUCCAGUAUCACUGAACAUAAUAAAUUAAGAAAGUUAUAUAAAGCUCCACAGAAGGCAUUCUCAAGCAUGAAGAAGACAAAAUGAAGCUACAGAUAAUAUUAGCUCGGACAACACUCACGUGAUUGUGAUUAUUCCAUUGUCUUUGUCAGCCUGGAUGCGGAUAUCAAGAUCAACAGCUUCCUUCAGAAGUUCAGGCUCCGUUACACUCAGAAAUCGCAACUUGUCAAGUGCAUCACUUGCAUUGCUGAGAAACAAAGAAUGCAGCUGUAAAACAUAGUUUCUUUGCAUAAACAAACUUGACAGUAAAUCUAUAACAGAUUAAGCACCUAGAUGUACAUGAUUAUUAUCUAUAACUCUAUAAUGCCAAAAUUGCUUUACUGAAGUCAAAAGAUUGUCCAAGACAAACAAACACAGAGGCUUUGAAGCAGACUUAUAAUUGUUAUGCCACUCACCUAACCAACUCUCGAAGAAAUACUUCCUUGUUGCUGUAUAAGCUGUGAACUAUCAGGUCCAUCAAGCGACUAACCUGCCAAAAAUAUAAAUAAUGGUACAACAUGUAAAACAAUUGUCCCCAAGCUCACUGCUGUUUGUAUAUAAUAUAAUGAUUACAAUUACAAAGCACCUCAGCCUGGUAUUCAAAUUUUUCAAGUUGCGCGUUCGAUGUAUCAACUGCUGCAGUAGUUGAUUCAUAUCGUUUGCUAACAAUGAUACUGUUUUGCAGGUUUGUUUCCACCAUGUGACCAAGUCCAGUAUAUUUUGAUCCUGAGAAAGGCGAAAACCAUCUCCUCUGAAACUGAGGAAGUCUGUGCUCUUGUUGCGGUACCUAGCAGUGAGCAACAAAAAGCACAUGUUAGUGCAAACUUGAGGGAUUGUAAUAUUAGAAUGUGCAGACAUGUAUACUGGAGAUGAAAAAGACAUGAUUCAUGUAUGACAAUACAAAAAUUCUUUACAGACGAUCUCAAGACACAAACAGGAUAUGUGAAUGGAGAGUUACGCAAGAAUACUUCUAGAAGUACCAAGGUCUUAGUACUACCACCUUAUUUUCAUUGGGGGGGCAUCCGAAUAAAUGAUCGACACCAUUGAACAUGAUCAAGGACAUUCAAACUUUCUGGAACUGAAAUUUCGUUAAUUUUCAGCAUCAUUUCCCUAGUGAUCAAGUAGCUCCAUAAUUGGACAGUUAUUGGACAGUUUCAAUAUAUGAGGUGUUUUCCUAUGCAAUAGAUUAGGACAAUCCAAAUAGGUUGAAAUUUUUAUACAAAUUUCUUUUCCUAUCGAGAUCAAGGUCAAUACUGUGAUUUCAAGAUUAGCAAUUCUAUCAUAUAGGUAUGCAAGGUGAUUCAAUUUUGACCACUCAUUUUCCGGUCGCUUGACAAACUAGAAAGUGAUUUCAAAAUUUAUGAAAUUUGAUUCCUAAAAGGUUCAAAUUAGGGGUGUCAGCGAGCCGAACACGAGCGAGCUAGGGGCCGGCAUGAGCCGGACACGAGCUGGCUCGUUAAAGUAUCGAGCCGGAAAAUUCAGCUCGCAAGGACUAGAUUGGAUAUAUAUAAAAAAUAAAUUUAUAAAAUUUUACCCAUUAGAUUUUGAUCUAAUGGUUGAAACUUUACACAUAAAUAAGUCUUUUCUUAAUUGAGUUCGUCUUUAUAUUUUUAUUUUGCUAAAAAUCAAAUAAUAAAAAAUAUAUAUUAUAUAUAAUUAUUUAUUUAUAUAUAUAAAUAUAAAUAAAUAUAAAUUAAAUAAAUUAUAUAAAUAUAAAAUAUAUGUAUUCAAGCUGUUAUCGAGCCAAACACGAGCGAGUUAACCCCAACUUGUGUUCGGCUCAUUUAUUAAACGAGCUGAAAAAUUCAGCUUGUGUUCAGCUCGUUGACUAAACAAGCGAUUCGAUCUCGAGCUCAUUUCGAGUCGAACACGAGCUGGCUCGCGAACAGCAAGCUGGAUUGCCACCCCUAGUUCAAAUUCCCUAUAUUGAAAAUCAGGUGGAGGUAACAAGAGGUGAUACUUCUAAAAGCAUUCUACAAAAAGAAAAAGCUUAAAGCACAGAAUUACCUAUCACAAUACAACUAAUUAAUUAAGUGCUUGUUUUGAGCAACUGUUAAAACUUACAUGCUCAACCUAGUGCUCUCUUCUAAAAGCCUAUUAAAGAUAUACCAUGAAAUAAUGAUAUAAUAACAGAAAAUAUGUAUCCAUUCUCAAAUAGCCCCUCUCUUUUUUUGGGGGUUGGGGGGGGGGCAUAGACACCUUCUGAACUUCAUUUUUUUUUAUUUAAGAUAUUGCCCAAAGGGAAUAGCUUCAUUGAAUUAAACAGCUCUAUUGGCUGCAAACGGUUAACAGUUGAUAAAACACACAAUUCUUUUACUUGUUAAAGAAUUCAGAACAGCUAAUCUUAACAAAAUCAACAUUUGAUUAAACAUCAAUAAUAAAUUCAAAAAUUAAGCAGGUUUCAAUUAAAAGAAAAUUAGUUGACCAGCCUCGUUCAAUAUGACCAAUAGUUGAGGGUCUCCCUAUACAUUUUUACGUGUAAUAACUUUAGAAUGCAUGGCCAAAAGAAAAGGUAAAAUACAAGUUUGAUAAGAGUAAAAGCAAGUUUAUUUCAUUACAGAAAAAGGUCACCUGCUAUGAUGGAAAUGUAGAAUAUAAAUUAAUGAGAACCAAAAAAAAAGAAAAUGAAAAGAAAGAAGGACGCCGACACCUAAUACCCAAAAAAAUUGAGAAGUAAACAAAAACCUAAAGUAGCAUCAACUGACGAAUCAGAUAACAAUCAAUAGAACAAAGAGUAUCAUUUCACAAUCGAAUUUAAGCGAUAACGAGACAAUUUCGCAUCAAAACCAGCAAAACCCUAACUAAAUCCCACCCUAUUAAUUCGAAAACAAACACCAUAUAAGCUACGACAUCAAAGGGAAUGAUUCGAAUACCGAGCUCGAAAAGGAGGGGAGCGGAGGUGCUCGAGCUCGCGGCGAACGAAGCGGAGACGGGGAGAGGGGAGGGGGGCUGAAGAGGCGGCGGCGGCCGCGGAGGGCGCCGUCGCGCCGUAUCUGGCGGCGGCGGAGAGGGAUCGCCUGGAAACCCUAAGCAUUUUCUCUUCGUCGUCCUCUCGAGGGUUUCAAGGGUUUGCGAUGGAGAAUGGAGGAGGAGAAUUAGGGUUUUAGGAGGGAGUUUAUGGAGAAAUGGGCUUUGCAGUGGAGCUGCUUAUAAUAUGGGGGGGAGCUUCUGGAUACAAGAAGGGCACGUAGGGUGCGGGGAUCCAACGGCUGCGAUUGUGCGAAACGAUCCGGGCCGAGUUGGGGACUCAGUAGGCUCCGGAAGAGCUGAGAAAUAACAGCCUGCAUCUGUUGGGUAAGGAUAGGGGUGUAAAUGAGCCGAACACGAGUNUCCACGCACCCCCCACCUUCCUCGCCUCCAACCCCGCCAAGGCCGCGCCACGACUUUUUUUUUUUUUUGCUUUUUUCUUUUCUUUUCUUCUCCGACUCUUCUCCACCGUCUCCGACGACGAUGCCUCUCUCGUCCUUCUCGUCCUUCCCCGCCCUUCUCAUCUCUCCCUCUCCCUCAUUCUCUGCCGCCUCCGACGACGAUGCAUUUUCGCCGGCGCCGACGUCGACACCGUGGAGGUCACUGCGGCGUUACAGGCUCGGAGCGGGGGUCCUUAGCGGUGUCGUCGCCGGCACCGUGGCUGUUGGCAGAGAAGGUGACAAAAAAAAAAUAUAGAAAAAACAGAAAAAAAAAAUAAAGAUAAAAAAUUAUAUAAAAAGAAUGAUGAAUAUCAAAUUAUAUCGUUAACUGCAAAAAAAAUUAUAAGUUGCACUAUUUAAGAUGUAAACUGUAGCUUUAAGAUGAAAACUACACUCUUUAAACGAAAAUUACACUCUUUGAAAAAUAUUUACACUAUUUAUCUUUUUAUUACACUCUUUCAGAUGUAAACUGCAUCUAUUAAGAUGAAAGUUACACUCUCUAAACAAAAGUUGCGCUGUUUCUCCUCUUGUUGCACCAUUUUUUCUCUUGUUACACUAUUUUUUAUCUUAAACUGCACCCUUUUAAGAGAUAUUCAUACUGUUUCUCCUCUUAUUGCACCAUUUCUGUGUAAAUAAGAGGAGAAAUAGUGCAACAAGAGGAGAAACAGUGCAAGAAGAGAAGAAACUGCACUAUUUUAAGAGAUAUAUAUACUGUUUCUCCUCUUGUUGCACCAUUUCUGUGUAAGCAAGAGGAGAAAUAGUGCAACAAGAGAAGAAACUGCACUGUUUUAAGAGAUAUAUCUACUGUUUCUUCUCUUGUUGCACUGUUUCUCCUCUUGUUGCACCAUUUCUGUGUAAACAAUAGGAGAAAUAGUGCAACAAGAGGAUAAACAAUGCAAUAAGAGGAGAAACUGCACAUUUUUAAGAGAUAUUUAUACUGUUUCUCCUCUUGUUGCACCAUUUCUGUGUAAAUAAGAGGAGAAAUAGUGCAACAACAGAAGAAACAGUGCAACAAGAGGAGAAACAAUAUAAAUAUCACUUAAAAGGAUGCAGUUUAAGAUAAAAAAUAGUAUAAUUUUCAUUCAAAGAGUAUAAUUUUUAUCUUAAAAUAGCAGUUUACAUCUUAAAUAGUGCAACUUAUAAUUUUUUUUGUAAUUAACGAUAUAAUUUCAUCUUCAUCCUUCUUUUUAUAUAAUUUUUUAUCUUUAUUAUUUUUUUCUGUUUUUUCUAUAAUUUUUUUGUCACCUUCUCUGCCAACAGCUACGGCGCCGGUGACGACGCCGCUAAGGACCCCCCGCUCCGAGGCUGUAGCGCCGCAGUGACCUCUACGGUGUCGACGUCGGAGCCGGCGAAAAUAAAUCGUCGUCGGAGGCGGCAGAAAAUGAGGGAGAGGGAGAGAUGAGAAGGACGCGGAAGGGCGACAGGCGUCGUCGUCGGAGACGGUGGAGAAGAGUCGGAGAAGAAAAGAAAAGAAAAAAGCAAAAAAAAAAAAGUCGCGGCGCGGCCUUAACGGGGUCGGAGGCGAGGAAGGUGUGGGGUGUAUGGACGAGGGCAAGGGCAAGGGCGAGAGCAUGAGGGUGAGAGGCGAGACGGACCGUUUCUGCCUCCGCUCCGCCUCCGCUGUACCGGCGAGAAAAAAAAAAAAGAACGAGAGAAACGAAGAAGAGAGAGAAAGAGGAAAGAAAAAAAGUAAUAAUGGUAUUUUGGUCAGUUUGCUGAAAAAGCAGACCGAAUCUGCAAAAAUGAAAAAGGUGGCCCGAUUUUGCAAAAAUCCAAAAUAAGUGGAUUUUUUAUGCAAAUUGGCCAAAAAAGAAUUCUAACAAGUUGGUUUGCAAAAUCAAAUGUUUGAAAGAUUAAGUAACUUCAUUUAUUUAUUUAUUUAUUUUAUUUUAUUAUAAAAGGGAAUUAUUCGGGGGAAUACUUAAUCGCUUCCCUCCGAAUACCCGAACCAUUUCGCCCUCUCUAAACCCUCUUUCUCUCUCUCUCUCUCUCUCUCUCUCUCUUUCGAUCUCGAUCUCUCCUCCGUCCCCGCGAAUAUGCUCCGAAUCCCUGAGACGGCCGUGUGCAAUAAAGCGCGCGACCAAACCCUAGCCCCGAAAUGGAGGGGGAGAGGAGGGCGAGGAGGCGGAGGAGGAGGAGGAGGAGAUGGGGUGCCGGAGCUCGAAGCCCGAGGAGGCGUCGCCGGUGGUGGCGCUGUGCCGGGAGCGGCGCGACCUGAUCCGCGCAGCCGGGGAGCGCCGCUUCGCCCUCGCGGCGGCGCACGCAGCCUACUUCCGCGCCCUGGCGCGCGUCGGCGCCGCCCUCGACCGCUUCGUCCAGGAGGGCCUCGCCGCCGCGGCGGCGGCGGAGGCGGCCGCGGCGGGGGCGUCGCCCGUGCUCACGCUCCCCCCCUCCGAGGGGAAGGGCAAGUCCAAGCCCAAGAUCGACGGAUCCGAGCGCAAUGGCGACAAUGGCGACAGUGGCGGAGGAGGCGCGGCCUCCUCCUCUUCUCUCCCUUCGAUUUCUCGCUCCGCUUCGCGCGAUUCGCACCUACAUUCCCAUUCGGACUCGGAUCACGGCGAAAUCUCGGAGGAAAAUGGUGGAAUCGAGGUUGGAGCAGGUGGAGUACCACAAGGAGAAGCAUAUGGAGGAGGAGGAGGAGGAGGGUUUUCAUGGUCUAAUCCUUCUUACCCUUUUUAUCCUCCUUAUCCUCCUCCUUAUCCUCCUUCUUAUGCUCCUUUCUCCAAUGUUGGAAAUGUGAUCCCCAAUUACCACUACAUGAAGUCGAGUUCGACGAAACCAACCACAGUGUUCCAAGAACCCUACACUACUUACUCCAAUCAAGCAUUUGUGAGUUACGAUUACGAGGAUAAUUAUCCGAUUUAUGGUUAUUCCAUGGGCUCUACCAUUCCUCCUGUUCAAGAUCAGACUUUUUAUGAGAAUGCGGCACCGGCGAGUCCGCGAAGGGAAGCGAAAUCCACUGCUCCACCGCCGCCGCCGACGGCGGCAGCAGAGGGCUCCUCUUGGGAUUUCUUCAAUCUUUUCAAUUCUUAUGAGCAGUUGUUUCCGGGGUAUGAUCGGAGUGGGUACGCGGCGACUUCGUUGACAAGUAGCCCGAAUUCAAGCGAGGUGAGGGAGAGAGAAGGGAUUCCUGAUUUGGAAGACGAGACGGAGCAAGAGACGGUGAAAGAAGCAGCGAAAGAGAGGAAGGUGACGGGAAGUGACUCAGGAAAGAAGGGUUCCAGUGUUGGGAGUUCAAAAGGAGCCGCGGAACACAAAGAGGAUGAGGUGAAUGAUGAAGUUGUUAUAGAGAAUGAGAGUAUUCACUCCUCGGAAGAUAGCGAAGCGAGAGGGAGUGUAAAGGAGGAGCAGGAGAAGGAGGAAGUACAUGUGACGAAGGUUAAAGGAGUGAGCUUCGAGGACGAUACAUCAUUGGUUAGUAAUGGUAGCCGAGCGAGUAAAGAGAAUGUAAUGUCUGUUCAUGGGACGAGAGACGUCGCCGAAGUGGUGCAGGAAAUAAAGGAACAGUUCAACUACGCAGCGAGUUGUGGUGAAGAGGUCUCGAGAAUUCUCGAGGUUGGGAGGCUGCGCUAUAGAUCGAGGAAUAAGAUUUUAAGAUGUGGGUAUUUCACUUCUUCGACUUUAUAUCUUAAAUAUAUUGCCCACUUUAGUAUGCAUGUAAACUUGCAGAUGUGAUUGAUUGUCCUAAUUUUAGGUUUAAGCCUUUUCAGCUUAAGUUAGAAGCAAGUUCCAUAUUAUUGCAAAACAACAGUUCUAUAGGCGAUAUUCUGAAUUGCGAAUUGAGUACAUUGGCUUUUCUUAUUUAGCACUUGUGCAUCUUUUGCGCAGGAAAUUUUUUUGCCAGUAUUUUUCCUGCGUUUAUUUUAAAGAAAUGCUUCAUUGUCAGAAAAAUAUGCAGAAAAUUGAUUAAAUAUAGUUCAUUGCAGUUAUCUUAUCAAGGAUCUUGUAUUCUAUGUCUCUGCGUUCCGCAACAUCAUCUCGGACAUCGAAGAGCUCUCCACAUUCAACUGGAGAUAUGAAGCAGAAUAUGGCUAUUCAUACAAAUUCCGAGAGGGUGAAUGAUUUUGAGCUUAGCAACCUUACAUCAGUAUUGGACAGGUUGCAUGAAUGGGAGAAAAAACUUUACAAGGAAGUUAAGGUACGUCCUAUAACACAAUUAAGCACUAGUUGUUUGUGUGGUAUGCAGGAUAACCGCUUAAAUGGUUGGAUCAACUGCCAUUUUUGGCCUUUUUCACUCUCUGAGAUUAGUGUUGUGUGCAAAAAGAAGAAUCAUGAAAUUAGUUUCUAAUGACAUUAUCAUGUGACUGUUCUAGGAAGAAGAAAAUCUGAGGGUCAUCUAUGAUAGAGAGUGGAAGCGACUAAAAGCAUUAGAUGAAAAUGGAGCAGAGGCUCAUGAAAUUGAUUCCACUCGGGCUUCAAUAAAGGCGUUGGUGACGAGAAUAAAUAUUGUCAUCAGAUCUGUAAAUGCUAUUUCUAGCAGGAUUCACAAGCUAAGAGAUGAUGAAUUGCAGCCGCAGCUCAUCGAAUUAAUCCAAGGGUAUUGAAAUUUGAAAACCAACCUCUCUUUGUGCAUAUGUUAAAAACAUCAGGUUUCUUCUACAUGUUGAUGUGAAAAUAUAUUAAUAUGAAUCGCAGCUUCUGUUUGGACAGGUUUUAUUUGUUUUCCUUGAACUUCACAAUUUUGUUUUAGCAAAAUAGUAGGGUCCAUUGGGCCGAAGAGUCGUCAUAUAUUUGCUCCUUGUAGUUCCAUGAAAUAACAUAGGGAUAUCUAUGGCUUCAUGGUGACAUUGUGAUUAAGUGCCAUUUUUUCUGCAGACUAAUAAGAAUGUGGAAGUUUGUCCUCGACUGUCAUCGCAAGCAAUUCCAAGCGAUGGUUGAAAGCAAAGCCCAAAACCUAAUACCAAAAUUUGGGGGUCUACGAAGUUCUGCUUCAAAGGCGACGAUAGAGUUAGAGCUAGAGCUCCUGAACUGGGCUUCGUGUUUCAGAGAUUGGAUUCAAACCCAAAAGGCUUACAUCGAAGCCCUUAACGGCUGGUUGCUGAAAUGGCUUCUCCAGGAGAAAGAAGAAACACCUGAUGGAGAAGUACCAUUCUCUCCCAGCCGAAUGGGAGCCCCUCCUGUGUUCAUCACUGCCAAUGAUUGGUGUCAAACCCUGGAAAGGAUAUCCGAAAAUGGUGUAAUAGAUACAAUGCGAGCUUUCGCUAUAAAUGUGCACAGCUUAUGGGAGAAGCAGGACGUGGAGCAGCAUCAGAAGCUGAAAACUGAAUAUCUGUCCAAAGAUUUUGGAAAAAGGCUUAAAUCUGUGCAAAAGGAAUACGGGAUUAAUGGGCCUGUAGAUGUUGAUAAAAUAGCUAUGAUUCUCGCCAGUAACGGGCCGAUCGAUGACCGCAUGGUGGGCUUGGAUGCAUUGAAGAAGAGAUUAGAUGAGGAGAGGGCCAAACAUGAGGAAGCCGUUAAACAAGUCCGAGAGGCGAGCGCGACCAAUUUGAGAGCGGGCCUGAUUCCGAUUUUUGAAGCGUUGGGGAACUUCACUAUCGAGACACUAAAGGGUUAUGAAGGAGUCAGAAUUCCGAAUGUUGGCGGAGUAACUUAAGUAAAAGCUUCAUGUAACCGGCUUUGGCUUUUCUGUCAAGCCGAAAGGUGGAAAAAUCUCUGCUUCUCCAAAUUUUUGCAGCUAAAAGAUCAAAUUUCGCAGUGGAAUUACAUUGAUGAGUUGAACAACUCGUCGGAGGUCACUUUGGUGACGAAAGUUUCAACCUUCUGGUUCAGCAAUAAGCUAUUUCAACGGAUUGAGGAGCUAUUCAGAUAAUAAGUAGAGAAUUACUUGAUUUAUUUUGCGAUUUUCAGGGAGGUGAUUUUCCCCGUGGAACCGGCUUACGCAUAGAAAGAUCGCAUGCUCCAGGAGGCGACAAAUUUAUCGAAACCAGAAGCAGCAGCAGUUGAUUUCUCAGAAGAUAAUGAGCUGUAGAGUGAAGUAGUGAACUAGUUUAGGAAUAACAUUGCUCUGUGCUGUUCUCUAGAUUAUGGCUUUUCAAAUCAAUUUUUUAUCUCUAGCUGUGAGGGGAAUUUUGUCAAAAGGCCCUUGAGGAAGGGGCCAUGAGUUCUUGUCUCUUUUAUUUUUCUUUUCCCCUUGUGAUGUAAAUACAUUUCCAAUCUAUUGCAGCAUCAAUUGUUGUAUGGCUUAUUUGGAGGCAGAUUUUGUGCUUACUGGAUCUGAUUUUUUCUUUCUUUUUUUUUUUCUGUUUUUUGGUAGGGACUAAAUCACCUCAUUUUUUAAACUCGCAUGCGGGGGAUCAAAACCUGAUCUCUUGAUCGAAGAUUCGAGAUACCAACCAACUGUGCUAAACAAUCUGUCUAAAUUGAUCUCGCUGUAGUUUCGGGGGAACAAUCAUGUUACCCACGAAUCCGGAGACUAAAUCACCUCAUUUUCUAAACUCACGUGUGGGGUUCAAAACCCAAUCUCUAGAUCAAAGAUCCGGGAUACCAACCAACUGCGCUAGACAGUGUAUCUGAAUUUGAUUUUGUUGUAGUUUCAAAGAGUUAAAUCACGUUUCCCAAGAAUUCGAGGACUAAAUCACCUCAAAUUUUUUUUUUUUACACUCCCAUGCAUGGAUCAAAACCCGAUCUCUUGAUCGAAGAUCCGGGAUACCAACCAACUUUGCUAGGCAGUGUUUCUGAACUAAUCUUGUGGUAGUUUCUAUUGCAAGUUAUGGCUGUAUCUCCAGAUCUUCUAUGUCAAAUGUGUUGUGAACCUGCUCGACUGAUCGAAUUGAAUGGAAUAAGAUUUUUUUAAAAAAUUACCAAUUAGGGUGAAAUAAUAUAGGGAUGAGAUUUAUAUCAUUCACGCAUAUUUGGUGUAACAUCGGACACAUAAUGGUAUGCUCAAAUUAUUAGUGCAAAAUACUUGAGUUCAAUGGUUGGCAUUGAAAUCAUAGUUGGAUCAUCUAACCCUAGGAGUGUAAAUGAGCCGAACAUGAGCGAGCUGGGUCGGCUUGUGUUCGACUCGCUUAAUAAACGAGCCGAACACGAGCUAGCUCGUUAAAGUAUCGAGCUACAAAAUUCAGCUCGUGUUCGGCUCGUUAAUAAACGAGGCGAACACGAGAUGGCUCGUUAAAGUAUCAAGCUACAAAAUUCAGCUCGUGUUCGGUUCGUUAAUAAACAAGCCGAAUACGAGCUGGCUCACGAGCUGCCCAACGAACAAUAAGUUAAAAGGAUUAGAUUGAAUAUAUAAAAAAAAUAAAUUUAUAAAAUCUUAUCCGUUAGACUUUGAUCUAAUAGUUGAAACUUUAUAUAUAAAUGAGUUUUUUUUUAUAAUUGAGUUCGCCUUUAUAUUUUUAUUUUGCAAAAAAAUAAAUAAUAAAAAUAUAUAUUAUAUAUAUAAUUAUUUAUUUAUAUAUAUAAAUAUAAAUUAAAUAAAUUAUAUAAAUAUAAAAUAUAUAUAUUCGAGCUAUUAUCAAGCCGAACACGAGCGAACUGACCUCAGCUCGUGUUCGGCUCGUUUAUUAAACGAGCCGAAAAAUUCACCUCGUGUUCAGCUCGUUUACUAAACGAGCGAUUCGAUCUCGAGCUCAUUUCGAGCCGAAUACGAGCUGACUCGCGAACAGCGAGCUGGAUUGCCACCCCUAGGUAAGGCUCGGUUGGGUGAAAAGGCGCAAUGGGAAAGUAAAAUUUAAAAUAAAAAAAUAAUUUAUUUUAUAAAGAAAUAUUAUGUUAUGUAGAUUAUUAUAGUUAUUAUAAUAAUUUGGCUCAUUUACAUAAAAAAAAAAAAUUAAUAAAAUUUAUUUUUGAAAUUUUAUAGACUCAUACCAAAUUUUAAAAAUCAAAAUGAUCUUAUUAUUUUUCCUCAUUCCUUUUCCUUAAUUUCCUCCUCCCUCUUAUGUCCUUUGACACCACCGUCGUCUCAUUCCUUUUCCUUUUUUUCCACUGCCUUCCUCUCCCUUCUCCUCCUCCACCGUCACUGUCGCAUAUCAGGAACGCAAACACGAGAGCGAUGAUCUUAGAGGGGUUCCCCCUGAUAAUAGCGGGGCGACGGUCGAGAAAGUCUAGGUUGCGCUGACAAUAACAUGCAGAUGAUGGAGGAGAAGGGAGACAAAGGGGGCAUCUAUGUCGUUCUUUUUCUUAUUUCAUUAUAUAUUAUGUCCUCAUUUUUUUUAUUCAUUAUGUAUUGUACUAUUUGAUAAGUGCAAAAAAAUUAUAAAAUAGUGCAGCAUUCUAUCAUAUAGUGUAACAUUAAAAAUUUAACUUUAUGUUGCACUAUUUUUAUGGUCUAUAGCACUAGUCAACGAGUAUAACAUAUAGUCAAAUAGUACAAUAUUUUUCUUAAUAAAAAAAUAAAGAAAAUAAAAGAAGCAGAAGAAGGAGGAGGACAUUGAUGUCUCCUUUCUCUUCCUUCUCCUACUUCCUCUCCUCCUCCUCCUCCUACUCCUCCUUUUCCACCAGCUCUAACACCCCGUCACGCCCUGUCGCCUCGAAUUGCAUCACUACCCACACUCUCACCUCAGUGUUCCAUGUCACAUUCUAGCCUGUGUUGCUGCCGUCACCGUCACCAGCAGCGGAGAUGUAGGCCAUGUCCAGACGAUGGCAAUGUGUGGACAGUGGAGGAAGAGGAGGGAGAAGAAUUGAGUGGAGAAACAAAGAAAAGAAAGAGAACAUAGGUUUUUUGGUCUGUUUCUCAAAAAUUGAUUCGAAACUGCAAAAUUAAAGCAGACGGUCGAAUUUUGCAAAAAUGCAAAACUAAUAAAUUUUUUUAUGCGAAAAGGUCAAAUUUUUUUAAGAUAAUGAAUUUUGCAAUUCUACUAAAAUAUGGAGAAGCAUAAUUUUAUUUUUUUUAUAUCUUAGGCUAUUUUAGCCUAGUAAUAACGACAAUCACAUCUCAUGUACUAUAUUUCUUCUACCUAUGAUAAAAGCUUAAAAACCAGAGUCAAACUUUUUAAGUAUACAUCGCAAUUUAAAACCUCUCUAUUUAUGUUGUGGUAGCUACACCUUAAUAAGAUUUAAAUCUAAAUUUAAAUUUGAAUCCUAGGAAAUGCAAGACUUACAAAAGUACAAAAAACAUGCUAUUACCUAAGGGGUACUACAGAAUGGUGUAGCGAAAAUAUCCAAGAAUGCAUAUAUAUAAAAAUAAAUUAAAUAAUGGUGCAAUAUAAAUCACUAUUACUGAUGCAUACUAUUUGGAGUUGUGUCAUCUCGAAGCGUAGUCUAUUCUUGGUUUACUAUCCCAUCCUAUUUGUAAAAUAAAUUAGGCAUACAUCCUAGAUAAUUAGAAUACCAUCUUAGAGAGCUAACAAUUAAUUAAUUGAUUUAAAUAUUCAGUAGUGAUAUAUAUUGUACACUUUUCAAAUAUGGUAAUGAAUAUGUAUUGAAUGUGUCUAUGCAAUAAUAUAAAUGAAAUCAGUCCCAACAAAUAUGAUUAGUACUAAAACAUCUACAUAUACCUCUGAUAUCGACAAUAAUCGUGAGCAUAAUAUCUGAAUAGCUCUAAUACCUCAACCUAGACCAACUAUUAAAUGCAUUUCUCAUCCAUGCUUCUGACCUCCAACAUCGAGUGUUACUCUAAAUUAAAUAACUUAUUAUAAGUACCUAAUCAAACUAGGAGUAUGUUAUUCAUUCUUGCUGAUACUAUCUGAGAAGUACUUCUCUGGUCUAUAUGUACCCAGCUAUCCUGAUAUGCACCGAUUAUAAAAAUUGAUAUGUUAUAGAGUGUUGCUUAGCAUAGCCCCUCAAGAUCUUACUCGUACCCAGCUAUACUAUAAUACGGAUGUUAAGAUAAGAUUUAACCCUAUCACUCAUGGUAGAGUUAGGUCACGUCCUAGCCUACUAAAUUCGGCGUACAUCAACUCACUGUAUCUUACGCUAAAUCUCCACUCCACGGCUCUUGACGAUGGCACUGUCACCAAUAAAAUGUUGGUUUGAUUGUCCCUGGCUCACCCGAUAACCAUAUACACCGCUAUCUCGAGUCUUCAACUUGCCAUAAAUUCUUGAACCUCUAUUCGACAUUCAUCACACACGCAUGCGCGCGCGCACACACAAAGAACUAGGCCAGAAUACUUCUAAUAGCACCAAAUCAUUGGUGCAUACGAGUUUUUGGCCCUUGGAUCAAAGGGUUGUGGGAUUAGGAUGAUAGUAGUCUACUUGGGUUCAGUAAUAAUUGGUGAAAUAACGUGACUUAAUGGAUAGAAAUAGUCAAAGGAGUAGAUUUAAUAGUGACAAAGUUAAUAGCACUGAGUACUUGUGCUAUUAAAAACACCUCACCGCGGCUACCACACACUAUUCCUUUACAAAUAGUUAAAGAAGUUGCUUGGUUUUUUGAAAAAGAGAAAUGCUAAGUCUACACUUUGGGGGUUGUAAUUUUUACAACCCUCAUCCAAAGGACCAAAAAGAUUCACCCCAACACUUCUCGGUUUUAGUUUAACAAAAAAAAUGAUGAGACUUGUUCUUACAUACUUACAUUACAACCCUAAAAUGCUUGUUAGGGGUUGCAGCGCUUUCUGAAAAUUAUGAGGUAAAAUUGCAUAAAACCACCCUCAAUUAUAUGUCAGUUUGAAAUUGCCUCAAGAAUUAUGUUUUCUUUUUGAAUUGAUACAUCCUAUAAAUUUUUUUAAACCAAAAAAUUUGGGAUUAUAUCAAAAUAUCUUUGAUAAUUUCUUCAUAUUUGACAGUUUUGAUCACUUUUUAUAUUUCAAAAUAAAGUAGAAGAUGUGCUAAAGUGAAGGAUGUUAGCAAAAAUUAACGACAGUGAUAAAGAUAGAGGUGUAAUUCCGUGUCGAGCCGUCACAGUCCACAUUGACCAGCCAGGCAUAACCCGGUUUCUGAUCUGCACGGUCUUUUUUUACAUUCUUGGCCCAGCACGGCCCUCCAGCCCAGAUAGCACGAGCAACGCCGGGCCAGGCCGGACUCCGGGCCGGCCCUUUAUUUUCCUUAAGUUUUCUAAAAAUAGAUAAAAUUUUAAAACAUAAAAAUUAAUAUUUUGAUAAAAACAUAAAAUUUAGAAGAAUAUUUAGAAAAACAAUAAAAAAUUAAAUAUUUAUUAAAACUAAAAUAUUAAAAAAAAUUAACAAAUUUUGGGCCAAAAUAUUCUCCCAACACUCAACAAUGAGGCCGGGUUGGACCAAAACUCCGAAGGUCAACUAGGAGAAGCCCCGUAUGGAUCGUUAAAGAAGUUGCUUGGUAACUGAAAAAUUAUGAGGUAAAAUUGCAUGGGACCCCCUCAACUAUAUGCCAUUCUGAAAUAGCCACUAGAAUUUUGUUUUCUUGAAUUAACACCUCCUAAUUUUAUUUUACAUUUUUUGGUAAUUUGAUGUUAACCAAAAAAACUAGGGAUUAUAUCAAUAUAUUUUUGCUAAUUUCAUCAUAGUUUUGACCACUUUUCAGCUAAUAAACUGAAUUUGUUAACUGAUUCUAGCUAAUUGAGCCAUUAAUUUUUAUUAAUUUUUUAUUAAAUGAUUAAAAUAAUUAAAAAAAAAUAGAACUUAUAUAAAUGUAAAUUAGAAAAAUGGGAAAACUUCAAAAACCACCCCUGUGGUUUCGCACUUCUUCACUUUACUACCCUGUGGUUUGAAGUGUAUCAAUUUAGCACCAUGUGGUUUCGCACUUUCUCACUUUACUACCAUGUGGUUUAAAGUACAUCAAUUUAGUAUCCUGUGGUUUCUUUUUUCUUUUUUCGUCGGCUCCUCUGUUAAUAUUUUAUUAAAUUAUAUAUAAAAACUUCAGAUACCCUAUCUAGGUUUAUCGAAUAUUUACUUUAGUACCCUUUUGUUUUAACUUUGUCAAUGACUUUUUUUUCCUCCGUUAAUAUUUCGUUAAAUUAUAUACAAAAAAUCUCAGAUACCCUACCUAGGUUUAUCGAAUAUUCACUUUAGUACCCUUUAAUUUUAAUUUUGUCACUAAUUUAACAAACAAAAUUAGUGAAAUGGAUAAUAAAAGAAGAAAAAUAAAACUGCAGGAUACUAACUUGAUACACUUUAAACCACAUGGUACGAACGUGAGAAAUUAAGUAUGAAAUCACAGGGGCUAACUUGAUACACUUUAAAUCACAGGGUACUGAAGUGAGAAAGUGUGAAACCACAAGGGGAUAUUUGAAGUUUACCCUAGAAAAAUUAAAGUUGGGGGGUCUAUUUUAUGCUCCUAUUGAAAUUGCGGAAAGAUUACAUUAUAUGUGGCAUGAAAGUGUGAUAAAAAUAUAUUCUAUUUAUCUUCGUACGUAAUAUUGCAGUUCGUACACUGCACGGUUCAACCGAAAAAUGCAAAAUCAUAUCUGUAAAAACUUUCGCUCUAAUUCCAUUUUACCUACUAAUAUUAGAUAGACCUCAAUGCCGAACGGGCCCUUAGAAUGGCCUGAAGUUGAGUAAAUACACAAAGCUAUAGAAUUUUUUGGGAGUUCCACUCCUCUUCUUUUUUUUCUUUUUUUUUUUUUGAGAGAUAGGUAGCACGCUACACGCUUCGUUUAUUUUAUUUAGAAAUAAACUUAACUAGAAAUGCGAAUCAACUAGGAUUUGAACUUGGGUCUCGGAUAUCAACCACCAAGCCUUUUGCCACUUGCUUUAGGGACGGUCGGUUGAAAAGAGGAAUGAUUUAAGCCCGAUUUUUUAGAAAAUAAAAUAUGUGACUAGUUUAAGAGUUUUUCAAAAAAGAACUAAAGACCCAAUAUAUAUACGUUAAUACUUUUAAAAUAUCUAAUAUACUGCUAAAUUGACCAAAAUACUUUUGUUGAUUUUUCAAAAAAAAAUUUCAAAUAUAUUUCUAACUCCAGGAUUUAUUAACAGGUUUAAAAGAUAUAAGAUUCACAUCCUAGCUUCUCAAAAAUUAGAAUUUACCUAUUUAUCUUAUCAAUUUUUUAAUACUAAAAAUUUUUUUAAAAAAAUAAAUUCUUUAUUCAUGAGAUGUAUGAUUUACAUGCACAAUAUUAUGUUUUUUUUUUAAAAAAAAUGGUCAUAGUUAUGUGUCGGAUUUUAAUUGGCCUAAUCCUUAAACUCCUGUGAGAUAGGAAGAUUAUGGGAACAGAAAAGUACAAUAUGCUUUCGAACGCGAUUCAGAAAAUAGUGUUUUUUUUUUUUUUUUUUUUUGGAGAGAUAGGUAGCAGUGUAGCACGCUAUGCGCUUCGUUUAUUUCAUUUAAAAAUAAAUUUAGCUAGAAAUGUAAAUUAACUAGAAUUCGAACUUGAGUCUCGGGUACCAAUCACCAAGUCCUUUAUCACUUACUCUAGGGACUGUCGGUCGAUUCAGAAAAUAGUUAGUAUCUAAUAGUGAGUACUAUUAUGGGACUGAAUACGUACGGUUGCGUAAUUGAAGCGUGUCAUUUGUUGUUUGACCACUACUUUGUGCGGUAGAUGAUUUGGCCAUUUCUGAGAUUAAUUUAAAGUGGUCUAAACUAAACACCCCAGUGGUCCUGCACCCAGUAAUUAUAUAUAAAAUAAAAUAUAGAGUUUUGACUGGUGUGCUUUUAGUACCACCAAGCACCUAGUGCUAUUAAUUUUUUCAUUAUUAGAUUUACCACUUUGACCAUUUCUCUCUGCUAAUCAUAUUAUUUAAUCAACCACCUACCCUACCCUAGGGGACCACUAUCAUUAUAAUCGCAUAUCUCUUCGUCCAAAGGCCGAAAAUCUAAUAACACCAAUGACUUUGUGCUAUAUAUUAAAAGCAUUCCAGCUUAACUCUAUAAAUAUAUAUAUAAUAAUUAUUAUUUACAGAGUCCGGCUACUAUACUCUUAUGAGUACGAUAGCCCUCGUACUCAUAAGUCGUUUUCGAUGAUAGAGUUUCCAAAUCGAUGAUCCAUACCGUUAAACAUUAUCUAGAGUAUUUAAAACUUUCAGAAAUCAAAUUUCAUAGUUUUUCUACAUCAUUUACCUUACGAUCAAAAGCUCAUAAAAUUGACAAUUUUAACGGCCGGUAUGGGAUAUUUGCUAGUUUAACUAUGUAAAAGAAUUGGAAUAGAUUGACUUUUUGAUAGAAAAUUUUAUUCACUACCUAGAUAAAGAUCAAUAACUUCGAUCUUAAAUUGAAGGAUCCGAUCAUCCAUUUUUAGGAUGUCGUUCAAUUUUGACCAUUCAUUUUAUACCCGUUUGAUGGACUUUAUUAUGAUUUCGAAAAAUUACAAAAUUUAUUUUUUAGAAGUUUCAAAUACUCUAGAUCAUAUUUAACGAAAUGGAUCGUCGAUUAAUUCGAAAGCCUCAUCAACGAAAACAACUUAUGAGUACGAAGGGCUCUAUUCUCAUAAGAGUAUAGUAGAGCACUCUACUCUUAUUUACAUACUAUUAAUAGUCCUUCAGCACAACUAUAUAUAUAGUUUACAUGCUAUACUAUUGAUAUUAUGUGAAUAUACAGUGUUCACUAUAUAUCAAUUUUUUCAUCCUUGUAUUAUUAUUAUUCCAUCAAUCGCCACUAAAAUCUAUGCAUCAAAGGGUCAAAAGGUUGAUAAUAAACAUUAUUACCAUACUAUCAAAAUAUUCCAACCGUACACUCUCUCUCUUCGGAUGUUUCAGUAUUGAAAAUAACUUAUAAACACGGUGAUCUCCGUACCUUCGAAAGUGUCGGAACCUCUCUCUCUCUCUCUCUCUCUCUCUCUCUCUCUAUAUAUAUAUAUAUAUAUAUAUAUAUAUAGUUGAGCUAGAAUACUAUCGAUAGCAAAUGGGCUCCAUUGCCACCUAUUUGUUUUUUAUGAUAGAGUCUCCAAAUCGACGAUCGGCACCGUUGAACAUGAUCUAUACCACUUGAAGUAUUUAGAAAUCAAAUUUCAAAUCUUUUCGAUAUCAUUUGCCUAAUGAUCAAAGGGUUUCAAAAUUUAUAAUUUUAAUGGUCGAUAUGAGGCGUUUUCUCGUUUAACGGCGUAAAGAUAUCCAAAUUAAUUAAAUUUUUAUUAGAAAAUUCUUUAAACUAUUUAAAAUAAGAUCUAUACUCUUGAUCUUGAUUACAAGACUCCUAUCAUCAUUUUUUAAAGAAUAUUCAUUUUCAGCCAUUCAUUUUUAUGUCCACUCGAUGGAUAAGAGAAUAAUAUCGGAAAUGUAUAAAAUUUGAUUUAUAAACACUUCAAGUGAUAUAGAUCAUUUUCAACGGUGUCGAUCGUCGAUUUAGAGACUCCAUCAUCGAAAACAAAUGGGUGGCAACGAAGUCCGUUUGCUAUCGAUAGUAUUCUAGCUCAACUCUCUCUCUCUCUCUCUCUCUCUCUCUCUCUCUCUCUAUAUAUAUAUAUAUAUAUAUAUAAAAUACAAAAUAAAUUCGGGUUCAGGUCGGAUUCGAGUUCGGGUUCGGGUCGGGUACGGUCAAAAUCCAUAUCCGUCGGAUUUCUAUUUUUGAUAUCCAUAUCCGAAUCCAUAUCCAUUUAGUAUCGGAUAUAUCCGUUUCAUUCGGGUUCGGAUUCAGAUAAAAUUUCGGGUAUCCAUACCUAUUGACAUCCCUAACCUCCGCUGAGGGAAAGAAUCUGUUUCAGCGCUAUUGUAGCGCAGAACAUGUUUUCGAGUUCAUCAAGUAAUCAGAAAGAACAAUUCUAGGGCACACUCAUCACUAUACAUUAGAUGGAGAAAUAAGUAAUACAAAGACUAUCUAAACUGUUCCUUUUUCGUCGACACCUGCGUUUAUUGUCAGCUAUUAAUCUCUUCCAUCUUUUCUACAGCUUAAGUGGUUAAAACAAAACACAACAAUAUACAGCGAAAGUUGGUGUUUCCUAUUUACGAAGAGUUGAGCGUCGGAGAAGCAGGUGAGGACGAUGAGGAGUGUGAGUCGGGGGCCGGGUUGGAUGAUAAAGGAGGUUGCCCUUGCGAUCGGCUUCUGAAACUUGGUGCGUCAAUAGAAGGGGCCGGUCGUGGAGGUUGGGGGGGCUGGUAAUACUUGUGCCCCUCGUCGGCUAGUUUCCUUAGUAUGUUCAUUACUGUCGGAAGAAACCUUGCUGACAGAGCUAGAAGUCCAGAGAGCUGCGCAAAAUAGUCGACAACAUAGGAGAUUUAUCAAAACCCAACUAAAAAUAAGACAUAAUUGAUCAUACCCGAGUGGUAUAACACGAAACAAAAUUAGAUGUUUGUUUUUGAUUUGACCAGAUUCAAUAUUCCAAUCCAUCUAGUAAGCAAAGGAAAAAUUGCAGCUCAGGGCUUGAAUUUCGUUUUAGAAACAAAAUAAAACAUAUGUUUUGUGGUUAAAAUUAGCAGCAAAGUCUAUUCAUGCAUACGAUUUUAUGGUACUUUUAAAGUAUGAUUAAUUACUCAUCAUUAUCUUAGUCCUUUAUAACUAUUAUUUAUAAGAGACAUACAAGCUAAGCUAACAAAAAGUUUGUUUCCAAAAGAUGCUGGGUACCUGUGAUGUUUAUGUAGUCGUUUUCUCAUGGAUAGUAGUAUCAUUUAUUAGGAAGUAAUAGAAAAUCCUCAAAGUCAAAAAAAAAAAAAGUGAUUAAGAUAUCAUUAAUCAACAAUAUCAAAUUGUGUACAGCAAAUAUAGAAAUGAAAUUCUGCUUACCAUGCCGCGCCGAAAUUCUUCAAGGAUAUUGAAUUGUAACACCACGGCAUAGGAUACAAUGAAAAGAAGAAAGAGUCCCAAGAUGUACACUGGGUUCCUGUUCAUCAGCAAGAAGAACAGGAUAAAAUUAUCAGGCUUUAUCCCAAGAAGGAAUGUACAAACACACGUGACGAAUAAAUGAAGAUUCACAGUUAUAUCUCUGCAAAAUAAUAUAUUUACAAAUACACCACUGUGGAAACAGAAAAUUCAUUUAUACCUCUUGGAGAUCCAGUUUCUACACAAAAUAACCUUACCUUAGGUAGGGUAGUUAUCUGAUUCAUGGAGAGAAUUUAUUUGGUCUUUUAGAUUAGUUUCUUUGAUGGGCAUUUCUGUUGGUACAAGGGCAUAGUAAUUAAGUUUUUGAACAACAUAUACAGCAAUUCAGAUUUUGCAGAGGUAGUAUAUACACUAAUAGAUAUUUUUGUUAGGGUAUUUACAUGCAAAUAUCUCUAAAUAAUAAUACUAAGCCAAUAAAAAGUGAAAAUGAACUAAACAACAGAAUAGAAAGACUUAUCUCUCGUAGCACAAAAUUACCUUAGAAGCAUCAUAAAUUCGUUAAAACCGAGGAUUGCAAUUGCGACGAUCGCCCAAGGAGGAGGCAACCAAUUACUACUCCGUCUGUGAGCUUCCUGAAUCAGGCCAAAAAAGGGAGAAAAAUAAAAGACAGAGUAGAAGCAGAGUAUAAGCAUCAGAACUGUGCUGCUUCUGUUCUAACAAUGUAUGUGUUGGUAAUAUUCACUCAAAUGAACUUUCAGAGUAUAUUUAACAUUCAACUAUUUAGAUGAACUAACCCUCUGACACACAAAGUAAAAGCCUGUAAAGGAGACAGCUAAAAAAUUCAAGAUGGACCGGCUUUACCUUACUGAGUAAUCCCCAAAAGUUUAUAGAAACAAAACGAGGCAAAAAGAAAGGGAAAAAGCAAACCAUACCUGUGCUGAGAUUGCUUGGGUGAUGGUGUACUCAGUUUCUGAUUUAAAUUGCCUCCAAAUGGACUUGCACUGCACUGGAGUAAUUAAUGUAUUCCUAGGUGGUAUCUGAGAGAAACGAGCAUAAAUUAUGCUUAAAUUUCAUAUAAAUCUUAAUUGUGGAACAAAAAAGUGAAAAACAGGUUGUAAUUAUGCACUACCUCUUCCCAUGUGCUUGAAGCGAGAAGGUCUGUAGAGGCUUCAAUACUCCUACUUUGAGAGACGGGACCUUGUUCUAAUAGACUCGAGCUGAGAGCAUUCUCUAUCUUGUCUGGUUUAUCAUCUAAGCGUAUGGCCGCAAAUACAGCUAAGAGUUUUAGGGCCUGCACAGGAUUGCCAUGCUCUACAAUCAUUUCCAUGGACGCAAGCAGGCGAAUAUAAAAACACCACCCAAAUUGUAUGUAUUAACAAAUAUGUUCCUGAACUUCCUUUUUUCUUCCUGUGAUAUUUGAUGCAAAUCGUUAAGAAUAGCCUAAUUCUCUGUACAUCAAGUUUGUCAGGGGAAUUCAUAUCCUAAAAUCUAAAGUUAGGGGAUCUGUAUUCAAAUGACACGUAGCGUGCAAACGACUGCAUAUUUUACGUAACAAAAGAUACACUAUCCUAGAAAAUAUCCAUAUAUCAGUAAUUGAGGUAUGUAGUAUUCUUAAUACCGCUGAACGUGCUUCCUUUGUUAUCGCCCUAAUAUCUUCCUUCCCAGUCCAAACCCUUGGUAUUGAGUCCUUAUCAUGGUUAAAUACAGUAGAAAACCUGCAAAAGAUCCAAUAACAAGUGUCAAAUUAUGAGAAACAACCGUAUUUCUCUAAAAGCAUAAACUAUGAGAGAAUGAUAUUUUUAAUAUUUGUAUUCUACACUUUCCCUCACGUCUGGUUUCGAGGCUUUUUGAUAGGCCCAAGACGUUGACUUGGAAUAAAUGGGAGGAAAUUAAAUGAAACUAGGAGCCUAGCAAGAUUUGCACUCAAGACCUUCUACUCUAGUACAAUGUCAAAUUACUUUUAGAGAAAUAUGGUUGUUUCACAUUCUUUAACAACAACAAUAAGAAAAUAAAUUGUGGAAAAAGUGAUAAGAAGUAAAAUCUAAGUAAUAAUUACUACCUAUCCUUCAUAUGUAUCAGAACCUUCCCUGCUUCAUCUCUAGCUUUCUUUUCUAUCACACCUCUAGCGAAUUCCUCUAAGUUUUGGAUCAUCGUGUCGUGAGUAGCCUGAUCAAGUUCAAACCCAGAAAGGGAACUCGUAAAAUCAGAAACGGCUUUUUCUGUCUCGCGCCUGUAAAGGUUCCUAAUUGAAGCCCAAGUAUCAUCUCCAGCUGCUUCUAGAAGUGACUCAACAGGUCCUGCCAGUGCUUCUGUUAAUUUGCUCUGCAAAAAUAAAGGGUGUAUAACACAUGUAUCCCUCUGGAAAACGAGAGUUUUCAUAGAUGCCCUUUGAGAAGAAAACUUAGGAAAAGAUAUGAAGGGCACUGCUAAUAUUAAGCCCAAGAAGGGCAAGCUGAAUUGUCCUAAAGGGAUUUCGACAUGUUAAAAAGGCAUUUAUGAAACUGUAAUUGGUUAGGAAGAAAAAGUGAAGAACCUCAGAAGAAGCUUUUAAUUUAGCUAGUUUUGCGGUUCGAACAGAUGCAGCAUGGGAGUCGAUAUCACGCCUGAGUUUGUCCCUAACUUUGGAAGCAUCCCAAUCUGCUUGCUCAACAGUCACAUCUAGACACAGCAAAUAUAUAUAUAUAUAUAUAUAUAUAUAUAUAUAUAUAUAUAUAUAUAUAUAUAUAACAGGUUGUUAAUUUACUUGCCUAGAAUAAAAUGCAUAAAAGUUUCUUUAAUGAAUUUAAUCUUCAAUAGGAACAAAUACCUUCUAAUCCUCUAUCAAACUCAAGCAAAGAAGCCCGAGUACAAUCACGAACUGCUGCUGCAAACGCCUUCCCACUUUUCAAUGACUGUUCUAAAUCAUUUUUGAAUUUCUCCAAAGCUUUGGAACGGAGGUGUCCCAACAUUGCCGUGAAAGUGGAAUGCACAUACUGCAAAAAGAGGGCAAAAUGGAGAAGUUUAGAUGAAAAUUAAUAGCUUCCAACAGAAAGACAAGCAAAAAGGAAAAAAAAAAAAAAAAAAAAAAAGGUAAAACUGUGUUGGCAUAAAUUUACUAAGAAAUUCAAAAUCACUCUCACACCGUGUCAUUCAUCAAAGUCAAUCCCAGUAAAUUACCUAUUAUACGGUCAAAAAAAGGUAAAAUAGCUGUAAGUUUUACUUAUUCAAGUAGAAUCCUACUUGUAUGAAAUCAUUUAAGCCAGAAAAACCAAAAAGCUUAAAUGAAAACUUCCUCCAACUAUAUUGCCUUAUCCUGCAAAUUCACAAAAUUUCCAUGGUUCAACAACUGAUGUUCGAUAAACAGAAUAUCACCAAUCCUAACAUGUUUCACUAAUUUUCUUUUCAGUUAGAAAUACAAACUCACUUUUAAAAAAUAAAUAUUUAAAAUAUUAAUACUUUUUAAAUACUAAUAAUUUAUCAAGUAAGAAAGUGUAUUGCCCUCACAUUCAAGGCUCCAGAUUCCAACUGCUCUCUUUUUGCGGUCCUAACGCCUUCAUCAAAGUAGGCAGCUUCCAUGUCAUACCUACAAGAAAAUAUACAUAAAAAUCAUACCAAAUAAAGAAAGGAAAUUAGCCGUAUGGAAAAGAAGCAAUUUACGAAAAAAUAGAACCAACUAUAAUUUGAAGGUCUGAAGAGCUCAUUAUGCUUUAGUUGACUUUGUCACCAUGAAAAAAUGAUUAACAAGAGAGUUUUACUUCCAACAUGAUCUCUUGAUGCAUAGAAUUUCAAUAUUUAAAUGAGAAUCGCAUGCAGAAAUUUGAGACCCACUCUGAUAGGUAAAAAUCGAGGAUGGAGCUAAGUUUUCUCCCAAAGCCUGCUACUCGACCAGAUUGAACAGCUGUUUUCAACUCCAACCAAUUCUACAUAUUCCAAAGAUUACAUUAGCAAAAUGCAGAUCCAAAAAAAAAAAAAGAAAAAAAAGGUAGAGAACCAGAUUACAAAUGCGUAAUGUAAACCUCAUCAGAUGCCAAACGACCAAGCUUUUCAUUUGCAAUCUCUUCACACCGAACAGUAGCAACCAUAACCUACAGAGACAGAAAAGAAAAAGGCAAAGAGGGAGAGAAGAGUAAAUAAGAAGGCUAACAUGAAUAUUCCCACCCUGGAAAUACCGUGAUUUGCACUUUACUCCCCUUAAUAAUCAAAACCUACACUUAAUAAUCAAAACCUACAAUUAACCACUAGUUUGCAAACUUUGGUGUUUUAGCCCAUUCUAUGGAGAGAGGGCGCAGGAUUUUCUAAUACACUAACAGAUCAUCAGUAGAUCCUCGAGAUGCGUACAGUGCAAAUCGUGAUAUGUCCAGAUGGAUUUUCAGUAUUUCAUACUACUCAAAAUUUAAGAAUAACCUUGUGAGCAGGAAGGUCAAGGUCCUUAUUUUCUCUUAUGACGGCCCAAAUCUGCUGUGCACUAAAAGAAAAUGCUGAGCCUGGUAUAACACCUCGCCUGUCACCUGCAAGGCCUCUUGGAGCAAUUGAAUUGAAAAAGCGCUGCCUUAGCUGCGCAACCUGUAGAAAAUAGAUUAUAAAAGAAAAGAAAUUCAUAAGAUCUUCCACCAAAUGAAAUAUUAAUGACACAUUUAGUUGAUUUCCAAAGGAUGAUUGUACUCCAAUUGACAUUUUACUCCCUAUUUAUUGCGUGCGGUGAACAAAAUAAGAUGUUAAGGGUAUCACAUUUAAUUCUCAACUAUUUGCAAGUGGUCGAUAUUAUGAUUGCCGCCUUAAGAUAGAACAUGAUAUGUCAAUUACAAUACUUGCUAUAUACCUGCUCUUUGAAUUGCUCUUCCUUCUCUUCAUAACUGGGCAAAGCAGUAACCUCCACCUUUUACAUUAGAAAAGUAAGUACUCAGAAUUCAUAAAGAAUAUUACAACUGCUUGAUUACCAAACCAAAUUACUCACGUUGAAAAAUUCACUCAGUGCAGUUUCCUUGUGAGCUUCUGGCUUAGAAAUAGAACUCCAGAUCUGGAAAAAGAAAUAAGACACCAAUGUCACUGCAAGCAAAAAAAUGAGGAUUCUUAAUUUAACCAAAAAAAAAAAAGCAUAUGAAUUGCACCUUUUGAAUGUCUUCCCUUAGCACUGGCUCUAGAUAUUUCAUGGGAGUCUACAGAAAAGACCAGAUAUAAAAAUUUGAAGCAGAUAUUUGGUUGGGAGACAAAGUGAAGAUAUAAUUCUAAGAAUUAAUCAACUACCAAAAGUUAUAAAACCUUAGUUUUGUCACGAAUGACAAAAAGCAGCGUAGUCUUGCGAGGACUAAACAAACGCAUCAUAACCUACAAAAAUAAAAUACAGUAAUAAUUCAACAAAAUGUCGCCAACGACAAUAGAAUUGUGAGCCUUCUGGGUACCAAAAAGAAAAAAAGGGGAAAGAAAACCUGAAAAACCGUCUUCAAGAGAGGUCUAUUAGCAGCCUGCUCUCGGCCUAUGUCAUGACACCACCUGCACAAAUUCGAACAACGAUAAGAAGAGCAAGGCCAUCUGAAAAACCAGCAGUUCUACAGUGAAAAUAGCACUGAAGAAUGGAGAGAGGUUAGCUACAAAACAGUAAUCAACUCACAUAUUAAUCAUAACAAUGUCUGAAAUUGCUAGAGCAAAGAGCGAGAUUUGCUUUUCAAAUGUAGUAUCAUCCUGAAAAUGAAAUAUAAUGCAGCCAUCAAAUAUUACUCAAAAUUAUGUCACACAAAGGAAAAGAAAUAACGCAGCCCUGUGUUAAAUAAUAGUGAAUGCCAAAAUCAUUAGAAAAGGAAAGAGAAAAACUGCAAAUGAGGAUUAAACCUCUCCUCUUUCUCUACUAUCUGUACCCUCUAAAUCCAUGACGAUUGUACAAGGCUCGAUACCAAUACCCUUUGCUAUCCAAAUGCCUUUAGUUGUUUGGCUCCUGCAUGGCAAGAAAUGCAACAUGCCUCAAAAUGUAAUGAAUGUCAUCAAAAUGUAAUAAGGGGAAGGGGAAAAAAAACAGACGACCGUCCCCUCCAUGGUAUAGCAUGAUUCCACUUUACUACUCAGUGGUUGAAAGUUAGUAAUUUGCCACCCUGGGGUUGCUGUUCUGUUUUCCCAUAUGGACCGACCAUCGAAGUGCCGUAAAAACUAGGCACGUGACAGUCAAAUAAUUUAUUAAACACUAUAACUUGAAAGAUUCAAUAUGAUUAAGAAACUGAAUGAUUAUUAAUAGCAUUUUAAUGAGUCAUGUGAUCGUCACAUGCCCAAUUUUUAACAGCAUUUUAAUGGCGGUCCUUACAAAAACCCAACAACAACUACACUAGCAGUAAAUUGCUAAAUUUUGAACCAUAUGUUGCUGUGUUCUGUAGCUUACCAUUAUAUUUUUAACCACAAAAGAAAAUAAAGGAUUAGCUCAUGGAUCGAUGCUCACCUCCCUUUAAAGGCAUCCAGCUCCCUGAAGUUGGUUUUGAAAAGAUGAUUUAAUAGAGUGCUUUUCCCUGCCCAAAACAAAGAAGACCACUUUUUCUUUAUUUAAAUACGUGAGUCAAUAAGUUAACAAGAAGUGUAAAGAUUGAAGGACACAAAAGAAGCAUCCUAUCUGCCUAAAGUAGUAGUCAAAGUAAUACAAAAUUUGGUUUAUUUUUCUUUUUUUUAACAAAAAGAGCUCAUGGUCAUGAAAAGCUAUCAUGUGAUAGCAUCUUUGAUCAUCUCUUUUGCACUUCCCUUUACCACUCCAUCAAGAAUACAUGUUAUUCUUUUCCUCCAUUGCCCCCAACAUCAGAGCUUUCACAGCAUAUCAACAAUUCGAAGCAAAAAGGUUAAUCAACGCUAAACCAUACGAUUCCCCACAUGAACAAAUCUUCAUGUUCGAAAAUAACAGGACAACAUUAAAAAAAUAAAAGGAAUAAAAAGCGCAAACUCCAUAUCUAAGAGGACACUCCUUUCCCACAAUUAGCGCAUUAUUCAAAUUUAAAAUUCAGCAGCACACCCCCAUGCUACCAAAAAUAGCAAAAAAAAAAGAUUUUUUUACAUGGAAAAAGAUAGAAAAGAACAAAUUUAAUACCAAAAAACAAAUUUUCCACACAACCAACUCAUUACUCGAAAUCGCAUAUACGCACUACAAGAAAAAAAUGAGUGAUUUUACAUGGGAAAAAGGAGUGAUUUUACAUGGGAAAAUAAGAGAGGAUCAUAUUUAACACCAAAAAAACACUCUUUCUCUCUCAAUGAACGCAUCAGUCGCUAUCAUAAAUCCGUAACACACCUCAUGCUACUCCAAUUAUAGCUAAAAAAAAAAAAGUGCAAAAAUGGAAAAAUUGAAGAGGAGAGGGGAGAGGGGUUAGUAAAACAGGGAGGAGGGAGCUCACCGCUACUCUGAGGGCCCAUAAUGGAGACGACGGCGUAGGAGAGGCCACAAUCGGCGAGAUGGACGGCCCUGAUGAAGCGCUCGAGGCCCUCCACGUUGAACGCCCCGUCGCCGUCGAUGAGCUGCGUCGCAAAGCACUCCUCGCCCAUCUCCUCCGACUCCACCCCAAGCUCCGAUCGAUUGGGCUCCUCCUCCUAGGGUUUUGGACACACACACACACACACACACAUACACACACACACACACACAGGUUCUCCUCUUGUGCUUGGUCGCUUACACGUAAUAUAUAGUACGAGGUCGCCGUGGAAGCAUUUGGGAGAAGCACUUCUUCUUACGCAUUCGAAAGAUAAAAAACAAAGAGGAGGGGAAUUCGGGUUAUGUGGGUAAAUUUGUACAUUUGUCCCUCAACGUUUACAAAGUUUCACUUUUCGCCUAAAACUUCUAAAUUUUAAAAAAACACUUUCUAUUUAUUACUGCACAUCAUUUUUAUACUUAUCCCACCUUCCAAAUAAGGGCUUUUUUUUUUAAUUAGCCUCCUGACAAAAUUUAUUUGAAAAAUAGCCCCAACAAAUUUAAAUUUACAAAAAUAACGUAGGCGCCACGUCAGCACCAUGCAGGCCAAGUUAGGCCAGUUAGUUAAUUUAAAUACGGUGAACCAUUCACUGUGUCUAAAUACGAUAAAUGAUUCAUAGUGUCUGGGGAAAGGAAAGGAAAAUAAAAAAUAUACGUAUUAUGAAAAAGAUAAGUAUGGAACACGGUGAACCAUUCACCGUGUUCGGUGAACCAUUCACCGUGUUUGAAUACGGUGAAUGGUUCACCGUGUUUGACUUAACACCCCAACCCAUCCACGUGGCGCUGAUGUGGCGCCUACGUGGCAAGGUCAUAAUCAUUUUUACAAAUUUAAAUUUACUUUGGGCUAUUUUAAAAAUAAAUUUUUUUCAGGGAGCUAGUUGCAAAAAAAGCCCCCCAAAUAAAGGUAAAGUACAAUGGUCAAGAUUUUUCUUUUUAAAAUUAAUCUAUAAAAAUUUUAGAAAUAUUACUAAAAAUUUUAUAAAUUUUUGGAUCUAAGAGUGUAAGAUUUAUAUCUUUAUAAGGGGUGUUUACAUAGCUAUUUUUCUAAAAAUUUAUGUAGCAUACAUCCUUAGUUCCCUCUUGCAUUUCCAACGUUACCCGUCAUUGAGUUAAAAUAAUUUUGCUACAUAAGAAUUAUAUAUAUACUAUUAUAUAUAAAAAUAUUGAAUUUAUGGUUUAAAGCUAUAGUGUUAGUACGAAAAGCAGGACUAAUCAUCCCUAACGUAAAUAGUAAAAAAUUGUAAGUUCCAAAGUUAGUUACUUCAUAUUUUUAGCUAAAUUUUUUAUCCCAAACAAUUUUCUCCUCUCUCGGGUUUGAGGAUUCAAAUCUUCUAUAUAUUUCUUAAAUUUAGAGCUCACGCUAUAAAAAUUAUUCUUAAGAUAUGCAAGAGGUUCUUAUUUUUUGAGAAUAAUAAAUAAAGACAACAUCAAAAAAAAUGUGCAAAAGUGAAAAAGAUGGUAUUUUUUUUCUUUCGAGCCAAGUUGCUUACCAAAUAGCCACCUAAGUGCUAAUCCACUUUCUUCUUAUACUUUGUUUCUCUGCUCACAUAUUCUAAGUCCAUAUUUGUUGGGAUCCUUCAUUCAGUUUCACUAAUGGUGGCAUACAAUAAGUUUUUCAAAAAAAAAAAAAAAAAACCAUCUUUUUCUAAGAUACCGACCUCACAAUAUUCCUACAGGCGUGAGAAAUUGUAACUCGUACUCAGUCCUUGCUUUACAUGGCCGGCAUCCUAUCUUGUAGCGUAAAGCUGGGUUGAGUAGAAUCACACUUAAAAUGUGCAAGAAUCGUAUAUAUGUUCAAGUUAAGUAAAAUAGCUAUCCCUUCUAACAUUUCAAUCUUUUUGGAAUUGUGAUUAGCAUUUACAAUAUAACAAAUGAUAUCAGAGUCAGGACACGCUUUUGAUUCUCGCGUGCUACCUAAUGGCAAAGAACAAGUUAGACAAGUCAGAGUCAAAGCAUUUUAAGUGAAUUGAUUAUUCUUUUUCUAACAUCUCGUGUUUAAGAAAUUAUGAUUAGCACCACGAUCCAACACUGAGUACACAAACUGAGGGAUGCUUCUGGUACAGGUAGUAAUUUCUUUUCUAACAUUCAGACAUUGAAACUAAAGUUUUAAAAAUUAUGUAUCAUUCUAGAACUUCUAAAAGAAAAUUAUUUUGCCCAUUUAAAAUGACAAAUCGCUCACAAUUUAUAUAAAUAAACUACACACAUAUUUAUUCAAUUAUAAUUUAUUUAUUUAUAUAUCUGUUUAUAUAUAUAUAUAUAUAUAUAGUAGGGCUAGAAUACUUGUAAAAGUAUCAUGGGGGUGAUACUUGUGUGUUUUUAACCCUUGGAUGGAGAGAUGUGAGGUUGAGAUGAUGGUGGUAGGUGGAAUAGUGUUUAAUCCCAGGGCUAUUAAUAAUCAAAAAGUAGAUCCAAUGGCUUAAAACCUAAUAGCACCAUGAUGGUAAUACUUGUAAAAGUAUCAUAGCUCAACUCUAUAUAUAUAUAUAUAUAUAUUGAAAAUACAUAAAAAUACUGCUGCAUUCAACAUAGAAUCCGGUGGAAGAUUCUACUGGGCAAGGAAAUCUGAAGGAAACUUCCAUUCACCACUAACAAUUCACGAAAAAUAAAAAAAAUAAUAAAAAAAGAAAUUCGGGGUGAGCGUUAUAUAUCACGGUUUUGAAAAUUCGUGUGGGCCCCACAUGUCAGUGACACAGAAGAGCUAUAGCACCGCUACACUGAAGACUCUCCUAGUCUCCUCCACGCUGCGUCAAAAGUCUUCGUAACUUGCGUGCGAAAUUUCGCCCAAGGCAGAGCUAUUUCGCCGACCCUCCAUCCUUUUAAAAAGCCCCCCACGAACCUUAAAGCGAGCGAAGCAACGGGGGAGGGGAGAUCAAAAAAUAAAUAAAUUUGAAAAAAAAAAAAGAAAAGAAAAAAGGAAAAGGAGGAGGAGCCCUAAUUCGACCGGCGCACGUUAGCAUCAAUCGCAGAGGGGGGGGGGUGUGGGGGCUCGGCGCAGGAUAAGAGGAGGCGAAGAAGAUGAUGCUCCCCGGCGUAGAGCUCGCGAGGAGGCGCCGCCUCCACCACCACCACAGCGCCGAUCCGCUCCCGGCGGCGGCUUCGGCCCCCGGCGGCGGCGGCGCCGCCGCCGCGUCGUCCAUGGCGGAGCCCGCGCUCGCCGCGCGCAUCCGCCUCGAGGAGAAGCUCCACGGCCUCUCCAGGUAACUAUUUUAUAUAUUUAAUUAGUAUAUAUAUAUAUAUAUAUUAUAUAUAAUUUUUAUAAUAAUUAUAAAAUAAGUAAAGUAAAUUAUUAAUUUUAAUCAGUUAAGUUUCUGUAUAUUGUCCUGCAGGUGGAGCAGACUUCCAUGUAACAACCGCGGGGAUCAGAACUCACGGCCGGCAGCCCCGGGGCCGAGCCGGAGGGCGACCGCGGAGUUACCGGCGCGAAAUCCGGGCGUGGUAGGAGGAGGCGCGCGUCCGGUGGCGAGGACGUCCUCGCGGACGUCGGAGGUGUGCGCGGUGUGCCUGGAGGAGGUGGAGGUGGAGGCGGCGGAGCAGACGCGGGUGACGCGGCUGCCGUGCUCUCACCGCUACCACUCCGACUGCGUCCUCCCGUGGCUCGCCGCCCACCCCGACUGCCCCUGCUGCCGCGCCUCCGUCGUCCCUCCCCCUUCUCUCCACGUGCCCUCUUAGCGCAGGAUCUUGUUGCGCUGAAAAAUGUACGAAACUUAUAGCUGAACUAUAUAUAGCUAGCAUUCAAUGGUACAGAUGUGCGAACUUUAAAAAUUGGUUAAAAUACAGAAUACUUUCUUAUAUAAGUAAUUUUUUUAUUUUUUUUUUUGUAUGUAAUCCUCUCAGAAAUUUUUUUUUCAUAAAUAGUUUUAUGAAAUUUAUAUUUCUUAAGAUUGGUUAUAUUUUCGUCGUGCAAGUACCACGCAAGCGCCACGUGGAUAUAGAACACGUGUUCAACUUAAUCUGGGCUAUCAGUCAGGCUCAUGUGGCACUCGCGUGGCGAAAAUAGGAUCAAUCUUACAAAUAUAAAUUUUGUGGGUCUAUUUAUGAAAAAAAUUUUGAUGAGGUUAAAUGCAAAGCAAGCCUUUUUUUUUUUCUGACUUUCAAAAUUUUAUAUUUUGUCCUCUUAAAAUUUUAAAAACGUAUUGAGGAAUAUGACCUUAAUGGAGAGGGCAAAAUGACUGAAUCAUUUUUAUUUUUUCUAUAAAAAAAAAAUUUUGUAAUAUGUUUUUAUUAUUUUGAAGAAAAUUUUGAUAUAGAUUAUAAAAAAUAAACGGAAUAGUGAUGGAAAGAGUUAAAUGCAAUAAUUUAAAAUUUUAAAAGAAUAAAAUAUAAUUUUUUUAAAAUUAAAAAUAAAAAAUAAAAAAAUAAAUAUUUAUAUAAAAAAAAAAUUUGUAAUUCAGCCUUAAAAUUUUUUAUUUUACUACUCUUUGUAGAUACGGAAAAAGUAUAAGGGGAUUGGCUGAGCAGCAUAAAAUGGCAUGUAGUUGAUUGAUCUUAGGAAUAGUUCUUGUGCUAGUUGGAUCAUCAUACUUAUUUUAAUAAUAUUCUCUGGAACGGUUUUGGGAUGGUUGGAUUAACAAUUACCGCUUCUUUUCUUAUCAUAAUUAGAAUUUUAAUUAAGCCUAGUAUUAAAACUAAAAAAAAUUACGUAUGUAUUUUGUAAAUUUUGAUUGAUGUAAAAUGAAUAUGUUUAAUUUAAUUAUAGUUAUCUUGUUUGGCAUGGAGAUUGGAAUAUCUGUUAAAUUUAAGUAGAUUGGAUAACUCAAAUUAUUUAAGUUAAAAAUUCUAUCUGUCCACUAAUUAGAUAGAAAAGUAGGAAGAAUUUAUACUAAAUUAGUUAAGUCUAGUUUAUUAAAAUUUAAAUUAGUUUAAAAACUUAAAUCGCAUCUAUUAAUAAUUAAAAAGUUUAUUUUGUAAUGAUUAUUUUAAGAAUUAUUUGCAUACACGUUCCUGCAAACAUAGUGAAUUACAGAUAUAUUCCUGCAAAACGAAAAUUUAAUAAGUUAUCCCUGCAAAAGUCCUAAAUUAUGCAGAUAUGUCCCUCUGGUUAACAUUCGUUAGUGAACUGUUAAUUUUUUUAACAGUUUUCUUGUGAAAUGACCUUUUUGUCCUUACAAAUAUAUCCCUCCAAAAUAUUCCUCUUUCCCUUCUAUUUCUCUUUCUCUUUCUCUUCGGGCCACCGGAGCUACGACGGUGACGGCGCGGGGUCGGGCUCGCCGGCGACGAAGAAGAGGGAAGAGAAAGAAGCAGAGGAAAAAGAAGAGGAAAGAGGAAGAAGGAGAGGAAUAGGGAGAGGAAGAGGAAAGAGGAAGAGGAAGAGGGAGAAGGUUUGCUGCCGUCGCCGCAGCCGCAGCCGCAUUUCCUCCCUUGCAGGCGACGAAGAAAAGGGAAGAGGGAGAGGAAGAAGAAGGGCGAAGAGGAAAAAGGAGAGGAAGAGGGAGAGGGAGAGGGUUCGCCGCCGCCGCCGCAUCUUCUCCCUCGCCGGCCACGAAGAAGAGGGAAAAGGAAGAGGAAGAGGAAGAAGAAGGGGGAAGAGAAAGAGGGAAGAGGAAAAGGGAGAGGGUCCGCCGCCGCCACCGCCGCAUCUCCCUCGCCGGCGACGAAGAAGAGGGAAGAGGGAAGAGAAAGAGGAGGAAGAGGAAGAAAGAUAAAACCAUCAAUUCACAUUAUAAUUAACCAUGGUUAAGAAUUAUAACCAUGGUUAACGAAAAUUUUCUACCAGACCUUAAUGGCAGGAAUAUAUCUGCAUAAAUUAGGACUUUUGUAAGAUAACUUAUGAAAUUUUUAUUUUGCAGGAAUAUAUCUGUAAUUCACUAUAUUUACAGGAACGUGUAUGUAAAUAACCCUUAUUUUAAAUAUAGAUGUACUUUGCUGAUGGGAAGGGCAUUUUUGGAAGAGUCCUUAAACUGGUCUAAAAUUUAUAUUCUCUGUUUUAUAUGUAAGUAGUAAACUAGUUAAAGGGUCCGUAUAAUGCAUGUCUCAUUUAUUUUUAAAUAAAUUUAAAAUUGAAAAGUAGAUUAUUUUGAAGCACGGUUUUCAAAUAAAUAAACUAAAAAUCUUAUUUUUAUAGAUUAUUUUUUUUUUUCGUAUCCUCUCAAAAAGUUGUAAUUUCAUUAACGUCCCUCCAAAGUGAAAAAUAUUGUGAGGGUUUAGAGAAACUGGCGAUAAUUUUAUGUUUAGAAGGAUAUUGAUGGUAGAUUCGUAUGUUUAGAGGGAUAUUAGUUAUAUUUGCAACUUUGAAGGAGACCUUACGAUAUUUACUUUUUUUUUUUAAUGUUCGAUAAAGGAGAAGAAAAUUUUCUCUCUCCGGAAAGUGAGUCCGUCUACAGAUUCAAGUUUAAAAUUUGUGUUUUUACAUAUAUAUAUAUAUAUAUAUAUAUAUAUAUAUAGAGAGAGAGAGAGAGAGAGAGAGAGAGAGAGAAAGAGAGAGAACUAGACUACUAUGCUAUUAAUAGUAUCAAGUCAUUAGUGCUAUCAAGUUUUCGGUCAUUGGAUUAAGAGAUGUGCGGUUAGAAUGAUGUGGGCCCUCUAGAGUUGAGUGGGUAGUUGGUUGAAUAGUAUGAUCUAACGGGUGAAAAUGAUCAAAGGGGUGAAUCUAACGGCGGAAAACUUGAUAGCAUCGAGUGCUUCAUGCUAUUAAUAGCAUAGUAGCCAUAAUCAUAUAUAUAUAUAUAUAUAUAUAUAUAUAUAUAUGGUGAAGCUACUACGCUAUUGGAAGCACGGAGCCUUCCGUGCUUCCAGCUCGUUUUCGAUGUUGCGGCUUUUGAAUCGUCAAUCGGCUCCAUUAAACUUGAUCUAGAGUACUUGAAGUAUCUAGAAAAUAAAUUAUGCGAUUUUUCAAUAUUAUUUGCCUAGUGAACUAAGGGGCUUAAAAUCAACGGCUAAAAGUAAAAAUCUUACAAAAUGUAAUAAUAUGACAUUAAAAUUUUGAAUCAAAGAAAUUUCUAUAUAGUAUAAAGAAUUUUCUAUAUAGUAUCGGCUAAAAGUAAAAAUCUUUAAUAUGACAUUAAAAUUUUGAAUCAAAGAUAUUGAUCUUGUUUUAUAUAGUAUAAAGAAUUUUCUAUCAAAAUUUUACGUGAUUUAGAUAUUUUUACACCGUUAAACUUGCAAACGGCUCACUAUGGCCAUUGAAAUUGUUGAUUUUGAGCCCAUUCGAUCACUAGGCAAAUGAUAUCGAAAAAUAAUAAAAUUUAUUUUCUAGGUACUCAAAAUACUCUAGAUCAAGUUUAACGGAGUCGAUCGACAAUUCGAAAGUCACAACAUCGAAAACGAGCUGGAAGUACAGAAGGCUCCGUGCUUCCGAUAGCAUAGUAGCCUCACUAUAUAUAUAUAUAUAUAUAUAUAUAUAUAUAUNUAAACCAAUAACUCACUCAACUCUAGAGGGCCCACAUCAUCCUAACCGUAUAUUUUUUAAUCCAAGGGCCGAAAACCUAAUAGCACCAAAUGCUUGGUGCUAUUAAUAGUAUUCUAGCCUAGGUCUAUAUAUGUAUUACAUUUUCUGUAUUUUCGAAAGUAUGGAGGUCCCUUAACUUUUGAGGUGUUUUCGUUGAUUGGGCAUCCGAUUCGACGAUCGGCUUCAUUAUGCAUAAUUUAUGCUAUUAGAUUAUUUAGAAAUCAAAUUUUAUAAUGUUUCAACAUUAUACGUUAAGUGAUCAAAGGGUCUCAGAAAUGACUAUUUUAAUGGCUAAUGUGAUACAUUUAUAAGUUCAAAGAUAUAGAACAAUUUAAAAUUGGUGAACUUUUAAUAAAAAAUUCUAUUAAUACUUUCAAUUUGAAAUUUAAGUCUUUAUUACUAUUUUAUAAGAUUUUUAUUUUCUAUCGUUCUGUCACGCUCCAGAUUACUCGUUUUUUCGGGCACGCCGACAAAUCCGUCGUAUACAAAGAAAUUUUUCCUGUAUACGAAGCGAUAGCUGUACAUGUACCUGUAAUUAUACAACACUACAACCAGUAGUAUAGAGCUGCUAAAAAGAAACAUAUAUAAAUAACAUCGGUUCAACAUACAUACAUAGUAUCCUGAUACAAAAAUACACGCUUCAGCAAGGUACAACAUCAGUAUGUAUAAGAACAAAAAACUACAACUACCUGUAGCUGGUAUAAAUCUCUAGGUUAGCAGCAACUGGGAAGGGAUCGAGCUCACGACUCCCUUUCCACGAUCAGUCUCUACGACAGCAGCAGCCGAAGAAGAGGGCUUUGCAAAAAUGAUCCACAACUGGGUGUGAAAACUACUGCAAAAAGAAGUAGUCCUCAGUGGGUACCGCUAUCGACCUCAACGGCUCACCCACUAAGUCUACAGAAGUAAGUAGUGAUAGUAAGGAAAGCCGGAACAAAUCUACAGCUAUAUGCCGCUAUACUAUCAUGAUCUAAUACUAACAAUCUGUAAAAAAUGUAAAUCCUGACCCAAUCUCACUAGGGACUGUGAACACACCCAUCCCGCCUGUCGAAGCUAUACUAACUACCACCACGCUAGGUCGUCAGUAGAGAGCAAGUCCAAACAGGACAAACCGACAUCAAUGCAAAAGCACUAAGCCCGACUCCGGAGUGGCACUCGCGGGCGCUACCCAACCGAGUAUGCAAGCGUAUCUCUGCCGAGCUCAAUCAGGCUCUCACAGGCUGUAAUCAAAGCAGAAGGGUCUAACAGGUCGAACAACCAUACUAAACAUGCUCUCGGCACAAUCUGAUACAAAAAAAGUAAACCGGGUCCACCGUCAACCACAACGGCACCCAACAGUCCGGAACAGUCUAUAGACUGCUGCAAAAAUAAGCUCGGCAUCUCAGCACGAGCGUAAAUACAUUCUACACUAUUCUGAGUAUUUACCGUCCACGAACUGCGGUGAUACAAAUAAACUACGGCUCCUACAGCUAAAUCUAAUAGUUUCAGAAAAUGACAGUAUAGAAUCGAUAAUUUUCUCCUAAGUUAAUUCCAAGUCCAACAUGUAUAAGUUAGCUAACAUUUUAAGCUCCAAAUUCAGAUUUCAAAGCAUGCAAAUCAAUGAGUUUGAGCUAAUUAAUAAAAUCUACAAAAACUAACAAUACAUGCUGACAACACUAGACUUAGGAGGAAACCCGCAGAAGCCGGUAAGCAUAACAUUAACCCACCUCAAGCGCGAGUCCAGCAAGGUUAGGAAGUAGCUGGAAUAAGCCCUGCCAAGCUCAGCCACGAACCAGCACACUCCUCUCAAAAGAUCUACCACAAGAACACCAAAAUUGCAUCAAUACCCUUAAAUUUCAGCACUAAAGCUUAAUUCCUCCAAUUCCAAUGUCAAAACUCACCUUUCAAACUUUAAAUCCACAAUUCAGGUGAAGAACACUAUCAAAACCGGUAGGGAAAAGUGGAGCAAUAACCUCUGGUCGAAAAUCCAGCUUCCUCUAAAGAUUAAACCAGGAAAACUAAGAAAAACCCAAGUUUUAGCUCCAAUACAGUAGCAGUUCAGAAAAACAGCAAAUUAACCAUACUAACUUAAAUCAAUUCCUGUCAAAAUGGGCUCCACGAAAUCUCCAAGAAGUCUACUAACCACCAAACUAAGUUUCGCAGCAAACCGACCUUCCUACGUCGCACACGAGCCAAAACGCCGAAGGUCGCUGCUGGAAUUCUGCUGGAAUUGCAAUGCUCAAGGUGGAAAUUGUAGAAUUUGGAUAAAUUGUAGUAUUUUGAAGGACUAGAGUGCAAAAUAUGGCUUCACUGUGAAGGAGAGGUGAAAAAGCUUCUCAGGGAUCGAACACAAGCCUUUUAUAAGGAGAAGAGUAGGUCUGAUAAGCCCCAGGAACAAAAGAAUACAAACCUGCUGUCCUGUAGGAACGAGCACUUUCGGGCGCCCGAAACCUACUUCUGGGCGUCCGAAACCUCCAGGCCAUACAAAGUUCCCUCUUCGGUUCCUCCGCCUACGGUACGAUGCGCCCAAAACCUGGUCCGGCGGAUCUCACCUAUUACCAGACACGUGUCAGCACAGUCGAUAUUCCCAAAGUGAACAUCCGGACCAACAUCCGGGCGGCCGGAACACAUGAUCCAAAUUGACUUCCAGUUCUGUUCAGUUCAGCACUCAAGUUCUGGACGACCCAAACCAUGUUCUGGGUGCCCGAAACUGGCAAAACUCCAGUUUUGCUUAUUUGAGUGCGCCAAGUCCAUUUCUGCAUCCAUUUCGUGCAGAAACGACACCGACUCAGUCCGACACUCUCCAUAUGUAUCGACCAGUUACUAAAACUAAAACCAAUCCGAUACCAAACCCUCGGGACACUACACGUUCAUAUUAAGACUACUCGUUCAUUAGGCAAAUAUAGUAAAAAAAAAUGAUGAAAUUUGAUUUCUAAAUAUUUAACAAAGCCAAUCACCAAAUCAAUUAUAUAUCCCAUCAUCGAAAAUAAUUUGAAAAUAUGAAGGUUUUCAUACUUUCGAAAGUAUAGUAGCCUAGCUAUAUAUAUAAAUAUAUAUAGUGAUAAAGGGCUUUGGUAAUUGAGUUUAAGUAUUUCAGCAGAUCAUUUCAUUUAACAAAUUAUUAGUGCAAGUUAAGCCAAAAUGCCGGCCAGUGCGUGUUAGUGGGUCUGAUCAGAACGUCAAGAUCUACAUUGGCUAUAUCCCAUAUAUGAAAAUAUAUCCGAUUACAGCAUAAGUGGUAAAGAGUUUGAUGGUUGGUAUAUGAGAUUUCAAGUUUGAAAUCUAAUUACUUCACAUUUUGCAUUGAACAUUUAUCAAAAACUUUGAUACACUUAACACUAGCCAAAAUUUUUGAAUUUCACUGCUUUAUGACCAACUUGUAAUUCGAAGUUUAGCACUUUGACGACUUUAAUUAUUGUUUAAUUGUUCAUAAGGACUUAGAAGUACCGUUAAAAAUGAGUACAUGAUAAUCAGUGUUACAUCAACAUGCUGAAAUAACGUAAACGAUCAAUGAAAAAAAAAAAAAAAUCAAUUCUUGCAUCCUAAUAAAUAGAUUAAUUCCACUUUGCAAUCACGUGUACGUAGUACUAUGUAAUUAUUAUCUUUAGCAUUUAAACAGCUGAUCUUUUUUUAAAAAUUAAAAUAUCAACCAAAAGAAUCGAUUGUUAUAUUUAAAAUUCGAAUUUUACUAAGGAAGAGUUUGAAAUUUAAGUAAUCAAAUGCAGCACAAAACCACAAAUACUCGUUUAGUUUGGACUAAAGCUAAAUCCGGUUUUAAUUGUGAAUUAAUAUCCUUAGCAAUUUUUUACUUCAUCUUGGAAUGAGGAUAAAGUUAUAAUAGUAACUUAGUUGUACAUUUUUACUAUCUAAUUCUUGUACUAUCAAAAGACAAUUAAAGAGAAGACCCAAAAUAAUAUUGUAAAGAAAACAAAAAAAGAACAAAACCAAGAAAACUAAGUUUAAAAGAUUACAAACUCUUAAUGAUCAAGAUUCUGAUUACAGGUGAAGAGAAGUAUCCACAUCUUUCCCAGUACAGUUUCUUAGAUCAUGGCUGCUCACAGCAUGUGCAGGCUUAGUUGGCCGAAAGCCGACCGGGAGCGACGACGUCUCGAGAGCCGAGAAUUCUGCACGAUCGUCAUCCGUACUGCUAAGUCCCCGAUACAUCGGACCGUCUGAAGGCCUCAAAGGCUGAACCAGAUCGGGGUGGAAGAACCACCCCGGCUGGCGUUCGCCGCCGGCAGCGGCGGCGGCGGUAGAAGCAGCGACGGUCGACGCUCGUCGGAGCUCUCUCUCCUCCCUCAUCUCCUUCACCUUCUGGAGUUGCCUGAAUCUCUCUUGAAGUAAAGCAAUUGAAGAGGAGUAGAGGAUAGUAGUGUUAUUAUUGUUAUUCUCAAUAUUGUUUCCCCUCCCCAUCAUUGAUUAGAUGAUGGAUUGUGUUGAGAUCUAGCUCUAGGGAUUUUGGGGAUUCAGGUGAUGUUGAGAUUGGUGGGAGUGCUUUUAUUUGUGUGCUUUGUGUUGGGAGGUGGGUGGGUGGGUUAAGUAAUUAAGUGGAUAUAUAAUUAUUUGUAGGGAGAUUUGUAGGGGAUUUGGGUGUGUGUUUCAUGCAUUGCUUUCAUGUGUUUCUGUGCCAUCUGAUAAUUGGCCAUGAAUGAUAAUAGAAGGAAGAGAAGAAUUAUUGCCUGCAUCAAGUGCACCUUGCAUUUUAUUUUGAAAAACUAAAUUACAGAAAAACUUACUUAUAAAUAUCUAGCUAUUUUUUUACUUUUCCAUUGUAACUUUCAAAAAUCUAUAUUUAGCCACUUAAUAUUUCAAGUCGUUGUAUUUAGCCCCACUCCGUUAGGGUCCCAUUACUAUUCCGUUCAUUUUUUAUAAUUUAUAUCGAAAAUAUUCUUCAAAAUAACAGAAAAAUAACAGAAAUAUAUUAAAAAAUUAUUAUGUUAUCAAAAGAAGUAAGGGCAACUUGGUUAAUUAUUUUGCCCUCUCCAUUAAUGCCUUACUAUUCUGAAAAUAUUUUUGAAAUUUUAACGGGGUAAAAUAUAGGUUUUUGAAAGUCAGAAAGGAAAAGUAAAAAAACAGGUAUUUAUAGAAAGAUUUUUUGUAAUUUAGCCUAUUUUAAAAUACUUAUUAUUGAGUCAUUGCAGAAGGGGCUGUUUGGUCUACAUUCUGAAAAAUAAUUAAUUUUUGCAAAAUUAAUUUUAAUUUGAAGAAUUAAUUUUGGUUAAAAGCUGUAAAGUGUUUGGCAAAUCUUAACCAUUUAGAAUCAAAAAUUUAAUUUUCGACCUCUAAAAUCAGAAAUUUGAUUUUAAGAAUCAAAAUUAGAUUUUGAAAAAUAUAUUAUCAAACGCUCUAUUGAAGGAACAAUUAUUUUUUGGCUCUAAAUUUACUUUUCAAAAUCUUUGCCAAACACCCCUGAAUAAUGUUAUGCUCGCUCUCAAUAGUAAGGCUUCGUUUGGAAUUGCGGAGAGAUUUGCGGAGAGAUUGUAUUACAUGCGGUGAGAAAAUACGAUGGAAAAAAAUCAUGUUUGUUUCCAUAAGUAAUAUUGCGUUUCCAUAUAUCACGAUGAGUGGGUUAUAAUAUAUUUUCUACGGUAUCACCGGAGAAUGCAGAAGUAUAUCCCUAUAUACCUUUAUCCUAACUCCAUUUCAUCUGAUAGCGUUAGAUACGUCUCAAUAUCAAACUAAACCUAAAAUAGAGUAACGUUUGGAUUGAAAUAGUUAGUUUCUUUGGAUAGUAUACGCCGUUAGUUUUAUAGAUCUCGGCCAUGUUUGGUUAGUGGUCAGGGGAAUAUUUCUCUUUAUCCCCGUAAACACCAUUCAAAAUAAAAUAUCCCUUUUGUUUAGGGCUUAACGGAUUAUUCGAGUUAAUUAGCCCAGUUCUCCCCCACAUGAAAAACAAGCCAGAACAAUGAAUUUGUGUUCAUUUUGCUUUCUAUUAUCCCUUUUAUACUUUAUUUUAAUCAAUUUCAGAUAAAUCAAAUGAAUGCUCAAAUUGCAUGCUACAAAGUUAAUUUUUCUAAGAUGAUUUGCAAACAUACUAAAUUUGAUAAAUAAUCUGUUCCUCUAUAUUUAAAAUUAUAUAUUUAUAUUUAAUUUUAAUUAGUUGUUAAAUUAUAAAAUUGGAAGUAUAUUUUCACCCCUAUAUUCAAAAUUAUACUUUUAUACAUUAAUUCUAUCUCUUUUCUCUUGUAUUGAAUUAUAUUUCAUUAUUAUAUCCUUAUUUAAUUUUUAUCAAUACAAUAUUUUAUUCCAACAUAAAUAUUCAAACACUAUAUUCUAACAUAAACAUCCAAAUACUAUAGAGAUAUCCUAUAGGAAUAAACAAAUAGCAUUCAAAUGUAAUUUAUAACUUAUUCCAUAUUCUUCUACACUAUCCCCUGUUCUCCCCUAUUCUCGGAAAAGAAUAAAAGUUAUCCUCCAUAAUUUAGUUCUUGAACCACUCACAGUCUUAGUGUUAUCGUUCCUGUAAUUCAGAUUCUACCCCUAUCUAUCUAUGAGAGUAAGCACGGAUUACUUGCCUCGUAAUCAAAAUUAAUUCAUUUACUGGCAAGUUCUGCAACAUUCAAAAAGAUAAUUAUAUUUCUUAAUAUACUGAAAAAGUUUAUAUUAUUUGAUAGACAAGAAGUGCGGUCACAUGUUCAGAUAGCUAGGUAUACAAUAUUAGACCUUCAAGUCAUUUUUCUCGUAUUAAGAUAAAUUACAUGUUUGGUGAAAUAUAUUAUCCUACUAAUUUUUUAAUGUCAAAACCUUCUUAUAUGCUAAAAUCAAAUUCUAAUUUAUAAUUAGGCAAGAAAAUCUUUAUAGCAAGCAUAUAAGUUGUUACCAAAUAACAUAUUCUGACAUUCAAAUAGGACUUAUCGAAUAAUAUUGUGUUAUGACAAAAAUGAAAAAGAUCUAGUAUAUUAAGCAUGAAAAUGCUCAAUAAACAUCGAGAAAAAGAGAAGAAAAAUAAAACUCAUAAAUAUUUACGUGAUUCAGCGAAUUAAUGGCUUACAUCUACGGGAGAAAACAACGGAGAUUUUCAUCGUAAUUAAAAUGGAGUACAAAAGAAGCCUUUCUCAUAAAAAUUCUAGCCUCUAAAAUACAUCCAUACUCUCUCUCAUUUGUUGCACCAAAUUAAUCUCAAUAAAAUUAGGCAUAAUUUUAACUUAACUUAAUAGGUUGACUGAAAUAGAAUAUGGUCAGAAACCAUACAGUUUUAAAAUUUAAAAUAUAUCUAAUAAUUUCCAUCUUAACUUGAAUUCUCUAUCUUUUUUACCAAAACCCCAAAGAGCUUCUCGAGUGCUGUUGUUGCACAUACAAAUCAAGAAAGUCAACAAAAUAUUAAAUGGAUUAAUCGAAAUAGAAUAAAAUUAGAAACAUCUUGUGGUUUUAAAAUUCGAGACAUAUCUGGCGCAUCGUUUUCUAAAUAGUUAACUUUUUAAACUAGUUAAUAUUUGGGUUUUUUUUUUUAAUAGACUCUUAAAUUUCAAAAUAUCACUUAACAAUGGUGCACAAUAUGCAUGGUGCAUGCAAUGUUUUUUUUCUUUUUUUUUUCCUUUCUUCCUUCCAAAAGGUUUAGAGAGAGGAGAAUCAGGAAUUGGGGUGCAAAGUCCAAGAAAGAAAAGGGUUUUGGAGGUACUUGGUGAGGGAGUUAGGUUGGUGGGGAUGAGAGGGAGGGGGUGCAUAGCCCACUUUUUUUGAAGAGGGGAAAAAGGGUGAGAGAGUAGUACAAAGGAGGAGUGGAGUUUAGUGUUUGGAAUGUGUUUGUAGGAGAAUAUGAGGGUUGUGUGAUGGAAAAGGAUUGAGCUCUCUUUUUCUUGAUUCUUUUUUUUUUUUUAAUUUAUACUGAAUUUAUCUGAACUAUAAACUACUUGAAAAUAAUUAUUUAAUCUUUAAAAAUUUUGAUGCUACUAACCGAUCUUUCAAUUUAUUUGAUUUGAAUGAGUCGACAACACUUUAACUUUUUGAAUGCGUUGUUUAUUUUUAUAGAUUUAGUUAAUAUAUUUCACGCACUUUCCGAUACUAUAACUUUAUUAAAAUACGUGAUUAGUUUAAAUUUUAAAGUCAAAGUAUCAUUGACCGGCUCAAAUCAAACAAAUUAGAAGAUUGGAUAGUAAAAUCAAAAUUUUAAAAGAUUGAAUAGCCGAUUCAAAAUGAUAAAUAAUUCAAAUAAGUUAUGUACGUUUCUACCUUUUUCUAUUAAAUUACAAAAAAAAGAAUUUUUGUGUCCCAAUUACUUUUCUAUGUUAAAAUUUGCGUGAAUUUCUAUACUUUUUUACUGUCUCAAAUAGGUCAAAAAUUUUAAAAUAAUCAGUGAAUUUGAUUAUAAAUUUUUACUGAAAUGUGUUUGCACAUCAUGUUGCAUCUAUCUUAUUUGUGACAUGUAUAAUCAAUAAAAACUAGAUAAAGAGAUCUCCUAUUACGUACGGUGCGACGUUAAGUGCUGUAAUUUUAAAUUUUGAGAGGAUAAAAUACAGAUUUUUAAAAAUAGGGCAGUAAACUGUAAAAGAAGAUAUUUAUAAAAAAUUUUCUACAUUUUUGCCUUAUUUUUUGGUUAGAUUAUAAAAAGAACUUUUUGUGUCUCAAUUGCUUCUCUGUUAAAGUUUUGCUUAAUUUCCAUAUUCGACUUCACUAUCGUCUCCAAUAUGUCUCAAAAAUUUUAAAGUAAGUGAUGAAUUUGAUAGCAAAAUUAGUAAAAACUCCAAAAAUGCUGAAAAAUUAAAAUUGAUGAUUUUAUCAAAUAAUUCUAUUUAUUUUAUGCCAUUCUAUUCCAUUAAAUGUAACUAACAUCUUUUUGUGAAUUAAUUCUAUAAAAUUUUACAGAUGAAUUAAUUAACCAGCUUAAUACAGGAGGAUAAUUGAGACACGACCUAAAAUAUGCCAAAAAAGAGAAAAAAAUCUCCUUAUUUGUUUUAUUUUAGGUUAAACUUUAAAUACCAUCUCUCCUAUGUGAUUUCGUACUUUCUCACUUUAGUAUAUUGUGGUUUAAAGUGUAUCAAUUUAGUACCCUGCGGUUUUAUUUUUCUCUUUUCGUCAGCUCCUCCGUUAACAUUCUGUUCAAUUAUAUACAAAAAACUUCAGAUACCCUAUCUGGGUUUAUCGAAUAUUCACUUUAGUAUCUUUUAAUUUUAACUUUGUCACUAAUUUAAUAAAAAAAUUAAUUAAGGGGAUAAUAAAAAGAAAAAAAAAUAAAACUAUAGGGCACUAAAUUGACAUACUUUAAAUCACACGGUACUAAAAUAAAAAAAAUGCCAUGGUAUUUGAUGGUUUUUCUUUAUUUUAUUAUAUUUUUUGAAUGUUGGGCUCUGAAAGUGAUGCUUUUGGUAUCAAGUUAUCUGUCUUGUCCAGUUCCCAGAGGCUAGAAGGUGAAAGCAUUCCAAUUAAUAAAUGAAUGAAAUAGGGUUUAUGGUCGGAGAUGGUUUGUCUCAUUUUAAAUGUUCCCAACCAUCAAUUGGCUUAUUUGAGUACAUAUGUUUGCUUUGUGUAAUAAUCCUAUGGACAAAAGAAUUAGGUGAUUCCAACAGGACUAAGUACCCAAUGAUGAAAGGUUGGUUUCAAGGAGAAUAUAAAAUAGGAAAAUUUUCAAAUACCAUUCACGUGGUUUCAUAUUUUCUCACUUUAGUACCGCAUGUGGUUUAAAGUGUAUUAAUUUAGUGUCAUGUUGUUUCAUUUUUAUCUUUCUAUUAUCGAUUUCACUAAUUUUUUUUGUUAAAUCAGUGACAACGUUAAAACUAAAGGGUAUUAAAAUGAAUAUUCGAUAAACUUAGAUGGGUUAUCUAAAAUUUUUUGUAUAUAAUUUAACGAAAUAGUAACAAAGAAGCUGACGGAAAGAUUAAAAUAAAACUACAGAACACUAACUUGAUACACUUUAAAUCAUAGGACACUAAAGUGAAAAAGUGUGAAACCACAUUGAUGGUAUUUGAAAUUUACCCUAUAAAAUAACUAAAAAAGAGUUUUUUUUUUCUUUUUUUUUUGAUAAAAAUUUAAUGUCUAGAGAGAGAGAGAGUGUGUGUGUGUAGCAAACAGGGUGAGUACUAUUCAGUUCAAAUCGAACGGAUCAAAAUGGGUCCGUAUGAUUCAGUUUUAUUGUAAUCUGGUUUGGUUCGAUUUUAAAAAUUAAAAAUCAAAAAAAUUAAGUAAAUUGAACUAACCAAGAUUAUAAUAGUUUGAUAUAUUAAUCUUGAAUAGAAAAGAAGUAUUCAAUAAUUGUGGAUAAUAAUCAAAUAAUUAUUGAUGUUAAUCGUUGUUAUAUUAAAUUAAAUAUUUUUAACAUAAAAUUAAUUAUGAUUAUAUCUUAUUUUUAGUGCUUUAAAAAGAUCUAAACCAAAUAAAAAUAUUUUAUUGAAACCACAUAAAGUGAACCAAACCAAGCGAAUUAUUUUGGUUUGAUUCAAACAUCUAAUUCAGUAAGGAUUGGUCUUUAUAAAAAUUAUAAAAUCCGAAUCAAACUGAUAGAUGCUCACCCCUCACAUAUGGAUUCUGUGGGAAAAGGGUAUGAACAAUUUCAAGAAAAAUAAUUGAAAAGGGUUUUCCAAGUAAAUUCAAUGACCAAGAACUUGUUAUUGUUUGGUUCUUUUAAAAUAAUUAUAUAGGUGAUAUACACGUUUUGUUUUGCCCUUUUUUUAAAAAAAUCUUUGAGUUAAUGAGUGCAUGCACCAUUUUAUUAAGAAAAGAGGAGGGAUAAAUAUGCACGGUUACUCUGUUAAAAGAGUUAUUGCAGCAUUUCUUUUCGCGUUGCUUUUUGGUGUUGCACUAUUAUUUCUAAUGCCGGCCGUAUAAUUCUUGUCAUAUAGCUUCAACAAAUUUAAUUUAUUAAAACCGAACAGCAAACACCGGGGCUGGCGAAUAGCGGGGCAAAUUUGGUUCGGGUUCCGAUGAGAGCGAGGUUGCGUAAAGCGCAAGGGACGCAUUUAAUGCACGGCAGGACCAUACAUUAAGGUAUACGUAUCUCAAAAAAUACGCGAAAGGUGAAUGUAGACGAGAGGCAUUUUGGUCAGCUAAAAAUCCGGCCCGAAUCUGCAAAAUCGUAAAAGGUGGCCCACUUUUCCAAAAGCGCAAAACUAAUGAAUUAUUUAUACAAAUUGGCCAAAAAUAAAAUAAAAUAAGAGUAAAAUAAAAUAAAAAAAUAAAUUACUAGCAAGAUAUAUACAUGUGUUAACAUUUUUUUAGAUUCAAAACCCGAUAUGAAUAAGAUAAACCUAUCCGAAUAGCAUAUUUGGCAUUCAAAAUUUAAAUAGAAUAAGAUGAGAAAGUGAUAUUCGGAAGUGAUGGUUUAGCGUUUUGGCGACGACGGUGAUGGAGGAGAAUAUCAAAUACUAUGAGGUCAAAUAAUCCUAUUGUGGUGACCUUAUGAAAACACACCCACAAGAUUGGAAGUGAAAAGAUUAAAUUCAGAAUUCAUUACAUAUGAUGUCCUGCCAUGAAAGAGUCUACUAUACGACAGUCACACCACAUAAUUUAUAACCAACCAAUUGUAUCUAUUUUUUUUUAGAUAGAAGUACAACAACAAAAAUAUUUUUCUAAAAAUUAUGAUGUGAUGGGUAAACUUCAUGAAUGCAUUUUGAUUGGCUAAAAAUAUCACAUCAGCAAUAUAACAGUCACAUUCUAGACUUUUCCCCUGCCAUGAGCUUCCAACGCAUCCGAAUGGUUAAAUCUUCCUCCGCAGAAAAUCACCACCUCAUCCUACCUAUUUAACUCAAUCCUAUCUAUUUUAAUACAUAUAAUAAUAAACAAAGGCAAAAAUGUAUAUAACUUACCUGAACUAUAGUCCGUUUUGAUUCAACUAUCUAUCCCCAUCCUUCUAAGGUUUAAUUUUGGUACCUAGUUGUUUAAUUUGAUGAAGUCAUUUGAUGAUUCUUUUGGUACAACACUUGUUUUAAAGAAAGUGCACUUACAUGAAUUUUGUUAAAUAUGACAAUCAGAGUACUUGAAAGUAAAUGACACAUCCAAAUUGCAAAGUGGAAGAAUUUUAAAUAGAUCAAAUCAAAUAAAUUAAAAUAUUAGAUAGCAAAAUUGAAAUUUUUUAAAGAUUUGACUUUCAUGAGCCACAGUUCAGGGAAGUUCCAUACAUAUUUAUCAGAAACAACAAAAGAGGAAAAAGAAAAAAUAAAAUAAAAAACUGUGCCCCUUAAAUGUGCUUACACAAUAACUGCUAGAAUAGAAAGAGUACUGAUAUUAACACAUAUUUAGUUUAGAUAGAGCAAAUCAGACUCAUUGAUUCAAUAUGAUCAAAUUUAAUCGGUAAAUAAUGAUUGUAAAUUUACCUAUUAAUAACAAAAUUAGUUCUAUUAGUAGCACCCCGCAAAACAAAGCUAUGAGAGAGCUUGGUCAACUUAACCCAACCUGCUUAUUACAUUUUCUAACCUAUGUAAAGAGAUUUAAGUAGGUAAAGUAAUUUUCAAUUUUAUAUGCCUGCAAAAAGUAAUAAUAUUACAAAGACACAUUUAAAUAAUCAUAAAUGUCAUAAUUAAUUUUCCUGAUAACCAUAAAUAUCAUAAUCAAUCUUUCUGAUAACGAUUCAUGAAAUUAUCCCAAGCUACCUGUCCUUCUUCCCAAAACCUCACUCGCCACCUACUAAGUUUCUGUGAGCAAAAGAAAAAGAAAAGUGACUAAAAAGUUCUUUCAUUUUACAGCAGCAAAUAUCACCUAAUCAUCUGGAUGGGAGACAUAAGCUUGAUCCGCUAUAAAUUGUUGAUAUAUUAAGUGUGACGAUUUAAUCUACUAGUAUUAAUAACUUGUUGGACCCAAACAACUUAACCAAAAUGUUUCUAAGCCCAGUUUAUACUGUUAGAGCUAUUUGUUCGUAUAUUUACAUGCACAAUUCUUUUCCUACCCAACCAAGCCUACUGGCCUGAAAUACUCAAAUCCAGUUUUUAUUGGUAGCGUCCCUAAUUCUUAAAUUUCCAUACAUAAUUUUUUCCGGUUCGACAUGGGAAUAUUGGGGUGUCGCAGGUCUAUAAUUUGUUCACUCAUGCAAUCCGAAGAUACGACAUGUACUAGCCAAUACAUCAACAACUUAUAUAACGAAACUAUUCUGCAAAACCCAAAACAUUUCCCUUCCUGUAAAACAAUGGGUUUAGAGCACAAAAAGAUGAGUUAAUUCAAAUCAAAGAGUAGGAGAAUGCAUGAUGAGCACAAUGACUGCCUUAGAAGAAAGACAGCCUCUAUUAUUGGCUAAAGAGCAAUUCUCAAUCAACAUCAAUACUGUUUGAAAGAAAAAAAGGAACACCGCGAUUUAUCAUGGGGUCACCAAUAAGAGAGGAUAAGAUGUAAGAUGUAUGCACCUUUAACAGAUGACAUUCUACAGCUUCAACUUACACCAUCAAGGCAUUUAAAGAAGUCCUAAUCAUCACACUCAAUGAUGCUCCCAUAACACCUGACAGAAUCACAGUACCACAAAAUUACAAAGUAGUCAGAAAAUAUAAUUGGGAAGGAGAGAACAAGCAUUUUGCUACAUUAGAUUUUCUUCUCACUUUUUAAAAAACGGCCUCUAGACCUCAAAAUUAAAAGCUAUUGGUUGAAACUUCUACUCUUUUUUUUUCUUUAAGAAGCUAUUCGAACUGAAAAACACUUCUGCAGAAGACUUAGCUGAGCUAAAGAGGUCCAAAGUCAGAUACUUAGAGAGAACUAAAGCUCCUUAAGGGCUUCCAGAAAUUGAGAUAAUACACUACCUUAAUUAAUCUCCUUUGCUAUUUCGAAGCUGUAUCUUCAAAGAGAUAAAGGCGAUUAAGCAAAGGAGAAAGAGAUUGCCCUUUUUAAAGAUUUAAUCUGAAGCAAAAUUUAUUAGUACUUUGGUUUCAACUAGACAGUUAGCAACCUCUAUAGUAGUAUGAAAAAUGAAAAAGAGAAAACACUAGCCACAAGCUCAGAAAUGCUGAUAGAUACAAUGCUCAUCACCGUAAACCAAUUGUUGAUGUACAUAACAUUUUCAAUUACCGUUUUCUAAUGUCACAAGGUUAUCAAUUGACUUGCAAAACAUUAUGGUGAAUCAAACAUGGGCUGGCGCUAAUUAAUAUCUUGAACUCCAGAAAAACUUCAAACUAAACGUAGGUAACUCUCAAGUCACAAACUUUCAAGUACCAACUGUAAAUAAAACAAUCCACUGGGGUGAUUUUAUCUACUUCUGAAAAGAAGAGUGCAAUUGCUCAACAUCGACCGUGAAACAUUCUAGCACUCAAAUAACAAGUUUAAUGGACUUACAUAGUACACCUUGUUAUUUCCCUCUUUCAUCAAGCUUUAUUCUACAUAUGCAUGUUGUUAUUAUGAUAUUGUAAAUGUCCUUUAUGUUCUGCGGCUGAGAUUCUGUAAUUGAUACUAGUAUAUUCUUUGAAGGGUCAAAAGAUCCUUUACAUCCUCAUUUCUGAAGACCAAUUAACAAUAACGACAAGCAAAUGCCUAGGAUGGAACUGACGCAUUUGCGUGUGUUUUAUAUGCUAUCAAACAGAACAGGCAAUAUUCCAAGAAUUAAUGAGAUAAUGAUGGAAGAGAGUGUUAUCGACUAGUUUAAUCAUCAGACAGAAAAAAAAUAAAGAAAUAAAAAUAAAAAGAGAAGACACAUACCUUCUGUGUCAGAUGGUCUGAGGAAACUACCAUUCUUUACAAUUUAAUCUCCUCUACCAGUCGAAAUAGUUCAUAGAGAGAAGAACACCUAAAUGCAGAUCAUAUUUUAGAAGCAGAACAUAUAGGAAAAAUUCCAAAAAUAUUGAACAAAAAAUAUGACAGUUUCAUUGUGCUUUUCUUUCAAUCUUGACCCUUCAGGUCUGUGCUUUUGCCUAGUCAAAAAGUACCAAAAGGUAAUUACAUAAAGUGGCGAGUUAAUGUGCAAACUCUAACAUGCCACCAACCAGCUACAUCGUGCAAACAUCAAACAACUACGGAUGGAAAGAAGGGACUAAGAAAACUCGACAAAAAAAAGGUAACUAGUUGAAUUGGAAGCUAUUUGACAUAACAAAGUUCAAUCACAUCAAAUGUUCCUAUUACAAAGAAAGUGCUCAAAUUUCUACGUAGCUGGCAGUAUUGCCAUAAUACAAUUGGAAAGAGAAAAGGAAAAAGAAGAAGAAGAAGAGAAAAACUGAAUAGUAUACAAGAUUGCCUCUCAAUUCUGGCUAGAAAAUAGAAAGAGAGAAAGGUUUGAGACCUGACAAAUAUGGAAGCAUCUCCAAUCAAAUAUUGGCGUAACAAAAGUAACCUGGCAAGAGUUCUCUAUAAUGAGCUUGUGUCAGUUGACAGAAUAGUUAGGUGAAAAUGUGAAAUUUGGGACGAGGUUAGCAUAACUACAUCUUCUCAACGGCUGGUUGUCCCAAAUCUAAAAAAUUCAAGAAGUAAAUUAUUGAAGUGCAUACAAGGACCAACUUUUUUCAAAAAAACUGUAUCCAAUGAAUGCUGAUUGAUAGCUUCUUCCCAUGCUUCUUCAGAAUUGUGUUAAGAUAUGUCCCCAUCUAACCUAAGCAGCAUAAUAUACCUCAGGAGCCAAGCAAACAUUAAAAAUGAUGGUAUAUUGAAAAAAAAACUACAAGCUUUUACCUGGGGAUGCAGUUCAUCCAGUAACGCUUCAAAUAAUUCCAACCCAAACUUCACAAGCUCCUUCAAAUCAACAGGAGAAAUAUCAAAUUUCGCUUAUAAAAAACUAUAGAUAAAGCACAAAAAUGUUCCGGUAGUUAAUGUGUAAAACCGACACAGGUUGAGCAUUAGAAAUACUACAAUAUUUUACUAAGAAAUACAUUAAUAUCCAAGGAACAGAGGUCACAAAUACAAUAUGAUUAUCAAAUAAAAUCAGUUCCAACAAGAAUUCUGGUUUUUCAAUUUACAGAACUAGCAAUGAUUGAGAAAUUUGUCAGAUAUGAGAAUGAACGUUCAAAAUCAUAGUUUCCAACAAUACUCGCCCAACAAUAAAGAACAAGUGAACAGCAACUGAAAAUCAACAUAUUGAACUAUCAUCGAUAUUCAUCGUCAAGAAUCUAGAUAAAAGUCAUAAAUUGUUUUUUUUUUUGGUUGCAAUGAAAAUAUACUUGAGAUGGAGCCAAUUUUUGGUAACAUAAGGAUUUUCUGACUUCAAUAGGAAUGCAAAAUGAGUUAAUGCACCUCCAAAUUAGAAGCUAUAAGUAGCAGCUUCUAUUUCUAGUCCUUUGGGCUUCUCAAUUAGUUGAGUUCUACUUGAAAAACACUUCUGCAGGGAUUCAAUUGAGCCGAAGAGGCCCUGAAUUAGGUACCAGAGUCAUGAAGCUUUUUAGGGCUUCGAGCAAUUGAGAUAAUACCGCUAUCAUGAUUACCUAAAUUGGCUCUUUCAGAUUGGUAUACUCAAAAAAAAAAAAGAAGAGAAGCUUGUUGAAUCAUCGGCACUAACCAUAAUUCCAAAAACUUCAGCAGUUAGAAAGAAGGCAACCAAUUAACUUGAAGCAUAUAAAUACAACGCCCAUGGGACAUGAUUGUGACUUGGCCCAACCCGGCCUCUGCUGCAUAGGAAGGAUGAUGGCCUAUGCAUAAAUUGCAGCAUGCAUGAAUCGAAUCCGUGACCUACUCUGAUACCACUUCUUGGAUCAUCGAUGCUACCACAGUUCAAGAAACUUGAGCUAUCAAAAAGGGGCAAUCAAUUCACUUAAAGCAUAAAGAAACAGUGGCUAAGAAUCUCAAUUGUGACUUGGCCCAAUCCGGCCUCCACCACAUAGACAGGAUGUUGGCCUACCCGCCAAUAAAGCCAAAAUUAGGCAAAGGAGGAAGAGCUCCAAUUCGCUAGAGAUUUAACCUUAAGCAAAAUGAAUCAGGAGUUCCAAGUCUCAACUAGAUAUUUACUGCCCCUCUAUAGUACAGUUAGAAUAAAAGGAGAGUUAUUUGUCACAAGGACAGAAAAUGCUGAUAUAUAAAUCGCUCUACGAAGUCUUAUAGUUGAUGAUUUUUUUUAUUUCCUGCAAAUCACAUUUACAUUGUGCAUAGAGAAAUACUCUAUUCCAAUUGCUGAUGCAUGCGAUAGAAUCUAAUGUUCCAAGCAAAGUAGUGACGUAACAACCCUAAGACGUAGAGGUAACAUCAUGCAAACACAAUUUGAAAUUACAUAGAUAAAUAUGAAAUUAACACAACAUGAAUCCAUUAAUCCGAAAAUAAUACGACAUGAUUACCAGUGCCUAAAAACGAACCAAAUUUAAGUUUGAGGUCAGAUUGAGCAAGCCUUCAAGCCUAAUCCUCAAAAUACUGAAAUUAGUACCCUUAUCUAUAAAUACCCUUUUAUAGGGAACAUUUGGUUCGGGUUAUCCUGUCAGGAUUAUAGGCAAUGCUGUCAGUAUUAUUGCGUUUGGUUCAUUCAGUUUGUAAUCUGGUCGGUAAUAUAGUAUUACAAAUAGUGCAAGAUUACUCCGAAAAUAUUACCGAGCAGGGGGUUGGAUAUCCCGUAUUACUGAUGGUGGGUUAUUUUGCAUAUUAUGUAAAAUUACAAGUACCUCUCCAACGAACCCAAACCUUUUCAAUACGUUAUUUUUAAAUUUUAAAUUUUAAAUUUUAAAUUUUUAAAUUUUAAAUUUCAAACUUUUUAAUUUUAAAUUUCAAUUUUUUUAAUUUUCAAUUUUAAUUUUCAAUUUAGAUUUUAAAUUCUAAAUUUUAAAAUUUGAAAUUUAAAUUUUCAUAUUUAUAUUUUAAAUUAAAAUAUUAAAUUUUAUAUUUCUGUUCAUAUUUUAUUUUAAAUUUAAAUUUAUAUUCUAAAUUAUUUUAAAAUAAAAUUUAGCAAAAAAGUUAUUAUUUGUAAACAGUAAAUUUUUCUUUCCAAAUAUGACUAUAAGGGCAAUUUUAAAAUAGACUAUACUUUAUUAUUAUAAUUACUGAAUUUUAUAAAAUGAACCAAACAUAAUAAUUUUAUAUAUACUGUAAUAUAGCAUUACAUUACUACAUUAAACCAAACGUGGUAAUGCAGUAUCAGUAGUAAUCUGAUUAAAAAAUCUCAGAUAUCUAGUUAUGUCGAAAUAACCUGUAAUGCUAUGCUACAUAACACGAACCAAACGCGCCCUUAUAGCAAUGCUACCCUAACGGAAAAAUAGAAACAAACUUAUCUAUUAACCGAUAAAACUACUUGAUCAAAACGGAAAUUGGGUCAAUCACAAAUGUUCGAGGCAGAUCCUACAAUGACUGAGAUACGCUAAUUUUGUUUUGAUACAUGAUAAGAAAGCCAUACCCUUUGCAACCAUAGAAAACAACAUGAUACGACAUGCAUAGUUAUUGACUUUAUACACAAGUAUGAUAAAAAGUAUAUAACUACAAAGACAUUGUUUGCUAAGUAGAUUCGCGUAGGCUUUUCAGAUGAGCAAUCUACACAUGAAUAUUGAAGGCUUAGUGCAAUAUCUUUACAGGUCCGUCACUUUACAUGUCGGGUCAGAUUGGGCACACAUUGCUAGGGUGAUCUCUUCAUUAAUUGCUUAAGAUGCUACUCUAAUUAUACAUUAUGUUUGUUCUGAAGGCACACAUCAAUAAUAUUUUCUUGUUCACAGUUGGUAAUAUGUUCUGCUAGCAUAUAGUGCGUUGGAUGUCAUGUAUGAUAUGUACAAGCGACAAACUGGAACUUCUAGAUCAACAGAGAUACUACAGUUUGAGCCGAAUGGAAAACCAAGCAUAGCAGUAGUAAAACUCGAUCAAAUGGACUUUCAGAAAAACUUCAGUGAUACAAUUUUGAUAAUCUGUACACUCUUUGAGAAAUGAAGGAUAAAAUCUACAAAAAAGUUUCAUCGAUUAUUAUUCAAACUGAAGUAAGGUUCUACCUUGAAUGGGAACAUUCUGAUUAGGAUGACACAAGAACUUUUCAUGUGUUUAGCUCCAACUUGGCAACAGUUAGCUCCAACUUGGCAACAGUUCACUCCAUCACCUGAACCAAGUCAAAUUUACCAGUUAUUGGUGAAAAAGAAGAACAAUGAUUUCUUAACCAGUUAUAUGCUGUUCCAGCUCACCACUUAUACAGGUCAGGAAGUUGAAUAGACAGAAGAAGUUCACUUCUGGCGAAUGGCAAAAGUGUCUAAUCAAUUCACUCAGCCAUCAUCUCUUCCCCAAAUAAAUAUCCUCCAGUUCAAAAUUCCACAUCUCUAAUGCCAGAGCAUAUAGCUUGAUUAUUGAGCCACACACAUUCGUGAUCCUCAUAUCAUCAGUGUGUUGAGAACUGAAAAUAUUUCAAUCAACUAUUCUUUGGAUGUUUCCCUCGCUAGGAUAACAUAUGUAUGGAAACUAGGUUUACAAUCAUUAGUUUCCAUAAUGUGAAGAAAUGUCAUGUAUAAAUCUUGAUGUCCUCCCCUCAUCAGUCCAUCAAUGAGGAUGGUCCAUGCGAUCUCAUCAGGAUUCCAAAGCUGUGCGAGCAUGUUUCGAAAUAUACUUUGGGCUUUUGAUGUCCUGCCAACUUUGCAUAAAGCACAUAUUAGUGCUUUAUAGCCAGUUAGAUGCAGCUCAAAGCCUUGAGCAGUCAUCUUAUCGAAAAUUUCUGACGCAAGAUCUACUUCUAAGUUACUUGCAAGUACUUGUAGCAAAGAAUUAUAUAUCUCCCCAUCUGGUGAUAACUUUUGGUCAAUCAUACUACUGACCAACUGAUAUGCCUCAAACCAUCUUCCUUCUCUACAUAAACCACUUGCUAUCAUUCUAUAUACAUCAAUUGUCAAUUCAACUCCAAACUCUUCUAACUUAGCUAACAAGUUAGAAACCAACUCGUUGUUAAUAACCUUCUCACUAUAACUAAAACUGGAAACUGAAUUUGGCAAAGCAGCAAGUUUCUGAUCCAUUAUUUGGUGUUCCAUAAGCAAGCAUUUAACUAGAACACCAUACGUCUGGUAGUUGGGCUUGCACCCAGAACCAAUCAUUUGCCUAAAGAAUUCUAAAGCAAGAUCAACUCUACCAAUCAUAGCAUAACCGUCAAUCAUUGAAGUAUAUGUAACGUGAUCAGGAACCAACCCUUUUUCGCCGAGCGAUGCAAACAUCUUCUCGGCCUCCUCAAUAUUACCUUCUUGGCAUAAACCACAUAAAAGAGCACUAUAAGUAUGAAGAUUAGGUGAACACCCUCGCUCCUUCAUUUCUUCCAUUAUUUUUAGUGCUAAGGAUGUAGCACCGUUCUUACACAAACCAUCAAUUAAUGCGGUAUAAGUAACGAUGUUAGGAAAGAGCUUCUCGUGAACCAUCUCUCUACUUAAUCUCUGAGCUUCAGCCAAUUGAUUCUGCUUGGAUAAACCAUUAAUUAUGGCAUUGUAAGUUUGCACAUUUGGUUUACAACCACUUCUAUCCAUCUUUUCAAGCAAGGACAAGGCAAUGUCUAUUUUCCCGUCCUUACAGUAACCAUCUAUAAUAGCCGUAUAAGUUACCUCAUUGGGAUUCAAACCAUGGAGGACCAUUUCUUCAAAGGUCUUAGAAGCUAAUUCCAACUUCCCUCCUUUACAAAACCCACAAAUAAGUUCAGUAUAUGUCCACUCAUCAGGCUUGCACCCAUGUUCCUUCAUAAGAUCUACCACCCUAAGGGCAUUAUUAAGAUUGCCUAAGUUACAAUAUCCCUUUACUACAGUGUUAUAUGUCACUUGGUUUGCUGAAGGGCCAACUGUUAGCAUCCUAUGAAAGAGAACCAUCGCCUUUUCAAUCUUUUCCACUAAACAGAGCCCUUUUAUCAUCUCGUUGUAUGUUAGGGAAUUCCGCAAGCAACCUCUCAUCUCCAUCAAAUCGAAAAUUCUUAAAGCCAAAUCGAUUUUCCUGUUAUCGCACAAUCCAUUGAUCAAAGCAUUAUAGGUUACUGUACUUGGGACCAAACCAUCCCUCACCAUCUUAUUAAACAAACCAAUUGAUAUUUCAAGCCAAUCCGAUCUGCAUAGCCCGCUAAUGAGUGCCGUAUAAGUCUGAACAUUCGGCAACAACCCUCUCUUUUGCAUUCCAACAAACAGAUUGGACGCAUCCCUGAUGCGUCCAAAGCUACAAAGAACGACAAUCGGCAAAGUGUACGUGUAGACCGUCGGCUCAAUACCUCUCUCCGGCAUCUCGUUCAUCAAAUCCAAUGCCUCAUCAACUCUCCCUACGUCACAUAGCCCAUUGAUCAGUGUAGAGUACGUAGCUGAAUUAGGUUCACAGCCAUCAUUAACCAUCUGAUCAAAGACUCGAAAAGCUGAAUCCAGAUCGCGGUUCCGGCAAUGACCCAGCAUUAAGGAUGUGAAAGUGAACGUGUCGGGCUUCAUUUUGCACUGGAAAAUCCUACUUAGAAUCAACCCAGCCUCCUUGAUCUUCCCAUUCUUACACAAAAUAUUGAUGACGGUAUUGAAGGUCAAGAGAUUGGGCUCGAUGCCAUUCCUCAACAUCUGGUGGUAGAGAUUCAUUGCAACCCCGACCAUAUCAAAUCUACCCAAUUGAAUUAACAACGUAGUAUAGCUGAAGAGACCCAAAUUGAGGCCCCUUUUGCUAAUAACAUCCAAGAAAUCGAUCGCCCGCGUCAGCUCCUGCCUACUCCGGCACGAUUUGAUCAUCUGGAUCCGGACCCUCCCGGCGGCCGCGAGCAUCCGAGCGGCGACGAGCCGGUCGAGCAGCGCGAAGUAGCAGCCCAAGUCCUGUUUGACGAAAUGCCUCUGAGAGACCCAGUUGAAGAAAUCCAACGCCCUCGCGGCGUCGCGGUGGGAUCCGAUGAUCCGCGAGACGUGGUGCGGGAGGAGGGCCGGGGCGAGGCGGGCGAGGUCGGGGCUAUCUCUCCACCGGGGAAGGGAGAGGAUCUCCAGGGCUUUGGAGGCGAGGAAGGAGGGGUCCUCUCCGUGGUCUGCGUUGGGGGAGAGCGAGCAGAGGGAAUGCGAGAGGAGGAGGAGGGGAGGUGGGUGCGGCGGUUUGCGGAGGAGGGAGAGAGGGGAGGUGGAGGCGAUGGAGUAGGGUUUCAUCUUCUCAUGGAGUAUGGCCGUGGGAAGAAGAAGAAGAAGAAGAAGAAGAAGAGAGAAAGAGAACGUGGGCAGGUUUAAGGCCACGGCUUUAGAGAGAGAGAGAGAGAGAGAGAGAGGGGGGUUGGAGAGUAAAAACUUAGGAGAGGAGAGGAUGGAGAAAUGGAAAACUCGUGAGGAAGCAAAUUUGGAGUGGAUUUAAGAAAAUUCAAUGGUUUUAGGGGGCUCCAAUUGUUGUUAGAACUUGGUAAUUAAUUUUGUCUUAGUAUUUGUUGUCAUAACAUUAAUUAGAUAUACACAUUUGAGAAUAUAGAUGCCCAGAGUUGAAUCGGAAUACUAUCCAACCAUCCAUUUAUUUUCGAUGACGGAAACUUUAAAUCAGCUUGACAUUAUUGAAUAUAAUCUAUACACUUAAAAUAUCUAUAAAAUAAAUUUCAAAUCUUUUCGAUAUUAUUCUUUUGUUCAUCAAGUAGACAUAAAAAUAAACGACUGAAAAUAAAUAUCAUUUAAAGAAUAUAGAUCUUAUUCAAAAUAGUUUAAAGAAUUUUCUAAAAAAAAUUCAAUUGAUUUGAAUAUCGUUAUGCCGUUAAACGAAAAAACAUCUUAUAUCGACUAUUAAAAUUAUAAAUUUUGAAAUCCUUUGUUGAGUAGGCCAAUGAUGGCGAGAAGAUUUGAAAUUUGAUUUCUAGAUACUUCAAGUGGUAUGUAGAUCAUAUUCGAAGAUGCCGAUCGUCGAUUUGGAGCCUCUAUCAUCGAAAACAAAUAAGUGACAAUGGAGUUCGUUUGCUACUGAUAGUAUUCCAACUCAACUCUAUAUAAUUAAUAGAACUUGUUUUAUUUUUAUGUCUAAAUAAGUUAUCCAGUAAUAACUUAUACGAUUUUAAAUUUUUUUAUUAAAAUUAAAAUUUAGAAGUGUAAUCAAAUGUUUAAAUUAAAAUAAUAAAUUUGAUUUUCAAAUUAUUUUUUUCGAAACAAAAAAAAUAACCAUAAAGGUAAAUUAUGUUAGUAUAAUAUUACUUUAUAGAUAACAAAGCCUUUCAAGCUCUAAUAAUUAAACUUCUACCUUUCGAAUUAUAGAAGAAAAUUUUUUUACCAAAUAAAUUAUACCGAGAUAACAUAUUUUGUCAUUCCAAUAAGUGAGAAUUUGGUUUAUAUAAGCAUAUUGUAUACAAUAGAAAGGCAUAAUGACAGGGACUUAACGAAAUUGCUCUUUGCGAAUAAAAACGCUAAGGCGUCACAAUAAGCUAUGCUUUGAUACAUGAAUAUCUUAUUUAAUAUAUAUAUAUAUAUAGAGUGAGGCUACUAUGCUAUCGAAAGCACGGAGCCUUCCGUGCUUCCAGCUCGUUUUCGAUGUUGCGACUUUCGAAUCGUCGAUCGGCUCCGUUAGAAUUGAUCUAGAGUAUUUGGAGUACUUAGAAAAUAAAUUUUAUUAUUUUUCGAUAUCAUUUGCCUAGUGAUCGAAUGGGCUCAAAAUCAACAAAUUUCAAUGGCCGUAGUGAGCCGUUUGCAAGUUUAACGGUGUAGAAAUAUCCAAAUCACGUGAAAUUUUGAUAGAAAAUUCUUUAUACUAUAUAAAACAAGAUCAAUAUCUUUGAUUUAAAAUUUUAAUGUCAUAUUAUUACAUUUUGUAAGAUUUUUAUUUUCAGCCGUUGAUUUUGAGCCCCUUCGUUCACUAGGCAAAUGAUAUCGUAAAAUCAUAAAAUUUAUUUUCUAGGUACUUCAAAUACUCUAGAUCAAGUUUAACGGAGCCGAUCGACGAUUCGAAAGUCGCAACAUCGAAAACGAGCUGGAAGCACGGAAGGCUCCGUGCUUCCGAUAGCAUAGUAGCCUCACUCUAUAUAUAUAUAUAUAUAUAUAUUUACAUAAAAAGCUUGUAGUAAUUGGCAAGUGAGAAAUAUGAUAUAUUAUCUAGAAUGGAAUAAUCAUAUUUCGUUCAUUUUUUAAAUAGGAUAAAUCACAUCACAAAUAAAAUAUUGUGUUCAACCAAAUUAUUAUAGAGGUCAAAAUCAUUCAAAAAGCAUAAAUCAAACUAUGCUUUUUAAUCGAACAAGAAAAUUCUUAUAUCAAAUAAGUUAUGUUCAAAUUGGACCCUAAUGCCAGGAAUUGCCAACUUAAAGAUAAUUUUUACAAAAGUAAAAUAUUGAAAUUGAAAUCCACAACUAAAAUUUGAAUUAUAAACUAAAGUUAAUAUGUUUAUAAAUUUAUAAUCAAAAUCCAACCCUCUAGACUAAUUGAAACACCUAAUAGAAAUCAAACAUUUAAACCUGACUAUUCCUUAUGCAAACUUAAUAGACAAAACUCAAAUAAUUAUUAGUUUGUACGCAAAUUUAUUUUCGGUACCAAUUUCAAGUUUUAGUUUGAGUUUAAUGUGGAUACAAGUGGGGAAAAAAAGGAUUUUUUUUUUUUUUGGCCAAUUCUGCGAGCCAAAUUGGCUUGUUGAAUCAACCACUAUAGUACAACUUUAGUAAAGAAAAUAAAAUAAAAUUAAAACUAAAACUGCAACGUAAUUGAUCCUAUCCAGCUACUAUUUAGGGUUAUUUGGUUGAAUGUAGUUAUAGCAAUUAUAACUAUAUGCAAAGGCUAAAUUACAUAAAAUCUCCCGUCAAAAUCCGCUUUUUCACUUUUCCCUCCUGUUAUUUAAAAACCUACACUUUACCCCUUUGUAAAAUAAAAAAUAUGCACACUACAGUGUGAAAAAUGACCAUUUUGCCCUCCACCAUUUUCGUCUUCUCCCUCAUGCUCUUCAUCUGCGGCCUCGAUCGGCCAUGGUUUGCCCCUCGAUCGGCCACGAUUUCUCUUCAUUUUCUUCUCCACAUGCUCUGCUUCUCCUCCUACAGCCUCGUUGCACCUCGAUUUCGGCGACAGUAUGGAGGAAAUCGAGGUGGGCAUGGAUGGAGAGGUGGCAACGGCAACAAGGGCGAAGUCGAGGCGACGGAGGAGGGCGAGGGGGUGGUUAUGGGCCCAGACGGAGAUGUGGGCGAGGGCGAGGCAGUGGAGGAAGGCAAGGCGGCGAGGCGGAGGAAGCGAAGCAAUAGGAAGAUGGCGGAGGGGUAUUUUUGGCAUAAAAAUUUUUGUUUUAACGAAAUCCUAACAGAUCGCUAACGACAGGAGGUGAAGUGCAUAUUUUUUAUUUUACAAGGGGGCAAAGUGUAGGUUUUUAAAUGACAGGGGAGGAAAGUAAAAAAGCGGGUUUUGACAGGAGGGUUUUCUGUAAUUUAGCCAUAUGCAAAUCCAAAUUCAGUAUUUGGUUUAAUAUAUUAAAUCUAGUUGCUAUAGUUAAAACUGCACAAAGAGGUUCAACCAUAAUAGCUAGAAUUAUAUCCAAAUUGAUCGCAGUUUUAAUUACAACUUUUGAAAAGAGUGACUUCAAAUAAAAGAUAACCUUAUUUUCCUCAUCACCUUUUAAAUAGAUUUUUUUUUUUCUAUAUUUGCGGGUAAUCUCGCAUCUCAUACACACAUAUUGAUAACAUUUUAUACAUGCACUUUUUAACCACAUGCGACUAAACAAAUUUUUAUAAUUAUAGUACUUUUUAUUAUACACAAUUAAGAAAGAUGUUUGUAGUUCUAAUUGCUAUAUUUUUAAUUACAUUUAUAUUCACCUAUACUGUAUUUAUAAUUAUAUUCAACCAAUUAAAGUCAGAUUCGACAUAAUCAGUGCUGCAAUAAUAUGGUACUACAAAACAUGCAAUUCUACACUGUCAAAAGCACAUAACCAUAGUUAUGCUAGAAUAUAACCAAGUUUAUAUAAUUAUCAUGAUCAUGGAAUGAUAAAUACUACAAUGAAAGAAACUGUAAUCUCUAACUCAAUGAGAUAAUAUCCUACUCUCAGUUUAUCAAUGCGCAGAAAAUUAGUUGAAGUCAAAGAUCAAUCUAAUAAAUGCCUGCUCGGUCGCCCUACGGUUUAGGUUUGGACAACCGCCAUCGUAAAGUUGACCAUGCUAAAGUCCGUUGACCAUUGGGCCCUGAAAUCAGUCCUAUGCUAGUUCCUAUGCCGAUCGACCACAGAAGUGCGGUCAAUUGGUUAUGUGAAAUACGGAGCAUCAAAAGGUAGUUCAAACCACACCUAAUAAGAAAUCAAAAUAAGAAAUCAAAAAAAUUAGAAAUCACCCAAAGAUCAAAACACAAAGAAAAAAAUAAAAUGUAAGGUAUUUUAUCUGAGUUUUGAGCUUUGAAAUCGAAGAAUGGGUGGCUUGAAGCGACCUUUAUUCUUCAAACCCGGAUGAAGUCGUUGGCCUCCACCAUGCAACAUAGAACAUAUGGAGAGUAGCUUCGCUUGAAAAUAACCGACCAUCCCUAAAGCAAGUGGCAAAGGGCUUGAUGGCUGGUACUGAGGUCCCAAGUUCGAAUCCUAGUUGAUUCACAUUUCUAGCUAAGUUUAUUUCUAAAUGAAAUAAACGAAGCGGGUAGCGUGCUACCUAUCUCUCAAAAAAAAAAGAAAAAAAAAAAAGAAAGCUUCGCUUGAAAAUAACAUAAAGCACGGGGAGGAGAGAGAGAGAGAGAGAGAGAGAGAGAGAGAGAGAGAAGAGUAAGGGAGGAAAAAUAAGGGGAAACAAGGAGGAGCUAGCGACAGAAAAAAGGAAAAGAGAGGGAAAAGAAUUAGUGAAAGAGAGCGGAAGAGAGUGAAAAAGAGGAGGAGAUAGUAAGAAAAAAAAGUGUAACGGAGAAGAGGAAGGGGGGCAAAGAUAGGUAGAGGAGGUUGCUUCCCUAGGCAAGUGAGGGACUGAGAGGAGUGAGGUGUUGUAGGUAGAAAUAGCUAUAUCAAUUGGCUCGAUCGACAGGAUGUAAUUCCUCGGUCGAUAAUAUUGUUGGUCCAAGCUAAGUCCAGAUUGGCAAGUGGCUUCGACGGUUCUCAACGGUUGCUUAACUUGAUUUCCAAAUUCAAAUGAUAACUUUCAAAAUAAAAUUCAACAUAAAGAUGUAUAAAUAUGAACUAAAUCAAUGAAAGAUCAAUAGAUUUUAUUUCAUGUCAUUCUAAGCGAACUACAAAUUAUAAAUCCUAAAUAAUUUUUUGAAUAAUUAAAUUUAGUAACGGCAUUAUGGUCCAAGGUCAAAAUUUAACAAUGAAGUAAUGAUAGUCAACCUGCAUGAAAUUUUGGAGCUUCAGAAAGACAUCUAAUAAUUAAAACUUUAUAGGGAUGUAAUAGAAUUUUGUAAAGAUAAAUAUGUAAUUUUAUAGAUUUGUUGGGAUAUAUAUAUAUAUGCAACUAUCUCUAAAUCUUGCAAGGUAUUAUUAUGAUAGAGAAGAUUUUCCCCUCAUUGAGAAAAAAAAAGAAAAAAAUCUAGAAUGUGACAGGCAAAUAGAGUUGUGUCUUUCGUCAAUCAUAUUUAUUUUCCAGACUUUUUUUUUAAUAAAAAAAAUUUUCUCUUAUCUUAAAAAGCCAGCUCACAAAAAAGGUGUGUUUACAUGUGUUAUAUAGUAUCAGAGAAGAAAACAUGUUUCAAUUUUUUGUUUAGGGAUUGAACGUCUUCCUUUUUCGGAGUAAAACUUUCAUUCAGGUAUAAUCUUGCUGAAAAAUGGCCAAUAAAAGAAAAGCUUUCUUCAUUUUUUUAUAUUGAGUUUUAUGCUUGAAAAUGUCAAGCCUUUUUCUAAUGCCGGCAAAUCGAACAUGUUUGCCCAUUCUAUUAUGAUUUUUUUAAAAAACAUUUUUAUUAUAUUUUUUACCAAAAAGAAUAUAAUUGAGUAAAGGGUUAAUUCCAUAUAGCUCCAUUUAAACCUAUCUGUGAGACACCAAAUAGUCUUAUAUAUAAAAUAUAAUAGAGCUAAAACUCUGAUCCCGGCUUAAGAAUUGUGAGUGGUGGAAAGACCCAAGAUGUUAAGAAAGUUAAGCGUCGUAGGACGGGAGUAGUCCUAGGAUGGGUGACUUCCUGGGAUGUUGGGGUAUGGUAUCGAAGUCAAUUACUAACCAGAAGUGUGAGAUGAGUCUCGGCUGAGCCAUGGUCGGAGUGACAAGGCUAGCAAGAGGAGUCUCACAUCACCUGGUAUUUGUGAGUUUGAGUCUGACGAGAACGUCAAGGCUUUUUAAAGGGGGGUAUUUGUGAGUUUGAGCCUGACGAGAACGUCAAGGCUUUUUAAAGGGGGGGAGAAUGCGAGACGCCUUAUAAUCCUAUAUAUAAGAUAUAAUAGAAUUAAAACUUUUAACCCGACUUAAACAUUUUGGGUGGUGGUUAGGUCUUAGCCAUCAAGAGGUUAAGGAAGUUAAGCGUGCUAAGACGGGAAUAGUCCUAGAAUGAGUGACCCCUGAAAAGUUAGGGUGUCAUAAUAUCGAAUAGCAAAUAUAUAUAUCUAUACAAAGUUCAACUUUUCAUAUUUAUCUCUACAAAAGUCGAGUGGUAUUCAUACUUGCCCUACAAAAGUCUAAUAAUAUUUAUAUUUGUCUUUAGUUUGUUACCAUUAGAGUACUAUUUAUUUUUUAACAAAUAUAAGUAAAACGAUAUUUUUGUCAUCACAAAUAUGUCGCUCCAAAAAUUCCAACUAUUAGAAUUAUAUAGAAAUGUCAUUCCAAAAAUUUUCAACAAUCAUUUUCUUUCUUUCUUUCUACCACGACAAAUAACAUAAGAGAGAUAAAAGAUAAAAUUUACCCUAUUUAUUAAUUAGGGCUAAUUAACUAUAUUUUUUUAACAAAUUCUAAUAUUAGAAAUAUAUUUAAAAAUAUUAAAAUUUUUGCAAAGAUAAAUAUAAAAAGUUAAAUUUUAUCGGAGAUCAUCAUUAAUAAAUUUACAGUUGUUCUGCGGCACUAAUGGUGAGCAUGCAGCCUCCGCCCUCCCCACCAACUCAUCCAUGUCGUCGUCUUCUUCCUCCUCCCUCCUCCCCCACCCACCACCACCGCCGACGCGCUCCGCCGCUCCUCCGCCUCCUCCGCCUCCUCCUCCUCCACGCUCCCCUGCCUCAUCAAAGCCUCCGCCCAAUUGGAGGCCGCCCCAGAAGGGAAGCAGCUCCAUGGCCUCGCCCUAAAGCUCGGCUGCGCCUCCGAUCCCUUCGUCAGCAGCAGCUUGGUAAGCUUCUACGCCAAAUGCGGCGACUUGGGCUCGGCGAGCAAGGUGUUCGAUCGCAUUGCGUGCAAGGAUUCGGUCGCUUGGAACUCGUUAAUCGACGGGUACGCGAAGAGCGGAGCGAUCGGGCCCGCACGGAAGCUGUUCGACGAAAUGCCGCAGAGAGAUUUGUUUUCCUGGACUUCGUUGAUCAACGGGUACUCGAAGUUGGGGGAGAUUGACACCGCACGGGAGCUGUUUGAUCGAAUGCCGGAGAAGAAUGCGGUCUCCUGGAAUGCGAUGAUAAACGGGUACAUGCGAAGCGGGGACUUUGCGUCGGCAAGAAGGCUGUUUGAUGAAAUGCCGAUGAGGAAUCUUGUCACCUGGAAUUCGAUGAUCUCGGGCUUUGAGAAGCUCGGUCUUUUUAACAAGGCUCUCGAGGUUUACGAUGCAAUGCGCCGAGAAAACUUGGCUCCCAAUACCGUUACGUUGGUAAGCGCGCUUUCGGCGGUCUCAGGGUUAGCUCUUCUUCAGAGGGGUAAGGUGAUUCACACGCACGUUCGCCAAAAUGGAUUCAACUUAGACGGCGUUCUCGGAGUCUGUCUUAUUGAGAUGUACUCAAAGUGCGGAAGCAUAAAGAGCGCACUCUCUGUUUUCAAACGGAUUCAUAGGAAAAAGGUGGGGCAUUGGACCGCGAUGAUCACGGGCUUAGGAAUGCAUGGCAUGGCCGGGCACGCCAUAAAACUCUUCGGAGAAAUGCAGGGCGCUGGAUUCAAACCGAAUUCCGUAACUUUUGUGGGCGUGCUGAACGGUUGUAGUCAUGCGGGAAUGGUGGAAGAGGGUCGGCGCUAUUUUGAGCUCAUGCGCACAAAGUAUGAUAUAAGGGCGACGGUAGAACACUAUGGGUGUUUGGUGGACCUUCUUUGCCGAGUUGGUCGGUUAGAAGAGGCGAGAGUUGUGAUAAACCGGAUGCCUAUGAAGCCAAACAAGGUAAUAUGGAUGAGUCUACUUAGUGGGUGUAGGAAAUAUGGAAACAUCGGCCUCGGAAAAUAUGCUGCGGAAAAUGUUGUUGAACUGGCACCCGACGUGUCAGGUUGCUACGUCCUUCUCUCCAAUAUAUAUGCCUCCGCUGGCCGUUGGGACGAAGUCUCGAAGCUUAGAGAGUUGAUGAAGGAUAGAGGAGUGAGAAAGGACCCAGGUUGCAGCAUGGUGGAAUAUGAUGGCAUUGUUCAUGAGUUUAUUGUGGGGGACAGGUCUCAUCCUCAAACCAAAGAGAUCUACUGUAAAUUGAAUGAGAUGGGUAUCAAAUUGAAAAGCGCGGGGUAUGUACCGGAUACUUCGCAGGUUCUAUUAUGCGUGGAAGACAAAGAUAAGGAAGCCGAGUUGGCUCGUCAUAGCGAGAGGUUGGCGAUUGCUUUCGGGCUGAUCAAUGUGAAAGCAGGGGCUCCGAUUAGGGUCGUCAAGAACCUACGUGUUUGUAACGAUUGCCAUAGCGCGACGAAGCUUCUUUCGGCUAUUUAUGAGCGGGAAAUCGUCGUUAGGGACAAUAGCCGCUUCCACCAUUUUAAAGAUGGCGCGUGCUCUUGUAUGGAUUACUGGUGAGCUUAUCAUGUGUUUCCGGAGUAUGCUUGAGACUUUGAAGUCUCUCUAUCUUCGGUUCGUGCCGGGCGGAUUUCUGGCUUUCUCUUGAGAUUGCUGCAUAGUAAUAGUUAUUGAGUGAAUGAUGGAGUUUCAUGGUAUGUAGUACGGUAUGCACAAAGAAAUGGAAGAAGAUUUGUGUGAAGUAUUAAAUGUCAAUUGAUUGUUCAGAACACUGGAAGAUACGAUUACAUGGAAAAGAAGAUAUUCUGGGGGUGAUUAGAUCUUGAGAUUGUUUUGGGCAUCUUUGUAAGAUGACGCAAGAGAGCAGGCGAUAGCCGAUAUGAGAUGGAGAACUUCGAGCACGCUGAUUAGCACCAGUUUUGGAUUUCCUGCUCUGUAGUUCCUGUCUGUGUUAUGAGGCUGAAACACUUCUGCAACGCACUAUUCUCACUAGGGGUGGAAACGAGCCGAGCUCGAGCGAGCUUAUGUCAGCUCAAAUUCGGCUUGAAAUUAAUUUCGAGCCUAAAUCUAGGCUCAAGCUCGGCUUGAAAUUAAUUCGAGCCGAGCUCGGAGCUCUAAACGAGCCGAUUGAAAUCUCGACAUUAUAAUAAUAUAAUAUAAAUGUUAAUUUUACAUAUCUUUUACCUACAAUUUGACUGCAAUAUGUCCAAUAUUCAAAAUACAAAAUAAUUGCAAGAAAUGUGAGCGAGGGUGACUGCCUGACUGGGGUGAGGGUCUGAGGAGAAUGAGAGAAGAGAAGAGAGAGAGAGAGGAAAAAAAUAUUAGGGAUUUGAAAAUUUGAAUGUUAUCGUGUUUUAGGUAUGUUGCAACAGUAAAAGUCUGAAAGAGAGAGUGUGUUAUGUAAAUUUAGAGUUGGCUCACAUUGCACGUUAUACUUGUUGGUUUAUUUUAUGGGCCAACAAUAAUGGCCCAAAUAUAAAUUAAAGCCUAUAUAUAAUUAAAAUAUAUUAUAUUUAUAAAUAUAUAUAUAUAUAUAGAAAUUAGGCUGGAAUACUAUUAAUAGUAAAACGCUUUUUUUGCUAUCAAGUUUUUAACUCUUAGAUAAAAAAUUGCUGGUCAGGAUGAUAUUAGUCGGAUUAGAUUGACUGCUCCCUAGGUUGAGUGUCUUCUACUCAGUUUAUAGUAUUUAACCCAAUGGUUUAGAAAUAAUGAAAGAGUUGAUCCAAAGGCUAAAAACUGGUAGCAACAAUAAAUUUUGCUACUAAUAGAUAGCCCAGUCCAACUCUAUAUAAUAAUAGAAUUAGGCUAACACAUUUACUAUAGUUGAGCUCGCGUACUAUAGUGUUUGUUUUUGAUCUUAUGGCCGUUCAAUCAACGAUCAAACACCGUUAAAUAUGAUCUAGGUAUUAUAAAGUUCUUAGAAAAAAAUAAAUUUAGUUUUUUCGAUAUCGUUUACUUAGUAAUAUAAAUUAUGUCAGAAACGGGUGGAAAUUAAUACUCUUUAAAAUUUGAGCAUAGGACUUUAAAUUCAAGAUCAAGAUUUUAUCUUAAUAUAUAUAGCCUUAAAGUAUUGUUCUAUCAAAAUUUGAAGAAAAAGAUUCUUCUAACACCGUUAAACUCCAAACUCGUCAUAAUAUCUAUUGAAAUGACACUUUUGGAAUGGUUGAUCAUAAAGUAAACUAUGCUCAAAAAAAUAUAAAAUUUUAUUUCUAAAUAUUUAAAUACCCUAGAUCAGUUUAAAGUGUGGAUCGUUGACUUGAACGCUCGAAAAUCGAAAACAAACAUACUAGUACGGAGCUCCGCUACUCAUAGAUAGUAAUAGUAGCCGACUCUCUCUCCUCUCUAUAUAUAUAUAUAUAUAUAUAAUAUAUAUAUAUAUAUAUAUAUAUAUAUAUAUUAUGAUAUAUAUAUAUAACUAUACUUCCGAGGCUUUUCGAGCUUUUCGAGCCUAAUUCGAACGAGCCGAGUAAUACUCAAGCUCGACUUGAAAUGAAUUUCGAGGCUUUUAUUUUGUUCAAGCUCGGCUCAUUUAAUUUCGAGUCGAGCUCGAGCGAGCCGAAUACGAGUCGAACGCGAGCUGGCUCGCUCGUUUGCCAGCCCUAAUUCUCACUAAAGAAACAUAAGCGAACAACUGAAACAACCGAUAUAUAUAUAUAUAUAUAUAUAUAUAUAUAUAUAUAUAGAGUCCGGCGACUAUGCUAUCGGUAGCACGGAGCGCUCCGUGCUACCAAGUUGUUUUCGAUGAUGCGGCUUCCAAAUCGACGAUCGGCUCCGUUAGACUUGAUCUACACUAUUGAAAGUAUUUGAAAACUAAAUUUCAAAUUUUUUCGACAUCAUUUGACUAAUGAUCAAAAGAUCUCAAAAUUGACAAUUUUAAUGGCUGAUGUGGUGUGUUUGUGAGUUUAACGGUGUAAAACAAUCCAAAUGCGAUGAAAAUUUUAUAGAAAAUUCUUUUCACUAUUUAGAGUAAGAUCAGUAUAUCUGAUCUUGAAUUUAAAUCUUUUAUCAUCAUUUUUUAUGAGAUUUUUAUUUUCAGCCGUUCAAAUUUUGAUUACUUGUUUGAUAGGUAAAUGAUAUCGAAAAAUUAUAAAAUUUAGUUUCUAAAUACUUUCAAUAGUGUAGAUUAACUCUAACGGAGCCGAUCGUCGAUUUGAAAGCCACAUCAUCGAAAACAACUUGGUAGCACGGAGAGCUCCGUGCUACCGAUAGUAUAGUAGCCUAGCUAUAUAUAUAUAUAUAUAUAUAUAUAUAGUUCGGCUAUGGUGCUUGUAAAAGUACCAAAUAUUUAGUGCUUGUAAAUUUUUUAUCGUUAGAUCUACGCCUUUGAUCAUUUUCACCCAGAUAUAGGAACUACUAAAGGGACUAAAGAAACAAGAACAACAACUACUAAUUCAUCAGCCAAUAUAUUCCCGAAUAGUCGAAAACUAAGAGAAAGGUUUUGUGAAAUCUUCUAGGAUGUUAAUUGGUAAAAGUAUUGGAGUUGGUUUGAUGUAUUUCUCGAAAUAACCCAAUCCUUUUUUGGUAAGACCCGCAUAAAAAUAUGCCACUGACGUGGGUAAAGCUAAAGCAACAGUAGUAUUUAUAUCAUUCGUGGGCGCAGCUAACUCCCCAUGAGGUAACUAGGGAUGUCAAUGGGAAUGGAUACCCGAAAUUUUAUCCGAACCCGAACCCGAAUGAAACGGAUAUAUUCGAUGGAUAUGGAUAUGGAUUUGGAUAUGGAUAUAAAAAAUAAAAACCCGACGGAUAUGGAUUCGGAUAUGGAUUUUGAUUGUACCCGACCCGAACCCGAACCCGACCCGAACCCGAAUUUAUUUUGUAUUAUAUNGUAGGGUCAGGAUGAUAUUAGUCGGUUAGAGUUGACUGGUCCGCCUAGGGUUGAGUGCUUUCUACUAGGUUAUAGUAUUUAACCCAAUGGUUAGAAAUAAUGAAAAGAGUUGAUCCAAAGGCUAAAAAACUGGUAGCAACAAUAAAAUUUUGCUACUAAUAGUAGCCCAGUCCAACUCUAUAUAUAUAUAGAAUUAGGCUACUAUACUAUCUAUAGUACUGAGCUCCGGUACUAUAGUGUUUGUUUUUGAUCUUAUGGCGUUCAAAUCAACGAUCAACACCGUUAAAUAUGAUCUAGGGUAUAUAAAGUUCUUAGAAAUAAAAUUUUAGUUUUUUUCGAUAUCGUUUACUUAGUAAAUAAAUUAUGUCAAAACGGUGGAAAUUGAAUACUCUUUAAAAUUUGAGCAUAGGACUUUUAAAUUCAAGAUCAAGAAUGUUUAUCUUAAUAUAUAUAGCUUAAAGUAUUUUCUAUCAAAAUUUGAAGAAAUUUAGAUUCUUCUACACCGUUAAACUCCAAACUCGUCAUAAUAUCUAUUGAAAAUUGACACUUUUGGAAUGGUUUGAUCAUAAAGUAAACUAUGUCAAAAAAAUAUAAAAUUUUAUUUCUAAAUAUUUUAAAUACCCUAGAUCAGUUUUAAAGGUGUGGAUCGUUGACUUGAACGCUCGAAAAUCGAAAACAACACUACAGUACCGGAGCUCCGCUACUAUAGAUAGUAUAGUAGCCUAGCUCUCUCUCUCUCUUUCUAUAUAUAUAUAUAUAUAUAUAUAUAUAUAUAUAUAUAUAUAUAUAUAUAUAUAUAUAUAUAUAUAUAUAUAUAUAUAUAUAUAUAUAUANNNNNNNNNNNNNNNNNNNNNNNNNNNNNNNNNNNNNNNNNNNNNNNNNNNNNNNNNNNNNNNNNNNNNNNNNNNNNNNNNNNNNNNNNNNNNNNNNNNNNNNNNNNNNNNNNNNNNNNNNNNNNNNNNNNNNNNNNNNNNNNNNNNNNNNNNNNNNNNNNNNNNNNNNNNNNNNNNNNNNNNNNNNNNNNNNNNNNNNNNNNNNNNNNNNNNNNNNNNNNNNNNNNNNNNNNNNNNNNNNNNNNNNNNNNNNNNNNNNNNNNNNNNNNNNNNNNNNNNNNNNNNNNNNNNNNNNNNNNNNNNNNNNNNNNNNNNNNNNNNNNNNNNNNNNNNNNNNNNNNNNNNNNNNNNNNNNNNNNNNNNNNNNNNNNNNNNNNNNNNNNNNNNNNNNNNNNNNNNNNNNNNNNNNNNNNNNNNNNNNNNNNNNNNNNNNNNNNNNNNNNNNNNNNNNNNNNNNNNNNNNNNNNNNNNNNNNNNNNNNNNNNNNNNNNNNNNNNNNNNNNNNNNNNNNNNNNNNNNNNNNNNNNNNNNNNNNNNNNNNNNNNNNNNNNNNNNNNNNNNNNNNNNNNNNNNNNNNNNNNNNNNNNNNNNNNNNNNNNNNNNNNNNNNNNNNNNNNNNNNNNNNNNNNNNNNNNNNNNNNNNNNNNNNNNNNNNNNNNNNNNNNNNNNNNNNNNNNNNNNNNNNNNNNNNNNNNNNNNNNNNNNNNNNNNNNNNNNNNNNNNNNNNNNNNNNNNNNNNNNNNNNNNNNNNNNNNNNNNNNNNNNNNNNNNNNNNNNNNNNNNNNNNNNNNNNNNNNNNNNNNNNNNNNNNNNNNNNNNNNNNNNNNNNNNNNNNNNNNNNNNNNNNNNNNNNNNNNNNNNNNNNNNNNNNNNNNNNNNNNNNNNNNNNNNNNNNNNNNNNNNNNNNNNNNNNNNNNNNNNNNNNNNNNNNNNNNNNNNNNNNNNNNNNNNNNNNNNNNNNNNNNNNNNNNNNNNNNNNNNNNNNNNNNNNNNNNNNNNNNNNNNNNNNNNNNNNNNNNNNNNNNNNNNNNNNNNNNNNNNNNNNNNNNNNNNNNNNNNNNNNNNNNNNNNNNNNNNNNNNNNNNNNNNNNNNNNNNNNNNNNNNNNNNNNNNNNNNNNNNNNNNNNNNNNNNNNNNNNNNNNNNNNNNNNNNNNNNNNNNNNNNNNNNNNNNNNNNNNNNNNNNNNNNNNNNNNNNNNNNNNNNNNNNNNNNNNNNNNNNNNNNNNNNNNNNNNNNNNNNNNNNNNNNNNNNNNNNNNNNNNNNNNNNNNNNNNNNNNNNNNNNNNNNNNNNNNNNNNNNNNNNNNNNNNNNNNNNNNNNNNNNNNNNNNNNNNNNNNNNNNNNNNNNNNNNNNNNNNNNNNNNNNNNNNNNNNNNNNGAUUCCGAUUCCGACUCCAACUUCGAACCAAACACGCUAUAUAUAUAUAUAGAGAGAGAGAGAGAGAGAGAGAGAGCGCAGGGCUGUUGUGCUCUCUGGAGCACGGAGGCCUCCGUGCUCCUCUGCCGUUUUCGAUGAUUGAAUUUUCGAAUCGACGAUCGGCUUCGUUAGACUUGAUUUAGCGUAUUUCAAAUUUUUAGAAAAUAAUUUUUACGAUUUUUUGAUAUCAUUUACCUAGUGAUUGAAAAGAUUCAAAAUCAAUAAUUUUUAAUGAUUGAUAUCUGUCGUUUUCAAGUUUAACGGUGUAAAAAUAUUCAAAUCAGAUAAAAUUUUAAUACAAAAUUCUUUAUACUAUCUACAACAAGAUCAAUAUUUCUGAUCGAAAAUUUUAGUGUUAUAUCACCACUUUUUAUAGGAUUUUUAUUUUCAACCGUUAAAAAUUAUUGAUUUUGAAUCCUUUCAAUUGCUAGGUAAAUAAUAUCGAGAAAUCGCAAAAAAUAUUUUUUAAAAACUUCAAAUACGCUAGAUCAAGUCUAACGGAGCCGAUCGUCGAUUCAAAAAUUCUAUCAUCGAAAACGGCUCAGAAGCACGGAGANAAAGUAUUGGAGUUGGUUUGAUGUAUUUCUCGAAAUAACCCAAUCCUUUUUUGGUAAGACCCGCAUAAAAAUAUGCCACUGACGUGGGUAAAGCUAAAGCAACAGUAGUAUUUAUAUCAUUCGUGGGCGCAGCUAACUCCCCAUGAGGUAACUGUAUGAUUUUCCAAGAUAAAAGAGCAGCUAUAUAUAUAUAUAUAUAUAUAUAUAUAUAUAUGAGUCCGGCUAUGAUGCUUGUAAAAGUAUCAAGUAUUUAGUGCUUGUAAAUUUUUUACCGCUAGAUCUACACCUUUGAUCAUUUUCACUCGUUAGAUUAUACUAUUCAACUAACCACCCACUUAACUCUAGGGGGCCCACAUCAUCUUAACCGCACAUUCCUUAAUCCAAGGGUUAAAAACUUACAAGCACCAAUGAAUUGGUACUUUUAAAAGCAUAGGAGCACAAUUCUAUAUAUAUAUAUAUAUAUAUAUAUAUAUAUAGAGAGAGAGAGAGAGAGAGAGAGAGAGAGAGAGAGAGAGAGAGAGAGAGCACAGCAGUCCUGCUAUAUAUAUAUAUAUAUAUAUAUGAGAGAGAUAUGAUAGGGAAAUAUUUUCAGCUGAAUUAUAGUUUCAUGCUUUCCAAGUGAUGAGAGAUUCUCAGAUUUUCUGGGUUCUAGAAGAGGUAGUGAAGUGAUGAAAUGGCUACAAUAAAGGGGUCUCCAUCAAAAUAGUACAGAAAACAAAAAAAAAAAAAAAGGAUAUUUUAGAAACCACAGAUUCUCUGCUCGUCAAGAUACAACAUUGCGAAAAAUUAUUACAUUUAAAUCUUGAAGUAUAUUGAACUGGAGUAGUUGAGUAAUCUGAACAAAAGCUGGUGUAUACAAAAAAUAUACAUUACCCAUCAAAAAUCAGCAUAGUAGAAACAAAAAGGACACAGAAUUGAGCGUCUUUAUAUGGAUUUAGUUUUAGUUUCUCUACAAAACUAAAUGUGCAAAAUAAACCAAAAUAAAUACACAAAAGCAACUGAAUAUGGAUAAACAUAUAUAUAAGAAAAACACCGAAUGAGAAAGAUACACUGCUUCUAGAGGUAAAAGCAGCUCACAAGCCAUAGAGAAACACUACAAGCCACCUUUCCAUUUAUGUGUUAAAUAUAGAGGGGAGCAAAAGGGAAUAGAAGGAGAUGGAGUUUUCGUAAAGCACCGCGGGGAGGUGGCCAUGUUGCAUGUGGGAGCUCCUUAAGGUUCCAGCUUCAAGGAGACAACGCGAGAUUGCCUAUUACGCUUGGCCAUACGUACGAAUACCACCGAGAGACAUGGCGGGGCCCACCACGGCCUUCGGACUUCUUGCUCUCCCUUUAGGCAUGCAACUGUUGCAGAGUGCAACAAAAAGGUGGUUAGGCAAAUUCAAAGGAAUAUAUACUUUGAUGGCAUAAAAUAUAGGACUCUCAGAAAACUUUCGAGUAGAAUAUCAAUGAAAAAAAAAAAACAACAAUCAAAGACGGUUGCACAGCGAAGAAGUCCGAUGCCUUUAGUCGUUAAUUUUUGAAUACUGUAUUAUUCAUUCUAGUCACAGAACUGUCUGUUUUCAGCGCAUACCCAACAUCAAUAGACAACUCCGAAGACUCAAUUCAGAGGAUUAUGCACAUCAGGGCGAACAAAGUAACAUCCAACCUAAAUAACAACAGGCUGACUUAGGCUAUAUACCAUUGAGCUUCUGGUAGGAAGGAAUGUAUGUUUCUUUCGGAAGGCAGAAAAAGGUUUCCUCUGUGAUGAGUAGAAAGUUUAUUCAGAUUCUACACCCUAUAGCAAUUUGAGAAUUAAUCAAAUGAUCAAUGCCAUUGAAACUGUCAUCAAGAUAUAUGCUCAUAUUUUGAGCUUUCCAAUGGAAAUAUUGCAAGAUGAGCCCACAGUGGUAAUAAUUUGAUAUUUCACAAGUUACAAUGGUUGGAAGAUGACAGUCUGCUGUAAUUGGUUCAACUUCCCCGUACUUUUCCAAUACAAAUAGUAACAGAUUUGCUUUCUUUCUGCAAUUACUGUCGGAAUAAUUCAACAAGCAGCAUUGUUCAAUAAAAGUUCAAGAGACUAUAAUAAUAAUUAAUCUCAUCCCAAAAUUAACCAAACAGUAAUAAGAACUGAUACUAGAUAUAACCCGAGAAGCCGGGGGCUUGAAAACCGCCAACUUUUGAACUGCACUAGCAGGUGUUCAAACUCCCCAACCUUUGGGAUAGCCCCCCAGGGGUACCAACUACUCCAGGUACUGGUAUUUACUACAAUGCCAUAUGUAGUUAUGCAUUGUGUCCUAUAAGAUACAGGCUUUGACUUUUAUUAGUGCGGAUAAAGGACACUGGUAGUUUCAGUUGGUUGUCUAAGAAUUAUGGUUUACACACAAUAGAACUCAAAAAUACAAACAAGAGACUCUAUUAGGUCUCUAUGAUUACUUGAUCUACAUCGAGAGUUUAUUCUAAUAUGAUUCAAGAAUCGGCUAAAAAAUGACACAAUUUUUAUCAAACAACUGUUGAUUCUUACAGAUAACCAUCAAAUUUAGGCUCUUAAAAAAUUGUCAACUCCUAACCAAGUGAAUGGUUGAAGCUGAUUCUAACCACAAAAUUCAAUAUAAAUUAAUCCUCCUUUUAUCCAAAUGCAUACUACGGAGCAAAUCAAUCCAAACUUGGAUAAUUCACAUCUGAAACUGAGUAACAAGUAGAAAUGAAACAUGCAAACUGUUUAGGAUGGUCGGUUUUCUUUCUUGCACAAAAUUCCAAACCAAUCUUAAAACCUCUAUGAUAAUUGAAAAAAAAAAAUCAUAUUGUUAACUCAAAAAAAAAAUUCUACUCUCGUCAGCUAUUUCAAUUUUCUCAGUCAAAAUCUAUAAAAACUUGUAAGAUAGUCACAAAGAAGAAGAAAAAGAAGAAGAAGAAGAAAUCAACAAUCUACAGAGGAGCACAAGAGUCGAAUCUACUUACUUUUAGUAAGCGAAGUAUAAUUCUUAUACCUCAUUUUUUACCUCUCAUGACUUCAACAAUCAAGACUUCUGACAGUGCCAUUUCAUGCUGAUAAAAGAAAAAGGGGGGGAAAAAAGAAACUCCAAGCUUAUCAUGAUUUCUUUUCUUUGGUUAUGUCAAACAAACCUAGAAGGUGCAAAGCUCAUGAUAUAGCUUCUUUUAAAAGGAUCUAGAAUAUGGGCAUUGGUUGCAGGUAUGUAAGUGUUAAAUCCUUAUAUUCAAACAAAUAUUCAAUUAAUGAUUGUAUGCUAAAGUAAUGAAUGUCAUUCCAUGUUGGCUAGGAACUUCUUCAACAUGAAUCAAAGGAUCUGGGAUGCAACUAUCUUCCGGUAGACAGUAUCUUUUAGCAGGAAAGAAAAUAAAUAAGCAAAGAAGGAUUCAUAAUAACUGAAGGGCUGAGGUGAAAACCAUUUAGCUGUGAGAUUGAUAAAUAGUGAAACAUAAGAAUUCUAUUCAACUUGGUACUAAAGGCAGAUUUCUGCGGGAAGAGCUAGUGAUGCAUAAUUUGGAUCUCUCAGACGAAUAGAAAGGAUGUUGGCAAGGAUUUAAGUGCCGUGGCACGGGGUCGUGCUGGAAACUUGCCGGCACGGUAAGGCACUGUGCGUGCCAAGCCGUGCCGAUGCGUGCCGGUCAAAAAAAUUCUUAUAUGCCGACACAUAAUAGUAUAAAAUAUUUAUUUUCUUUAGCAACAAAAUAUUUUAACUAUUUAUUAUGUCUUUUUAUCACAUCUUUUGAACUUUAUUGAGAAAAUUAUUUACUAAUUUAAAGAAUAGAGGGUUUUGAACUGUGCCAUUGGUACUGGGUCUGUAUUGUGCGGAUAUCUUGUUGGCACGGUACGGCAUGGUAGAUACGGCAUGGUAGAUACGGCUUGUGCCGACGGGCACUUAAAACCUUGGAUGUUGGGAAGGUCGCAGUUGCGGCAAAAUUUAUCUUCAAGCCUUUCAGCAAUUUGCUCAUAAAGGAACAUGAUGAACAAGCAGAAAAGUUUUCAACCAAAUACAUUUUUAAGUGUUUGAUCUCUCCCAAAGGUCAAACAGAUUAUUGACAAUCUUGAGAACGGAAUUCAUCUUAGCACUUCAAUCAGCUGAGUUAGACACAAGACCAAGUGAUAGAAGAAAAGAGAAUUGCUUAAGCCUGCCCUAAACCUUUGAUUCAGAACAAUAAUAAUAAUUAAAUAUAACCAGCAAUGGUUUGUCACAUAUAACUUCUACAUGCAGUCAUAGCUAGAAGUAUGAGAGUUAAAAGAGCAGAACCUUUGAUGCGCCUUAGCUCUUUGCAGAGUGUGAUGAAAUCACCCCAUUUCAUGUGGCAUCGUCUUAUAAACCGUAGUAUCUGCUCUGUGGUGAACAUGGAUAAGCUCUCCAAAUACUCCCCAUUGACACCAUUCUCUUCAAACACUUGGCGAUAGCUACCAAGAUUUAUCUCUUCUAACCACAGCCCGACAUCCUGAAAUCAUGUGUAUCUUGUCAGGCUCGACAUACAAAUCAUAAAAAUAACAAAGCAAUUAAAUUGCAGACCUAAUCUUUCUUGUUUUAAGAAAAAUGUUCAAAAUCUGCUUCACAGCAGAAUAACGGAUGAACCUACGAAAAAUGAUUUGCAGAAGAAACUUUUGCAAAGAAAGAUGACAAAAUCAGUAUUCUGAAACUAAAAAAAUGAUGUAACUUAAUAAUUAUGUAAGUUAAUUCACAUAACAUUUUGAUAAAAAAAUGAGGUUAUGCGAACUUUUUAAUCGAAGAAUCCAUAUGAUGUAAAAAUUGGAUUGAAGUGGGACUAGAUUCACUAAAAAUUAGAAAAGCAUUAUGCUUUUACAGAUUAAAGCCUUGAGAGAAGAAACUGAAGAUAAGAUUAAUCAGCUAUUUUUCCGUUAUUUCCCAUUAGUCUUAGCGUUCCAAGUUGAUUGGCAGCUUAGCUAUUGUCAACCAGUCCAAGUUGAGCCAGUCAUGCUCCAAUAAUGGAUAAGAUUUGAGAAGAUUUAAGUAUAAGUUCUUUAGUAGCUCAUGGUAGACAAAAGUGCUCUCUAAUAUGAAAUAAUUCUCAAGAAAUGAAGCAAUAGAGUAGUAGCAGCAAACUGCAUCAAUACAUGGACCAGCAUAGUCGACCAAAAUUGAAGUUUUCGUGAUAAUGGAACUGAAUUUUCCCUGUUGUCGAUCUAUGCUAAUAACUGCAAACCUAAUGUAAUAAAGGCAUAAAAAAUUAGUAUAAAAAUUUAUGCAUAUCUAUUUUCUGUAGAACAGAGCUUGUGCGGUCAUAAUCAUCUCAUUUGGGCAAAAUUGAUAUUACCACAACUAUUCAACUGUAAAAUAAAACAACAAAAAAACCAUGAUUUCUGCAGUGUCUUAGCCACCCCGUCCACAGUAAAGAAAUCGUCCAAAAUUAACAAUCUCUGAAAUUUGGAUACAAUUGAUAAUAUUACGACCAUCCAAAAAAAUUAACUGUGAUAGCAAAGAAUAAAAAUCAUCUUGACCACAUCAAAGUCCUAUCCAACACCAUUUUGCCCUUAUAACAACUCCUCUCCAUGACAAUUUGUCCUCCACUUAACCUGAAAAUUAAAAUCUACUAAAUAUUCCAAAUUAACAUAUCUCGACUUUGACCUAGUUAUUUCUAUUUUGACUCCCAAUAUUUUCCCUUUACAGCUCCUCUAUCUGGAAGAAGUUAAAAAAGAAAAAAAGAAUUAAACUUCCUAGAAGACCAUUUACUUAGACUCAAACUAGAACCCUUCCUUCUUCUCGAAGAGACAAACAGUCUUAAAAGCUGUGCAAAUCUUAGCCUCUUCAGUUCAUGUGAAGAAAAGCGUAACAUAAUCAUAUCAUCAUGGAAAAUUUUCAAGCCAUACUCUAUCAAAUGGAACAUUUGGAUCCUCCCGUUCUCCAGUAUCCAUCACCACAACCAAAAAAUAGGUAACAUAGAGUUUUCCACAAUCCACACUGAACUUCAGUUCAGUAUUCCUAAUAAUGACAGAAGUUUAAUUAAAAGAGAAAAGGAGGAAUUGUGCAAGACAAAGAAACCAACAGCGUAAAAAUCUCCUUACCAAAGCUUGCAAACGUUUUUUGCAUUAACCCAGCAAUACAUCAUCGCAUCUUCAAUUAACAAGCACACAUCCCCAUCGACAACCGAUUACAAUUACUUUCCAGCAUCAGUGAUUAAGUUUUGAGAUCUCAUGAAUUCAUGUGUCUUCGCUUGUAUUAUGAACAGGAUCGUUAAACAACAUCACGAUACCACGGAUCAACCAAAAGUCAACAGGAUUGCUCGGAUACAAUAAGAAAAUAAGCUUUAUAUUGAGGAACCUAUCUCUCCCCAUUUAUUACUUCUUCUACUUACACAUAAACUCAUCAAAAUCCCAAAUCAUACUGGUAACACCUCAAAUAACCAAAUCUAAAUAAAUCGAAACAAAUUUUCUAUCUAAUUGCAACAGUACGAACGCGAGAUCUGAUGAACCGAUGGAAAAAAGAAAUCAAAAAGAAAUUAAGAAAACAUACCUCCACCGUCCAAAUGAAGAAAUCUAAGGGCUCGGGGGACCGGCCCUUGCUCAUCUCCCUCUUCCUCGCAAAGAAACCCUAACAAAAUCUCCCCAAAAUCCCACAAUUCAACCAUCAAAUCUCGCAAAAUAACGCAUCCGAAUCCCUCCAAAUCGCCAAAAACAGAGUUACAAAAAGAAAAAUCCCGAGGUAAAAGAUUACCGUUUUCGGAUCGCGAGGAGACGCCCCUCUCACAAAGAGGAGGAUGAGGAUGAGGAUGAGGAUGAGGAUGGGGAUGCGAAAUCGCGGCGCGAUGCGAUCUCCGCUCUCUCUCGAAGCUUCUUCGACAAGCGCCCGGAAAAAUCGGUGGAGGAGGAGCGCUUCUGAGGAAUCUGGCGUUUUCGCCUCCGAAAACGAGAGAGAAAAAGUGAGCCCUCUCUAGAGAGAGAAAAAGAGAGUGAGAAAGAGAGAGUAUAUUUAUGUGUACUUAAGCUACUGAUUACAGAGAGAGAGGUGAGUGAUUUUAAAUCAGAGACCCCUCAACUAUGAUCAAUUUUGAAAUCGCCCCCUCAAUUUUAUCUCUUUAAUUUUUAAUUUAUGUUUAAUUUUUUUUAGAAUUGGAUAAUUUUUUUUUUUAAGAAAAAGGGGUAAUAUUAUUAUCUUUAUAAAAAUGUGGAUGACAUACUUGAACUAUGAAAAUUUUCGAGUUGGCUACUCAGUUUUUCAAAUUUUUUAUUUUACUAUUCAAGGUCGGUCCAUUAUAUUUUUAGUUUUAAAAUUUAAAUGCAUUAUUUAUCUCUAUAGUUUUAAUUAAUAUAUUUUAUGAACUUCUUACAACUUUAAAUUUAUUAAAAUAAGUAAAUAGCUUAAAUUUUAAAGUCAAAGUACAGUUAACUAACUCAAAUCAAAUAGAUUAAAAAAGAUUGAGUAGUAAAAUUAAAAUUUUUAAAGAUUGAAUAGUCAAUUUAAAAUGAUUCAUAGUUUAAGUAAGUUCUGUAUGUUUUUAUCUAUUAUUAGCUUAUACUAUAUAUAACAAAUAAAUAGAAGUUUCGGAUCUCUUAAAUUUUCUUUUGAAAAUAUCUCUUUGUUCUUAAAAUACGUUUAUAUUUACAGUACCCUUAUAAAAUUUUUGAUACAUUUAACACAAAUUUUUAAGAAUAACAAAUAUUCGCUCUAUAUCCCCAAAAAGACCCCAAAAAGAAAGUGCUUACACCAUACAUCUUAUAGUUUAGAAAUUCUUUGGAAUUUUUAUUAUUAUUUUAAAAAAAUUGAUAAGGCAUGGAUACAAUAAUCGCCCUUAAAUGAUAGAAUAUAAGAUUUAGAUAUAUUUUCAGAAUGUACAGGUAGCAUUGCCCAUUAAAAAUUGCAGCUGAGAGAAUCUCAAAUUUUAAAAUUAUGAAAUUUAGUAAAAUUUUUAAGUAACUAGAAUAAUUUAAAUAAAAAGAUUUGAAAUUUUAAAAAUAUCAAUCAAACCAAAAGAAGAGGCAAAUUUCAAUUUCCCCCAUAUAGUUUAACACAUUUUUUCUUUGCCAUUUUGUGACUCAAAAAACUGCACUAAAAUGUCUUAUGAUUUAGCGUGUUUUUAUUUUGCAACGUUGUGGUUGAAAAAGUUACACCUAACUAAUAUGUGAUUUUAUUUUUAUUUUAUUGUAAAAAUCUAUCGUUAAAUAAAAUACAAUCCUGUGAUUUUUAAUAAAUUUUAUUUUGCCACCCUAUUUGUUGGUAGAUUUUUUCGGUGAAACAAAAUAAAAUUAUAAAUAGUUAAUUGCAAUUUUUUGAAAUGGUAAAGUAAAAUAUACUAAAUUACAGGGGGCAAAUACCAAAAAAAAGGGCUGUUUCAAACAACUUAACGGUUAAGGGGGCCUCCGUACAUUUUUUUUGCUUUUGUUCUGGUUCAUCAUUGGGAACGGUCCACAGUGGGGAGAAAUUUAUGGUGGACCGAGUGUAGGUGUAGUGGACCCCACAAAAGAGAAAUCAGGAGAACCGCAUUGAAUUAAUAAGAGAAAACUUUAAAUACCACCCAUGUGGUUUCAUAUUUUUUUAUUUUAGUACUUUGUAAUUUAAAAUGUAUCAAUUUACUAUCUUAUGGUUUUAUUUUUAUCUUUUUAUGAUCGAUUUCACUAAUUUUUUUCGUUAAAUUACUGACAAAGUUAAAACAAAAGAGUAUUAAAGUGAAUAUUUGAUAAACCUAGAUGGGAUAUCUGAAAUUUUUUGUAUAUAAUUUAACAAAUAUUAACAAAGAAACUGACGAAAAGAUAAAAAUGAAAUCACAGGACACUAACUUGAUACGCUUUAAACCACAGGAUACCAAAGUAAGAAAUUGCGAAACCACAGGGUUGGUAUUUGAAGUUUACCUAAUUAAUAAUGAUUGCGAAACUACAAGAUAACACCAUGUGGGAUAACUCACGAUUUAAUCAAACAAACAAUAAUAAAUAAAUAAAUUUCCAUAUUUUCACUUGCCUUAAAAAGUUAUAAUUAAUUAUACUAUAAUUUUACUUUUUAUUUUAAAAAAAUAUUAAAUCUAUAAUUUAAAAAAGUUAUAGAAUUACAACUCUUAAUCCAGGGAUUAUAAUCAAGCCCCCUUAGCAUUUACAAAAUUCUUUUUUAAAUUUUAGUAAUAGAAAAAGAUUAAUUUAAUACAGUUCUUUAUAAACAUAUCAAAUAACAAAUAUAUUUUUACAAAGUUCAACUUUUCAUAUUUAUCCCCAUAAAAAUCUAGUGAUAUUCAUAUUUACUUCUCUGAUUUUUUUACCAUUAGAGCGUUAUUUAUUUUUUAGCAGAAAAUAAGUAUAAAUUUUGCCAUCACAACUAUAUUCUUUUCAAAGCUCCAACUAUUAAAAUUAUGCAGAAAUAUUAUUUCAAAAAUUACUAAUAGUCAUUUGUUUUGUUUCUACCAUCACAAAUAAUAUAAGAGGAGUAAAAAUGUCACUUUAUUUUAUUCACUAACUAGGAUCAAGUAUUUUACUUAUGGUUAACUGUACUUUUCUAACGAACCUAAUAUCAGGGGUAUAUUUAAAAACGUUAGUAUUUUUGUAGAAAUAAAUAUAAAAAAAUUAAAUAAAAAAUAUAUCUAUUAUUUGAAAUAUUUACAGAAAACUGUAUGCAAUAAAUCCUAAAACUAUUGAUAAGACAAGUAGAGAGAUUUGAGCUAUUGUAUGUUACGGUCGUAAGAUUACAACUAAAGGUUGGAAACCAAAGGUUGGAAACCAUAGAGUGAUAUUUUGUUUAACAGUAGACUCUUUUAUAGUGAAAUAAAAUAAAGGGACAAUUAUUUAUAUACUCCUAAAAAAUUUUCCAUAUUCUGAUUUACUCUUGUUAGAAAUCUAAUAUUGGAAAUACCUUUUUUACGUUCCAACCUAUUUCAAAUAUACCCCUAGAGUUAAAAUCUGUUAAUGAACUCUGUUAUCGGUAUAAAAUUACUAUUUUGCCCUUUCAAAUAUAUUCUUCCACUAUCACUGACCUUUCUUAUUUGCCCUUAAGUCAGGGACACAAAAAAUAUUUUCACUUUUGGUUUUUUCAAAUAUACCCCUCUUCCGUCAUCAAUAUUUUUUCUUAUAAGAUAUAUUUUUUAAUCCGUCACGAAAUAUUUAAAAAUAACUGGAACUUGGAAUCAUUUUGAAGUAAUUAUGGCCUUUAAAAUAUUUAAUUUUGCUGCGUAACUUUUCGGUGAAUUUAACUUGAUUUAUUCUUAUACCUCUAAAAAUGUUUUAUCCACAAACCGUAGUUUAGUUUGUUAUAAUUUUUUAUCCUAAGAAUUGAAUGAUUGAAAAAAAAAAAAAAAUCAAAAAAAAAAAAAAAAAAAAAAUACAACCUUGGCACCACAUUUACACCCCUGACUAAAUGAAAUCACUUUGGCAAGCAGCCAUGAGGUUUUUUUUUUUUAUUUUAUUUUAUUUUUUUUUAAGGGAGAGAGAGAGAGAGAGAGAGAGAGAGAGAGAGAGAGNAAGAACCCUCACUCCACACAAUUUUAAUCUUAUUAUAUUAUAUAUUUGAUUUUUAAUUAUUUCAAUCUAAGUUCUAUCUUUGGAUUAAACUAGAGAUCAAUUUAGUUAAGGGUUUGUCCGGUUCAAUGUAAAAUUAUGAAAAAUAAUUCUUCGUAAAAUUUUUUUUUUUAUGUUUUGUAGUGUUUGGUUUGUAGAAAAAAAAAAGUAGCUUUUCAUCGAUAUUUAUUUGGUUAAAAAGAAAAAAAAAAUUACAUUUGUUUGAUUCGGUUGAAAAAAAAUGAAUGUAAAAAAGUUUACACAACUUAAGUUUUCGUUUUUCGCUGAAAAACAGCGAAAAACGAAAUCUUCAAAUUUUUUUUUGCCAAAUCCAUAAAAGUACUUUUACGCCGAACCAAACGAGCGAAAGAAAUAUUUUCAUAUCAAAAAAUAAAUUUUUAUUCAUUUUAUGCCGAACCAAGCGCCCCCAUGAUUACUUUGAUUUAAUAAAUACUUUGAUGGUAAAUAUAGAUUGGGAACGAUGCGGAUGGGUACCGCAUGACGAGCGACGCACCCGUCGCAGAAACAGAAACCGAAAAGGUAAAAAAAAAAAAAAAAAAAAAAAAAAUCGUACGCACUGAUUUCUUUAGAGAGAGAAAAUAAUGCAGAGGAAAAAAAGAGAGGGUGAGAUGGGCCACGCCACGCCCAUUCAGAGAGUCCCCAAAUAAUCUUAUUUGGAUAGUAUUGGCGUGUUUGAUUCGCUUCUUUUUUAUCCUGGAAUCGGAAUCGGAAUGAAUGAAUCUGUUUGUGGGUGUUUGGUACGUGGGAGUCCCUUUCCGAUUCCGAUUCCCGAGUGGAAUGGGAAUCCCCCAAUUAUCUCUUUUUCCAAUAACAUUUUUUUGGAUGGGAAAUAGUGAAAGUUGAAUCCGGACAGAAUGGAUAUUUAUUCGGAUUAAAUUUAUUUUUUCAACUUUUUUAAUUAAAAAUAUGAGUUAAAAUUUAAAAAAUAAAUAUAUAAUUUUAAAUUUUAAUUUGAACUUAAAUUAAAAAUUAAAAUUUAAUCAAGUAUUUCGAAUCUAACUUAUGAAUUUGAAUUUAAAUUAAAUUUUAAUUUAUAUAAAGUUUUAUUCAAAUUUUAUUUCAAACUUAAAUUAAAUUUAUGGAUUCAAAUUACAAUUUAAAUUGUAAUUUUAAGUUUGAAUUUGAAUAAAUCAAAAUUUUAGUUUUAUAUUUUGAAUUAUCCACUCAACUUCAAAGUUUAAUUUUUUUUAAACAAUAGAUUUAAAAUUUGGACAUUAUUUCAAAAUUUUGAUGUAAACUUUUAAUAUUUAAUUUUUAAUUUCAAUUUAAAGUAAUAUAUUAUAAAGAUAAUGUUAGUAUAUUAAUUUGAUUACGUUUUUUAUAUCCACCUUAACUAAACUCCAACAAUGGGAAUGAUUUAUUCCGAUUCCGAUUCAGGUGAUGAACCAAACAGAAUUAAUUAGAAUUAGCUCUUACAUACUGUUGGUGUAUAAAAUUAUGACCUAUGUUGGUGAUCGAUUCGGCUCAUGUGGUCGAGUAAGAAAGCGACACAUGGUACAUCAAGAGUAGUUUCAAAUAUUGCAGUAAUAUUUUAGGGCUUGUUUGAUUCAUCCAUUUUGGGUAUGGAAUGGGAAUCGAUUUGAUUAAAUCCGGUUAAUUUUGUUUGGUUCGCAUGAAUCAGUUUGGGAUUCCUAUUCCGGACUGGAAUGGGAAUGACCCAUUAGCCUUCAACUUGAUUCCGGUCUUCUAGCCCUGAUUGAGAUUUCAUUCCGGAAGCCCACUAAGUUCUCGAAGCCCAUGUGACCAUCUCACCCUCCUUCUCUUCACCCCUUUCUCAUCAAACAAAAAAAAAAAUCUAUCCUCUCUCAAAACCCUAUCCCUAACCCACAUCAAUAAAAGUUUUUAAAAAUAAAUUUGAUAUUUUUUUUGAAAAACUUAUUAGAGAAUAGUAUUAUAUUUUUUAUAAAUUUUAAACAAUAUAAAUUUAUAUUUGAGAGUAAAAUUACUAUUAUAGUAUCCUAUAAUUUUUUAGUUUAUACGAAUCAAACAAUGAAAUGUGAAUAACUCAUUCUAGUUCCCAAUCCACAAAUAAACCAAACGUCUAGGAGGAAUGGGCCAUUCCAAUUACCAUUCCAAUUCAUUCUCAUUUCAUUAUCCAUUCCAAUUUCACUCUUGAACCAAACAAGCCCUUAAUGUAUAAAACUAAACGACGAAUUUGAAUUUGUAUAUAGCUACAACUAUAACUUCAUGCAACCAAAUAACCCCGGAUAUUUUUUGAAAUAUGCUACCUAUACACACUCCUUGUAUGUGCAUAGAUCUUGCAUUUCAAGAUCUAAAGGUUGAUAAAAUCAUCUUAGGUUUUAGGUUUUUUUUUAAAAAAGAAAAGACAAAAGUGAAAACAAAAUGGGUGGCAAGAAUACUUUGGGUGUGUAAUUUACAUCUGCCCUAUGGCCUAUGGGUGUCAGGAUAGCAUUGCUUGUAAAGUUUAGGCUAAAUUACACUUUUAUUCCUCAAAGUAUAAGAGCGUAAUAUUUUAAUUCUCAAAUUUUAAUUUAUCAUAUUUUUUGUCUUAAUUUUUUAGAUUGUUGCAGUCAACUCAUUCAGUCUAAAUAAUUGAACCAGAUGGUGAUGUGUCAAAUACUACAAUGAUGUGACAGUAUUGCGGUUUAAAUAUGAUGAUGAUAAUAAUAAUGAUAUAAUGAUAUGCCGUAUUAUUAUUUUAUUAGCAACAUAUUAAUAUUUAGUUAAAUAAAUUAAAUAAUAAAACUCGAUAAAGAAGUUUAAAAAUCGAACUAAAAAUUAUAAUGAAUUAAAGUUUGAUAAUUAAAAGUGUCAGCCGCUUCAUAAUUUAAGGGCCACAAGUGCAAUUUAGCCGAAGUUUAAUUUGUUUACAAAUUCAAGUCCCAAUCUUAUUAUGCCAAUUUCUAUCCUCCAUAUUACUGUUGUUUCAAACAGUUCAAAAUUUUAAGAUGAUUGUUGAAUUCAUCUCCAAACUUUAUAAAUUUAAGUUGAAAGAUGAUAUUGAUCAUGUUCGAGUAUACGAUCGCACAAGUUGAGCAAGUCGAUCAAGAAAAUGUUAAAUUUGUAUCAUUUUGAGUUGGCUCUCUUGCCUUCUAAACAGAGUUUAUCUGAACUAUGAAUUGUUUUGAGCCGGCUGUCCAAUCCUUCAAAAUUUUAAUUUUACUAUUUAAAAUUUUAAUUUAUUUAAUUUGAAUUAGACGACAAUACUUUGAUUUAAAAAAUUUAAUAUGUCGUUUAUCUUUACAAGUUUAGUUAAUAUACUUUAUAUAAUUCUCGCAAUUAUAAAUUUAUUAAAGUAAUUAAUUAAAAUUUUACAGUCAAAAUAUCGUUGGCUGACUUAACUCGAACAAAUUAAAAAUUUAAGCAGUAAAAUUAAAUUUUCGGAAGGUCAAAAUAGCUAACUCAAAAUGGUAUAUAGUUCAGAUAAGUUCUAUGCGAUUAAAAAAAAAAAAAAAAAAAAAAAAAAAAAAAAAAAAAAAAAAAAAAAAAGGCGCAAGUGGAGAUUAAAUAUUCUUCAUGAAUUAAAUGAAUUCAACAAUCAUUCUGAACAUUUUGGUAUCCCUGAGACAAUUGUAAAUUAUGGAAUUUAAAUUUAUACAUUUUUAUUUAUUAAAAACGUACGAAACUCACUUGAACUACAAUGAAUUUUGAUUCAAUGACUUAACAUUUAAAUAUUUUGACUGUUCAACCUGAUCUUCUAACUCAUUUAAUUUGAGAUAUUUAAGGACUCUUUAAAUUUUAAAUUUGAAUAUGUUUGAUUAUUUUUGCAAACUUAAUUAGUUUAUUUCAUAUAAUAUACGCGACUAUAAUUUUAUUAAAGUAGAUAGGGUGUCCAAAUGGCCGAAAUCAAAUAAAUUAAAAGUUGAGAUGCUAAAAUCAAAAAAAUUUAAAAAUUAGGUACUCGAAUCAAAACGAACCAAGGUUCAGAUAAUAUUGAUUCAAUCUUCUUUUUUUUUUAUGCACGAAAAUAAUUAAUACAUUACGUGGGAGUGCAGGGAUUUUAUUAUUAUUAUUUUACUAAUCUUCUCGAUUUAUUUUUUUCAAUACUACAAUCGUAAAAAAGAUUAUAAAACUCUUAAAUAGAUAAUAUAAGAUGUGCACGCUACUCAGAUGGUGUACAUAUAGAAUUUUUCUUAUUUUAAUGGCUUGAAUUAAAAGUAAAGCGUGGGUGAAAAAGCGAAAAUGUUUAUUCAUUCUAAACUAAGAAGGGAAAAGAAUAGGGAGCACAUUUGUUGUAACCUCGUGCCUCGUACUAUGAUUCAUGGUUGACGAGCAGUGAGAUCAACAAUAAGGGAUGUAAGAUUUACAUUCCUAUAAUCCAUGACUAAUAAGACUUCUGUAUCUUGUCAAAUUUUUUUUUUCUUAAAAUAUUAAAAAUAUAUUAAAUAUUGUGAACUCUAAAAUAAGGGUGUAAAAUCUAUAACCAUCUUAGGGAUGUACCUGUAGAAUUACCCUUUUCCCACACACUUCUCCAGGAACAUGUAGGGUAAUCAUUGUACCUGAGUUCAUUACAACCAUAAAUGAGAAAAGGCCAAAAGUUAGACAUAGAUGGUGGCAUUGCAGAGGAAAAAAUGUAUGGAUAUUCACUGUACUACAGUGACUUAGUUUAUGCACUCACAAUUUAACCACUGUUCUUUCCAUGUCUGAUCAACAUGCCUAUCCUUGGAUCUUCUUAGUUCAGGAAUCUAUUUAUGAAAUAUGGAAUAGUUCAGGGAAGGUCCAUAAUGUUUUGCCUUUAUUCUAUUUCCCAAUAAUGCAACUUUGUUCACUGUUCUCUUAUUCUGUUUCCUACUAAAAAAGAAAACUCUAGUUACAUUAAUGGAAAAAUUAUUGGAUGGUACUUUUGGAAGGACAUUUGGAAAUACCUUAUAUCUGAAUAUAUAGCCAAGGAUGCCAGUAGGAAGGAACCAACUUAAGAUUUUUUUUUUAAAAAAAAAAAAUAGUGAACUUCAAUUUGGCCCUUAGUGGUUUAACACAUUUUCAAAAGUUGCACUUAACUACCCUAUAUUUUAUUCUUAUUUCACCAUAAGUACUUACCAUUAAAUAAAAUUAAAUAAAAUAAUAUUGUGAAAACCAAAGGAUGAUAUAGCAUCAAGUUUUAUUAUCCUAUAAUUUACACUUUACUACCUUAUGGCACUUAUGAGCACCAUUUUUAUAAGUGGCGGUUUAAAGUGUUGGUCAUUUAACAUUUACUAGCAAUUUGUAAGAAGUGCCAAUAAAAUAACUACUGACAGAUGUUUAAUCGGCACUUGCGAGUGCUGCAAAAAACCGCCGCGGAAAAAACUUUUUCUGCCACUUGUUAUACAUUUUUCGGCUGUUUAAAUUGCCCCUCAAAUCUCUUUUGGUUCUGAUUAACUAUACUUAAUAGUGGGUCCAUGGGUGAAACAAAAUUAAAAUGAUAAGAUAAUUAAAUACAACUUCUUGAACCUCAGAUUGGCAAAGUGAAAACGCGCUAAAAAUUAAAAUUUACCUAAAAAAAAAACAGCUAUGCAAUUCCCAUAUUAUAAGGUCCAAAUAAGCACAAGGACAAGGUUAUAAAGGUAUGUAAAUCCAAAAAAGAGAGAACAAAUAAAGUUGGUGAUCAUGCUUAAGUGUCCUAUUCCUCAACAUUGCUCAUGAAACUCACAUUUACAAAGCUAAAUGUCAUGCUCCAAGCAAAACUCAUUGGUUCCAAAUGCAAAGAAUGUGACAGCAAAAAUUAAAAAAGCAGAACAACAUAGAGCUCAAGAUGUCAAGACAAGAAGGAGACAGAUAAUUUCUUUAGAUGAAAGAGAUGCAGUAACUAACAGCCUCAUUCAACACUUGAAAAUAACCCCCAAAAGCAAAAGUAAAGAGUGCUCUGAAUACUAACCGACAUUUCGUAGGGCCUUGAAUCUGUGGAGGUGAUGCUGAUACAGUCCUAUGUGAUGCCUACAAUCCACCUGUUGAUUGCCACAAUGAGACUUUCCCCUCAAUCAAUGAUAAUAUCAGUAAAAUAUAUAAAUCUUGUAGUAUCUAAUAAGCGUACGACAGUAGAUAAAAUUCAAUAUUUGCAUCAUAGAAGAAGCUUGUGUAGCAUAUUAAUGCUAUUCAGUAGAAGCAGAUUACUCUAUCACAGUAGGAAAGAAAGCAUUCUCUAAUUCUUUGCUGAUAGUAGUAUAUCGAAUAUCGGGCUAUCAUUCGUUCCGCAAGAAUUUAUAAUUGCUCCUGGAUAUACAGAGAGAGAGAGAAAUAACAGUAGAGAUUGCUGAUUUGCAGUUGAUACCAACUGUAAGAUUCUUGAGAAAGAAACAUUCUGAAAAUACAUAACCAAGACAGAAAUUAAAACUACGGCACAAAGAGGUAUACAAGAUAAGCAUAUGCUUGUGGCAAUCAGUUUGAAUCAGUUUGAAACAGACCAGGCAACUUACACCAUAUAUCCUUGUACUGCCCAUCCAUUAGCUAUCUUUUCCUUUCUCUCCAUCAUGGUCACCACUGUAAAUAAUUUGUUGCUAAGUUCUUCUUUCAUUAACAUGAAGCUGAACUCAAACAUUCGAUUCUCUAUUUUUGACAAAAUGAUUGAAACAACAAAAAGUGCUACUAACCGACCGUCCCUAGAGUAAGUGGCAAAGGGCUUGAUAGUUGGUACCCGAGACCCAAGUUCGAAUCCUAGUUGAUUCACAUUUCUAGCUUAGUUUAUUUCUAAAUGAAAUAAACGAAGCGGGUAGCGUGCUACCUAUCUCUCUCAAAAACACAAAAAGUGCUGCUAAAUUAUAUGAAACAACUGUUUUUCUUCAAAAGUUUAAGCUACUAGAUAACCGUGUUUUCAGUAUUUAUAUUUAACACUCCCCACUACGUCUAGGCUCGAGAUGUUUUAAUAAAUCUAAGACGUGGACUCGAAUUAAACGGAGGGAAAUUAAUGAUGCUAGGAGCCGGGUGGGAUUUGCACUCAGAACAUCAUGUUUUAAUACUACAUUAAAUUAUAUGAAAUAAACGUUUUUCUUUAAAAGCUUAAGCUACCAAAGAACAGUAUUUUUAGUAUUUAUAUCCAACACACGAAGCCUGCUAUUACUACAAAAGUGACAAAAAUAUACAAGAAGCUAGGCUGCACAAAAGCUUAUAAAUCAUGCUGAUCGAUUCCAGCCCGCCCUAAAACGGCCAACACUAGAAUCCACUAAUUCAAAUUCUAAAAAUCUAAUAAAUCAUGAUAUGAAGCAUAGUUUAUACCAGAAAAACUAAUUUGAGUUGAUUCACAAAAGACAUUCGAGUAAACUUUAUCUCCUUACUCCUUAUGAAUGAAGAGCAAACUCAGAUCAAUGCUACCUAGAAUGGGAUGCAUCGUGUUAUGUUGCAUGUGUAUGGGGACAUGGUGCGCUAGUUUCUGGGGAACGCGGCCCAAGGAGGGUACGAUUAUUCGGAAGGUUAUUCCAAAAUGUGGUUCUUUCAGAACGUCGAUACGGUCAUAUAUGGUAUCAACUGUCCACGAUACUGAAAAGCUGGAGCAUUUCAUGAUUUGGCGGAGUACUGCUCUGACAAUCAAACGCUACUUGAGUCAAAAUUAAACUUUUGCACUUGAGUUAGGAGCCAGAAAUUCUUGUGACAUUAGGUUAUGCACAAAGGCCUCGACUUAUAUUAAUUAUAGUUGCAUUUCAGUUUCCUUCAUCUAUGAUCUAGACUUCAACCACGCCCAGCAGAAUAUCAUAGCGCCAAUUUAAGCAACAAGCGCUCCUAUAAAUUUCAUGCCAAGCUCCCCUCUCACGUUCAUUAUUUUGUCCAUUAGCUCUACUACAAUAUCUAGAUGAUAGAUAAAAGAGUUCAACAAGACACAAUAACACAAGCAACCACUCCGUUAAAGGAGACUUAUCAACUUAGAGCCUAUUUCAGUACAUGAAAAUCUCGUUCAGCAUAUCUAUUUUGUUAACUCGAUGGGCAUGCGGUGAUUGGUUUAUGCCGAGUAUGCAUAUGUCUAUAAUUGCAUAGUAUUUACGGACUCAAAGACUUUUUCCUCAGGAUACAAUAAAACACUCUGUUAGUCGAAUGCAUUAUCCUUAAAAUCACAUUAUAAGGAUCUUGCAAGAACUGAAAUUGAACUUCUAGGUUGCGAUCAUAAACAUAAAUCUCAUAUUGCACAAGCUAUCAUUGAUUUAUAACUUGUUCUGACAUCCAAACAAGCCCCUAUUUUGUUCUAGCCCUAUAACCUCGUAUUUUUGCAAGAAAGUCUUGGAUUAAAGUGAAACUCUGGCAGUAUAUCUUAUGCCAAAACAAAACGAGAAACAACUAAGAAGAAAAUAACCUCCAGCUAAUCAGCAAAACAGUUGACAGCUUGAUAAAGGAAUAACAAAUUAAUAUUUCACCAUAAAUUAUCCCAAAAAGAAAAAAAAGGAAGAGCAACUACAUGGUGUUCAGCACAAAGCAGAUAAAGCAUCAUCACUCAUAAUAUCUAAACUUUCGUAGGACAGCACAUCCAGAUACAUAAACAUACAUAUACAUAAACAUUGUGACGAUAAAUAAAAAUUCAUAAAGACAGGAGAACAUAAGCAAGCAAAUUGGACAAUUAGAAAACCACAGUAGCAACCAUAUGUCGCUUCACAAGCAAGAUUAAAAAGCUCAAAGAGGGUAAGAACAACAACUUAGAUAUAGCAAAUUCAUUUUUCAUUAAGAUGGGAAAAAGAGAAAUAUGAGGCCGUUUCCAGCAAUAUGAAAGUUCAUGCAAAAUGUUAAGCACAAAUUAUCCAUUAUUUUUCUCUUUUUAUUGGAAAUGCCCAUCUGAACAAGCAAAAACGAGUACAGAUCUCAGCAAGAGAAGGUUGAUUCGGACACAACUGGAAAAGGUUGAGCCAUAAACACUAGUAUCAUUAAAAUCUUCACCAUCAAAUUAACAAAAUCAAGAUGAAACAACAAAUCAAAAAACAAACAACCUUUUUUUUUUGUUCUCUUCUCUACAUAAUCAUCGGUUAUACCACUGGAGAGUCACGUCAAAUCUGGCUCUGAUGCAAGCUGAUCCACACUCAUCAGCCUCAUAGACCUAACCAUGAAGUCAUCAGAAGCACGGAUUCGAACCAACCUAUCUCGUAUAGACACAAACGAUGGAACUUCCAACACUUCAGAUGCUCUCUCUCGAUAAGCCGGAUCUUCAGUAAAAUUCAUUAAAGCUUCAGCGGCGUAUUCUCUCAGCUCCUCCGCGUCAUUUCUCAACACACCAAUAAGAACAUCGACGGCCCCUGCUUCAGCCAUAGCUUCCCUAUUUGCUCCUUCGUAGCUUAGUUGCCCAAUGGCCGCCGAAGCCUUUUCUUUUAACUCGUCAUUUCCAUUUUCAAGAAGCUUAACCAGAAUCGGAAUUACGCCCGAACUUCGAACUACCGAAACUGAAUGAGUGUACCCAGAAAGGUCCCAAAUAACGUCCGCCGCUGCCGCUUUCGCAUUUUCAUCUCCACUCUGAAGAAUCCUCACCAAAUGUUCUAGUAUCAACGCGGCAUUCUCUUCAGCCACGGCCAAUACGCAAAACACAUCUUCCGCGAUCUCUUUCCCGAGAGGUUCGGCUCCUUGCAGAAGCUCCACGUACAAAGGUACGGCACCGGCCUCUGCCACAAGCCGCAGGUAGUCUACGUGAGAUGAGAUUAUUCCAAGCGCAUUGCCCGCGAUUAACCUAGCCGAUUCAUCACCAUCCUUUAGUAACCCGACAAGUGCUCGUAUCGCCCCCAAUUCCACGAGCAUAUGCCUGACCCUCCGCGCGAUACCGAGCAACCCGAGGGCCUGCGCCGCGCGAGUUCUCGAAGCCAUUUUACCAUACGAAACGGCUUCGAUGAGGUAGGAAAGGCCGCCUAAAUUCGCGAUCACCCUCCGCACUUCUCUAAGCAAUGCCAAAGCGCUGAUGAUUUCCAGCAAGUACUUCUUCGUAUCGUCGGCGCAAACAGAGACCAGAUCCAAAAUAGCUUCCAAACCCCCACUUCGCAUGAGGAUCACCCGAUUGGGGUGGUCGAACGAGACGAGCGCGCUUAGCAAUCUAAGCAGAAUUCUCCGGAAUCGGUAUUCGGAAUCGGGCAGCAGUCUGAGAACUACUGGAAUUGCACCGGAUUGGCCGAUUAUCGGGGCCAGCCGGCAGCCGAAGCUGCAGGCAACAUGGCACAAAGCGUAGGCAGCGGCAGACCAGAGAGUCGGACUCGAGCCGCGGGCUCGAUUUGCGAGCCGUGCGAGCUCUAAAGUGGCUUUGGCCUGCAAUUUUUCGGCCCCAUCGGUUUCGACUACGCGUAUGUACAAAUGGACUGCUUCGUCCCAAUCAAUGCUGCUGCUACUACUGCUGCUGCUGCUGCUGCAACUACUACUACCGUGGGAUUCAGAAACUGGGGCACAAUCCAUGCUAGUAAAAAUAUUGGUGAAUUCCUAGAAAAAGUAGCUUCAUAUAGAAAGGAAACCAAAGCAUUCGACCUAUAUAAGCACUUUAUAGCAAUCAAAAAACGCAAAAAAAAAGAAAAGAAAAAUUGUUUAGGGUUUCGGUAAUAAUGGGUUCGGGACGGGGAGGAAACCCUAGAAUUGAGGCAUCAACUAUCGAUCGUCGUGCGGGGAAUCUAAUUUGACUGACCGGGAUUAAGAAACGGAGGGGCUCUCCGAAGGGUUUUUGCUCGUCAGAUUAUGCUCGUGUGAUAUUAUUUUCGCAUUCGCAGGUUUUUUUUUUUUUUUUAAUAUUUUUGGCCGAGCACGGUUCCCAUUUCCCAACCCAGAUAGAUCGACGCCGGUCGGGCCUUGUACCGAAAGGGUGCGUUUGGUUCAGGUAUAAGUAAAAAUUACUUGUUCCAGGAAUAAGUACAAGUUCAGGUAUAAGCGGAAAUUAGACCAAUUUUACGUUUGGAUGAAAAUUGAAUUGUUCCUAGUAAUAAAAUAAAUAGCAUUUGGAUGGUUAAAUUGGAAUAAAUAAAUAAUAAAUAAAAAUUCAUUAUAAAACUACAAUUAAUUAAUCUAUUAUAUUACAAUUAAAGUUUAAUAUUGAAAAUAAGAAGAAGNAAUAAUAAUAUCGAUUAUCUAUUUCUUAAGAAUAAUAAUUAUUAAUAAUUAUUAUUUAAUUAAUAAUUAUUAAUAAAUAAUAAUUAUUAAAUUAAUAAUUAUUAUUAUCUAAUUAUAAAUAAUUAAUUAUAAUUAAUUAUUUAUUUAUUUAUUUUAUUAUUUCAGCAAUAGAUAAUAAUUGAAAUAUAUUAAUUAGAUUAAUUAAUAAUUUACUAUCAUUAAAAUUUAAAUUUAUAUUUAAUUAACCUUGUUCUCAUUCGGGAACAAGCUUGUUCCAGGAAAAAGGUGGAACAACAGUUCCAGCUAGUUCCAGUCUUAUACCAGAUAGUUCCAGAAACCCAGGAACUACUGUUCUCGGUUACCAAACGUUGCAUUUGGGAACAAAGGGGGGAACAAGGGCUUAUUCUCCCCCUUGUUCCCGAACCAAACACUACCAAAAAGUCUAGAAUGUACCCGUUACAUUGUUGAUGUGGUAUUUUUAACCAAUUAAUUUUUUUUAAAAAAAAAUUUAAAAUGCAACACUUAUGACUAAUAUUGCUGUAUUGGUAUUCCUAACCACUCAAAAUGCUCUCCUAGAAUUUACCCAGCCAACCAUAAUUUUUUAAAUAAUAUUUUUAUUAUAUCGUUUUUCUCAAAAAAAAAGAUAUGAUUGAUUAGGGAUAAAUUAUGCGGUGUAAGUGUUAUACAGUAGGCUUCCUCCUCCCCCUUAAGUUCAUUCAUUCCAUUGUAGUUAUUAAAAAAUAUUUUUAUUAUACUUUUCUGACAAAUAGAGAGAUAUAUUGACUGAUUGUUGAUGAUGUGGUGUAAGUGUAAUAUAGUAGAAUUUUUUAUUUUUAUAAUAAAUAGUUGCACUAAAAUUUUAUUAUUUUUAACGAAUUUAUCUACAUCCUAUUCUAAUCCUACAUAUUGGUCAAAUUUUAUAGAUAAGAAUUUACUUAGUUUCAUGUCUUUACUUUCGAUUAAUUUCACUAUUUCAUUACCAUUUUUUUUUUCUUAUAGUUUUACAUAAAACCAAACAACCUCUUACUCGAAAAUCAAACAUGCCAAAUAACUCACGAAUAGAAGUGCAAAUAGCUUCAGUUUGGUUGAGCUCCUAUUCCGCAUAGGGCAAUAAGUGAGAACUAAAAAUAUAAAUAAAUAGGCUAAAUUACAGAAAACCUCCCUAUAAUAACCCGCUUUUUCACUUCCCCCCUGACAUUUAAAAACCUACACUUUGCUCCCCUGUAAAAUGAAAAAUGUGCACUUCACCUCCUACCGUUAGGGUUCCGUUAAAAAAUAAUUUUUUAUGCCGAAAAUACCCCUCUGCCAUUGCUGCCGCCGCCUCCCCGCCCCGCAUUAUGCUCCCGUGGCCGUAAUUCGCAGUGCCGGAGGUGAACAUGUCGCUCCGCGCGACGGGCCUCAGCGGCGCCGCGCCGGGUUUCGCCGGGCCUUAGCGGCGCCGUGCCAUGCCGUGCUCGUCGUGGAGGCUGCGGUGGGGAUGAUCGGGACGAAGCCCGUGCGGCGGUGCCCGGGUUUGGAAGCGGCGGCGCCGGCGGAGUUGUGAGCGGCCUUCCUGCUCGACCUGAAGAGAAACUCGCCGGAGUGAGUUUGGCGCCCCGCGAGGCCGGCGGAGGAGAGUGAGGAGAGAAGAUGGGGAAGAAGACGACAAUGGCGAGGGACAAAAUGGUCAUUUUACACACCGUAACUCCCUUCUGAACAUUUUUUAUUUUACAGGGGGGCAAAGUGUAGGUUUUUAAAUGUCAGGAAGGAAAAGUAAAAAAGUGGAUUAUUAUAAGGAGGUUUUUUGUAAUUUAGCCAAAUAAAUAUAAUCUAUUUUGAAUUCGUUUCGAUCCGUCAAGUGCAGGAGACGAGAGAUCCGUGUUUUUCUUCGAUCUAUUCUAACGUGCUAAAAAAUUGUCAAAAAAUUCGAUCCUCUCUUCCAAUCCAUUUUUAAGAUUAAGAUUAAUUCGUUCCGAAUUCUCUGCCGUCCGGUCCGUCCACGUUUGCAUCUCUAAGGACGGACAGGGAGCAGCGUUUUCCCUAUUUAUUAGUGGAUAAGAGCCAAGAAGAUAUUCCGCCUCCGGGGGCUUUCUCUCUCCUCUCUCUCUCUCUUUCCAAAAACCAACCAUUCGCCGCUCACCGUUCACCACCAGUAAUGGGGAAAGCGUUUCCUUCUAAUUCCCCCCGACCUUAUUCUCCUUAGAAACAGGGGACGCAACAAUUCACUUCAAUGGCGCUGCUAGGUCUCCACCCCUCUCCCCUCUUCUUCUCCUCCCCUCCUCCAUCUUCUUCAUCUUCUUCUUCUUCUUCUUCUUCUCCUCUCUACGGUCUGCGCCGUUGCCUCGCCGUCGUCGGCUUCGCCGUCUUCUCCUCCCACUCCAACCCCCGCCUCCUCAAGUCCGGCCGCCGAUCUCGCCAUGGCCGGAGAACGCCGCCCUACAGCGACGAUGCGGAGGAGGAGGAGGGGGAGAGCAAAGAAGAGGAGUUCUCUGAUGAUGUGAGUGGCUUUGAUUAUAUUGUUAUUUUCUUGUUGUUUGAUUGAUGUGUUGGAUUGGAUUGUCACAUCCUAUUAUUCCCACCUCUGAUCAGACCAAAAAGAAAAGAAAAGAAAAGAAAAGAAAAGAAAUUGUGUGUGAUUUAGGUUUAAGCAUUUUUGGGCCAGUGGUUUGGGUUGAACGAAUUAUUAGCGCUAAUAGGCUCGGACGUUGUAUUUGAUAUCAGAACCAAUUUGAAAAUAUGUGAUGGGUCUCACAUUUCAUGAUGCACAGUGCACUAGUAAUAAUAACUGGAUUUAAGUAUUUUGGAUUGGUGAUUUAAAUCCAACGAGUUAUUAGUGCUAAUAGGUUGGGUCAUUGCAUCUUGUGAAUUGAAUCCUUAUCUUGAAUUGUUUAAGGUUUUUUGUGAUCCCGUUUUUGUAAUUGAAUUGAUGAUGCUGAUUAAUCGAAUCAUUCAUGCUAGUUAAUGAUGUUUCGCUCUAAAUUCGUUAUUCAGUUUUGUGCAUAGUUCUGUUCUUGUGCCUGUAAGCAGCACCAACACUCCUGUGGGUGUUGCUGUAUUGGAGUUUGGGCUCCUUAUGCUGAUGUGCUUUGAGUCGAGUGAGAUGGAGAUGUGUUGUUUGAUUGAGGACGGAGUGGCGUCUUGUUGGUGGUUGGGGUGAGGUUAAUUUCAAUGAUUGGUUGUACGAUAUGGGAUGGUGUGUGUCAUGCCUGCCGUGCUUAUGUAGACGGGUCAAAAACCAACUUGUGUGACAACACAUAUUGGCUUAAAAAACUUAUUUCUUUGGCAUCAAUAUAUUUUAAUUGCCUAUUAUAUAUCUUUGUCAAAUUUUCUGAAUUUUAUUAAGAUAACUAUUUGCUAAUUGCAAAGAAAAAGGAUUUUAAGACAUGCCAUCAUCAUAGGGGUCGUAUCAUGCUGGUAUCUUGUUAGCAUGAUAAGCCACGAUGGAUGCGGCCCAUGCUGAUGGGCAUUUGAAUCCUUAGGUUGAGUUUUGGUGGUGUGGAAAAGGGUGAGAGAGAGGUGAUUUGGUGUUUCACUUGUGAAUGAGAUUUUAUGGGCUUUGGAAGAGAGACUUGUCAAGAAGAAGUAUUGCUGUGGUGUGCUGUUUCUUGACAAUUUGUUGUGAGAACAACUAUGCUGUGGUGUGUUGUUUCUUGGUAAUUUGUUUCUGAAAACAGUUAUGCUAUGGUGUGCUGUUUCUUUAGGAUCAGUACGUUGCUCCUCAUGAUAUUUUCAAUCCUAGCCCACUGGUGCUCUUCAAUCACUAAUUAUACUUGCCCAAUCGCUAUCAAAAAUGCCAUAGAUAGAAAAUUCUUAGUGUACCAUAACUCGAGACUAAUGCUUCCAUUGGAAUAUCUCAUAAUUUUCUUUCACUGCACUCUUUUUCAUAAACUAAGGUAACUGCAAGUUCCUUGCACAAUAAUGGCUCGGUAUUUAUCACUUACAAGUAAUUUCGGUGGACAGCGCGUUGGUACCCUCCUUUUACCCUCAAUAUUUGAUGCUUCAGCUAUCUUAUUGUUAGGCACGAUGCUGCCACCUGCUGCGUAACUAUCUCUGUUGCCUAUGCCUGGGAGAUAUUGCAGAAUUAUGCUCCUUUACCUUGGUGCAUAAGGAGUCACCAACUAUCGCUGAUUGUGGCUCCAUUUUUAGUCCAGGCCAUCCUUUGUUAACCCUACUGCACUGAAUGUUCUUCCCCCUGCCACCUCUCUUUCCUUUGCUUUGCUACCGUCUCCCCUCUACCACUUCUUCGCCUCUUCCUGUGUUCCUUCUAAACCUCUGCUGGCAACUGCUGCUGCCUUAGUUGCGCCGACACUAAAAUCCCUCUGCCUGAUCAUAGUUUAUGGUCUCUUUCUUCGUUCCUUCAAGCUGCUGUGUCACCCUCAUCACCCUCCCUUCUAUUAUAGGAUCCUUCAGUAACAACCGAGAAAUGCUUGUCCAGUCUUUCAACUUUCAGUCAGAUGGUUCAUUCGCUUGUGAUUUGGAUUUUGAUCUAUCCCAUGUUGGAUUUGAUCUGAAUUCAGCUGUAAAUUAGAGGUUGCUGGUAUAGUUGCAUCUGUUGCCAUCGCUUUUCUUCCUCCUUUAAGCCAGCCCGCUUCCCUACCGUUCAUCCUCCACCUUGGUUCACGCCCUUCCUCUUUCACUCUCUUAUAGAGUUAGUUCUCUAUAAAGUUGAGUUUAGUGAUGUAAACAGAAUCUGAGCUCUAUUUAAAGAUAUGUAUUCCACAGGACAGGAUCAUCCGUGUUUCUCUCUCUCUCUCUCUCUCUCUCUCUCUCUCUUUCUCUCUCUCUCUCGUAGCUUAGGGGCUGUUUGGUUGUACGCAUUUGCAACUGCAGUGCAGUUGCAAAUGCAUGCAGCCACAAUUCCUUUGUUUGGUUUAGUGUAGUUGAGUUCAAUUGCUGCAGUUCCAACUGCACAAGAAGGGCCAAAUGCUGCAGUUGGAACUACAUUCAAAUUGGUCGUAGUUCCAACUGCAGCAGUUGGUGAGGGAUAGGAUCACCCACAAAUUAAUAAUAAUAAAUAAAUAAAUAAAUAAAUAGCUAAAUAAAUAAAUAAUAUAUGUAUUUAGGUAAAUACAAAUACUUAUAAAUAAACUCAUACUAAUAAAAUUUUUUAGACAAUCAAGCUUUGUGCAAAAAAUUAAUUUUUUUAAAUUUAUUUUAUUUAAAAUAUAAAUAUAGUUUUUUUUUCUAAAUUUUUAUAGAAUGUGAUCGUGUAUGUUAAUUUAAUAAGUUUUAAUUAAUUAUAAUUAUUAAAUUUGAUAAAAAAAAAGAGAGAAUCGUUUAAAUUUUUAAAGUUUGAUUUACAUAUUAAAAUUAAAUAAAUUAAAAAUUUUAAAUGUGUCGAUUAAUAAGUUGAAGAAUUAUUGAAAAAUAUAAAAAUAUUAUAUAUAUCUACUUAUUUAUUUAUAAAUAGUAAAUUUAAAUAAUUAAUAAAUUUAUAUAAUUAUUUUAUGUUUAGUGAAGAUAACCUCACCACUCUAUCUGAAGAGGUGACAAAAUUCAUAAAUACAACUAUCAACUUCAUAUUACCAAACAGAAGAAAUGUAACUGCAGCAGUUGCAACUGCGUAAAACCAAACAGACUAGGUGUAAUUAUAACUGCAGUAUUUACAACUGCAUGUAUUUUCAACUACACUGUUUCUGCAACUACAUCUAACCAAACGGCCCCUUAGUGCAUCACCAAUAACUUCACUCUCUCAUUUUCUUAUACUCAUAUUAUUUGGUUUGUUGUCAUGUGCGAGUCCUAUACACCGUGACAAUUUGUAUAGGAUGUGUCAUUGUUAGGAUUACCAAACAGUACCACAUUAGAUUUUGCAGGAGAGUUUGUAGGGCUAUUUAUAUGAAUAGCACAUUACAACCGGUUACUUUUGCUUUAACAAUUUUGAAAUGUGGUCAUGGCCCAAAGGUUACUAAUACUAGCAGGUUCGUCUGGGAAAUUAAAUUUGAUAUUGAAGCCAUUCUCAGGGGUACUAGUAUGUGGGAUUCGGAGUAUAUAGGUGUGUACUUCCUCUUUUAAUUAAUGAUUUUAUAUGCCUGAUGUUGUGCAAAAAGUGAAGUUCUAAAUUUGCACUCUUGCAGUUGUGAUUGGCUGUGGAUUUGUCGUACAUUUGUUAUAGUUCAUUGUUUUUCAACUUGUUGCUUAUGAUUAAUAGUUUUUGCUUCUGAAAUCAUUCUUGAAGUGAUUUCUUGAAGUGAAGUAUGUGUAACAUCUCUAUGGCUUUUAGGUUUGUACUGCUUAUUGUUGAGUAAAUUAUUCCAUUAUCUGAUUUAUUUUUUGGAAUAUGAACAACAAAUUUUUAUAAUAUUAACAGGAAUAACCAAUCUGCAUUAGGGGUCUCCUAUUAUUACGUUAUUGUCUUGAAGGCACAAUCUUCAUCUAAUCAAAUUUACACCUAAUUUAGGGUUUUGUCAGAAAAUGACUUAUCCAAAAGAAGAUAUUUGAUAAAUUUAUAUGAUUUAAUAACUCGCCUAAAUUGGCUAACCCACACUAAUGGUAGCCAAUUCAAAGAUCAAAGUUAUAAACUAAGAUAAUGACUUUUGAUACAAUAAGAUAUCAAAAUCCUAACUAAACUCAUAUCGGACAUAACAUGACUUUUAUUGACUAAAUUUGAACCAAAUUAGGCCCAACUAAACAAAAUUUCAAAGAAUUCAUAAUGAGCCAUAACUCUACGUGAUUCCAUCUUCCACCCUCUAAAUUUGUUAUGCAAAUUAUUGUGGCUGGUUACUUAAUGCAAAAUGUUACUAAUUUCAAUUAUGAAUACAAUGAACCUUUUUUGUGAUGAUGCUUAUUAAGCAUUAAUAAUAUGUUUGUCUAUUACUAAAUAUGAAGGAUUAUGCUGCUGAGUCAACAAAUAGAAAAUCCACAUUGGUGCUUAAUGAACAUCGACAUCCUGCAGUUGUUCGAUUAAUCGAUGUAAUGUCUUUUUUUCAUAAUUUCCAUAUAGACUGGGAACAUGCCUAGUAAUUCUGGUUGCUGAGGUCUAAGAAUUAGAAUGCACCAUUGGAUUCUUUUGAUGAAGUAUGAACUUCAGAGUAAGAUGGUUGCUGCUUUUGUAUAAUAUUUUUCAUUUAUAGUUCCUUCUGCCUUCAUUGUGUUUACAUCAUGAUAUAUCUUCUCAUAUUAUUCUCUAUGGUUCAGGAUGAUUUUUCAGAUUUGGAGUACCAUGGAGCUAAACUUAUUGACGCAGAUCUUCAAAAGUUUAACUUGAGUAAACCUUUCGAAAAGCCAGGUAUCUGACAACCAUACGAGAAGUCUUACAAGGACAGUUAUUAUUAGCAUUCUUAGAUCAUACCUUCAAGGUAACAAAAUGCUUCUCCGAACAGGACGCGAAAAGAAGCAGUCAAAAACCGUUGAUUUGGACAGCAUAGAAAAGGUAUAUUACUAUAUAUGACUAAGGAGCUUCUGGAUUAUUUGCUGGUGAAGGAAUUAUAUAAAAUAUUCAUCUUUCUUUCUUAUUGCAGCUGAAGAAUGAAACCAAAGUUAGUUUUCAGAAGCUGCAAAAAGAACUAGAUUUUGAUGAGAAAUGGUUUCCACUUAUCGACUACUUGAGCACUUUUGGAUUGAAAGAAUCUCAUUUUGUUUCCAUCUACGAGAGACAUAUGCCUUGCCUUCAGAUAAACUUGGCUUCAGCGAAGGAGAGAUUGGGAUUCUUGUUAGCUAUUGGUGUCAAAAACAAAGAUAUGAAAAGGAUACUUACGAGGCAGCCGCAAAUCUUAGAGUAUACUGUUAACAAUUUGAAAUCCCAUGUUUCCUUCUUGGCGAGUAUAGGAAUUCCAAACUCUCGAAUGGGCCAGAUAAUUGCUGCCACUCCAUCCCUGUUCUCUUACAGUGUAGAACAUUCCCUGAAGCCAACAAUUAGAUAUUUGAUUGAAGAAGUGGGUGUGAAGGAAAGUGAUGUUAGCAAAAUUGUGCAGUUAAGCCCCCAGAUUUUGGUUCAAAGGAUCGACAACUCAUGGACCUCUAGAUUCUCUUUCUUGUCGAAGGAACUAGGAGCAUCCAAAGAUAGCAUGGUCAAAAUGGUCACCAAACACCCACAACUCCUUCAUUACAGCAUUGAGGAUGGGAUUUUGCCUAGAAUCAACUUUCUCAGGAGUAUCGGCAUGCGCAACUCUGAUAUUUUGAAAGUAUUAACAAGUCUUACUCAGGUUGUAUUUAAAACUCCCUUUUCACAUCUUUAUAUGCUUGUAGCUUCUGGUAGAUUUAAUUUCUUAAAUGUAUGGUACGAUCCACGUCACUGAUCCCAUUUAAGGAGUCUAAUGGUUAUAUGAAGAAGACAGAAAAACGAGCACUUAUAUGUGCGAGUUGAUUAAAAGCGCAGCCAACAAUUUGUUUGUAUAGCUUGCAAACUUUAGGCUCACGUGGUUUUAUUUUUUUCCUUCAUUUAACGAACUUGAUGACAUUUCCAUCACAUACACAAACAGUCUUUAUACCCUGGGGAUAAACAAUAGAGGUAAGGAUCAACUUAAGUUAUGGACUUCAGUGACUUACUUACCAAUUUAUGUAAAUUAGUGGAGCCAGCUGCAAUAAAGCAAUAGCUGAAGGACCAUCUCGGUAUUUCACCCGUGUCCUUCAUCUGUUCAUCUUUCUCUCAUCUUCCUUCUUAGGUAUUGUCAUUAUCAUUGGAGGGAAAUCUGAAGCCUAAGUAUCUAUAUUUGGUUAAUGAACUCCGCAAUGAGGUGCAGUCCCUGACGAAAUACCCCAUGUACUUGAGCCUAUCUCUGGAGCAGAGAAUCCGACCUCGCCAUAAAUUCCUGGUUUCACUAAAGAAAGUUCCGAAAGGUCCAUUUCCUUUGAGUUCAUUGGUUCCUACUGAUGUUCGCUUUUGUCAGCAGUGGGCUGGAACUACCUUAGAGAACUAUCUGGCUUUCAGGCAGAAUUUACUACUCACAGACUUUGCAAAGAAGUAUGAUAGGAAAACUUUGACAUCAACUUUUAAGUAAUACAAUGGUUUAUAUAUCAAGGUUUAACAAGUUAUGUGAGCACCUCAUUCGCUUUGUACACGUUAUGUCUCGUGAGGCUGUUGAAGUUGCUUCCUUCUGGCUCAGACACAAUAUAUGUACUGUAAGUUAAGAUGCUCAUUUUAGUUUAGUUUCUUUUUCCUGGCAAACUCUUAUAUUGAGGUGCUUGAAGUACUAACAAUUUUCAGGAAAGCUUGGUUGCUUAUAUUUUUACAUACAGAGCAAUGGGGAUGUAAUGAUGUAUUACCGGGUGCCAACCUUUUUGUAAGGAUAAAGAUGCAACUGAAGUUGCUACAGAAGUUGCUACAUCAGUCCUAUGCGAUGAGGUUCAUUAUCAUCUCAUUACUCAGAUUGGUAAGUCGGUUUGCCGAACUUUUCAUUAGCAGUUUAUUGAUGCUGUGAUUUGGAACUUCCAGGAUCAUCUGCCUAUAUGAGAUACUUGCUGCUACAAUACUCAGCUCUCUUGUUCUUAGAACAAACUUCCAUUCUGGCGUGGUGCUUCUGGAUUCAUGAAUUGUUUGUCAAACUGCUACUUGCAACCAUACAAACUGCCUUUGUGAUGCAACUGUCGAAUACUGACUUGUGCUACCUCAACAAUUUUGUGCCACAUUAAUGCAUCAAACUAUGUCUUUUCACUCUGUGAUUGCUUAUACUUUUGUAAUAUUUGUAUGAUCAUCAUUUUUAUAUUCUACAAUUUUUUUUUUUUGGAGAUUAUGCAUGCUCAUCUUUCUCUGAAAAGUCUUCUAUGCAUAGCAAUAGGCAUGCAGGGAGGAUGGAAACAACUAAAAUUAUCAUCACUUUAAUCAACAGUGUUAUUUUGCCAUCUUUUCCAUGUUAAAUUGUCGUCUGUAUAUAUCUAGUAGUGGUAGUAGUUUUACAUAGAAAACUGGGUUCAUUCUCCUACCUUAGUGCUUGAUAAGGAGGAUAAUAAGUUGUUAUGUUGUACCUUUCUGCGAAACAAGGCUAUUGUUCGAGCCAACACCUUGAGUUAUUCUAUUUCUCAAUAUAUUUCCAGUUAUCUUUUCUAAUUGCAGCUACCUAUCAACAUUACAUUUGUUUUAUGUUACUGUAGUACAGAGCAUGAAGUUUAUUUGGUACAGCAAUAAAAACUAAGAUGAUAUCUGGUGCUAGUGUUUAGAAGCAUUGGAAGGCGUGGCGGUCUUUUACCAGAACUUUUGGAUGAUUAAACCAAAGAUGGGAUCAGUGAACUCCAUAAGAUCCAAAACUCAAAUGUGAUCUGGAACCAAGGCUGUAAUCUACUGCACCUGAUCAUUCUGAGCUGUGGUCCACCCCUUAACAAACUGUUGUUCAUCACAACCUGAUCCACUUCAAGGCCAUAGGAAUUAGUCUAGGACCCAUGAAAUUCAAAAUAAUGGCUAUCUAAGAUUUCAUUUCGGAUUGAAUUAUCGUACAAUUCUUGGUCCCAUAGAUAGUGGCUAGAAUACCAACCAAGCUAUGAAAGAUCUAAAGUAUCUUGGAGAGCCAUUGUCAGCCACUUGCUGAAUAGAAAUGUGUGAAAGGGGGUAUGAACAUCCCUUGGCUAUUAUUGUGUGGGGGCCUCCAACACAAUGAGAAGAAGAUAAGGUUGGAUCAGGUGAGUCCCAUGACCGUUGCGUAAAGUUGCGGCUCUUUUAGGGUAUUUUGGAUUGACGUGAUUGGAAUUCCAUUUUAAAUUAAAUUUAGUAAGAGUACAAACAUUAGUACUCUAGUUGACCACAAGAAGAAUUAUCACCUAGUUCAAUCUCUUGAAAAUUAUCUUUCGCUGAAAGGCCAAAAGUUGUUCAUCGUGGAAAGAUCCAAAUUGUGGCAUAGAGUUUGAUAGCAGGUUUUUACUGAACUUGAUUUAUACCCGAAGUGCAAUUACGGCAAUCCAAAUGCCCCGAGGGCAAAUAAUAUCGUUAUUCGGGAGAGGGGGCAUUAAUGGCAUUGACUUUGAAAUCAAAUCCCGCUAUAUGUAAAAAAGGAUGUGCGUAUGUAAUUUACAGACAUUUAUUAAGAGACGAAAAAAAGAAAAGAAAGACAUGAGGGGCUUAACAUUUUUUUCCGCAUGGCUAUUAAGCAUUGGCUAUCAAUAGAAAUCAGAUAUUCAUAGUUUUUACCCUGAAAUACUAUUUGAAUCGAAUUGUUAGAAGAUGCAUAUAAUAGCUUUUUCUUAAAGACGGCUCUACGGUUUUUCGAUGCAUGCAACUUCAAGUUCGAGUUUCUGCUUCUGAAUCUAAAAAAAACUUAUUUUAGGGUCAUACCAAUGUGAAACUCUUACCUUGUUUGUUAGCUAAACACUUGACUAGGAGAGAGUAGGAGUACUUGAAGGAUUAAACUGUUGAUGGAUAGUCUAUGAAACUAAAACCAACUAGAUAUUUGCACAUUUCAGGUUUCCACAACACUACAUUGCAAGUACUCUUUCAGAAAAUAAGAUGAUGUUCACAUGGAGGCUAGGCCUGCCUUGCUAAUAGUAAUAGCUUGGCUUGACACCCAUUCAUAUUUUCAGUCAAUAUAGGACUAAUAAUUCUUGUUGGAUUCAAAUAAAUAUUAUAAGAACACUCUGCUCUAUUUUACACCACCAUAAGGCUCCAUAAGAAGGCCUAUAUGGUCAAUAUAACGAUUGAAUCUAAAUCACCGGUCCAAAAUAUUUAAGUCGAUAGUAAUAGAGCUCUUAGUCCCUAUAUAUAAAACCCAUCUAUCUGAUGUUUGGGAUGUCGCAUUUGAAAAUGUCAUUUGAAAGUUGAUUGGCAUUAAUCCAUCCUAAUAUCUAGGUAAUUAUAAACGUUAUGAACAAGCAGUCAGAUAGAACGGUCGUAUUCAUAUUUAAAAUGGUAUCUGCAGAAUUUUUAAAAUUUUGCAAAACACAUAUGAAAGUGACUAAAAAGGACAACACCAAUUAUUAUGCAAAAGUUAUCUACUAACAGACACAAACCCCCCAAAACUGCACUGUAACUCCUACAAGACCACUUGUUUUGUAGAGAAAAAUAGAUUGGACAGAUCAGAUGCAGAUAAUUGCUUAGUUUAAGAUAAGUGAAAGGGACUGAAUCAAAGCUUAACAACACAUAAAAAAACAAUGCUAGCUCCAAUUCUUUAUCAUUUGCAUCGGACGGCAGUCGCGGCUGAUCUGGUUAAACUCGAUCGACGAAAGAUUGCGAUCGGCCGCGCCUAUCGUUACGCGUCAUUGCGGGCCAGGUGACGGUGAUUCGGGGCGCCCUUUCGCGUUUACUAAGAGCCACCACUAAAACAAAGGAGAUGUAAACAAUGGGCCUAAAGAACAUGCAGGUAGGAUCGCAAAUCCCCACCGCCCGGUGCGGAUUGUGCGGGAUCAUGACCGUUCGAUCGCGAUCAGCUCAAGCCCACUUGCAUUGUGAAAGAGAGGACCACAAUGCAGGUUGAUUCUUGUUGUCCCCCACCCCCCCUCUCAAAGUAUUUUGAAAGGGAGAAAGAAGCUGAGGUAUUUGAGAACUCAAAACUUAGGGAGAGGUGAAUCUUAUGACCAUGAGAGAGAGAGAGAGAGAUAUUAUUGUAUGACAAGUUGAUGUGGUCCUUGUAUAUGAUCCUUUACAGGCAACUUCUUAUCAUCCACUUACCUAAUGUAAUAAAUGAGACAGCUCACUUUAAAAAGCCCUUUUUUUUUGGAAGGUGGAAGUGCUUUACUUUACAGGGAAUUCUUUUGCCUUUUCUUUCACCUGGAGGAUAAUUUUGCCAAAAAAGAAAAGAAAAAGCUAGUGGGUCUCAGAAUCUGCUCAUAUUUAUUUCAUUAUUUAUAUCCACAUCCACAAAUACUGGUAUUAUAUGAAAAAGACCUAAAUUGCUCAAUUAAGAGGUGGUUAUCAUCUAAUGCAUGAUUACUUUGUGGCCAUUCUUUGACCAGUAUUAAUUUCCAAUUUGGUAGACUCUGCAUUAUGAAAAAAAAAAAAAAAAAACCACACUAAAUAAUGCAGAUGCAUAUAAGAAAGAAAAAAAUAACUUUGUAAUAAAUGAUUAGCACAACAAAAGGGGUAGCACUUCCCUCCAUAAAUUAACAACAUUUUGGGAUUCUAAUGUCCAAACAACUCAGACAAGCAUUUCUAGCAAUUCUAAAUUGCUGGUAUCAAACUUCAGUCCAACAAAUACAUUGAACAACCCAAUCACACAACAAGAAAGCCAUUAAAAAAAAAAAGAAGAAAUUGUACUCCAAUGACAGAGGUCUAAUAUGGAAAAAGAUUAGGUGUAGAUACAAAUGAGCUGUGGUAACCAUAAACUGAAACACAAUCAGAUAUAUGAUGGCCCACAGAUGACAACAUUAGCACUUACAUAAUUCACUAUUAUCCGAAUCGAAACAAUCUCACCAACCAUUUCGGUAUAAUGAGCGUAAAGUUAUUUGUAAAAUAUGUACAGGUAAUGUUUCAGGGAAUUAAAAACUAAGAGGAGAAAAGGAAACGGACUAAUGACUUUCGUUUAACACCUAAUCUAAACGAAGUUCGGGUUAUUUUAAUUCUUCGAAUAGAGUUACCACUGUACUUGUAUUUAUCUCUUUGUACCCACAAGAAAAGUUUGUCUCUGUGAUUCAAAGUAGUGAAACCUACCGCUAUGUUUUGUGUAGUUUGUUCGUCGUUUUCGCGACCUUUACAAUGUCUAAAAGGGAAGGUGAUCCCACCUGUACUUGAGGUCGUAUAAAUAAAAGCUUGUAAAGAAAAUUACCAGUUGCCGAAGUAGAACGAAACUUUUCCGCACCGAUAUCUCUAGUCGCUUACUAUUAAUAUACCUCUAUAUGUACUUCUUGUGAUGUUUAACUUGCUCUUUUCCUCCACUUCCUAAAGAGGCGACGCAAACGGAGACUCUGGAAGAUCGAUUUCAGCACUGCGAAAAGAAUAAAGUGAAAUUGAUCAGGAAAGAGCAUUCUGGGACGUUGCAGUGUUUGAUACAUACAAUGACAUAUGCACACAUUAGUCGUGAUUAUAUGUUUUUCAUAUAUUUCAUUGCCAAAAAUGUAAAGUAAUAAGCAGCAGAAACCAAACAAGGAUUCGAUUUGAGAGCAAAAUCUUCUAAAUUAAAUCUGACUUACCUAUUUUUAUCGCUGCGGUUGUUGCUCAUCUGCCUUGUAGUGUCAUCAUUUUUGCCGCCACCGUCCGGAUUCUUUGGAACAAUCGAGAGAUUGCUGAAACGAUCUGCCAGUAAACAUUAACGCACAGAAUAAUAUAUCCGUAUUAAGAUAAGCUUUACAGUGUUAAAACAACGAAAAGAAUAAAAUAGCGCAUUGGGAUCGGUUAUCACCUUCAAUGUAAUUCAGAUCGUCCAUUCCACCGCCAAAGAAGAGUUCUUGUGUCGGUUUGUUCGGAGUCAGUUGCAGAUCAAAAGGGUGUUUCGAUUCAAUUUCAUACUCACGCUCUUCUAUCGACUGCUUUUUGAAAAUCUCAGAAUAGUGACACAGCCUUGAUGCUGAGAAGGGGAGAAAAUUAGAGGAAAUCUUAUUAGGUUACAUAUAAAAGGUCCAACCAGCAAACGUAACAAGAAGUAAAGAACAAUUGAAACUAGAUGUCCGACUCACUCGUAUUCGGGUUCUGAUCCAUUUCGUAGAAUCUGGAAAGGCUGUUGCUUGAAAACAUGGUCUUUUCGGCAUUCUUCCUGCAUUGUGCAUCAGGCAUUAGUAGGGAUACGAAAAGAGUACAGGGCCAAAAUCAAAAUAAAAUAGGAUACACUCCGAUGCAGUGACUUUCUUAGCUUCUACCUCACAAAACAGACUUAUAUCCAACUGAAUAAGAUUUAUACAUGCACCAAUUAAAAAAAAAAAACCGAAUUCAUCAUCUGCCCUAGUGUAAAAAACAUUUAUGUCCUUAGUAAUUUAAAUUAACCAGUAGCGCAAACAUAAUAUUUUUAAUUUCAACAACCAUAUACAAGGUGUUACACAUUACGGAAAACAUAGAGCUGAAGAGGACGACAACUUGCCACCUUAUAAAAACAUAGAAUCUAGUUUUAACUCACAUACACAGCUUGAGUGCCGUCAUGCAAGGCGGUAAAGCAACUGUAUCCGCAUUCCAUUGCAGUGCCAGAAUGAGUUGAAAGAGAUUGAAUUGUUGCAAGUGGAGUUGAUACUGGUUCGGCUACGGUGCAGGAACAACUCUCUACAAGACUCAUAUUUAUUACGAGGCUUCAUUUGGCAUUGCGGGAAAGAGUGCAUUACUUACAAUGAGAAAGCACAAUGGUAAAAUAUUCUAUUUUUCUGUAAAAAAAAAAAAAAAAAACACGCUGUAUAGAUCGUAACAAUUUGGUUACGAUAUAAUCUCUACAGCCCAAGUGGAAAAUGCAAAAGCGUAUCUCUACACGCUUUUUUUCCCAACUCCUCAAGUGAUACUAUUAGAAGUCAAACUAUCCGAGCGUUCCCAAAUUGUUCACACAAAAGCCUAAACUUUUAGUAUCAUGGGUCAACAUAACUCAUUCUUCUCUAGGUAGCGCGCCAAUGCCAUGCUGAAGUAUGACAUAAAAAAGUAUGAGCAACAACAAACCGGCAAAAAUAAAGUAUCCGACGACAAAGUAACAAAUAAGAGUAAUGACAUAAUGAUAAAUUUUUGUCGGAGCAAUUGUCUGUACCGAAUGCGACAACAAGGAAAAAAGCGAAAGAAUUAAUUCAAUGAAAAAGGAGACUAAUCCUAAUCCAAAUCCAAUCACCCACUAACUCUUUAUGGCACAAAGACGACGAGUCGAAAAACGACCCAUAAAGCGAUUGUCUUUACAAUUCUGACCUGUCGAUCAGCUUCGACUUUUCCUUGUAGGGCUUGACCAAUACUCGCGAGCCACAUAUGUAGUGAGGAUUCCCUUUUGCUAAGAUGCAUCUGACCGUCUCGGGGUACACGAAACUCACAAAACCGAACAUGCGCUUCUCCUGAUGAGGAAUUCUAACGUCAUGAACCAGUCCGUACUGCCUAAUACGAACAAAAAAAAUAUUGCAGUUAUAUCUUGAGAACGCCUUUGCUUUGCUUGGAAACUAAUCGACAAAAAUAAAAAAUUACUUGAAGUAGUUUUCGACAUCGUCGUCGGUGAAUGUGCUCUCGGCAGGGAAUGUGAGAUAAAUUUGAUUAGAGCUGGCAUUUACUCCGCCCUGGUGAUAUCUGUCGCUCUUAUUCUCGAUGUAUUUGUGCGCAUCUUCUGCGAGGAUUACCAAAUGCUGCCCAUUUUGACUGCAGCAGAGACAAACACAUACGUCCCAAUUUAAGGGUGAUAAUAAUGCAAAGAAAUUACGAAAAGUUAUCACCCAACUAAGGGGGCAUUUGGUUUUGGAUCGAUGUAAAACGAAUCGAAAAAUUAUUUUCGGUAUGAAAAAUGCUUUUUCCUCUUCGUUUGGUUCGACGUAAAAGAUUUUUGGGGAAAAGUUAACUCAUUUUUCAUUGUUUUUCAGCGGAAAACAAAAACUCAAGCUGAGUAAACCUUUUUUGAUUCAUUUUUUUUUUCCACCGAACCAAACAAAUAUAGAAGAAGAUUUUUUUCCCGAUGGAAAAACUCGCCUACAAACCAGAUUUUACAAAAAGUUGAAUUUUUUUUCCACCAAAAAUUACUAUUAACGGUUCUACGUUGAACCAAACAGACCCUAAACUUUCAUUACUUUGAUUUAAGAGAAUUUCCUCAAAAGUUCCAUUAUUAGAAUUUAACACUACACUUAGAUGAUGUUGUUGUUGUUGUAGUAACAUAAUAAUAAUCUACAAGAAACAAUGAACAGAGAGAGAAAGAGGGGGGGAUUCACCCAUGAAUGAGCCGAAUGCCGUUGUUCAGGCGGGCGAGCAACUUGGUCAGGCUAAAGCCGGACUUCCCGUGCCGCUGGCUCUCGGUAAGGUAUCCCUCGGCCUGCAGCACCUUCCCGUACCUCGCGAGGUACAGCGUCGGCAACGAGGCAAUCGAGAGCGGCUGUCCGACCCUCUCCUUGAGCAGCUCCCGAAUCUCCGCCUCCAGCCUAUCAAACACUUCCUCGUUGCCGCCGCCGCCGCCGCCGAACUCGUUCGAGCUCGGAUGACCGCCGUGCAAGUACCAGCACUUGUCGCCGUGCUUGCAGAACCCCUUGUGGUAGUACUGGCAGGCUUUGGCAGCCUGCAAUUCAGCCCGGAAUUCAGGACAGACGGAGGAAGGGUAGAAAGAAUUCAGCGAUGAUUCGUGCUGGUCCUGAAAGGCAGGAGGAGGAGGAGGACUGUGAUCCCAGUAACGGAAGGUCGACGACGGCGAAGAGAAGCUCCGGGAGAGAGCUGCUGCAGGGGGGAGCGUGAAAUCGGGAGCGGGCUGCUGCUGCAGCUGCUGAAGAAUCGGGAAAGCGAUGGUCGGGAGGAAAGAUUUGGCUUCGUUGAUCAGGGAGAGGAUGUGGGCGUCGGUCCCGAACGCAUAGUCCACGAGUUCUUGAGUGGUGGUGCAGCGCAGGUAGAGGUAGCCGAUGACCUUGAACGCAUUUUCUGGGUCGUAUUUCCGAAUCUUGUUAAAAACAAUGCUAGUAAAAUCGCUCACUUCCAUUUCUGGUUCCUGCCACCACCACAAAACAAAACAAAGAUUGAGAAAAAAAUAAAAUAAAAAUUACAUAAGAUUUUGAAAGAUCACACUAUAUGUAAAAGAUAAAGAUAAAGAAACUGCUUUUCUCAAAAACCAGAAAUUAAAGAAACUAAAGGAAAAAAAAAAAAAAAAAGGUUUUUUUACACACUAAAAGAUAUAGUUUUACCACUACAUGAACAGACUUGUAGCAGAUAAACAGGCACCAAGAAAGAGAGUGGGAGCCAUUCUUUUUCUUAAGAAAAGGGUUUUUUUACACACAAAAAAGAGAGAGAGAGAGAGAGAGAGAGAAAUAGGGAACAAAUUUUACAACUAAAUCAACAUACUCUUCUUCUUCUUCUUCUCCUUCUCCUUCUCCUGUAGAGUGUUUAGGGAGUCUUUUAUUAGUCUCUCAUCAUCAUCCUUCCAAAGCAGAAGAAGAGGAGAUAACACACACCAAGAAGAGAGAGCAAAAAACUGUGUUCAAAUCGAGGCCACUAUUAUAUAUAUAUAUAAAUGUAAAGUCACUGCAUAUUUAUUUUGGAAUGUUCAAAAAAAAUUAAUGAUCAUUUUUUUACUUUAAUUUUAUAACACAAAUGGAAAGAUGAGAAAUGAAUGAUAUUAUUAUUAUUUAUUAUUAUUAUUAUGUUACAGGCUGUAUUGCUAUUUUCCAGCAUUGGUUUAAUUCGAGCGAAAUGACGAAUUUGCCCCUGAACUUAUCCCUUCUAUAGGUGACUUAGAAAUGGACCAAUUUGUCAUUUUGGCACUCUUAAUGGGUGAUUAGUGUGAUAAUUAUUUUUGGAAGCAUUAUAAUAAAGCUCUUUUUUAGUAGUAAAAUGCUCAACAGAAGGGCUAAUGUGGCAUAGUGCAUGUUGCCCACCUGUCAUUUAAAUGUAAACCGUUUCUUUGAGAGGGGAUUAUGGGAUUUUUAUUUUUAUUUUUAUUUUUUUAUUUAUUUAUUCAUUUUUUUUAGAGAAUUAUAAAUAUUAUAAAUUAUAAAUAUAAAUUACUAUUAUAAGUAGGCAAAACGGCUCGCGGUAAAAGCGCAUUUUUAGUUUUUAUCUCCGGGUAGUUUGGAGCCUCACGGUUCGGAUUCUUAGACCCAAAAAAAAGGGUUUUUUUAGAUGAGAAAAAAAAAAGAAGCUGUAAUUUGAAUUGGUGUGUGGAUAGAUUUGAUGUUUGAAAAUUGAAUUCAAAAUUGCUAAUAAGUUCAUAAAUUUAAAUAUAAAUUUAUUAAUUUCAAAUUUUAAAUUAACUUAACGGUUGAAAAUAAAAAUAUUUGUUUUUUUUUUAAAAACAAUAUUCUCGCACACGUAAUAUCUGCUAUCUCUUAUCUACACAUUUUUUCAAAUAUCAUUAAUAUCUCUCGCACUAUCAUACGCGAAAUAUCCAUCACUACAUAAUAUUCAAUCAAAAGUAAUAUCUGUCUUAAUUCAAUUUUAUUUACUAAUAUUUAAUUCAUUUAUUAACCUUUUAUUGAUGGUAACCAAUAAUCAAAUUUAAAUUUAAUUUAAAUAUCUAUUUAAAUUUUAAUUUUAUUUGAAUUAAAAUAUUAAUUAAAAUUUUGAUACUUUUAGUUUAAAAUAUAUAUUUAAAAUUUGAAUUCGUUAGAAACCGAAAAAUAUAGUAUAAUAUUCAAUUUAUAUAAAAAAAAAAACUAUAUAAUUUAUGUCGGCAACAAUUAUUUGAAUUUGAAUUAGAAUUAGAAUAUGACAAAUAAUUUUGAAUAAAAUAUAACAGAUGAAUUUACUUUUUCAAAAAUUAAAUUUUAUUAUAAGUUUUUUGAUGAAUAUGAUGAAUAAAUUUCUGUUGAUUUGAAAUAAGUACUAAAAUAUUAUUAGGAGACCUAUUUUUAUAUUGCAUUUAAUUGAUGAAAACUGAAAAAAAAAUUUAUAUUUAUCUAAAUUUUUUCUGCAGAAUAUACUUCACAUACACAAACACAGAAAAUAUUCGAAUAUCCAAUAAUUUUGAAUUAAGCAACUAAAAAUAAAUUAGAUUCAAAAAAUAGAAUGAUUUAAAUAAAGUAUAUUAACUUGACUUUAAAUUUUAAAUUUGUUUCAUAAUAUCAAGUGUGAAUAUAUAUUUUAAUUCAAAAUUUAAAAUUAAUUAAAAAUUUUAAAUAUUGGGUCUAUCAGCAGAUUGCUUCAAACCGAAAUAAAGUAACUACUUAUUUUCAAAUUGCAUAUUCACAAUAAAUUUCAAAUUUUGAGUUUUUGUUCAUAAAUUGAAAUCCGACUUUAUUAAUUCAAAAUUUGAAUUAAUUCAACAGUUGAAAAUAAAAAUAUCUGUCACUUUCUAUGACAAUUUUAAAUAGUCGAAAGAUUAAUUUGUCUGUAAUUAAUCUUAUCAUGAUGUGUAAUUAUGACUUAGACAUGUCCGAUUUGUGUUGAUUUUAAAUUUUAUUUUCAAAAUUUUGAAUUAGUGAUUAAAGUCUAUAUGAUUUGACUCACUUGCUCUUUACAAUUUUAUGAUUUAAUUACUAAGAUGACCUGCAUCGGAUGGGUGGAACCAAGUCGGAUUCUAAUUAGGCUAAGCCCAAGCCCGGCCCAAACCAAGUUUUUGGGCUUUAGACCAAAAAAUAUUUGAAAAAGAUAAAGCAUGGGCCGGACCCAUAGCCCGCUAACCAUCGAGCCUUGUUUAGGCCCAUUUUUAAAAUAAUUUAUAAAUAUAUAUAUAAUUAGGAAAGUCCAUUUGGACUCUAUUUUUUGGUCACAUGUAUGUACUCGUUUAUGUGUUAUAGACUUUAGGUAUCGUUUGGUUCGGGGAUAAGCAAAAAGUAACUAUUUUAGGAAAAGAUAUAAAUUGAGUUAUAAGUGGGGAUUAGAUCAAUUUUACGUUUGGAUGAAAAUUAGGUUAUUUCUAAGAAUAAAAAAAAUAGUGUUUGAUUAGAUAAGAUGGAAUAAGAAAUAUAAUAGGUUUUAUAAAUAAAAAAUAAUGAUAUUACUCUCUUAUUAUAUUUGAAUUUAAAAUUUAAAAUUUUAAAAUUUUAUUUUUAAAUUUAAAAUUUUAACUUUGAAAUUUCAAAAUUUGAAAUNUUUUUUUAGUUAAUAUAUUAAUUAUAUAAAUUAAAAUACUAAUUAUUUAAAUAAUAUAAAUAUUAGUAAAUAAUUGAAUAUAUGGCUAACUAUUUAAUUAGAUAAAUAAUAAUAAAAUGUAAAUAAAUUAUUAUUUAAAUAUUUAUUAAUUUAAUAACUUAAUUAAUUAAUUAGUCAAUUAUUUAAAAUUUUAAUUGUAAUAAUUAAUUAUAAUUUAUAAUUAUUUUUAACUUAAUUAGUAGAGGAAUAAAUUAGAGAAUAGCUUGUUCCACCCAAUAGAUGGAACUACUAUUCUUCCCUCUUAACGGGUUAUUCCAGAAUAACCUGUUAACGUGGGGAUAAAUUAACAUGCCAAUUUUGCUUGGUGUUUGGCAAGAAUAGUGAGAUAAAAAGAGAUAUUCCUUUUUUAUGUCAAAACCAAAGGGGGCCUUUAGGGUCACAAAAUCAUGAGGAGUUAUCAAUCAUACUAGUUUAAUGUAUUUAGGCUUAGUUUAAAAUUGAGGUCUAUAUAAUGCUAUUACAUAAAAUGGAGUUGAGAAAAAAAUAUAUAGGGAUAUGCUUCUGCAUUCUCCGAUGGGACUGCAGAAAAUAUAUUAUAACCGACUCAUCGCAAUAUGCGGAACGCAAUAUUAUGUACGGAAACAAAUAGUAUAUUUUUCCAACGUACUUUCUCACCGCACGUAACGCAAUCACCCCGCAAUCCCGAAUGAAGCCUUUGUAUGUUUUAUUUCUGUGUACAUGCAUUCGAUGAUAAAAUUGAUUGUACAGAUAGAUAGCAGCUCUCCGCUUCGUGCAAGCAUAAAAAGCUCUACCCGUGCGUCGGGCCUGUUGCGGCCCCGACGGAGAAAGGGAGGCUCUCGCCGCCGGGCUGGGGCAUUACAUCUUGCAAGAAAAUUUUCUCCCUCCUUUGUUGGCAUCAUCCUGGAUCUUAUUAUUCACCUUUCUAGUGAGACUAAACUUAUUAGUCCAGCGCAAUACUAUAAAAUGUAUCCAAUUGAGAGGUUAGUUAUUAUAAUAUUAAGAUUCACCUAGUAAUUUAAUAAAGGAUUAAUUGUAUACAGGUCUCUGCAAACAUAGUGAAUUACAAAUAUAUCCCUACAAAGUUUAACUUCCAUGGGUUGUUCCAGUAAAAGUCAUAAUAUUUUCAAAUAUGUUUUUGCCGUUAGAAUCCGUUAAAAAAUUUUAAUUAACCACAGAUUAAAUAUUUAACGCUGAUUAGUUUAUAAAAUAACUUGAUAUUCUUAUCUCUCAUAUAUUAUACUAUUGUGACUCUUGGAAGGAUAUAUUUGUGAUGAUAAAAAUGAUAUUUCAUUUAUUUACUGUUAAAAUAUAAUUAGUUUUAUAAUGGUAACAAACCAGAAGGAUAUAUUUAAAAAUAUUAGAACUUUUAAGGAAUAAUAUAAAAAAGUUGAACUUUGUAGGAAUAUAUUUGCAAAUUACUAUAUUUACAGGAACCCGUAUGCAUUUAACAAUUCACUAUAUUCACAAGGACCUAUAUGCAUUUAACCUUUUAAUAAACUACUAAUUUGUUGUAAUUUAUUUAUUAUUUUGAUCCUUAGUUUCAUUUAUUUAAGUUUCUUUUAAGAUACAAAAUAGAUUUGCUUGUUGAAGGUUAUUUAAUUGAGGAGAGCGCGAUAUUUUGCUCUUACUACUUACAUAGUGUUGAAACCUAGUUCAACCGUCUAGUGAGAAAUGAUGAUCAUAAUUUUACUAACUUAUCUAAAAAUUUAUUAUUUUCUUAUAUUGGUUGUGCACUAGAUGAUUGUGAAAUUAUAACUUUGGAUUACACAGCAUAUAUACAAGCUCAUCGAUACGUGCUAUUAUUAACUUUUGAUCUGUGUGUAAAUUGUUAAACUUAUAAAUUAAUUAAUGGUCUAUAUGCCAUGAUUUUACUUUUCGGUAAGGGCAUAUUUGGUUUAUGAUUGAAAUAGAAAUGGAAAAUAGAAUUGGAUUACUUUGGAAUAGGAAAUGGAAUAACGAAACAUCCAAAAAUAUUUAGUUCAUUGUUGAAAUGGAAAUCGAAAUGAAAAUUUAGAAUUUUUUAGAGAGGAUUUUGAUUAAGAGAGAAGAAAGUGAUGAAAAGAGAUGAGAUAGUUGUUAGUAAAAAGAGAAUUUUGAAUAGUUUAUAUUGGAAUGGGCCAAUCCGGAAUUAAAAAGCGGAUUAAGUCAUAAAUGGAUUUGGCCAUUCUCAUUCCGGAGCGAAAUGGGAACCGGAAUCUGAUUCCUAUAAAACAAACAACAACUAUCGGAAUCAAUAAAUUUCAUUUCGAUUUCAUAGUCUAAAAUAGGUGAACCAAACAUGCCCUAAGUGUAUUUAGCUAGGAUUAGUUAUUUGCAGAGAGCAUCUUCAAGAUAUCAAGGCAUAUGAAAUUAUACUGAUAAAAUUAAGAUAUGAAAUGGUUUGUCAUUCUUUAAAUAGGUUCACAAUAAAAUUUUAAAAAGGGAGAGAACAGAGAGUUAUCUGCGAAAAUUCAAUGGUUGACAAUAGGCCCUUUUAACCAACCGACCGUCCCUAGAGCAAGUGGUAAAGAGCUUGGUGGUUGGUACCCGAGACCCAAGUUCGAAUCCUAGUUGAUUCACAUUUCUAUCUAAGUUUAUUUUUAAAUGAAAUAAACGAAGCGGAUAGCGUGCUACCUAUCUCUCAAAAAAAAAAAAAAAAAAAAAAAAAAAAAAAAAAAAAAAGAAAAGAAAAAGACAACAGGCCCUUUAAUGACGGUAAAGAGAUAUAUAUAAACAUUAUAUUAGAUUCCAUACAAAAGAUGUUGAGGAGAAAUGAAAAAUCCAAAAUAGUGACACUGCAAGUAUCUCAAUUUUUGUUUGCACACAAAUAUGCGCAUGCAUGCGCACACAAACACAUGCAGGUUUAGAAUUUGGGUCGAGUUUGAUUCCUAAAAAUGCCUCAAAUUAUUUUGGGCCUAAAUUUUAAAAGUCCGGUCCGAACCAAAAGUCGAACCAUGAGACUCAAAAGCCCGGCCCAAAAUCAUACAAAUUCUUGGAAUAGACAUGUUGUUCUAAGUAGGAAGUGCACUUUUACCUUUUUUUUCACUACAAAGUUUAGUUAUCAAAUAUAUGGAGGAAAAAAAAAAAAAAAAAAAAAAAAAAAAAAAAAAAACUUGAAUGAGUAGCACCUUUUACCUCCAUAUUUAGAUCUUUCUAAAGGUCUGUUUGGCCUAGCUUCUGAAAAAGUGAAUCAUACUGCUAACCAAACUGUCUCAACCAGAUCCCGUUGAAGGGCUCUUCAAUGGAAUUACGCUUCAAAUACACUUGAAGUUGCUUAGUUUGCAAAUACAUUCCUCUGUAUAAGUUAACUAGUUAUAAUUGACUUCUUUUCUACCAAAUGAUUAUUUUCUUAAAAUAGAUAUCUUUCUCAUUGUAUAUAACAUCAUUUGUUAUUUCUAAUAUUUUAAUUUUAAAUUUCAUACCAUUCUAUAUACAUGAUAAAUUAUAAGUUUUAAAAUAUUUUAAGAAAAUUAUUUUUUAUGAUGGUCUAACGGUUACCACGAUAAAAUUUAACCGUCAACUACCCGUAGUGAACUUAUAGGAAUAAAUUUAUAUAUUAUUGAUGCUUUAAUAAAAGAAUAAUUUAAUAAUUACAACUUUGUAUGGAUAAAUAUGCAAUCUUGAAACUUCAUCAAAAUACAAAUAAAAUUAUGAAAGAGAAAAAAGUAAAGUUGAGCAACUAUUUCAAAAGGGCUUAGGGGGGUGUUUGGUUUGAUGUAAAAGCUAUAUGAAAAUUAGUUUCAGCUUAGAAAAUGCUUUUUUCGUUGCUUGUUUAUCUAGCUGUGAAAAUAUUUCUUAUAAAAUAUUUUUAUAAAUUGUAUUAAAUAUUAAAAAUAAAAAAAUUAUUCUUUACAAAUCCAGACGUGAGGGAACCCAAUCGAGAACAAGAGGUCUUAAGUUCGAGUCAUACCAGACUCCUAACUUAGUUUAUUUUCUCCCGUUUAAUUCAAGUCCAUAUCAUGAGUAGAGCUGGCAAUCUAGCUAGCUAUUCGUGAGCCAACUCGUGUUCGACUUAAAUUAAGCUCAAAAUUGAUCGCUCGUUUAAAUAAAUAAGUCGAACACAAGCUGAAUUUUUUAGUUCGAAAUCUUAACAAGCCUUAGCUCGCACGUAUUUGGCUAGAUAUAGCUUUUAUAUAUAUAUAUAUAUAUAUAUAUAUAUAUAUAUAUAUAUAUAUAUAUAUAUAUAUAUAUAUAUAUAUAUAUAUAAAACAAAGUUUACAAUUUGGAUUUUUAGGCCAAUCUAAAGAAAUCUAUAUGUUUUAUAAGUUUUAAUUAUUAUUUGAGGUUUUAAUUAUUUUAAUGCUUUUUAAUUUUUUAGCUAGUAUAGCGGAGCUCACAACUUUAACUUGCUAUUUGUACUUCCUGAAGAACAACUCAUGCUUAAUGUAGACAGCCCUGAAUACGAGCUAGAUGGUUUCAGCUCGAUGUUUUUAAAAAUCAGCCUGCGUGUUGAAUUCAUUUAAUUAAAUGAACAUACACGAACUGGCUAGUCCAUUGUUGUUCGGCUCAGUUAACUACCCCUAGUUAUGGAUCCUAUCAAAUUAAUUUCGAAUCCAAAUGUGAGGGAGCCCAAAUAAAAAAACAAAUUAUUAAAUAUAAAAAUAUGAAAACUACCAAAAAAAAUUUUGUCCAGAUGUUGAGGGACAUAAAAAAGCUUCGCAGCCUAGAAGAAUGAAAAUUCUUAAUCUUAAAUAUAAAAGAUAUACAGAGACAAAUUUUUCUGCCCAUUUAAAUUUUUGGAGAAAAUAAUUUAUUUACAUAAUUUAUUACAUUUUGGGUGAAAAUUAUUUUAUUCAUUCAUUUGAUUCUUAAAAAAAGAAUAAAUUUUUUUUUUCCUCAAAAAAUAGUAUUCCCAUAUUUUACAUUUUAUUAAAAUUAAAAAAAAUUAUAAAUGGAGGUAUCUUUAUAAUAAUAAUAAAUAUAUUUCUUGAAUUUUUUUUUUCAUUUUUUAAUACUAAAUAGUAUUGUUCGAAGGUGUUUAGUAUAUAAUUUUACUUAUUGGAUGACGACUAGAUGACGCUACGAUGACGAAUGACGAUAUAAAGGAAUGGUAAAGAGAACAACGAGGCUCGGCUUGAAACAGCAAAUCUGAUUGGUCCGACAUCUCUCUCCACCUGAUAUGAUUGGUUGAUUUGAUGUACAGAAAACACACGCCCUUCCCUUUGUCGGCACUGCUGCAGAUAUUCCACAAUCAACGGUCUAGAAUUUGACAGUGACACCACAUCACACCAUACCAUCUAUAGCUAGUUAAUUAUGUUUUUUUAUAAAUAAAAAUAUUUUUUAAAAAAAAUUAUGAUGAAUGAAUAAACUCUUAGCUACCGUUUGGUUCGGGAUUAAGAAAAAAUUAGUUAUUUCAGGGAUAGAGUUAAAUUUAGGAUUAAGGUGGGGUUAGAGUAUUUUUAUGUUUGGUUAGGGGUUAGAGUUAGUUCAGGAUAGUGAAAAAUAAUGUUUGGUUGGAGUAGGUGGGAUAAGAAGGAUAGUGAGUUAUUAUGAAUAGAAAAUAGUGUUUGGUUGGGGUUUGGUGAAGUUAGGUGGGGUUAGCUAAUUCGGGAUAACCCAUUUGAAGUGGGGUUAGCUGGGGUUAGCUCGGGUUAGCUAAUCCGACCCAUUUUUAGAAGUGUUUGGAGAUAAAAUGGGGGUUAAGAGGUUAUUUCAUCCCCUAACCCCUAACCAAACGGAGGCUAGUUAUGUAUUUUGAUUGGAUGAAGACAUUAUUGAGUAAUGUGACUGUUAUAUGCGAAACUUUUUUUUAAUGAAAUGUGCCCCUCUGGAGUUCACCGAUCCCAUGCAUCAUAAUAUUUUUUAGAAAAAAUAUUAUAUUUUUCUCAAAUUUUGAUUGGCUUGAGAUAUUGGCAAUGCGUACAAGUGUUACAAAGAAGACUAGCUAGCUCCUUCUAAUAAAACUUUCAUAUAUUGGUGAUGUGUUGGUUAAUCAUAAACCACAUCAAAGUGAGUGCGUGCAUAAUUGAAUCAUAAGUUUUCAUAUCAUAUGUGCCAAAACAUUAAUAGCAUGGUGAAGAACACAUGAUUGAUGCCAAAUUAUUUCUCUUAUUUAAUCAUUCUAUUCAUUUUAAGGUCAAUUUUGUCGGUGUCCUUCUGUCCACAUCUAAUUACAUAGAAAUUCUCUAAGACUUCAUUUGGUUCGGACAUAAGUAAGAACUAUCUAAUUCAAGAAUAGAGAUAAGUUCAGAUAUAAGCCUGUAAUAGAUCAAUUUUGCGUUUGGAUGAAAAAUGACUUAUUCUGAAGAAUAAGAAAAAUAGGAUUUGGAUAGAUAAAAUGGAAUAACAAGAAUAGUACGGGUUAUAAAUAGAAAAUAAUAAUAUUGCCCCUUAUAUUAUAUUUGAAUUUAAAAUUUUAAAUUUUAAAUUUAAAUAUAUAAUUUUUAAAAUGAAAAAUUCAAAAUUAAAACUAAAUUUUUUAAAUCUCAAAUUUAAAAAUUUAAAGUUAUAAAUUUUAAAUUUAAAAUCAAAUCUAAAUUUAAAAUAUCAAAUACCAAAUUUUAAAUUUAAAAAAUUAAAAAUAAUAAUUUUAAAAUUAAAAAUUAAAAAUUAAAAUUAUAAAUAUUAAUUUUAACAUUAGAAAUUUAAAAUAUUUAAAAUUUAAAUAGGGGUGAGAUUAGCUAAUCUCACCUCAAUUCUAGGGGAUUGGGAUUGUUAACCCCACCCCUUAACGGGUUAUCCUUAGGGUUAACAAUCACUACAAUAAAAACGGUUUAUAGCGACACUUUUAAAUGUCGGUACAGCUAAAAAAAAAUGCUACUGGCUAAAUUACCGACACUUUUAAAAAGUGUUACUAUAUGUGGGGUCGCUAGGUAUAUAGUGACAGUUAAAGAGUGUCGCUAUACGCUAAAAAGAGUGCUGCUAAUUUACCAACACUUAUUUAAGCAUUUAGCAACCGCCGGAACUCUAGCUCAUUGCUGCCGCGGUGGAGGAAGAGGAGAAGGAAGGGAUCUUCGUUUAGAAUUUCAGUGGAUUGAGUGAGGGAAGAAAGAGAGAUGGUAAUCAAUUUUUUAUUUUUUUUUCUUUUCUGUUUAUAAUCGGGCUAAACGGACUGGAUGUGGUGGGUUGAGUAGAGUAACCUUUUUUUUUUUUUGGAUUGGGCUUUAUAUUUAGGCAUUAGUAUAUUUUUUAAAAAAUUUUGGCACAAAUGGGACACUUACAUAAAAGUGUCCCAAACAUGUGUCCCUAUAGCCUAAUUCUGUUGUGGUGAAUCCCCUAACAUGUUUAAUUGUGUUUGAGGAUAAAAAAGGGAUAACCUCUUAUCCCCUUUCUAUCCACGAACCAAACACCCACUAAGAAUUGUCAAUAUUAAAAAUGUUCCUCAAAUUUUGUAAAAUGAUCAAAUUUACCCAUGUUACUAAUAUUUCAUACAAAAUACAGCUUAAAUGCUCCUUUUACCCCUCUUACCUUUUUAAUUAUUGUACAUGUUAUGAUUAAGAUAGUGUGCAUUUAUUACAUGUAAUGAUUAAAAGACUAUGCAUUUAUUAGUACUAUUUUUCUAGUUUAGUUUAAUCUAUCAAUAUAACUUUAUUGGACUAAUUUAGUACGCAUUUAUUUUUAUUUUAUUUAGUUAAUAUAUUUGCAUUUUAUUGGUUUAGUUAUAGAAGAAAGAAUUAUAUACUUUUUUUUUUUUUUUAGAGAGAUUAUAUACUGUUUGUUAGGUUUAUUUUAGGUCCAUAUGUUAUUUUAGAUGUAAUUCCAUACUUCUAUUUUUCGAUCUAUAUUACUGUGCAUUUAUUUUUAUAAGUUUGAUUACUUUUUUAAUCUUUGUAUUAUUUUAAACGUAGUUCAAUAGUUCUUUAUUUUAGCUUUGAUUUAUAUUAUUAUCCUUUUAUUUCGUAUUUUUAUUUUUAUAGUUUAUUGUGAUUACUUUUAUUUACAAUAAUUUGUGUCUAAUAAAUAAAAAAACUCUCCUAAUUAACAUAAUUUAAAACAAAAGUUUUAAAUGACAUAAUAAUUAGCUAUUCUGAGGAGUGAAUAGGUCAUUUGUAUUUUAAGUUUAAAAAAUUAAUGAAAAAAGCAUUUAUGAUAUAAUUUAUAGGUUUAUAAGCGCAAUAUUAAUUUUUUCAGUUUUAAACAUGUGACAUAUUUAAAUUUUAUGGGAUAAGUUUGAAAUUUUCCCUANGUGUUCGGCUCGAAAUGAGCUCGAGAUCGAAUCACUCGUUUAGUAAACGAGCCGAACACCAGCUGAAUUUUUCAGCUCGUUUAAUAAACGAGCCGAACACGAGAUGGGGUUAGCUCACUCGUGUUCGGCUCGAUAACAGCUCGAAUACAUAUAUUUUAUAUUUAUGUAAUUUAUUUAAUUUAUAUUUAUAUAUAAAUAAAUAAUUAUAUAUAAUAUAUAUAUUUUUAUUAUUUUAUUUUUAGCAAAAUAAAAAUAUAAUAAUGUUGAGCUCAAUUAUUAAAAGACUCAUUUAUAUGUAAAAUUUCAUCUAUUUGAUCAAAGUCUAAUGGAUAAGAUUUUAUAAAUUUAAUUUUUAUAUAUAUCCAAUUAAUCUAAUCCUUUUAAUUUAUUGUUCGUUGACCAAUUCAUGAGUCAGCUCGUGUUCGGCUCGAUACUUUAACGAGCCAGCUUGUGUUCGAUUAAACGAGCCAGCCCAGCUCGCUCUUGUUCGACUCGUUGACACCUCUAGGGUGUAAUUAUAAAUGCACCGUAGUUAAUUAAAAGACAUAUGUAGUUAAAAUUAUGAUAAUUACAACUCUAUAUAUUUGGCUUAGAUGGAUAUAAUAAAAAAGGUUGUAACUAUAAAUAUUUUAUUUAAUUAGGCCCAUGAAAAUUAGUGUCUAUAUUUAUAAAUCUUAUUAUUUUAUAUAUGGACUUGUGAGAUAACCUCUAGGGUGCAUUUGGUUCGCGCUAUCUUUUAAAGAUUCCUAAUAAUCCAAUAGGAAUAUAAAAAUAUGACGGUGUUUUGGCUAAACGCACUAAGUAAUCUAGUUGGUAAUAUUAGAUUUACUUGGGAAUAAGAUUCAUCCCAAAAUACUAAUCUCAUUCUCUUGAGGAAGGGUGGGUAUCCUAUAAUAUGGAUUGGGGUAAUCAUAAUAUGUCUAAUCUCUUUCUUUCACCCUACCCGUCGGCUAAUUGGUAUUAUUUUUCUUUACACUAUAACCUCAUAUCUCUCUCUAAACUUAUCUUUCUCUCUAAAAUUUAACUCUUUUUUUCUCUCUAAACUAAGUUUUCUCUCUCCCUCUUUUUCUAAAUCUCAACUCUCUCACUCCCUCUAAUUUCGACUCUAUUUCUCUUACUAUUUUUUUAAUUAUACUCUCUCUUUCUAACCUAUGCUCUCUCUCCCUUUUUUCUAAAAAAAUAUUGAAAUUUUUGGUAGAUUAUCUAAAAUUAAUUUAAAAAAUAAAUAAAUUAAUUGUAUAUUUUUUGUAAUCUUAAAUAAUAUGGCUAAAUAAUAUGACCGUGCGAACCAAACACAGGAAUUUCACAUUCUUAGUAAUAGGAUGAUUAAAUUAAUUAUAUAUUUUUUGUAAUCUUAAAUAACAUGGCUAAAUAAUAUGACCGUGCGAACCAAACACAGGAAUUCCACAUUCUUAGUAAUAGGAUGAAUAGGAAUAAGAUUCUCGAACAUUUUUUCAUUCCUAGUAAUCUUUCAUAAUGCGAACCAAACGCACCCCUAAUGCAGAAAAAGAAAGAUCUUUUUGGAUAAAAAAGUGAUUAGAUAAAUAAGCCUAUAUCAUCUUACAAUUUCUCUCUUCAACUAAUUCGAAUGUAGUUUCAACUGAUGUAAUUUUAUCAAAUCAAACCUUGUAGUUAGAUCUAUAUACAAUUAAGACUAUAACAUAGUUGCAACUGUGUGCAACCAAACAGCUCCUAAAUAUUUUCAGUUAUAUCCAUACUCACAUCUACAAAAUAUCAUAAACUAAAUAUUUUUAAUUCUAUUUAAGCAACUUACACAUCUCCUGUAAAAAAGUCUUUUGAUUGUUAAAAUUCUUGAUAUCAGAGUAUUUCUUAUGAAAUAUUCGUGUAAAAAUUCUUCAAUUAAAAUGUCCAUCUUCUACAAUAAGUUAAAAAUGUGUAAAAUCACCCUCACCAGUAAGCCAUUUUGAUAUAUUUUUUUAUUUACAUCCUCUCAAUUUAUUUUUCUAUUUUUUUGACAAUUAGGUGAUUUUUAUUAGCUAAAUUAAAAUUUUAUUAAAUUCAUGAGUGAGGUAUCUCAAUUAAAAAAAAAUUUACUAAUCACAAAAACUGAAGACUUACAGGGUCUUAAUAAAAAAAAACAGUUAAAGGUGUCUAUUUUAAAAUGAUCUCUAGGUGAGGGGCCUCCAUACACUUUUACUCAUCAAUAAUUAGGGUUAGAAAAAUUAUUUUACAUUAUCAAAAUUAACUGAUAAAAAUUAAGAGAGAAUGGCCGCGGAGGCAUUUAUAAUAAUUAUAAAGUUUGGGAGAAUAUUAAUAAUAUUUUAAAUUUUUGAGAGAUAUCCAUGAUAUUUUUUAAAAAAUUUAUAAAAGUAUUUGUAAAUUUUCAUCUAUAUUAAAUUAAAUUUUAAUUAUCAAAUAUUAAUCAGAAAAUUUAGGUUAAUUCGUGUGUUAUUAAGUCAUCGCUAUAUAUUCUUUACAGAGAAAAUGACAAUAUGUUAUUGCUUCAUUUAUUUUUUAAAAAAAUUAAAUUAAAUUAAAAAUACAAAAUAAUUAAAUAAAAUUUGAACUUAGAUCUUGGAAUAUCAAUGAUCCAAUGUCUUUUGCACUUGUAUUCAAAGAAUAAUAAUUUAUUUAAGUUUCAAUGAUUCUUCUAGAAUUGAAAGAGACGCCAUUAAUGCAACACGAGACACACGUUGAUGAGGUAACAUUUUAACUUCUUUUUUCCAACUAAAAAUAGUAAAAAAAAAAAAAAAGUACAUUUGAAAGGAUUUAUUGACUUUUCAAACUUUAUGACAUUUUUUUUUUUUGGCUAUCCAUGGUUUGCUGUGGUUUUUGGUACGCAUAUUACCGUAACCAUCACUGUAUAAAGUAGUUGACUUAAUAUACUUGUUUCGAUAUUAAAAAAAAAGUAAUAUUAUUUGUACAUCAAUAAUAAGUAAUUCAAUAAUAUUUCUUACCAUUCGUGAGAAUAUAAUUCUCAACAACACGAAAGAAAAAAAAAGUAUUUUUUGAUUUAUUUUUAAUAUUUCAUAAAAAUUAGUAAUUUCGAUUUUCAAAAUCUUUUAGAAAAAUGAGCACACACUAAUUUUCUAUACAAUAUGAAAAUAAUUUCAUACAAAUUUAUUUUCUUUAAAAACAAAGAGAUAAAAAAAAAACUAAAAAAUAAUAUUUUAUGAUUUUUUAAUUUUUUUCUAAUUUUUCUGAGAAAUUAAACAACCUCUUUUAAGUUGUGAAAUAUAUAUAUAUUUUUAAAGAAGAUGCCAUUUAUCACUUGCAAAAGUAGGUCACAAGCAAACUGGUAAGGACAAUAAGAAGAAUAUAUUCUAUGGACUUUUCAAAUUUAUAUAGAAUUAUUGCUUAAAAAAUAUAAAAAAGCACUAGUACCAAACAAGGCUUAAAGUUAUACAACAUUCUAAAUAAUAUUUCUUACCAUUGUGAGAAUAUAAUUCUCAAAACAAUAGAAUAGCUGCAUCACAAUUAAGUAAUUCAUUUCGUAUAAUUUAAUAUGAUAUCAGAACAUAAGCUCCUCAGUUCAUGCCCCACAUUUAACAUUAAUUAAUUUUUUUCUAUUUAAUCAAUUCCAUAUCUUCAUCCUAUCAAAAAAAAAAAAAUCUGAUAAAGGAGGUGUUGGGUACAAAAAGUCUCUAACCCACACAUAAGGAGAGGUGUUGAGUAUAAAAAUACAAAAACACAUAUCUCUAGCGAACAAUUUAGACUUUUGGAUAAUAAUAAUUGUUUCACAUAAUUUAAUAAAAUAAUAAGUUUUAGGGACAAUUGCUUAUAUAUCCCUGAAAAAUUUCCGACUUUCUGAUUUACCUCUCUUAAAAGGUUAAUAUUGAAAAUACCUUUUUUACGUUUCAACCUAUUUUAAAUAUACUCCUAGAGUUAAAAUCUGUUAAUGAACUCUAUUAUCUUUAUAAAAUUGUUAUUUUGCUCUUUUAAAUAUACCCUUCUGCUAUCACUGGUUUUUCUUAUUUGCCCUUAAGUUAGGGGCACAAAAAAUAUUUUGCGUUUUGGUCUUUUCAAAUAUACACUUUACCAUCACCAACAUUUCUUAUUUGUCUUCAAGUUAAGGAUAAAAGUAACAUUUUGAUUUUUUUUAAUAUAUUUAACUCAUGUUUAAUCCAAAUUAACUUACCGAUAGUAACUGUAGAGAUAUUUUAGAAUAUGGAGGAACAUAUGAGAGGAAUAUUAGAAAAAAAAAAGAAGUAAAGAUAAAUAAAAUAUUUUCGAAGUUUUAAGGGGUAUAUAGACAAUCAUUCCUAAGUUGGCGCAAUUAAUAUGCAACUGGAUCAUGCAAUAAGUGAUUUGAAAAAUUUUAUAGGAUGUUCCCCAUCCUCCUUACAUGCAUGAUAAGACUAAGAGAGAGAGAGAGAGAGAGAGAGAGAGAGAGAGAGAGAGAGAGAGAGGGCAUUCAAAUCAAAUACUAUACUAGUUAGUAGUCCUAGAACAUUAUUAUUCUUCAUCUGGAUAAACAAAGAAGCUUCUUAGAAAGAGGCAGAAACAUAGAAAAAAUAGAAAUUAAGGUGUGGGACGCAAAGAAGUCAAAAAAUGCGGUAAAAGCGCUGUAGCACCUUUGGCCAUAUAUAUAUAAUAUAUACGUUGGUGUAGGUGAACAGAUGCACUUUAAUUUUGACACAGCCCUUUCGAAGAUCAUUCGUUGCAUUGAAUUGCUCCUGUAAAAGGUCAAACAAGAGGACAUAAAUUUGUCCACAGAUGAUCUUAACUGAGAUUCUUCGAUCUCUACUAAUAAUUAACUUCUAUUUUUUUUUUAUUUGUAGUUACCUACAAAUUGUGUUAAAUUCCUAAAAAGGAAAAAAAAAAUACUACCUAUAUAUGCUUGUAUAAAUUUUACAAAAUUUUUAAAACUUUUAGUUUAAAAAACAAAAUUUGAUAAUACAAGUAGAAAAUAGAAGUCUAUGAAUGAGCGGAGUGUAAAAUAUACACCAAGUCUAGAAUUUUUAGGUAAUUCUAAUUUGAAUUAGAAUAAAAGACAAGUAGUAGUAAUUAAUUUUACUUGAAUUGGAUGAAUUAAAAUUGUAUAGCCUAUAUAUAGAGUUAUACAUACUUUUUUCUCUUUACUUAAAUUUUUUUAAAAAAACUAGUAAACCAUCCAAUUCCUAGAUAAGGAGUUGUCGCUAGAGAUUACAAUCCCUUUUAGUUGUAGACUUAAUUAGCAUUUCUGACUAGUGCGUGAGAGAAAAUAAGAAAAAGAGACCGAAUUGAAAAAAGAUAAGUCAUGUGUACUUUUUUUUUUUCUUGGACAGUCGAUCUUAUUUUGCCCAUAUUUUGUAUUUUUGUAUUUGAUUAUUUUUGAAUAGUUCUAUCAGUUUUAUAUAUUGAGGUGAUGAAUUUAUAGUAAAAAUUCAACUGAAUGGUUUCUUUAAUUAUAGAAUCCCACCGACGGUGUUAUAGCAGGAAUUGAAUUUUUUAUCAAUUAGUAUCAAAGUGGAUUACAGAUUCUCAAUAUAUGAUACUCUCACCAUGCAGCAUUCAAAAAUGAAUCAAACAAGCCGGUUUGAUCUAACUUUGUGCAAAAUUUAAUCAAAUUUAGUCUUGGGUGAUUGAAUCAAGGGCAUCAACUUCAAAUCUGAUUUCUUAUUGGAUUACUUUUUUAAUAAAGAAUAUUGUGAUAUCAUGUGUACGUAGCACCACUUCAUAGGUGCCGAGCAUGCAGUUCCUUCUUUUUUUUUCUUUUUUUUUUUUUAAUCAGAAGCUCAAAAGUACAUUAAAAGAGAUAAGUCUUUUGUUUUGUUUUUUGUUUUUUGUUUUUUUACCUUCUUUGAGGAUCAAAAGCGUGACUCUCAACAAUGCCAUCCAGAUUUAGUCCCCCCCACACUCAGAUAUAUAUCCUAGUGACAUUGAGGAACAUAGAGGUUCAAAUUUCAAAAUAUGCCUAUAAAGCAAUCAAACCUUGACUUAAUUGAUCUACACUGACAUUUCUCGAUGAUAGGAUAAUUGUCUAUGCCAAUUUUUUCUUCGAGGAAGGACGAUAAGGACAAUGAUGCUUUUGGAGUGACCAUAACGAGAAAAAAUUUGCAAGAAAUAAAACGAAAGUUUGACUCUUUAUUUUUUAUUUUUCUUUUGAGGUUGGUUCUAGACCUUACGAAUACAGACACGAGAUAUAAGACAAACGACACGAUUGGGAUACAGUAUUUAUUAUUAUUAAUACUAAAUCAAUAUUUAUUAUCAUCGGAGCAAAAUGUUCAAAACGUAACUAGAUGUAAAGCAUGUUAUCUCGCACUAGGCUUUGGCAUGCAAUAUGAAAUUUUUUUUUUUUAUUUUUUCCUACUUUUGUUGGGAUCUUUCCGGAAACAAAUUUUAUCCACAUUAUUCCGUACAAAUCUAAUGACAAACAGUAUUUGAACAGUUUGAGAGAUUUUUUUGAAGGUACGUGGUCGAAUUCGAUACAUGCAUAUUUAUGGGGUUUUGAUCUCUCAGUCCUCUCGGAUACUGAUAAUAGGUUAGUCUCUGACGAGAUGGGUUCUUGCACCUAGGAGCAAUAAUUAGGAAAAAAAAGAAAAAAGAGAAAGGGUAAUUGAACAAUAUUUGUGCGAAAAAAAUACUAUAUGUACACUCAUAUAGGGCUGUACAUCUUACACCCCAUUACAUAUUGAUUUUCAGUGUGCUUUCUAAGGUGGGGCAUUUUGCCGAGCCUCUUUCCUCUCACCAAUGUAAAUGGAAGGACGCCGCAUACAUCUUGACUAGUUUAGUUUGCCUGCAGAGCGAGCUAGCUAAAACUACUAUUUAGAAUUCUGGACUCACGAGAUUUUAGUGUGCAAUUUCAAAUGUGCUUCUCAAAACUUAUAAUAUCUAUAGAUACCUUUUUAGAAUUGUCAAUAUUAUUUUUGUCGCUAUAAAUUAAUAAAAAAAAAUACUCCCUAUCACAUUGAUUAAGAGUUUUAAACUAAUUUGCUCCUGAUCAUACCUAAUUAUAAAUAAUGGUGUGGUAUUAUGUGGAGCUAAUAACUUUAUUACUCAGAAAAAAAGGACUCGAUUUUAUUUUUUUAUUUAGUUUAUGAAUGUCUUUUUUGUCUAAUUAAUUUUAUUAUAUUGUUAAUUCUAUAUUAUAUGGAUCUUAUGUUGAUUUUAAUUAAAAGGGAUAAUUGCCUAUAUACCCCUCAAAACUUCACAAAUAUUUCAUUUACCCUUACUUUUUUUUUUUUUUUCUUUCCAAUAUACCACUCAUAUGUUUUUCUGUUAUUCCAAAAUAACUCCCGUUUCAAAACUUUGCAGCGAUUAUCAGUCAGAAAGCCAUACUCUACCCAUUGUAUGACCGUAACUCAAUCAAAACACAUCUCACACUUUCGGCAAAUGAUUGGCCCUGAUACUAAUUAUGAUGUCCCACUUUGCAGGAGGAUGACCCAUUCUAUAACUACUCUAACUAUUAACUUUUCUUGGUCUAGUUAGUCACCGCUUAAAAUAUUACAAUCGGAUUAAAAAAUUUUAGUCAUAUUAUAUUUUUGCAUAUAAAACUAUUUUAGAUUUUAUGACCAUAAUAACAAUCAAAUUGGUGCACGCAUAAUAUACAGGUUCAUUGACAAUGCAGGACAGUACGAUCUGCUGACCCAACUCAUUUGGAGAAUAAAAAUUUCGGUUAAAAUCAAAGUCUUCAUCUGGGUGCUACUACGCAAGAGACUUCUCACGGUUGAUAGACUGCUCACUCGUGGAAUGUUGAUUGACGAACACUGUGUUUUCUGUGCAUGUCAAAUGGAGAGCUACGACCACCUUUUCAGCAACUGUGUCUUCGCACGCUUCUUUCUCCUCCGGGCAGCUUUACCAACUAGGGAUUCGUGGGAUGUUCGGAAGCUUUGGACCAAUAUAGCUGCUAUCACCGACAAUGCAAAUAGAUCGAAGGUUCUUACCACAUUGGCGGCAAUUUGUAAGGUAAUUUGGACGGAAAGAAACGACUUUAUUUUCUGCUCAAAGACCCCAAACGUCAUCUAAACUCUAGAACGCAUCAAACUACUGACAAAUUCAUGGAUCGAGCUCAGCCGAUAACACCAGCCUUCCCCCACUUUUUUCUUUCCUCUUCCGUCUUUAUUCCAUUUCUCCUUUCCGCUUUAUUUUACUCUUUUGUCGCUGCAUCGGAGGCCCUAGCUGCUUCCACACUGUACGCUUAAUUUAUUUCAUUUAAUGAAUGAAACAGGUAAUUUGCUAUUUUUUUUUUUUUUAAAGUGCCCAAAAAGCUCUUCUAGAAGAGUUGACACCACUUGACGCUCACAUGUGUUGCGACUUCCGACGUACAAGACACCCACAGGAUGGUGAUGAAUAAAAAUUCCAAGUUAGAAUUUCUUGAGCACACGUGGCAAAGAUUAGGUCCUAUUAUUAAAAAAAUAAUAAUAUAAUUUUUUUUAAGAAAAAUAAAAUUAAAAAAUUAGAGGGUACGAAACUGAACGCGGUUGGAAUAUCUUUUGGAGGAGAAAUUAUUAGCUGGACCCGGCCUAUCCAUUCAUAUUAUACUUGCAUUAUUAGUAAAAUGUAUAUAUCAGAUGUGUUCUCUCUCUCUCUCGUACUGAUGAAAAAGUUGAAGUAUCUGUUGAGCCAAUUAGGCACGGAUAGAUGGUACGCCGGUAUUUCAUUCAAAGGCGCCAAUAUUGUUGUACACCAAGAGCACCGAAAGAGUUUAAAAAGCAAACCGUCGCUCCAAUUAAGGGAGGUCGCAGUUAGGGGUGGCAAUUCAGCUCGCUGUUAGCGAGCUGGCUAGUGUUCGGCUCGAAAUGAACUCGAGAUCGGCUCGCUCGUUUAGUAAACGAGCCGAACACGAGCUGGAUUUUUCAGCUCGUUUAAUAAACGAGCCGAACACGAGCUAGGGUCAGCUCGCUCGUGUUCGGCUCGAUAACAGCUCGAAUACAUAUAUUUUAUAUUUAUAUAAUUUAUAUAAUUUAUAUUUUUAUAUAUAAUAUAUAUUUUUAUUAUUUAUUUUUAGCAAAUAAAAAUAUAAAUGCGAGCUUAAUUAUAAAAAGAUUUAUUUAUAUGUAAAGUUCAACUAUUAGAUCAAAGUUUAAAUGGAUAAGAUUUGAUAAAUUUAUUUUUUAUAUAUAUUUAAUCUAAUCCUUUUUUAUUUAUUGUUCGUUGCCCAUCGUGAGCCUAGCUCGUGUUCGGCUCGUUAAUAAACGAGCCGCGAACACGAGCUAAAUUUUCGCUCGAUACUCUUAAUGAGCGGCUCGUGUUCGGCUCGUUUAAUAAACGAACCGAACACGAGCCGACCCAGCUCGCUCGUGUUCGCCGUUCGGCUGUUACACCCCUAGUUGCAGUAACCGCAAGCAGUUACAAGCGGUUCCGAUCGGCUGAAAGUGGCCUGAAAGUGAUCCGAAAAAUUAGAAGAUAGUGACCGAUCAUGUAAGAGCAAUAACUGAUCAAGGGGCGAUCUAUAAAUAGGUCAAUAACAUCCUAAAAAGAGGUCUUUUUCCUGUGAACAAAAGACCGCCCUUAUUUUCUCCCAAUUUCUUACAUUAUCUAGGAGUAGUCUACUUGUAAUUCUUUAUUUCCCGCACUUACUGUUCUUCCUAGGAGUAGUUCUUUAAGUAAAUCAACCGAGCCUACAUACCAUUCGGUACACUCAACUCCUGUACUUCUUACCAGUUAAUAUAAAGGCAUUCAGCUCUUCAAGCCGACCAAUUCUUGUAUUCUUUAGUUAUUCGGCUCCUCGGCCGACUUCAGUUCUUGCUUAGUCCGUACAUUCGGCUCAUCUAGCAGAACCAAAUUUAUUGUAAAGGUUUCGAACACGGCUGAUCCGAUCCCUCAUCAGCCGAAUCGCUUGAUCGAUCGAAAGGCGCAAACUUCGAGGGUCACCUUCCGAAGCCGUUUUCUUCCCGAUACACUUCCCGAGGAGGAUCUUUGACCGGGUCAAAGGUCAGGGAAUUUGGCUAGCUAACAGUAUCAAAAGUAAUCAAUUGUAAUCACCGAUUCCUCUUUGUAGAAUGAUCUGUUUUCCACAUCUACAAAGUUUUGAAAUGGUUUGCGUUAGAUUUUUAGAAAUUAUAAUUUUUUUAAAACAGAUUAUUAUUAUAUCAUUUUAUAUUAUGUUAUGUUGGGACGAUUUCAAACGUGUCCUCUAAAAAUUUAAAUAUAUCACAGAUAUCACUUUAAAGUUGUUAAUAUGAUCAGCACUAUCCUUCAAAAUCUAUAAAUAGGAUUAUAAACACAAAUUGUAUCGUCAUUAACUUUCUGUCAAAUAAAUAACAAAAGAAAAUUAAUUUUUACUUGAAUUUUAAUACAAUUGAGAGCUAUUUUUAAUCUGAAAUUCAUUUAUAGACAAACAAGUAGGCUCUAAUCAUCUAAGGAGCCAUUUAGUUUGAUGAUAUAAUUAGAAACGCAGCGUAGUUGGAGAUACAUGAAAUUCAAGAUAUAACAAUCACAACUACAUAUAUUUUAUUUGGAUAGAUGCAGUCAAAAAUUCUAUAAUUAUAAAUAAUUUGUUCGAUUGUGUGUAGUUGAGAAGUGCGUUUCUAUAAUUUUACCACUUUGUGUAUAUGAUUGUAAGAUUACCUCCGAUGGAGGUAGAAAAUAAAACUAUUUUUCUAAAAAAAAUAAUUAAGUAAGCAAGCUUAUCUUUUGUUUAAAGUUACUCUCCUCAGCUGCUGAAUGCGGUUCCAACUGCAGCAGUUAGAUUCAAACGCAUCAAACCAAACACCGAAUUUGAAUUUGCAUGUACAUAUUAUUGCAGUGCAGUUACCUCUUGUUUAAAGUUACUCUCCUUAGCUGUUGAAUGCGGUUCCAACUGUAGAUGCAUGUUAGAUUCAAACGCAUCAAACCAAACGUCGAAUUUGAAUUUGUAUAUAGUUAUUAUUGCAGUGCAGUUACCUCUUAUUUAAAGUUACUCUCCUCAGCUGUUGGAUGCGGUUCCAAUUGUAGCAGUUAGAUUCAAACGCAUGAAACCAAACGCCGAAUUUGAAUUCGUAUAAGUUAUCACUUUAGUGCAAUUACAACUUCAUGCAACUAGACAGUCUCUGAGUAGGAUACGGUGCAUGAAAUGUACUCGUACACCUGGUUGAGGCAACAAUUUGGGAUCUAUUUGGGUGAGCGAAUCUCCGAGAAACCGCGUGGUUCAAACUUUUUAUUUUGGUUCCCGUUGACGCCCCACCACCUCAUGCUUCACCUUUUGAUCUCGUAAUAAAAAUUAAAAUUAAAAUAAAUAAAAUAAAUAAAUAAAAUACUCAUCGGUUGUUUUUUACCGUUGCCCCUGGUUUUCGGAAGGCGCAUGCGAACCAACCUCGCAAAGUCGCCGUCGUGGAAUACCCAAAAUGCCCCCGCUCCUCACUUCUUUUUUUUUUUUUUUGGUAAAUUCCAAAUAGCACCCUAUAUUUUCACAUUUUCUCACUUUAGUACUAUAUGGUUUAAGUAUAUAUAUUUAGUAUCGCUGUGAUUUUAUUUUUUUUUUUCAUAAUCGAUUUCACUAAUUUUUUGUUAAAUCAGUGGCAGAAGUUAAAACCAAAGAAGUACUAAAAUAAAUAUCCGAUAAAGUUAGGUGAGAUAUCCAGAGUUUGUUUUGUAUAUAAUUUAACGAAAUACUAACGAAAAAACUGACGAAAAGAUAAAAAUAAAAUUAUAGGACACUAGUCUGAUACACUUUAAACUAAAGUACUAAAAUGAAAAAGUGAGAAACUAUAGGGGUGGUAUUUGGAGUUUACCUUUUUUUUUUUUUACUAAAAUAUAAAAAUCUCUUUAUAAAUAUCUAUUUCUUUUUUUCUUUUUGACAUUCAAUAAUCUACAUCUUGCUUUCUUAUUAAAAUUAUUUUCAAAAAAUUACGGCGUUAAUAGAAAGGGUGAAAUGACCAAAUUAUUCUCAUAUAUUCUAUAAAAAAAUAAUUUUUUAAUAUACUUUUGUUAUUUUUAAAAAUAUUUUCAGUAUAAAUGAUAGAGAUGAAACCUUGGAUAAGGGGGGCUAAAUAUAUCAGCUUGAAAUUUGUCGGGUAUAGAAUAUUGAAAAUCAGAGAGCGGAAGUAAAAAAACAAAUAUUUAUAAAAAGAUUUUUUAUAUUUCAACCCAUUUUUUUAAAAAAAAUGUAUAAAAUUUACCUGAAUACAUAUUAUUUUGAUCCGGCUAUUUAAUUUUUUAAAAUUUUGAUUUAAGUAUUCAAUCUUAAAUUUGCUAUUAAAGUCAUCGAUGACUCUUUGGAUAUAAAAUUUAAGUUAAUUGGUUAUUUUAAUAAAUAUAUAGUUAUGUAAAUUAUAUAAAAUACACAAACUAAACUCGUAAAGAUGAACGGUACAUUUAAAUUUUAAAAACGUCGCUGUACACUAUUUUUGUUGUAGCGUUAUAAUAGUAGAUAUUGCUUUGGUAAAAUCAAUUCACCUCGCCUAAAACUAAUUAUAUAUAUCAAACAAAAUUAGGUUUCUCAUUUUGACUCUGACAAAUAGUUUGACAAGUCAAACACACAUGCAUUUAUUGUCAACAACAUUUCUUUAAUGUCAACUUGAGCAUUGAAUCCAAUUGUACAUUCUAUUUUUGGUUAGAGAAACGCUUCAAUACAAUUGGACUCGAUUUUUAUCAUUAAUUGCAAAGUUCAACCCUCUCAUCUACCAGUGCUUUUAAAGAGUAAUUUGAUUAAUUAAUUGCUUGUAUAAGUAAAUGGUGUCGCAAUUAAGUAAAAUAAUUUGGUGGUGAUUAAUUAAAUGGUCGAUUAUUUUGAGAAAAUUAUAAAGUUGGUGAUUAGUUUUGAGGAUCAAAAUGACAACCUAAGAGGGGGGUGAAUUAGAUUUCUAAAAAUAAAAAGCCAAAUAAUCAAAUAAUUUAAAAAUCCGAAACAAAUAAUAAAGUGAGGAGUUUAAGAAAAUGCAAACUCAAAAAGCACACGAUCAAUUUGUUUCGAGAUUCGGCACUUUGCCUACGUCCCCGCCAACUUCUCAACACUAGAGAAUGUUGGAUCUCCACUAGAUGAUACUUUUGCGGGCAAGCACCAAGCCUUCACACCAACACCUUCUUCUUUCAAGCUUCAAGACUUUGAUUUUCUAUCUUUUUAUAAGAUUAAAUCUCACUACAGAUUUCACUCAAGUUUAGAGAGAGAAUUGGGAGUUAAGAGUAUUAAGAUCACUAAAGUUUUUAAGCUUAAAUGAACUAUCAAGUUUCUUCUGAGAAAAGCCUCAAUACCAUCUAUUUAUAGCCUCGGACAGCUUUUGUCCAUUGUACUUUCGGGCGCCCUAAACCUGUUUCCGGGCGCCCAGAAGUUGUGCACGCCAGCUGCCUGUCGGACCACGUGCGCCGCUUUUCCUGACUUUGUAUGUUCUGGCCGUCAAAAGUUGUGGGCGCAGAGAACAAGAGGAACAUCUUUUCUGACACGCGCCGCUUCCUCUGGAUUUGGGCCGUCAGAAAUUGUGGGCGCCCAGAUCUCGAGGGACAACUUUUCUGACAUGCGCCGUUUUUCUCUAAAUUCGAGCCGUCAAAAGUUGUGGGCGCCCAAAAACUCGUGCUGACUUUCUUGCUAGACAGCCCAGAUUGUGUGCGCCGCUUUCUCUGACCAAAAUCAAUUUUGGGCUUCCAUAAGAUUUGGGCGCCCAGAUUGCGCGCCGCCUGCUGUCAGAACUUUUUGGGCUGAAAUGCAACCUGUCAAGUCAAAUAGCCUCGGUUGCCCUAAUUUGAAGUAAUGGUGCUUAGAUCAGGUAAAGAAGUUUCUGGAUCACCCGAACAGCAAACAGGCAGGAUCCAAAAAGUCUCAAAAGAUUCGGAUCCACUUUAGGGCGCCCAGAACAGGGUCCAGAAAUCGUAACUUGACAGAACUUGAGCGGUUUUUUGAAUAUUUUAAAAUUCUAUGCACCUAAUCACAAGUUAGAAAUUUGUUUAAGUGAUCUAUAAGGUGAUAAAAAAUGAAUAGCUUAAACUUAGCUUAAAAUUUCUCACUCUAAGCAUAAUAUUAAUCAAAUUAAGAAAAGAGAGAGUGAGUUUGUCUAUUUGACAAAGGAAGCAAGCAUUGCUUCAAGUGGUGAAGCUUGGUGCUAGAAUAUUGCCCAUCUUGAAUCCUUUUUGAAUAUAAAGAGAUCUAAAACACAAAACUCAAGAUAAAAGAUUAGUCCAAUAAUCGUAAUUAUUUGUUAUCAUCAAAAUCUAAUAGAAGAUUAGGGCCACUAGGCCAACAAUCUCUCCCUUUUUGAUGAUGACAAAUAAUGUGAUAUAAUAUUUAAAUGAGUAGAGAGCAAACGAGUAGAAUACUCCCCCUAAAUAUAUGCAUAUAUUUAACAAAUAUAUAACAUGUGACGCCCCAACUUCCCAGGGGGUCACCCAUCCUAGGACUACUCCCGUCCUAGCACGCUUAACUCUCUUAACCUCUUGGGUCUUGCCACCACCCAAAAUGCUUAAGCCGGGUUAAGAGUUUUAGCCCUAUUAUAUCUCAUAUAUAGGACUAUCUGGGGUCUCACAUAACACAAUCAUAGAAAUAGCAUAUAUCACAAUAAAAGAAGUAAGCAACCAUGUAAGCAAAUAUCAAAAUGUAAACGAGGUUCAUAUAGCAUAGCAUAAUAAAACAUAAGCAGCAUAAUAAACCACAAGCAUAUCAUAGUAUAUCACAUAGCAAGUUCUCCUCCUUUGUCAUCACAAAAAAAAAGCAUAAAAGGAGACUAGCAAAAAGUGAUAGAAACAUAAGCUAAUCAUCAUCAUCAUCGUCAUCCUCUUCAUCGUCCUCAUGAUCCGUAGGCGAAACUCGUGGAGGCAUAGUGGAGGAGGAUGGUCGAUCAACGUGGGGUCCAUACGCGGCAUAAAAGGCACUGAAAGGUCCAAAGAUAGAGUCCAUGUAUGCCUUGAUGCCGGAAAUAUCUGUCUGUAGAGCAUGCAUAUGUUCUUCCAUCCUAUCAAGUCAAUUAAAGACUUGGUUUUGAAAAUCCGUAGGAGGAGGAGCAUAAGGCGGAGGCACAGCAGGGGGUGGCUCAAAGGGUGGAGGAGAUGCUCGUGGCGGCGGCUCAACUGGUGGAGAAGGUGCUCAAGGUGGAGGCUCAUAAGGCAUAGGAUCAUCCUCGGCGUCGUUAGUGUCAUCACCAUGCUCGCUGGGCGAAUCAAUCACAUGUUUUCUUACCCAAAUGCUAUGACGAUUUUUCUUGAAGCCAAGUGUGGAGAAAGUAGCUGUAGAAAUGGCGGUGGGGUACUUCAUCGGCCUCACGUCAGAAAGAUCAAAUGGCAUGAACUCGAGGACGGCGGUGAGCAAAGAGCCAUGUGGAAGUGAGCGCGAGGGAUGAGAAGCGGCGACGGCUAUGUGGCGAAUGAUGAUAUACCCCAAAUUAACCCGGAUUUCCGCAAAUAGAUGAUAAAGUAGAAAAAGAUUCAUUUUUUGAACAGUGGUGUGGUGACCAUCUCGAGAAAAAAUUACUUUAGUAAGUAAAAAGUGGGCGAGGCGGUGAGGAAAGGAAAGAUUAGAGCAAUCUUCUCGUGAAGUAGAAUCUUCAUAAAGAAAAUGAUUGCGGAGUUGCGCCUCAGAAAAUGCAGGAAAGUUUCAAGUGUUGGUUUGGUAGUAGCAAACGCCGUCAUUUGGAAUGUUUAAAACGGUGUAAAGAAGGAUAGAAGUAAUGGCAAAAACACGUUCCCGGUAGUGGGAAGUAAUUGUAGUAAAUUCGGAAUUAAAAGUGGCAUUUGCAUAAAAAGUCCUAAUUAGGUCCGGAUAAAAAGGUCGCGAAUUUUGAAUAAAGAAAUCCCAUCCAACUUGUGUGAGCUUAUCCAAAAGUUCAUAACAAUCAAAAUUUAGAUGAUGAAUAUUAUGGCAAGGUUGAACGGGACGACCUAAAAGAAAUUUAUCUUGAGCUUUUCUAGAUAUAAAGUUAAAAGCAUCAAAAUCUUUAUUUUGAUAAUCUCUAUGUGAAGAAGAGCCUCUAGAUGCAUUUUUAGUUCUAGACUUUUUUUUCUUUUUUUUUGCAUAAACCCUAGUUUGAGGAUCAAAAUGGUAACCUAAGAGGGGGGGUGAAUUAGGUUUCUAAAAAUAAAAAGUCAAAUAAUCAAAUAAUUUAAAAAUCCGAAACAAAUAAUAAAAUGAGGAGUUUAAGGAAAUGCAAACUCAAAAAGCACACGAUCAAUUUGUUUCGAGGUUCGGUACUUUGCCUACGUCCCCGCCAACUUCUCAACACUAGAGAAUGUUGGAUCUCCACUAGAUGAUACUUUUGCGGGCAAGCACCAAUCCUUCACACCAACACCUUCUUCUUUCAAGCUUCAAGAUUUUGCUUUUCUCUCUUUUUACAAGAUUAAAUCUCACUACAGAUUUCACUCAAGUUUAGAGAGAGAAUUAGGAGCUAAGAGUAUUAAAAUCACUGAAAUUUUUAAGCUCAAAUAAACUAUCAAGUUUCUUCUGAGAAAAACCUCAAUACCAUCUAUUUAUAGCCUCGGGCAACUUUUGUCUAUUGUACUUUCGGGCGCCCUAAACCUGUUUCCGGGCACCCAGAAGUUGUGCACGCCAGCUGCCUGUCGGAUCACGUGCGCCGCUUUUCCUGACUUUGUAUGUUCCGGCCGUCAAAAGUUGUGGGCGUAGAGAACACGAGGAACAGCUUUUCUGACACGCGCCGCUUCCUCUGGAUUUGGGCCGUCAGAAAUUGUGGGCGCCCAGAUCUCGAGGGACAACUUUUCUGACAUGCGCCGUUUUUCUCUGGAUUCGAGCCGUCAAAAGUUGUGGGCGCGCAGAAACUCGUGCUGACUUUCUUGCUAGACAACCCAGAUUGCGUGCGCCGCUUUCUCUAACCAAAAUCAUUUUUGGGCUUCCAUAAGAUAUGGGCGCCUAGAUUGCGCGCCGUCUGCUGUCAGAACUUUUUGGGCUGAAAUGCAACCUGUCAAGUCAAAUAGCCUCGGUUGCCCUAAUUUGAAGUAAUGGUGCCCAGAUCAGGUAAAGAAGUUUCUGGAUCACCCGAACAGCAAACAGACAGGAUCCAAAAAGUCUCAAAAGAUUCGAAUCCACUUUAGGGCGCUCAGAACAGGGUCCAGAAAUGGUAACUUGACAGAACUUGAGCAGUUUUUUGAAUAUUUUAAAAUUCUAUGCACCUAAUCACAAGUUAGAAAUUUGUUUAAGUGAUCUAUAAGGUGAUAAAAAAUAAAUAGCUUAAACCUAGCUCAAAAUUUCUCACUCUAAGCAUAAUAUUAAUCAAAUUAAAAAAAGAGAGAGUGAGUUUGUCUAUUUGACAAAGGAAGCAAGCAUAGCUUCAAGUGAUGAAGCUUGGUGCUAGAAUAUUGCCCAUCUUGAAUCCUUUUUGAAUAUAGAGAGAUCUAAAAUACAAAACUCAAGAUAAAAGAUUAGUCCAAUAAUCAUAAUUAUUUGUUAUCAUCAAAAUCUAAUAGAAGAUUAGGGCCACUAGGCCAACAAGUUUUUGUCUUGUUAUAUUCAUGGCUCUUUGUGUUGGUACAAUGGCAAAAUGUUUGUGAAUAACUAGUAUUAAUUAACUUAAUCAGGCUAAAUUGGACGUUAAGGUCCUUAAAGUAUGAGGUGCAUGACAUUUUGGCCAUCAAAUUUUAAUUUAUUAUAAUUUCUGAUUCGAACUUUCACAUUAUUGCAAUCAAGUUCUAUAUUAUAUCCAUGUUAUUAGAACGAUAAUAUAUAGCUGAUGUGAUAAUAAUGUGACGUACAUCGUAAUUAUAUCCACGUUAUUAAUCACAGUACUAUUAUCUCACUAUCACAUCUACAACACAUCACUAUAUAUUCAACUAACUAAAUUGCAUCGUGGACUUGAGUGCAACAGUCUAAAAGGUUUGAACAAAAAAUUACAGCAAAUUAAAGUUCGAAAGCCAAAAUGUAUUCAAUGCUUAUCAAUAUAUAUGGAUAAUGUCUAAAGCUAGGUUUUUUUUUUGGGCUAAAUUACAUAAAACAUUCCUGUCAAAAUCCAAUUUUUCACUUUUCCCCCGUCAUUUAAAAACCUACACUUUGCCUGACCAUUUUGCCUCUCAGCAUUUUCGUCUUCUCCCUCAUCUUCCUCAACUGUCGCUUCGAUCGGCCACGAUUCACACCUCGAUCGGCCGCGAUUCCUCUCCAUUUUCUUCUCCACCUGCUCCCCUUCUCCUCCUGCACCCUCGCCGCCCCUCGAUUUCGGCGACAGUAGGGAGGAAAUCGAGAUGGGCGUUGAUGGAGAGGUAGGUAAGGACAACGAAGGCGAAGGUGAGGCGGCGGAGGAGGGCAAAGGGGAUGUGGGCGAUGUUGAGGCCGAGGGCGGGGCAGUGAAGGAGGGCGAAGCGGUGAGGCGGCGAGCCGGAGGGAGGCGAAGCAACAAGGAAGAGGGCGGGGCGGUAUUUUUGGCAUAAAAAAAUAUUUUAUAACGGAACCCUAACGGAUCACUAACGGUAGGGGGUGAAGUGCACAUUUUUCAUUUUACAAGAAGGUAAAAUGUAGGUUUUUAAAUGACAGAAGAGAAAAGUGAAAAAUCAAGUUUUUACAGGAGGGUUUUCUGUCAUUUAGCCUUUUUUUAUGUGGAUAAAUAAACUACAAAUUAUUAAUUGUUAGUUUCUAAAAUGGUUAAUUGCAAUAUGGUAGCCUCCAAAGUUUUGUCAAAGUUUUACCUUUACUUCUAUUCCUUUAAAAUAAAUUUAAUGCUUAAUUUGUUAAACUUCUAUAAAUAUAAUUAAAGGGUUUAGGGUUUAAUUUAAAUUGGUUCAUUUUAUCAUCUCACAUUAAUUUUCUUGAUAUGAAAAUGAAAAAAACUGCUUUAUUUUUCAUUCCAUGCAUGCACUAGAGAGGCGAAUUAGAAGUUACUAUUUGACAAGAGAAACGUUACAAUUUUCCAAAGCAAAGCUGAUCAUUUUAUAAAUAAAUAUUCUUUUCAAGUAGGAAAAAAAAAAAACCUUUUUAAUAUAAAUAAGUAAUCGUUUAGCAAUGAACUUAACAUUAGAUAAUAGAAUAACACAACUUGACACAUAAAAGCUAAGGAGGCAUUUAGUUUAUUUUCAAAAUAGGGUCUAAAAUGAAACUCCGAACAAAUUUUAAGGGUAAACAUCAAAUACCACUCAUGUGGUUUCACACUUUCUCAUUUUAGUAUCCUGUGGUUUAAAGUGUAUCAAGUUAGUAUUUUAUAGUUUCAUUUUUAUCUUUUCAUCAGUAUUUCUGUUAAUAUUUUAUUAAAUUAUAUACAAAAAAACUUUAGAUACUCCGCCUAGAUUUAUCGAAUAUUCAUUUUAGUACUCUUUAGUUUUAACUUUAUUACUGAUUUAACAAAAAAAUUAGUGAAAUCGAUAAUAAAAAGAUAAAAGUAAAAUCACUGAAUACUAAAUUGAUACACUUUAAAUCAUAUGAUACUAAAAUAAGAAGUGUGAAAUCACAGGGGUAAUAUUUGAUGUUUUUCUAUAUUUUAAUAACUAGUCAACGCAGGCCCAAAUAAGAAUAUAUGGAUAUGCUUCUACUAUAAUACUAAUGACUACUUUAUUAAAGGUCAGUAUUUUUCGGCAUGCAUCAAUUGGUAUCAUAGUAUACAAAUAAUAGUCUAUUCUUGUUUAGAACUAGGAAUGUCAACGGAUUGGAUUUUUUUAAAUUUGAAUCCGAAUCCGACAACCAAAUUCGAAACCGAAACCCGAACCCCUAUAUGCAAGGUAGAUUAUUAUGUUAUGAUAAUACUUAACAUAUGAAAUUUUCUUGAACUAAGGACUAUUUGGAUUUGGCUAUCCAAUCGAUCAUUCAAGAAUUUGAUUUUACUGUUCAAUUUUUCAAUUUAUUUGAUUUGAGUUAGUGAACGGCAUUUUGACUACAAAUUUUGAAUGUAUCAUUUAUCGUUAGAGAUGUAGUUAAUAUAUUUUAUGCAAUUCUACAAUUAUAUACAAGUUCAUUAACGUAAAUAAUUAUUUUAAAUUUUAUAGUGCAUGUACCAUUAACUGACUUAAAUUAAACAAACUGAAAGGUUAGUAAAAUUAAAAUUUUGAAAGAUUGGGCAACUAAAUUCAAACGGCUCAUAAUUCUGAUAAGUUUUAUACAUUUUUAAUUACCUCAUGUUAUCAACAAGAUUUUGUUAUGGAGCUCAAUAGUUUGAAAGUAAAAGAUCACAUUGAAACCCCCCUCUAUAAUCAAUCCUAGUAUUUUCACCUUUUAACAUAUCAAGGUUUUUUUUUUAAAAAAAAAAAGAGUGCUGAUUAUCCAAAACUCGCUUUCAUUAUCUAAAACCUCAUAACCAAAAACUGAUUCUUAUUAAAAUUUCAAAAAUUUUAAGUAGAGUUGGUUUACAUCACAUUCGAAUUUAUUAGAUUUAUUUUAACUUGUGGUUGGGAUGCUGAUUCUAUAUAAUUUACUAUCAGACACGCUGGGCGUGUUUGGUUCGCUUCUUUUUCACCCUGGAAUCGGAAUCGGAAUGGAUAAAUCCGUUUGUGGGUGUUUGGUACGCGGGAGUUUUAUUCCGAUUCCGAUUUCCGAGUGGAAUGAGAAUCCCCCAAUCACCUCUUUUUUCAAUCCGGCCUAGGAGGCCGGAUUGAAAGUUGAAUCCGGACGGAAUGAAUAUUUAUUCGGAUUAAAUUUAUUUUUUCAACUUUUCUAAUUAAAAUAUAAGUUAAAAUUUUAAAAUUAAAUAUAUAAUUUUAAAUUUUAAUUUAAACUUAAAUUAAAAAUUAAAAUUUAAUCAAGUAUUUCGAAUCUAACUUAUGAAUUUGAAUUUAAAUUAAAUUUUAAUUUAUAUAAAAUGUUAUUCAAAUUUUAUUUCAAACUUAAAUUAAAUUUAUGUAUUCAAAUUAAAUUUAAAUUGUAAUUUUAAAUUUGAAUUUGAAUAAAUCAAAAUUUAGUUUCAUAUUUUAAAUUAUCCACUCAACUUCAAAGUUUAAUUUUUUUAAAAAAUAGAUUUAAAAUUUUGACAUUAUUUCAAAAUUUUGAUGUAAAUUUUUAAUAUUUAAUUUUUAAUUUGAAUUUAAAUUAAUAUAUUAAAAAGAUAAUGCUAGUAUAUUAAUUUGAUUAUAUUUUUUAUAUCCACCUGAACCAAACACCGACAAUGGGAAUGAUUAAUUCCGAUUCCGAUUCAGGUGAUGAACCAAAUAGAAUUAGAUAAUGAGUCAUUCCGAUUCCGAUUCCAGCUUAUUUUGAUUCCGAUUCCGAUUUCGAUUCCGACUUCGAACCAAGCGCGCCCGCUAUGUAUGUGUUUUGCUGCUGGUAAGCAUUUGGGAAUAAUCUUAUGUGCAGGACAUUAUUUAUGAGCGCAUUGAAUUUUGCACAUAAAAUUAUACCCAAUAUAUUCUUAAAAUUUUUAAUUUAUUAUUAUUAGAAUAAAUUACACUUUGGAUCCUCAAGCUAUAAUGAGACUGGCACUCUAGUCCUCAAACUUUAAUUUGUAGUAACAGGUAUGAAUUUUUUAAAAUUAUUACAAUCAAGUUCCGCAAUUCAAUUUAGUUGACUAAAUGCUGACGUGUCGUUAAUAUAGAAUUAAUGUAGCAAUACUAUAAUUAAUAACACUACAGUGAUUAAGAUUUUACAUCACUUUCGCAUUAUCGGUACAUUAAUAUUUUGUCAACUAAAUUAGAUUGUAGAAUUUAAUUAUAAUAAUUCAGAAAGUUCAAGCCAAAAAUUAUUACCGGUUAAAGUUUGAGAAUUAAAGUGUCGUGCACCUUAUUAUUUGAGAAUAAAAAAUGUUAAGGGUAAAUUUCAUGUUUGGUCCUCAAACUAUGAGGGUGACAUUUUAAUUCUUAAAUUUUAAUUUGCUGUAAUUUUUAGUUUGAAUUUUUAGAAUUAUUGCAAUCAAGUCGCACAAUCAAAUUUACUUGACUAAAUAUUAGUAUACUGUUAAUAAUAUAAAUAAGGUAAUAGUAUUGUGAUUGAUGAUGCACCAAUAAUUAAAAUGAUAUAUCAUUUUUUCAUAAAAAACGCGUCAAUAUUUGAUCAACUAAAUUAGAUUGUUUGAUUAACUGCAAUAUUUUUGAAAGUUCGAGCCAUAAAUUAUAUUAAAAUAAAAUUUGAGAACCAAAUUGUCACUUGCCUUAUAAUUAAAGGACUAAAUGUGUGUUUUAACUAAGGUGUAAUUUACCUUUAUUAAUAUUAUUAUUUUAAAGAAAAGCUUCAAAUACCUCCAUUGUGGUUUCGUACUUUCUCACUUUAGUACCCUGUGAUUUAAAAUAUAUCACUUUAGUAUCAUAUGGUUUUGUUUUUCUUUUUCCAUUAUCACCUCCGUUAACUUUUUGUUGUUAUAUCAGUGAUAAAGUUAAAACCACAGAGUACUAAAGUAAAAUUCAGUAGACCAUAAGCUACUAAAGUGAAUAUUUAAUAAAUCAUAGGUAGGGUAUUUGAAGUUUUUUAUAUAUGACGUAACGAAAAGCUAAUGAAAGUACUGUUGAAAAAAAAAAAAAAUAAUAGAGUACAAAAGUUAUACAAUUUAAACUAUAAAAUAGUAAAGUGAAAAGUGUUAAACCACAGAAGUGGCAUUUGAAGUAGGAGUGCUUACAAAAUAUCUUCUAAAAUUAGAAUUUUUUAUAUUACAUGACAAAACUAAACGGAAAAAAAAAAAGAAAAAUUUGCGAGGGGCGUUUUUGUCCUUUCACACUGCGCCAGGCGCUCACAUAUUCAUGUACCCACAGUAAAAAUGCAAAUUAGGUACAGCGCCCUGUAGUGGCAGUAACGUAAUUUCAUACAAGAUCAGGGGCAUAUAUUGUCGGAUUUGGUCUUUUGUAUUUCUUCUCCUUUAAGGUAGGUCUCCUCUCUCACCCUAUUUCUCUCUCUCUCUCUCUCUCUCUCCGUCCAAAUGAACUCCUUAAUUUGCUCUCCAAAUUUGCUAAAGCCAAAAUCUUUGGAUUCAAAAAGGUAUGUAUGUGUAGAAUUUAAUUCAAAUUUUGAGUUUUUCAUGAGUUUUCAACAAGAAUUAUCCGUCAUGAAUGGUCUAAUUGAUGCGUGAAUCAUGUAGUUGUUUUGGGGAAUCAUGAUGUGGGUGUUUUGAGUUUAUUCCGAGGUUAUCUUUUGGAUCCAUGAAUUAUAUUUGUUGGUUUUCAUUGAUUUGGGGGUUCUUUUGUUUGAAAGGAGGAAUUUUUUAUUUAUAGAGAAGAGGAAAGUUAUCGAUCCUUUACCCCCCAAUUCUUAGUUCUUCUUAGGGAUGUGAAAAGCUAGAUUUUUGUCAACUUGGAUGCUAGUUUUGAGUCUAGUAUUUGUGUUGAUUCUUUUAUUUAUUUAUUUAUUUAUUUAUUUUUCCUGGGGCUCAUGCUUACUUAGGAUUAGGAUCCCUUUGUUUAGUCCAUCAAUUCUCCCUGUUUUAUUCUUCUAGAAUUAGUUUUAGUUGUGACUUUUUUUUUUUUUUGCUGAUAAUGAUUUGCUGUUGUUUAGUGGUUUGGGCAAUCUAAUUUGUUGAAUUUGGAAAAGGCAGACUUUACUUUUAAUGUUUGAGGUCUAAUUUCUGGACUUUUUAACCUCCCUGUCCAUGUCUACUGAGCUGACUUCAUGAUAGCCAUUUUGCAUCAGAAAAGAAAAAAAGAAGACAACUUUCACUCUAAUGAUAAUAUUCAAACAUCUAGUUUCUUUGACAAGAUAAGUUGUUUAGCUUGAAAUAGAGCAGUAAGAUAUGUAUGGCUGUUACUGUGUAGACUAAGCUGACUCAAAAUGGAGAAAUCCAGCAAAAGCCUUGCAAGGAAGUCCAAAAUCUUGACUUUCUAUAAGAAAACGGCGAUUUAUCGAUGAUCGUGGAAGCGGAUUUUCUUUAUUACAUAGCUUCAUGAUCUUCUAUGAUCUAUCUGUGUUUCUUGCCAAUAGAACCGCCAUGUCUUUGAGUCUCAUAUCCCCUAAAUCAAAUUCAUUUCGUAUCUUGUUUAGGCGGCAGUAAUGAGCCUUUCACUAUUUGCAAUAAUCUUUGCCAUGAUGCAAACCUAAUCACCUGAUUCAACCUACUGUGUCAAUAGAAAAAAGUCUUUAGUUUAUUUCCCGGAAAGUGCUGUAAUGUUCUUGUAAAGCUGUAGCUAUCAGAAUUUCUAAGGAUUAUUCCAUCUUCUUUGAAAAGAACUGUGAAGAGAGAUUGAGUUCUUCGUCGUGUCACCUUUUCUUAGUAAUUUGUUUUCUUUCACUCGUCCAAAUAUACUCAGAUAUGCAACUCUUCAGAAUAUUCCUCCAUGUUGGUCAAAAAUUUUGUAAAAUCCAUACCCGUGAUUAAGCUUUAGAUGGUCGUUAGCAUUUUUUCUGAAAAAAUAGAAGGGUUGGCAUGUAUUUGUCAUUGGAGAAUAUAGCAAGAGUCAUGUGCGAUGCUUUUUUGAACUACCAAGUUGCACAUUUCUGAAGAUCUCGUGCAAUUAUCUAUACAUGUUGGCCCCAGUGAAUGCAGAAAAAUAUUGUUUUGAUCUAUGUGUAGCAACGUCCAAAUCAUUGGCAACCCUUGUUUGUGUUGAUUUGCUUUGGAAUCUUUCUAAACAUUCAUUGAAUUCGUCAAGUUUCAGAUGAUAAGUGGAUUUCUCAGGAACAUCUUGGGAACUUCUAAAUUCCCGAUUUUUUUUUUUUCUAUUUGCAGCAUAACUUAGUCCAUGUGUGAAUAUUUGUGCUGCUAUUACCUGCUAUUAUAAUUGGCUACUAUACUCUUACGAGUAUAGACCCCUUUGUACUUAUAAAUUUUCGGCUGUUAGAUCUAUCCCUUUGACCAUUUCUAUCCGUUAGAUCAUACCAUUCACCCGCUCAACCCUAUGGGCCACUAUUAUCCUAACCGGAGACCACUAUCAUUCUAAUUCCUAACCGCAUAUUCCUUCAUUCAACGGUCGAAAACUUAUGAGUAUAAAGGGUUCUAUACUAUACUUAUAAGAGAAUAAUAGCCCUAGCCAUAAAACAUUAGGUUUUUGUUUGCAGCAGAGCACUGAUUCCAGGCUAUUUGGAUGAUUGAUAAACUAGAGAAGUACAUGUACUGGAUUAUUGAUGAGUGAGAUAAUGAGUAAACUCUCUAUGUAGUUUAUGUCUUCUCUAAGGUACCUCCUAUUUUUUCGUUCUGUGUUCCCUUCUUAACCUUAAAUUGGUCCCCGAAUGAUUCUCUACUACCCAACCCAUCAAGCAAAUUUGGUAGUGAAGUUUGAAAACUGAUUAAUCGAUUCCUAGACCCAAAUAUAAAACUAAUAUGAGUGCACCACAAUUGAAACAGCACGAGUAGGUGUAUUUCCCAUCUAUCGGUGGCUCUAUGACCAUUUCCAUGUGCAAGGAGAAUAAUCUAACAGUUGGCAACUUCAAGUAGUUGAGCGUAAGUUUUUCCUUAGCAUAUAUAUCAACCAAUGAACAAGUGCAGGUCACAGAAAUCAAAGUAUAUUUAUUUAUUUAUAUGCUAAUGCUAGACUACUAUAGUGAUCACUAAUUUGUUAUUAAAUAGAUGUAGCAAUGGUUUGAUGGAAACCCAAAGUCUUUACUUGAUCUAGGAUGUAUAUCCCAUUCUGAAAUGAUCUAUUAAUCUACUAGUAAGUAUUUUCAUAGCAUUUUAUUCUUAUGAGACAAACAAUUUCCAGGAGAGAUGAGACAAAUUUACAUGAGACCAUUUAUUCACCAGACCCAACUUUAAAUGUGAAUUUCUUUUGUCCCCUUCCAAAAAUCAAAAGAAUCUUUCAUGUCUAACAUUAAAAUUUUAUAGCAUUUGCGUUGCUUUAUUCUACUUUCUUAAAAACAACCUUGUCCUUAAAUUUGAAAUUACUAAGACAAAAGGAGGGCUCAAACUAAAACUUGGUAUGAUGGCAGAGUGCACUUUCUACAAAUCAAUAACACGUUUAGGGACACUUGAAGUGUCUCCGUCAUGUCAUGCCUUUGCUUCGGAAGGCAAGAAGAAUAAUCGUCUUGUCGCAUAGAUAGCCGCCGAGUCUUUCCCGUGUUUCUCUCUGAUGAUUGGAACUUUAGUAUAUUUUCUUCAGUGUGUGUAAUUAAAAUGGCAGGUUCAUGUAUGUCCUUGGUCCGAUCAUGAUGGUGAAUAGAUAAUGUUUUCUCUCGGACAAUUGGUCCUUAGAUGGUUGUUUCACUUGUUAAAUUUGAAGUGCAACAGCAGAUUUGUUGUAAGAGUUUGAAGCACUUGCUUUGUUAAUUACAUUCGUUAGAAAAGAAGAAGAAGAAGAAGAAGUCUUUGAUCUUGCUGUCAAAGCAUGAAAGUCUCGAGUGGCUGCUUUUGAUAGUGAACUUAGUGUUUCUAUUUCCAGUUGACCAAGAUCUAUUGGCUGGUUCGUCCUUAAUUUAUCCUUUAUGAUACUCAUAGAUUGUAGGUAUACUGAAUUACAGCACUUCAUUCGACUGGGUUGAAUAAGAACUGUCGAUCUAGUAAUUGGUUGGUACCAUAGUUAGUUAAUUUGCGAAUUAUUCGCGAAUUAUUCGUGAAUUUUUGAAGAAACGAAUUAAACGACCUAAUACGUAUUAUUCCCAAAAAUUCGAAAAAUAAAUGCGUUUUUUUCGUCAAAAGUACUUAUUCGCGAAUUAUUCGCCCGAAAAAAACGGCGCUGUGGGCUUGCGGGCAGCGGACUCGCAGCCGGUCGCGGACUCGCUGGGUCGCGGGCCUCGUGGCUAGCCCAAAACAGAAAAAAAGAAGAAAAAAAAAAAAGGUUUCAUUCGCGAAGACGCUGAGGCGAAAAAAGGUUUUGCCCUAACUCUUCACCCCUGCCGCCCUGCCACCGACCCCAGCCCCAUCCCUUUCCUUCCUCCUCUUCCCUUCCUUUCCUCCUCUUCCCUUCGAGCCAUCGGAAGCCCCUGCGUGGCCACAUCGAAGAUCGGGUUCUUCAUUCUUCAGAAAUCAGAACCCUCCUUGUCGCCUCUUCCUCUUCCGCUUCCGCUUCCACUCUCCAACGAUGGAUCAGUAAUCGGGUGGUUCUUUACAAGAAUUUUUAUGCUUUAGUUUCUCUCUCUCUUUCCUUUAUUUCAUCUUCUCUUAAUUGCUGACUGUAUGGUUUUGAGUAACAAGACCAUGACUACAAAAUGUAGCAUCUUUGUGAACAUGCAUUUAUUAAGAUUCAUUACUUCCUUUUUAUCUUUAAUCUCUACAGCAUACAUGAAUAUGCCCAGCAUACAAGAAUAAUCAGCAAAUAAGGUUUUUAGAAUUAAGACCUCAAAAGGUUUGAUAUGGCCAGCAGGUUGUGGGUAAGGUUUGAAAGUCACAAGCAUAUGCAUUGAUUAAAAACCAAGGGACAUCUAGCAAACUUAACAAAGGCUAAAAAACAUGGGUGUUAACUGGCAAUACUGUGAAUUUCCGAUGAAUUUGGAGAAAUAGCAAUAUGGAGAUACAGAUUUGAGUUUGCUAUUUGCUUAAUAUAUUUUGGGAUAUAAUAUAGUUUGCUAUUUUUUUUACUUAAUUAGCUUAAUUUUGUAGCUCUUUAUUUUUAUAUUCUUAAGAAUUAUGAGUAUUUAUACUAAUUGCAUAAAUCUUGAGAGAAAAAAAACUUAAUUUAAUAGCCGAAUUUUUGAUCCCGAAUUUUUAAUUAGUGAACGUAUAAUAUCUAUAUAAAUCACGUAUCCGAAUAAUUGGCGAAUCCGUUUUUUAGCCGUAUUUUUCAACGAAUUUAAAAAUUAAAAGACGAAUUUUAUCCGAAUUAUACCCGUACCGAAUUUUUGCCAAAUCCGAAUUAACUAACUAUGGUUGGUACCGCCAUGUGUCAUUUUUGCAUACUGCAAUUUAGUAAUAAAAAGUUAUAAUUUGGAUUGUUUAUGCUCUUCAAUUAAACUGUCAAGCAGGUUGAGAACUUAAAAUUUUCCAAUAAUGUGGACAAGCGUAGAUCAAUGCUGUUCUUUUCCUUUUUGAUAUCCAUUUUCCCAUGAAACAUUGUGAUUUGAACUUAACAUGGAUGAACUUUUUACGUAAUGAAUUCAUAUGAAUCUCACUAAUAAAUUAUGUGCAUCUGUUUUCAGAGGUUGUAACAGACAUAUCUUUUCUUUGUUGCUUUGACUCAUUCUUCGUGGAUAUGGAUGUGCACUUAUGUUUGGAUCUUUCUUUUUCCUUCUUUCUUUUUUUUUUUGUUUUAAAUCCCCGCUCUCCUGCAGAUCUUGGUUUGAUUCUACCCACAGAUGAGGAGUUAUAUUGACAGGUAACUGUUUUUGAUGAUAAAUUAUCCAACUCAGAUACGGUUUUUUCAAAUUACCUUAGCGAGCGAAGUCAAUUUACGAAUCUGACAUGACAGCUUCUCCUAUAAAGCAUUCGGCCGCUAACAUAUCCAUGCAAUCCUCUAAACAGUACGGAUACCCAGAUAACUCCCAGAAACCAUACUAUGAUCGUAAACCCAUGUCGGUUACAGAAGAGGAGUUGCAUUAUGUGCCACAAAAUCACCAAGAUCUACACUAUCUAUCCUCCGAUGAUAAUUCCCAGAGAGGGAGUAUUCCGCCUCAGAAAUCAAGUCAAGAGCAAUACUGCACUCUUGAGUCAUCUUUGGCUCCUCCUGUUUGUACGAAACAGAAUUCGCCACCAUCUUCUGUUAGCUUUUCUUCUUCGAGUGGGAGCCCACAUUCUCAGCAGGAUAGUCAAUCGGACAAUACCUACGGGUCCCCUAUAAGUGUUUCGUGUAUUACCGAGGAUCCACAUGAUCUAAAGAACAAAUUACGGGAAAUAGAGACUGCAAUGCUUGGACCAGACUCAGAUAAUAUAGUUAACAGCUUUGAAACCUCCUUUGCAAGCCAUCUCUCUCUCGAACCUGAGAAGUGGAAGCAAGUGCUUGAAAUCCCUAAAGGAGAUUUGAAGCAGGUGCUUAUAGCUUGUGCUCGAGCUAUGGCCGAGGAGGACUUUUUCGUGGUGGAAUGGCUUAUGUCUGAGCUAAGGCCGAUGGUUUCAGUCUCUGGGGAGCCGAUCCAACGGUUGGGAGCCUACUUGUUGGAAGGGCUUGUGGCUCGGCGAGCCUCCUCGGGUAGUUCGAUAUACAAAGCUUUGAAGUGCAAAGAACCCACAAGUUCUGACCUCCUUUCGUACAUGCACAUCCUUUAUGAAGCAUGUCCCUACUUCAAAUUUGCGUACAUGUCGGCAAACGGCGCGAUUGCAGAGGCUCUUAAAGGGGAGAACAUGGUCCACAUUAUUGAUUUCCAGCUCGCGCAGGGCACCCAGUGGGUGUCUCUAAUUCAGGCCCUCGCAGCAAGGCCCGGUGGGCCACCACGCGUCAAAAUCACUGGCAUCGAUGAUUCAGUUUCCGCUUACGCGCGAGGCGGCGGGCUUAAUCUAGUGGGCCACAGGCUAUCUCGACUUGCCGAGUCAUGCAAUGUGCCGUUUGAAUUCAACGCUGCUGCUAUGUCAGGGUGUGAAGUGGAGCGCGAACAUCUCGCGGUGCGGCCGGGGGAAGCAUUGGCUGUGAACUUUCCGUUUAUGCUUCAUCAUAUGCCUGAUGAGAGUGUGAGCACUGCGAAUCACCGGGACAGGCUUUUGAGAUUGGUGAAGAGUCUCAAUCCAAAGGUGGUGACCCUUGUGGAGCAAGAAUCCAACACAAAUACAGCUCCGUUCUUCCCGAGAUUCUUGGAAACUCUAGAUUACUACACGGCUAUCUUUGAAUCGAUUGAUGUGACUCUCCCUAGAGAACAUAAAGAUCGAAUCAGUGUAGAGCAGCAUUGCUUGGCGAGAGACAUAGUCAAUAUUAUAGCUUGCGAGGGCCCAGAAAGGGUGGAAAGGCACGAGCUUUAUGGGAAAUGGAGGGCACGGUUCAUGAUGGCUGGGUUUAAGCCUUACCCGUUGAGCUCGUUGGUGAACGCCACGAUUAAGACGCUGCUGCAGAGCUACUGCACGAGUUAUAGCCUCGAAGAGAGAGACGGCGUGCUUUAUCUCGGGUGGCUGGAUAGACCGUUGGCCGUGUCUUGCGCUUGGAGGUGAAGUUCUUCUGAUCUGACUUUGUGACCAAGUAUAGUUAAAGAAUUUUCACUUUGUUGCCGUUGUCGUCGUCGUCGUCGUCGUCAUGUACCAGUCUUAAGUAUCUUUAGCUGUUUCGGUUUUUAGAAGUUAGGACCAAUCUCUGUAUUGUAAUCUAAUCGUAGAUUGUGACAUCGAACUUGAUGUUAGUAACAUGGAGCUUGGAAAAGUAUGUUGUUCUGCAGUACUUUAACGUUCUCUUCGUCCGCCGUUUGUUGCAUUUGCUUUUGUUGCAUUGGCUUUUGAAGUGUGUGAGAUUUGUGGAUGGAACAAGUGUUAUAGGCUAUAUGUUUUGCUUGCUCUUACAAUUUUAGUAGACUAAAUGCCGAAUAUGUAACUGAUAGUAAACUCAAUCAUCUUGGUUAAUGCAUUGGAGAACUACUUGUAUUGUAUUUAGGAUAAAUUUCUUACAGUUUCAUUUUUAUUUUUAUUUUUCAGACCCAAAAAUAUUAGCACAAAUCUCCCCUUGCAGGACAGUCCCCUCUACAAUCUAAACAUUUUUCAUGCCCUCGAAAAGGGUGUGCGCUCCUCGUGAAAUAUAAGAAAUAUUACCUUGAUUUUUGAGAUACUUGAGAAUCUGAAAACAAAUGUAUCAUAAGAAAAGGAGUAGAAUAGCAAUAUCUACUCCUACAAUGUGCUGAGCAUGAAGCAUCAAUGAAAUAAUUGCUUUGGUUACAAUACUGAGCAGCAAGAUUUUAAGUGUCCGUCGGCACGGAUCGUAUUCACCAUGCUAUACCGUGCCAACAAGAUACCGACACUAUACAGAUCCCGUACCGAUAACACAGCUCAAAACCCUUUAUCCUUUAAAUUAGUAAGUAAUUUUCUCAAUAAAGUUCAAAAGAUGUGAUAACAAGACAUAAUAAAUAGUUAAACUAUUUUGUUGCUAAAGAAAAUAAAUAUUUCAUGCUAUUAUGUAUCGGCCCACAAGAAUUUUUUUGACCGGCAUGCAUCGGUACGGUGCCGGCAAGUUUCCGGCACGAUCCCGUGCCACGGCACUUAAAUCCUUGCUGAGCAAAUACACCUACAGAAUAGCCUUAUCCCAAGCCUUGAGAAUUAUAUUUUUUGUUCUUGCAAAAUUGAGGGAGAGAGGGAAAAAAAAAAAAGAACUCUUUCCACUGGGACAAUGAUAUUUUUUUUAUUUUUCUUUCUUUCUUAAGGAACUGCUUCCACUAUAAUUAAUGCAAACUGGUUCCCAAAAUGAAAGUGUUGUGAGACACUGCUUUGUGCCUGUUUGCAACGUAUUGCUUACAUGAUGUUGAGAUAAAUGAUGAGAAAAGGGAAUAAACACUAAAUUAGGCUCUACAACCAGGAUAUGAACUUAAAACCAAAUUUAAUGACGAUUCGACAUGAUUAAGUGAAACUUCAUCAAUCAAGUAAUCAACAGUGGAGGAACCAUAUCACAAACUUUUCAACUUCUAUGAAGCAAGUUUAGCUAUUGACCGUACAAUGCUAAAUCCAAAGGUUCAAUCCAUGAAUAAUGCAAGUAAAAUUCUAUUAGAGAUAGAAAUGGUAAUUGAUACAAUGUCGACUUUAAGUAGAACAAAAUCUAAAUGCGGAGGACAUGUCGACAACUUGCAAUCGCAAUCCACCAUGAAACAAGGGUUAAACUUUCAUCUGAGAGGAAUAUGUCUAUGCUUCCUACUUAACAAGAGCUCUAACGAAUAAACAGGAAUAUUUCUAAAGAAAAUUAGGCAAUUUUCCUUAUCCUAGGGGAAUUGGAAAACUGUAAAACAAUCCUAGAUGAUUAUCAACAUCUAACCCUUGUACAAAUUAACAUAGGAUUACAAAGUGCAUACAACAACAAAUAGCUUUUACUAAUGCUCGAAAGGUCCACAUUGGACUUUCGCCUCUCUAUAAAGCAUCAGAAUUAAUUAUAGUACAAGAUUAUACAAAUUGUCAGAAGAACUCUUAACUAUCUUUCCUAAACCCUGAAUAAUAGGAAACAACUGAAGUAGAAAUCUAAAAUACAAGGAUAUGAUAGAGUAACCAGCUGAUGAUCCUAUGAAUCCAGCACUGAAUUCCCAGAAUAUAAGUUAGAUGAAUGGCUCACAGGUGCUGUUUUGAAGGUAAAACCCUCAUUCUUGUCUUCAAUAUACCCAUAUAUGCUGCCACUUCUAUAUAGCGCCGAUACUUGGCUUGCGUGAAUGGAACUAUCAGAUGGCAUUUGGUGAUGGGGGGUUUGGUCUAUGCCCAAGGACUGUGCCUCAUCGGCAGGGCUGUUGUGAUUUGGGCUGAACCCGACACCAAGAUCGAGGCUGAUCGUGUCGCUCUCCUCUGGUUGGGUGAAUUGGUUGUUGGUAGGGUUUUGAACGCUUGUAGUAGUCAUCGAUGCAGAAACUCCAUGGCCGUUGGUCCUCGAGGCAGGAACAUCAUGGUUGUGUUUGCCCUCAUAGGUGGUUAUUACUGCUCUUGGAUCGUGCGACGCCCUCUCAACAUGUUUCCUUACAGGACACCCAUUAAAUGUGCAUUUGUAGUAACUCCUGUGGUCCAGAAAAGGGAUAAAAUUGUUAGAUCAUAUCAUAUAUUUCCUAUAGUGGUAAAAGAGCUGGAUCACAAACAACAAGACUGUCCAGAGACUGAAGAAGAUUGAGUGAAAUUACUAAUUGGGUUUCAUAUUCGUUUCUUAAUGAGGUUUGCCUGCUAAUAGACAAUCAUGUCUUCUUGUCAGAAUUCAGGGAACAUAUAAAUUUGAGUGACAAGAAAGGUCAGGUAUUUUAGGAUAUAUAUAAAUGAAUGCCAUCUUUAUCUUCAAAUGGAGAUGGAAAUUAUUGUCAAUCAAAUCAAAUAAAUAGAUAACAUAUAACACCCAAUGAAGCAGCAGAUAAGUAUAUCAUGUAAGUUUAGCCCUCAGACUCUUUGAAUUGAUUGUGUGACUGUAUAAAGAGAUUAAGAGUAAUAUCUUUGGUGCUGAUGUAAACUAGCUCUGUUUUAAAACAUCAAGUGAGAUCACAAUACAACACAAAGAACAGAGGCAAACAAAUACAUACAUAAAGAAUAUUUGCAUCACCAUUCAUCACCUGUCAAUAUUUCAUAUCAUGAUGUACGAUUACAUCAAGGUUACAUUUCUAAGAAGUUUUAAAGGCUAAAGUCCAAUGACACCACUGCAUAAUAUAGCAAAAAUUUAAAAUUUCCAUAAUGAUGCACAAGUAACUUAUUAAACUGAAAAUACUAGGCAUGCAGGGUGCUGCAGAAAAUAGGUUGAAUUGUUAAUGAAAAGAGCCAACAUUGUGGAAAAUAAGCUUAGUAGUCAUUCUGGCCUGUGUGUUAAUGAAUUGCCUAGCUGCUAGGCAAGGAUUGUCGUGCCACCAGCAUACCUGUGCCGCUGUGGCCGCAGCACGGGGCAUGCCAAUAUUGGCACACCUCCCAUACCAGUGUAUACCAUGGGUACAUUCGCAUGCAUUAGCACAGAUUGUUUUACUAAAUUUGGUUAAAAAAAAGUUUUUAGAGUGUUUUAAAAUCUCCAAUGGCUAUUAAAAUGUUUUAUGUAUUAUAUCCCACACAACUUAAUAAGAAUAGAGUCAUAAACAUCUUAAUAACUAAAAAACGUUUAUUUUAUAUACAUUAUAAAAGUAUAUGCAUGAAACCAAAAACCAAAAUCAUAAGAAGAUAAAAAUUUAUAGGAAAACACUACCAUGGGAAAAUUCAUUAGAUCUAAAAUGAUAAAACAAAGUGGAGGAAAUCUUCUUGUUUAUAUCUUUUCACUAAAAGUUGGUCUUAUUCUGCAAUGGAACUUGCAAAUUGCUUCCAAUUUUAACAGAUUUACAAGAACUAUAUAUUUUGAGCUUAAAAAAGCUAUUGUAAAACUUUUUACUUUAAAAAAACUGAAAAAAAAAUCCAAAAAAGGCAAAAAGGGGCACUUCCGGUUCUAUGCGUGCUUCAAACAAUUUUGUCUUCUCCAUCUUAUUACCAUAUCUCUAGAGUCAAUAAUUUUUAUCGAUACAGUGCCCGACCCGAUCUGGUUGAUCGGUGUAAAUCGAUUGAGUACAUUGUUGGUUUUUUAAAUCAGAUUAGAGAAGUUGAUCUUAUCUUUUAGUUAGUAUUUAUUUUCAUAAUUUUAUUAUUCAAUUAAUCUCUCAAUAAGGUUUUUUAAGUUGGUUAUUUAGGAUAUGAUUAAAUCCGAAAUUGGUUAUGUAGAGGUAAGGCAUAAGAAAGUAUAACUAAGGCAUAAAGUUUUUUGUAUAAUGAUGAAUAUGAAUUUGUGAAUCUAUAAUAAAGACAAAUGCUUUGACAAUGAUGUCUUUUUUCUUCGUUCGCGAAUGUGUCACCCUAGAGUAAGUCUAGUCCCGAAGCGAGUUCGGUUCAGAAGUAAGUUCUGAUUACUUUUAUUACAUUUUUUAUUUUUUAUUCUUUUUUAUGUUUCUGAAUUUUCUUUCUUAGUUUCUAUAAUUUCUUUUUCUAAUUCCGAAAAUAAAAAAAAUAUCCAAAAAAUAUUGUAAAAAUUUUCAGAAAUUCAAAAAGCUUUCAAAAAAGUUAUAAAUUAUAUUUUGGAGCCCUCUAAAACGUAGGACCCUAUAUUACGUUCUCUAUUAGAUUUGAUAUCAAAGUGUAGGCUAUUUACUAGUUCCAUUUCGUCAAAAGUUUUGGGCUUGUGAAAGAAAAUGAGGUGAGAAUUAAAAAUAAUGAGAAAAAGUACAAUAAAAAAAGGGAAGCAAAAAAGCUGAAAGAAAAGUGUGGAGAAAAAGUUAAUGGACUAGGAAAAAAAUCAUCAUGGACGCAAAGAAUGAUUUAAAAAAGUUCUCCUGAAGUAUGAUAGAAGAAAAGAAAUUCAUAUAGAGUCAUUAAAAGAAGGCUAAAUUACAGAAAACCCACUUAUAAGUAUGCUUUUUUACUUUCCCUCCCUAACUUUCAAAAACCUACAUUUUAUCUCCUCAACAUUUCAAGUUGUUGAAUUUAGCCCCCCUUCAUCAGUGUCCCAUCACUAUUCUGUCAAUUUUAUUAUAAUUUAUACCUAAAAUGCCCUUCAAAAUUAUAGAAGUACAUUAAAAAAUAUUUUUCCACUUGUGGAAGAAGUACGAGCAAUUUGUUCAUUUUGCUCUCUCCAUUAAUGUUGUACCCAUGAAAACAUUUCUGAAAUUUUAAGGGGGGCAAAAUGUAAGUUUUUGAAAGUCAUGAAGGAAAAGUGAAAAAGCAGGUAUUUACAGAGGGUUUUUUGUACUUUAGCCUUAAAAGUAAAUAUGUGAGAUGACAAAAGUCGAGUUUGAUGAAUAGUUUUACGAUCAGAAGUCCUACUUUGAGAGAAAAGGAAACGAUAUUUGGAUGAAAAUAUUAGAUGACUUGAGAUGAUGGUAUAGACAGGCAUUUUAACAUAAUAUUUUGAAAGAAGAAAAAACGGAGGUUAAAAGAUAUUGAAGAUUAUGCUAAAAUUGUUGAGACGAUUUUUAAUGGAUGGAUAAGAUGAGAAAUGAGUAUUGAUGGAUCCAACUAAAAGUUCAACUCGAGACCCUAGUUGCUCAACAGAGUACGCCGCCUAUAGCACAGUUGGGAGUCAAUAAUUCUAAUCCAGUUCCGCCCGCACCACCCGAUGGCAAAGAAGUUUUGGAUGUGAUUGAGUUAGAAUUGGAGCAUUCGUAGUUAAAUCAUGAAGCCAAGGUAGAUGAGUGUGUUGGGUAAGAUUAUAGAUCGAGUUACCUUCAUUACCCCAGAAUUGGAGCCUCAUCGACUUACUGGUCAUUCUUACAUCAACACCAAGCCGCAUACUCUAAUGAUACAGGUUGUUCGACAUGUUGGCAUCGAGCUGCAUCACUUUAUUCAUCCUCAUACAAUAAAACUUUAUGCCUUAUUUAUACUUAUCCUUAGCUUUACCUAUACAUAACUAAUUUUGGAUUUAACCUUAUCCUAAAUAACGAACUAAAUAAACCUUAUUUAGAGAUUAAGUGAAUAAUGAAAAUCUGAAAAUAAACAGUAACUAAAAGAUAAGAUAAACUACUCUAAUUUGAUUUUUAAAAAAAACAAUGAACUCAAUCGAUUAAAACUGAUCAACUAGUUUUUUCUGAUUUUCUUUUAAUUGCCAUAAUUUCUAUAAUUUAUUUUUUUAAUUCUGAAAAUAAAAAAAAAAUAUUUCAAAAAAUUUUAGAAAUUCAAAAAAGCUUUCAAAAGAAAUUGUAGAUUGUAUUUUGAAAUCCUCGAAAACAUAGGACACUAUAUUCCAUCCUACAUUAGUGUUGACAUGACCCCACGCCAAGUGUUGGCACAGCUAGGCACCGUACUGCACAGGGCGGCAGGAGCAAUCCUUGCUGUUAGGUACUUUCAGAAAACAAGAACACUAGUACUCUAGGAUUUUCCUUCAGUGAACAAAAUUUCAGACACUACAUAGCAAAAACAAUAAAUCAAAUUGCCACAAGGUAAGAAAGAAAUCUACCAACUACAGGCAAUCUCUUCAAUAUUAACCCAAAGAGCAAAUACCUAGAUGUAAGAAGGUAAUUAAUACAGCUCUCGCAUUCAAGUUUUGAAUCAACAAUAUCUUCAAAUACACUCAUCUUAAAGACAAACAACUUUAUUCUAACAACUACAUUCUUUCAUCUCAUCUCAUUGUACUUGCUAAAUUAUGUAACGAGGUAAUUUUAAUUCCUGAUUUAGGUUGUCUCCAUAUGCAACCAGCAAUAAUAUAAGUUACUCAGUACAAAAGUACCACUAUAAUAGGUUUUUCCCAGUGUCAAAAUCAGAUGUUAUCUGCUUUAUGGUCUUGUUAUGUACCACUCAAACAUCUGAUUUACACACGGACUAUGAGAUACUUCAAAGAUAUGUACCACGGACAUUUAUGAAAUCUAUUGGAUUAUUGUCAGGUUUUAUGAACUAUUCUCUUGUGAUAUAUAUCGCAUGCUCUCCUCCCUACAAAUUCCUUCCUCCCUGAUCUUGUAACAAGGAAAUCAGUUGUUAUGAGAGGAUGGUUUUAAAAUCUGGCUGAAUGGCAUAUAUGUGAAUUUGCUAAGAAUUCAACACGAAUACAAUAUUCUGACGAAUAUGGAAACAAUAUGCAAGUUCAAACAUAUGAUUAGUAUAUAUGAGGUAAAAGAAUAGUAGCUUUUAUUCGUACUAGGUGUUGCAUCUGUUGCAACUUGAACCUAAUGCUAUAGGAUUUACUUUGAAGCAUAGACCACCAGGGAUGAACUUCGUGUGUACAAUAUUUAAGAUGAUUAUCAUGUCAUAUGAUGAAUCCAUUCUAGUAAGAAUUUCGAUGUCCAAGAAAAUUACAUUCGAAAUCUUGGAAUGAUAGGAAUAUUGGGUUUCAAUUCCAAUGAGUCGGACACAACCUAUCUAAAAAUUUAACUUGAUUUUGGCUCUUUGGCUUAAAAUAUGUUACUCCUAAAUUAAUCAUGAAUCUUUAUCUUCUGUUACAUUUCCAUGCUUAGAGAACUUUAUGGGAGGUUGCCUCCUAGGUUCAAAGACAGUAGCUCAGUGUAUCCACCGACUUUAUAACUUUCACUAUAGGUCUCUUUACUUUCUGUUUUUUUUUCAUCUCACUUUGACCGGGAAUUUAGCAUCAAAUUGUAGUGUUGACGUUGUCCUGACGGCAACCAGUAAAAAAAAAUCAAUACUUUGGAAACUUCACAGAUUUAAGUUUUACUCUAGUGAACCGCAUAAUGUUAGGUAAAGGCAUAAAUGAUGAUGAUGAUACUCAUAAAUUGUGCAUCUAACUUAACAUUCUCUUGAAAUCAAAGGACAGCUAAUAUGCAGGCAAUCUGUGAUUCACAUUGCAAGAUGAAGCUUUGAAGGUCCUGAAAUGAAAUUGAUGAGUCUGUAGCUCCUAAACAAAGUCGUCUUCAAAUUUCGCCCUUGAAAUCUUAAGAAAACACGCAAGAACCAUUAGCUUCUUUUAAAUUUCCACUAGAUAAGACGGUCAGAACACAUUUCCGCCACACAAAAAACAUACUCGCAGUAAGAAAGACUACUAUUCAGCGAAAGGGUGAAUAGAAAAUAUCUAGAAUGUUCACCAACCUUGGAUUCGGGUUGCCUCUUACUACCUUUUGGCCAUAUUUCCGCCAGCGGUACCCAUCAUCCAGGAUGUCAACUUCGCUUAUAGUUUGUACAACCACACGUGGUUCACGGUUAGGUCUAUUGAUUGCAGUAGCAUCAAAAUUAGGAGCAUCCAAUUUCCUGUUUACAAAUGUUAGAAAGCAGACUAAUAGCAUUUUAGAUCAAAUUCCCUCUCCCUUAGAAUUCCUAUACUCAAUUAUAUAAACUAACCUGCGUUUUGCCUCUAGGUCACCAUCAGCAGCAAUUUCAUCACCAGUGUUGGAUCGACCACCUCCACCAUCAACAUCAUCCUCACUAGCUGAGCCAGAAGAAAGCUCAGUCGUACCAAUUGGAUUGACUUUAUGAGGAUGCAGAUAGAAAAUCUUAGUUAUGUGAGAUCAAUUUAAUGUACCAAAGGAAAGACUAUUUUGUGUCAUAAAGAAUGCGCAUGAUGCUUCCUUACCUUCAGCACUUAAUAAACAAUCAGGUUUGUCCACUCCCUGGCUGGACAGAAGUGCACCAACUGCUGAUCGACGGUUAGGUUGAGGUUUAGGAUGAUCAUGCUCGCUUAUGUAGAUAGUUUCAGUUAUUUGUCCGUCAUUGGAGCGUUCUAUAUGCUUCUUUGCUGGGCAGUUAGGAUGUGUACAUUUGUAGUAACUACGUGGAUUUUCACAUCCUUUAACAUGUUUCUGCCCAUACUUGCGCCAGUUAUAUCCAUCUUCUGCGGAUUUCUCAACUACAGAGGAAGGAUUAGGUCCACCAGGAUCAGACCGUAAUUCUGUGAUAUUUUCCUCUGAACAUUCAACAGGUUGAGUUGGAGAAGUUCGAGAAAUUAUUGAGAGAGUUGAUUCCUGUGUAGUGAAAGCUUCAUUGUGAGCUGUCACUGCAUGAUUAUAAGGAUUAUUGGCUUGAAUUUGUGUUUGCACAAAAGGCUCGUGUUCUUGGAGAUUAGCAUUAGCAGAACCCUACAUGAAAAACAAGAGUAUUAGGCUGGUGAGAAUAGUAGAUCAUAUUCAUCGAUUAUGCAUGAAUUGUCGAAAUUGAUCAAUCGUCAGGUAAAUGGGAAGCAGAAAAUAUAUCAUUUCUUGAGCACUUUAUGUUCAAAGCAAUUAGAAAACCUGACUCAUCAAUCAACAACAUACAAGCAUGCAUAAUGUUUCCUUCUCUUUCUUUCUUUCUUUCUUUCUUUUUUUUUUUGGGUUAGGGAGCAUGCCUGAUGUUAAACACAGUAAAACUAAACUAGUAUAUUACUCUUUUGACAAUACUAAGUGGGUCGACCAACUGGUUGCAGAGGAUCCAAACAGGUCGAUCGCAUGUGUAGAAAUCUAUCCAAAGCAGUUUUAUCCAAAAUGAGACUUCAAAAAGAUAUUUAACUUUCAAAUAUGGCGCAUCAAAAUCUAAACAUCCCACAGGGUAAAGUAAGAUGAAGUUGCUGUCAUAUUAGGAAUCUCGAAACUAAUAGUAUGACAAGAAUGUUCCAAAGUAGUGAGAACUAACAAUAUCCAAGAGGGCAGCUACCAGACAGUAGGACGGAUUAUCUCAAAUAAUCAGAUACGGCAGUGUAUUAUCAAAAUGCAACUAUGGGAAAAGUGAUAUUACCGAAGCUCGCAAUGUAGGUACUGAUGUAUGCAAAUAUGAUCUGGCAUGGGGCUUGAACUCAAAAUCUCCAGAGCUCCCAUUAUUGUAUGCACUAUUUAUAGAAGUCUCCCUUGAAGAAGAUAAUGCAUCUGCUUGAACAGUUCUAUUCAUGAUAUAAGGCAUAGUCAAAGUACCAGUGGUUGGGGAAGGCUCAACCUGUACAAAGAACAGAACAGAUAAACCGAAAAUUAAUUCAAACUGUGCAGAUAAAUAAAGGGGAAGUUUUCACAACUUCUGUUUCGGCAGACCAUCACUAAUCUUACAAGAUAUCUACUAGACAAAUGAAAGGAGUAGAUAUGACAUGUAAUCAGAAUUAUUGUAAAACUACCUUACAGGAAAAGAGAAAUAGCAAUCAUUAAACCUAACCAUCAAUUCACUGACAGAGAGAAUGCCAAAAUCCCUCCCUCUACACACUAGUAAGUAGAACCGACCAAACUGGUUAGAGGAUAAGGCUUCCUCCACACACACACAAAAGAUGUCCAGGAAAGGCACGUGAGAGUAUAAUGAUCAUGCCUUCUCCCAGUAUUUGGAAGCUUUUCACACAGAGACAACACAAAAUUGUGAACACAAAUAAAGAGAAAUUUAUCAACAUGCUACAGCCACCUAAAAAUUUUUACCUAGAGGGACUAGGACAGCAAUAAAUAUACACAGCUCUAAACUCACUAUCUUCUGGAUGGCAUUUCUUACAUUUAUAAUGAUCUGGACCAUCUGGUAUAGCAGGACCAGACAAAGUAAAUGACACCAAACAUACAAGUGUCAUAGAUUGGCCUAUAACAAGAAACUAUAGAAGUUUUUCCCUCCAAAUUCCAAAGAUCAUUCUAGAAUGAACAUCAGUUCUAGAAUCAAUUAACAAAACAACCAUUAGAGAAACACUCCUGAGUCCUCACUAAACAACUCUCCAUAAUACUGAAUCUCUCGUUCUGAAUGCUUCUUGGCUCACCUUUUUUUUUGAAAAAAAAAAAAAAACCCUCUGGGCUCAUUUAAGUGAUGCUCAUGAAUUAAAUGGCCCAUCAAGUUAUUCUUUAAGUCAAAAAAAAUAAAAUAAAAUUUCUAACAAAAGGCAAAGUCCCAAAAGAGACAUGCCCAUAAUGCAAGAUGUUGUUUUCUUUCUAUCUUCAAAAGCGCAAAUACUACAGAAUGAUUCUACUAGUACAUGAUGUGGCAGCUGAUAAAUGAAAGCGAAUAACUAUCAAAGUGAGCUCAUAAAGUAGAAAAAUGCCAAGCACCUACGAAAAGAUUAAUUCUCGAAGAUGGUGUUAUACAGAGCUGCGUCAAGUACGCAGAAAUCAGAUUUAUUGGAUCUGGUCAACUGUAGUUAAUGAUUAAUGACCAGGUUUGAUGAAAAAACCAACCCAUUUUGGAAUCAAACUGUUGCUAUAAUAGUGAAAAAGUUUUAAGUUUGUCCAAGACAAAGAUAUAUUCCAGAUCCCCCUCGUUCAACCAAGUGGAUGUUUUGUUUUAACUUGAUGUCGCCAGGGCAUCGGAAUCCAUUUGUGGCCACAUCUGGUGCAGCUCAUCAACUUCUUCUCAUUCUCCCCCUUCACUUUAAAGUCUAUACAAAAAGUCCGAGCUAAAAGAUUAAUGUAGAGAACUUUGUAACAACCUUACUUGACAAAGAAUCAGAAUAUAUGACAGUAAAAGUUGUUAAAGAACUUCUUAUCAAAGAAAUGGCAAUGCAUACACAGUUCAAAUAGGAAUUAUAAAAUGAAUGUGCAGUGCAGAGCGCAUAAAAUGUCACAUCUUAGAGAUAAUCAUUGAGCUUUCGAUGGUAAAAAAACAAAAUAAAUAUAUACAUAUAUUGUUUUUGACGAGACAAGCAAAAUGAAACGACAGAUACGGAAGAAUAGACAAAGACAAAAGCAAACAAAUAAAAAAGAAAAGCUGCAUAGCGUCACAUCUCACCACAUAAAGAACGAAACUAUCAAAUUCAAAGAGAAGUAAAAGAAGAGUAAAAUUAUAUAGGUACGAUCAACUACAGGCUCAAGGUUUUCUAUUUUUAACACUCCACCAACUUUUGAUUAGUUUGAUUUAACUUACUUUUUCUAAAAGAAAAUUAAUUACUUGAAAAAACACAAAUUAAAUUAUUAGAAGGGUAAGAAAAAAUUAAGUAUUAAAGACAAAACAUAGUUAGAGGGAUUAGUAUAAAAUGACCAAUAGUUUUGGAAUCUUCACACAGUUCAGAUGAAGUAAUAAGCUAAGAAAUGCUGAAAAAUCCGGGGAGGGGAAUAGCUAGAUAGAUCAAAACAAGCACAAAUAGUUAAGUAGAGCAAAUCAAGCACAAAUCAAGAGAAAAUUAAAUGACAAAUAAAGCGGGGUACGAGAAGAACAUAAAUGGGGGUUAGGGAUCGAGAGAGUGCCUUGGGGUCGGUGAGGAGGACGGGGGAUUCGAGGAGCGCGGAGGGGCUGAGUCCUGGGGGGAUGGUGAGGCACGGCGCGCGCGGGAUCGGGAGCUGCGCCGGCGACAUCGACCUGUACCUGGCUCCGGCGAGCGGCGGCCCCCUCCGCUCCGGCGCUCCGCCGCCGCUCCCAGCUCCAAGUCCCCGAGAUCUUGGCUCCGGCGCCGGAGGCCCCCCUCCUCCGGCGAUAUCUCCGGCGAGCGGUGGCGACCUCCCAUCCCGCGCUCUGCCGCCGCCAACACCACUCCCGGCGCCGAGACCACCCGAUCGGGGCUCCGGUAGCGGAGCUCGUCCUCCUCCGGCGAGAUCUCCGGCGUCGGUGGACUCCUCCAUUGGUGGGAGCGAGAGAGAGGUGGGGGAGUGAGAGGGAGUGGGGUGGAGGAUGCAGUGGAGAGAGUGUGGAAAAGAGGGCGCGAAGGGGGAGCGGAGGAGAGAGAGAGAGAGAGAGAGAGAGAGGUGGGGCUCGUCAGGGGUAUUUUGGGAAAGAAAAUGGUGUAUGCGAUUAUGUUUUCCAGCGAGUAAUAAAUUUUUGCCUGCACCCGGUGCAUGGGUGUAUAUAAACCCGUACUCCUCAGUCACACUAUUUCGCACCAGCAACAAGGCACCGACCAUUACAUGCAUCACACUGUACUCUUCUUCAACAACUGCUGACGUGGUCGUAAAAAGUUUUUAUUAUAACACUUUUACCCCCAUAAAUAAAUAAAUAAAUAUAUUUUAUGGUAACCGUUUUUACUGCAUUAAAUAUAUUUUAAUUUAAUAUUCUCUUGGAGCCAAGUACAAUAUGGCAAAAAGUCUUUUAUUAGGCUUAAUUCUAUUCUACUGUACUAUACUUUAUGUAUUUUUUUAUUUUUGGCUAAAUUACUGAAAAUUUUUCUGUAAUAACCCGCUUUUUCACUUUCCCCUCCUGACAUUUAAAAACCUACACUUUGCCCCCUUGUAAAAUGAAAAAUGUGCACUUCACCCCUACCGUUAGGAUUCCGUUAGGGGUUCUGUUAAAAAAUAUUUUUUUAUACUGAAAAUACCCCUCUGCCUCUUCUCUGAUGCUUCGCUCCCUCCGGCUCACCGCUUCACUGCCUCGCCGCCUCGCCGUCCUCCACUGCUUCGCCCUCACCCGCAUCCCUUUCGUCCUCCUCCGCCACCUCGCCUUCGCCCUCGUUGUCCCUGCCUACCUCUCCAUCAACGCCCAUCUUAGUAUCCUCCCUACUGUCGCCGAAAUCGAUGGGCGGCGACAGUGUAGGAGGAGAAGGGGAGCAGGUGGAGAAGAAAUUGGAGAGAAAUGGUGGCCGAUUGAGGUGGAAAUAGCGGCGGAUUGAAGGGGCGGCUGAGGAAGCUCAGGAAGAAGACAACAAUGGCGAGGGGCAAAAUGGUCAUUUUACACACCGUGACCUCCCUGUGAACAUUUUUCAUUUUACAAGGGGGCAAAGUAUAGAUUUUUAAAUGUCAGGGAGGGAAAGUGAAAAAGAGGGUUAUUACAAGAGGGUUUUCUGUAAUUUAGCCUUUAUUUUUUAUAUUGUACUAAUUUUUUAAAAUUAUUAUUUUAUUAAAAAAAGCUUAUAUUUUUAUUUAAAAUUAUUCUCACUUUCGCAGUUGAAAUUACGGUUAAUUUAGAUGUAAUUUUAACUAAUGCUUACCUUCUAACUAAAAUUAUUCUUUUUAACUGUUGUUAGUUAGAAUUACGGUCAAUUUAGACGUAGUUUCAAUUAUUAUAAAAAUUUAGGAUUCAAAAAAUUUAGAACCAUACGACCCUCCAUUUUAGAAUUAAUCCAAUGCUUUUAGUAUUUUAAAAAAUAUGAAAAGAAAGAAAAUUGAAAAAAAGGGAAAAGGAGUCAAGGACUAGUGGAUAAAAUUUUGUCUUUUACAUGGCCCAAGUUGUAAGAUUACAGUCCAAAAGUGGGUAAACUUAUUCCUAGUAUCAAACUCGUUUUUGCGGGCAAUGAGAUCCUUAACUGCAAUCCGGUCCGUUGGACCUAUACCAGACCAGACCCGUGCGACUCGGGUCCAAGUCGGGUCAGGGCCGGUUCGUAUCAAAUUGUGAUUGAUCCGAUUGUAGCUGUAUAUUUGGUUCCUUAUAAAACUAGCUCAAAAAAUAUUUUUGAUACGAAAAAUAGAUUUUCGGUCGUUUGGUUUACAUAAAAUUACUUACUUAUAAAACAAGUUACAAAUUUUGAAAAAAAAAUUGUACCUUUAUUUGCUUGUUUUAAAUAAAAAAAUAAAGAUUCAUUCGAAAAGUAUCACGGCUCACCGCCGUGUGGGUCACACGUGGUCCACGAGAUGAAGUGGAUCUUGUCGACCGCGUGAGACCUCUCUCUCUCUAUAUAUAUAUAAUUAAUGAAAAAAAAAAUUCAUAUGUGAAGCAAACCCCUCUCUCUCUCUAUAUAUAUAUAUAUAUAAUUAGUGAAAAAGAAAACUCAUCUUUGAAGCAUUACGAUUUACCGCGUGGAUCAUAUGCUGUCCACGAAGUGAAGUGGACUAGUGUGAGACCCCUCUCUCUAUAUAUUUAUUUAUUUAUUUAAUAUUUUUCAAUUUAGAUAUUAUUAUAUAAUAUUUUAUUUAUAAAGAUACAUUUAUCUAUUAUACAAUAUUAAAAUUAUAACUAGCAUAUAUUAUGUUACAUAUAAUAUUUAAUUUACAAAGAUAAAUUAUAAUAACAACAUAUGUAGUAUGGUAAUUUUUAUAUAUAAAUAAUAUAUAUACAUAUAAUAAAAAAUGUAAAAUAGAUUUGUAUUUAUGUUUUUCUUUUCCUAUAGGUAAAAUUGUAUAGCAACCCCUCUCAAUUAUAUGUCAUGUUGAAAUAACCUAUUUAACUUUUGUUUUUUCAAUAAUUUUAGAUAUUUUUCUUAAAUUCAUUCAUUUUCCCCCGUAUAUAACAGUUUGAUUACUUUUUAGCAAGUAAAAUUAGACCAAUUAAAGUUAAUUACUAAUAGAGUUAUUAAACUUGAUAAUAAUUGUAAUAUAUGGAAAUUUGGGAGUUACGAUGUCAACUUUGAUCUCGGGGAUCAAAGUGAGGAUUGAGCUAGUUGAACAUCAUCCUCGAGUGAUUUGUGAUACGUGUGAAUGAAUUCUGGAGAUAAAUAAGUGUUUCGGCGCAAAUUGGACGCGAAACGAAAUGUAAAGAAAAUUUGCGAAUUUCCGACGCUAACUUUGAUUAAAAGAAUUAAAGUGAGCAAGAUAAUAUAAAAUGGUGUGAGAUACCAUUUGAUUGGACUUAAGGAUGUAAAAUAUAAGUCUGGAAUGACUCGUGUUGAAAUCGGAGCGGAAACAGAAGAUUUAGAAUUUUCUGUAAAGAACGGGACUGAAAAAUUAGCAGAAAAUGCACAGUGUCAAAAAAUUAUGAAAACUGGAGAAUAUGUCAGGAAUAUUUUUAUGAGGCUAGAUUUAAAGUUUCACAUUAUUCUGACACUCGUAAAGUGAGGAAUAGAAUUCGAAAGCUAUCUGAUAAAGAUUGCAUUUCGGUACAGUUUCGGUGACCAAAUGGGGUCGAAACUGAAAUGUUAAAAUUUUUUUGGACUUAUUAAGUAAAACCAAACAUGCCUGUCAAAUUUGAGCGCAAACGGAUAUUUGGAAGGGCCUGCGAAAGGUAUCUGAUCCGUGCUGCUAACUUGUAUUGAGUUGAGGCCAUUAUGGUAAUUAUAGCAUAGGCUUAGUGGAUUUCCACUAACCUGCCAGGGGAAUCUCCAUUCUUAUCCUCUCCUGUACGCAUGAGAGAGGGAAGGAAACAAGUUUGUAGUAAAUUGUAUAAGUUGUAAAUUGGAUAAAGACUUAUGUAAUAACAUAAAGGCAUUUGUAAUUUUCUAAAUGUAAAAUUUUGAGAUGAAUGCUUGUAAUAGCAUAGUUAGCAUUUUAUAUUUUUGAUACUUGUGCAAUCUAUAUUUGAAUGCUGUUCCUGGUUGGGACCUCUUCUACUGCAUCGUAUGGAUUAUGACGCCUAGGACGUACAGGAAAAGCUCUGUCCGUUCGGCGGUCUGUCCGCGUGCCCGAAUCUGACUAAAUUGGCGGAGCUCGGGGCGUGACAAUAAUUUUAACUAACUUAAAUAUAAAAAGAUAAACUCCAAUUUACCUUAUUGUGGUUUGUUUAAUAUAUUUAUACUUUGCUAUCAUGUGGUUUAAAAAGUUAUACAUAAUUCUUUUUUAUUUCACUAUUAUAAUAUAUCAUUAAACAGGAUAUCACUGUGUAAUUUUCAAAAAAAAAAAAACUUUAAUACUCAAUUUCACGAUAAUUUUUUUUGGUGAAAUAAAAAUAAAUCACAUGAUAUAUAUUUGCAGCUUUUUAAAUUCAUGUAAUGGUAAAAUAAAAAUAUGUUAAACUGAAGGAAGGCAAAAUUCGAAGCUUAUCCCAAAAAAAAUCUAAAAAUUAAAGGGGCCUCAAUAAAAAUAGAAAAAUAUGAACCCUGGUAUCUUUACACUCCAAAAGUUAAUGUACAUCUUACGUCUCCUCACCAAAAGACCACUGGUUGGUGUUUGUCUUGCUAGUCUUUUUUUUUUAUUUUAAAAAUUUUAAAAAAUUUCUAAACCCUAGAAAUAAUGGAGUGUAAAAUGUAUGCUCCAAAAUAGAGUGCAUAGGUAGCAUUUCUCGCCAAAUAUAUAUAGAAAAACCUCUCAACUAUAAACAAUUCUUAAAUAAAUCCCUUGGCUUUUACUUUCUUGAUUGAGACUCCUCAACUUUUAUUUUUUUUAUUUAAAUUUUAGGGAAAAAUUCAAAAACCCCCCGUGGUUUCACACUUUUUUAUUUUAAUACCGUGUGGUUUAAAGUGUAUCAAGUUAGUACUCUAUGGUUUCGUACUUUCUCACUUUAAUACCCUGUUGUUUAAAGUGUAUUAAGUUAAUACUCUGUGACUUUAUUUUUGUAUCAAGUUAGUAUCCUAUGGUUUUAUUUUGGUAUCAAAUUAGUAUCCUGUGGUUUUAUUUUUCUCUUAAUGAAAUAUUAAACCAUAGGGUACUAAAGUGAGAAAGUACAAAACCACAGGGUACUAACUUGAUACACUUUAAACCAUAUGGUACUAAGGUGAGAAAGUGCGAAAUCAUAGGGUACUGACUUGAUACACUUUAAACCAUAGGGUACUAAAGUGAGAAAAAGUGAAACCACAAUGGGGUAUUUGAAGUUUUCCCUAAAUUUUAUACGUAGUAGGGAUUUUGUAAGCAAUGUCAUCAAUACAUUUCAAAAGAGGUGUAUAUCUUACACUCUAUCUAUUCUAAUAGGAGGUAUUUUUUCGUCUUGUCAUAUUAAGUAAUCUGUAGACUUAUUCCUAUUCUACGAUAGAAAGAUAUAUACUUAUGAUUUUAAUCAAUUUUGUUCCCACUUGAUCGAGGAGAAAAGGCGGAACAAUAAUUUUAGACUUAUACCAAAUUAUACCACCUUAUUUCAGAUACCUAAGAAUUAUUGUUCUUGGAUACGAAAUUUGCGUAGAAAUUUUAUUUGUAUAUUCCAAAACAAGAUGUAUAAUAUGUAUCCCCUUAUUCCCCAAUUAAUAAAAUCUUUUGUAUUUUUAAUAUUUUAAAAAGUUGGCAAGACAAUGAGUCAUUAUUGACCUAAAAUAAGGGAGGUAAGAUUUACGUUAUUUUUAAUUUUUUUCAUAAGUAGGUUUAAAAAAUAUUAUAAUUAUAAAAAUAGUUUCGCAAAAGAAUUAUUUACAAAACUAUUUUUAUAUGGUGAAUGAAUUAGCGCUUUCUACAUGCGGUAAAUCAUUCAUUGCCUUUUUCAAAAUAUUAAAAUUAUUUUUAAAAUUUAAUAGUAUACAUAUUUUAGAGUUUGGAUGUGAAAAAUAGAUGUUAUAUCAAAGCAGUAAACAGUUUACCACUUUUAGAAAGUAAUAAGCCGUUCACUGCUUAAGUCUAGUUUUAUAAAUAAUAAUUUUAAUGUCUAAUUUUAUAAUAAAAUAUAUUUCGUAGACUAGACUGAGUAGCCCAAAAAUUUUUUUUAGUAUUUGUGCUCGUUUCAAACUAGGCUGCAGGUGGAGAAUUUUUUAAUUAAUAGCCUUAGAAAAUACUACAAUUAUAAAAUAAUUUUUUUAAAAAAAUUAUUUAUAAAAUUAGGUCUAUACGGUGAAUGAAUUACCGUUUUUUAAAUAUAAUAAAUUAUUCACCGCUUUCUUCAAAAAAUUAAAACUAUUUUUAUUAUUUAACACUAUAUAUUUUUGAAGUUUGGAUAUAAGAUACAUAUAAAUUAGUAUAAAAGCGGUGAAAUAACCCACUGUUUUUAAAAAACGAUAAAUAAUUUAUUAUUUUUAUCGAUCUAUUUUUAUAAAUAAAAAUUUUAAAUAUUUAAUUAUAUAUUUAAAAGAUUUUAAAAGCUUAGUAGCCCAAAAACUCUGCAGAUGGGGCUCACUCCAUACAUUUUCAACAGCUAUUAUCCAAUUCGCACUUCGCCUCGCCACCUCCUCUAUAAAUACCCGCCACCGUUCUCUGCGUCUUCUUUUGAAAUCGCAAGAGAGAGAGAGAGAUAGAGAGAGAGAGAGAGAGUUUUUCCCCCACGCCACUCGUUUCCUCUUCUCCUUCUCCUCGCACCCCACCCACCAAACCCCCAUUUCCAUUUCCUCCUCAUCGUCUUCGAUCCAAUCCCCCCCCCUCUCCGAUCCCCAAUUUUGCGUGCAACGAUUGCAGCUUCGAUCCCUUUGGCUCCUCCUCCUCUUCCUCCUCCGAUCGAGGUUUUGUUGCGGAGAUCGGAGGGCAUUGACUCGGAGUUCUCGGAUUUGGGGGUUUUCGAGGGGAAUUAGGGCGUUUUCGAUGGGUUUGCUGUUCGUGGAGUCUCUCCCGGGGCCGAAGGUGUUCAAAUGCAUAUUCUGCAAGGUCGAUUCAGCGUCGCUCGACGCCAUCGUCUCCAAGGACUUCAAUGGACGGUACGGCCGCGCCUACCUCUUCAAGAAUGUGUGAGUUCUCUUCGAAAUCCUGUUGAUCUUGGCCUUUGGGACGUUUUGAUUGCGUUGGAUUAUGAAAUUAGCUCGAAAUCGGGUUCUUGUAUGUGUGAUUCUAGCGACUGUGGUGAAAUUCGUUGGAUUGUUGCUCUUUGGGAUUGAGGAUCUUUUCAUGCUCGUUCUCAUUUUAACAGCGUUAGAGUUCUCUUCAAAAUCCUGGUGAUAUUCGCCUUUGGGGUGUUCUUGAUUGCGUUGAUUAGGAAAAUUAGGUUCUUAUGUGUGUUGGCUCCAUUGAGUUUUUUAUGUUCUAUGACUGAGCAAGGAUUUAAGUGCCGGCACACAAGAUUCUGCGGAAAACUUGCUGGCACAGUGCGUGCCGGACCGUGCAGGUAAAAAAAAAAUCAUAUAUGCCGAUAUAUAAUGGCAUGAAAUAUUUGCUGGUCAGAAAAAAUAUAUAUGUACCAAUAGAUAAUGACAUGAAAUAUUUAUUUUCUUUAAUAACAAAAUAUCCUAAUUGCUUAUUAUAUAUCUUUAUCAAAAUUUGUGAACUUUAUUGAAAAAAUUACUUAUCAAUUUAAAGAAAGAGGUGAGAUGUGCAAUCGGUACGGAGGCUAUAUCGUACCGAUAUCUUGUUGGCACGAUAUUGUACGGUAGAUACGGCCCAUGCAAUAGGCACUUAAAUCCUUGUGACCAAGGAGCUUUGAUGCUCGUACCCAUUUUCUGGUUUUGACAAUUGCAAUUUAUGUCGAGUAUUGCCUUUUUUGUUCUUUUCAGAUCUUGGGAUCAAAAUAAUUGAUAGAUUAUUUGUUAUAUGGAGGAUUUCAAUGCAUAUGUUUAUGAUGGAAUAUACACCUUGGAAUUUGGGGGUGAUAGAUUGGCGAAAUAAAAAAGGAAGAAAAACGCAACUGUGAUUAUGUAUUUUAAGCAAUGAUCAGUAGAGUCGCAGUUUAUUUCCUUUGUUUCCAUGUUUUUGGUGAUGUAGUGUUUUGACCAGAUAUAAGGAUUACCUUUUGUUUAUUUUGUUUAUUAUGAAGUGAUCUCUUGCUGAUCUGUGGAGAUUUUCAUUUCAAUGUCAUUGUUGUAGAAUUGCAGCUUAGAGUAUUAGUACUGGAGAUUAGGAAGGCAUUAUUCUUCUUUUACAAAAUUUGGUUGGUUGAUCCAGCUGACUAAUGCAUUGACACAGAAAUCUAGGAUACAUUUGUUCAAAAUUUUCACAUACCAACAGAUGCAUGCAGUAUCUUUCUAGCUGCGAUAAUUUUGACAACGUUGAAACAAAGAUUUGUACUACUGAAGGUGUCUUUUACAGCAAAAACAUAAACGUGAUUUCUCCAAAAUAAUACUAGUAUUAUUUGCUUCAGUUUGUGAGGUUUUGAAGUUCAUGACAUUCUAAAAGCGUAGAACUAAUGUAGAUUGAACUUAUAAUAUAUAAGCUAAUUGAUCUCAUUGCCUUUAAAUUUUCACUAGACUGGCACAAUGAGAAGUUAGAAUCAAAUUUUGUAGAUAUAACAAAUCAACUUGUAAAUUUGAAAGAAUAUAAUUAAUAUCCUACUAUGAUGAGACUGUUUGUUGCUUUUGAUGAUUUGGUUGGUUCAGUAAGUUUAAGAUUAUUUUAGAGCCACUCUUGCAUUCAAUUUUGUGCUCAUUCCUGUUGGAAGCAUUGGUACCAUGAAAUCACCUCUGUAGUUUCUUCAAAUUGGUGAAAGAAGUCUAUAGUUUGAUUUGGAUUAUGUUUUCUGUCUUCAGUUACUGCUUUUUAUGCUAUAUCACCUGCUUCUUCAAGUUUUAUUUGUUUGUGCUUUCUAGUUUUAUUUUUACAUAGAAAAUAUUAAUUAAGAUUGAAUUAUGAUAAUUCUUUUCUUAAUUGAUUAGGACACAUUACUAGAACUUAUAUAACAUGAAUGAAAGCUUCAAAUUAUUUUAGCUAUUAUAGUAAAAUCCUGUGGGCAGGUUAUUGAACCUUUGAUGGUUGUUAUUGUUGCUUUGCGCCUUAAAACUUUUGGGCACCCGGACCAUGUGCCUGUAUAAUGGGUGUGACACCCCACUUCCCAUGGGGUUACUCAUCCUAGAACUACUCUAGCCCUAGCAUAUUUAAUCCUUUUAACCUCUUGGAAUUAGCUGACGCCUAGAAUGCUAUGUGCCGGAUUAAGAGGUUUAGUCCUACUAUACCUUAUAUAUGACUAUUCCAAAUUCUAGAGGUGUCAUAUUCUCCUCCACUUUAUGCUUUGAUGUCCUCAUCAGACUCAAAUACACUCACAAGUAUCAGGAGUUGUGAGACUCAUCUCGCUAGUCUUAGACGACCUUGUGGGAAGCCGCACUCUACCCACAACGACCAUCAGCUGGGACGCCACGCUGUGCUUGCUGUAUGACCCUAGGUUAGCCGAGACUUAUUUUACACGUCCAGCUAGUGAUUGACUACGAUACUAACUGGGAUGCUCACUUCGCAUGGGGGUCAUCCAUCUUUAGAAUUCCUAAUUCUGAAGAAAUGUCUCUCUAUUAAUAAAUGCUUUCUUUUGUGGAACUCAUUCAGUGAUAAUGCUAAACUUGGACAUUCAACUUUUCUCGUUUACGAGACUUUUGUUAAACUUCGUGCGGAAUGGUUCCUAUAUUGUUUAGUUAGUUUAAUAUGUAAGGUAACGUAUGCAAGGCUUUGCAAAAAGCUGUGUUAUUUGGUGUUGAUGAGAACCUAUACAAGAAUUAAAUAUUAAUGAGGCCAUCAAGCAAGGAUUUAAGUGCCGUGGCACGAGAUCGUGCCGGAAACUUACCGGCACGGUACAGCACGGUGCGUGCCGAUACAUGCCGGUCAAAAAAAUUCUUGUGUGCCGACGCAUAAUAGCAUGAAAUAUUUAUUUUCUUUAGCAACAAAAUAUUCUAACUAUUUAUUAUGUCUUUUUAUCACAUCUUUGGAACUUUAUUGAAAAAAUUACUUACUAAUUUAAAGAAUAGAGGGUUUUAAGCUGUGCCAUCGGCACGGGAUCUGUAUCGUGCCAGUAUCUUAUUGGCACGGUACAGCAUGGUGGAUACGGCUCGUACCGACGGGCACUUAAAACUUUGCCAUCAAGUUCAAGUAAGCCAAACUAAAUCACAAUCUACUGUACUUUUUCCUUGGAAAUUUUGAUAGUGCUACAGCUCCUGAUUGCUUCUUGCCUUCAUUUUUCCAUUCAGGAGCUUACCAGAUAUUAGGCCUUUGUAUUACAAUUGAUAUUAGAAUUAUGAAAAGGCACUCUAGAAAUCAAUCAGAUGACAUAAUUUAGUUGCUUCUGCAUUUUGUUUUAGCUCAAAUGAAUAAAGAAUAAACAACACGAGAUAAAUUAUCUUUUCUUGCUGGAAGUUUGAUGAUCACAUUGUUUUGUUAAUGUAGUAUAAUCAAAUUGUUUUGUUAAUGUAGGAUAUUUCCUUCUGAAAAAACAAUUUAACCAUUAAAUCAUUAUCUUAAUGUUUAUUACCAAUAUUUUGGACGGAUUAAUAUACAUGUGGUAUUUAGACAUAUUUUUUAGGUGUGAUUUUUCUUCAUUUGAAGGAAAUAAAGUUCCUCCCAUUUCUUCUGAUCAAGAAGACUACCUUGUUAAUCUUCUGAAUUUUCUUAUUUUCUCUCUGUGAUUAUAUACUGUAUACUGUAUACACCCGAGGCAUCUUUUUAACCCUACCUAGUUAAAAAGCUGUUGGUUCUCUAACUCUGCAGUUUGGACUUUGGAGUCUCCUAGAUAUUUUACAUGACCUGUAAGACCUCGUGAAAUUUAUGAUGACAUUUCAGGGUAAAUGUUUGCUUGGGCCCGAAUGAGGAUAGGCACCUCUUGACGGGAUUGCACACGGUGAAUGAUAUCUACUGCAGCUCCUGCCACCAAUUACUUGGCUGGAGAUAUGUAAGUCAAAUGCCUAAAUUUCCUCCUUAUGCCGUCUUUUAGUUUGGAGAUUCAGGACCUGCAUUUUCAAUCUCACUAUGAAGAUUAUGUUGUACUUUUUUGCUGUACUGUAGUUAGCAUUCUCGAAAUACAGUUGAUUUAGAAGAUUGGACCAUUACUGUGAAGUUUGUGGAGUGUUGGUCAUUUUAGUUUGUAUUGUCGUAUAGUACGACUUGAUGCCUUUUUGUUUGGUUCCAGAGUAGCUUCUCUAGCGAAGAAGGGAAUCACAGCUAUUUGCUGAACAGUAGCUGACAUUACCUUAAUCAUAAUGUUUAAUUUUCCUUCUAUCAAUCCUCUUCUUCUUAUUAUUUUUUAUUAGGUCUGAAUAUUAGUUGGCCUAUAUCUAAUUCAAGUACUCAAAUAUCAUAUUGUUUGCUUUAAUAUUUCUUUUUUCUUUAGCUGCAGAGCGGCUUUCUUUGUACAUGCGCUAUGCGCUAAAACUGUUUUAUAAUAUUGAGCGUUUUGACAUUAGAUUUCUCUUUGGGAGCUAUAACACGUAGUCUUAAUCAUGCUACGGACAGAAAGCACAAAAGCUUUUGCAAUCAAAGUAAUCAACAUUUUUUUUUUAAUAUAUCAGUUUCACUUUGAAUGAAUUCCAUAAUUGGAUGUCUUGUUCCUUACUAAUUGAGUACUAUUUCUGAUGAGUGUUCUUGUAAGACAAUUAAUUUUACAGCGAAUCUGACUGAUAGAGAUUAACAGAACUCACUAAUGAAAUCCUGAGCUGCGCGUAAGUAUAUUUAUGUCGUUCCUUCUCCUGAUGAAAUCAAUGCUUGCAUUGUUUGGUGAUCCCUUUUUGUGGUUUGUGAGAAAUUUAUUCUGUAGAAAUCUACAAACAUCCAUCCCUAUUUGCAGCCUUGCUAUAAUGCUCACCUUGCAAAAUGUAGACGUAGAUCUUUCUUGGCUUCUUAUCAAAUUAUAAUGAAAUGGAUAUUAAGUUAUUACAGACAGUUUUUCUCAUACUUUUUCUAUUAAAAGUAUAUAGGUGCCCAACCUCACAGGAUGACCAUCUUAUUCUCUUGAAUGAAUAUGCACAUAUUGUGUUGUUGUAGCCGUGUUUACCUCCUUAUGUAUCGUUUAUUAUCUUUUAACAUUUGUCUUAAGUCACUCCACUGCCAUCUCAUUCCCUCCGAUGAAUAUGGGCUUUUUUUGUUCCUUUGCAGGAGAAAGCUUACGACGAAACCCAGAAAUACAAGGAGGGCAAGUACAUUUUAGAGAGAGCUAGGAUGGUAAAAGAAGGCUGGUGAUUCUCCAAGAUGCUGGGUAUGUUAUAGUUUAAGUAGGUUCAAUUAAUUGUCUGGUUGUUGGUUCAAUUGUGUAGAGAUUUAUACCUGCUUAUGAUACUUAGUCUGGUUGGUUUUGUUAAAUUUGGGUUUUAGCUUCAAGCCAACUUGGCGAAUAUUUCAAAUCAUGCUUUUCGCUAGGAUUUGAUCUUAAAACAUUGGCUUUACGAAGGUGGGUUUAGGGUGCUUGUAGUUUGGUUUCAAAUCAAAAGCCAAACCUAAUUAAUCCAAAUAAAUCGACUUGGUUUUGGUUAAGCUGUGUUUCUAGUUUUAUUGAAAUUUGGUUGUCGGUUCCGGUUUGGUUUUCAGAUUUUGGCAGACCGAACUGAACUGCAAAUCAAACCACAUAGGUAUGUGUAAACCCUGACUAUUGGUUACUUCAUUUUAAGAUUCUUGCACAGUUACAUUAUAACAAAAAACUAAUGGCUCAGAAAAUGCAUGCUAUCUUAAACUGAAUCAAAGCCUAAAUUGGGCGUGGAUUGGUUUAAGGAAGUUACUUCUUGUACGGCCAUGUAGGAAGUGUAUAUCUUACACUCUCUAGAUGCUAGAGUUUAAAAAAUUCCUUUAAAUUUUGAGUAAAUAUAAUAAUAAUAAUAGUAACGAGACUAGCUGAUGGAUUCUAGUCACACAAAGUCUUGGGUGUAAGAUUUAUACCUAAAUACUAGUUUGUACAGGUAAGCAUUGCACUUGGUUUAAUUCUUUAGCAGUUCGCCGUUUACUGAUUGAUAAAACCAAAAUUCUUUGGUUCAGUUAAAUUUUGCUGAAAAUUGAUGGAUAGACCCUCCUUGAUUUUAUGCAUCUUCUAAUUGUGCUUCUGCCUAAUGUGACGAUCACUAAUAUGUUGCAUCACUACCAUCUCAAAAAGUAUCAGUGUCUAAUCAACUAAAUUGGACUGCAAGGUCUAACUGCAACGAUUUAAAAGUUGGACUGCAAGAUCUAAUUGCGACAAUUUAAAAGUUUGAUUGAGAGUAAAUAAAUUAAACUUUGACAACUACAAUAUUAUCGAUCUUAAAGCUUGAGGACCAAAAGUGCAAUUUCGUAAGAAGAUGAGGUUGCGCCAGCAGAGCGGAGGAAAAAAUAAAAAAUAAAAAAGUCAACUCAAAAUUGCCUACAGUUGAGGUGUUUUCAAAAACUUUUAUCAAUAUAAUCAUCAAUGAUAAUAAUAUUUUAUAAAUGAGAAUUCGAGCUAAACCGCCGGCACAAUUAGGAUACCUGCCGACUAUUAUAUGCACUAUGCGGUAAUGAUAUGUUUGUCAUUUUCGUUUGCAUGGCGGGAAUUAGGAUUUGGCUGUAUGUAUUACAGCUGAAAUUAAUGUUUUGGCUCAAAUGAUAGCCGUCAACUGCAGUAGAGCUAUAAUUAAUAUUUUGAUUCUGCAAUGGCUGUAGAGGUAAUUUGAGAGCUAACUAAACUUCUCACCAUCAUUGGCGUCGUCGCAAAUCCAACUCAUGUGCAAUAACAAUAAGAGUAAAGAGUUGCUAUACUCAUAUAUAAUCGGUCCAAACUGACGGUAUCAACUCUGAAUUAGAUGAGUAAUGUCAUUGCAGGUUAAUCCCAGUGGACUUUUACCUUUUGGAACUAACAUAAUAAAGAACAGUUUCAUAUGUAGUAAUAACUAAAGGGUUUAUAUACAAAGUUUCUAACACAUAACUGUACUUAACGAUUUAAUUUUGACUACCAGUCACACUGCAAUCCUUCAAUCAUUUUAAGCAUAACUGAUGAUAGUACAAAAACUUCCUCAUUAAUGUGCUGCUUGUCCUCUGCCAACUACCAAAAUAACAACUCUGAAAUGUAGUUUCUCUGAAGCUUCUACAGAAGAGUUUCUCAAACUUAAGUGAUGGCAAAAAUCAAAUACAAUAACUUUGUUAAAUUCACACUUAUCUUUCCAACCAAGCUUGAAAGAGCAGCUUCCAAUUAGAGCUGCUACGUUCUAUGAUAAAAAGCACAUUAUAUACAACAGUAAAUAGCCCUGGACAUCAUGUUCACUAACGCGCCGCUUGUCCUCUUCAAAAAGCAAAAGAUGCUGCUUAUAUUGCAGAGGCUAGGUCAAACAGACAGUAAAUGCUGCACAAGAAAUCAAAAUGCCCUAAACACUGGAAUAGAGUCCUACACUAAUACUGAAGACAAUUCGAAAACAAAUUAGUUUCUUUGCAGUUCUCAAUAUUGCAAGAUUGAAAUUGAAGAACAUAAAAUCAAAAGAACCAGAAAUGCGGAACAAGCAAGUUUGUUGAUGAGAUGCCGAUUCAGUGAAGUAGGACUUUCAGAAUGGAGAGAGAGUGAAGGGUGGCAAUAAGAUGAGGGAACGACCACAUCUGCAGUGAAGAUGCCGGUUGCAUAAUGCAGCUUAGAAAUGUGAAAUAAGUGCCGAAACCUUAACAAAGGUUCCAAUUUUUCAUUAAUACGAAUGGCAGUACCAAUGAUCAAAAAGUAGAAUGAAACAUGGCUAGAAAAUGGAUACGAAAUAUUGAUCUUCCACAUUGGUGAAACAAACAAAUUACUCAUCAGACAGAAUUAGCUUCAUUCUAGUUCUCAAUAUCGCAAAAUUAAAGAACAUAAAAUAGAAGGAAUCACUGGCCGUUCCUAGUGCAAGUGACAAAAGGCUUGAUGAUCGGUACCCGAGGUCCUAAGUUCAAAUCUUAGUUGAUUCACAUUUCUAGUUAAGUUUAUUUUUAAAUGAAAUAAACGAAGCGGAUAAUAUGCUACCUAUCUCUCCAAAAAAUAAAAAAGAAGGAAUCAGACAUGGGAACAAGUUUGUCGAUUAGAUGAAGAUUCAGUUAAGUAGGAUUUCCAGAAUGGAGAGAGGAAAGUGGAAAUAAGACCAGGAACCAACCACAUCCCCAAUGAAGACACACACAAGUUCCAAAAUGUAUAAAUGUGAAAUAUGUGAAGAAACCUUAGCAUAAGUUCCAAACUUUUAUUUAUACAAAUGACAAUACCAAUGAUUAAAAAUUAGAAUCGGUAGAAACAUAAUUAGAAAAUGGAUACGAAACGAGCCGAGCUUGAGCGAGCUUACUUCAGCUCAAGCUUGGCUUGAAAUUAAUUUCGAGCCCAAAUUUAGGUUCAAGCUCGGCUUGAAAUUAAUUCAAGCUGAGCUCUAACAAGCCUAACUUCGAGUCGAGCGAGCUCGAGCCCUAAACGAACUGCUUGAAAUUCUUAAUAUCAUAUAAUUUAUAGUUUAAUUUUUUAUAAAAUAUUACAUAAAAUUUGAUAUAAAAAUAUAUCUAAUAGUUAAACACAUAAAAUAAUUGCAUGAAAUACGAAAUUAUAAUGUUAAGAAAAAUAAUUUAGGGGAAAUGACCCUACAAGCAAGUGAAAGAGAGGAGAGAGUAAUUAGAGUAGAGUUUUACUGAUUUGAUUUUGUGGGCCAACUAAUAUGCCCAAUAAUCUAAACUCUAUAUAUACUUAAUAAACAUACAUAAUAUAUAUUAUUAUAUAUAAUUAAAAUAUAUAGUAUAUGUAAUUAUAUAUAGUGUAGAACUACUAUGCUAUUGAAAGCAUAAAGAAGUUGGUGCUUCCGACUUUUCGGCCCUUUGAUCAAGAAUUGUACGGUUGGGAUGCUAGCAGUCCCCCUUAGGAAAGAAUGGUUCCUCAAGCGAGCCACAUACAGAGGCGAACGCGAGGCGAAGCUCGCUCAUUUGCCGGCCCCAAAAACAACCACAUCCCCAAUGUAGACACACAAGUUCCAUAAUGUACCAUAUAAAUGUGAAAUAAGUGAAGAAACCUUAGCAUAAGUUCCAAAUUUUUAUUUAUACAAAUGACAACACCAACGAUUAAAAAUUGGGACUAGGUUGGUAUAUUAUCGGUAGCAUAAAGGCUUUCUGCGCUACCAAGUUAUUUUCAAUGAUGCGACUUCCAAAUCGACGAUUGACUCCAUUAGACUUGAUCUAUAUUAUUAAAAGUAUUUGAAAACUAAAUUUCACAAUAUUUCGACACUAUUUGGCUAGUGAUCAAAAGGUCUCAAAAAAUUAAUAAUUUUAAUGGUUGAUGUGAUGCGUUGCGAAUUUAACAGUGUAAAACAAUCUAAAUAUGAUAAAAUUUUUAUGAAAUUUUUUUUUCACUAUUUAGAGUAAGAUCGACAUCUCUGAUCUUAAAUUCAAAUAUUUUAUCAUCACUUUUUAUGAAAUUUUUAUUUUUAGCCGUUCAUAUUUAGAUUACUCGUUUGAUAGGUAAAUGAUAUUAAAAAAUUAUAAAAUUUAGUUUCAAAAUAGUGUAGAUCAAGUCUAACAGAGUCGAUCGUCGAUUUGGAAGCUGUAUCAUUGAAAACAACUUGGUAGCGCGGAGGCCUCUAUGCUAUUGAUAGUAUACCCGCCGAACUCAAAAAUUAGAAUCUAUAAAAACAUAGCUAGAAAAUGGAAAUGGAACUCUUGGUCUAGGAUUCUACAUUGAUGAAACAAAUAAAUUACUUUACUACAGUACCAACUAAAUUUCAAAAUAAAUAGCGCGAUUAAACUACAAAGCCAAUUACAACAAUAACUGCUAGACAAAAGAAAAUUCAGCUUACACAACUACAAGCUAUUUCGUCUACCCUUCAUAUUAACAAGGGAAAACUUCAAAACCCUCCCCUGUGGUUUCGUAGUUUCUCACUUUGCCCCCCUGUGGUCUAAAAUGUAUCAAUUUGAUACCCAUGUGGUUUUUUUUUUUCUUUUUUUUUUAUCAAUUUCAUUAUUUUUUUUCUUAAAUCAGUGAUAAAGUUAAAAUUAAAGGGUACUAAAAUGAAUAUUUGAUAAAUCUAGAUGAGCAUCUGAAGUUUUUUGUAUAUAAUUCAAUGAAAUAUUAACGAAAAAGCUACCGAAAAGAUAAAAACGAAACCACAGGGGAGCAAUUUGAUACAUUUUAAACCACAGGGGGGCAAAGUUAGAAACUACAAAACCACAGGGGGGGUUUUUGAAGUUUUCCCUAUUAACAACUCACAAACUUCACAAAGUACAGCAUACAGUAACUUACGACACUAAAAACUAGAGGCCUUGUUUGGGGAUUUUUUUUAAGCAAUCUUAUAAAAUUUUUAAUUUGGAUAAAUAAUUUCUUCAAAAUUUAUUUGGAUAAAUAAGUAAAUAACCCUAUUGUCGCUAAUGUCAGUGCGAUGCUAGAGUUAGAAAAGAAGGUGAAUCGUCUACCGUAUCUCGCCUUGGAAAAGAAAACCAUUAAUCAUUCACCAUUUCUUUCACUUUUUAAAAGCGGUGAAUAAUUUACCCUAUUUCCUACUAACAGCCUCAAACACCCUAAACAACCUGUACAAACAACCCUGAAGUCCCCGACAACCCCAUAAACCCGCAUAACAGAAAUGUCGUGAAUGAUUCACCAUUUUUUAAGACGGUGAAUCAUUUAUUGUUUUCAGUUAAUUUAUAUAGCAAUAAUAGGAUCAUUUGCCCAAACAAAAAUUUCAAAAGGAUAUUUCAUCACACUAAAAAUUUUAUAAGAUAAUUUUUUUAACAAAGUCCCCUAGUUUGGUAUUGUUACCAUUUUAAGUUUUCAUAAUCAAAAAAUCUAUACAAGUGGAUGUGCCGAUUUGCAACCCUUGUCAUUAUUAUUUGCUUGCAUGCAAUGCAGCCCAACCAGCAGAUUGAAAGCAUCUUCAAAUGAAAAAAAAAAAAGAGCAAAAAAAAGUGUUACAGCUAAUUUAUACUUUAUGUUGCCCAACAAAACUUGUAGAUGUAUAGGCUCCACCAUCUAGUGGAAUAUUCUAUAGCAUAAGAUAUGUGCUUUAAAAUACAAAUUCAAAAAAAGAAAAGCACCAAUACCAAAUGGCCAAAGAGUUUUCACUUUCAACAAGCAGAGAGAAUGACUAAAAUGAUCCUCAAAAAUCGCAAGGUAUAUAGCAUAAUAGCCAAACUUUAUAGUAAAAAGAAUGGAAAACAACAUUUCCCAGCUGAGAGCAAUGGUCUCAGGGGGCAAAUCUAAGUCCACCUCAACUAAUUGAACAGCUUAAGCGACAAAGACUGACCAAAACUGCAGCAUUAACAUGUUAUAAUGCUAAAGAAAAAUUUAAAAUCUGCACAACAAUUUGCAAAUAACACAACACAGAAGAGAGCAUCUUCCAACCAAUACUACAACUGCGAGGACAAGGACCUAAUGAAUUGUCAAACAGAUAAAUUAGAAUAACAAGCACACAAACAUAUCUACAUUUGUCUUGUAAAUAGAAACAGUAAAGAGAAUAGGAAUUUGCAUGAGUUGUGCAAGAACAGUUCUAAAAUAAGACAAUUUCAGUGACAUACUGGUAAGGAACAGACCCAUAUGAAAAUCUGCACACUGAUGAAAUCUAAAUUGUGACUAGAGUUGCCAAAGAGCAUGCAGCUAACAAGCUCUCAAGCUCAGCUUGCUUUCAGCGCAGAUUGUGCUUGCUUGUUUAUUAAAUGAGCUGAGAGACCAAACCAAGUUUCGAGUGCAACGCAUUAAUUGAGCAGAGCACUCGAGCUUGGCUAAGAAUAGCUUGAUAUUACUACAUAAAAUAGUUAGUACCUAGCAUCAAAAAAAGUUUAUAACCAGAGGUUAGUAAGUUACUUCCCUGUAGCUUAGGGUCGUCGACUCAUGAUCCCGUGGGCAUACUAAAAAAUUUCUGUUAUUUUUUCGUGCUCUCAAGCUAUGUGGCUCUCAGCAAAGCAACCAUUAAUAAGGAAAAAGUAAUCCUUCUUCCAUAGCAAGCCAUCAAUCCAAGUUCCAGCCAUCUUGGAAAUUUGAUGAGGCUCGAGAUCAACCUAUUCCAACUUGAACUCAGCUUGAGCAGACCCUUGGUAAAUUUGAGAUGAGCAGAGCUCAUCCCAGCUUGCUCCAGCUGAACUAGUUUACACCCCUCACUGCAACAGAAAGCAGCUUGAAUAAUAGGUCUUCACCUGCUAUUCGAUUAUCGAAGAAGCGUAGCUUGUGCGGAAAGCAUGCUUCACAUAAACCAACCGCCUAAUAAAUGAGACAGACUAGUGUGACAGAAAUCUAUGCUGGCAAUAACAAGACCAGCGCAAGGUGGGCUGCGCAUAGUGCAACAAAAGAUCUCCGGCCUCAAUGCACACCAAAUAAAAAUUAAGCUUACAUCCGGUCACCAGGCACUAUGUAGAAGGGUUUUUGGCCAACUAAGCCUACACUAUGUUUUAAUUGUAAGAGGUGAAUGAUUUACCGCUUCGCUUUCUAUAAGCGGUAAAUCAUUCACCGCGUUUACCACAUAUUUUCUAUAUACAAACUCCAAAGAAUGUAUAACAUUGAGCACUAAAAAUAAUUUUAACGUUUUUAAGAAAGCGGUGAAUGAUUCACAGUAUUUAGAAAGCAGUGAUCAUUCACUGCAUAAGCCUAUUUUAUAAAUAAAUUUUCGAAAGGCUAAUUUUAUAAUUAUAAUACUUUUAGGUCUAUUAAUUAAAAAAAUUCUUACGUAGAAAACUAGAUUGUUUCAAAUUAUGAAGCCUGAAUUGCUAAUUUGGGCUAGACACAGGACUUAGACAAGGGAUGACUAAAUAGAAGCUAUCGCAUUUCCUGCCUAAUUUUCGACAGAUUUGACUGAAACAAAGAGCAUUCACCAAUUCAUCUACUGAAAAAAUAUAAUUAAAAAGGACCAGGACAAAUUGAAAAAUAAAAUAAGAUAAAAGGCUAACAUUUGAGUACUUGUCAGGGAAUAUAUAACGGCAUAAUCUUAGUUCUAUACAGAGAAACAAAAGUCUAGAAAACAAACAGCACUUUCUGCUGUGUAAGACAGCAAAGUUCAUGUCUAAAAGACGUAAACAGCGAAUUACAAAAUCAGAGUGCAAGAGCUAGCUCAAGGUUGCUUUACAACUACUAUUCACUGUUGAAAGUUAGAAGGGGGAACCAAAAAAAAAAAAAAAGAGCUUGCCACUUCUUCCAUUCUACCGGUAAGAUGGUGCAUAAGGCAUUGUCGCACCAGAGAGUGAGUAAGGGGCAUAAGCCCCCGACCUAUCAUAAAGCCGAGGGCCCAUGAGGGGCUCAGCAGGGUAGGGUAGUGGCCUUGCAGAGUGGCCUCCAUCUGCUCCGUAAGGAGCAUUACCAGAAAGACUCGGACCCGCAACAUCAAAAGCAUAUCUACUUGAAGCCAUCCCAUAAGACCCGACCAAACCCAGAUAAUGAGAUUGAUCAGUCGAAACCAACUGAGGCUGACUCGCAAUUACUGGGGGUCUAUACUCAGAAGGAGCAGCAGCAGCAGCAUGCGGAACAGCAUUCAAUGGCCGAGGUCGAGGCCGCUUAUUUGACUGCUGCUGCUGCAGAUUCUGAGCAUUCGAGCUCAAGGGGAAAGCAGCAGCUGGUGCAGCUCGCUUCUUACCCGCCUUUUGCUCCUCCAACUGCAUUAUCCGCUUCGCAAGAUUCGCACUCGGAUAUUCCGAUUCUAGGCUGUACUCUUCGAUGGCCUUAACCACCUCUUUAAGAGCAAGUAUAUCUUUGGAAAUUGCCCCAUUCUGUGCCAGAUAAUAAGCAAAAGUGGGACAGUGGGACUUAACACACUAAAUUUAAUCGUAGCGUGCAAAAAAGUCAUACCUGAGCCUUAAGCGAAUUGUUUCCUUUCUUACGGAUUUCCUGAGCCUCUUUUCUGCACUCCUUCAAGUAACUUUUCAACAGGGUCACUGGAGGAUAUUUGUCCAUUAAAUUAAGAGCACGAACAAAUUUAAUAACUUCAACUUGUCUGCCCUUAUUGCUCAUUUUCCGGAUGAAAUCUGUUAUAAGAAAAAAAAAAUUUCUAGUACACGUCAAGCUUCCGCAUGAAUUGGACUAUUAAGAGCUAUCAAAAUGACAGGUACAAUUGGAUAAUAUUUAAGAGACUGAAGAUAACUAAAAGACUAGCUAGAGUCCUAGCAAAUGGUGACAAUUAGAAUAAGUGGAAGGAGUGCCAGCAUUAAAAAGUCAACAAAAUUGCAGAGUAACAGUGCAGAUACACAGAAGACUCGGCGCCUAUGGAUGUUUAUUUUAUUAGGUAUCAACUUUGAUCAGCUAAUAAACAAAAGAAUAUGCAUGAUUCUAAACCACAGAGCCAAAACCAAGCUCAGCAAAUAAACGAGGCAGAUGGUAGGACAAAAAGUCGGAAAGAAAUCGGGAAAAGACAGCAAUCAAAAUCAAGCAUUUACCAUGAUGUUGUUCCCUUGCUGGAUGCAACAACCACUACAAGGAAGCAACAAUAAAGAACGACUGUACAAUAACAGGGGACAAAGACAACUAUGCUUUCAGAUAUAUGAAACUUAACAAAACAAAGGUUGGCUAUAGGCUUUUUUUUUUUGGUUUUCUCCCAGAUUAGACAAAAGGUAACACUGCAUCACCCAAAAACCCACAAAUUGUAUAGCAAAAAAUGUCGCAACUGACAAAUAUACCAAAUGAAUGAAAAUAUACCAAAAACCUCAAUUGCAACAUACAGCAAGCCAAAAGUUAAUGCGUUUGAAAGAAGGGAAAAAAAAACAGUAGGACAGAAAAUAAACAUAUAGAAAACAAUAAUGCGGUUAUGGAAACAUACUAAAUUACACACGGUAAUUAACUAUUCUUAACUAUAUUUGCUCAGGUACUAGAGCACUGUAAGCUAAUAAUGAGCAACCAAAUGUCCCUAAGUAAAAAGGUACUUUUAAACUGCAAUAUAUUAAAAUAAACAAUUACCUUAAAAGCUCGUGUACAGUAUAUAGACCUCAGAAUUGCAGAAUAACAGCAUGGCAACAAAAUGCCAAUCAGUCCCGAAAGAUGGUAAUUUUGAGAAGUUGUCAUCAUAGGUCAAAAUAUGUAUCAGAGAGAAAAAAAUGGAAUUUAAAACAAAAGGAAACCUACUAUUUAAAUGCUAUUAUAUAAAGACCUCAGAAUUGCAGAAUAACAACAUGGCAAUGAAAGCCAAUCAGUCCCAAAAGAUGGUAAGAUUGAAAGUUAUCAUCAUAGGUCCACAGGUGUUAAAAUAAAAAAAAAAUAAAUCAAAACAAAAAGGACAUCCUCCUACCAGGACUGAAUACGACAGAAUAAGCAGAGGGCAUUUAAAUAGUACACUACAACGACCUCAGAAUUGCAGAAUAACAGCAUGGCAAUGAAAUGCCUAUCAGUCCCGAAAGAUGGCUCAUUUGGAAAAGAUAUCAUCAUAGGUCAACAGAUGUUGAGAAAAAUAAUCAACUAGAAUUAGAUUGAAGGGAAAAAAAAAUCAUUUGUUUCAGUACUAAAUGAAACCUCAUCAAAAGAGUUUAUAGACACCAUACAGUGUAUAGACCUCAGAAUCACAGAAUAACAGCAUGGCACUGAAAUACCAAUCAGUCCCGAAAGAUGGUAUGUCUGAAAAAGUUAUCAUCAUUGGCCCAUAUAUGUCAAGAAAUGAUAUAAACAAUAAAGAAAAAGAAGAAAAACAUAUUCUUCUCCAUACAAAAAGAAUAUGUCAUGUAAAUUAAUUAACAAAUGAAAGAUAAAAAAAAUAAAGACGCAAAAGGUAGGAUAAAGGACAUGAUUCAUGCAGGUAGGAGGAAGGUGCCCAUACUCCUAACAGAAAUAUAAAACAAACACCGAAAGCAUGCUAAUUUAAGGAGUUCCAUAUUAAAAAAAAAAUAAAAAAAUAAAAAGAACAUAGCAAUGUAAGAUGCGGCUAAAAACUGAAACACAUUCCAUUCUUCAACGAACUUCUAAUUACAUCACUUCAUAAAACGCAUAGUAAAUAUGACACCCAUAUGAUGGACAAAACAGCAAAAAAAAAAAGAAGAUCAGAGAACAUGAAUAAACAACUUUGUAAAUAUUAAUGUAAACAUGGUAAAUAAACAAGAAUGAGGAUAUUAUAUACUAUAUGAACAUGCAGAUCUAGAAUACCAUUCAUGAAAUAUUCACUUAUUUACACCAAAACCCGACUUGGCCAUACUAGAUCCUUUCCACACAGCUAGACUACAUAUCCAACACACACCAAUUUGCAGUGCAAAUAUCAACACAGGAAGGAUAAUACAGUAGAACAAUACUAAAUACGCAAUUCACACAUAAAAAGGGUAAGUAACAGUUAGUUAGAAAUACUCUACUUGAAAACCUGACCAGGAAUCAUAUUUUUUAAAUCUGUAAAACGCAACAUGCUCUUACCGGGCAUGCUUUCCUCAAGGCCAAGACCCUUGAAGAUGUCGGCAGUUCUCUUCUUCCGAGACAUAGAAACAACAAGAUCCAACACCUCACCCACAUCGAAUUCCUUUGCCAACCUAAAAGAAGCCAAGAGCUGCAAAAAGCGCAUAACCACGGCUUGGUUCUCCCCACCUGCGGCGGCGAUCUUACUCUUCCACUCCACCGCCACCUUCUUUGCUUCUUCCCUAACCAAAGGCUUGAUCUCAGGGGCCAAAACUUGGAGGCGCUCCAAGAGACUAAGACAGGUUCGCCGCGCCGGCUCGACAGCCCCGUCAUUCUCCGCGUCCGAUUUCGCAGAUUUCGCACUGUCGGAGACGUGCAAAGCGUCGAGAACCAGCUUAGCUGGAUCUGGCGCAGAUAGGAGAGCCGCAUCGAGAUCCUUCCGGAUCUCCGGCAUGUCACUCCGAUUCUCAAAAAUGUACGAAAGGAAUCCCUUUGCGUCCAUUGCGGCGCAAAGGGAUUUGAGUUGGGGGAAGUGAUCACCACCCUUGUAUUCGGUCACAAUGGCGGCGGCGGCGGCGGCGGCGGCGGCGGCAGAAGGGGCCGAAGCGGUCGCCGGAGCCGCCGAAACAAGCGGCGCCGCUGAUGAGGCGGCGGCGGCGGCGGCGGCGGCGGCGGCGGAUCUCGCUUCGAGCUCCUUAAGGCGAUCGGUAAUGGACCGCUCGAUCGAGGCGAAGUGGUCCUCGAGGUCCUUCCACUUGAAAGUGAAGAAGGAGAGGGUGGAGGAGAAGGAUUCGAGGGCCGCGAAGGCCUUGCGAAGCUCCUCCUUCUUCGCGGGGAUGGCUCCCAUGGCUGCCUUGAUCUCAGGCGUCGCCAUAUCGACGGGAACAGGGCGAAAACCCUAACCCUAGCCGGGUCGAGGGAGGAGAAGAAACCCUAGAGCGAUCCACGAGAAAGAUCGGGAACGGAGAAAACCCUAACACUAACCCUAGAUUUAAGCGGAAAAGAAAUGAAACCCUAGAGAGCGAUGAGAUGCGAGCGACGGGGCCGAGGAAAAGGCGGAAGGAUAGCAGGGGGAUACUUAUAGGAGGGGAGAGGCUUGUUGUAGCCGUUGGAUCGUCGCCGUACGGCUGUAGAUUAUUUGUGGUCGACCGUUAGUACCGCGUGAGAUUUUAGGGCAACCUUUUGACUACGGUGCAAAUGGAUCCGGAGCGGCGGAGCUCGUGCCUCGAUCCGCCCCAUAUAGGGGGAUAAGUGUAUCGAGAACCCUCACCUAUAAAGAGUUUUGAAAUGAACCCUUUCAUUUUUUAUUUUUUAUUUUUUAUUUUUAUUUUUUUGGUUAAGACAUCUUGAGCUCUCAGUUAUUUUAUUUGGAUUCUCGCAAUUAGCUAAAACAGUUUUGGUUUAGAUCUCUCACUCAUAAAUUUAAUUAAUUUUAACUUAGUUAAUAAAAAAUCAUGCAGUUACCAAAAAAAAAAAAAAACUUAAAGUUGAGAGGGUGUAAAUACAUAAAAAAUUAAAGUUAAAGGGGCUUGUUUCAAACUGACCUAAUUGAAUGAUUUUGAAAGGUUUUUAAUUCAAAGAAUUUAUUUUGGAUAAAAAAUAAAUUUGUUAGUGCUACAUGAUACUGCACAAUUAUUUAUAACUUGGUAUAACUAGGAAUAAAUUAGUCUAAAAUUUUUAAUCAAUGUGAUAAAGGACAUUUUUUAUAUAAUUCAUUAAUUUAUUAGGCAAAAAUGAUGUUGACAAUUUUAAAAAAAUAUCGGCUAUAUUUUAUAACUUUUGAUGGGCACACUAAAAAUUGCCCCUAGAAUAGGCAACUAUAUAAACUCCAAUAGCCCAAUUUGCUCAUAUAGAUUACGGUUAUAGUCUAGUAGCACUUGGUGGUAUGCCUUGCUCGACACUAGGAUACCAAAUGCUCUAAAAGAGAAAAUUGGUGCCGUGGGCGAGAUCGAUGUGGCUGCAAAGAUGGAGAACCAAAUUGGGGGUGCUGAGAUUGGACUUGACCAUAAGUACGCAGAUGGGAGAAGCGGUUAGGGAGUAAAUUGGAAAACAAGUAAAUAACAGGAACUAAUAGUGCAAUUAAUCCCAAAGGUUAAAGAUCUAAUUGAGAAAAAUAAAAAAGAAAAUAAUUCGGUAUCAAAAUAAAAAUGGGAUUAAGGUUGGUGACUAAUAGUACAAAUAACCUUUUCUUCUUCUUUUUUUUUGAAAGCGAAAAAAAUCUAGUUUUUGCAAGAAACUAAAAGAGAAUAAAAUCAGAGAGAAGAAAAAGAAAGUCCACAAAUUAGCCCCAAAAUAGGCGAAGAGGGGGGGGAAGACUUGUGCUCAUUGGUCAACAUGAACGAGCGAAGAUGGUGUGGAAACUUUAAUUAUAACCAAAAUAGAGUAUAAAAGAUGUUUCUUUCACUGAUUGUUAUUUUCUUCGGAUUAGUGAUUACAAUUAUUUUGCUUUAAAUAUAGCUUUUACUAGAUAUUUAGGCUUUGAGUACUUAUGAGCAAAAUUAUCUUUCAAAUGCAUGAAUCUGUUUCUAAUUUCAAUUCCAAUAUGGGACUAAAAAUCGAAAGCUUUUAUUUCCUUAGGUAGCUCAAUGAGAUACUACUGCAUGGUACGUAUAUACCAUGAUGUGCUUUCACUAUACUACUAUCAAUAUUAGCAACAUUUCGUUUAAUGUAUUACAUCAUCAAAUUCGAGUCUCGGAAUUUGUAUGAAUAUAUAUGCUUCCUCUCUUUUUGUUGUUCUUUUUUAUUUUUUAUUCUUUUUUUUUUUUUUUGUCGCUCUUCUCCUACAUUUUUUUCUUCUCCUCGUCAUUUUCUCCUUUUACUUUUUGAAAAUAUUAGAAGCUCAUAUAUUAAAUUCUGGUAAAGAUAACAAAAUUAUGGAGGGAAGAACCUAAUUGUAAUAAAUUUUAAAGAUUGAAGAGUCAAUUGGCAAAAUAAUAAAAAGGUUAGGAGCCCAAUUGCUAAAUCAAAAAAAAAAAGGGAACCAAAAUGUAAUUAACCGUUUUUAUUGGAUAAACUUUAGUUUGCUGCUCUAUAUAUAGUUUAGUGCAUUUUCACUUUACUUAAUUUCUUGUGGUUCAAAUUGUCAUAUUUAGAUAUUCUAUAGUUUUAUUUUUGUUUCACUACAAGGAUCUACCGUUAAAUAGAGUUAGUAGGAUAGUAAAGUGAUACUUUUUAUAAACCAUAAGGUGAUACAUUAUAAAUUAUAGUAUGAUAAAUUAAUUAAAUAUUGUGUUGUACCGCUCUAUAAUUUUCAAAAAAAUAUAUUUUACUAUUUUGUUUGCCUUCGUUUAACAAUAAAUGCUUAAUGUUAAAAACAAUAACAUUACAGGAUAAUUAAGUGCAAUAUUUUGAGCUAUAAAAUUAUUUUUUUUGUUAAAAUGUAGGGAGACUACUCGACUAUAGGCCAUUUGAUAUGGCCCUCACGAUAUUUGUUUGUUUGAUUGGGAUGUUUGUAAUUUUUAAUUUUUCAGAGUUAAGUAAUUUUAGCCAAAAAUAUUACGAAUCUUCUCAAAUUCAUCCGUGAUUAUACCAUAUUUAUCAACUUAAAUUUUUUUUGCACAUAAAACUAGAUCAAUUAGUGAUUAAUAACUAAUAAAAUCAAUAAAUUGAAUAAAUUAUUUUGGGAGAAAUGCUAAUGCAUUUCUUAAAAGCAUACGAAUAAUUGUAUAUUCCUUUAAAAUUGUAAAAUAAUGUGUGUAUUUUUUUCAAAUUUUCCACACAUUGCAUAAUACUAUUUUAUUAGCUUAUCAUCAUUUAUUUAUCAAAUUUCUUUCCUCUUUCCUUCAUUUCAUUCUUUUUGUUUACAUAUCCAUCAUAAACUCAAAACAAGUAAACAAAUGCUAUAAAUAAUAAGACAAGUUAAAAAAAAGGAUUGGAUUGAGGUUAUUGUAGGAUUACAACCCAAAUUGGACUGUAAUCUAGCAUAACGCUCCUUUUUAGUUAAUCGUGAUAUUCUUGGCAACUGCGGAAAAAAGAAUUGUAACAAAUGAGUAAUGGAAAGUUAUUGCAAGAGUAUUUUUUAUAUGGUAUUGAAAAUUUAGAAGGAUAUACAGAUUAGUUUAAAAUUUAAUAAGAUAUAUCAAUUAUUUUUAAACAUUUAAGAGAUACACUAGAAUUUAUCCCAAUUAUUUUUUACCUAACUAAGUAUAAAAAUUAAGAUAAAAAGGUUUGAAAAUUGCAAGAGUUCAAUAAAAAAUAAUAAAGUUAAGAGGUCUAUUUUGGAAUGACUUACAGUUGAGAAGGACUCCAUACAUUUCUACUGAUAUUUGCAUUUAAGAAAAUGCUAAAGAUGCAACCCAAAAAGGGUUACACAAUUUAACCGCCAAAAGUUUUAAUACAGAAAAAUGAUUGUAUAUUAUCCACAUACACGUUACACUGGACAAUAGAAAGUCAACGAAAUAUUUUACAUGGAUGUAUUAAACUAUUUAUCAUGUUCAUCUACUAAUAUUAAAUGUAAUAAAUUAUUUACUGUAUUUAUCUAAAUAGUAUUUGAAUAUAGUAAACGAAUUAUCAUAUAUAAGUGGUAUUAUAUCUCGAUAAAAUUUAGAAAAGAUAAUAAAUCGUCUAUUGUAUCUAUGAAAAUAUUCUCUUGUUUGUUACUAUUGCUAUCUAGUGUGUUUCUGGACUUCAAAUUUUUAUUUAAGUUUAAGCAUGGAAUAAAAAAGUUAAGGGGGCCAAUUGCCAAAUCAAAAGAAAAAUUAAUUUUAUUUUAUAUGGAUUUUAGAGUGGUGGUGGGGGGGAGGGGGGCGGGGGUCGUCCUCCCUCUCUCCGUCCUACUGCGAACGCAAUAAAAAUCCCACCUUUGCUCGCUCACAUUGCUUAGGAGUUAUUAUGCUAAAAAGAUCGCCUUUUUCACCUCUCCCCACCAAAACGCUCUCUCCACUCCCCAUUCUCCAUGCUUCUCUCUCCUCCUCCUCCUCCUCCUCGUCCAUGGCGCCCGAGAACGCGUGGGAGAAGCUCCUCAAACCCUUCGACCUCGACCAACUCCGCAGCUCCCUCAACCCCCUCACCCCACGCCGGCUCCGCAAGCUCCUCGACCUCCCCCUCGAUCCCUCCAUCUCCAUGCAAAUCUUCAACUGGGUGGUCUCCUCCCAGAAGGGCUUCUCCCACUCCGCCGACCUAUACUUCGCCCUCGUCAAGAAGCUCGGCGACGCCGGGGAGUUCGCCGCCGCAGUCGACCUCCUCCGCCGCUCCCGGGAGCACGGCGUCAUCCUCCGAGAACCCCUGUUCAUCGUCCUCAUAAGCUGCUACGGGCGCGCCGGGCUCCCGGGCGCCGCAGCCCAGGUGCUCGACGAAAUGCCCCACUCGUUCCGGUGCCAGCCCACGUUCCGGUCGUACAACGUCGCGUUGGAUAUUUUGGUCGACGCGAAGUGCUACAAGGACGCGGUGGCUCUCUUCCACCGGAUGCUCCGGCGAGGGGUCUCGCCGACCACGUUCACCUUCUCCGUCGCGAUGAAGGCCCUGUGCUACGCCAACGAGGUGGACUCCGCGCGGUCGCUCCUUAGGAUCAUGGCGAGGCACGGGUGCGUGCCCGACUCCGUCGUUUAUCAAAUGCUGAUACACGCACUCUGCAAGGAGAGCAGGGUUCGCGAGGCGCUGGAGCUUCUGGAGGAGAUGUUUGUCAUGGGCUGUUCCCCCGAUGUUAACACCCUAAACGAUUUGAUCCACGGGCUUUGUAAGAUCGGCCAUGUGCGCGACGCCGCGAAGUUGCACGAUCGAAUGCUUCUCAAGAGGUGGUGCGCUCCGAAUGCGCUGACAUAUGGAUUUCUACUGCAUGGCUUGUGUAGGAAGGGUCGAGUGGACGAAGCAAGAGAUCUACUGUUAUGCAGAGUGUCCGACUUGAAUGUGGUUUUGUUCAACACAGUGAUUAACGGGUAUUUGCGUGAGGGGAGGUUCGGAGAAGCGAAAACUCUUUACGAGUCUAUGGUCUCGAGCGGAUGCAAUCCUGAUGUUUACACAUACAGCAUCAUGAUCGACGGGCUCUGCAGGGAAGGAAGAUUAGGAUCGGCUAUGCAAUUACUUAGAGAGAUGGAGGCGAGGGGUUGCACGCCGAAUGUCGUCACUUACACUAUUUUACUCCAUAGUUUUUGCAAGAAUGGUUUGUGGGAGGACGGUAACGCAAUUGUAAAGGAAAUGUCUUCGAAAGGUUUGAGUCUAAACUCUGUCGGGUACAAUUGUUUGAUAUAUGCUCUGUGCAAGGAGCAUAAAAUCCAUGAGGGAAUGGAGCUUCUUGAAGAGAUGAAGAGACGAGGGUGCAAGCCUGAUAUAUGCACGUUCAAUUCCCUAAUAUAUCAGUUGUGCAAAGACGAUCGAAUGGAUGAAGCACUUCAUCUAUAUCAGAAUUUACUAUUGGAAGGCUUAGUUGCUAAUAGUAUAACUUAUAAUACUCUUAUUCACGCCCUGUUACAGAAGGGUAGGUGGCAAGAAGCUCUAAAACUUGCUAAUGAGAUGGUGCUUCACGGUUGCCCGCUCGAUGUUAUGACCUACAAUGGGCUAAUAAAAGCACUUUGCAGCGAUGGGGAUGUCGAUAAGAGCUUGGGACUACUUGAGGAGAUGAUGAAAAGGGGUAUUCAACCAAGUAAUGUUUCAUAUAACGUUCUAAUUGAUGGGCUAUGCAAGAAAAGAAGAGUGCACGAUGCGCUAGAACUCUUAAAAGAAAUGAUCAAUCAAGGGUUUAAACCUGAUACGGUUACUUACAAUAGUCUAAUAAAUGGCUUGUGUAAGAUGGGGUGGAUGCGUGCAGCUCUGAACCUCUUAGAGAAGCUGCAUAAUGAGGGAGUAGUUCCGGACAUUAUCACGUACAAUAUUCUCAUCAGCUGGCACUGCAAGUCAAAUAUGUUUGAUGAGGCCCAUAUGCUUCUACAAAGAGCAGUAAAUGGUCGAAUAGUGCCCAACAAACGCACCUGGAAUAUAAUGGUGCAGAAUUGUAUUACAGAACCACUCAAUGUUGCACCAGAGCCCGCAAAGGAGUUAGAAAUAGUUGCUGUAUGACUUCUAUUGCGCUUUGCAGUGUUUACACCACCUUUGAGUGAAAGCCAUAUGAGAAAUGAUACUGGAAAGAGAGAUAAGAGGUUUCAUGGGAGCAGAUUAAUGUCUGCAUGCUGUUCGGUGUUUCGGAUCAUCAUCAUGCCUAUAUAUAAUCGGGUAUGCAUUUCUGCUCCAUAUUUUGAUAUACAAGAUCUGUUUAACAUUCAUUAGGAACCUACCAUGUCUCUUGCUGAUAUGUCUGUCUUGUACAAAUAAUAAUGGAUCUGGUUAACAUUCAUACCUUAAAAAUUCAAUACUGUAUCCAAUUUGAUUAUUUUAAGUUGCAAGAUAAGGAAAGUUACUGUUAAGAAAUUUUAUCUUCUAAUUGGCACAAUCAGACCUGGUAAUGCACUCAGUACUCAAUUAUGCUGAUAUCUGUUAUUUGAUUUUUGUGUGCCUGAAAAUUGAUAUUCUUGGUGUACACAUUGUUUACGACAGAUAUCAUGAAUCUGCUAAUAAUACAAUAGAACUUAGCUUAAAUGGUAAAAAGUUGAAUUUAAUAGUAGAAUGUGCAUAUAUUAGAGUUCCAUAAUAUCAAGGUUUCAAAUAACAAGGUUUGAAAUUUCAAUUUUCAUUUUGUCUGGCUGUUAGAGUUCAAUUUUGAUAGUUUUGGUAGUUUAUUGUUUAGCUUUCAGGAUAAAAGGAAUAUAGAGAAUUGGAAGAAUUAUAUUUAUGUAUUCUUGUCAAGAACAUAACUAACUUUUAUGUGCAUAUAUAAAGUGAUCAAAGUAGAAUAAAACAAAUGUAAGCAAUGUGCAAAUGAAUCAAAUUUGACUUUCAGUUUUAUUACGCUGACAUUCUAAAUUCAAGCCAUCUUUGGAUCCACUUUGGUUGUUUUCAUAAUUUUAGUUCUGGGCAAUACUUUUGGAUCAAUACUUUUAGACACCAAAACUUUUGGUUUUGGUUCAGAGUUUCAACCGAAAAUUCUAUGUUGCAUUAUCUAAUUGCCGAUCAAAUAAUUACAUCUCAGGCUUAGCUAGUUGGCUUGGGUUUGAUGCCAACCCUAACCAACCAUAACGCAAUUCAGCUUCCAAACUGGACAACCUACUCAGGCCUGGCUAUUUUAGGAUGGUCCUAACCACAUGCACCUCCACAGGCAUUAAACCUUGCACUCUUCCCUUAAGAGAGGGAUUGGGCAACAAUGCAAGCUUAUCGUUAAUUUAACAUAAUAACUAAAUACGGAACAAUGAUGCUUCAGAGAUAAUUUUUGCAAUUUUUCUUUUAAAGUUCAAGGAGCAUUAUGUCGUGCUGUACUAAAGAUUUUCUCACAGGCUAGCUAAUUGAAUUUCAUUUCUUGGCCUGUUUAUCUUUUCAUUUCAAAAUUUCUUAUGUUAGAAUCAUUCGCAUUACAAUCUGGAUAGGUAUGCCUCUUUUUCAGUUGUAGGAUAGAUUUUAUCUUCAAACUUGUGAAAUGCCAUAUUUCUUGUUAUCAGUAAAUUGGUGUAACUCUCUCCCCUUUUACCGGUCUGCAGAUUACCAGUCAGCUUCUAUCUGUUUCAGCAGCUAUUAACAUAUUAUUUCUCCUGGAUUUGUUCAGCCAUUUAUUUUGAUGGCAUAAUGGCACAUAUUUGACCAUAAAGGAAAUGUAUGAAGCGAGGAGUUUUGCAAUUUGAACAUACAUAUGUUGAUCAACAACUUGAAGAAGCAGACAAUUUUCAAGGAGCUGCAAGAUUGUCUGGAAGUUGCAAUAAUGAGACAGCAUAUCUCACAUUCCGAGUGUUUGAUCCACUAUCCUAGUGUUUUUGGGAUACGGAAUUACUGUUUGUUUGGUUUUUUUUUUUUUCUUCAAUGUUACUCAUCUUAAUGAGAUUGUAUCAUUUAUCUUGUUGUACAUUUCUGUAUAGUUUGGGGGGAAGAUAAAUGAACAUUUAAAGUGACAAUUUUAUGAAAGGCAAACUUAGCUGAGGUUAUUUCUCUUACAUUUUGGAAUUUGACGGUUUAAGAAUCUUCAAUGCUCCAGUUUUUGGGUGUUGAAGUAGUUUUCAGAUGCUGAGAAUGAAGGCGCAAUGACUUAUCCUCCAAUUUGAAACUGGUGGUCUCAUUUUUAUAUUUAUUUUUUACUUUUUGGGAGAAAGAGGUAGCAAGCCACCCGCUUUAUUCAUUAAGGUCACUGAACACUAUUAUAUAAGUAAGAUAACUAGGCCUCAAAGGAAGGAAGAGGGAGAGAGUAGGGAUAUCAAUGGGUAUGGAUAUCCGAAAUUUUAUCCGAAUCCGAACCCGAAUGAAACGGAUAUAUCCGAUACUAAAUGAAUUUGGAUUCGGAUAUGGAUAAAAAAUAGAAAUCCGAUGGAUAUGGAUUCGGAUAUGGAUUUUGACCGUACCCGACCCGACCCGAACCCGAAUUUAUUUUGUAUUAUAUAUAAUAUAUAUAUAAAAAUUUGAUGUUAUAUUUGAAUUUGUAUUUUAAAAAUUUAGAUUUAAAAUAAUAGAUUUUGAAAUAUUGAAAAAAGAAAUAAUUGUUUUGGGUUCAAAUUUUCGGGUUCGGGUUCGGGUUUCGGAUUUUUGGUUGGGUUUGGGUUUGGAUAUGGAUUUUUAAAAUCCGUCGGGUUUGGGUUCGGGUUCAGGUCUCGGGUUUGGAGUAGGGUUCGGGUUCGGGUUUUUGAAAAUCCGCUCUGAAUCUGACCCGUUGACAUCUCUAGGGGAGAGAGAGAGAGAGAGAGAGAGAGAAGAUUAGCAGUACUGUCUAAGCAAUUGAUGUUAGUCUGAAAUCACUUGUGUGGAUCUCUGCAUAUUUUUAUAAAAAUUCACAUUGUUUCUUUCCAACCACAUCGUCCACUUGAUUAUUUCUUUCCAACCACAUCAUCCACGAGACAAUCGCGAAGAUAGUUAAUUCAGUCUUUUUAUUAUGUGCAUUCCUUUGCUCCAUAAUCAUCUUCUAGUGUUUUCGAAUCCAGUCCGGUGAUUGUACUAUUCUCCAGUUAAUGCAUGACCAGGGUCACAAGUACUUAAAAUUAUGCAUCUUGAAAAAUGAUGGUCCACAGUCUUCGGUCCAUCCCUAUGUAGAACACAUUGCACAAAUAACUGAUUACCCUUCCGAAGAGAAAAGCACAAACGACUCCAACUCAAGUACACUCUUUUUCACUGAAAAUCCAAGUUUCCUAUAUGCCCAAGAUAGCACAACUACCGUAGAAGAUAAGAUCGGAGAAAUAGCAAGCUCACAAUAACAAUAUCAAACAACUCUAAAAAUAAGAUCAAUCAAUUUUUACCAAGAGUAUCAAAGCACCAUACAAAGGAAAAUUGAAAACCACCAAGUAAAAGCUUCAACCAAAAUAAACUUACAAUAAAUGUUCAUAAGACAGGGAAAGGUAGAUUAGAGGAAACCCACCUCAAACUUAGUAGAAUCCUACAAGUUUUGGAUCAUUUUUCACACUUCUCGCUUAUGAAAGAAACACCACACAAGGGAAUGAAGCAGAAGGAAAAAAAAAAAAAAAGAAGCUAAUUUUCUCACUCACACACCUUAACCCUACUUGAUUCUUUUAUUCUUUUGACCCUCUAACUGAACUCAUUAGGCGCAACUUGACUCACUUAAUCCAAAAAAUAAAAGAUCCAUUUAAAUGAUUAAAUGGGCUCCUACAAAUACACUUAUUAAUUCUAAUAAACCAAAAAGAUAAAAAAGCAAGUUUAGCACUAACUUUUAACACUCUCCUUUAGUGCAAACUUGUGAAAAACUAAACCGAGCUUUUCUCAAAGUUCUAGAAACUUCGUCUUUGGAAGGACUUUGUUGAAGAUAUCUGCCAAGUUGUCUUGAGAUUGCACUUCUAUUAACUCAAUUUUUUCAUGAAGCACUUUCUCCUAAGUGAAGUGUUGCUCCACUUCAUAAGUUUGGUUCUAGUGUAAAACAUUAGAUCACUGCCAACUUGAUUGCACUUUGGUUGUCACAAUGAAGCUUCACUGGAGACUGAUUUUUUGUCACAUAACCAACUAAAGUCCGCAACCAUACACAUUCUUGUGUCGCAAGGGUCGGCGCUUUGUACUCCACCUUGGUACUAGAGAGCUCCAUUGUGUCUUGCUUCUUAUUACACCAUAGUAUACAACCGGAACUCAAUCCAAACACGUAGCCUCAUGUAGAUGUCCUCUUAUCACUAUCGCUCGCCCAAUCGACAUUGGUAAAACCUGUAAGUUCACAUCUUAUACUCUUCUUAUAAAGAAGAUCAACAUCAAGAGAGGAAUUGAAGAACUUGAGAAUUUCUUGCGGUAUCCAAAUAAGGCUUUUUUAGAGCUUACAUAAACCAGCUAACUAUCCCUACCAAAUAUGUAAUAUCUGAUUUAGUAAUGGUAAGAUUUACAAGCUAUCAAUAAGUGUUCGAUAAAGCCUUGGAUCCUCAAUUGCCUUACCAUCACCCUGUCGUAAUCUCAUAUUUGUAUCCAUAGGAAUAGAGCAUGACUUGCUCUCCUUCGAACCAAAAUUUUCAACAAGCUUCGAGUCAUAGUGUUUUUGAGAGACAAAAAUAUAAUCAAUACCCUUCUCAACUUCCAAUCCAAAAAAGUGGCUCAACUCAUCUAAAUUUUUAAUUUCAAACCGAAUAGAAAGCUCAUCCCUAAGCUUACUAAUUUCCUCAGUAUUGUCUUCAGUAACAAUCAUGUCAUCCACAAAGAGCAACACAAUAACAUGCAUUCCAUUAUACUUCUUCACAAACAUACUUGGAUCAGAAUUGGAAACAUAAAAAUCAUAAAAGAGAAGGUAUUGAACAAUUUUACCAAACCAAGCUCGCAACGCUUGCUUGAGCCUAUAUAUUGUCCUUUUCACCAAUAUACAUAAUUUGGAGAAAUCUUUGAAAUAAAACCUAAUGGUUAUCACAUAGAAAUCUCUGGUUCUCCUUUUCAUAUAGGAAGGCAUUUUUGACAUCAUAUUGCCACAUCUUCUAUCCUAUUGAAGCCGCCAAUGGAAUGAGAACCCAAAUCAAUGCUAUUUUGGCCACUGGACUAAAUGCCUCCUCAUAGUCUAAACCAUAUUGUUGGGUGAGCCACGAGCUACCAAUCAUGUUUUGUAUCUAUCCAUGGUUCCAUCAGUCUUUCUUUUAAUCUUGUAUACCUACUUAUAUAAAACCAAUUUUAUGUCCUUCAGUUUAGGCGCAAAAUUUUUUUUUUCUUUUUAUCAAGUGCACUAAUUUCCUCCUCCGUUUCCUGCUCCUAUUGAUAAACCACUUUAGCUUCAUCAUAAAAAAGGGUUCAUCACAAUCAAUAGGACCCACAAAAAAACAUGAAACAACAUCAAUCAUAGCAUCGGAAUUCCACUCCGGUUCAAAAUAAUGUGAAUACUUCUUGCAUUCCUUUGUUGACCUUCUCAUCGGUUGUUCUUAAACCUCAAUUCUCGGACAUGAAUUUUCCACCGAGGUACCUAUGCUCCCCCUCUUAUUCGACUUGCUCCGAAGAAAAAGUCGAUGUUUUUGGAGAAGCUUCAUUUGGUACAACCAUCGGCCAAUCAUAAUAGGAUGAUAUUUUAUCAAACACCACGUCUCUAGAAAUGACAAAACUUGUGAGUUUUGGAUUUUCAAUUUCUAGAUUAAUAGGGUGUUAUUGUCAACUCAGCCUAUCACUUAUUAUGCAAUUAUACAUUGAGUUAACUAAGAAUAUUUGAUUAUUUGACUAGCACCACCUGAGUGCAUUUGAUCUAUUAUUCAGAAUGACAUUAUAGAGCAAAUCCUUGACUUCUUGCACUUUAUUUUCAUUCUGUUGAGAUUCCACUUCAUAUCUUUACAGAAUUACAUUCUGCCUCCAUCCCUUUCUUGAGAAGCAAUCUUGAACUUGUACUAUACCGAAAAAAUAGGUGUGCAACGAAAAUUUCCAUUACAUAAAGUAUAUUCAACUCCGCACUUGAAAGUAGCUCACACUUAUUCACCAUUGGGAAUAUGGUAAAAAAAAACCCAUUCACUUAAGAUUUUCUUUUGCAGUAGUAUAAGACCAAUUUAUAAGCUUUAUCCACAGAGCUAGCUUAUGGUUUAUAGAGAAAUACUACUACUACUUCAACAGCAAUGUCUUGUUCAUCGUAUCCAUGUCUUUGAUACCGAGGCCGCUUUCUCUUCUAUUUUUACACACACUUCUAUGCUAUACUAAACAGGCCCUUUCGCUGGUAUUCGACCUAUUUUUUUUAAAAAAAGGGAUCUUCUUAGAGCCACAAUGUGGUGUAUGACCUAUUUUGGUGCUCUAAAUAUAAAGGAAAAAAAUACAAAAGUAUGUUGAACAUUAACCAAGAAAAGUCUGCCAGCAUGAGAUAGCCUUGCCAUAUUUCAAUUCCUUGUUCUUUUUUUUUUUUUUUUUUUUUUUUUUUGGUAAUCAUCCUUUAUUUUGCCUGAUAAUAGCAAUCCUAAGUAUCAUAUUGAAAGCUGGCACAAUUUGCAUGAUAAAAUAUUAGGUAAUCUCUUAUCUUUACUGCCUUAAUUUGCUACUCAUAUAGAAUAAAAGUAAUGCUUCUAUACUUAUUUUUUCUGUUACUGUUCAUUCACGCGUAUUCAACAGCUCAGAUUUAGUUUUUUUAAAAUUGUGACCUGCAAUAGCAGGUCACUUUGGGAGAGGUACCGGUUACCAGGUACCUAAAAAAGGGUAUUUUUGUAUUUUAAUACAUGGGCAAUUUAGUCAUUUUAUCUUUACUAUAUUUUCAAAAUUUUUAUUUUCUCUUUGUUUCCUUUUUCUCUUUCUAUCUUUCCUUUCAUAAUUUGGCAUUUCAUAUAAGAAAAAUUUCAAAUGAUUGGACAAUAUGGUCUUUUAAUUUUUCUUUUCUCUUUGUUUAUUUGUUUAAUAUUGCAAAUGAAUUUAAUUUUAAAAAACUAUGCAUUAAAAUUUAUUUCCAUACCUAUUGCUUUCUAAAUCUUAAUCCGAAAAUUUUCAAAUUUUAUCAUAUUGUAGGAUAUUAAUUUUGCUUAGUUUUGAUAGUAAUAACUUGUUGAAAUUUGCGAUGGCUAAUGGAUCAGAAAACAAUAUUCCGAUAGAAAAGGUGUGUGGCAUUGUCUCAAACCUUCUUUUCUGAUAUUUGAUGAUUAAUAUUUUCUUUUAUUUUAUGAAAUUCGCUAACCAUAUUCUUAUUUUUCACCUUAAUUUUUAGGAUAGUAAUGAUAUAUUAUUCUACUUACUAAUAAUAAUGCAUGCUUGUGUCAAUUUUAAAGAGUUCAUUCUUGUGGUAUUAAUGUUUUUUAGGGUUUCAAAUUUUUCUUUCUUGGGUAUCUUGUAAUUAGUUUGUAUUUUAUCUUGCCAUCAAAUAAUUAUCUAUUCAAUAGCAAGAGUUUUGUGGUGCCUUUCUUUUCCGGCAAAAUAUCUUUGCUUUUUUUUUCAUGAAAAGAUUUAUUAUUGAAAAAUACUUCUUUGUUCUCUUAUUUUUUAAAAAAAUUCCAACAAUAAUCAUGUCAAAUAGUUGGGACUACUUCAAAAGGUUAUUAAGAGAGAUUGUAAAGAAACUUAAUUUAUUUUUGCCACAUAAAAAUCUUCUAUUAUUUUUUGCAAUGUCAACUAAAAGUGGGUGUUGACUGCAAAUCCCACAAGAGGAGUCAAUAAGUAUGGUAAUGUAUUUGUUCGCGGCCAUUUGUGUCGGAGGUUUUGGGAUUGUUACAAUUGCUCCAUAACAAAAACUAAAUAAAGUAGUACUGGUGAAAAUAAUAGAAAACAAAUGCACAAAGAAGUAGUGAUACUUGGAAUGCUGAAAAUUUUAAAAUUCUACAGAUUGUAGGAUAUUUAUUUUUUUUAGUUUUGAUAAUUUUUUUUUUUUUUGAAAUUUGUGAUGGCUAAUGGAUUCAUAAACAAGAUUCUAAUGGAUAAUUAAGGUGUGUAGUAUUAUCACAAUUUUUUUAUUUUUUGGAUAGUUUGAUAAUUAAUAUUCUCUUUUUUUUUUUUUAAUGAAACUAUGCUAGCAUUCCUUUUUUUUCACCUUUAUAACCCUAUUACUGUUUAUUCUUAUUUUUAGGGUUUUGAAAAAAAAUGAAAUAAGUAUUACAUGUUCCCCUAGGCGUUUUGGGUUAUGUAUUGACAAGUUAAAUGAUGUCCAUAAAGCAGCCAUUCAGAAUUUGGGUUUUGGUUGCAUGUUACAUAUGCAUCCGAUUAGUGUACGUCGUACACUAUGUGAUUGGUUGGCCCACGCCUAUGAUCCACUAUCCAAAUCUUUUUGUAUAAAUGAUUUCUAUAAAUCUAUCGGUAGUUGGGAUGUGUAUUGUUUAAUGGGUCUAUCCACUGAAGGUGAAAAGAUAGUUGUUCAAGAAAAGAUAAUAAAUAAAAAUCUUUUGAAUUUUUAUAUGGAUCCAAGUAAGAAAACAAUCACCUUAAGUCACUUAGCCUCCUCUAUUGAUAAUGAUGGAAUUGCUGAUGAGCAUUUUCUCCGAAGAUUUAUGUUAUUAAUGAUUAGCACGGUGUUGGCUCCUAUUGCAAAAGACGAAAUGCCAAGUUAUUACCUGAAUCUUGUGAAGGACAUUACUGACUUACGCAAGUACAAUUGGGCUCAAUUUACAUUAGAUUAUCUUAUUUCUAGUCUCAUAUUGUAUAAGUCUAACAAGAGUAGAUACUUGCGAGGAAAUUUAGCUCUACUCCAGGUAUCUUUAGAUUUUAUUAAUUGUUUAUACACAUUAAAUAUCAUAUAAUAGCAUCAAUUAAGACAUGUAUUGUUGUAAUACAGUUUUGGUACUUUGAGCAUUUUCAAGCAAGCGGGGACGAUUUUGAUUACACCAGUCAUAUUCAUCCUCUUAUGAACAAUUGGGAUGAGAGUCAAAUUAUGAAAAGAUUUUACUUUGACAACAUCCACGGUCGACGCAGCGGGAAGGUAAUUAGAAAGAGUAAUUAAUUUUAAAUUAAAAAUAUUUUUUAUCUUUAACGUUUUAAAUUUUUUAACCGAAUAUUUGUAGGUGGUUCUUCGGUUAAUUUGUCCAACAAUUUGUGCUGAACUUUGGCCUGGAAAGAGAGCUGAUAAUAGGAGUUAGUAAAGAACAUACAGGUAAUUUGAUACUUUGCAAGAUUAGAUACUAAUAAAAGAUAUAUUUUAUAAUUCUUUUAUUAUUUCAUUUAUUUUUAAAUAUGUUUUCACAAUAUUUAAUAGAAAAAUCAACAUAGAGAUAAGGAAGAAUGUGGCCGAAAUAAUUCAAGAACAAUGGCAAGCAAUAUUUUGCUCAAUGUGCUAUGUGCAAAGACGAUGUAGUGUGUUUGGCAAUAUGGCCUUAAUAGCUUUCCUCAUUGCAAUAUCAAGCAAUAUCACUAUCUGUGACAACUAACCUAGAAAAUUUUUGGAACAUUGCCAUAAGAAAUGUAGCUAAUAGCCAUUCGUAAGAAUCUACAGUCUCAUCCAAAACAACCCCACAAGCAAAAACUACGGCUGUGCGGUGAUGAUUUGAUCCAACAAAUAGAAUAAAAGGCAUUUUAUAUCGAUUAACGCGAUAUGUGCUAUAAAAAACGACAACAUCUCCAAAUGCUUGAUAAUCAAGUCUAGACUGAGCAUCACACUAAAAUAAAUUAGUUAAGUGGCCUUCUGCAUCUGUUUGGUAUUGAUAAAAGAAUUCAACAUCCUCCUCUUGUCUCUCACUCAUUUGUUUAAGAACUGUUUCAACAUCACCUUCUAAUAUUCUUGAUUUUUUAUUUCUACAGGAGAAGUUAUAUAAAUCCUUAGAUGUGAAUAAAACAUUUUCGUAGCCACCAUGAUGAUGUUCCAUAACAUUCAUAAUUUGGUGCUUACGAAGGCCUGCAAUCUCCAAGGGAACAAUGUCUGAUUUUUGGACAUCAUUAAUUGUAUGAUGUGAUCGAAGAAAAGGCACCUCAUUUGGUCCAGCCAAAUCAUGCUUAUGUUUGUCCACAAAGUUGUGCACGAACCAUCUAUUAGUGGUUGCAUCAAAUUGAAUACUAAAUUGAAUAGGACACUCACAACGUGUAAGUGGUCGUUCUUUCCUUUUUCUAUUAGUCCUAUUCAUAUGAAUAAGAUUUCGUAGACCUGCUCUCGAGCAAACAAAACGACGGUAAAAAAUCACACCAGUUUCAACAUCAUGCUUCAAGCAAUCUUUUCUUAUGCUAAACCCUUUUUCCUUGGCAUACUUGUUGAAGAACACAUAUCCCUCAUUUUCAGAUAAGAAGGUCUUUUUAAUAAUAUUUUCAUAUUCGGUGUGGUAUCCCUGGUGUACAGCAGUUGAGGCUUGUCGACAGCUCUGGAGAGUGUCGGGACAAGUCCGAGUCUCAUUGGUGCAAAAUAGACGCAAAACGGACUCAGUAGGGGGCGCGAGAGCAGGAGUUCGCUUUGGAAACUGUAAGUGCAGAUUUUUCUGCUUGUUGUACCGGUACAGCAUCAGGGGUGUACCGGUACACAUUUUGUACCGGUACAGUAUCGGAGGUGUACCGGUACACUUUGCUUGUUUCCGCGCAGCUGCUCUCGGGUUGCCAUUUGUACCGGUAUAGUUGCUCGUGUACCAGUACACCAGGGUAGGUAAGAGGGCUUUUUAGUCUUUUCUCACCUCGUUUUUGUCACCCUCUUCCCCAGCCUAUAUGUUUGCGUAGAGAGGAGCUGAGGGAGAGUUUUUCUGCUGGUUUCCUUCCCUCUCUCUCUCUAGCUUGGACCGAGUGUGGAGGAGCUCUCGGGUGGAGUUGUUUCGUCGCUGACGUCGCACCGCGGAGCCGUUCGAGCACACGAGCGUUGUGGUGGCUGCGUUGGGAGGCCGAGCGAGCAUGUGAUUCCUCCGUUUCGACGUUGCGCCGGUGUUGGAUUAGCGUUUGAGGUGGGUUUAUCAUCGGAUUUCUACUCCUAAGUUGAACACUACAGUAAAAUAGGCUCGACAUCCCAGCACGAGCAUAACAGCAAUAUACACUACCUGGGGUAUCCACCACGCUGAUACUGCGGCGAUACCAAAUAACAACCGCUCCUAAAGCUAAAUCUGGUAGUGUAAGCAUAUGACGGGUUAUAUUCGCGGAUUUUCUCCUAAGUCAAAUCCAAGUCCACAUGUAUAAUUUAUCCACCAAUAAUACUAUGCUCCAAAUUCACUUUAGAUGUCAAAGACAUGAACAAUCCACAAAUUUGAGCUAUUACACAUGAAAUGCAUAAGACAAGAUAUACAUGCCGUUAACCGAGUUCCGGACUGCUGGGGGCCGUCGGGGUUGACAGUGGACUCAGAUUGCCUUUUUGGCAUCAGAUUGUGCCGAGGGUACGUGAUCCAUUGGUUGUUAGACCAGUUGGACCCGGUAUACUUGACUAUAGCCUUAGAGAGCCUGAUUGAGCUCGACAGAGAUACGCUUGCAUACUCAGUUGGGUAGCGCCAGAGUGCCACUCCGGAGUCGGGCUUAGUGCUUCUGCGUUGAUGUCGAGGUGUCCUGUUUGGACUUGCUAUCCACUGAUUGCUUAGUGUGGAGGUAGCUUUAUCUUCAACAGGCGGGACGGGUGUGUUCACAGCCCCUGGGACAGGUACGGUUAUAGUCCCGAGUGAGAUUGCGUCAGGAUUGACAUUUUUUACAGGUUGUUAGUGUUAGAGCAUGAUAGUAUAAUGGUUCUUAGCUAUAGAUUUUGUUCCAGCAUUAUGUACUAUCCCAGCUCCCUUCUGUAGACUUAGUGGGUGGACCGAUGAUGUUGAGGGCAGUACCCACUGAGGACUACUUGUUUUUACAGUAGUUCUCACGCCCAGUUGUUCCUUUUCAUUUUGCAGAGUUGUCGUUGUCGGCUGCUGCUGAUCCUGAUCGUGGCAAGGGCGUCGCGAGCUAGAGCCCUACCAGACGAGCCAGAGCUAGUGGAGUACCAGUUACAGGUAGUUGUAGUUUUUGGUUCAUUACAUACUGAUGUUAUACCUCGCUGGAGCGAGUAUUUUUGUACCAGGAUACUGUGUAUGUACUGAUCCAUUUUUAUUAUAUACUCAUGUUCUUUUUCCUAGCAGCUCUAUACUACUAGUUGUAGUGUUGUAUUAUUACAAAUAUAGUUACAGCUUCGCUUCGUAUACGGAAAAAAUUUCUUCGUAUACAGCGGGUUUGUUGGUGUGCCCGAGGAAACGAGUAAUCCGGGACGUGACAUUCAGUUAAGGAUUCUAUAGUGUCAUUAAACUCGCCGAUGUCAGUAUUGUUGUCAACAUAUGGCUCCAUAGUAGAACUAAUUAUCUCUAAGAGACAUUUAAACAAACCUGAAUUCAUGGUUUUAAUGUUAGCAAGUACACUUUAAAACUAAAGAUAAAUAAAUCAAAGAAACUUAGAUGGGAUGCUUAAUUGCUAUCAGUCCAAUAAAUUCCAAAAGACAAAAAUAAAAAAAUGAAGCAAAAUAUCAAUUGGAGUGGCCAAAUAUAACGAUAAAAAGAACUAGUGAGAGGAUCUUUCUACAUGACUUGCAACUAUCUUGAAAAGAAUGUUACCAAUUGCCCACAGAUUUUCUCUAAGUUAAUGUUUCUAGUUAAAACUUCCGAAUAAAGAUCAGUGCCCACCUAGCUUAAAACACUCAACUAUCAUGCAACAACAACCAAUACAACUAGCCUAAAUUAGUCAAAUAGCAUAAAACAACCCACACAACAAUGAAAUUCAUUGCCACAGUUCAACAAUUCCUCAUUUUUAUCAAAAUCUGGCUUCAACUUACAUCAAAUCAAUCAAGAAUCCACGCUAUCUUUACAUCUACAUAUGCAGGGAACAAAGAGGGAUCUGUAUAAAACGAGAUCCGCGAUCGUAAUCUUAAAAAAUUAUAUGCGAUUCGUGCGGGUUCUACAGGAGAUUGGUGCAUCUAGGGUUUUCAAAGAUGGAGCGACCCUCUCUCUCUACUCCAAAGCUCUCGUUCGUCUCUCCUCUUUUUGCACUCGCGCUCCACUGUUUUAACAGAGAGAUGGAUAGAGAGACGGACAGGGCGAAGGCAAAUGAAUAAGGAGUAGGGAUGCAAACGGAUCCGGGUCGGUGGAGCUCCCGCCCCGAAUCCACCCCGCCAUGAUCCGCCCCGAAUCCGCCCCAAAAAUUAUUUAUAUUUUAAAAAAGGGUUAUUUGCAUACACGUCCCUACAAACAUAGUGAAUUGCAGAAAUAUCCCUGCAAAACGAAAAUUUCAUAAGUUGUCCCUGCAAAAGUCAUAAGUGAUGCAGAUAUGUCCCUGCUGUUAGAGUCUGUUAGAAAAAUUUAGUUAACCACAGUUAAACUACUUAACCACGAUUAGUUAAUAGUGUGAAUUUAUGGUUCUACCCUUCUUUCUCAUCCUUCUCUUUCUUUUCCCUCUUCUUCAUCGCCGGCGAAGAGAUGCGGCGGCGGCGGCGGCGACGUCGGCGAACCCUCUCCAUCUUCCUCUUCCCCCUUCUUCUUCCUCUCCCUCUUCUUCUUUUCUCUUCCUGUUCCCCUUUUUUCUUCCUCUCCCUCUUCCUCUUCCCUCUUCUUCGUCGCCGGCGAGGGAGAAGAUGCGGUGGCGGCGGCGAACCCUCUCCCUCUUCAUUUUCCUCUUCCUCUCCUUCUUUCUCUUCACCCUUCUUCUUCCUCUCCCUUUUUCUCUUCCCUCUUCCUCGUCGCCGGCGAGGGAGGAGAUGCGGCGGCGGCGGCGGCGGCGGCAAACCCUCUCCCUCUUCCUCUUUCCUCUUCCUUUCCCUCUUCCUCUUCCCACUUCUUCUUCCUCUCAUUCUUUCUCUUCCCUUCUCUUCGUCGCCGGCGAACCCGACCCCGCGUCGCCGCCGUUGUCCGCUCCGACGGCCCGAAGAGGAAGAGAAAAAGAAGGAGAAUAUGAUACUUUUGAAGGGAUAUAUUUGUGAGGGCAAAACAGUCAUUUCACAAGAAAACUGUUAAAAAAUAAAUAAUUCACUAACGGAUUUUAACCAGAGGGACAUAUCUGCAUAACUUAGGACUUUUGCAGGGAUAACUUAUGAAAUUUUCGUUUUGCAGGGAUAUUUCUGUAAUUCACUAUGUUUGCAUGGAUGUGUAUGCAAAUAACCCUUUAAAAAAAUAUUUCUAAAAAAUAAUGUAUUUACAAAAAAGUUCAAAAUAUAAAUAAGUUAGUACCCUCAUUUCCAAUGUAUUUGAAACAUUUGAAUUUUGUUUUGAAUUGUGAUUGAUAUUUUUGAUUUUUAUAAUUAAUAUUGUUAAAUUAUAUAUAUAGUAUUAUUAAAAAUUAUUAAUUUAUAUUUUACAAAAUAUUAAUAAUAUUAUAAUUUUAUAAAAAAUAUUAGUUGGCGGGGCGGAUUCGGAGCGCCGGCGAGAGACGGGUUAUGAGUCGGGGCGGAUUAUGGGAUGUAUUUUUUAGCCGGUCACCAACGUCCAACAGGAACGUGAAAUUAUUUUGUGGAUCAACUAUGAAUUUUUUCUAUACCCACCUUAAAUCUGAUCUAAAUCAUAUAUAAAAUUUAAUAUUAUAUUCAAAUUUAUAUUUUAAAAAUUUAAGUUUCAUAUAAAUACUUUGAAAUAUGGUAAACAUAAAUAAUUGUUGAGUUCCGGUCUUCUGGUUUAGGUUUGCUUUUAGGUUUUGAAAAAUUGGUCAAUUUUGAAUUUGGAUAUGGAUUUUUGAAAUCCGUUGAGUUCGGAAAUAAGUUUUGUGAUUGUUAGUCAGAUUCAAAUUCAAAUUCCUAACUGUUUUUUUUCUCACUAGUAAUCCUAAUCUUUUUAAUUUUUAUGUUUAAAAUUAUGUUUAAAAUAUUUAUUAGCUCUAACAGUUAAAUUGUCAUUUUGUUUAAAAUGUUUAUUUUCUUUACCGGUUCCAAAUUGUUCUUAAUCUUAGUUGAAGUCUGAUCAGUCAAAUUAAUCGGUUCAAUUUAGUUUUUAAAUCAUUGAUACUAAUUUAAUUAAAAUGAAUAAUAAAAGUUAAGAAGCUAAUUAUAAACCGAAAGAUAAAAUAACAAAAUAUUAAAAAAUCAACUAAAAACUGAAAAAUUUUAAAGGUAAGAAUCAAAAUCAAUUUAAUAAAUUAAAUUAAUUAGAUUGAUCAAAUUGAUAAAAUAUACAAAUAUCCUAGAUCUGUUCAAUAUAAAUUUUGUUUACUCUAGUAAAACUCUAUAGUAGAAAUUUAUUAUAAGCUUAAAAUUUAAAUUAUACAGUGUAAAUUUAUUUAUUGAUAAGUUUAAAUUGUACUAUAUUAUUUAGAUUUAUUGAAGAUUCCUCUAUACUUUUUAGGUUCUAAACUUUAAAUUUAUUUUGUUUUUGGCUUAUAUUUUAAAUUACAAUACAUGAUCUUAUUAUUUAAAAAAAAUCAAUUUUUACUACCAAAAUUUGAAUUAAUUUUGUCUAUACAAUUCUAUUAUAAAAAUAAAUUUGAAUUAUACCCUUACCCUAUAUUUCUAAUCAAUUAUCUAUAUUAAAUUUUUUAAAUGGUGAUAAAGAAUUACUAUCUAAAUUAGAAAAAUUCUUAAUUUUUUUUAAACAUAUUACAUAUGUUGAAUUUAAAUAUUUGCCCACAUUUAAUUUUUUAAAAUUAGUAUACAAAAUUAAUGACUAAGAUGAAUUCCUAAUUUUGUUAAACGUAUUAAAUAUGUUAAAUUUAAAUAUUUACCAACAUUACAAAUAUUUUUAAAUAGUCAUACAAAAUUAAUUUCUAAAGUAGAACAAUUCUAAAUUUUUUUUAACAUAUUAAAUACAUUUAAAUUAUAAAUUUUUUAACCUACAUUCAAAAUUUUUUAAAUAAGUGAUACAAAAUUAAUGUCUAAACUAUAGGAAUUUAAAAGUUUCUUAAACAUAUUAAAUAUGUUGACUUAAAAUAUUUACUAACAUUACAAUUUUUUUAAAUAGUAAUAUAAAAUUCCUCUAAUUUUAAUUUCACUUUUAAAUUUUAAAUAUUUAAUAUUUGAAAUUUAAAUUCAUCGUAUUUAGAAAUAAAACUAUUUCUAAAAUUCCUAUAAUUUAAAUUAAUGCAUAAUUCUAGAAACACUAAAACAUUUAAUGUGAUAUCCCUGGUGUUUAGCUUUUGAGGCUUGUCGACACGCCGUGAGGGUGUCGGGACAAGUCCGAGUCUCGUUGGCGCAAAAUAGACGCAAAACGGGCUCAGUAGAGACGCGAGAGCAGGAGUUAGCAUUGGAAUAUGCAUAUUGCAGAUUUUUCUGCUUGUUGUACCGGUAUAACAUCAGGGAUGUAACGGUACACUUUUUGUACCGGUACAGAAUCGAAAGUGUACCGGUACACUUCGCCUGUUUCCGCGCAGCUGCUCUCGGGUUGCCAUAUGUACCGGUACAGAUGCCCGUGUACCGGUACAGCAGGGUAGGUGAGAGGGCAGUUUGGUCUUUUCCUGCCUCGUUCGUGUCACCCACCUACUCCCUGCUAUAUACAUGUGUAGGAGGAGCAGAGAGGGAGACUUUUGGGUUGUUCUUCUCCUCUCUCUCUCUAGCUUGGAUCGUGAGCAAGGAGGAGCCCGGGUAGUGUUGGAUCGUCGUCGACGUCGCGCCACGGUGCCGUUCGAGCGCACGUUCGUUGUCGUAGCAUCGCGAGGAGGCCGGGCGAGGGUGUGGUUCCGCCGUUCUCAACGUCGCGCCGGAUUUGGAUUAGCGUUCGAGGUGGGUUAAUCGUCGGUUUACCCCAUAAGUAGCUAUAUAGUAGGCAUGUGUUUAUCGUGUUGUUUAGUAUAUUUAGAUUGCCCGAUUCAUGGAUUUCAUGGUGUUAUCUUCAAAAUCUGAAUUAGAGCUUUGUCUUUAGCUAGUAUCUACUACACAUGUGGGACUUGGAUAUCACUUAGGAGAAAACUGCGAUUAUGACCUGUCAUAUGCUUAAACUACCUUAUUUAGCUUUAGGAGCUGUUGUUAUUUUGUAUCGCCACAGUAUCGGCGUGGUGGAUACCCCAGGUAGUUUAGAGCUCUGUUACGCUCGUGCUGGGAUGCCGAGUGUAUUUUUACAGUGGUGUUCAGACUGUUCCGGAUAGUUGGGUGCCGUCGGGAUAGACGGUGGACCCAGUUUGCUGAGUUGGCAUCAGAUUGUGCAGAGGGCACGUGACUCGUUGGUUGUUAGACCAGUUACACUUUCUGUACCGGUACAGAAUCUGAAGUGUACCGGUAUACUUCGCCUGUUUCCGCGCAGCUACUCUCGGGUUGCUAUUUGUACCGGUACAGAUGCCCGUGUACCGGUACACCAGGGUAGGUGAGAAGGCAGUUUGGUCUUUUCCUGCCUCGUUCGUGUCACCUACCUACUCCCUGUUCCGGAUAGUUAGGUGCCGUUGGGAUUGACGGUGGACCCAGUUUGUUGAGUUGGCAUCAGAUUGUGCUGAAGGCACGUCACUCGUUGGUUGUUAGACCAGUUGGACCUUGUUUCUUGACUUUAGCAUGUGAGAGCCUGAUUGAGCUCGAUAGAGAUACGCUUGCAUACUCGUUUGGGUCGCGCCCACGAGUGCCACUCCGGAGUCGGGCUCAGUGCGUUUGCGUUGAUGUCGUUGUGUCCUGGUUGGACUAGCUCUCCAUUAACUACCCAGCGUGGUGGUUGUUAGUGUAGCUUCGACAGGCGGGACGGGUGUAUCACAGUCCUUGGUGAGAUUGGGGCAGGAUUUACUUUUACUAUAGUUGGUUAGUGUAGAGCAUGAUAGUGUAGUGGCAUGUAGCUGUAGAUUGUCUUCCAGCUUUUUCUACUAUCUUUACUUUCUUUUGUAGACUUAGUGAGUGGACCGAUGUUGUUGAGGGCGGCACCCACUGAGGACUACUUAUUUUUACAGUAGUUCUCACGCCCAGUUGUUACUCUUCUUUUGCAGAGCCAUCGGUUCCAACUGCUGCAUCUUCUGAGGCUGAUCGUGGCAAGGGCGUUGCGAGCUAGAGCCUUAUCCGACGAGUUGCCGAGAUAGAGGUCCCUGCUGCAGAUAGAUUUACUUUUGUUUGAGUUCAUGUACAUACAGAUGUUAUUACUCGCUGGGGCGAGUCUUUUUUUGUACCUGGAUAUUAUGUAUGUAUAUGGAACUCGCUUUUGUUUUACUUGUUCGUUUUCUUUCUAGCGGCUCUAUACUACUCGUUGUAGUGUUGUUUGAUUACAGUUUCAGUACAGCUUCGCUUCGUAUAUAGGAAAAACUCCUUCGUAUACGGCGGGUCUGUUGACAUGCCCAGGAAAACAUGUAAUCCGGGACGUGACAGAUUAAGUUGGUAUCAGAGCUUAGUAUUAGGUCGUUGAGACCUAGGAAACCUAAGUUUGGCAAACCUUAGGAAGGCAAGACGCGAGAGGCGUGAUUUAUCCCGAAAGUCAUUGAUUAAUUAUUUUAACUCCUCUUCGAGUGGAGUGAGUAAUUGGAGGAGUUCCUGUUUUGGCCUAUAAAAUUAUGUUGGCUGCAGACUACAUAAUUUUGAGGAGAAACAGGGGGUCGCCUUCUGGACUUUCGUUUGAUUGGGUCGAGAGUGAUUGUAUUUUAUUUGACCCUAUUCCGUUCUUUGCAGUUACAGCUAUGUAUCGUCGCCGAGGUCGACCGUCAUUGCUGGAGCUUGUCCAGUUGACGCAGGAUCGUGCGGGACCUUCCGAGAUGCCGGAGCAGGCAGAGGCGAGUGUACCUCCUGUCGUGGAGCAGAGUGUUCGACCGGAGGCUAGUGCAUCCCCUGACUUGGGUGCACAGAUAGCCGCCCUAACAGGUGACGAGGCUGCAGGGUGAGUUGUUGGAGAGGUUGUGCGAGAGAGUAGCUCCGCCACAGAGUACAGUACCGAGAGCUCCAGAGCAGGCUGUUCCACCUCCGACUACUUCAGCUGCAGCACCAGUCGCAGCCGUACCCCCGCCAGUGGAUAUCCCCGCAGUGCCGGUUGCGCCUCCUAGAGGGCCAGGACAGUUGACCGAGGCCGAGCAGGAGCGGAUGACCAAGAGGUUGGCCCGUUUUCGCCGUUUUGAUCCGCCGACCUUCGAUGGCAGUGGCACUGAGGCCUGGGUCGUUGAGGGCUGGGUCAGUGCGUUGGAGAAGCUAUUUGAGGAUCUGUUAAUUCCUAAGAGGGAGCAGGUAUCUUUGGGAGUCCAUUGCUUGGCAGGCGAUGCAGAUGCCUGGUGGAGAAGAGUGAGGCGAGAUCUGGGACUAGUAGUGUUGCAGUUGAGAUGGGAUGAGUUCUGUGGAAUACUGUAUGGGAUGUAUUUUCCUAACAGUGUGAAAUAGAAGUUCAAGGAGGAUUUUAAGAGGAUUCAGCAGGGGGAUCGGCCAGUGCAGGAGUACAUCCGGGAGUUUACUCGACUCCUGAACUGUGUGCCGUUUGUGGCCAGGGACGAGGCACACAGGGUUUAUCUAUUUGAGCAGGGGCUCAGACCCGAGAUCUUCAGGUUUGUGCGGGCGCAGAGGUCGAGAACCCUGGAUACGUCUAUAGAGCAGGCCUUAUGGGUGGAGAGAGGUGAGGUGUCGCUUCAGAAGAGGACUCAGGCAGCGGGACAGAGUCAGGACAAGAAGCGCCCAGCUCCAGACGAUGGAGGACAGUCGAGCAGCAGGCGUCUGCCGAGACCACCACGCUCACGGUCUCAGGGUCGUGGGUCUUCAUGGCGUCAGCGUUCUGGGGGAUUCCGUCAGCAGAGGCAGUUGCAGGGGUCGCCACAGUGUGUGAUUUGUGGGGGACCACAUGGGGCUCGACAGUGUGAGCAGCGUGAGCGCCGGUGUUUUGGAUGUGGACAGCCAGGGCAUAUGAGAUCAGCUUGUCCCCGAGCAGCAUUUCAAGCACCAUCUACGGCCUCAGCGCAGCCAGCAUCUCAGCAGUCUUUUGAAGCAGCUCCGAGUUUCCGCCAGGAGGACAGAUCGUCUGUGCCGCGUUAGAGUGAGCGGCGACAGCAAGCUCCGAGUGGUAGGGUCUAUACAGCCCAGGUGGAGGAUUCUACAGCAGUCGACCGAGUGGUAGCAGGUAUCAUUUUGAUUUCUAGCAUUAGAGCUCCUACACUUUUUGAUGCCGGUGCAUUGCAUUUUUUUAUUAGCCGAGCAUUUGCAUUGUUGCAUGGUCUAGAGUUAGGAUCAUUGCCACAGGCACGGGAGGUGCAGAUUUCCGACCAUGUGUUACAGGUUGCAGAGUGUUGUUGGUCAUGUUCGGUACAGCUGGGUUCGUGGGUCAUGCCCGCAGACCUGUUGGUGUUAGGGCAGCUGCAGGACUUCGACGUGGUGCUCGGUAUAGACUGGCUGGCGCGGUACUAUGCUACUAUCGAUUUUGGAGUGAGGACGGUGACGUUCCGCAAGCCAGGCCAGGAGGAGUUAACUUUUAGGGGCUGUAGGAGCACGUUGUUCGCUACUUGGAUUUCUUCCGCGAGGGCUCGACAGCUGAUGAGUAGAGGAUGCAUCGCUUUCCUAGCAGCAGUUGCUGAGGUACCUACGGCGGCGCCGGGACUCGAGGAUAUCCCUGUAGUCCGCGAGUUUCCGGAUGUGUUUCCCUCGGAGUUGACGACGAUGCCGCCGGAGAGGGAGAUUGAGUUCGUGAUUGAUGUAGUUCCUGAAACUGCACCAAUCUCAAAGGUACCUUAUCGGAUGGCACUGGCAGAGCUGAGAGAGCUAAAGGCGCAACUUCAGGAUCUGAUGGAUAAGGGGUAUGUGAGACCCAGUGUAUCGCCUUGGGGAGUGCCGGUGUUAUUUGUAAAGAAGAAGGAUGGUUCACUCAGGUUAUGUGUGGAUUAUUGGGAGCUGAAUAAAGUGACCAUCAAGAACAAGUAUCCUUUGCCGCGCAUCGAUGAUCUGUUUGAUCAGCUGCAAGGAUCUUGUGUCUUCUCAAAGAUUGACCUCCAGUCCGGUUACCACCAGCUGAGGGUGAGGGCUAAGGAUGUUUCCAAGACGGCUUUUCGGACUCGGUACGGGCAUUAGGAGUUAACGGUGAUGUCUUUUAGAUUGACCAAUGCCCCUGCCGCAUUUAUGGAUUUGAUGAAUAGAGUGUUCAAGUCGUUUUUGGAUAGAUUUGUGGUAGUCUUCAUCGACGAUAUCUUGAUAUACUCCCGGAGUGACACCGAGCAUAAGGAGCACUUGAGGAUUGUGCUACAACUUCUGCGAGAGAAGAAGUUGUAUGCCAAGUUGAAAAAGUGUGAGUUCUGGUUGCGGGAGGUUGCUUUCUUGGGCCACGUGAUUUCUGCAGAGGCAGUAGCAGUGGACCCGAAAAAAAUUGAUGCUAUUUGGGAUUGGCCCAGACCGACGACGGUGACAGAGGUGAAGAGUUUCCUGGGACUGGCAAGAUAUUACCGUCGGUUUGUGAAAGGUUUUGCGAAGCUUUCCACACCCCUCACUCGAUUGACUCGUAAAGAAUUUAAGUUUAUCUGGAGUGAGGACUGUCAUAGGAGCUUCGGUGAGUUGAGAUAGAGGUUGACGUCGGCUCCUAUCCUUGCCAUUCUAGUAAUGGGUGAAGGAUUUGUGAUCUACAGUGAUGCAUCGCACAGUGGUUUGGGCUGUGUGCUGAUGCAGCAUGGUAGGGUAAUUACUUAUGCUUCACGACAGUUAAAGGAUUACGAGAAAAAAGUACCCUACGCAUGACUUGGAGCUUGCCGCGGUAGUCUUUGCUUUGAAGUUGUGGCGGCAUUACUUGUAUGGCGAGCACUGCGAGAUUUUUACCGAUCAUAAAAGUCUUAAGUAUCUGUUCACCCAAAGGGAGUUGAACCUGAGGCAACGCCGGUGGUUGGACUUACAGAAGGAUUAUGACGUUAGUAUUCAGUAUUAUCCCGGCAAGGCAAAUGUGGUAGCAGAUGCGUUGAGCAGGAAGGCAGUGCAGAGCUUGAGUUUGAUGAUUACUCAGCAGAGGCCAUUACUUGAGGAGUUACAGCAGUUGAGGCUCGAGAUAGUGUCCCCCUGGGUCUACUGUAAGGCUGAUGUCUAUGGUCUUGCAGCUCACUUUGUUGGAUAGGGUCCGAGAGAAACAGAGUGGAGAUCCGCACUUGUCGAGAAUUCGAGAGUAGCUAGAGAGAAGACAGGCAGAGGGCUUUAUUAUGGACAAUUCGGGAGUAAUGCGGUACAGGGACCGACUGUGUGUGCCUGUGGAUUCAGAGAUUCGAGAGGACAUUUUGAGAGAGGCUCAUUGUUAGCCUUAUACGGUUCACCCUGGUGGAACCAAGAUAUAUAAGGAUUUGAAGGCACAGUUCUGGUGGAAUGGAAUGAAGAGGGACAUUGGCAGAUAUGUGGCUCAGUGUUUGACUUGUCAACAGGUGAAGGCAGAGCACUAGGUACUUGCUGGCAAGCUUCAGUGUCUGUCAGUGCCCGAGUGGAAAUGGGAGCAGAUCACGAUGGACUUCGUCGUGGGGUUGCCUAGAGCACAGGGUGGUUUCGAUGCUAUUUGGGUGAUAGUGGACAGACUGACCAAGUCUGCUCACUUCCUAUCAGUUCAGACCACCUGGUCCAGAGAGAGGCUCGCGCAGCUAUAUCUGGAUGAGAUCGUCAGGCUGCAUGGUGUGCCGAUAUUGAUUGUAUCGGACAGAGAUCCGAGGUUUGUUUCGCAUUUCUGGCGGAGUCUUCAGACAGCCUUGGGUACACAGCUACAUUUCAGCACGGCGUUUCACCCACAGACAGAUGAUCAGUCAGAGAGGACCAUACAGAUUCUAGAGGACAUGCUGAGAGCAUGCGUCCUGAACUUUGGAGGAGGGUGGUAUCGACAUUUGAGACUGGCUGAGUUUGUGUACAACAACAGCUAUCAAACGAGCAUCCAGAUGGCUCCGUUUGAGGCGUUGUAUGGACGCAGAUGUCGAUCCCCUUUGUUUUGGAGUGAUGUGGGUGAAAGGAAGACGCUAGGGCCUGAGAUCUUGCUAGAGGCUGAGGAAAAGGUGAGAGUGGUUCGACAACACCUUUUGACAGCCCAGAGCUGCCAGAGGAGCUAUGCCGAUACGAGGAGACGGGACUUAAGAGUUCCGGAUUGGAGAUCAUGUUUUUCUCAAAGUCUCGCCGUCCAGAGGAAUUCGCAGAUUCGGAGUGCGUGGAAAGCUCAGUCCACGUUUCGUUGGCCCUUUUGAGAUAUUGGAGCGAGUUGGACCGGUUGCUUAUAGGAUUGCUCUACCUCCCAGACUGGCCGGUAUUCAUAAUGUCUUCUACGUCUCGGCAUUAAGAAGAUAUGUUUUCGAUCCUUCUCACGUGAUUGACUUCACCCCUCUAGAGAUUGGCGACGAUCUGAGAUACGAGGAGUGACUGUUGCAGAUUCUUGCUCGCGAGAUGAAAGAAUUACUCAACCGGGUCAUCCCGUAUGUAAAAGUGCAGUGGAGUAAUCACGAGGAGCGAGAGGCGACUUGGGAGCCGCAGACGGUGAUGAGGGAGUCCUAUCCCUAUCUGUUUUGUACCCUGAGCUGAGGUAUGUGUUAGUUUCGAGGACGAAACUUUUUGUAGUGGGGAAGGAUGUGAUAUCCCUGGUGUUUAGCUUUUGAGGCUUGUUGACUCGCCGUGAGGGUGUCGGGAUAAGUCCGAGUCUCGUUGGCUCAAAAUAGACGCAAAACGGGCUCAGUAGGGAUGCGAGAGCAGGAGUUAGCAUUGGAAUAUGCAUAUUGCAGAUUUUUCUGCUUGUUGUACCGGUACAACAUCAGGGAUGUACCGGUACACUUUCUGUACCGGUACAGAAUCUGAAGUGUACCGGUACACUUCGCCUGUUUCCGCGCAGCUAUUCUCGGGUUGCUAUUUGUACCGGUACAGAUGCCCGUGUACCGGUACACCAGGGUAGGUGAGAAGGCAGUUUGGUCUUUUCCUCCCUCGUUCGUGUCACCCACCUACUCCCUGUUCCGGAUAGUUAGGUGCCGUUGGGAUUGACGGUGGACCCAAUUUGCUGAGUUGGCAUCAGAUUGUGCCGAAGGCACGUCACUCGUUGGUUGUUAGACCAGUUGGACCUUGUUUCUUGACUUUAGCAUGUGAGGAUUGAGCUCGAUAGAGAUACGCUUGCAUACUCGUUUGGGUCGCGCCCACGAGUGCCAUUCCGAAGUCGGGCUUAGUGCUUUUGUGUUGGUGUCGUUGUGUCCUGGUUGGACUAGCUCUCCACUAACUACUAACUACCCAGCGUGGUGGUUGUUAGUGUAGCUUCGACAGGCGGGACGGGUGUAUCACAGUCCCUGGUGAGAUUGGGUCAGGAUUUACUUUUACUAUAGUUGGUUAGUGUAGAGCAUGAUAAUGUAGUGACACGUAGCUGUAGAUUGUCUUCCAGCUUUUCCUAUUAUCUUUACUUCCUUCUGUAGACUUAGUGGGUGGACCGAUGUUGUUGAGGGCGCCACCCACUGAGGACUACUUGUUUUUAAAGUAGUUCUUACGCCCAGUUGUUACCCUUCUUUUGCAGAGCCAUCGGUUCCGGCUGCUGCAUCUUCUGAGGCUGAUCGUGGCAAGGGCGUUGCGAGCUAGAGCCCUACCCGACGAGUUGCUAAGAUAGAGGAUCCUUGCUGCAGGUAGAUUUACUUUUGUUUGAGUUCAUGUACAUACAGAUGUUAUUACUCGCUGGGGUGAGCCCUUUUUUGUACCUGGAUAUUAUGUAUGUAUAUGGAACUCGCUUUUGUUUUACUUGUUCCUUUUCUUUCUAGCUGCUCUAUACUACUGGUUGUAGUGUUGUUUGAUUACAGUUUCAGUACAGCUUCGCUUCGUAUACAGAGAAAACUCCUUCGUAUACGGCGGGUCUGUUGGCGUACUCGGAGAAACGUGUAAUCCGGGGCGUGACAUUUGAAGUAGAUGCCUAAAUUAAUGCCUAAUUAAUGCAUAAAUUUGGUUAAUCAAUUAAUUUCCUAAAUUAGUGCAAAUUAAUGCGUAAAUUUAGGACCUCAAUUAAAUUUUUUUUUUAAAUGUUGUAUUGUUUAAUUACCAAACUACCUUUGAAUAAAAAAAUCCUUUUACCUGCUAAGUAUUAAAAUUAUAUUUUUACCCUCUAUUAAUCAACGGUUAAGAUUUUUUUUUUUUUUAAAAAAAAAGUACCGAAUCAUUUCUCAUAGAAUAAUUCUGAUUUAUUUUUAUUAAUCUUUAGUUCGGAAGCCCAUUCAUAGUAUACAUAAGCUUCUUCCUCGCCUCACAUAAGAAAAUGGUUUCAUCGACGAAUUGUAUAAGCACCACCUUGCAGUCAUUUGUUGGUUCUAAUGCUCUCGGCAAGUUGUCUAAUUGCUAUUUCUGUCAUCCUUGCAAAGUACGCUGCCAUUAGAAAAAAUAAGAAAAGAGAAAGAGUCUUUUUGUUGCAAUCCUCUCCUUAGCUUAAUCCACUUGGACGGUAUCCCAUUGACUAGGACCGCCACUUUCGCAUUGUAAAUACAUUGUUCUAUCCAUCCCUACCAUAUCGUAUCAAAAUCCCACUAUUGCGUGAGCUUUUUGAGAAAUGUCAAACUAAUUCUAUCAUAUGCUUUCUCAAAAUUUUUUUUUUUUUUUUUUUUUGAGAGAGAUAGGUAGCAUGCUACCCGCUUCGUUUAUUUCAUUUAGAAAUAAAUUUAGCUAGAAGUGUGAAUCAACUAGGAUUCGAACUUGAGUCUCGGGUACCAACCACCAAGCCCUUUGCCACUUGCUCUAGGGACGGUCGGUGCUUUCUCAAAAAUCUUGUUGAGCAAAUAAGUUUUGUAAGCUUACAUCUUGAGAUAAAGGGGCAAAACUUGGGAAGUUUCACUAUAAGCCGCCUCAUUUGGUAUUGCUGCAGCUCUAUUUUUUUUGAAAAUAUAUAAAAUAGAAAAUACAGAUGAAAUAAAAUAAACUAACCAAAAAAGAAUUGCAUUCGACUCAUUUUCUAGACAAUGUAACUUCAACAUGAGUCCUCUUUCUGAAUCUCUCUCACCUUUUCUUGUCUUCUACAAAUUCAAAAGGCUACUGUCUUUACACGCACCCAUGCACUAGGUGCAUGCAACUGUGGCCUAGGCUAUCUUUAUGUCCACUUGGUACAGACACCUAGAAAGCCACAUCAUCCAUACACUUCAGCAGAGCUACCACAUUGACCAUGCUACACCAACCUAUUAUAUAUGUCUUUCUAAUUUAAAUAGGAUUCAAUUAUAAAUCUAAUCAAAUUGUAAUAAAAUUAUUAUUUAUUACUUAGCUGAGAUGUAUUGCAAGUUAACUAACUGUUAAAAUAAGAAAAAAGUUUAACAACUUGGCAAUAAUGCCAAACAACCCCAAGCCUACAGCAAACCGAUUUUUUCACUUUUAUGCUUGUGUUCAGGUUGUCCAGUCAUUGUCACUUGUUGGAGAUUAGUUAUAACUACUUUGCUGGAAAGAAGAGGAACAUUUUCAAGUUGUUAACUUGUUAUAUAGUAUGAAAUAUAUAGAGUAUUUUAUUUUAGGUAACCUAUAGCAUUAUGUCCAUCUAUACUUUCGCUCUUUAAUCCUCUAUGAUUUUUUUUUUAAAAAAAAAAUUACUGUAAGGAUCAAUCGUUUAAUAGAUUAGCACAAAGUGAAACCACAAGAUGGAAAAAAUAUAGGAUUUUCCCACCCUAUGAUUUGCAUUUUAUCAUCAUAUAGUUUGCGAGACGUGGUACUUUUGCUACCUCUUUAAUCACUUUUUUUUUCUGGUGAAAUAAAACAACCACAUAAUAAUAAAGUACAACUUUUUAAACUACAAUACAGCAAAGUGCAUAUGGGUUAAAUUACGUGGGGCUAAUUGAAGUUUAUCUUUUUAUUUUCGAGCAAUGCUAUGCCUACAACUUAUUUUCAAUUGUAAUAUUACAACCUCACUCAUCCAAUAACCUCCUUUUUCCUACUUGUCUCAGCAACAAAUUUUUUUUUUAACUGAAAUCCAAAAAGUGGUCGGUAAACUUUGCAACCCCUUGGAUAGAGAGGUUGUAGGGAUUGUUGAAAAUUUUUCUCUAAUCUUUUAGUAAAAAUCGUAUUCUUUUAAAAAUAUUUUGAAACACAAAGUUUAAAUAAGUAUUUUAAACGAUCACAGUCCUAGCAAAACAACAAUUACUGUCCAUCCUGUCGGCACGUCUUCAGGGUGGUGAAAUACGAACCCAAUAGGCUUUCAGAUCCAACAAAGUAUCAAGAAGGAAUGAAAAACUUAGUAUGAAAGGAGGUAAAGCUCAAUGCAGAGAAGAAAGGAAGAAGAAGCUCUUUUACAGAUAUCAGGUGAAACCCUUUAGAUUCUCGGUGCAUCCUCUCCUGAGUCCUCUCUUAUAUUUACAGGUAAAGUCCAAUAACUCUAUUUUUAGUAAGCGGUUGGCCCUUAUCGAGGUAAGCCAAGAUCUGGUCCCUUACCAAGAUAAGGUAAGAUCUGGCCGUGGAAACUGAAGCACGGAUUUUCAGACAAGAUCCAUAAAAUGUUGGACUAUUCAGAAAGCUCAUAGGCUAAAAUAAAGUUUAAAUCACUUAAAUUAAUUCUAAUAAGGAUUACAAUCUCCCGGAUGAGAGGUUGUAGGCUGGAGACUUAUUAGCAUUUCUCAUUUAAUACAGUAACUCAUUUCGUGACAGCGAAAAUGAAUAUGGGCAAACUUUUUUUUUUUUGAGAGAAAGGUAGCAUGCUACCCGCUUCGUUUAUUUCAUUUAGAAAUAAAUUUAGCUGUAAAUGAGAAUCAACUAGGAUUCGAACUUGAGUCUCGGGUACCAACCACCAAGCCCUUUGCCACUUGCUCUAGGGACGGUCGGUGAAUAUGGGCAAACUUAAAAAAAAAAAAAAGGCCGGGUGAUUUAAAUCAUUUUGGUAUUAAUGUGAUUUUAUUUGUAUCAUUUUGGUACUCCAUGACUUCUAUCUCAGUUUUGUAAGGACCUUUCAUCAGCCCCAAGAGACUCUGAAUUUGGAUCAUGCUUUGGGUGGCGGUAGGAUCAUCUAAACUUGACGUGAAAUCGCUUAAAAUUUGGUUUGGACUUGGAUCUAAGUUCACUUUGCAAACAGAACCAAGGUCACCCAUAUAAAAAUGAGCUACACCAAUGGACCUUUUCCAAAGUUAAGGCAAAAAAAGUAGAAUCCCCACUUUAGCAAAAUGAGGCAACCACAACACAUGCUGGGAUCUAAAGCAGUUCCAAGAAAGGUAGGAGAAAUAAUGUAUCCACAUGAUCCAUACGUAUCAGCAACAUGAAAAGAAAAGCAAAUUUUAGAAGUAGCAAGUCACAAACAUUUUCUAGAAGCAAAUUUUAUUGUAGUAAUGAACAACAAUGAGCUGUAGAGUUAUUGUUGGGCAACCAGGUGGUGUCCCAGAAAGAGUUGCACUAACAAAACAAUCAGACCUCUAUUACAUUUGCAGUAAAAUCACAAGAAUAAAAAUGAAUGUCCUGACAACAAACUAGCAAACUGCUAGAUGCUACAGCCUUUUUUUGUGUACAAAAUAAGUCUAUACGGCGCGACGCCGGAAAUAUAUCAAACACUCUUCUAUAUAUAUAAAUCCCGCAAUCUGCUUUCACAUCUCAAACGAAAAACAAAAGGCAACCCUAACUCGCUGUAAUAAAAUGUCAAACGCUAAUGCAAAAUCCUAUGAAUUUUGAUUCCCCGAAACCUGAGUUUUUACAAAUCAAACUCUCUUGUUAGAUCUAAAUAGUCUCACCUGAUUGGAUGGCUUCUUUCGACUAUGACAAGCUCUGUAGUGAAAGAAUGUCGUCCCUAUGAAGCAAUUCCUGAGCAAUGGAGGAGCAAACAGAUGAGAUUAGUGACAUUCAAAGUAAUUUCAAGAAAGAGACGAUGAGAAAAUUGGCAGUAAGUAAUAUAUAGAGCAUGAAUAGAAGUUUAGUGUGCAUUAUCUAUCAAGUCAAAUGAAUACAUUCGCCUUAUUACAUCCUCUUUACACUUCCAUUAUAAGGUAAACCUCUACAGAAGUCCAAGUACUUGUAUGAGCCAGAGAAGGAACACUUAUGAUUGAAUUUUAUCACAAAAUAUUUAAAUAAAACAAGAUAAUUAGGCCUUUUUUUUUUCACACAAUUCUAUGUAAAUGGAUAUGCUGGCCGGUGAAGUUCCCAACUUUUCUUUAUGAUUGGCUAGCUUGCAAUGCAUUGUGACAGUUGAGGGAUCACAACUUCAAAAAAAAAAAAGAAAAGAAAAAGAAAUCAUAGCGGCAAAAAGUAAUUACUCUCAAGUUUCCCUUUUUUGUUGCCAACAAACACCUUCCGUGAAAGGAUUGCAAGAAAUCCACCAUCCACUCUACACUCUUUCAUAUAAAUAUUUAAUUUUAAGAAAACAAAUAUGGGGCAACAAUACUAAACAAGGCCUUGAAAUUUGAUGUUUGAGGUUGCUGACAUAGGCUUUGUCUUAUAAUAUGCCCGGUUGGUUCAUGUUGCAUCGAUCCAUUAUGAACUCCUAUCAACAAGUAAUGUAAACCUAGUAUAGUACAAAAUAUGCCUUGUACUUGAGCAUUAUUGCUAUUGAUAAGAUAUUACAGGCCCAUGUUUUUUCCGUCUUUACAAAAAUACUAAUGGAUAACUUUCAGUGUCAUUUGGACAUAACGGAUUUUAUUUGUAUGGUAUACAAUGUACAUACAUUCUGUAAAUCACUUUCCUCAGAAUAUGAUAACCUCAUAGGCAAAAUCAACAAUCCGUAGAGGCGCGAAUAUAAGGAUUCUGCAUAGCUAAAAAUUUAACUCCUAGGUUGCAAUCAGAAAAAGGAAAAAAAAAAAAAUCCUCAUAAAGCACAAGCUUUCUCAAGAUACUUGUUCAUAUAACCACAUAGAAUCUUAGAAAAAAAAAUAAAUUUUAUGCUAGAGGUUUAAGUGUGCAAGACUUAGUCAUUGAACAAGGAACCGAAUCAAUUAGCACGUACUUAUAUACUGUAGUAAGUUGAUUAUUUUCCAUUUAUGUACUAAAUUCAAUCCACUUAAUGCUUGUGCUAUUAGAGAUAUAAAAGAUAUGCGUUGUAACAUUUGAUAGUGCAUACAAGGACAUCAUCAUCUCCUGGUAUCAAGCUUACAGACAACAGAACAGUAAAACACCUUUAAUUUACUAGUAGAAUAAUGAAGCUAACAUGUGACAAAUGACAUCUUAGGCACAUUCGUACAUGCUAACGUGUGUGCCAGUGCUUAUCAUAUUCCAAUUGGCGUUCCAUAGUCCAUGCCAUAUAUCCAGUAUAGGUAUUUGUCAUGGUACAUGAUUACAAGCUGCCAGUGACGACAAGAGUGACAUGAAAGAAAUGAUUCUUUUAUAUCAUGCGACGUCUACCAUGUAUGUAGAUGACGACAAGAGUGACAUGAAAGAAAUGAUUCUUUUAUAUCAUGCGACGUCUACCAUGUAUGUAGUUUAUGAACAUGAUAAUAGGAAGAAAUCUACAAAAAGUUUUUUUAUGUUGGGUGACAUCUCUCAUCUUGUUAGUGCAGCUCGCUGGUUGGAAGACUUCAGAGAACACUCAGAUGCCAUUUCACUUGAACGCAUAACUUAGAUGUACUUCGUUUAGUGCAAUCAUCGUAUGCGUAAGUCUCUUAAGUUACUAAUUAUAUUAUCAUGCAACUCAAUUUCCACUGCAAACUUUUUCUUUAAAUGCAAAUAAUAAGCUUAUUAAAAUAUCUUGUGAAUUAAGCCAUUCAAUUUUCACCUCAUAUAACACUACAAAUCAUAAGCUGGUUCUGUUCAGAUCUUUUCCUGAUAAUGUGUGCAUCUUCAAGACGCAAUGUCUGACAAAUAGUUUAGCAUGUAAUUUAUUCUAAUCCUUUGCAAUCUUGCUAUAAUGGGCCAAGUGAAAUCAAGAACUCACUUUAAUAGAUGUGUCUCUAUUGUCAAUAUAGCAAGUAUGGAACUUAUUUUCACAUUAAUUCAUACCAUAAAAAUGAAAAACAUUCAACACACAGCGAGCCAUUUUUCCAACGCCAUUUCAGACAACCGAAGCAACUUAUGAGGCAAAAUUUUGAGCCAGUAAAUAAAAAAUAAUAAUCUGUUGGAUGUGUAGUGAUGACCACGUGAAGAAGUGACUUCAAUAAAAAAAACAAAAUGAGAGAGGCCCUGUGAUACUAUCGUUGCAUGCAGAGAUACAAAUGCCCUAAUUCAUAAAAGCAAGACAAACUUAAAAGGUGACAUACAAAGAGGUAGAAGGCCAAAAAUGACAGGGUUGGGGUAAAUAGAAAACAUUCAGUCAAAAUUAUUUAGGUAAAUGCAGUAAAAUAAUAGAAUUGGGUAGCAAAAAGGAUUUGAAUGACCAACAACACUUAAAGCAAGAUAAAGUUGCGGCUCGUAGAGCUAGAGCUAUAGUAUAUAAACACAAUAACAUGUGAAGCAAAGACUAUUUUGUUUGGAUCCGAAAUGAAUAGUUGGAUGUCAAAGAUUCGACCCAUCCAAACCCAAGAAUGCCCAUAGUCCCAAGCACUGUGCUAUUUAUUUGUUAUCAUUCAACCAAAUUAAAACCUAUAGUAAGUGUUUCAUAACUGUUCAGUUGGAAAAACACAGAUUGGUUCAUUUAGUGUAAGAAUGUAUGUUGUUUAGCAAUAUUGGAUCCACCUAAUGAGUGCGAUUUUCCUGAACGGUUUGUUACUUCCGUCAUUUCAUCUACCUUAAUGCUUUAGCCAGCUAGAAUACCAUGCACUAACAUGCUCAAAGCAAAAACAAAAAUAUGCUCACUAAAAGGAAAUAGGAUGAAGCGCAAGGAACCUCGUACCUCUAUAUGUUUGCUUAUUUAGUAUCACUAUAGCAGAUUAUCGAAGAUGCCGGAUCCUCAUUGUGUCAUCUGAAGCUCCAUUCCCAAGCUGAUAACCAAAUGGGCCAGACCCAUCGAGCUCAGAAGAUGCAGGCUUCCAUGUUAUAUCUUCGUACAUUGGGUUACUAUUGUAUGAAUCUGCACCGUUGCCUCCAUAACUAUUGCCUAAUACGGCAAAAGAAGUGUUAACAGCGCCACUCCCACUAUUAAUUCCAUAAUUGGUUGCACCAAGACCAGACCUACUCUCUCCAAAUCCACCCAAAUUUCCCCAAUUCGCACUAUUAUUACCAAACCCACCUAUGUUCCCACCUCCAGAUGGCGUAAAGCUAUUGGAGCUUGCUGAGUUAGCACUAUAAUUAAGUCCGCCAUCGCCCCAUAUAUUACGAUCAACUGAACUGAGCAUUGACCCGGUAAUAUCACUACCCCCACCAUAGCCACUGCUACUAUCGUAUCUACUUGAACUCGCACUAUAAUAAGGGCUCAAUUGCUGCCCAUAAUUUAGGCUAUUAUUGAAGUUUCUGCUUCUAUCAAAACUUGGAUUUAUCCCUGGCUCAAUAUUCAUUCCAAUUCCGUAUCCAGAACCAAACAAAGAGUAACCAUUACCACGCGCACCAGCUAGCAGCCCAAGUCUUCCAUCCAUCCUCAUUCCAUAACCGCUUAUAGAGCUUGGGCUGAGCCCUUGAUUGUAUCCAGUAAGAAAGCUAUUUCCCCUACUCAAACCAUAGUUAUAAUUAUACCCUGCAUUAGGAGAACGCGUGUUGAUCCCAGGGGAUAAUUCUUUCGGCACAGCCCUCUUCACCUCAACCAUCUUACCGUUCAGCUCGUGGAAGGUUUUGAGCAAUGCCCGAUCCACAGCAUCCUCCGAGUCAAAUGUGAUGAAGCCAAAGCCCCUCGGCCUCUGUGUGUUGUGAUCGUACAUCACGACGACAUCGACGAUGGUCCCGAACUGAUCAAAGUACUUCUUGAAGUCGGCCUCCGUCACCGUCGACGGGAGGCCUCCCACAAAUAUCUUUCUGAUGCGGCCCGGGCUGGGAGAAGAACCGUGGGCACUGCCAUUGCUCUUGUUAAUGGCCUGAUUAUCAUCACGAGGAAUAGCUUUUUUGGCCUCCACCUGAGAAAUUCACCAACCAAUGAUUUGAAUUCAGUUGGAUGGUCAUUCAAUCAUAUUAACACAAUCUUUUAGCUAUGGCAAUGCCUAGAUGAUCAAAGUGAAACAUAUAUAUUCAAAGCCAAUCGGAUGGGCAAAUUACCAUGCGGCCAUCGAUCAUAUGCUUCUCCAUGACGACUCUCUCUGCGACGGACGGAUCAGCAAACACGAUGAAACCGAAACCGCGAGCGCGACCGGUGGUUCGGUCCCGCAUGAUGACGGCUUCCACCACCUCGCCGAAGCUCUGGAAGUACUCGCGAAGCCGGUCCUCAUUCGUCUCCCACGAGAUGCCCCCGAUAAAUAGCUUGCCAUGAUCGGUCUCCAUUCUCCUCCCCCUGCAGUUCCACAAUUGAAUUCACAAUAACUACAUAAUUUAACAACAACAGAACCCGAAUGGUAACACAUAAUACAACCCAAAUUCAAUUAAAACACCUGCUAUAAAUCAGAUCCGAUCUAGAACAAUAACACUGAAGCAAAAUAACGAAGACCCAUGAAUCAAAAUCCAAAUUUUUUUUAGCAUCCAAUGCAUCAGCUUCGGGAGAUACAAAGCACCACCCGAUCAACACCAGAUCCAAUCGUAUAACAGAAGCCAGCUGAAUCCAAUACAGAUCGCUCAAAAACCAAAGAAAAAUCCCAAAAAUCAAUCCAAAAUCCAACAAAAGCGAAAUGGGAUCCACGAACACCAAUCAACGAAGCACCGCUCCUUCCCAAAUCAAUAAAAAUCAAAACCCAACAACCCAGAACCACAAAUAACAUCAAAAAAGAACACAAUUCACGCACAGCCUCACUAUUUUAGGAUGUAAUUGGAAAAAUUGAUUACCGAAUCGGUCUGAGGCGAUUCCCGUUGCGAGAUUGGGUGAGGAUUAAAUAGCCCUUACAAUAUGAAAAUCGGUAACGAACGAAGAGAGGGACUCAUCACCUCCUCUCUUUCUCUAUCUCUUUUUCUCUUUUCUUUUCCAAUCUCUCCUAUUACCUUUUUUUUUUUUCUCUCUCUUUCCUUAGAACCAAAAAGAUAUAUAAAGAGGUGAGCUGGUGGAGGAGGAGAUGUUACAUUUCAAAAUGUCUAUAAAUUAAAUUAAUGUUGUAAAAAAAAAAAAAAGGACAAUUUGCAUAAAAAUAUUCAUAAAUUUUGAGUUUUUAUAAAAUUAUCUUUUUCGAUUUUACAGGUUUGGACCGAAUUUUUAACGAACUAAUUAAAAUACCCUUAUUUCUUUCUCUCUUUUUUUUUUUUUCCUUCGUUCUUUUUUUCCUCAUCGCCUAAAAAUGUCGGAUCGUUGGCGCUAAUCAUUAAUCUCAAAAGCUCAGUUGUUAUAAAUACAUAAUUAAUUCACUUAAAGCGUAUAGAUAUAGUCUCGAUUGUGACUCGGACCAUCCUGCCUCACGCCACUUCCAAUAUGACUCAGCCCAACAUAGCCUCUCGUCACAAGGCAGGAUGCUGGCCCAUUUAAGCCAACAAUCCCCCCUCCAGCAACUGGAUAUAUUUGCAGCCAUUUAAGCCAACAAUCCCCCCUCCAGCAGUUGGAUAUAUUUGCAGCAUGCGAGAAUCGAACUCGUGAUCUCUGGCUCUAAUACCACUUGUCGGAUCAUUGGCGCUAACCGUUAAUCCUAAAAGCUCUAGCUAUUAGAAAUAUGCAACCAAUUCACUUGAAGCGUAUAGAUAUAGCACCCACGAGUCUCGAUUGUGACUCGGCUCACCCAGCUUCACACAACUUCGAAUAUGACUCGGCCUACCUAGCUUCAUGCCAUUUCGAACAUAACUCGGCCCAACAUAGCCUCCCAUCACAAGACAGGAUGCUGACCCAUUUAAGCCAACAAAAAAAACGUGCCAAUUUCCAAGAAGCGAACAAAUAUGCAGAGGGUUGAAAAAAAACAAGAAUAAAAAAUAAAAAAAAUUCUCUUUAAAAGAUCAUUAUAUAUCGUUGCUGUUAUCGAAAAGUUUAAAAAUCAGAGGAAAAGAAAGAAGAAGAUAAAUGUUGUACUAUUAAUAGGGGUGUCAACGAGCCGAACACGAGCAAGCUGGGGCUUGCUCAUGUUCAACACAAAAUGGCUCCUUAAAGUAUCGAGUCGAAAAAUUUGGCUUAUGAAUAAGAAUUUAAAAAGAUGAGAAAAAUUGUAUGUAGGAAAUAAAUUUAUAAAAUCUUACCCAUUAUACUUUAAUCUCAUGAUUGAAAUUUUACAUAUAAAUGAAUCAUUUUAUAAUUGAGUUUGGCUUUAUAUUUAGGUUGGGCUAAAAAUCAAAUAAUAAAAUUUAUAUUAUAUACAUAUAUAUAUAUAUAUAUAUAAUUAUUAAUAUGNUAAGUAUAAAAAAUAAUUUUAUGAAAUUUUACCUAUUUGACUUUGAUCUAAUGGUUGAAACUUUAUAUAUAAAUGAUCUUUUUAUAAUUAAAUUAGGCUUUAUAUUUAGACUAAACUAAUAUAUAUAUAUAUAUAUAUAUAUAUAUAUAUGUAUUCGAGCUGUUAUCGAGCCGCACACGAGCGAGCUAACCCCAGCUUGUGUUCGGCUCGUUUAUUAAACGAGCUGAAAAUUUCAGUUCGUGCUCGGCUCAUUUACUAAACAAGCGAUUCGAUCUCGAGCUCAUUUCAAGCCGAACACGAGCUGGCUCACGAACAGCGAGCUGGAUUGCCACCCCUAACUGUUAAAAUAAAAUUACACUAUUUUACAAAAAAAAUAAACUAUUUAGUAUGAGCGUUGCAUUCUUUAAGAUGAAAAUUAUAUUUUUUGAAAUAAAAGUUGCACUCUUUUGACAAAAAUUACACUGAUUCAGAAAAAUUGCACUAUUAUCCGACCUUCAUCGCCUUAUCUUCUUUUUCUUCUUCUUUCUCUUCCCUUGACCUCCUCUUACCCCUCCUUUUCGGAUCUUUAUCCUCAUCAAUGCGAGCCUCUCUAUCCUCUGAGCCACAUCAGAGCCUCGAAACAUGGAAACGACUUCAUCGCCUUUGUCCGCUCCGCCCUCACUCGGGCCUCUUUCGAAUUCUCCUUCUCCUUCUUCUUCUCCGGCGGGGGUGGAGGCGAAGGCGAAGGAAGAGGAGUCGGCGCUCUCCUCAUUACUGUCGCUGAGGGCCAAUGGCACUAACGGUGGAAGAGAUGGAGGAAGAGGAGGUGGUGCCGCUCUUGUUACCGUCGCCGAGGGCUGUGGAAGCGAUGGAGGAGGCGAUAAGGGUUGGAGAGAAAAAAAGAACGAAGUAAAAAAAAAAGGAAGAGAGAGGUAGGUCGUGUUCUCACCGGUGACCAGCUCCUCGACAACGACCUUAUCACUUUCGUCCGCUCCGCCCUCACCGGGGCCCACUUCGAGUUCUCCUUCUCAUUCUCCGAUGCCGGCAGAGGCGGAAAUGAAGGCGGAGGCGGGGGAGGGGUGCCGCCCUUGUUACCAUCGUCGAGGGCUGUCGGCAUCGGCAAAGAAGGAGAUGGAGGAAGAGGAUGUGGCGCUGCCCUCGUUAUCGUCGCCGAGGCCGUGGAGGUAGUGGGGGAGGCGAUGAGGGUCGAAGAGAAAAAAAAAAAAAAAGAACAAAGGAAAAAAAAGAAGAGAGGGAAAGGAAUAAAGAUAUUUUGGUCAAUUUGUUAAAAAUCCGGUUCGAAUCUGCAAAAUCGAAAAAGACGGCUCAAUUUUGCAAAAGCUCAUAACUUGUGAAUUUUUUAUGCAAUCUGGCAAAAAAAAAAGAUUUUUCUAUUUUGAUGUCGGAAUAAGUUAUACAAUAAUAAUUUAUUCUCUAUGAGAUUGUUUUUUUUUUUUAAUUAGAAGUAAAAAGUUUGAUUUUUUUUUAUUUGAAAAGAUUUUGACAAGCAUGAUAUAAAUAUAUUUUACCUAAACAACGAUUUAGGUUAUGUUUCGAUAUCAAAAUAAAUUACACAAUUUUUUAAUAAAUUAUCAGUAUAAAUAUUUUUUGUGUGAUUGAAAAUUAUGAGUUUGAAUUUUUUGCUUUUUCGGAAGACUUUGAUGCUUGGCAUUCAUAUCACAUUUUACUUAUGAGAUGAAUUAUUUCAUUCUGAAAAAAUAAUUUGAAGUUUGAAUGAGAUAUCUAUUCUUGGCAUUUAAUUGCAUUUUUUUUGUCUACAAAAUACUAUGUACUUCUUAAAUAACUCAAAAAGAUAUGCGGAACAAGAUGUCUAUGCAUCCAAGCAUAGCCUUAUCUUAUUCGAAAAAAAAUAACUCUAAAGCCAAAUGUGGUAUAAUGUUUAAACAAUUUGAUCACAAUCCUCAUUUACUAAAUUUGUAUGAUUGUUGAGUAAAUUAAAAAAAAUGUCAAAUAAGAUGUUCAUACAUCCAAAUAGGACCUAAAUUAUAGAAUUCUCCUUUGCACUUCGCUGUCUCAAUUUACAAUCAAAUUCUGAUGCACCAAAUCAUUCCAGUGAAUUUUGCAUUAGAAUUUGAUGUUCAUACCAACUUUUGGCUAUUUGAAAUAAUGUAAAGUACAAGGUUCAAAUUGAAGCAAAAUUUUAUGCAAUGAGUAAUUAAGACAUAUGGAAAGUGCAAAGGAGAAUUUUGUUAUUUAGGCUAUUUUUAGAUAAAAUGUAUAAUUAAACUAUGACAUAUUUUGAUUUGACUAUCAGAUCUUUAAAAUUUUGAAUUCCUUACUUGAUCUUUCAAUUAAUUUGAUUUAAGUCAUUUGAUUGUUUUUAAUUACAAGAUUUGAAUGUGUAAUUUACUGUAAUAAGAGCAUGGUUAAUUAUGUGAAUCAUAUAAAAUAUUCUAAUUAAGUCAAUUAAAAUAGUUGUACACUCAAAUUUUGAAGUGUAAGAGUUAUCAAUUGCUCGAUUUGAAGGUUAGUUAUCAAAAUUAUUCGAAGAUUGAAUAAUCGAGUCAAAAGAUCUUAUUUGAUAUUAGGUAAAAACGUACAGAACUUAUCUGAAUUAUUAAUUAUAGACUAUUUUAAAUUUACUAUCCUACCUUUCAAAAAAUUAAUUUUACUAUCCAACCUUUCAUUUGUUUGAUUUGAGUUUGUCGACGACACUUUGACUUCAACAUUUUAGCUAAUUUUUUUACUUUAAUAAAUUUUUAGUUGCGAAAAUUGCAUAAAAUAUGCUAACUAAUUCAAUAAAAAUAAACGACAAAUUUAAAUUUUAAAGUCAAAAUACCGUUGACUAACUCAAAUCAAAUAGAUUUAAAGGUUUUUUUUUGAGAGAUAGGUAGCACGCUACCCGCUUCGUUUAUUUCAUUUAGAAAUAAACUUAGCUAGAAAUGUGAAUCAACUAGGAUUCGAACUUGGGUCUCGGAUAUCAACCAUCAAGCCCUUUGCCACUUACUCUAGGGACGAUUGGUAAAUAGAUUUAAGGGUGCGUUUGGUUCGCAUAAUGAAAGAUUACUAGGAAUAAAAGAUAUCCGAGAAUCUUAUUUCUAUUAAUCCUAUUACUAAGAAUGUGGAAUUCCUGUGUUUGGUUCGCACGGUAAUAUUAAUUAGCCAUAUUAUUUAAUAUUACAAAAAAUAUACAAUUAAUUAAUUAAUUAAUUUAAUUAAUUUUAGAUAAUGUUACCAAAAGUUUCAACAUCUUUUUAGAAAAAAGGGAGAGAGAGUAUAAGUUAGAGAGAGAGAGCAUAAUUAAAAAAAUAGAAAGAAAAAUAUAGUCGAAAUUAGAAGGAGUGAGAGAGUUGAAAUUUUAGAAAGAGAGAAAGAGAGAGAAAAAGUUGAAUUUUGGAGAGAAAAAUAAGUUUAGAGAGAGAUAUAAGGUUAGAGUGUAAAGAAAAAUAAUAUCAAUUAGCCGGCGGGUAGAAAGAAAGAAAGAGAUUAGACAUAUUAUGAUUACCCCAAUCCAUUAAUAUGAGGAUACUCUCCCUCCCUCAAGAGAAUGAGAUUAGUACUUUGGGGUGAAUCUUAUUCCCAAGUGAAUCCAAUAUUACCAACUAGAUUACUUAGCGCGUUUAGCCAAACACCGUCAUAUUUUUUUAUUCCCAUUGAAUUACUAGAAAUCUUUAAAGGAUAGCGCGAACCAAACACACCCUAAAGGUUAGUAGUGGAUUCCAAGUGGUUCACAAUUUAGACAAGUUCUAUAUGUG